rnacentral:lncRNA from 1 species
CUGCGCCUUCCGCGGAUCAGGAUCGAGGCAAGGGCGUCACGAGUUAGAGCCCUACCCGUCGUGCUGAGCUAGAGGUGCCCCUACUGCAAGUAGAUGUUUUGUUUCGAGUUUCUGUACAUAGUAGACUUAACUCGCCAGUGCGAGUAGCUCUGUAUUUUGGAUUUGGACUAGGUAUAUGAAACUCAGUUUGUUUAUCUUCUGUUUUUUUAGCAGCUCUCUACUACUGUUCGUAGUAGCGUUUGAUUUACAGGUACAGCUGUCGCUUCGUAUUCAGAGAAAAUUUCUUUGUAUACGGCGGAUUUGUCGGCGUGCUCGGGGAACUAGACAUCCGGGGCGUGACACUAACCGAUUGGAAAUAAGAAAAAUUAAGAGUGAGAAAAAUACCAGCAUUUCUUCAAUUUGUUAUUUUUUCUAUCUUUUUGCUCUUGUAUAGUGAAAGUCGCUCUCUCUCACUCUAUCUCCACACACUAUUAAUUUAUAAUUUAGUCCUUUAGGCCCCGUUUGGUACGGGAAAGCAAGAAUAAUGAAAGUUAUUUCCGCUAUUCCGCCAAACGGGAUGAAAUUUGACCGGAAUAUUUUAUCCCGGUCAAACCUUGCUAUUUUCGAUUAUUCUGGAAUAGCAAGGGAUUUGCUAUUCCACCAAAAUAAUGGAAUAGCGCUAUUCUAAUGCUUAAUUUCAUACUUAAUUAUAAUUAUAAUUGAAUUAAAAUUAAAUUAUAUAAAUAUAAUAUGUUAUAUAGAACUAGGCUGGAAUAUUAUCAAUAGUACCAAACUGUUGGUGCUAUUAGUUUUUUAGCCCUGGGAUUGAAAAAUAUGCAGUUAGGAUGAUAUGGGCCCUCUAGAGUUAAGUGGGUGGUUGGUUCAAUAGUAUAAUCUAUCGGGUAAAAAUAAUCAAAGUGUUAAAUCUAACGGUAGAAAACUCGAAAAUAUCAAAUCCUUGGUGCUGUCGAUAGUAUCUCAGCCGGACUCAUAUUAUAUAUUAUAAUAUAUUAUUUUUAUUUUAAAAUUAUGAAUUGUACUAUGCUAAUACAUAUUAUUUAUAUUUAAAUAUUAUAAUAAUUUUUUUUAUUAAAUUUAAUUUUAAGUAGAAUUUUUAAAAAAUUUAUAAAUUUAUUAUAAUAAAUUAUUUUUAUUAAUUGUUCCCACCCCUAUUCUUAUUUUAAAAUUUUAAAUUUUAAAAUAUAAAUUUAAAAAUUUAAAUUCAAAUAUAAUAAGAGGAUAAAUCAUUACUUUUUAUUUAUAAAACUCACUAUCCUUCUUAUUCCAUCUUAUCUAACCAAACACUAUUUGUUUUAUUUCCAAGAAUAACCAAAUUUUCAUCCAAACACAAAAUUGAUCUAAUCCCCGCUUAUAUCUCAAUUUAUAUCUAUCCCUGGAAUAGCCACUUUUUACAUAUCCCCGAACCAAAUGAUACCUAAAUGAAUUAGAUUGGAUAUAUAAAUUUAUAAAAUCUUACUCAUUAAAUUUUGAUCUAAUAGUUGAAAUUUUAUAUAUAAAUAAGUCUUUUUAUAAUUGAGCUGGACUUUAUAUUUUUUUACUAAAAAUCAAAUAAUAAAAAUAUAUAUUACAUAUAUAAUUAUUUAUUUAUAUAUAUANNNNNNNNNNNNNNNNNNNNNNNNNAAAAAGAAAAAUCAAUUACCAUCUUUUCUUCUCUCUUCACUCAAUCCACUGAAAUUCUAGACGAAGAGCCUUUCCUGUCGUCCUCUUCUGCCACCGCAGCCAACGAGAUAGAGUUUCGGUGGUUGCUAAAUGCUUAAAUAAGUGUUGGUAAAUUAGCAGCACUCUUUUAGGUUAUAGCGACACUCUUUAACUGUCACUAUAUACCUAGCGACCCCACAUAUAGCAACACUUUUUAAAAGUGUCGGUAAUUUUAGCUAGCAGCACUUUUUUGACAUGUACCCAUAUUUAAAAGUGUCGCUAUAGACCAUUUUUGUUGUAGUGAUCAUACGUAUCAUAUUCAAUAUAUCCUACAUAUCGUAUUCUAGAGUUUUUAGAAAUUACCUACAUAUUACUGUAUCCCAUGUCGUGUAUCCGGAUCCCUGUAUCCAUAACUGUGUAACAUAGUCAACGGCAUAUAAAAAAGAGAAUUGUUUGAUUAACUAGAAAUAGGUGUUGUGUUCUGAUUGUUAUAGAACACAUCUAAUAAUUUAAUUAACUUUGAUUAUUAAACCCCUGCUGUAGGAAUUUAAUUAUUGAAAAAUUAUCUAAAGCUAGUGUAACGGAAGGGAUAUAUGCGUAAAGUAGAAGAUCCAAAUUAACAGUAAUAGGUUAAAAAGAACCCUUCGUUGGCGUCGCAGUACAAUCAUUUUGAUGACCAUUUGGUUCUCCCUGCUUUGGUCUUUUUGGAUCUGUGAGACAAGGACCAGCAUGUGUUGUUAGGGUUACUGUUAUUUCAUGCAUGCAUGCACGCAGUAAUUUUGAGAGAGAGAGAGAGAGAGAGAGAGAGAGAGAGAGAGAGAUUAAUGACCUGUAUUGUUAAGGUGAUUGUUUCCGGCCAACGCACGAGGGAGGAAGAGAAUGGCGAGGGGGUGGAAAAGAGCAAAAAUGGCGGCGAAAUGUGAUUUUGGAGCCAUCCUAGUUUCAGCUGGAGAUGGGACGCCACAGGAAGUUAACACCCGGGUUGGCAAAAUCACAAUUUAUAGAACAAGAACAAGUCAAAUUGCAGAAGAAUCCCUAUAUGUUUACAUUUGACUCCCUUGAAAAUUUAAACUUACCCGUUUCGUCCAUUAAUGAUUUUAAAAAUCUAUUUUGGGUUUUUAAUAUGCAAAACUUGACAUGAUAAGGAGCUAAUAAUAGCCUUUGGAUGACUAAUUCACCACUAGCCCUCUUAAAUAUCUAAAUAUCGUAAAUAUUCCUAUAAAAUUAAAAAUAACAUAUAUACCUCUUCAAAUGUAGAAAAUUAUCACAAAUACCCUUUUAUUCUAACGGACGUUAAGAUUAAAUUAUAAAAUGACUAAUUUACCCUUGGUUGGGUUGUUCUUCUGACAGCAACUAAUAAAAAAUAAUUUCAUAAAUACCCUUCAAAUUUUAAAAAUAAUAUUUUUAGUACUAAUUAUUGGUGGAUAAAAUAUGUGGAAACCCUCACCUAUAGGUCAUUUUGAAAUAGACCCCCUUAACUUCAAUUUUUUAACAUUAAGAGCCCUUGAACUUUUAGUUUUUUUUGUUUUUACAUUUUACUUUGUUAAAAGUUUUUCAAUUGAGAUCCCUCCUACACGAAUUUGAUAAAAUUUUUAACUUAGUUGGAAAAAAAAUACUCAAUUGCAAAAAUAAAGAAUCACAUAGGUUGAGAGGAUGUAUAUAUAUAUAUAUAUAAAGAGAGAGAGAGAGAGAGAGAAAGAGAGAGAGAGUCCGGCUACUAUACUCUUAUAAAUACGAUCGCCUUCGUACUCAUAAGUCGUUUUCAAUGAUAGAGCUUCUGAAUAGACCAUCCAUAGUUAAACAUCAUCUUGAACAGUUAAAACUUUUAAAAAUCAAAUUUUAUAAUUUUUUGAUAUUAUUUACCUUACGGUCAAAAGAUCUCAAAAUUGACAAUUGUUAACAGUGGGAUAUUUGCUAUUUUAACGAUAUAAAAGAAUUAGAAUUAAUUGAAUUUUUGAUAUGAAAUUAUAUUAACUAUCUAGAUAAAAAUCAACUUAUGAGUACCAAAGGCUAUCUAGAUAAAAAUCAAUUUUUAUUAUGAAAUUAUAUUAACUAUCAUCCAUUUUUUUGAUAUGAAAUUAUAUUAACUAUCUAGAUAAAAAUCAAUUUUUGAUAUGAAAUUAUAUGAAAUUAUAUUAACUAUCAUCCAUUUUUAGAACGUCGUUUGAUUUUGAUAAUUUAUUUUUUGCCCACUUUGAUAGACAUUAUUAUAAUUUCAAAAAAUUACAAAAUUUAUUUUCAAAAAUUUUAAAUACUCUAAAUCAUAUUUAACGAAUUGAAUCGUCGAUUCAAAAGCUUCAUUAUCGAAAACAACUUAUGAGUACGAAAGGCUCAAUACUCAUAAGAGUAUAGUAGCCCUACUUUUAUAUAGUCCGGCUACAGUACUUGUAAAAGCACCAAGCACUUGAUUGUUUUAAAUUUUUUACCUUCAGAUCUACCCUUUGAUUAUUUUCACCCGUUAGAUCUACUAUUUAAGUAACAACCCACUCAAUACUAGGGGUCCCACAUCAUCUAACCGCACAUCUCUUAAUCCAAUGGACAAAAAUUAAUCUACAACCACCAAUAACUUGAUACUUUCAAAAAGUAUAGGAGCUCAAUUAAUUUUAUAUAUNNNNNNNNNNNNNNNNNNNNNNNNNAUAUAUAUAUAUAUAUAUAUAUAUACUAUAUAUGAUAUCAUACUAUAUAUAUAAUAUAUAUAUAUAUAUAUAAUAUAUUAUAUUAUAUAAAAUUAUAUAUCGGUAGUGGCGGCUGCUGUGCUCUUAGUGAAGCACGGAAGGCCUCCGUGCUCCUGAGCCGUUCUUCGGAUGAUUAGAAUUUCGAAUCGAACGAUCGGCUGCGUUAGAUCUUAUUUAGCACAUUUGUAGUUUCUAGAAAAUAAUGUUUGCGAUUUUUUGAUAGUCAUACCUAGUGAGUCGAAUAAGAAAAAAAAAAAAAAAAAAAAAAAAAAAAAAAAAAACAAAAAAAAAAAAAAAAAAAAAAAAAAAAAAAAAAAAAAAAAAAAAAAAAAAAAAAAAAAAAAAAACAAAAACAAAAAAAAAAAAAAAAAUGGAUUUAAAAUUUAUAGUUUUUAAUGAGUUGAUAUCUGCCGUUUGCAAGUUUAACGGUGUAGAAGAUUCAAACAGAAGAAAAUUUUGCAUACAAAUUCUUUAUAUACUAUCUUAUAACAAGAUCAAUAUUCUGACGCGAAAAUUUUUAGUCUAUCAUCGACGAACCAAAUCCAGACACAAGGAGGAACAAUAUUAGCUGCUUAUACACAUUUUUAUAGGAUUUUUAUUUUUCAACCAUUAACAAAUAUAUGUGAUUUGUCAUUUCGAUUAGCUAGGUACAAUGAUAGUCAAAAAAAUCGCAAAAAUUAUUUUCUAGAAACUCAAAUAUGCUAGUCAAGUUUAAACGAGCCGCAUCGUCGAUUCGGAAAAACUCUAUCAUUGAAAACGGCUUCAGGAGCACGGAGGCUCCGUGUCCGAGAGGACGCAGCCUGCUCUAUACAUAUUAUAAUAUAUAUAUAUAAUAAUAUAUUAAUAUAGAUAUAUAUAUAUUAUAGUGAGAUAUAUAUAUAUAUAUAUGUAAAACCCAGCCCAACUAGCAACAAUAAAUCUCGUGGGACAACAACCGCAAAUGCUUAAGCCAUUCAUUAUUACUAGUGUUUAGUCUCCUAUAAAACCCAAUGUACAACCUCAUUCCUAUCCAUGUGAGACUCAUCUCGCUAGCCCGUCAUCCGACCUGGCUCAGCGGAGACUCGUCACACAUGUUCCAGCUGGUGACCGGCUUUGAUUCCAAAUGUAACGACCACCACUAGCAACAAUAACUAGUUGGCCAAAUCAACGGGCCAAAUGUUAAGCCCAGUUUAUUAUUACUGUGUUAGAGUCUCUUAAUAAAACCAUGACAACCUCAUCCAUCCAUGAAUGCUGGGACUAUAUUGGGUGUCACAAUAGUAUUAUUCAAUAGGCUAGGACCAUGCCUGAAGUGGCACAAUGGAUGUGAGCAGGUCUACUGUUUUUCUUCUUACAAGUUAUUUUUUGUUGUUCUUGGGACAUUUAAUUAAAAAAAAACUUUAGUGGCUGGUUUCAUAUAGAAAAAUACUAAUAGCAAAAAUUUUUGGAUAUUCAUAAAUAUCUUUUUGUUUUGACUUGAUGUGAGUGAUUUAAUAAAAUUAAAAAAAAUUAAGUCUUUAUUAUUCAAUGGGACAAAUUGCAUUAGACACUUUAUUAUUCAAGCAAAAAUAUAACAGAUUAUUAUUACACUUAAUAGACUAUAGAUUUUUGUAAAAAUUUUGUAAAAGAAGAAUGUGUUUUUAUAUAGAAUUGAUACUUGAUCAUGUAACAAUUAAUCUUAAAAUUAUUACACUUUAGUUAAAUUAGUACUAUAUUUUGGUAGAAUAGUACUAUAUAGAAUAUUAGAUUUUAUUAUUUAUAAGUUUGUAUUUGUGGAAUAUUUUCGCUUUUUUAUUUGCUGGUAUUUAAUUUUUAGAGGGCUUAUUAUAUGAAAUUCCGUCUGCCUAGGAGGAGCAUUUUAUGCAAAUUAUCCCUUAAGGAUUGUUUAUACCUCUUUUGAGUUCGUGUACCUAGUGCAUGUGCACAGAGAAGAAGAGCUCUUGCACAAUAGAUGAGGUUUUUGAAACAGAAUCUGAGUGUGAAGCUAACUCUAUGUAUGCGACAAGAUUCAUGCGUCAGUUUUUUUUUCGUUAGUAACUUCCUGUGCUGUUACUUAGAUUUCUGUAGAUUUUUUCUUUUUUUUCUUCGUUGUUGCCAAUUAUACUGUAAAAAACCUCUAACUAAAGCUUCUUACGUUACAAAAUCCUAACACAUUCCACUAAUAAAUAUAACAAUGAUAUUAAUUAUCGAUGGUAUUUUAUACGUUAAAAUAAUCUAAUUAGGACGAAAUUUAAUAUCCGUCACUAAUAAAAACUGAAAAGCUUUGAACAUAUUUAAUAGGACCAAAAUAACUUUACUGCUAAAACUUAUAUUUGAAUUAGUUGUGAUUGGUUUAAUUUUUUUUCACACUACGCAUUUAGCACGAAUCAUAAUUAACAGUGACGAUGGGUUUAAUAAUUACGACUAAGUAUGUGGUCGCUAAACCUAUUUUGAAGCCAACACACAUUAAUAUUUGGUUGCUUAAUACAUUAAAGAUCAUGUCUACGACAUUAUAUUUUCAUAUUAUUUAUAAUAAAAGUUAAGUUACUUUAUUUGCGUUAAAUUAAAAUUGUAAGUUUAAGCUUACUAUUAUAUAUAUAGUAUUUAAUUUUUAUAAUUUUAUAAGAAUUAAUUAUCAUAUUUAUGAUAAUCUGAUAUUAUAUAAGUUUGAUCCUGUAUAUGGGUUUUUCGAAACUUUCCAACUUGAUUUUUUUUCAGUUAGUAAAUUCUUCAAAUUUUUUUAUCUAAGUUAUUUUACUUAAUUAACUUUACAAUUUAAUAUAUUUAAAUGACUCUAUUUGUAAUUAGUUUUAAUCGGAUUCAUUGUUUAAUAAGAACAAUAAUAAUUAAAUGGUGAUGAAAUUAUCACUUAUUUGAAAAUAUUAAUAAUUAUUGACUAAAAUACUUAAUCUAAAUAAUAAAAAAAAAUCAAAAAAUAGAAACAUAAAAAGACUAUUUUGAAAAUAACUACAUACUUAAUAGGAGGCUAAAACGCAAAAUUCCCUAAUAUAAACCCUGACCUGCCCUUAGCCGCCGCCUCUCUAGCCGUUCACAUCUCCGAACACUUCUACCUAGGUUUUUUUUGUUUUUUUUAAACUUUCUUCUUACUUCAUCUUGAUUCUUUCUCAUUUAUUGGAAGGAAAUAGAUAAUCCAGUUUGCCUCGUUUGUUGUUUUUUCCAUUGAUAGGAACAAGAAGAGGUUUGUUCUCUAUUACUACCUCCACUAAGAUAACGACCCAACAAUCACGACUCUAUCAAGAAAAUUGACAAAAUUAUAGAUUCUCUGAUAAAAAUUUUAUUUUAUUUUUUUACCUAAGCAAAAGAUGGAUUAAUUGGAUUUUCCUUUAAAAAAUUUAUCUUAUUUUCUAAUCUUUCAAUUAAUACCUUAAGAAUAAUUUAAAUAGUUAUUCUUUGCGAUGUAUGUGGAGAGAAUAGAAGAUAUGUGAAUAGAAAUAUAUAAAUAUUAAUUCUUCGUUGAAGAAAAAAAAAAAGAUGGAACCACACAUAUGGGGAUUUAUUUUAAGUAGGAGACAAGAGAGAGUUUUUUUCUCCGUUACCUUCCACCACAAGGACGACGCCUGCAAGCCAACACUCGCGACCCAUCAAAAAAUGACAAAUUAAUUUGAUCUUUGAUAAAAAUAUUUAUUUUAUUUUUUACACAAGAAAAAGAUGGAAUUAAUUUCUAUUUCUUUUUAAAUAAAUUUUAUUUUCUAAUCUUACAAAAUUAAUACUUAAGAAAUAGAUUAAAAUCUGAUGAGUUUGCGAUGUAUGUGAUGAGAAAAAUAUAUUGUGAAUAAAGACACUAUAGACAGUUAUUCUUUCCUGAGGAAAAAAAAAAAAAAAGAGGAACCCACACUUAUGGAUUUAUUUUAUAAAGAGACAAGAAAUGGUUUUUUCGUCCAUUAUCUUCCACCGACGAGGGUCCAAAAUCACGAACAUCAUAAAAAAUGACAAAUUUAAUUAUGAUUCUCUUGAUAAAGAUAUUUAAUUUUAUUUUUUUACCAGAAAAGAUGGGAUAUGGAUUCUUUUGAAAAAAUUAUUUUCUAAUCUUACAAAUUAAUACUCAAGAAUAGAUUUUAAAAUAUUGAUGAUUCUGGCGAUGAUAGUGUGAGAGAAUAGAAGAUAUUGUGAAUUGAAAGAUAUAAUAAUAGUUAUUUCUUUCACUAAAGACAAAAAAAUAGAUGGAACCCACACAUAUGGAAUUAUUUUAAGUAGGAAUACAGAAGAGUUUUUUUCUCCAGUAUCUUCACCAACAAGAGCCCUUAUAAAUCACAAUCCAUCAAGAAAAGAGUAAAUUAAUUUAGAUUCAUCUUGAUAAAAAUAUUUAUUUUAUUUUUUAACCAAGAAAAGAUGAUUAAUUUGGAUUACUUUUAAAAAAAAUUUAUCUUUUCUAAUCUAUACAAAAUUAAUACUAUAGUAAUAGAUUUUAAAUAUUGAGGUUGGUUUGUGAUGAUUGAAAGAAUAAAGAUUAUCAUUAAAGUUAUCUUUCACUAAUUAAGAGCACGAAAAAAAUAGCAUGAACCCACACAUGAUGCGAUCUAUUUUAUGUUAAGUUAGAGAUAGAUAGAAGUGUGUGAACUGCCCCCAACUCCAGGCACACGAGGUCACCCAUCCUAGAACUACUCUCGUCCAUAGCACCGUAACCUUCUCUUAACGCUUGGGCCUCGGUCUGAACCAAUCCAAAUCACACGGUUUUAAGUAACGACCCAGCACUAGCAAUAACAACUCGUUGGCGUCAACUAACAGCCAAAAUGCCUUAAGCCCCAGUUAUAAUUACUAGUGAUCAAGUCUCUUAUAACCCAGAUCAACCCCUUUCCGAUCGAUGUGGGACUAAACCCCGUUCCCGAUCCAGAUGUGGGACUAUUGGUUGUCACAGACUCCCCCCGUUAGCCCUGACAUUUCAUCGUCAGGUCCGAAUCACAACAGCUCACAUCACCAGCGAUAUUGAGGACUCGUCUCGCUAGCCCGUCAUCCAGACCCUGGUUUAGCCGAGGAGUCGCCAACAUGUAAGUCAGCGGGUGAACCGCUUUGAUACCAAAGCUGUCGACAGCCCACUAGCAUAAUAACUCGUUGGGCCCAACUAAAGCGCCUAAAAUGCUUAAACCCAGUUAUUUUACUAGUGUUAUAGUCUCUUAUAAAGCCCCAUGACAACCUUUCCAUCCAAUGUGCGCGGAUGAUUGGGCGCUGUCGCAGAAUUAUUCUCUAUCAUCUAUAAUUUUUUAUUAUUAUCUUAGAUAUAGUGAUAAAAUAAUUCUAACUUAUAUAGGAUAUUUUGGUAAAAUCGUUUUGGUAGAAUGCUGCAUUUUCAAAAAAAAAAAUCAUUAAUAUAUGUAGAAGUCUGUAUAUUAACUUUUAGGUGUAAAUUGAAAUAAAAUGAGUUAAGAUUUCAGAUUCCCCCAGAAUUCUUAUGUCAAUCUUUUUUGGCUUUUCGCUGUGGGGAAACAUACGAUGUACAGUGUUAGUUAUAACGUUAGGGGUUUUGUUUUUAAUUUUUUUGUACAGUUAUUUUAUCAAGUUAAUUUUUUUUUUGUUAACGAUUUUGUUACUGUGCACUUGAUGUUUGAUUUUCUGGUAAAUGAUGUUAUUUUGAUUACUGUCAUAUUAUGAUACCAAUGAUAAAGGUAUUUAAUAUCCGUGAUUUUUUGUUAUCAGAUUCCACUAAUUUUCGUUAAACUCAGUGAUAAAGUGUAAACUUUUUUUGUACGUUAAAGUGAAUAUUUCAUAAAUCUAGUUGGAUAUUCUGAACUUUUUGUAGAUAAAUUACGAAAUAUUUAACGGAGAUUUGAGUGAUGUAAAAUAAACCACACCUUAACUGUACAGGGUAUUAAAGUGAAAUGUUUUGUUAGGCCGGAAACCACAAAGGGGUAUUUAAAGUUUUUAUUUUUAUUUUUUUAAUAUCAUGUUAGUCUUUUAUUUGGAAGAAUAUUAAUUAAAUAUAACAAUCACAUAGAUAUAUAUAUUGAAUAAUAUUUAGGGGUGUAAAAUACACAGUUAAGUGUAAUCGAAAUUAACGGAUUACAUCCAGGGCAGGCAAUAUGCCCACGUAGUUCCCGCUUCUUUCCGGUUGGUGCCUGGAGGUUUGACGUUGAAAGUUAAUAAAAUUAAUAUAAAAUUGACGAUGUAUUGAGCGCACGGCGACGACAUCAUAGUGGGAAAAAUUCUUAAAAGUAAGCAACGGGUAUAUUAGUGACGCUGCGUAACAAACAAUGGCAAAUAUAAUCUUUUUUUUUUAAAUAUAUGUCCCGAUCCAUGAUUGUAAAAAAGUAGUUUUUAUGUGGUACUUAUUGUUUUGAGAAACGAAGGAAUGCUGAGUUGGCUUGUUAUGAUACGUGUGCAAGUGUGACAGUGUAUAAAUUCCUGCCAAUAGGGAGGGGAAACCAUGUCACAUGCAGAAACGAUGGAUCUACAUGAAACGAAAGCACAUUCUCACCUAACAACUAAUAACACAUAUUUUUGAGACUUAAACUUGGUCAAAUUAAUUGCGUCAAAAAUCAUGAACACAUUUACAGAAAAAAAAUCAGGCAUAAUAAAAAAAUUAGGAUUGCCAGCAGCUAAAACUGCUAAAAGAAAAUAUAAAAAUUGAUGGUAAUAUUUGCUCCAAUAGUUUUAAAAGUCUGAUAAAAGUGCAGGUGUCCGUUACAAUAUCUUGCUGUAUAAUCUUUGCCUAAUCACUUUUACUAACUAUUGGUGAAGAUGAUCUCUACAACAUCUUAAAACUGUCGGUAAAACUACAAACAAACACGUGUAAAUAGCAUGGACCGACAGUUUAUUUUCACGUUGGCCAAAGUUUUUACAACUAAUAUGAAAAAAAUACUAAUAUCAACAAAUACAUUCGGGCUUUUCCAUUUGAUAUUAAUAUAAAACCAAAAAACAAUCUGUAAUCAUCGGAAAAAAUCAAGUAUAUUAAUUACUAAUUCCAUAAGAAAAGUCUAUAACAAAACAGUAAAAAUGGUUGUAACAAAAACUAUAAGAUGAUACAUCAUGAUCUAUGUGUGAUAAAUUGCAACAAACAUGAAUUUUUAUGUACUAUAGAAAUCAAUGCAAUAGAAUAAUUUAUUUUGAAUCCGCAAAUGAUAGUAAGCUAAGAAAAAGAGGAGUGAAAAGCUCAGAAACAUUCUGAAAACGGCGAAACAUCAAAUCAUGCUUGUGGUCAAUCUGGAAUACAAAAAAAAGUUGAAACAUAUAAAUUGAUAAGCUUCAUUCUAAAUAAACAACAUCUAUCAUAGUACAUAUAGCAAAAAUAAAAGUAUACUAAACAUAAGAACUAAAUUUUUUAGUUCCAAUUAUUAGUCAGGUCAAAGUUAAGCAGCUUAAUUUGUCGUUUAAUUAAAUCAUAAAUGUCCUUUAUGUCCACUUAUUGGGUUCGACUUACUCGAUCGGGAAAGUACGACCAAUUAAUGUUGAAUCGCCGAAAUAUUCUAUUAUUUUAGUUUUAGUGUUGAUAUGGUUGAACCAUAUUUUGAAUAGAGAUAUGAAAUUAGAGAGUAACUCAAUAAAAUAAAUAUAAUUCAAUUUAUUCUGUAAAAACUUCAUUACUUAAAGUAGGACAAAAAUUAAUUCUCUUCCAAAAAUAAAGUUAUAUUCCAUUCAAUACUGAAUUCUAUUCAUCUAACGACAAACAGAUUAGUUACUAUUUAUCCAUUUUUCGAUUCGGUGAUAAAUAGCAGUUAGGGGCAAGAACUGCUUUUGGCUUUCCUAGCUAAUUACAACGAAGUGCUGUUCAUUGUUAAGUGCUUCAAAGUCAUGCAUUAAUUGGAUUAAUUACUUCUGUUCACAAGAUUCCGACGAAGCAAGGAAGAUAUGAAAAAUUAACUAAGAGAUAUAAUGACUUGAAUGCUGUGAUGUAGAAACCUUGUUACACUGGCUCCCCAAAACCAAUUCUAUUAGCACCGUUAUAUGUAGUUAGUACCGCUUCAAAAAGAUCCCUAACUCUCAAAAGUUGCUUAAAGAAUCAUAAAUUCAAAUUUAACCUGAUAAAGUAAUUAAACUAUUAAAGUGAGCUAUCAGUCAUUUUAAAUUUUAACUGACAUGUAUAGAAGAUAUGAUCAAACAUACUUAGUUAGCCUCAAUUUAAAAGUCCUAGUUUUCGUUUCCGCGUCGAUCACUAUUAUCACCAGCUAAAUCCAUGUACUCACUCAAACCUGCAUUAUAUUAGAAGCUGCAAAGCAUAAUAAAAUCAAAAGAAAUAAUACUGAUUUGCUUAUAUUUUAAAAUUUUAAAGUAAGAUGCAUUAUAUUGAUACUCUUGUGAGUAAAUUAAUAACAUACCGUUUGUGGUUAUUUUAAUGAUUAUCAUCUCCACACUUAGUUUGUCUAUAACUUUGUUAUUAUACAAUGUGAAAAAAAAAAUAUUAGUCUAAUCAUAUAAGAAAUAGAUAAAUCAAUAGCAAUAAUAUAACCGAAUAAAUUAGCACUGUAUUAUCUUUCCACAAUAAUAACUAGUCAUUAGACUAAGCAAAAUUUUUUUCAUAUUUAAGUACCUAAGUCCCAAAUAUCUUUUUAGCCUUAUAGGCAUCUUCUGGCUAUCUAGAACCGGAAGCUAUGUCUCACACUUCGAGCAAUAUAGAAAUAACUUUGUUACUAUCACCAUUAAAACACUUCAAACAUUAUAGACAAAAUGCUGUAAUAGUACUGUAUUUCUCACACCCAUCUUAAUCGAAAUUCUAUAUCUUCAAUGAGGUAAAAACUUUUUAACAUCUUCAUUCAUGCCUUCUGUAGAUUACAUAAACAGACAACAACGAAGCCACCAGACGCUAUCUGCUAACCUGUGAUAUUGUACGAUCACACCUCACUAAUGACUCGAUAAACAUUAAUAUUACCUCCCGGCCUUUUCUAAAUUUGAUUAUUCAUUCUGAAAAAACUCAUCUAACAUCAUGCAUAUUGCAUUAAUUAGGAUUCAUAAGGUAUAAUUACUAGUCUUUUGAUGCUCUCCAAAUGCAGAUCUCACCAUAAAAACACUCAAUUAUGUUAGUCUGGACUGAUUCCAUUUACACAACAGGAUCACGCCACUAUUUGCGUCAACGAUUUAGGAACUUCCAGACAUUUCAAACAUGGCAUGUCAACUCAUUUGCAUGCAUUUUGGAGAUCUUCUCUGGAAUUUUCGAAUCGACGAUCGGCUCCGUUAGACUUGAUCUAGCACAUUUGAAGUUUCUAGAAAAUAAUUUUUGCUAUUUUUUGAUAUCAUUUACCUAGUGAUCGAAAGGAUUUAAAAUUUAUAAUUUUUAAUGGUUGAUAUCUGCCGUUUUCAAGUUUAACGGUGUAGAAGUAUUCAAAUCAGAAGAAAUUUUGAUACAAAAUUCUUUAUACUAUCUAUAACAAGAUCAAUAUUUCUGAUCGAAAAUUUUAGUGCUAUAUCACCACUUUUUAUAGGAUUUUUAUUUUCAGCCGUUAAAAAUUAUUGAUUUUGAAUCAUUUCGAUUGCUAGGUAAAUGAUAUCAAAAAAUCGCAAAAAUUAUUUUCUAGAAACUUCAAAUAUGCUAGAUCAAGUUUAACGGAGCCGAUCGUCGAUUCGGAAACUCUAUCAUCGAAAACGGCUCAGUAGCACGGAGGCCUCCGUGCUCCUAAGAGCACAGCAGCCAUGCUCUAUAUAUAUAUAUAUAUUAUUCAAAGCUAGGACCAUGCUGAAGUGGACUAAUGGGUGAGCAAGUCUUCAUACAAUGUUACUUUUUUGUUAACAAUAAAUGUUCAAUUAAAAAACUAUUGCUUGAGUGGGUCAUAUGAAAAAUACUAAUACCAAAAAAAUUUUUAUAUUAAAAUAUUUUUUGUAUGACUUAUGUGAGUUAUUUAAAUAAAAUUAAAAAAAAUUAAAUCUUGAAAUUAAUAUUGAAUAUUACAAUGGACAAUUGCAUUACAACUAUAUAUAAUUUACAAGCGAAAAAUCAUAACAAGAUUUAAUUAUUACACUUAAUAGACUAUAGAUCUUUAAUUGUAAAAUUUUAAAAAGAAUGUUGAAUUAUUAUGUAAUUGAAAGGUUAAGAACUGAUCUUGAUCAUGUAAUUAAUCUUAAAUUAUUACACGUAGUUAAAUUAGUACUAAGGGUAAAAUGGGUAUUUAUAGAAUAUUAGAUGACUUUUUAGCGAAAUGUUAAUCUUAAGGGUAUUUGUGAAUAUUUUUGCUUUUUAGAGGAGUAUUGCUGAUAUUUUGUAAUUUAGAGGGGCAUUUAUGAAAUUCCUGUCUCCUAGAAGGGUAUUGAUGAAAUUAUCCCUAAGAUUUAUACCUGUUUUUAGAGUUGCGUGCACCUAGUGCACUGGUGCACAGAGAAAGAGAGAGCCUUCACAAUAGAUGAGGUGAAACAGAACUUGAGGUGAAGCUAACUCUAUGUAUGCAGACAAGGAGUCAUGCGCAGUUUUUUUUUCGUUAGUAAUUCCUGCUUUACUUAGAUUUUCUGUAGGAUUUUUUUCUUUUUUUUUUGUUGUUGUGCCAAUUUAUGGUAAAAAACCUAACUAAAUGCUUCUGUACGUUACAAAAUCCUAACAUCCACUACAACAAUAUAGACAAAAUAUUUAGCGAUGAAGUAUACUUAUCGUUGUUAAAAAUAAUUAAUUAGUGACGAAAUUUAAUAUCCGUCACUAAAUGAAAAACUGAAAAGUUUUGAACAAUGUUAAUAGCGACAAAAUAACUUUACUGCUAAAACUUAGUCGCUAUUAAUUAGUUUGAUUGGUUUAAUUUUUUUCACACUACGGCUAUUUUAGGGACAAAUCAUAAUUAACAGUGACGAGGGUUUAAUAAUUAGCGACUAAGUAUGUGGUCGCUAAAACGCUAUUUUUAAGCAACACAUUAAUAUUUGGUUGCUAAUACAUUAAAGAUAUGCUACGAAUUAGUUUUGUUGCUAUAUUUAUAAAAUAAAAGUUAAGUUACUUUAUUUGGUUAAAUUAAAAAUUGUAUUUAACUUAACUAUUAUAUUAUUUAUUAGUAUUUAAUUUUUAUAAUUUUAUAAAUUAAAAUAUAUGCAAUAUUUGAUAAUCUGAUAUAUAUAAGUUUGAUCCUGUAUGGUUGUUUCGAACUUCAACUUGAUUUUUUUUUUCGUUAGUAAAUUCUUAAAUUUUUUUUAAUCUAAGUUAUUUACUUAAUUUAAUUUAAAAUUUUAAUAUAUUUAAUGACUCUAUUUGUAAUUAGUUUUUAAUUGGAUUAAUUGUGUUUAAUAAGAAACAAUAAAAAUAUUAAAGUUGAUGAAAUUAUCACUUAAUUUUGAAAAUAUUAAUAAUUAUUGGACUAAAAAUACUUAAUUCUAAAUAAUAAAAAAAAAAAUCAAAAAAUAGAAACAUAAAAAAGGACUAUUUUAAAAUUAACUACAACUUAAAGGAGGCUAAAAGCAAAAUUCCCUAAAUAAACCCAUCCCGCCCCUUAGCCGCCGCCUCCUCUAGGCCGUUCCAUCUCCAGAACUUUCUACCUAGGGUUUUUUUUUGUUUUUUUUAACUUUCUUUUACUUCUCUUGAUCUUUCUCAUUUAUUGAAGGAAAAAUAAUAACCCAUUUGCCCUCUUUGUUUUUCCAUUUGUAGGAGACAAGAAGAGGUUUUGUCUCCAUUACGUACCUUCCACAGAUAAGGAGCCCAACAAUCACGACUCUAUCAAGAAAAUGACAAAUUAAUUUAGAUUCUCUUGAUAAAAAUUUUUAUUUUAUUUUUUUACCAAGCAAAAGAUGGAUUAAUUUGGAUUUCCUUUAAAAAAUUUAUUUUUCUAAUCUUACGAAUUAAUACUUAAGAAUAGAUUUAAAUAUUGAUGAGUUUUGCGAUGAUGUGAGAGAAUAGAAGAUAUUGUGAAUAGAAGAUAUAUAAUAGUUAUUCUUUCGUUGAAGAAAAAAAAAAAGAUGGAACUCACACAUAUGGAUUUACUUUAAGUAGGAGACAAGAAGAGGUUUUUUUCUCCGUUACCUUCCACCGACAAGGAGCCCAACAAUCGCGACUCCAUCAAAAAAAUGACAAAUUAAUUUGGAUUCUUUUGAUAAAAAUAUUUAUUUUAUUUUUUUACCAAGAAAAAGAUGGAUUAAUUUGUAUUUCUUUUAAAAAAUUUAUUUUUCUAAUCUUACAAAUUAAUACUUAAGAAUAGAUUUAAAUCUUGAUGAGUUUGCGAUGAUGUGAGAGAAUAGAAUAUAUUGUGAAUAGAAGACAUAUAACAGUUAUUCUUUCACUGAAGAAAAAAAAAAAAAGAUGGAACCCACACUUAUGGAUUUAUUUUAAGUAGGAGAGAAGAAGAGGUUUUUUUCUCCAUUAUCUUCCACCGACGAGGAGUCCAACAAUCACGACUCCAUCAAAAAAAUGACAAAUUAAUUUGGAUUCUCUUGAUAAAAAUAUUUAUUUUAUUUUUUUACCAAGAAAAAGAUGGAUUAAUUUGGAUUUCUUUUAAAAAAUUUAUUUUUCUAAUCUUACAAAUUAAUACUUAAGAAUAGAUUUAAAUAUUGAUGAGUUCUGCGAUGAUGUGAGAGAAUAGAAGAUAUUGUGAAUUGAAGAUAUAUAAUAGUUAUUCUUUCACUAAAGACAAAAAAAUAGAUGGAACCCACACAUAUGGAUUUAUUUUAAGUAGGAGAUAAGAAGAGGUUUUUUUCUCCAUUAUCUUCCACCAACAAGAGCCCUAUAAUCACAACUCCAUCAAGAAAAAGGUAAAUUAAUUUAGAUUCUCUUGAUAAAAAUAUUUAUUUUAUUUUUUUACCAAGAAAAAGAUGGAUUAAUUUGGAUUUCUUUUAAAAAAAUUUAUUUUUCUAAUCUUACAAAUUAAUACUUAAGAAUAGAUUUAAAUAUUGAUGAGUUUUGUGAUGAUGUGAGAGAAUAGAAGAUAUAUAAUAGUUAUUCUUUCACUAAUUAAAGACAAAAAAAUAGAUGGAACCCACACAUAUGGAUCUAUUUUAUUUUAAGUAUAAGAGAGGAUAGAAGUUGUGACGCCCCAACUUCCCAUGGGUCACCCAUCCUAGGACUACUCCCGUCCUAGCACGUUUAACUCUCUUAACCUCUUGGGCCUUGCCACCACCCAAAAUCCACGAGUUUAAUGUAACGACCCAGCCCACUAGCAAUAAUAACUCGUUGGGCCCAACUAACAGCCCAAAAUGCUUAAGCCCAGUUAUUAUUACUAGUGUCCGUUAAGGCCCUGACAUCCUCGUCAGUCUAAUCACACACAGCUCAAGAUCACCAGGCGAUGUGAGACUUGUCUCGCUAGCCCGUCAUCUAGACCCUGGAUUAGCCGAGAUUCGCCACACAUGUCCAGCUGGUGAACCGGCUUUGAUACCAAAUGUAACGACCCAGCCCACUAGGAAUAAUAACUCGUUGGGCCCAAUUAACAGCCCAAAAUACUUAAACCCAGUUAUUAUUACUAGUGUCUAAGUCUCUUAUAAACCCCAUGACAACCCCUUUCCCAUCCGAUGUGGGACUAUUGGGGUGUCACAGAAGUAUUCUCCUCUCAUCUAUAAUUUUUUAUUAUUAUUUUAAAUAUAGUGAUAAAAAUAAUUCUUUAACUUAUGAUAGGAGUAUUUUGGUAAAAUCGUUUUGUAGAAUGCUGCAUUUUCAAAAAAAAAAUUCAUAUAUAUGUAGAAGUCUCUAUAUUAACUUUUAGUGUAAAAUUUAAUAAAAUAAAGUUAAGAUUUAGAUUCCGCCAGAAUCUUAUGUCAAUCUUCGUCUGGAAACAUACGAUGUACAGUGUAGUUUAAACUUUAUUUUUUUGAAUGAUAUUUUCAUAACUUUUAAUUUUUUUUACAUAUUUUAUUCAGUUAAAAUUUUUUUUGUUAACAUUUUUAUUUACUGUCACUUGAUGGUAGUGAUUUUUUUGGUAAAUAGUUAUAUAUUUCGUUAUUUACCUCCUGUGGUUUCAUACUUUUUUAUUUUAGUACCAUAUGAUUUAAAGUGUAUCAAUUUAAUAUCCCGUGAUUUUAUUUUUAUCUUUUUGUUAUCGAUUCCACUAUUUUUUUCGUUAAAUCAGUGAUAAAGUUAAAACUAAAGGGUACUAAAGUGAAUAUUUGAUAAAUCUAGUUGGGAUAUCUGAACUUUUUUGUAUAUAAUUUAACGAAAUAUUAACGGAGAAGUUGAUGAAAAGAUAAAAAUGAAACCACACCUUAACUAGUACAGGGUAUUAAAGUGAAAAAGUGCGAAACCACAAAGGGGUAUUUAAAGUUUUUUGUUUUUUUUAAUAUCAUGUUAUCUUUUAUUGAUAAGAAAUUUAAAUAAUAUAUAAAUCACAUAUAUAUAUAUUGAAUAAUAUUUUAAUUUUUAAAAUACAUCAGUUAAUGUAAUUCGAAAUUAAUGGAUACACCAGGUGCAGGCAAUAAUGCCGCACGUAGUUCCCGCUCUUUUCCGCGUUUGGAUUUGCUGCUGUCUGGUAACGUGAAAGGGUGACGUGGAUGCCAUAGCGACAUCCAAUAGGGAGGGGAACCAUGUCACAUGGAGGAAAACGAUUGGAUGUACGGAAACGAAAGCACAUCUCACCUAACAGCUAAUAACCACAUAUUUUUGAGACUUGAAACUUGGUCAAAUUAAUUGGUCAAAAUCGAUGAAACUAUUACAAAAAAAAUAGGCAUAUACCAGCAGCUAAAACUGCUAGAAAAAAAUAUAAAAAUUGAUGGUAAUAUUUGCUCCAAUAGUUUUAAAAGUGCUGGUAAAAAUACAGGUGUCCGUUACAAUAUCUUUGUUGGUAUAAUCUUUUUCCAUCACUUUUACUAACUAUUGGUGAAGAUGAUCUCUAGCAACAGUUCUUAAACCGUCGUUAAAACUGGCAUAAGACGCAUAUACCGACAGUUUUUGACCGUUGGCAAUUUAAAACUAAUAUGAAAAAAAAUACUAAUAUCAACAAAUUACAUUCGGGCUUUUCCAUUUGAUAUUAAUUAUAAAACCAACAAACAAUCUGUAAUAUCCGGAAAAAAAAAAAGAGUCAUAUUACUAAAUUGCAAUAGAAAAGUCUAUAACAAAACAGUAAAAAUGAUUGUAACAAAACUAUAAGAUGAUACAAUCAUGAUCUAUAGUAGUGAUAAAAUGCAACAAAACAUGCAAGUUUUUAUGUUCUAAUAGAAAUCAAUGCAAUAGAAAAUUUAUUUGAAUCCCAAAUGAUAGAAAGCUAAGAAAAAGAGGAGUGAAAAGCUCCAGCUAAACAUUCUGAAAAGGCAAACAUCAAAUCAUGCUUGUUGCUUCAAUCUGUAACGAAAAAAAGUUGAAACAUAUAAAUUGCAUAAGCUCAUUCCAACAUAAAAUCUAUCAUAAGUAACAUAUAGCAAAAAAUAAAAGUAUACAUAACAACCAUAAGAACUAAAUCUUUUUAGUUCCAAUUAUUAGUCAGGUCAAAUUAAGCAGCUUAAUUGUCGUUUAAUUAAAAUCAUAAACUUCCUUUAUUGUCCCCUUAUUGGGUCGGACUUGACUCGAUCGGAAAGUACGAGCCAAUUAAUUGUGAGAUCGCCAAAUUUGACUACUUAUUUGUAGUUUUAGGUUUUGUUUGAUAUGGUUGACCAUAUUUUGGAAUAGACGAUAGGAAUUAGAAGAGUAACUCAAUAAUAUUUAUAUUCAAUUUAGUUUCUGUACAUUUGUACUAAAGUGAAAAAUAUUCUUUCCAAAUUAAGUUAGUAUUCAUUCAAUAUCUGAAUUCGUAUUCAUCUACGUACAAACAGAUUUAGUUACUAUUUGAUCCAUUUUUCGAUUCGCUGAUAAAUGCAAGUUAAGGGGCAAGAACUGCUUUUGGCUUUCCUAGCUAGUUACAAGAAGUGCUCUCAUUGUAAGUGCUUUUCAAAAGUCAUGCAUUAAUUGGGAUUAAUUACUUGUGUUCAACAAAGAUCCUGAUGAAGCAGAAGAAAUAUGAAAAAUUAACUAAGAGAUAUUAAUGACUUAAAUGCUGUUGGAUGUAAAACCUUGUUGACACUGGCUCCCCAAAACCAAACUCCUAUUACCACGUUACUUAUGUAGUAGUUACCGCUUCAAAAAGUUCCCUAACUCUCAAAAAUGCUUAAGAAAUCAAUAAAUUCAAAUUUAACCGAUAAGUAAUUAAACUAUUAAAGUGAGCUAUCAGUUAUUUUAAAUUUUUAACAUGACAUUGCAUAGAGAUAUGGAUCAAACAUACCUUAGUUAGCCUCAAUUUAAAGUCCUAUUGUUUUUCGUUUCCGGUCAUCACUAUUAUCACCCAAGCUAAAUCCAUGUACUCACUCUAAACCUGCAAUAUUAGAAGCUGCAAAGCAUAAUAAAUUCAAAAGAAUAAUCUGAUUUGCUUAUAUUUAAAAUUUUAAAAAUUAAAUGCAUUACAUUGAUAACUCUUGUAGUAAAUUAAAUAACAUACCGUUUGUGGUUAUUUUAGAUGAUUUUCAUCUCCACACUUAGUUUGUCUAUAACUUUUUUCUAUACAAUGUGAAAAAAAAAAAUUAUGUCUAAUCAAUAUAAGAAAUAGAUUAAAAUAAACGUAGCAAUGAAUAUAACUAAUAAAAAUUAGCACAUGUAUUAUCUUUCCAAAAUAAUACACAGUCAUUAGGACAAGCAUAAAUUUUUUUUCAUAUUUAAGUCCUAAGUCCAAAUAUCUUUUUAGCCUUACAGGAAUCUUCUGGCAAUCUAGAACCAGAAGGAAGCAUAUUUCUCAACACUUCGAGCAAUAUAGUAAAUAACUUGUUACUCCACCCAUUAAAACACUUCAAAUGGUAUAGAACCAAAAUUGCUGUUAAUUUACUGUAUUUCUCACACCCAUCUUACAGCGGUAAUUUGUUAUCUUCAAGUGAGGUAAAAAACUUUCUAACAUCUUCAUUCAUGCCUUCUGUAGAUUAUUGUGUAGAUUGUUGUACAUCAGGACCUUCACUAAAUGACUCAUGAAAAUAAUCAUUAUCUCCCGCUUCUUCUAGAAUUUGAUUAUUCAUUUGAAAAACUUUACGUAACAUAUCAUGCAUAUUAGCAUUUAAAUUAGGGACUUCAUAGUUAUAGAUUUUACUAGUGCCCUUUGAUGCUUCUCCAAAUGCAGAUUCACCAUAAAAAAAUCAAUUAUUAUAGUUUGGACUGAUUCCAUUACACAACAAGUGAUCACGCACAACUAUUUUGCUCCAACUAUAGGAAUUCCUACAUUUCAAACAUGGCAUGAAAUCACUCCAUUUUUGCAUGCAUUUUUGGAAGUAAAAUUGAGAAAAUUAUUUACUCUUUCAAAGUAUUCAUAUAUCCAUCUAUUUUUUUUUAUCCAACUCUUAUCCAUUAUAAUAGAGCAUCAAAAAUUUAUAUCUGUUUGUCAAGGAAAAAAAAUUAGUACAAUCAAAAAGCAGUAUGUAACUAAAAUCUGAUAGAAUAUACUAAAAUAACCACAUAAGUUCUUUUUCAACUAUUGAAGGAAAACCCUAAUGAAUUAUUUCAAUAUUAAUAAGGGAGUUCCACAAAAGCUCUAGUUAAUUAAAGAAGAUGGGUUGAUUAUGAUGGGCUGGAUUUAUUUUUGGGUGAAAUUGGGCUAAGAACAUUUGGGUCCUGUGUGCUAAACUGGGCUUUGGGCUAAAUGUUUUUUUUUUUUUAUUUUGCCAUGGACUGUGCUGUAUGUGGCUUGGAUUUUAUUUUGGGCUGAAAUGAAUUGGAUUUAUUUUACAUGUCGAUUGGAUUGGGUUAGGUUUUAUUUUUAGACUAAACAUUAGCAAAAAUAUAACAAACAAGUGCAAUGUUAUUCUAAUGCCUGUCACUUAGAUUGCAAUAGAGGAUAACAAAUGUAGAAGCAAAAUCACUAGAAGAAAGAAACCAACCUUAGCAAAAGAAGCCCCCCCCCCCUCCUCCCCCAAUAUAAAAACUAGUUGUGAACAAACAUUUCAAAGCCUAAGCAAAUACGGGGUUAUUUUACAUAUUCAUCAUCAGAAAAACUCACACUAAAUACACACACACACAAACACACACACACACACACACACACACACACAUGAGAACAAACCAUACAAAUGAACACGAACAGAAAGAAUGGGGCUGAGUUUGAAGAGGGUCCAUCCUAUUGCGUUCACUAGUCUCAUUCUAUUACGGAAUUUGCUUUUAUAGAGGAUCAAUUUACCACUUUUAUAUGUAUAUUGCUAAACUAUGGAACCAUUCAUGCCCUUUGCCCAUCUAGUGAUGCACUUGCGUGUGUAGCAUCAAAUAUACACUACAACAGAAUUAGGUUAUAGGAACACAUGUUUGGGACACUUUUAUGUAAGUGUCCAAUUUAUACCAAAAUUUUAAAAAAAAUCUAUUAAUGACUAAAUAUACAGUCCAAGCUAAUAAAAAAUAAAAGGUUACUCUACUCAACCCUCCCCACCCAGCCCAUUCGGCCCGAUUACAAAUAGAAAAGAAAAAGAAAAGAAAAAUCGAUUACCAUUUUCCUUCUCCCCCCACUCAAUUGAUUGAAAUCCUAGACGAAGAUCCCGUCCUCUCGUCCUCCUCCGUCACCGCAGCCAACGAGAUAGAGUUCCGGUGGCUGCUAAAUGCUUAAAUAAAUAUUAAUAAAUUAGUAGCACUUUUUUAGGUUAUAGCGACACUCUUUAACUGUUACUAUAUACCUAGCGACUCCACAUAUAGCAACACUUUUUAAAAGUGUCGGUAAUUUAGCCAGCAGCACUUUUUUUUGACCUGUACCGACAUUUAAAAGUGUCGCUAUAGACCGUUUUUGUUGUAGUGAUAAUAAAUACACUUCUUUCCAUUUUUUAUCUAAGUGGGAUGGCGCUGUGCAUAUUUUUGGCUUUCCGAACAAUGUUUUUAACACCCAAAAUAGCAUUGUUAGAAUAAAAUGAGAUAACAGUGUGGAUAAAAAUAGAGGAUUCAAGUGAGUCGAAAGCAUCAAAACUCAUAACAGGCUCGGGUUAUUGAGACUGCUAGGAUUAGGUUGGGAUCAAAUACGAUUUGGUUUGAAAAAAAUCUACGGUAAGUUUAUAUAUAUAUAAAUAUAAAUAUAUAAUGAAUUUGUAUAUACAUAAAUAUAAAUUUAUAUUGAAUUUGAAUGUCACGCCCCGUCGAAUUACUCGUUUCCCUGGGCUCGCCGACAAAUCAGCCGUAUACAAAGGAAUUUUUCUUGUAUGCGAAGCGAAAGUUGCACCUGUACCUGUACUCAUACAAUACUACAACCAGUAGUAUAGAGCUGCUAAAAAAAAAUAAAUAUAUAAACAACAGAGGUUCACUAUACAUACAUAGCAUCCGGGUAAACAAAAAUACUCACUCCAGCGAGAAACAACAUCAGUAUGUAUAACAACCCAAAAACUACAACUAUAUGUAGCUGGUACUCCUCUAGCUCUACAACUCGUUAGGAAGGACUCUAACUCGCAGCACCCUUUCCACGAUCAGAUUCAGCAGCAGCAGCAGCAGCCGAAGAAGAAGGCUCUGCAAAAGGUUUCAACAAUUGGGUGUGAGAAGUACUGCAAAAAGAAGUAGUCCUCAGUGGGUACCGCUACCGACAUUAAUGGCUCACCCACUAAGUCUACAGAAGUAAGCAGGUAUAGUAAGAAGGCUGGCAUAAAUCUACAGCUAUAUGGACCUAUAUUAUCUCAGUCCAGCACUAACUAUUUGUAGAAAAAGUAAAUCCUGACCCAAUCUCACUAGGGACUGUGAACACACCCGUCCCGCCUGUCGAAGCUACACUAACUGCCACCAUGCUAGGUCGUUAGUGGAGAGCAAGUCUAAAUAGGACAAACCAACAUCAACGUAAAAGUACUAAGCCUGACUCCGGAGUGGCACUCGUGGGCGCUACCCAACCGAGUAUGCAAGCGUGUCUCUACCGAGCUCAAUCAGGCUCUCACCGGCUGUAAUCGAUGCAAAUGGGUCAAACUGGUCUAACAAUGAUAACUCAUAUGCCCUCGGCAUAAUCCAAUGCUAAAACAACAAACUGGGUCCACCGUUAACUACAACGAUACCCAACAGUCCAGAACAGUCUGAACAAUACUGUAAAAAUAGUCUCGGCAUGCCAGCACGAGUGUAAUAUUAUUCUACACUAUUCUGGGUAUCCACCGCCCACAAAUUGCGGCGAUAUAAACAAACUACGGCUCCUAGAGCUAAAUCUGGUAGUUUGAUCAAAUGACGGUGUAGAAUCGAUAGUUUUCUCCUAAGUCAAUUUCAAGUCCAACAUGCAUAAUUUAGCUAAUAUUCUAGGCUCCAAUUCAGGUUCAAAAGCAUGCAAAUCCAAGAAUCGAGCUAAUCAAUAUGCUAAUGAAGCUAAAAACACAUGCUGUCAACAUAUAGAAUUAGGAGAAAAUUCGUAGAAUCCGGUAAGCAUAACAUUAACCCACCUCGAAAGCGCGUCCAACAAUGGCGAGAAGUCGAGAGAAGCGGAACCACACGCUCGCCCGGCCUCCCAACGGCGCUACCACGAUGAACGCGCGCUCAAACGACACCGCGGCGCAGCGUCGACGUCGCUCCAACUCCACCCGAGGCCUGCCUCCUUACGUACGGCUUUAGCUAGAGAGAGAGAGAAGGCAGCAAUAAAACUCUCUCUCUGUAAAUACCGAACUUCUAUAAUUAUGAAGUUACGGUGUAUGUUAGUUUGGAAAGCCAUUAGAAUGGUUUCGGUGAAGUUCGAAAGCAUUCGGGUAUUUUCGGUACACGUUGUGCGCGAAAACGAAACGCGCAAAGCUAUAAUUGGACCUUUGCCGAAAUCUGGCAAGGCGUGGAUGAAAGAUGGUUUGAACACACUCGAAAACAUGUUUUGGGGGUCUCCGUACGAUUAGAGAUGAAUCGGAGGCCCUAUGAGCAAAAACGAACGAAAACGAAGAAGAAAUAGUAAAAUGCUAAAAAAUUGGCUAAGUCUAGAGUUUUGGACCUACGGGGUCUGGUCCCUCUAGCUAAGGACCGGUCCCCGUAGCCUGAAAAUGCCCAGUUUGAGCUGUGUGCAUAAAUGGAAGAGUUAGGGGGUUUCCAGCAAUUGUGCUGAGAUGGGAUUAAAAGAGAGGUUGUCUAUCUCUCUUUUCCUCUCAUUUCUUCCAACCCAACCCUAAACACUCCCUCUCUCUCUAGGUUAGCUCUCUCUCUCAUCAAGGAAGGAGUAAUAUACCGAAUUUUAAUAUAAAAGUAAAAAAUAAAUAAAAAUAGUAUGAGAUACUAUUUUUAUUAGAUUUAGAGAAGUAAAAUAUAAGUCAGAAACAACUCGUACUGAAGUCGGAACGAAAACAGAAGAUUUGAAAUUUUCUGUGAGAAACGGAGCUGAUAUUUUAGCAGAAAAUACACAGUGUCAGAAAAUUAUGAAAACUUGAAAAUAUGUCGGGAUUAUUUUUAUGAGGCUAGAUUUAAAGUUUCAUGUCAUUCCGACACCCGGAAGGUGAAAAAUAAAAUCCGACUGCUAUCUGCUAGAGAUUACAGUUCGGUAGAGUUUUCGGUGACAAAAAAUGGUCAAAAAUAAAAAGUUAAGAUAUAUUCAAUUUUAUUAAGUUAAAUCGAGCCUGACUGUCAAAUUUGAGCGCAAACGGACAUUCAAAAGAGCCCCAACGUAUCCGAACUGCUAAACUGAGCUGGAGAUGUAAUUUCUAAUAGGUACAAGGGGUUCUUGCGAAUUUGGCCACUUGUCUCCUUCUUCUCCCUCAGCCGACCACCACCUCCAACAUCACACGCACAAGGUGAGGGAGAGAGAGAAACCUUCCCUUUCUCUCUCUAAAUAUCUCCGUAUUCCCUUUAGAUCUCUCUCUCAAAUUCGCGGUAUUGGCGGAGAGCGAGUUUGCGAACGCGUUGGGAGCGUCGGAUCGGGCCUUUGUGCACCCGGUUGAGCGGCAUGCUUCCGCCUCGGCGUUCACAUUUUGGUAAGCAUUUGGGAUUUGGUUUAAUCGUUAAUACUUAGUGUUCUAAUAGCCUCUUAUGGGUUGCUAGCAUGUUAAAUCCUUAAUACUUGGGUUAAUUGGAACUUGGUUUAGGUAAGCUUAAUGCCCUUUAAUGGUAGAUUGCUAAGGAAUGAUUUGAAUACUCUAGAAAUGAAUUUAGUAGAAUUCUUAGAUGCUAAAUGGAUGACUAAUGCAUGAAUUAAGGGGCUAUAUGAUGAUUUCUUACAAUAGUGCAUCUUAGGGCUCAAAAAAUAGGGUUUUGCAAAAUAUAAGGGUUUGAUCUAAAUCUACCCUAUACAAACCAAAUUGUUAGAUUUCCUGACGUGUUGGCGAAGUCGGUUCGGUGAUUUGUCGAGCCUAUGCGAAGAUAUUGAAGAAACAGACGUUUCGGCUUUGUUUCCGCCUGGAGGGCUGAGACGGUGUCCAAAAAUUAUGAGAACGGAUCCAGAGCAUCGUGGCAUCAAGUUAUAGACCUUAAAUUUUCAAAUUGUGGAUUCGUUGCCGUUUGGUGGUCGAGUGCGAGUUCGAGCCGAAUCGCACGGCGGGUCCCGCGGGAGGCCGAUUGCAAAUGACUACAAGCAAUCGGAGAGCGAUAUUAGGUGGGUUGUGCUCACCGAAGCGAUUAGGUCGCUUUCAUGUCGAAAUGGAGUAUGGUUUUAUAACUGAUGCAUAUAUACAUUAUGGUAGCUAAUUGCAAUGGUAGUUGAUUGCAAAAUAAAUGAUGGCAUGAGCUAAAUGCUAAAGUUAACGCAUGAGUUAGAUUCUAAUUGUAAAUGCAUAGGAUAUAUGCUAGUAAAAAAAUGUAUGAUCUAGAUGUGCUAAUUGGGUAUGCAUAAUGUAUGCUGAAUGAAUGCAUGAGUUAAAAUGCUAAGUGAAUAUAAAAGCUAAAGGCCAUAUGAAUGCAUGAGAAGACAUAUGUACGUUAACAUAACUUGAGAUGCUAGAUGAUUAAUAUGCAUGUUGACAUAUCUUGAGAUGCUAAGAUGAAUACAUGUUGAUGUAUUGUAGAAUAUGCUACAUGAAUGCAUGAAUUAUAUUAUGUUGAAGGAUGUUGCCUACUAUUGGAAUAUGUUAGAUAAAACAUGCAUGUUGAUAUAUUGUAGAUUAUGUUGGAUGAACUAUGCAUGUUGCCAUAUUGUGGAUCAUAAUAGAUGAACUAUAUAUGUUAAACUUGGUCGAUUAGAAAAUUCGACAUUAGAAACCAAGAACUAGAUGUUAUGUUAAUGAAUAUAAUCAAUCCUAAAGAAUGCUAGAGUUGAACACGUAGAGUGUGUGGCAUUAGUAAAUAAGUACAAAGAACAAAGUAGUGUAUAUGACACUAGUGAAAGUUAAGAAUGAAAGUAAAGAGAGAUAGUGACAUAUGAGCAUUGGAAUCCUGAAAGUUAAGGAUUGAUCAUACUCGCCUAUAGUCUUGGCCCGAAGGAGGUUGCUCCCCCUCGGAUGAUGAGCUUCGGAGUUGUCAUCACUGGAAAAGGGAAUCCCCAGAAGAUGGUCCCAUCGGGAGGAAGCUUAGGGCCCAAGAUUUGAGAUUUGGUUGGUAAGUUGGAACCCGGCGGGAGGAAGCUCAGGGCCCGACUGGUUUGCCAUGAGAUUGAGUAAGUUGUUGGUUGAGGCGAAACCUACAGGUUAGCCAAAAGGACCCAAAAUUGGAAAUUGGAUCUUGUAUUCAUCAUGAAUUGACUCAAGACCGAGUCGAGUGGCAUAGUUGGCUAAGGUAAAUGUAACCUUAGGAAAGAAUGAUAUUUGAGCCAAAUGUGGCUAAGAAUAGAGAGUAAAAAAUGACAAGUGAUAAAGAAUUGUUAAUAAUAUAAAGAAUGAUAAAUAAUAGAGAGUAGAAUCAAUAAAUCUACUUGCAUAAGUUGCAUGAUCUACAUAUUGUAUGUCUUGAGGCAUAAAUAUGUAUUUAAUAUUUGCAUUGAAUAUUUGUGAAUAUCUGUUGGACUAACAUGUUUGCAGUGUCUCCUUUGGAUCUAGUGGGUCGAGCUUUUUCCUUAGGUGGUCGUACCUACUGGAAACUAUGGACAAUAGUUCUCACCCCCAUGUUGUUUUUGGGGGUACAAGUUCACACGCGAGCGGCGCGGCGGCGCGAGGAAAGGGCGUAGCUCCGUAGUUAGCGCCCUACCACCAAGACCAGAGAUAGCGGUACCCUGAGUCGACUACUUAGGGAUGUGAAGAAAUGAAAAGAACCAAGUUGUAAUAAUUAUAUUAAAUCGGAUUGUAUUUGGUAGUUAAUAAGAGUUGAAAAUGUAAUAUAUAAAAUGAAUGUGAGUUGAAUGAUUGUAAUAGUUUAGUUGAAUGUAUGUUUUUGAUAUCUUUCUUAUGCAAUCUUUGUUUGAAUGCUGUUCUUGGUUGGAACCUCGCGCAUUGUAUGAUUUUGACGCCUUGAACUUAUAGAAAAAACUCUGUCCGCGGUAUAGUAGAAAUCAUGUCCGUUCGGCGGUUUGUUGGCAUGCCCAAAACCGACCAAAGAGGCGAGCUCGGGGCGUGACAGAAGGCUAGAAGAGAGGGAUUUGGAGGAGAAGAAGCUUGAAGGAGGGGUCAUCAUCUUCUUCAUCUUCUUCUUGGCUAUUGGAGAAAGCUUUUGAGGUAAGCUUGACGCCCUCUAAUGGUAGAUUGCUAGGGCUUUGUUUGUAUGCUCUAGAAAUGGAUUUGGCUGAACCCUUAGAUGCUAAUAAGCUGUUAAUUGCUUGAAUCUAAGGUUUCAUUGAGGUAUUCUUGCAAUUGUAGCAACUUAGAGUUCUAAAAGGGGGUUUUUGUAAAUGUAUGGGUUUGAUCUACAUUGGACCCGCGUAAACCUAAUUGCUAGGUAUUCUAACACGUUGGUGAAGUCGGUUCGGCGAUCCUUCGAGGCUACGCGAAGAUAUUGCCGAAAAUGACUAUUUGAGCUUCGUUUCCGCCUGGAGGGCCGAGGCGACGUCUAAAAAUCAUGAGAUUGGAUUCUUAGCAUCGCGGCAUCAAGUUAUAGACAUUUAAAAUCCGAGGCCGCGAAUUAACGCACGAUUGGUGAGUAUUAGCAAAAUCGGACCGAACCGGACAAUGAGUGCCACAGGCGGCCGAUUCAAGUGACUACAAGUAAUCGGAAAGCGAUUUGAGGUGGGUUGUGCUCACCGAAAUGUCUAGCUCGCUUCUAUGUCGAAGCAAAGUGAUGUUUAUUAUUAUUGACGAAUAUAUGUGUAGCGGUAGGUUGUAUAAGAUAAUAUAGAUGCAUGAACCUUAUUAUGCUUGAUGUUUAUUACCUACCAUUGGAUAUGCAUGUUGAUAUAUUGAGGAAAAUGCUAGAUGAAUGCAUGAUGAGCAUAAUGUAGAAAUGCAUGUUGAUAUUGUAUAUGCUAGAUGAAAUCCAUAGUGACAUAUACAUGAUUAGCAUUGUGAGGAUAUGCUAGAUGACAUUGGAUGUUGACAUAUUGAAGAUAUGCUAGAUUAUAUAUGCAUGUGAACAUGGUCGAUAACUCUAGGGUGAUUAGAGAAGUUGAUAUUGAAAAACAAGAACAUGUGGAUAUCUAUAUAUUAGAUCGAGUGGCAUCGAACCUAAUGUCAUGAACAUAUGUUGAACAUGAAUGACAUUGAACCUAGUGUCAGUAAAUAUAGGUUAAACAAGUGAAUCUAGAGUCGAGAUCUAGGUAGAGAUGACAUAGAACCUAGCGUGGUUGAACCUAGGAUGUGGACUAUAGUAGUGGUAGCCACUAGGAUGUACUUGGGUCGAGCCUAGAUAGGUCGACAGUUUAGGGUUGCAGAUAACCCUUGAGACAUAGAUUCCGGAAUCCCUAGUGAUGUGGCCACAAAGAAGCGAUGGAAACUUGCGACGGAAUGCAAAUGAAUCAGAACUGCGAGUAUGUGUGGUUCUCCUCGCCCGACGGUGAUCCAACGGGUAUGUGUGGUUCUCCUCGCCCGGUAUGAGCUUGAAAUGGCUAUGUGUUGUUCUUCUCGCCCAUUUAGCUUAUUGGAUGAUGCCGCCAGGAUUGGCUUGAGCCAUUGUUGGCUAUGUGUUGUUCGCCGCCAGAUAUCUAAGUCAAGGAGUGCGGUGGGCUGUGAUGGCAGCCAGGCUGUGUAGAGAUGCAGCUAGUACGUGGUAGCCCGCGGAUAAUUGACUCGAGGCCGAGUCAGGUGAUAGCUUGGUUAAGAUAGUAGAAACUUUAAAGGCUAGCGAUAAAUGGCAAGAUCUUAGGCAAUAAAGACCUUAGAUGCUAGUUGAACUUGAGCUGUGGAACUAAGGUAGUAGAAACCUUAGAGCUAGAUGAUAUAAGCUAUGAAUAGUAGGAUUGAAAGUAGUGUCAAUUGAUCUACUUAGUUGAUUGCAAUAGUUGCAUAGUUUCCAUGUUGCAUGUCUUGAGGCACAAUCAUAUAUUUCAAUAUUGCAUAAAAUAUUUGUUGAUAUCUGUUGGACUAAUAUGAUUGUAGUGCCUCCUUGGACCUGGUAGGUCGAGCUUUUCCUUGGGUGGUCGUACCUACUAGGAACUAUGGACAAUAGUUCUCAUCCCCGUGUUGUUUUUGGGGGUACAGGUUUACACGUGAGCGGCACGACGGCAUAAGGAAAAGGCGUAGCUCCGUAGAUAGCGCCCUACUCCGAGACCAGAGAUAGUGGUACCCUGAGGUGGUCUAGCUUAGGGGUUAGAAAAGAAUGAAACAAACUUAUAAGAAUUUCGAAAUGGUUGAUUGUAUUUGGAAGUCAAUUGUAAUAUGUAAUUAUGAUGUAAAAAUGCAAGUGGGUUGAAUGCUUGUAAUAACUUGGUUGUUUAUGUUUUUUAUACUUCCUUAUGCAAUGUGCUGUUGAAUAUUGUUCCUUGUUGGAACCUCUUGUAUUAUUUUGAUUGCGACGCCUAGGACAUACAGGAAAAACUCUGUUCGCUCGGCGGCCUACCGACGUCCCCGAAUCUGACCAAAUAGGCAGGUGUUGGAGCGUGAUACUCUCUCUCAGCCUCUCUAUCCUAUAUAGGCUGGGAGGAUACGGGUGACACGAUCGAGGCAAGAAUUUACCAAAAAGCCCCUUACCUACCCAGAAGUACCGGUACCAGGCCGAUGCCGUAACGGUACCCCGCAACAGAAAUUACAACCGGAGAGCAGUCUGUGCGCAGAUUACACUGGGUACCGGUACUCCCCUGCUGAAAAUUUGCAAUUCACAAAUUUCUGUGCUAACUUCCUGCUCUCGCGUCACACUAAGUCCGGUUUGCGUCUAUUUCGCGCCAACAUGACUUGAACUUGUCCCAACACUCUCCAGAUGUGUCGACAAGCCUCAAAUGCUGAACUCCAGGGAUACUACAUCGAAUUUGAAUGACUAAAUUUCAUAACACGAAAGCUAAGUCUACAGAUAACUCUUAACAUAGCACUGAUACUUCUGAUACCAUAUAAAAUCAUUAAUUAUUCUAAAAAUCUGAAAUUGUUAUAUUUAAUAUUUUAUAUUUAUAAUAAUUUUACAAAGUAGCUAUCACAAAUAGGACAAAGCAAAUUGGGUCAGAUGAAUCUACCUGAUCAAUUGCUAUAACCUCUUCUAAAGACAAUCUAAGGAACUAUCCAAAUAUCGUCACCUCAGAAUUGAUUUUUUUAUAUGUGUUAUGAAUAUAAAAUAUCUCUACUACGAAUUAUUUUUUAUUCAUAGAUAGAACGCGUUUUAAUCCAUGGUUGAACUUCUUAGGGUUUGAAAAUGGAAAAGGAACCUAAUCUUGAACUCUGAUUUUUAAUUUUUCUAUCCGACCGUUACGCUUUUGGGCUUACGAAUUAAGCACUAUUAAGUUUAUUAACUGUUCAGUUUAAAAUUAGUGGUGUGUGUGUGUUUGUGUGUUUCCUGUUUCUUUCUCUCUACUUUUCUAAAGUAAUCCCCCAGAUAGCGAUAAGAUAAUAGAGAAUCCCACACAAUAGAACACUCAUAAUUAUUGAUAGCUUGUUCGAAUCCAUAAACAACCCAAAAGACAUACACUUCCAAAUAGAGUUUGUUGGUCCCUCUAAUUUGUCCACUCACAGAUCUAGCAAUGCAGAUUUAGAAAAAGAAAAAAAACUCAAAACAGUAAGCCUAAAACAUAAUCAAAUUAUAUAAUUACAAUAUGCAAUUAAACAACAAAAUGCCUUAAUAAAAAUCAAAUCAUAAGAAAUCAACUCCAAAUAAUUGAGAAAAUGUGAAAAACUAUGAUUGGGAAACUCAUGCUAUAAAAUCAGCUGAAAUUGGUGAAACCCUUUUUUAGAGAACUGGAUUGAGUUGAUAGCAGCAAAUAGCCCAAAAUUUUUGGGUAAAUCGUUCGAAAAAGACCAAUCUCUAGGUAGAUCCAAGUGAGAAAUCGUCCGGAGAAGGCGAUUGAGGGCGAAAUCUCUGAAAAUCCCAAUCUCUCGAAGUAGCUCGAGCUCGUGGUGGAGGUCUCCGAUUUGAAAAAUGGGAAAGAGAGAAAGAGAAAGAGAAUUGUCCGAGGAAGGCGAUUGAGGACGAUAUCUCCGAAAAUCCCAAUCUCUCAAAGAAGCUCGAGCUCGCGGUGAAGAUCUUUGAUUUGAAAAAAAAAAGGGGGAGAGAGAGAGAGAGAGAGAGAGAGAGAGAGAGAGAGAAAGGAAUAAGGAUAUUUUGGCUAGUUUGUUGAAAAUCCGGUCCGAAUCUACAAAAUUGAAAAAGGCGGUCAGGUUUUGUGAAAACUCAAAACUUAUGAAUUUUUUAUGCAAAUUAGCAUUAUAUCUAUAUAUAUAUAUAUAUAUAUAUAUAUAUAUAUANGAAAGAGAGAAAGAGAAAGAGAAUUGUCCGAGGAAGGCGAUUGAGGACGAUAUCUCCGAAAAUCCCAAUCUCUCAAAGAAGCUCGAGCUCGCGGUGAAGAUCUUUGAUUUGAAAAAAGAAAGGGAGAGAGAGAGAGAGAGAGAGAGAGAGAGAGAGAGAGAGAGAGAGAGAGAGAGAGGGGAGAACAAUAGCUCUCAGAUUGUUUAAUGUCAAUAUUGUUCAAACCCAAUAUUAGCCAAAUGUUGGCCAAGUUGAUAAAAUAAGCUAAUAAAAUAGGGCCCAAUAUUAUUUAUACAAUUAAAAAUUAUUACCACUAUACUAGCAGUUUACUAAAAGUUACAGAAAAAAUUAAAAAAUGGUGGUAUAAUAUAGUUUUAGCAGCAGUUAGCUUGACUGUUGGCUAAAAAACUGCUGGAACAAACCUUAUUUGUUGUAGUGAACCUUUUAAGCUUUUUUUUUUACCCCCUUCUUUUGGGGUAUUUUUGGUUCAUCUAUUUUAAACUAUGGAAUCAAAGUAUGGAAUCGAAAUGAAAUUCAUUGAUUUCUAUAGUUGUUGUUUGUUCUAUAGAAACUGAAUUUCGAUUCUAAUUCUACUCCGUAAUGGAAAUAUGGCCAAAUCCAUUUAUGGCUUAAUUCAGCUUUGAAUCCCAGAUUGGCCUACUCCAAAAGUAAAUUAUUCAAAAUCCUCUUUCACCAACACCUACCUCCUCUUAUUUCAUCAUUUUUCUCUCUCUUAAACAAAUCUUCUCUCAAAAAUUUGAAAAUUUUAUUUCGAUUUUCAUUUCAAUAAUGAAUCAAAUAUUUUUAAAUGAUUCGUCAUUCCAUUUUCCAUUCUAAAAUAAUCAAAUUUUAUUUCUCAUUCCUAUUCCAAUUAUAAAGGUCAAUUUGCAAAAAAAAUCCACUAGUUUUGGGCUUUUGCAAAAUCGGGUCACAUUUUUCAUUUUUACAGAUUCGGUCAACUUUUUCAAAAAGAUGACCAAACUACACAUCUUUCAAAAUGUAUAAGAAGUACAUGCAUUAAUUGUCUUGAAAAAUUCAACUGACAAGUUAUUAUUACAGUUACCUUUUUCUUGGAAAAUAAAAUUUUCAUUAACAUGCAAAUAAAAAACUUUAAAUAAUAAAAGUAAAAAAGAAAGAAUGGAAUACACCUUAAAUGGUGCAAUAUUGUUUCAAAUUAUGCAAUAUUUCUUUCAAAUAGUGUAAUAUUUGUAUAAACAUUGCAAUGUUUGCACAAUUUAUAUAAUGUUGCACAAUUUUUUAUAUUAAAUUACGAAUAAUAUAGUAUAUUACGCGCAAAUAAUAUAACAUAUUACAAUAUACUAUAAAAUCAUGCAUUAUAUGUAUAAACGGUGAAUAUUUUGCAUUAUUUGUAUAAAUAUUUACACCAUUUGCAUAGAUGUUGCACGAUUGUUGCACGAUUAUUAAAGAAUAUUGCACCAUUUAUAUAUUAUAUUGCACUCUUUCUUUUUAAAAAAUAAAAUAUAUUGUAUUAAAUAAAGUGUUAAAUAUUUUGGAAAUGACAACUGCUAAGUCAUAAUUACAUGUACCUUUCUCGAGAGACAAAAAUCCUCAUUUAAUUAGGAUAAAAUAAAAAAUAAAUAUCAUUAAUAUAAUGAAAGAGUGCAACAUCCUCUUAAAGAGUACAACAUAGUCUCAAAUAGUGCAACAUUCUCUUCCAAAUAGUGCAAUAUUUAAAUAAAUAGUGCAAUAUAUGCAUCGUUAAUACACCUAUUGCAUGAUUUUUAUACACAAUUAUGAAUAAUAUAAUAUAUUACGUGGAAAUAACAUGAAAAAAAUAUAACAUAUUAUAAUAUACUAUAAAAAUCAUGCAUUAUAUGUAUAAACGGUGAAUGUUUUGCACUAUUUGUACAAAUAUUUACACCAUUUGCUUAGAUAUUGCACUAUUAUGAGAAAUGUUGCACCAUUUAAAUGUUAUGUUGCACUCUUUCUUUUUAAAAAUUAAAAUAUAUUGUAUAUUAAAUAAAGUGUUAAAUUUUUUAAAAAUGACAACUAGUAAGUCAUAAUUACAUGUACAUUUCUCAAAAGAUGAGAAUCCUCAUUUAAUUAAGAUAAAAUAAAAAAUAAAGUAUUAUUAAUACAAUAAAAAAAUGCAACAUAGUCUCAAAUAGUGCAACAUUCUCUUCCAAAUAGUAUAAUAUUUAUGUAAAUAGUGCAAUAUAUGCAUCGUUAAUACACAUAUUGCAUGAGUUUUAUACAAAAUUAUGAAUAAUAUAAUAUAUUAUGUAAAAAUAACACGAAAAUAAUAUAACAUAUUACAAAAUACUAUAAAAAUCAUACCUUAUAUGUAAUAACUGAGAUUUUGACUUUAUAAUUAAACCCUUUGUUGACGAUGUUUUUUUGUGUAAUGUAUUUAUUUAAGCACUCGUCAAAUUUCAGGAGAAAACGAGUUAAGACGGAGAAAUUACGCGACUUGAACAAAUCACUUAAAGUGAAUAGUAACUCCGGUUUUUCGAAGAAGCCAUGGAGUAGAGUUGGCUUUUGACGCGUAUCGGACUCCGAUCAUAGCCAUCCAAUAGCUCGUUUUCAACGGCUCGACUAUCUUGGACCCAAUGGCACUGACGGAUUUGGGUUUUGAUGCACGGAUUUCGAGAAAAAGGGGUUUGAUUGAUUUUACAUAUAUAUCUAUAUGUGGUUUUAUGGUGGAAACAAAGAGGGUUUGUUUUGUCGCAAAUCGGAGACCAAAUCAGGCGAAACAAAAUGCUGGAUUCGAUAUCCCAGUCGUGCUGAUCGCCCUGGUUCGAUCGGAAAUCCGACGGACGGAUCUUCGGGAAUCGCGAAAAGUCCGCCAAGGGGUUGAAUUAAAAAAACGGAUAAAUCGCAAUUAGACCCAAUAUUUCAUGCACCGUUUUGUGCGAAUUUGAACACGGAGGGACGGGCGUGCAAAGUGCACAUGCUGGCAGGGGGCUGGGUCGAAGAUGAUCAGCUUAGAUGGAGGUUUUCCGCAUGAUCACACCACCUAUAUAUAUCUAGUUUUAGGGUUCCAAAGUGAAACCCUAACCCUAGACACCUGAGCUAACCCUAGUCGACCCAGCCGCCUAAGCUCCACCCUACCCAGCCAGUGCACACGCCCUGGCCGCCGGCGAGCAGCUCCGGCCGCCGAAAAACGCUUGCAGCCUUUCUGUCUACCCUCUCGGCCACCCUCUCCUCUACCUUGACCGAGGGCAGGUGGGGAAGCUCCACAUUCUCUGGAAGCAACCCCGUGGCCGUGAUCCACCUCCAGCACCUCCCCCCUCCGGCUCCGGCCAUCCCUGGGCGUUGCCGGAGCCGCCUAUGCUAGCUGCGGCCAGCUCGGGCCAGCCCAAACAAAGCGGGCCCAGGCUCGGGUUUCGGGCGCGGCCACCGCUCUCCUUCGGCCGCGCCAUCUUCUAGCCGACUCCGGUGGUCUCCGGCGUGCUUCUCCCGCUGUCCCUGCACGCCGCUGGCCGCUGCUGGGACUUCCUGUAGCCGCCCAGACCUGUGCGGGCCGAGGUCGAGCCCGCGCGACACCCAAGAGCCGCCGCCACCCACCAACGGGUGCACCGCCUCCCCAUCGGCCCCCAGCGUCGAACCAUCCCCGUCCCGAGCUCCUCCGAUCGCCGCCUCACCGCCGACACCCUUGAACCAGAGAAGGACUGGGCGGGUUGGAUCUCCGCCGCCGCACCACCGGCUGCCGCCCGCCGCCGGCCAGCACCCUCCCCGGACCCCUCGGACCGACCGCUCCUGUCCCCGGUCGGAGCGCUCGCCGUCCGGCCGCCGGCGGCCAACCCUUGCUCCCACUACUCCGGUAUGUUGUUAAGUCAUGCUCCAGCACUGUAGUUUCAAUUUUCGGUCACCUUUCCGGUGAUCCGACGACUCCCCGACACCCCAGGAGGUGAGCACGAUGAUCGUGGGUUUGUGCUGAACACGAUGCUCACCUCUGUGAGGGUGAGGGAUGCCCCAGUUAGCGGGUUUAGGGAAAUUUUCGCGCUGUGCACACUGGUUCGUUGAGUUUCGCGUCGCUCGUGCGCGCGCUGUCGCGGCCGGCAGUGCUCUGAAAGGUGAGCACGGCCUUUGGCACGCUGAAAUCUAUCAGCAAGUGCGAGGUUUUCCUUUGUCGAUCUCUGGUUUGCGUAUACGACCCAUAAAAACCCUGAAAUCACAUAAAAUGAUGUGAUUUUAUGUAUUGGUAGGGGCUUUUAUACCUUUUGCUCCGACGUAGCCGCUAUUGGCAGCAGGUUAGGGCUGAGGAUAAUCUCUGGAUUGAUCGUCCAAGGCCCCAAGCCCUUGCGGAAAUCAAAAAGUGACUUCCGGAGCGUCUGUCGGCGAAAACCGCCGACGGAACGCGGGUUCGGUUCAGGAUUCUUCCAACAUGUUCGGCAAUCGGUUUUGGGAAACCGAUUUCCUGUAGAGUUAUGAGUGGGGAUUGUGUAUUAGCGAGACAUGUUAAUGGGUUAGAUUCUAACCCGGUAGACCUUUCGUAGGUUCGGUUGCUCCGUCUCCACAGUCGGGAGACCAGUUUCAGAUUCGUACAGGUGGGUACUUCGAUCCGAAGACGGUACAGUGGUGCACGCUCGGUGACGUUUCCUUUACCCUUAUUGUUUAUAUUGCUUACCUUAUACAUGUUGAGCCUUGCACCCAUGCUUUCCGUAUUUACUCUACUUACUUGUUUCCAUGUGUGGUACCAUGUGUAGGAGUAGAGUAGACUUUAUCUGUAUAUGAUAUCUGUGACCUGAUUGGUCUGUUCCCCUAUUUGCAUCUGUUACCUGGUUGGUCGACGUUUCGUAUCCUAUACUUGUGACCCGGUUGGUCAACGUUUCAUAUCCUAUACUUGUAAUCUGGUUGGUCGGUUUGAUUACAUGAUGACCCAUGCAGUCGAUUGGCCCUGGGGGGGCAGGAUAGUCGGCUGGUUGCCGACGGUUGAUUAUUGAGCAUAUCUACAUUGAUCGCCCGAUACUCGCCGCAUUUCACGAACACCGGCGGUCUGAUCCACUGCAAGUGGGUGUUCUUUUCCGGAAAAGUGGUUGCAGGUGUCAACCCGUGAGCCCUGGAGGGGUUAUAUGCAUGGUAGAGUAGUAGUGGCACUGGCUUGAGGUUUGCGGUGCUGACCAAGAGAGCAUUGGUUUCAGACUGGGUACUUUUGAAUUUUUCAUCCUGUUGAUGCAUGCAUACAGUAGCUGUAGUGGUUUAUACAUAUGCUUUUUCUUACUUGUCUAUCAUAGCUACUGUACUACUAUUAUCUCUAUCUUUGUUUAUCUCCGUGACUAGUGAGUAUCCCUCGCCCUCAUCGGCUUGCGGUACCCACUGGCAGGGGAGACAUGGUUACAUGUUCUCACCCCCCGCCCCCUUUACAUGUGACAUAGCAAGUCCGAGUGGGAUGGCACGUGAGGAGCACGCUAGCAACCGUUAAAGCUAUCGUCCCACCAGUUGGUUUAUCGUCUAGACUCCCUUUCCUUUCGAAUUAAAUAAUUUAGAAUUACUUACUGGUUCAGUUUCUACUAUUCAGUUGGAUAUUGAGAUUUACUGAUUUUAUAGACAUAAUAAAUGAUUUAUGGGUAUUCGUAAAAUAAAAAGUUUUCUACCCCUCAUGGUAGCGUUUUAAAAGAUAAAAAUUUUCGUGUAGAAAACAGUUUUUAAAAGAUUUUCUGUGAAUUUCUGUAUCUUAGUAUUUCAAAACUUGUUUUCGGGUAGGAAACGUUUUAAAUGAUAGAUGUGGAUUUAUGUUUAGAUAUCAUAUUAAAUCUGUGUUGUGAAUGGUGAAUGUAUGAAUGUAUGAAUGUAUGAUUGUUUGUAUAUUCAUCCAGUUGUGGUUGUAUCCUGUUUACUUGUUGUACUUGUGCGACGCCGUGCAAAUACAGGGGAGACUCUGUCCGUGUGAACAGUGGACUUCCUGCAUUUGUGGCGGAUCUAGCUACUCUGGGGUUGGGUCUUUCAAAAAAAAAAAAAAAAAAUUUUCCAGUCGUUUCCGCUGUGUUUUCAAACUAAAAGAGACCUCGGGGCGUGACAUCAGCCAUCCACAACCUACUACACCUCCUUAUCCAGCCGUCUGGCGACGAACGCAUCGCACCUCACCCAACAACGGCUUAGGUCAUGACUUAGCCACCCGGCGACGAAAUCGUCGCACACGCCACGUCUGUAGUUCAAGUCAAUCGGCGGUAUGAUCCACAAACCGGCUUAACCAUACAGCGGCGAAAUCGUCGCACACGCCACGACAAUGUUUCUUAGCCCCGGGCGGCGAAAUCGUCGCACACGCCCCACACAACUCUCGGUGUUCCAAGUCUUGGGAUUCCGGAAUCUAUUUCACAUAACUCAAGGGUUGGUCUUAACCCUAUAGUGUCGACCUAUCUAGGCCCAAUGUCCUUUCCAUCCUAGGUCCCAUUGACUCUAGGUCUAAUACUUUUAUCACAUAAUCUAGGUUUAUACGACUCUAGGUUCAGUUCUCAACCUAUGUUCUUUUUAACACUAGGUUCAUUUCCACUCUUGUCCAACCUAUGUUUGCUAACACUAGGUUCAACACUUCUCAUGUCCAACCUAUGUUUAUUAACACUAGAUUCGAUGCCACUCAAUCUUUCCUAGGUUCACGAUACUAGGUUCAUAUCAUUCAUGUUCAACCUAUGUUCAAGACACUAGGUUUAAUGCCACUCGAUCUAAUAUAUAGAUUGUCCAACCUAUGUUCUUUAACACUAGGUUCAUGUCCUUUCUAUUCAAUCGAUGUUCAACUCACAUGGCUCAUGCAUAUCUUCACAAUGGAAAUCCUGCAUUCAUACAAUUAUCUAUCAUUCACAUAUCAUACUCAUCAUGCAUUCUAGUAUUUCUACACUAGUCAUUAACAUGUUUUUCUUUAGCAUUAACUACAUGUAUUCAUCCACAUGCUAUCUAUGAGUAUCCUCUACAUGCAUCAUAAGAAAUCAAAAUUUUCUUAGACAUAAAGGCGAUCUAGUCGCUCGGUGAGCACAACCCACCUCAAAUCGCUUUUCGAUUGCUUGUAGUCACUUGCAAUCGGCCUCCCGCGGCACCCGUGACCCGGUUCGGCCCGAACUCCCGCGCGACCACCUGAACGGCCACCAAUCCAUGAUCCGAAAAUUAAGGAUAUUUAUCUUGAUGCUAAGAUGCUCCGGAUCCGAUCUCGCGACUUUUGGACGCCACCUCGACCCUCCAGGCGGAAACGAAGCCAAAACAUCCUUUUCUUCAAUAUCUUCGCGUAGGCUCGACGAAUCGCCGAAUCGACUUUGCUAACGCGUUGGAAAUAUCUUCAAUUACGUUUACAUAGGGUCAAUUUAUAUUUAAACCCACCAACGAUAAAAGCCCCAAUUUUGGUGCCCUAACAAUGCCAUAAUCCCAAUUCUUGGUUUUGAUCUAUAGAAUAAGCAAAAGAGAGCUUGUUCAACCUCUAAGAACUCAUUUAGAACCAUUCGAACCAUUCCUAGGGUCUUUAGAACAAACCCUAGAAAUCUACCAUUAGAGCACCUUGAAGAACACAUGGUUUUCAUGUGUUUUCAAGUCUCCAUAAGGUUCUAAAGCUUGCAAGAAGAUCAAAACCCUAAAUCUUAGGGUAAAAUCCAAACCCUAGAUGUACUCUUGCAUGAGAGCUCACCUUAGCCCAAGCUUCUCCAAGUCCACCUUAUAGGAGAGCCUCCAAACCCUUCAAAAGCUCCAAUCUCCACUUGGUCUCCUCUAAAUCGAUUGGAAGGCCGCAUCAUCGAAAACAACUUUAUAGUACGGAUAUUUCCGUGCUAUCGAUAGUAUAGCCAGCCUAGUGCUCUCUCUCUCUCUCUCUCUCUCUGUAAGGACUGAGAUUUUUGCAGUGUAGCUAAACUCUCAAUUGACGAUGUUUUUGUGUGUAAUUUAAUUACAAAAGCACUCGUCAAGUUUCGGGAGAAAACAAGUUAGAACGAAGAGUUUACGCGAUCUCCAAGUUUCACUUAAAGUGAAUAGUAACUCGAUUUUCCGGUAAAGCCACGGUGUGAUGUUGGCUUUAGGCUAGUAUCGGACUCCGUUCACAGAGGUCCAAUUGCCCGUUUCGAACGGUUCAGCUAUUCUGGAACUAAUGGCGUUGACGGAUUUUGGGUUUGACGUACGGAUUUUGAGAACAUAUUAAAAUACAUGUUUUAUAUGUCUUUGUGUGUUAUUUUGCCUUUUGGAAAGAAAACGGAUUUCGUCGCGAAUCCGUGAUCGAUCGAGGUGAACCAAAAUGAUAGCUUUGUUGUUUCCAUCGUGCUGAUCGCACUGGUGUGAUUCGUUCGCAAAUCUGACGGACGGAUCUGUGGAGAUUGCGCGUUGAUCGAGGAGAGGUCGGUGAUGGCAAAAUGGUAAUUUCGCAAAAGUCGCGACAUUUUAUGUACCCUUUUGCGUGAGAUCGCACGUGGAGAGGUAUGCGCGCGUUUUACUCAUGCUGUGGAGGACCUAGUUUGAAAUUCUGAGCUUUGGUGGACUUAUUUGCAAUUCUGCACCAAGUAUUUAUGGUUGCAUUAGGGCUUUCCACUUGAAACCCUAACCCUAGCCGGAGCUAAUCCCCCCAGCCAUCUCCCUUGGUUGCCCUGCCCUUGCCGCGCCACCCCCGGUCGUCGCCGACUGAACCCCGGCCGGCCAGCAGCCGUCGCAGCCACCAUCUUCCUCCCUCUCCAUCUUUCUUUCCUUCUUUCUCUCUCUUUCCCUUGGGUUUGAGUCAAGAUCUGAGGCUGCAUUGCCUCCCUGCUCCAUGUCGGCGUUGCUCCGACCUCAAGUGGUCAGUAACCGCCGCCCGGAGCCGCCUCGAGCGUCGCCGCGCCGUUGCUACCAGCCUACAGCCUGCCAGGCCGAGCCCAGGCCGAGGCAAUCUGCGACUCCUCUCUGCUGGCCUCCGCCGCUUGUGGUCGCCCCCGCCGCCUUCCCCGAAGCCCCGACGUCCCUCCCCGCCGACCGCCGCCGCCUCUACGAGCCGCCGCGGCCGCCGCUGCACCCUACUGCUGCCAGAGCAGAGCCUAGGCCUAGGCUAGUGCGAGGUUUCUUCUUCGCGCCGUCGCUGUUCGGAGCCACCAUUGCUGCCUAAUUUCGACCUCAGGCAACCCCCCUCCGCCGUCCCUGAGCGCCCCGGCCGCCGCCGUGGCCGCAACUGCCCCUCGAGCAUGAGCUUCCUUCAUGCCGGCUUAGCUUGCUCCACCGAUGCCGCCGCCGGUCCCCGCCGCCAGCUAAGGUGAACCCUAUGCUCCUCCCUUCCCCCGCAACCAUCCCUGGCUAGCACGCACCUCGCCUUGCCGCCAGAAGCCGGCCGGAGCAAGCUUGCUCCGGCCAAGCCCGAAAUAGAGCUUUUCUUGGCGGCAUGUUGUUCCGAGCUAUCCAAGGCUCCCCGAUCUCUGCGGAAGGGAGCACGAUGAUUGUGAUCCAUUUCUGAUCAUCGUGCUCACCUUGGUUUCUGUCGGGGAGACUCCGUUCUGCUGUUUCGGUGAUGUCGACCCUAUUGACCCUUUUUGGCUGCUGAUCUAUGUUUACGCGCGCUUUUUCGAUGAUCUGAGGCUGUUCUGAUGCCUCCGGAGGUGAGCACGGUGAUCGUUGGUCAGUUCUGAUCACAGUGCUCACCUUACUUUGGAUCAACAGAGUUCGGUUAGUCCUCUUCGGCGCGAUUUUCCCCGACUCUGCGCUAUUCACAGAAAUUUCGGGCUUCUCCCGCGCCUCCCACAGUGAGCCGUUGUGCUCCGGAUCAUGAGCACAGCCUCUGAUACUUUGAGACCUAUCAGUACGUGUCUCGGAAGACCUUGAAAGUCCUCGGUUUGCGUGAACGAGCCACUUGAUCGCUCAAAUUGCAUAAAAUGAUUGAAUUUUAUGUAAUUAGAGGGACUUUUGUGCAAUUGUGUACCUUAGGGCCACUGUGGGUAGUGUGUAUGAGUGUGUUUGACCUCUGGACUGAUUGUCCAUGAUCGUGUAGCUUUUACGGAAAUCGAAAAGUCGAUUUCGGUGCGUUUUUCGGUGAAAUUCGCCGAAAAAACGCAGUUCCGAUUCGUAUUUCUUCCGACGGUAUUUGUUUGCUCUGUGAGUUGUCGCUGAGCCUUGUUGGCUGGUCAUCAUCAUCAUUUUGUGGGUUCGGUGAUGAUGGGUAAGCGAUGGUGGGUUCCGGUGUCGAAAUAGACACUUCCGGGAACCCAGAUUCGAACAAUUAUCCGGUGAUAAAUGUGUAGGUGUUAUCUCGUGUUCGCUGCCAAGGCAUUCAAAUCGGAGUGUUUUGUGGUAGCGGGUGACUCGUGGCACGAGUCGGUGAGUUUCGGGACACUUAGUGAGUCCCGACGGCGUCCCGGUGUGGUUUUCAGGACUUCCGGCGAGUUACGGUGAUCGGUUUUGGGAAACCGAUUAUGGGGAUCUUUUGUGGGGAUUUGUGAGUCUCGUGUUUUGGGUUAGUGGGUUGGAUACUGACCCAGUGGAUCUUCGUAGGUCCGGUCGACUUGUGCGUACGCAGUGUUUCGACGCGACAGUGACAAGUGGGUGUUUCGAGCUGGUAGUCAGUGAGAUCGUUUCACCCUUUCUCUGUUCUUUCAUAUCAGUAUCGUAGUCUCUACAUGUCAGUUGUUUGUUUAUCGUUUGUUUAUCGUAUCUCGUUGAUUGCAUUUGAAUAGUUGUGGAAAGACAUGUAGAACAGGUUGCAUAUAUAUUGUAUCUCUGUGGACCUUUGGUCCAGGCAACACAUCGACUCCUUUGUCGUGUGUUUCGAUCUGGUUAACCAUGGUUCGACGUUGUACGCCCUUGCAGCUGGUUUCGGCCAAGACACCGGUCUCUUUUUGCCGGUUUUCGUUUGAGCAUAUCAGCAUGAUUUAGUCAUAGCACUGUGUAUUCUAGACACUAGGUUGGUUUGGCCACCAACCAAGGGGUGUACAUAUCCGGAUAGUUCGUCGGUGACGCAUGAAUAAAUAGGCAAUGUCUGUUCUGUGACAGGCAACGCUUGAGGUCUGUGGACCAAUAUAGCAGCAUCAGAUUGGGUUUGAUUUUGGACUAUUUACCUUUGAGGCAUCCGUUCAGUUGAGUUUUUGUUACAGUAGUAGUUUCGUUCUUGCUUAGUUAUUAUCCUGUUUCUAUUACUACUGUAGUUGCUCUUAUAUCAUAUCAUGUUCAUAUCUGUUAUAGCUACUGUAGUUUCCUUUUUGCAUCACAGUAUAUAUAUACUUUAUUUAUCUAUCUCUUUUGGUUUCCGGUGAUUACGACUUGCCUUCGUGGCUCUGUCGUACCUACUGGGAAACCAUGGUUGAGGUUUCUCACCCCCCCAUUGCCCCAGGUGAUUUGGGCUUGGAGUUGGCGUUGGGCACGAUGAGAGGACGAUCUAGCUAGCUUGCCUAGCGUCCGUCACCCGGGUUAUGUUUUAUUUCCGCAUUUAGUAGUUUAAAUAAAUGGUUCAGUCAGAUGAUCCCCUGAUGUUUGAAUGUUUGUGAACUGGUUUUAAAUUGAUGAUUUACAGAUACAUGUGAUUAGAGAUCGUGGAUCUGAGAUUGGAGUUCAUGGGUUCUUGAUUUUGGUUUUAUGGUUAUUUGGUUCUCAGAUUUGUGUAUUUUACGGAUUUAUAUACAUCGUCGUUUUCUACCUCUCGAGGUAGUUGGUUUUUAAAAUAGAGUUUCCGAGUAGGAAACAGUUUAAAAGAGUUUUCGAACGAUUUUUAUGGAUGACUGAAAUAAAUUUCAAAAAUAAAGCUUCCGGGUGGGGAGCACUUUUAAAUAGGAUGAUUGUUGUAUUGUGCAUUGCAUCAUCCAGCGCCUAAGGAGUGCUUAGAGGCAUGCACCAUUCUAAGGAUCGCUAGCUGUAUGAAAAUGCAUAGCAUGAUUGGUUGUUGAUUGGUGAAUAUUAGUUGUAGUUGAGAUCCUGUUGUAUAGCUGGUACGCCGUGCAAAUACAAAGGAGACUCUGUCCGAGUGGACAGGAGAACUUUAUAUUUGUGGCGGGUCUGUACGUCACGUGGGCCAGGAUGGAAGAAAAAAGAAAGGACGACAUAUUUUUCACGACUCUGAAUUUCAAAAUAGUAACGGAUUUAAAUAAAGGCUUUUAAAAUCGGCCCCGGNUACUAUGCAUAGCAUAUUAUUAGCAUAUUAAGAGCUCUUCAGCGAGUUUGAACUAAAAAAGGAAAAGGAAAGGAGAAUCUGAUAAGAGUGAAGAGUCGGGUUCUUUUCCAUCCCCGAUGUCAAUUGAUUAGGUUCCACUACUGGGAUUCCUCUCCACUCCUAGCUCCCGAAGUACAUAAUGGAAAGACAAAACAUAUCCUACUGCUUCAAACUGCUCCUUCUUCGGUGGCUGCUGCUGCUUCGGAUCUGGAAUCGGUCCCCUGACUUUAUAGGGCUAAGACGUGAAUAUGGAUGUGGCUUCUAGCUCAGCAACGACUCUGGCUUCGGAUGUUAGAACCUGCGAUGGACACUUCGACAGUGCAAUUUUUCUUGCCAAGAUGCUAUGGCGGGCGUACAUCAGAGGUGUACCGGUACCCGUAUACAUUUUCUUGCGUAACUACUCUCGGGUUGGCCUUAUAGCUGCGGUGUGUACCGGUACACAUUGGCGUGUACCGGUACACCAGGGUAGGUGAGAGGGCAGUUUGGUCUUUUCUUGCUUCGUACGUGUCACCCACUUUUUCCUUGAUAUAUACAUGUGUAGGAGAAGCAGAGAGAGAGAUUUUUGGGCUGUUCUUUUUCUUUCUCUCUAGCUUGGAUCGUGAGCAAGGAGGAGCUCGGGUGGAGCUUGUCGAGGGAGUUCGGAUCGACGCCGACGUCGCGCCGAGGAGCCGUUCGAGUACGCGGGCGUCGUUAUCGCAGCGUUUGGAGGCCGGGCGAGCGUGUGGUUCCGCCAUUUCCGACUUCGCGCCGGAUUGGGAGUAGCUUCCGAGGUGGGUUAAUCGUCGGUUUCCCUUCUAAGUGUAUAUAUAGUUGACAUGUGUUCGUUUAGUGAUAUUGCAUAUCGAAUUUGCUCGAUUCACGGAUUUGGCGUAUUUAUUUACAAAAUCUAAAUUGGAGCCUAGUAUUCGAUUAUAUUUAUAUUUGCACAUGUUGGACUUGGAUAUAACUUAGGCGAAAACUCGCGAAUAUGACCUGUCACAUGCUUAAACUACCAGAUUUAGCUCUAGGAGCCAUUGUUAUUUUGUAUCAUUACAGUUUCAGAGCGAUGGAUACCUCAGGUUGUUUAAAGUGUAGUUACGCUCGUGCUGGGAUACCGAGCCUAUUUUUACAGUAGUGUUCAGACUGUUCCGGGCUGUUGAGUGCCGUUGGAAUUGACGGUGGAUCCGGAUUAGUGAUAUAGCAUCAGAUUUUGCCGAAGGCACAUGUGUUUUGGUUGUUAGAUUAGUUCAACCCUGUUUACUUGACUUUAGCCUGUGAGAGCCUGGUUGAGCUCGACAGAGACACGCUUGCAUACUCGGUUGGGUCGCGCCCACAAGUGCCACUCCGGAGUUAGGCUUAGUGCUUCUGCGUUGAUGUCGAGGUGUCCUGAUUGGACUUGCUAUCCACGGACUGGUUAGUGUGGAGAUAGCUUCAGCUUCAACAGGUGGGACGGGUGUGUUCACAGUCCCUGGGAUGGGUUUGCUUACAGUCCCUAGUGAGAUUGGAUCAGGACUGACAUUUCCUACAGAUGGUUGGUGUUAGAGAAUGAUAGCAUAGUAGCAUUUAGCUGUAGAUUUAUUCCAGCUUUUCUUACUAUCCCAGCUCCCUUAUGUAGAUUUAGUGGGUGAACCGAUAAUUUUUUAGGGCGGUACCCACUGACGACUACUUAUUUUUACAGUAGUUUUCACGCCCAGUUGUUACCCUUCUUUUGUAGGGCCUUCGGUUCCAACUGCUGCAUCUUCUGAGACCGACCGUGGCAAGGCGUUGUGAGUAGAGCCCUACCAGACGAGUCGCUAAGAUAGAGGAUCACCUUCUACAGAUAGUUGUACUUUCAUUUUUGAGUUCAUGUACAUACAGAUGUAUAACUCGCUGGGCGAGUACUUUUGUACCUUGACACUAUGUAUGUAUAUGGAACUUGCUUUCAGUUUUACCUGUUCAAUCUAGCAGCUCUAUACUACUGGUUGUAGUGUGUAUAUUUACUGGUGCUACCACUGUGUCGCUUCGUAUACAGAGUAAAUUUCUUUGUAUACGGCGGAUUUGUCGGCGUGCCCAGGGAACGUGAAAUUCGGGGCGUGACAUAUAUAUAUAUAUAUAUAUAUAUAUAUAUAUAUAUAUAUAUAUAUAUAUAGAGAGAGAGAGAGAGAGAGAGAGAGAGAGAGAGAGAGAGAGAGANNNNNNNNNNNNNNNNNNNNNNNNNNNNNNNNNNNNNNNNNNNNNNNNNNNNNNNNNNNNNNNNNNNNNNNNNNNNNNNNNNNNNNNNNNNNNNNNNNNNNNNNNNNNNNNNNNNNNNNNNNNNNNNNNNNNNNNNNNNNNNNNNNNNNNNNNNNNNNNNNNNNNNNNNNNNNNNNNNNNNNNNNNNNNNNNNNNNNNNNNNNNNNNNNNNNNNNNNNNNNNNNNNNNNNNNNNNNNNNNNNNNNNNNNNNNNNNNNNNNNNNNNNNNNNNNNNNNNNNNNNNNNNNNNNNNNNNNNNNNNNNNNNNNNNNNNNNNNNNNNNNNNNNNNNNNNNNNNNNNNNNNNNNNNNNNNNNNNNNNNNNNNNNNNNNNNNNNNNNNNNNNNNNNNNNNNNNNNNNNNNNNNNNNNNNNNNNNNNNNNNNNNNNNNNNNNNNNNNNNNNNNNNNNNNNNNNNNNNNNNNNNNNNNNNNNNNNNNNNNNNNNNNNNNNNNNNNNNNNNNNNNNNNNNNNNNNNNNNNNNNNNNNNNNNNNNNNNNNNNNNNNNNNNNNNNNNNNNNNNNNNNNNNNNNNNNNNNNNNNNNNNNNNNNNNNNNNNNNNNNNNNNNNNNNNNNNNNNNNNNNNNNNNNNNNNNNNNNNNNNNNNNNNNNNNNNNNNNNNNNNNNNNNNNNNNNNNNNNNNNNNNNNNNNNNNNNNNNNNNNNNNNNNNNNNNNNNNNNNNNNNNNNNNNNNNNNNNNNNNNNNNNNNNNNNNNNNNNNNNNNNNNNNNNNNNNNNNNNNNNNNNNNNNNNNNNNNNNNNNNNNNNNNNNNNNNNNNNNNNNNNNNNNNNNNNNNNNNNNNNNNNNNNNNNNNNNNNNNNNNNNNNNNNNNNNNNNNNNNNNNNNNNNNNNNNNNNNNNNNNNNNNNNNNNNNNNNNNNNNNNNNNNNNNNNNNNNNNNNNNNNNNNNNNNNNNNNNNNNNNNNNNNNNNNNNNNNNNNNNNNNNNNNNNNNNNNNNNNNNNNNNNNNNNNNNNNNNNNNNNNNNNNNNNNNNNNNNNNNNNNNNNNNNNNNNNNNNNNNNNNNNNNNNNNNNNNNNNNNNNNNNNNNNNNNNNNNNNNNNNNNNNNNNNNNNNNNNNNNNNNNNNNNNNNNNAUACCGGCCGUUAAAAAUUGUCAAAUUUGUGACCUCUUGAUCGUAAGGUAAAUGAUGUCGAAAAAUUAUAAAAUUUGAUUUCUAGAAGUUUCAAAUGCUGUAAAUAACGUUUAAUGGUGUGGAUCGUCGAUUUGGAAGCCCUAUCAUCGAAACAACUCAUGAGUACGAGAGCGAUCGUACUCAUAAUAGUAUAGUAGCCGGACCCUAUAUAUAUAUGCCAUGGCUACUAUACUAUUAUGAGUAUUGGAACCCUCGUACUCAUAAGUUGUUGUCAAUGAUGGAGCUUCCGAAUCGAUGAUCCACUCCAUUAANGUUGUUUUCGAUGAUAGAGUUUCCGAAUCGAUGAUCCAUACCGUUAAAUGUUAUCUAAAGCAUUUGAAACAUUUAGAAAUCAAAUUUCAUAAUUUUUAUGCAUUAUUUACCUUACGAUCAAAAGCUCACAAAAUUGACAAUUUUUAAUGGCCGAUAUGGAAUACUUGCUAGUUUAACGAUGCAAAAGAAUCCGAAUAUAUUGACUUUUUUAUAGAAAAUUCUAUUAACUAUCUAGAGAAAGAUCAAUAACUCUGAUCUUGAAUUGAAGGAUCCGAUCAUCCUCUUUUAGGACGUCGUUCGAUUUUGACCAUUCAUUUUAUGCCUACUUGAUGGACUUUAUUAUGAUUUCGAAAAUUUACGAAAUUUAUUUUCUAGAAGUUUCAAAUACUCUAGAUCAUAUUUAACGAAGUGGAUCGUCGAUUCGGAAGCUUCAUCAUAAAAAACAACUUAUGAGUACGAGGGCUCCAAUACUCAUAAUAGUAUAGUAGCUACGGCCUAUAUAUAUAUAUAUAUAGGGCCAUGGCUACUAUACUAUUAUGAGUAUUGGAGCCCUCGUACUCAUAAGUUGUUUUCAAUGAUAGAGCUUCCGAAUCGACGAUCCACUCCGUUAAACGUUAUUUACAGCAUUUAAAACUUCUAGAAAUCAAAUUUUAUAAUUUUUCGACAUCAUUUACCUUACGAUCAAGAGGUCACAAAUUUGACAAUUUUUAAAGCACGAAAUUCCGUUACCAACAUCAAUCUCAAACAUAAGUCUCCAGUCCUCCCUCAUCCUACUCCAAUACUCCCCCGUUCAUAUAAAUCAUCGAUAUUAGUUCCACAAAAUGGGCACGAGCUGGACCUUCAACAGUCAAUAGGACCGCGGUUUCUUUUAACAGUAUUGCUGCCAAAAUUGACGUUGUUACUCUUAUUGUUAAAGAAGAGUAGAAGAGUUAUAACUAUUAGAAGGUGAGAAGGUCUACGUAAAGAAGAUAAGAAAAAAAUAAUUAAAAAUAAAAUAAUUUAAUUUUAAAAAAUAAAAAAUGAGAGGCUUGCCACACAUCAUUUGAUAUAUGGGAUUCAUAUAGAGUAUCAUAUAUAUAUAUAUAUAUAUAUAUAUAUAUUAAUAUAUAUAUAUAUAUAUAAUAAUUAUAUAUAUAUAUUGAGUAGGCUACUAUGCUAUCGAAGCACGAGCCUCCGUGCUCUCCAGCUCGUUUUCGAUGUUCGACAUUUUGAAUCAUGUCGAUUCGCUAUCGUUAAACUUGAUCUAGAGUAUUCUGGAGUACCUAGAAAAUAAAUUUUGGCAAAUUUUACGAUAUCAUUUGCUAGUGAUCGAAGGGACUUCAAAAUCAACAAAUUUUCAAGUGGCGUAGUGGAGGCCGUUUGCUAAGUCAACGGUGUUAGAAAUAUUCUCAAAUCACGUGAAUAUUUGAUAAAAAAAUCCCUUUUUUAUAAUUAUAUAAAAGCAAGAUCCAUCAAUAUUUUUUGAUUUAAAAAUUUUAAAAUGUCAUAUAUUAUAUUUUGUAAGAUUUUAUUUUCAGCCGUUGUUUUUGACCCCUCAUUCACUANNNNNNNNNNNNNNNNNNNNNNNNNAUAUAUCUAGAGUAUUUGAAACUUCUAGAAAAAAAAAAAAAAUUUUUCGUAAAUUUUCGAAAUCAGAUAAGAUCCAUCAAGGUGGGCAUAAAAUGAACGGCUCAAAACGAACGAAGUCCUAAAAGCGAUGAUCGGAUCUUUCAAUUCAAGAUCGGAAGUUAUUGAUCUUUAAUUCUAUUGUAGUGAAUAGAAUUUCUAUCAAAAUUCAACAAAUUUGAUUCUUUGUAUACCGCUUUAAAUGGCAAGUAUCUAUACCCGGCCCGUUAAAAAAAUGUCAAAUUUCGGUGACCCUUGAUGUAAGGUAAAUGAUUGUCGAAAAGAUUAUAAAAUUUGAUUCUUAGAGUUUCAAAUGCUGAUAAAUUAAGUUAAUUGUGCAUCGUCGAUUUGGAAGCCCUCAUCGAAACAACUCAUGCAGUACUGAGAGCGAUCGUAUCAUAAUUAGUUAGUAGCCGACCCUAUCAUAUAUAUGCCAUGGCUACUAUACUAUUAUGAGUAUUGAACCCUGUAACUGCAUAAUUUGUUUCAAUGAUGCGCUACCGAAUCGAUGAUCCACUCCAUUAAAUCACUGAGGUUUUCUAGAGAUUUGAAAACUUCUAGAAAAUAAAUGUUCGUAAAUUUUUCAGAAAUGUAAAGUAAAGCCAUUAAGUGGGCAUAAAAUGAAUGGCCAAAAAUCGAACAACGUUCCUAAAUAAUGGCUAUGCAUUCGGCAUCCUUCAUUCAAAAUCAGAGUUAUUGAUCUUAUAUCUAUGCAGUGAAUAGAAUGUUUCUAUCAAAAAUUCAAUAAAUUAUCGAUCUUAUACACCGUUAACUAGCAAGUAUCCCACACCGGUCGUUCUAAAAAAUUGUCAAAUUUAUCACCUCUUCGGAUCAUAAGCGUAAUAUGACGUCGAAAAGUUAUUAAAUUUGAUUUCUAGAAGUUUUAAAUGUUUGAAAUAACGUAAUCAUGGUGGAUCUCAUCGGUAAGCUCUAUCAUCGAAAAUAACUUAUUGAGUCAGAUAUCCUAUCAUUAUAUACGUAUCCGCGACGCCUAUAUAUAUAUAUAUAUAUAUAUAUAUGAUAUAUAUGUAUGUACUAGUAUAGUUAUCCACCGAUAUAGGCGGACAGAGUGAUCUAUCGGUUCAAGCCGAUUUUUUUUAUUCAUUCGUGAUCAUCGAUGCUAGUCUCAAAUAUUAUUACAUAUAUCAAAACAAAAAUACAGUGAGGAGCGUCACGAUAAGAAAUAAAAGAGUAGAAGAAAGAGAGGCGUAAAGAGAAAGGAAUGGCAAAAUAAAUUAAACUAAAAUAGUAGACUCAAUUAUAAUUCAAUUAUUUAAAUAAAAAUAAUUUAAAUAAAAUAGCGCAGUUGCCAUAAGAUUUUCAUUAUAUAUAACUUUAAUAUGCAUUCUAAAUAUGUGAUUAUUGAAUUAGAUAUUAUUAAUUGUUAUCGUAGAAUUGUAUUAAAAUUAUGCAGUGUGUAUAUAAAUGGUAAAUUGGGUAUCAAUUAUUUAUAACAUACAUGCAAAUUCUUUAAAGAACUCUAAUUACUACCAAGAAUAACAUUUUAAAAUAAAAUUUCUAUUAGUUAUGGUUUAGUACAAUUUUAAUUAAUCUAAAUAACUAUAAAAAGAAUUAAGAAAAAGCUAAUAGUAGGGGUAGUUAAAAAACAACAUUAAAGAAAAGCAAAAAUACAAAAAAUGUUAUAAUCACUUGGAUUAUCACCAAUAUAUAUCUAGUGCGUAAGUUGAUAUAUAUAUUUCAUACUACUCUUUUCUGCUUCUGUCAUCGCUAAACCCCACGCAUCCAAGAUUUACUCUUCUAUCCACCACUGCAAUCCCCACCAAAUAUACGAUGGAUUUGCGGAUUCUUCAUGGUACUCUAUGCGAGCGGAGUAUAUGAAAUGCGAGCCGACUUUUCUACUGAGAGGGGAGGGUGAAAGACAGUUUUAGCGCAAAAAGUUAGAAGAAUGAAUGAGUAUUAAUGAAGACAUUGAUAGCUGCGUGGAAAAACAAAUUAAUUAGUUAUAUUAAUUACCAAUUAAAUUAAAGAAAGAGAAGGUGGCUAGUUGGAAAGAUAAGAGGUGGACGUAAGAAGAGUUACGAAUGAGUUAAACUAUUAGAAGGUGAGAGGUCUACGUAAAGACGAAAGAAAAAAUAAUUAAAAAUUAAAAUAAUUUAAUUUUAAAAAAUAAAAAAUGAGAGGCUUGCUCAAAUCAUUUUGAUAUAUGGGUGAUUCAUAUAAGUAUGAUUAUAUAUAUUAAUAUAUAUAUAUUAUAUAUAUAUAUAUAUAUUCUCUCGGCAAAUGAUAUCGUAAAAUCAUAAAAUUUAUUUUCUAGAUACUUCAAAUACUCUAGAUCAAAUUUAACGGAGCCGAUCGACGAUUCGAAAGUUGCAACAUCGAAAACGAGCUAGAAGCACGGAAGGCUCCGUACUUCCGAUAGCAUAGCAGCCUCACUCUAUAUAUAUAUAUAUAUAUAUAUAUAUAGUCCAGCUAUGGUGCUUGUAAAAACACCAAGCACUUGGUGCUUGUGAAUUUUUUACCGUUAGAUCUACGCUUUUGAUCAUUUUCAUCCGUUAGAUUAUACUAUUCGACCAACCACCCACUCAACCCUAGGGGUUCCACAUCAUCCUAACCGCACAUCUCUUAAUUCAAGGGCCGAAAACUUACAAGCACCAAUGACUUGGUACUUUUAAAAUCAUAGGAGCUCAAUUCUAUAUAUAUAUAUAUAGGUCGUGGCUACUAUGCUAUCGAUAGUACCAAGUUUAUGAUACUAUCGAGUUUUCUGCCGUCAAUUCUACCAUUUGAUCAUUAUUACCCGUAAGAUUAUAUUAUUCAACCAACCACUCACUCAACCUUAGAAGACUAUUAUCAUCAUAAUCGGAAACCACUAUCAUCUUAACCGCACAUUCUUUCAUCUAAUGACCAAAAAUUCGAUAGUACCAAACGCUUGGUACUAUCAAUAGGAUAAUAACAUAAUUCUUUCUCUCUCUUUAUAUAUAUAUAUAUAUGUCACGCCCCGGAUGUCUCGUUCCCCGGGCACGCCGACAAAUCCGCCGUAUACAAAGAAAUUUUUCCUGUAUACGAAGCGNUUUAAUAUGAUUUAAAUUGUGUUUAUUGAAUUAGAUUUUAAUUGUAUAAUAGUAAAUUUUUUAAAAUUAUGCAGUGUGUAUAUAAAAUGGUAAAUUGGGGUAUGCAAUUAUUUAUAACAUACAUGCAAAUUCUUUAAAAGAACAUCUAAUUCUACAAAUAAAUUUUAUAAAAAAAUAUAUUUUCUAUUAGCUUAUUGUUUAACAAUUUUACAUACAUCUAAAUAACUAUAAAAGAAAUUAGAAAAAGCUAAUAGAUAGGGUAGUUAAAAAAAACAUUAAAGAAAAAGCAAAAUACAAAAAAUUUAUAAUCACUUGAUUAUCACCAUAUAUACUAUCAGUGGUAAGUUGAUUAUAUAUUCAUACACUCUCUUCUGCUUCUGUCAUCGCUAAAGCCGCCACCGCAUCCAAGAUCUUCAUCUUCUACCACCACUGCCAUCCCCACCAAAUAUACGAUGGGAUUUGCGGAUUCUAUGGACUCGAUGCGAUGCGAUAGUAAUGAAAGCGAGCGACUUUUACUGAGAGGGAGAGGGUGAAAGAGGUUUAGCAAAAGUUGAAGAAUGAAGAGAUUAAUGAAGACAUAGGGAAAAAAAAUUAAUUAUUAAUUAAUUACAAUAAUAAAGAAAGAGAAGGUGGGGCUAUUGGAAGAUAAAGAGGUGGACGUUAAAGAAGAGUAGAAGAGUUAUAACUAUUAGAAGGUGAGAAGGUCUACGGUAAAGAAGAUAAGAAAAAAAUAAUUAAAAAUAAAAUAAUUUAAUUUAAAAAAUAUAAAAAAAUGAGAGCUUGCCACAUCAUCAUUUGAUAUUGGGGAUUCAUAUAAGAGUAUAUAUAUAUAUAUAUAUAUAUAGAAUUGAGCUCCUGUACUUUUAAAACUACCAAAUUAUUGGUGCUUGUAAGUUUUUGGCCCUUGGAUUAAGAGAUGUGCGGUUAGGAUGAUGUGGGUCCCCUAGGGUUGAGUGGGUGGUUGGUUGAAUAGUAUAAUCUAACGGAUAAAAAUGAUCAAAGGUGUAGNNNNNNNNNNNNNNNNNNNNNNNNNNNNNNNNNNNNNNNNNNNNNNNNNNNNNNNNNNNNNNNNNNNNNNNNNNNNNNNNNNNNNNNNNNNNNNNNNNNNNNNNNNNNNNNNNNNNNNNNNNNNNNNNNNNNNNNNNNNNNNNNNNNNNNNNNNNNNNNNNNNNNNNNNNNNNNNNNNNNNNNNNNNNNNNNNNNNNNNNNNNNNNNNNNNNNNNNNNNNNNNNNNNNNNNNNNNNNNNNNNNNNNNNNNNNNNNNNNNNNNNNNNNNNNNNNNNNNNNNNNNNNNNNNNNNNNNNNNNNNNNNNNNNNNNNNNNNNNNNNNNNNNNNNNNNNNNNNNNNNNNNNNNNNNNNNNNNNNNNNNNNNNNNNNNNNNNNNNNNNNNNNNNNNNNNNNNNNNNNNNNNNNNNNNNNNNNNNNNNNNNNNNNNNNNNNNNNNNNNNNNNNNNNNNNNNNNNNNNNNNNNNNNNNNNNNNNNNNNNNNNNNNNNNNNNNNNNNNNNNNNNNNNNNNNNNNNNNNNNNNNNNNNNNNNNNNNNNNNNNNNNNNNNNNNNNNNNNNNNNNNNNNNNNNNNNNNNNNNNNNNNNNNNNNNNNNNNNNNNNNNNNNNNNNNNNNNNNNNNNNNNNNNNNNNNNNNNNNNNNNNNNNNNNNNNNNNNNNNNNNNNNNNNNNNNNNNNNNNNNNNNNNNNNNNNNNNNNNNNNNNNNNNNNNNNNNNNNNNNNNNNNNNNNNNNNNNNNNNNNNNNNNNNNNNNNNNNNNNNNNNNNNNNNNNNNNNNNNNNNNNNNNNNNNNNNNNNNNNNNNNNNNNNNNNNNNNNNNNNNNNNNNNNNNNNNNNNNNNNNNNNNNNNNNNNNNNNNNNNNNNNNNNNNNNNNNNNNNNNNNNNNNNNNNNNNNNNNNNNNNNNNNNNNNNNNNNNNNNNAACUAGCCAAAGUCAAGUGAACAGGGUCAAAACAGGUUUACAAACCAAACCCACGUGCCCUCGGCACAAUCUGUGACCAAAACAAGAAUCUGAAUCCACCGCUAACCCGAACGGCACCCAACGACCCGAAACAGCCUAAACUCUGCUAACAAAUAAGCUCGGCAUCCCAGCACGAGCGUAAAUGCCUUCUAAACUACCCCAGAUAUCCAUCGCACUGCUACUGCAACGAUACAAUCGAAUCACGGCUCUUAGAGCUAAAUCUGGUAGUUUAAGCAUAUGACGAUUCCAAUCGUGUUUUCUCCUAAGUCAAAUCUCAGUCCAACAUGUACAUUUAAGAUUUACUAGUCAUGUUCUCAAUACUGAUUAUAUCCAGGAUAGCAUCACGAAUAUCAAGCUACAACAUGAUUACCGAAACUGAAAAAUCAUACAUGUCGACGAUUACGGUACUUAGGAAUAAACCAAUGUAAACCCACCUCGAAAGCUAUCCCCUGGCAGCGGUACACUCUCACAGCUGUGGCGCCACCUGCUGGGUCGAUCGUAGCCCUUCGAACCCAAGAAUCGCGCUAACUCCAAGCUCUACACCAAACAAUUCACCGUUUCAGUCUAGUUUUCACAGCAGUGGAGUACAAUAAGGAUUCAACCAAGCUAACCUUCACCAAAUCCAACAAGUAAGGGCUUCACGGAUUCCUCUCGCAGUCCCGAAUCCAACGAACCAAGUCUCGUCACAAUCCAAUGCUCCUACGUCGAGAACGAGCUAAAAUACUAACAGUCGACGGUGGAUUUCAGCAAACAAUAACUAUCCGAGUAGAAAUAGUAAACGCUUGCCUAAAAAUCAAGGAAUUAAUGAAAUACCCACCUCGACAACGCCGAGCACCCGAGUGACAGCAAGAACGGCGAAAAUCCCUGCUCGCCCGUGAAAGUUUUGAGGAAACCGAGAAUCUAUCUAGAUUGUAUCUAUCACCUAGAGGGAGGUGAAUAGGUGAACGACCAAAAAUCACAAAUCUUGAUGCAAUAAAAAUAAAUGCGGAAAAUAAAAAGCACACCGAGAUUUACGUAGGAAAACUCCAAACUCGGAGUAAAAAACCCACGGGACCACACGCGAUAACAAUCUACUAAGAAUAAAAGAUUACAAGGUGAUUUACCGAAUCCACGGACUCAAACCUCUCUUUUAUCUUCUCCGGAUCUCGCGCACACCAACGGGCUGCAGCUUGUUCCGGAACAGGGUUUGUAUCGGUACAGCCAUGAUGGUUGUACCGGAACAACCAUCAAAUAUUUCUGCGCAAACGCUGAUGGCUGUACCCUGGACAGAAAAUCCUUGUACAGGUACAACAAUACAAUUUUCGCUGAAAAUGCUUUGUUUCGAGUUUUACAAGCUCUUAGAAACUUUCUAAUCACUUACAACUUGAAAACAUGAUUCUAAGAUCUAUAAUUAAGUAUGAAUCACCACAAACAAGAUUUAAAACUUACCUAAGCAUCGUGAUUCAUGUUUUGCGUGUUUUGCGUCCUUUCUGAUUCUUCGAAGUCUUGGAUUCUUUGAUCUUCAAUACUCCGCUCCGGACUUCUUCAAGACUCCGACUCGACCCACGAAACUUGCCAACACAUAGGACUUAACAAUCUCCCCCUUUGGCAAUUUCGUGACAAAACACACAAACUAAAAAAUUACAAUUUAAAGAAAAACAAAGUUCAAUGUCAUCACCAAAACAUCGAACCCCUCGCGUGUAAUCCAAAUACAAUUUGAAACUCAAAAUUACAUCAAAACUCCUAAAACAGACUCUAUGACUUAGACGCAACUAGGAGUCUUGAAGUCUUGAUUUNNNNNNNNNNNNNNNNNNNNNNNNNNNNNNNNNNNNNNNNNNNNNNNNNNNNNNNNNNNNNNNNNNNNNNNNNNNNNNNNNNNNNNNNNNNNNNNNNNNNNNNNNNNNNNNNNNNNNNNNNNNNNNNNNNNNNNNNNNNNNNNNNNNNNNNNNNNNNNNNNNNNNNNNNNNNNNNNNNNNNNNNNNNNNNNNNNNNNNNNNNNNNNNNNNNNNNNNNNNNNNNNNNNNNNNNNNNNNNNNNNNNNNNNNNNNNNNNNNNNNNNNNNNNNNNNNNNNNNNNNNNNNNNNNNNNNNNNNNNNNNNNNNNNNNNNNNNNNNNNNNNNNNNNNNNNNNNNNNNNNNNNNNNNNNNNNNNNNNNNNNNNNNNNNNNNNNNNNNNNNNNNNNNNNNNNNNNNNNNNNNNNNNNNNNNNNNNNNNNNNNNNNNNNNNNNNNNNNNNNNNNNNNNNNNNNNNNNNNNNNNNNNNNNNNNNNNNNNNNNNNNNNNNNNNNNNNNNNNNNNNNNNNNNNNNNNNNNNNNNNNNNNNNNNNNNNNNNNNNNNNNNNNNNNNNNNNNNNNNNNNNNNNNNNNNNNNNNNNNNNNNNNNNNNNNNNNNNNNNNNNNNNNNNNNNNNNNNNNNNNNNNNNNNNNNNNNNNNNNNNNNNNNNNNNNNNNNNNNNNNNNNNNNNNNNNNNNNNNNNNNNNNNNNNNNNNNNNNNNNNNNNNNNNNNNNNNNNNNNNNNNNNNNNNNNNNNNNNNNNNNNNNNNNNNNNNNNNNNNNNNNNNNNNNNNNNNNNNNNNNNNNNNNNNNNNNNNNNNNNNNNNNNNNNNNNNNNNNNNNNNNNNNNNNNNNNNNNNNNNNNNNNNNNNNNNNNNNNNNNNNNNNNNNNNNNNNNNNNNNNNNNNNNNNNNNNNNNNNNNNNNNNNNNNNNNNNNNNNNNNNNNNNNNNNNNNNNNNNNNNNNNNNNNNNNNNNNNNNNNNNNNNNNNNNNNNNNNNNNNNNNNNNNNNNNNNNNNNNNNNNNNNNNNNNNNNNNNNNNNNNNNNNNNUUCAUCCAUGCUCUCCCCCUUCAUCUACGCUCUCCCCCUUUUUGUCAAAAAUUGCCAAAAGAAAGUAAAUAGAGAGAGAAAACAUACUAGAAAAGCAUAAGCAUAGUCAAGUCAUAGUUACAGGUCUAAAAGAAAAAACAAGCAGAUCUAAAACUAAAACAUUAUCCUAACAUGCAAAUGUAGUGAAAGAGAAAGACUAAGCUCGACGAAGAAAUCACUCUGUGUCCUCGUCACCAUCAUCAUCAUCUCCAGCACCAGCUCCAGAACCCCCAGCCUCAGGAGCAUCACCAGACGGUGGAAUGAGAGGAUGUCGUGAAGAUGACCGCUGAUACAAAGCAGAAGAUGGAGUAGGUUCCCAAAUAUCAUCAUGCCGACACCCCAUCUUAUCCAUCAAUCUUUUGAUACUUAACUCAAACUUUUUGAUGCUGGACUCAACUUUCCUUCCAAUGUUGUUCACCUUCUUCUUUAAUUUUCGCAAAUCAUCCUUAACGGAUUCCAAUAUCGUCGCUCCCCCCGAACUAGAUGAAGUUUCAUAACUCCCUCGGGAUGGAGGCGGAGGAGCAGAGCUAGAAGCUGCUCUCGGUGGAGGUGCUGGGCUAGAUGCUUCAGGAGGUGGCCCUUUGGUCUGAUGGAAUGACCUGAGGGUGCUAACAGACUUAGCCCAAGUCACUGAGUCAAUAGGCCCAAGGCCAACAUCAUACUUGUCACAAGAAGUAUCUACUCCAUUUGCUUGAAGAAUCCUCGUAAUCAUAAUAGGGAAUGGAAGUAGAUCCCGACGAGUGGCACCCUGGAUCACCUGUAUCAUCCUUUGCCAGAUCAGAAAUGGAAUGUUGAUGUUCAAUCCAUGAGCUUGCUCGGGAUGACCAAGUAGGAUAUAGCAACACUAAUCUCUCCCAACGAAUCCUCUUUGUGCCAAUGGUGGGUUGAACAUUAUAGCUCAUAACCAAGGAUAACAAGUGAUACUCAGGUAAUAAAUCCUUGGAUUCAAUGUAACCAUGAGUCAUGUAAACACCUGCUUUGCAUAUAGCUCCAAGAAUAAUAUCCAUAUGAGUUGACGCUUGGAAUCCUCCUGACGUAUAGAGAAGACCUGUAGUGUCCACAUGCAUUCCUAAGAUCUCUCCAAUAUCAUAAGGGGUAACUGGAAAUCUCUUCUGUCGAACAAUAGUCUCAAAAAUAAAAGUGCCUGUUUCAUCAUCUUCAACAAGUACCUUUCCAUUCAUAUAGAACUCCCGAAUGAGUUCUACACAGAAAGGAGCCUUGGCAGGGACCCGUCCAACAGGCUCAAUAGGUGCACGCUGUAGCAGUCGUCCAAAAUCAGGAACAUCCCGAAUCAGAUCAUUGAAGUUCACAAAGCGUUCAGCUAUGCACGACUUCGAUGCAAACAACCUUCGCCGUGCUGGAGGGACAUCCGCAGCUUGUUUUGUACGUCCCUCACGAGUACGAGAACCACCACCAUGAGAUGAUUCGCCAGCUAUUCCUUUGCCUUUGUCAAGUCGAGCAAUAGGUUCUUCAGAUUCUUCCGAGGAGCUCUCCUGAUAAUCCGGAUCAGACCCGGACGCUUCUUCAGUUGUACGUGUCCUUUUAGAAGCACCAUGACGACCUUUACCACCACCACGGCUUCGUCUCCCAGCCAUGAGCACCAAAAGCACCAGUACGAGCAAAAACGUCAUUUUCCUAUAUCAAAAAUUGCAUACAUGAACAAAAUUUUUGAAAAAAUCUGUAAAAAUAGCGAAAAAAUUUUUAAAUACAUUAGAAUGCAUACAAAUGCUACUUCUAACCAGAUCAUGCAAAAAAUUUCAGCAAAAAUCGAACUUUUUGAAAAAUCCCGAAAUUACAUGCAUAUUAGAGCAUAAAUCUUAGAUCAGCGAAAAAUAACUUGUUUUGAUGUUGUUCAAGUGUUCUACAAGCAAGGUAAUAUCCUAAGACACUGAUCUAUAGCAAAAAAUUACAUCAAAAACGGAUUAGAACAGAAAUCAAACCCUAAUCCCGCAAAAACUGUGAAAAUACCAAAACCGAGAUAAAAUUCAUAAAUUUGAUGCUAAAAACUUACAAAUCCACGGGAAAAAUGUGUAGAACAAUUGAAGAAGAGUCGCUGGAGCUCUUAGGAACAAAAAUUUUCGAAAACGAUUGAGAUUUGACAGAGAUCGAAGCGUUAUACCCGGUUAUAUUCCGCUCGGCCGCAGACCUUGUACCAGAACACGGGUUCGAAAAAUAUGCUUUAAAAUCCCAUCACAUUUAAAUUAAAUUCAUAUAAUUAAGGCUUUUACUCCAAAAAUUAUUAUAAUAAAAAUAAGAUAUUAUAAAAUUUUAAAAUCCAUCAAAACAUCAAAAUUUCAUUAUCAAAAGUGAUUUAAUAAUUUAAAACCAUCAAGAUGUAAGUUGAUGAAAAAUAAUUUUUAGAAAUUCAAUAAAAUUGACACCAAUUUAUCGCAAUAUAUUCAAAAUAGAGAUUUAACUAAUAUGGCACCGGGGGUGGCUCUUUGAGCAUCUUUUCAACUUACCACCUUAUAACUCCGAAAAUUUUUAAAAUAUUCAUUUUUUUUCAACCUUUUCGGCUUUUCAAUUAAUCUCCAUGUGGUAGCUUCACACACUUACCGGACGACCGGGGUGGUAGCUCUUUCCUACAUGUGGUGGUAGUUUUCACACUCCUUUUAGGAUGUAACUCUUUCCACAUCUUUUAAACAUAGGAGUAUAUGUUUUUUAUUUAAUUUUGCAAACUCCCCCUAAUUCAGACAAUCUCACAAUUGCAUAAUAAUUUUGACGAAAUUUUACGAUCAAUGAGAGAUAUCCAUUUAAUCAUAUCCCAACACUCUCAACCAAGAUGAAUUAAUUAAACAAGAAAUCAAUUUGAUUUCAAAUUUUGAUGAGAAUAUCAUUAGAAAUCAUAUAUUAUAUUAUCGUCAAAAUAUAAAAAAGUGAGUAAAACGAUAAUUAAUAUAAUUAAGCUUAAUAUGAUUGUGAAGUUAAACGCUGUUUUAAACACUCUUUAAAAAAAUCUCUCAUCAAAAUAAUGAUUCUCAACCAUCUCUUUUCUCGAAAAUUCUGAAUUCCUAAACACCUUUCCUCAACAUGAUUUAUAAAUAAACAAAAAUUUAAUGCACCAAAAAUCAUUCAAACAUGUAAUGUAAUGAAUAAAAUUAUGCAACAAGCACCAAUCAAAGCAUUACACUAAAGAUCAAAAACAACUAAGACAAGAAGCAAGGAAAGAUAUCACAUUUCCGGAUCCAAACUUGUUAGAUCUUUGGUUUUCUCGGCUUGUCGACGUUUGGUGCUGUUUGCUUAGAUUUUUUAUCAACCGUUGGUAUUUUCUUCGCUUGAGGCUUAGGUAGAACUUGGCGUUUAGGCUUAGAAAUCCGAUUCUCUUGAGGUACUCGACUCACUUGAUUUUGCUUUUGAUUCCGCAGAGGAAGUCGAGUUGUAGAUGAUGCCGAUUGAGCUUUAGAAGUUGCCGAAUUAUUCUUCUUAUCUUUCACCGGGCAAUUCCUUUUGAUGUGACCUUUAACUCCACAUCGAUGACACACUUUGCCUUUUAAAGUUGUUGAGACUUUAGAUGUUGUCAUUUGAUCCUUCUCAACAUAUGUUCUUUCAUAUCCGAGGCCCAAUUUAUCCAUUUGACCCAACCCGAGCAUAUAGUCCAAUUUCUUCGAUCCCGAUGAAAACUUUUGAAUGUCGGAUUGAAGUUGACGAACUUGAUUGGUCAAAGACUUGUUGGAUGUAUGCGAUUCUUCAAAUUGAUGCUCCAAAAAUCCAACUUUAUCUUUAUAGGAUUUGAUCGUUGAUUCCGCUUCAUCUAGCUUCUCUUGGAGGAUUGAAUUAUUUUUCAAAUUUGAUUCCCUUUCCUCCUCGAGAGCUUUCUUCAUUGUCUUCAACUUGUUGUUUUCCUCCUCAAGUUCCAACAAACAACGUCUCAACUUUUUGUUGAGUUUAGCCAUCUUCUUUGAUUCAAUGAGAAGUUGAUUGUACGCUUCCGCUACGUCGUCGUCGUUUGAAUCCUCCUCGCUUUCGCCAUUGCCGCUCGAAGAAUCAUGCGAAGAAAGAGAAAUAUUAGAGUUAGUAGCAAUAGAGGAUAAACACACGACGUUCGAUGAAGGAGUAUUAGCAAAUAAGGCAAUUUGAUCAUUCUUUUCUUCGUCACUUGACAAUGAUUCACUAGAAGAAUCAUCCCAAGUCUUUGCUUGCAUAGCCUUCGUUUUAUGAACUUUCUUUGAAGGACAAUCCGUCGCAAUGUGGCCGUAGCCUUUGCACUUGAAGCAUUGGAUCUCGCCUUCAAAUACAUCCUUUUCUUUUGAAGUCUUUGCACGCUUCUUCUCCUUAGAUGUAGAUGAUGAAGAUUUAGACGAUGAAGCCUUGUCCGAUCUAUUCUUUUUUCGGAAAUUCCGACGAAACUUCUUCGUAAGAAGCGCCAAUUGUUGUUCAAAGUUCGCAAGCGAAACAUCUCCGUCGAAAUUCGAGUCGUCGUCUUCUAUCUUUGUUGAUUUGAGUGCAAUCCCUGUACUUUUAGAAAAAGAUUUGGAAGACGAUUGAUUAGUAGGAAAAGUCAUCUCAUACGUUUGUAAAGAACCAACUAAUUCCUCGACUUUCAUCUCGUCCGGAUGUUUGACCGUUUCAAUCGCGGCUACUUUAGCCCGAAAGCGUUCCGGAAGAGUUCGAAGAAUUUUUCGCACAACUUUAGCAUCCGGGAUUUUCUCUCCCAAGUUAGCGCAUGUAUUAACUACAUCUUGUAGACGUGUAUAGUACUCGGUAAAGGUCUUGUUUUCGUCCAUAAAAAUUGAAUCAAACUUGCUAGUUAGCAUUUGCAAUUUUUAAACCAUUACUAAGCUUGUUCCUUCAUGCGUAAAUUGUAGAGUAUCCUAAAUUUUCUUGGCGGUUUCACACGCCGAAACGCGAGUAAACUCCGUUUGUGACAAUGCAUUAAAUAAAGCGUUUAUGCCCUUACCAUUAAACGAAGAUGACUCGUUUUCAUCUUUCGACCACUUGGUCCGUAGUUUUGGCGUUUCAACAUUCUCGACCUUUUCAAUAGGAUGUGUCCAUCCAAAUUCAAUUGAUUGCCAAACACGCUCAUCGAUUGCAAUUAGAAAAGCUCUCAUGCGAACUUUCCAAUAGGCAUAAUUAGUGCCGUCGAAGAGCGGAGGUCGAUUAAUGUUUCCGCCUUCGGCCAUUAGAUAACAAUUUAUCUAGAUCCUGCUCUGAUACCAAUUGAAAGUUUUGAGGAGCCCAAGGAUCUAUCUAGAUUGUAUCUAUCACCUAGAGGGGGGUGAAUAGGUGAACGGCCAAAAACCACAAAUCUCGAUGCAAUAAAAAUAAAUGCGGAAAAUAAAAAGCACACCGAGAUUUACGUGGGAAAACUCCAACUUGGAGAAAAACCCACGGGACCAACACGCGAAAAAAUAAUUCACUAAGAGAAAAGAUUACAAGGUGAUUACCGACUCCACGGACUCAACCUCUCUUAACCUCCUAUGAAUCUUCGCGCUACCCUCCGGGUUGUCCACGCCCUCACGUUCGAAUCCACGAACGCCUCCACUUCGAAUCCACGAAGCUUCAAUCACGCCGAAUCCACGACGCCACUCGAAUCCACGAGCCAACGAUCCGAAUCCACGAACCGCCUUUGUUCACGCCGAAUCCACGACGCCGUUCAUGAAGAGCAUCAUGAUUAUGGUGAUCCUUCGCUUAGGAGUAUCGUAGAAAACCCGGGAAGAGAACUCUAAGCGAAGACUAGAUCAAAUCGACAUAUAGCGAAUGCGAAACGUUAUCUCGAUUUGAUCUAAAGAGGCUAAUUUGUAGAAAAUAUGUUUAGAAUGAAAUCCGAGCCUCUAGGGUUUCUCAACCAUGUAUUCUUAUGAUGCUUAAUCAGUUAGAGAACCCCAAUAGCUUAUUUAUAGACUUUAGAAUCAAAACGGAGUAGAAUUAGAAAGUUUCUUUCCAAAAUCAGCACCUUGUACCAGAACAAGGAAAGCUGCCCAGGGUACAGCAUGACGGAAGAUUUUUCUGCGAAGCUUCUGUACCCUGGAUAGGCUGCAGCGUGUUCCGGAACAGGGCUUGUACUGGUACAGCCAUGAUGGUUGUACCGGAACAACCAUCAAAUAUUUCUGCGCAAACGCUGAUGGCUGUACCCUGGACAGAAAACCCUUGUACCAGUACAACAAUACAAUUUUCGCUGAAAAUGCAUUGUUUCGAGUUUUACAAGCUCUUAGAAAUUUUCUAAUCACUUACAACUUGAAAACAUGAUUCUAAGAUCUAUAAUUAAGUAUGAAUCACCAUAAACAAGAUUUAAAACUUACCUAAGCAUCGUGAUUCAUGUUUUGCGUGUUUUGCGUCCUUUUUGAUUCUUCGAAGUCUUGGAUUCUUUGAUCUUCAAUACUCCACUCCGGACUUCUUCAAGACUCCGACUCGACCCACGAAACUUGCCAACGCAUAGGACUUAACAGCCCGGCCUCCACGCGCUACCCCGGCGUCAAACACAAGCUCGAACGGCCUCGCGGCGCGACGUCGGCGACAAAACUCCAACCGAGCUCCUAGGCCUUCAACCGGAUGAGAGUGAGAGUGAGAGAGGGAGGAUUGCAUCAAGAAGACCUCUCUCUCUCUCUCUACACGAAGCUAUAUAGAGGGGAGUGAGGGGUGAAACAAACGAGGGAAGGAAUUACCAAAUUAACCCUCUACCUAUCCCCUUGUACCGGUACAUGGGCUCUUGUACCGGUACAAGAGCCAACCCGAGAGCUGCUAAUCCUCUGCUCGAUGGUUGUACCGGUACAGCCACGCUGGUUGUACCGGUACAGCAAGCAGAGAAAUCUGCAGUUUUGCAGAUUUCUUCGCUAUAAGCUGCCCUCGCGUCGCACGGAGUCCGUUUUACGUCUAUUUGACGCCAACGCGACUCGGACUUGUCCCGACACUCUCCAGAGCUGUCGGCAAGCCUCCACAGCUGAACACAAGGGAUCUCACAUCCUCCCCCUCUAUAAAAAGUUUCGUCCGCGAAACUGAAACAUACCUCUGCUCAGGCAUCAAACAGGUAGGGAUAAGCUUCCCUCAUCACCGUCUCAGGCUCCCAAGUCGCCUCCCGCUCCUUGUGAUGGCUCAACUGCACUUUCACAUACGGAAUGACCCGGUUGCGCAAUUCUUUCGUCUCACGAGCAAGAAUCCACAACGGUCGCUCCUCGUAUCUCAGAUCCUCGCUAAUCUCGAGUGGAGUGAAGUCAAUCACGUGAGAGGGGUCGAAAAUGUAUCUCCUCAGUGUUGAGACGUGGAAAACAUCGUGGAUGCCAGCAAGUCGCGGGGGUAGAGAUAUCCUGUAAGCCACCGGUCCGAUACGCUCUAAUACCUCGAACGGGCCAACAAACCGUGGACUAAGCUUUCCACGUACUCCAAAUUGGCGUAUCCCUCUGGACGGCGAGACUUUGAGAAAAACAUGAUCUCCAACCUGAAACUCUAAGUCUCGUCUCCUGGUAUCGGCGUAGCUUCUCUGUCGGCUCUGUGCUGUCAGAAGGUGUCGUCGGACGACUCUCACCUUUUCCUCAGCCUCAAGUAAAAUCUCCGGUCCAAGUGUCCUCCGCUCACCCACAUCACUCCAAAACAGGGGGGAUCGACAUCUGCGCCGAUACAACGCCUCAAACGGAGCCAUCUGAAUGCUCGUUUGAUAGCUGUUGUUGUACGCAAACUCAACCAGUCUCAGCAUGUCCUCUAGAGUCUGUAUGGUCCGCUCUGACUGACCAUCUGUCUGUGGGUGGAACGUCGUGCUAAAAUACAGCUGUGUACCCAAGGCUGUCUGCAAACUCUUCCAGAAAUGUGAUACAAACCUCGGGUCUCUGUCUGAUAUAAUCGACACUGGCACGCCGUGCAGCCUAACGAUCUCAUCUAAGUAUAGCUGCGCGAGUCUCUCUCCGGACCAAGUAGUCUGAACCGGUAGGAAGUGAGCAGACUUGGUCAGUCUGUCCACUAUCACCCAAAUCGCGUCGUAGCCACCCUGCGCUCUAGGCAAUCCAACGACGAAGUCCAUCGUGAUGUGCUCCCACUUCCACUCGGGAACUGGCAGACUCUGAAGCUUGCCAGCAGGCACCUGAUGCUCGGCCUUCACCUGUUGGCAAGUCAAACACUGAGCCACAAAUCUGCCAAUGUCCCUCUUCAUUCCAGGCCACCAGAACCGUGCCUUAAGAUCCUUAUACAUCUUGGUUCCCCCAGGGUGAACCGUAUAAGGGGAACAAUGAGCCUCUCUCAGAAUAUCCGCUCGAAUCUCCGGAUCCACAGGCACACACAGUCGGUCCCUGUACCGUAGUACUCCCGAACUGUCCAAAGCAAAACCCUCAGCCUGCCCCCUGUCUAGCUGCUCUCUAAUCCUCAACAAGUACGGAUCUCCACUCUGUUUCUCUCGGAUCCUAUCCAACAGAGUGGGCUGUAAAACUAGAGACGUCAGCCUCGCCGUAGACCCAGGGGGUACUAUCUCGAGUCCCAGCCGCUGUAGCUCCUCGAGUAGGGGUCUCUGCUCAGUAAUCCUCAAACUCAGGCUCUGCACUGACUUCCUGCUCAACGCAUCUGCCACCACAUUCGCCCUGCCGGGAUGAUACUGAAUACUAAUGUCAUAGUCCUUCAGUAACUCCAACCACCGGCGCUGCCUCAGAUUCAGCUCCCUCUGUGUGAACAGAUACUUGAGACUUUGAUGAUCGGUGAAAACCUCGCAGUGCUCGCCGUACAAGUAAUGCCGCCAGAGCUUCAAAGCAAAAACCACCGCGGCAAGCUCCAAGUCAUGCGUAGGGUAAUUCUUCUCAUAAUCCUUUAACUGCCGUGAAGCAUAAGCAAUCACCCUACCAUGCUGCAUCAGCACGCAACCAAGUCCACUGUGCGAUGCAUCACUGUAGAUCACAAAUCCUUCGCCCAUAACAGGAAGGGCAAGGAUAGGAGCCGACAUCAACCUCAAUCUCAACUCGUCAAAGCUCCUCUGACAGUCGUCGCUCCAGACAAAACGAAUCCCCUUCCGCGUCAAGCGUGUGAGGGGUGUGGAAAGCUUCGCAAAGCCUUCCACAAACCGACGGUAAUAUCCUGCCAGUCCCAGGAAGCUCCGUACCUCAGUAACCGUCGUCGGUCUAGGCCAAUCUCGAAUCGCCUCAAUCUUCUUCGGGUCCACUGCUACGCCCUCAGCUGAAAUCACGUGGCCCAAGAAAGCAACCUCCCGUAGCCAGAACUCGCACUUCUUUAACUUGGCAUACAACUUCUUCUCGCGCAGAAGCUGUAGCACAAUCCUCAAGUGCUCCUCAUGCUCAGCAUCACUCCGGGAGUAAAUCAGGAUAUCGUCGAUGAAGACUACCACAAACCUAUCCAAGAACGGCUUGAACACUCUGUUCAUCAAAUCCAUGAAUGCGGCAGGGGCAUUCGUCAAUCCAAAAGGCAUCACCGUGAACUCAUAAUGCCCGUACCGAGUCCGAAAAGCCGUCUUGGGAACAUCCUCGGCCCUCACCCUCAGCUGGUGGUAACCUGACUGGAGAUCAAUCUUCGAAAAGACACAAGAUCCUUGCAGCUGAUCGAAUAGAUCAUCAAUGCGCGGCAGAGGAUACUUGUUCUUGAUGGUCACUUUAUUCAGCUCCCGGUAAUCCACACAUAACCUGAGCGAACCAUCCUUCUUCUUUACAAAUAACACCGGCGCUCCCCAAGGCGACACACUGGGUCUCACAAACCCUCUAUCCAUCAAAUCCUGAAACUGUGCCUUUAGCUCUCUCAGCUCUGCCGGCGCCAUCCGAUAAGGUACCUGUGAGAUUGGUGCAGUUCCCGGAACUACAUCAAUCACAAACUCAAUCUCCCUCUCCGGCGGCAACGUCGUCAACUCAGGGGGAAACACAUCCGGAAACUAGCGGACUACUGGGAUGUCCUCGAGUCCUGGCGCCGCCGUAGGUACCUCCACAACAGUUGCUAGAAAAGCGAUACACCCGCUACUCAACAGCUGUCGAGCCCUCGCCGAAGAGAUCCAGGUGGCAAACAACGUACUCCUGCAGCCUCUGAAAGUAAACUCCUCCUGGCCAGGCUCGCGGAACGUCAUCGUCCUCGCUCCACAGUCGAUCGUAGUAUAGUACCGUGCCGGCCAAUCCAUACCGAGUACAACGUCGAAGUCCUGCAGCUGCCCUAGCACCAACAGGUCUGCGGGCAUAACCCAAGAGUCUAACUGCACCGGACAUGACCAACAACACUCUGUAACCUGCAAGACAUGGUCGGGGAUCUACACCUCUCGUGCCUGUGACAAGGAUCCUAACUCUAGACCAUGCAAUAAUGCAAAUGCUCGGCUAACAAAAGAAUGCGAGGCUCUAGUAUCAAAAAGAGUACGAGUACGAAUGCCGAAAAUCAAAGUGAUACCUGCCACCACUCGGUCAGCUGCCGUAGAGUCCUCCACCUGUGCUGCAUAGACUCUGCCACUCGGAGCUUGCUGUCGCCGCUCACCCUGUCGCGGCACGGAAGAUCUAUCCUCCUGGCGGUAACUCGGUGCUGCUCUGAAUGACUGCUGAGGUGCUGGUAGAGCUGAAGCUGAUGAUGGUGCUGGAGAUGCUGCUCGAGGACAAGCUGCCCUCAUGUGUCCCGGCUGACCACAUCCGUAGCACCGGCCCUCCCUCUGCUCGCACUGUCUGGGCCAGUGUGGUCCUCUGCAGAUCACACACUGCGGCGUCCUCUCUCGCUGUUCCCUCUGACGGGAGUUCCUGGAUCGUUGACGCCCCGAGAACCCACGACCCUGUGAACGCGAUCGUGGAGGCCUCGGCGGACGCCUGCUACUCGACUGACCUUCUCCGUCUAGAGCUGGGCGCUUCCUGUCCUGACUCUGUCCCGGCCCCUGAGCCCUCUCCCGCAGCGACACCUCUCCUCUCUCCUCCCAUAAUGCCUGCUCAAUGGACGCAUCCAAAAUCCUCGACUUCUGCGCCCUAACGAACCUGAAAAGGUCGGGUCUCAAACCCUUCUCGAACAAAUAGACCCUAUGUGCCUCGUCUCUGGCCACGAACGGAACACAGUUCAGGAGCCUAGUAAACUCCCGAACAUACUCUUGAACUGUCCGCUCAUCCUGCUGGAUCCUCUUCAAAUCCUCCUCAAUCUUUUGUUUCAUGCUGUUGGGGAAAUACAUCCCAUACAGCAUUCCACAGAACUCAUCCCACCUCAACUGUGUCGCCACCAGUCCCUGGUCUCGCCUCGCUCUCCGCCACCAAUCAUGUGCAUCACCUGACAGACAGUGUACUCCCAAAGGUACCUGCUCCCACUCUGGAACGAAUAGAUCCUCGAAUAACUUUUCCAUUGCACUAACCCAUCCCUCAACAAUCCAGGCCUCAAUGCCUCUGCCAUCGAAGAUCGGUGGGUCAAAUCGACGAAAACGAGCUAACCUCUCCGUCCACCGCUCCUGCUCGGCCUCAGUCAACAGUACUGGCCCCCUAGCAGGCGCAACUGGCGCUACUGGAACUGCUGCCGACAGAGGAAAUGCUGCAGCUGGUGCGGUCACUGGAGUAGUCGGGGGUGGAACUGGCGACUCUGGUACUCUCAGUGCUGAACUUGGUGGCUGUGCUAUCCUCUCACACAACCUCUGCAACAACUCCCCCUGCUGCCGCGCCACCUCAGUCAGGGCAGCCAACUGUGGGGCCCUCUGCUCUACAACUGGGGGUGCACUCGCCUCUGCCUGCUCAGGCAUCUCGGGAGAUCUAGCACGAUCCUGCGCCAACUGCGGACGCUCUCACAACAACGGUCGACCUCGACGACGAUACAUAGCUGCAAGGAACAGAUCGGGGUCAGUUGAAACACAAACACUCUCGACCAAAUCAAACGAAAGUCUAGAAGGCGGUCCCUGUUUUCCUCCAAAAUUAUGUCGUCUGCAGCCAACAUAAUUUCUCAGGCCAAAACAGGAACUCCUUCGGUCACUCACCCCACUCUAGGAGGAGUUAGAACAAAUAAUCAUUGACUUUCGCAAUAAAUUACGCCUCUCGCAUCAUGCUUUCCUAAGGUUUGCCAAACUUAGGUUUCCUAGGUCCCAACGACCUAUAGCAAAGCUCUGAUACCAACUUAAUCUGUCACGCCCUGGAUGUCUUGUUCCCCGGGCAUGCCAACAAAUCCGCCGUAUACAAAGAAAUUUUUUCGGUAUACGAAGCGACAGCUGUACCUGUAAAUUAAACACUACUACGAACAGUAGUAGAGAGCUGCUAGAGAAAACAGAAGCUAAACAAACUGAGUUUCAUAUNNNNNNNNNNNNNNNNNNNNNNNNNNNNNNNNNNNNNNNNNNNNNNNNNNNNNNNNNNNNNNNNNNNNNNNNNNNNNNNNNNNNNNNNNNNNNNNNNNNNACGUCGGUAGCUCUAACUCGCGACCCCUUGCCUCGAUGUCCUGUCCACGGAAGGGGCCAGCAGCCGUGUCACGCCCCGGGACCCGACACCAAAUUUGGCCCGACCGAUGCACGUAAACAGACGCGAACGGACAAGAGUUUCCCUAUCCCGCCCAAGCUGCAUCCAAUGUACAUUUUCAUCAAUAGAGAAAAGGCACUAGCGAAAAGGCAUACACAAACCUAUCACGAGGUAAGCAAUAGCCAUUAGUGAAAAGAAAGGAAACACUAAACAUGUACAAAGUACAUGAUUCAUGUAGAUCAUAUACAUUAUUACAUUCCAUCUCUUACAUUUAGGAUCUUACAUUAUAUACAUAAUUCCAAUCUUUCUUCUUACAUCACAAUUGCCAUCAAAAUACAGCUUUAACAAUUCUUUUCUUACAUCCUAAUCAUCAAGACAAAGAUAAUCAUAGGUAACUUUACUACAAAAUGAACCCAACUUUGGUGCUCUGUCUAAGGACGGCGAUACCUUUACCUCGGUCGCCAGCGCCGCUCCGCUUCGGUCCCGCUCCUGUGGAAAUAGUGGUGACGAAUACAACAAAAAUUCCCAGUUGGGAUUCGGCCUCAAACAUCAACCGAUUUUCCCACCUAGGACAACUCAGGCAAAUAAUAAAAGGAUUAAGCUGAAUAAUAGAGAUUCAAAUCCUAACAUGAUCUAAUUAUCCUGAACCAAUAGGCAAGAAUUAUGCUCAACAAUUAACAUAUCAGGUUAUGCAUAGUUCUUUAGUUCUUUGCACUUUACCACUUUUGCUUUGCUCUUUGUUCUUUACUCUUUGCUCUUUAAUCAUAAGGCUAGCCGGGGGUUCGCCACAUUACUUGCUUCACAUUAAGAUCCAUCAUCGCAAGAACUCAACCAGCUAGACGUCUUACAGGUCUACUGCCCAACCCGGAUCGCCAAAUCCGGAGCGCAUCGCCCGAGGGGAGCCGACCGCCCUCGAGCAGGAACCUCAAUAGCAAGUAUACUCGUAUCCUUACGUCAAAGAUUAUAUUUAAAAUUCUUGACUUACAACUAGCUCAGUUGUUUAUGUCCUUUUUGUUGCCAACUCUAGCAUCGUUGUUCUUUACUUCUUUUACUUUUGCUAUACUCUACAUAUAAUUCUUUACAUCUUUACUUUGCUACUCUAGCAUUCGUGUUCUUACUCCGCCAGCAUUACCGUAACUAUACCAUUGGUCAUUCAUUCAUCUUUUUCAUACAUGUCUUCUAACCUAAACAUCCUCUAGUGUUUAGCACUUAACUUAUCAAGGCCACUCGAUCUAUGUCAAUUGUUCACUCUGUCUAUUCUGCUUACUUGGGCUCGCUUUUCUCUCAAUGCAUCCAUAGGUUUUCCGACAUCACAACUAGUCCUCAUUCAACAUACAUAUGACGGCAGUUGUACUCACAAUCAUCAUCAUUAAAUUUCAUCGUUAGCUUUACCAAAAAUGCAUCACAAAUAUGUUAAAUAUCUCAACUUGAAAUGGUACAAACGUCAGGCAUAAGAGAGAAGAUUCAACUGAAGUGAGACACCCACCCACCUCCGUAGGCUCAAAGGGUGCUCGCGACUGAAUUUCUUGGAAUUUUUUAAACCGCUUCUAUCUCUACCUGCGCACAACGAACCCUAUUAGGCAUCUUUGCCCAUAACUCUUUGAUUGGACCUUUCGUAUACUUCAAGGAGCGACACCAAACGCGUCGUCGGGUCAUCCCAGAAUUACGGUUUUUGGAGGGUCAUUGCACAAUAGAAACCCUUCAAUUGAGCAAAAGCCCGCAAUUUGGGGCCUUAGCUCCAAUGUAUACAAAACCUACAGGUUGAUCUCUGGGCAAGCAAAGUAGCUUCACUUAAUAAUAGUCCAUUAGAACCAUUCUUAGCUUCCAAAACCUAGAUUUUUUAGAUUUCACCAUUAGAGGUGGGUGAAGCUCAACUUGAGCUCAACCAUGGUCUUUGGAUCUUACAUAAAGAAGCAAAAAGAAAGUUUCAAACUACUAGAUAUUCCAUUAGAAACCAUUUCUAGAUUCAUUCAAACCCCUAUCUAGGGUUUUACUACAUUAGGGUUCAAAACUUACCUUGUAAGUUUCCUUUUCUUGCACUAGAGAAGAAGGAGAUGGAGCCGCUUUGCACCAAAAGCUUCUUCUUCACCUUCUUUUCCUUCUUUUCCUUCCUUUCUUUCUUUCUUCUUCUUCUCCUUUGUCUUCUAGAGAGAGAGAGGGAGAGAAGAGAGGGAAUGAGAGAGUGAAAAUGAGAGAAAUCCCUCAUUUACCCCAAUACAUAGCCUAUUGGGUUGCAAAAUUGCAGCUAAACCCCUCAACUUUCACUUUAAUACACUGCCCGAACUGGGCAGUUCGCGCAGGCGGGGACCGGUCUCUCCUUCAGGGACCGGUUCCCGAACGUCGUCCCAGCAUAGCCAGAGCUGCUGCGCGCAGUGCAACCGGUCUCUCCUUGGGGGACCGGUCUCUCGGGGACCGGUAUCUCAGGCAGGGACCGGUUCCCGAGAGCUAGUUUCUCAGGACUUAGCCGAUUUUUCGGCUGUCUCAUUUCAUACGCGUUCGGGGACCGGUCUCUCCCUUCAGGGACCGGUCCCCGAGAGCUGAAAACCUGCAGAAUGCAGAUUUCACAACUUUAGCUAUCGAAAACCACCCACAACGCACUUUUGAUCAUUUUAACAUCUUCGGACUUUCCGAAGUGUAUCGUCCUCGCACUUUGGUCAAUUUGACUAAAGUUCGACAUUUUAUAUUCCGAAUUUACGGUACAUUACAAGCUGAAACCUGUGGCUCUGCAAAACAGGAGUAACAACUGGGCGUGAGAACUACUGUAAAAACAAGUAGUCCUCAGUGGGUACUGCCCAAAAUAACAUCGGUCCACCCACUAAGUCUACAGAAGGGAGCAAGAAUAGUAGGAAAAGCAGGAAGUAAACUCUACCGCUAUCAAUCACUACACUAUCAUGCUCUACACUAACCAACUGUAGGAAAUGUCAAAUCUGACCCAAUCCAAUCGGAACUGUAAGCAUACCCGUUCCCGGGACUGUGAAUACACCCGUCCCUGCCCCGUUGCGACUAUCAGGCUCUAUCCACACUAACUGGUCCGUGGAGAGCAAGUCCAACUGGCAUGAGCGACACUAACGCGAAAGCACAAAGCCUGACUCCGGAGUGGCACUCGUGGGCGCUACCCAACCGAGUAUGCAGCGUAUCUCUGUGCGGAGCGUCAAUUCGGCUCAACACAAGUCAGUGAACAUGUCAAACAUGUGGUCUAGACCAACCACGUGCCCCGGCCAAUUUUGACCAAUCAGAAUCUGGGUUCCACCGCUACGCGCGGCUAUCCAAGACCCACAACAGGCUUACUCUGUAAAAAUAGGCUCGGCAUCCAGCAACGGGGGCGUAAAUGCGCUUCUGAUACACGUAUCCAUGGCGCCACUACUCGUGGCACGGCAUCAUCGAAUCAUGGUCUAGAUGCUAAUUUGGUGUUAAGCAUUGCCGAUUCCAAUCGUGUUUUCUCCUAAGUCAAAUCCCAGUCAUGUAAUUUGAUAAUAGUCAUGUUGCUCAACUGUUUUAUCCGGAUGCUCACGAUAUCAAGCUACCACGAUGGGAUUACGAAGCUGAAAAUCUACAUGUUGACGCAUUACAGGUACUAGAUAAAACCGAUUAAGACCUACCUCGAAGCUAUCCUGCAGCGGUACACUCUCACAGCUGGUGGCGCCACCUCGCGGUCGAUCGUCGGCCCUUCUGCGACCAAGAAUCGCGUGUCUAAUCCAAAGCUCUAACCACAAUCAGCGUUUUGUUUAGUUUCGCGCCGGUGGAGGUCCAGGAUCGACCAAGCUAACUUUCACAAAUCAGCAAGUAAUGGACCUUUGCGAUUCCUCUCGCGUCUCCGAAUCAAACCAAGUUGCGUCGCAAGUCCGAUGCUCUACGUCUUAGACGAGCUAAUACUACAGGUUCGGACGGUGGAUUCAAGCACAAUAAUAUACGAGUAGAAUGUAAACCUGCCUAAACUCAGAAUUAAUGAAAUACCACGCUCGUAAACCGCGCCCGAGUUGACGCAGGAACGCGAAUCCUGUAGCCCUGGCCCCAUGCGACCCCGGUCAACACAGCUCGACGGCCGUCGCGGCGCGACGUCGGGCGCAAACUCACGAGCUCACUAGCCUUCAACGGAAUUGAGAGUGAGAGUGAGAUUUGGAGAGGGAGGAUUGCUCAGAGCUCUCUCUCUCUCUCUACACGAAAGCUUAGAGGGGAUGGUGAGCGCGUAAACAACGAGGGAGGAUUACCAAAUAACGCCUUAUAUCCCUUGUACCGGUAGGUCGGGUAACGGUUUUUUUUGUUGGUUAUACGGUACAGAGCCCGCGCGGUUUAUCCUUCUGUGCGUUCGUUGGUACGGUACAGCCACGCGGUUGUACCGGUACGCAAGCAGAGAAAUCUGCCAGUUUUGCAGAUUUCUUCUGCUAAAAGCUGCCUUCGCGUUGCCGGCUCCGUUUUUAGUCUAUUUGACUAGCCAACGCGACCUGAUUCUGCCGAACUUCCAGAGCUUUGUCGGCAAGCUCACAGUGAAAAGAUCUCACAGAUUAUCUCUUAUCUUUAUAUAUAAUGAUAUUUAUAUAUAUAAUUUUUUAAAAUUAUAUAAUUUUUUAAAAAAACUUUCUUCUUUCUCUUCAGCACCUCUUUUUUUUUAUUCUUUUUUUAUUUUGGGUUCUAGCCCCUCACAAUGUAAUUCAUGCAUGUGGAUGUGCUGGGUAUGGACACGUUUCUCCUCUCAACAAGAAUUUAUAGAGCUCCAAGCCCAAAUCUUCAUGAUUGCAUUUAGAUUUCUUCAAAUCUAAAGUGAUCUCGAGAAAUUCAUGAGGGUGGCAUGGGAUCGUGAUCUUGAAUUAUGAGUUUUUCGGAGUCCUGUUGGAUGGGGAUGCAUAGAUUCUGUAGAGAGAGAAAGACAGAAAGAGAGAGAAAGAGAGAAGCAGAUUUGCCCUGUUCCACAUAUAUAUAUAUAUAUAUAUAUAUUAAAUGGCCAAUGUUGGGCCUCUCUUGGGUUGUGCUACUUAAUUUAGACAGGCCCAAGAAAUGAUACUUUGACUUCAAAGUUUGAACGCAUCGUUUAUUUUGACUGAUUUAGUUAGUAUAUUUUCUGCAAUUUAUACAAUUAGAAAUUCACUAAAGUAAGCACUUAACUUAAACUUUGAAUUCAAAAUGCUAUUAUCUAAUUCAAAUCAAGCAAAUUGAAAGAUAAGUUAGUUAAAUCAAAAUUUGAAAGGUCGGAUAGUUAUUUCAAAAUGAUCCACAAUUCAGAUAAAUUUUAUACAUUUUUAUUUAAAUUGUAAAUAUUUUUCUUUUUUUACGUUGUCUCCAACUGCAUGCAUUAUUAUCUACACUAUAUUUUUAAUCACAUCGAACCAAACGAUCCAUAAUAUAUACCAAUAAAGUACAUACAUAAGCAACAAACCAAACGGCCCCUAAAAGCAACAAAUUACAAAUACAUGUAGCAAGCACCAAACUAAAAGCAGAAAUACAUCUCAUACAUGGCAAGCCAAAACAAGCAUAACACAACUAAAAGUAUUUUGCAUAAAUCGACUCUAAAACCCUUUUACAUACUCUAAAAAGGUUGACUUGAUAGUGAACACUAGUGGAAAAUAGGUUUUAACACAUCACCACGCAAGACGAAGGCAUAUUACUUUUGAUCGAAACACACCUCACCAUGCAAGACACAAAACGCAACGAAAAUCAGCUGAAGGAUGGGAAUAGAUGUCUUCCUUUCCUCAGCAUGAAUCAUGCUGCCUUUCUCAUGACUUCCUGAUCACUACAAAAAUUAAAAGUUAGGGUUCAUUGGGAAGAGUUUCUGUCACGCCCCGUAACUGUCAGUUUGGCCGGUUCGGGCACGUCGAACAAACGCCGGACGAACAACACCUCCCCUUUCCGCCCAAGGCUCAACAACAGAGUCGUGUACAAAUAUGUCGCCCAGAAAGACAUACAAUAUACACAAGGCACUACAAGUGCAACACAAGUAAGAGCAGGAAUCACGAGUACAUACAAGUGAAGGAGUUGAGGGGCGUCGGCAGAAUUGAAAGAGUUGAGGGCUCAGUUACAUGAUCUGCUCGACAAGAAAUUCAUCAAGCCGAGUGUGUCGCCGUGGGAAGCCCCGGUAUUAUUUGUGCUGAGAAGAAGAAUGAAUCGUUUUGACUCUGCGUAGACUACCGCGAGUUGAACAAGGUCACUAUCAAGAACAAGUACCUGUUGCCCCGAAUCGAUGAUUUCUUUGAUCAGUUGCAGGGGUCUCGGGUGUACUCAAAGAUAGACCUUCAGUCCGGUUAUCAUCAGCUAAAGAUAAAGCUGGAGGAUAUGCAGAAGACCGCGUUCCGCAUGCGGUAUGGGCACUAUGAAUUCACGGUUAUGCUGUUUGGGUUUACAAAAGCCCCGGCAGCAAUCAUGAACUUCAUGAACCGUGUCUUCAGGGAGUAUUUAGACUAAUUUGUCAUGGUCUUCAUAGACGACAUCUUGAUCUAUUCUCACAGUGAUGAGGAGCAUGCCGAGCAUUUGAGGAUAGUGCUUCAAAUCCUUCGGGAGAAGAAGUUAUAUGCGAAGCUAAAGAAAUGUGACUUUUGGCUCCUACGCGUACGGGGACCGGUCCCCUCCCAUGAGGGAUCGGACCCCGAGAGCAAAACUUGUGCGCAGUAUUUUUCUGCCACUUUUCCACACGGGGUCUGAUCCCUCCUACUAGGGAUCGGUCCCCGAGAGCUCAAAAAUUCUGAAAUUUGCAGGAUUUCAUUCUCUUGCUCUCCGAGGCCCUCUACAAUGCACUAAAGCCGUUUUCGACGCCUUCGGCCUUUCCGAAGCGUCCCGAACUCAACUUCGAUCAAUUUCGAUCGAAGUUUGGAUUUCACGUAUCGAGAAUUCAUUUCCUGACAGUUUUAGGUCAAGUAAAUACGCUCAUUUCGAGGGUUGUUUUGUACCGGCUUUUAUUCUUGUCCUUAAUUAGAUUUGUUCUUAUCUGGAGUUUUGUCGUUAUUUUUUUUUUUUUGUUCUUUGAGUUUGUUGCCUCCUUCCUGUAGCCAAAUUUAUCAGCUUAAUGAAUAAAACAGUAACAUGCAUGCAUGUGACACUACUACCUUAGUUUUGAUUAUUUGUUGUCUGAUGCCUCCUUUCCACGAGCCUUCUCCUUGUAUUUAUGAGCCUAACAAGCCAAGCUCAAGCCAGUUCAAUAAUUUGAUGGCUGAGCUUGUUUGUAAUUAAGCUGAGCAAAGAUGAGCUCAACUCGCUAAAGCUUGUUUACACCACUACGUAACUACAUUUCGUAGGUGUAAUUAUUGAGAUUUGUACAUGAAAGACAAGUUAUAAAUCUGCGUGCAUAAACAUGUGUGCAUGCAUGCGCGCACAGACACAGGGCAGCACCACCAAUAAGUAUAGCAGCGCCAUCAAUUCAUUAGAUACAAUAAUCGAUAUAAUGCUAUGUACUCCAACCAUUUUGUGUUUGCAAAUUUCUCGCAUGAACAUCUAUCUCUUAUUCAAAAAAUGAGGAAUUAGGAAGGUAGGGAGUUAACAAGACCAAAUGGUCCAAUUAUCCCUUAAUUGUAAGAAAGAUAAUUAAAGCAACGUGUGUGUGUGUGUGUGUGUGUGUGUGUGUGUGUGUGUGUGUGUGUGUGUGUGUGUGUGUGUUGGGUAGGGCUCUAACUCGCGACGCCCUUGCCUCGGUCCAGAUCGGCAACAGCAGCAGCCGAAGACGAUGGCUCUGCAAAAGUAGGGUAACAACAGGGCGUGAGAACUACUGUAAAACAAGUAGUCCUCAGUAGGUGCCGCUCUCAACAACAUCGGACCAUCCACUAAGUUUACAGAAGGGAGUAAGGAUAGUAUUAAAUGCAGGAAUAAAAUCUACCGCUAUGAAUCACUAUACUAUCAUGCUCUACACUAACCAACUGUAGGAAAUGUCAAAUCUGACCCAAUCUAAUCGGGACUGUAAGCAUACCCGUCCCUGGGACUGUGAACACACCCGUCCCUGCCAAGUUGCGACUAUCCAGCUACCUUCACACUAUCUAGUCCGUGGAGAGCAAGUCCAACCGGCAUGAGCGACACCAAAUGCGAAAGCACAACGCCCGUCUCCGGAGUGGCACUCGUGGGAGCUACCCAACCGAGUAUGCAGCGUAUCUCUGUCGAGCUCAAUCAGGCUCUACCUCAAGCCAAAAUCCAAGUAACCGAUUCUAACUGGUCUAACCACCAACAGGUCACGUGCCCUCGGCACAAUCCGUCGCCAAAAAGGCAAUACGGGUCCACCGUCAACCUCGACGGCACCCAACAGUCCGGAACAGCCUGAACGCUAUUAUAAAAAUAUACUCGGCAUCCCAGCACGAGCGUCACUGAAAGCUACACUAUCUACAAUACUCACUAUGAGGAUACUGCUACAGUAUAAAAUAAUACAACGGCCCCUAGGGCUAAAUCAGGUAGUAUAACUGAUGACAGGUCCAACUCGCCCGUUUUCUCCUAAUUUAAUUUUCAAGUCCCACAUGUAUAAAUUACUUAAUUUAUUAUCGCAUGCUCCAAAUUCUGAUUUACAAUUCGCAUAAUAAUCCAUGAAUUCGAGCUAAAGAAAACUACACAAAAUCUGAAAUUUACACAUGUUGGUUACUAAGCACUUAGGAGUAUAAGUCGAUGAUUAACCCAACUUAGUGGCUAAUCCCCUGCAGCGAGGAAGUCCCGACACAAGGGAAUACCCUGCUGGAUCAACCGAAAACCUCCAAAAGCCAGAAGUCAAGCUCCCGCCAAACUCUACACGUAGAAUCCGACAAUAAGCAUCAAUUCUGCCUCAAAGACAGCAGCAGAGAAGAUUAAAAUUAUGACCCAGCAAACCUUCACCAAAUCCAGCAAAUAAGGGCUUCGUGGAUUCUUCUCGAAGUUCUGAAUCCAACGAACCAAAUCUCGUCAAAAUCCAACGCUCCCACGUCGAGUACGAGCCGAAACGCCAAUGAUUGAUGCUGGAAAUCUGCAGGGACAGCACCUAGCUCGAAAUUGAAGAAGCUUGGAAAUAAAGAAGCAAUUUGACGACACACCUACCUCGACAGUGACCCUAGUAUCUGUGCGACGUCGAGGACGGCGGUAACACACCCUCGCCCGGCCUCCUCGCGAUGCUACGGCGACAAACGUAGGCUCGAACGGCUCCGCGGCGCGACGUCGAUGGCGAAUCUACUCCACCAAAGCUCCUCCUAUUUGAUCAAUCUAGAGAGAGAGAGAGAGGAGAAGAGUAGCAAAUAGCUCUCUCUCUCUCUGCUCCUACACGUAUAUAGCAAGGGGAUAAGAGUAGAUGCAAAUGAGGCAAACAAAUUUACCAAAAAGCCCUCCACCAACUCAAAUGUACCGGUACACGUGCAAGUGUACCGGUACAGAUGCCAACCCGAGAGCAUCUGCGCGUGGUCUGCAGAAGUGUACCGGUACGCCGCGAUGGUUGUACCGUGUAACGGUACGCCGUGAUGGUUGUACCGGUACAACAAGCAGAAAUCUGCAAUUUGCAGAUUUUCAACGCUAAGUUCUGCUCUCGCGUCCUUGCUGAGUCCGUUUGGCGUCUAUUUCGCGCCAACGCGACUCGGACUUGUCUCGACACUCUUCAGAGCUGUCGACAAGCCUUCACUGCUGAACACCAGGGGUCUCACAUCCUCCCCUACUACAAAAAGUUUCGUCCUCGAAACUUAAACAUACCUCAGNUAUAUAUAUAUAUAUAUAUAUAUAAAGUAUAAAUAUGCAGCACUCAUUAAUCUUAAAAGGAUCCUGAUUCUGAAAAUUAGUUCUAAAUUGUACAAGAUCAGAUACGAGGAAUUAAUGCUUUAUCCACUAAUUUAUAGAUUUGAUGGAGUAGUAUUUCACUUUGAUGUUCGAUGCAGUUAAAAGAAUAAUCUUUGGACGGUAUAGAUACUUUGUUUUCUGUUUCUUAUGUUUUAUUCUGAUUAAAAUCCUCCAUCCACAAGUAACAUAAUCAGACGAUAUGGAUAGCUUUGAUUAUGGUUUUUUUAUUAAUUAGAAAUAAGAGAAGCAAUUUCAUCUACUUUUGUGAUUUUUUCAUUUAUAGCAAUCAAGUUUUGUUGGUAACUAUAACUAAUUAUACUUGGUAUUUUGUUUUCACCUCAAGGCUCCAAGUUUGGUGGCUCAGAGUGGCAGAGAUUAGUAUGACACCUUGCUAAGUAUCGUUGACCCGGGAAAGAAGAUGGAUUCCGACAAGGAGGCUUCUGCAGAAUGCUCUUUGAGUUGAGCUGCCUGAAAAGCACCAACAGUCCAACAGUUUCUCUGUUCUGCAUCAUCCUAACAGCUCCUUCGGUAGUGGAGGUAGAAAAUUUAAAUAAGACCUUUUGCUUUGGAGCCUAGAGUAAGCAAAAUUUUCAUACGGUACUUCAGAUCAUUAUUAUCUAAUUGUGGUUGUUCAUUUGUAUAGUUUCAGUAGGUUAUGGUGAAGUUAGUGCUUUAUGUAAUUUAAUGAUGAAUACAUCUGUAGAAACUUAAAAUACUAAGUAAUAUCAACACUUAGCACCAAAAGACUAACAGAACCUGCAUUUAUCGAUUCUGUAUCACAUUAUACUUUGUGCAGAAUUUCAAGCUCAGUUGCAAAUGAUCAUAGCGCAUAUUCCUGGACUAGAGAAUGUGCAUUCUGCAUCAUCAACAUUAGAUGGCUAUCCUAUCCGUAUAAAUACUCUAUUGCUUAUAUUAGUCAGUUGAAUUUAAGUUUUGUUUAUCGACUAUUGAAAUCUCUAUUUUAACUGGUUGUAGGUUCACAAAGAGGGGAGAGGGCCUCCACUAGCUCCCUUCCCACGCUUUCUAGAGCCAACAAGGUGAGUUUCAAAAUAGUCAUUUUUUUAAUAAUUGUUAAAAUGCAAAAAAACUACUUGAAAUUACGUUUAUUAUCAUUUUUUAUACAUUACUAUGUUGUAUUGCGAUUAAUAGCUUACAUAUCUUCAUGUUAGUAUCAAUGUAGAUUGUAGUAUGAUUUUAAUAUCAGUUCAUAUGGUGGUAAGUUGAUGGUUAUAAUAUAGCCUACCAAAACAUGAAAAAAUAGUAUGUAGUAAGUGUCACACCGCAAUAAUCCCACAUCGGAUGGGAAUGGGGAUGUGAUUAGGUAUAUAAGAGAUUUAGACACUAGUAAUAAUAACUGAGCUUAAGCAUUUUGGGCCAUGGUUGGGCCCAACGAGUUAUUGUUGCUAGUGGGCUAGGUUGUUACAUUUGGUAUCAGAGCCGGUUCCCCAGCUGGACAUGUGUGGCGAGUCUCAGCUGAGCCAGGGUCUGAAAGCAAGGUGAUAGGCUAUGCCGGAGCCUGAAUGACAAGGUGACCGGCUAUGCCAGGGUCUGGAUGACAAGGCUAGCGAGAUGAGUCUCACAUCGCUUGGUGAUCUUGGGCGUCUCACAUCACUCGGUGAUCUUGGGCUGUGUGUGUGAUUGGACUGACAAAGACAUCAGGGCCUUAACGGAGGGAGUCUGUCACACCCCAAUAAUCCCACACAGGAUAGGAAUGGGGAUGUGAUUGGGUGAAUGGGGAUGCAAUUGGAUAUAUAAGAGAUUUAGACACUAGUAAUAAUAACUGGGCUUAAACAUUUUGGGCCGUGGUUGGGCCCAAUGAGUUAUAGACUCCCUACCCCAAUAAUCCCACAUAGUAUAGGAAUGGGGAUGUGAUUGGGUAUAUAAGAGGUUUAAACACUAGUAAUAAUAACUGGGCUUAAGCAUUUUGGGCCGUGGUUGGGCCCAACGAGUUAUAGACUCCCCACCCCAAUAAUCCCACAUAGGAUAGGAAUGGGGAUGUGAUUGGGUAUAUAAGAGAUUUAGACACUACUAAUAAUAACUGGGUUUAAGCAUUUUGGGCCGUGGUUGGGCCCAACGAGUUAUUCUUGCUAGUGGGCUAGGUCGUUAUAGUAAGAGCUCAUGAGAUGUGUGUUUUUUUCAUUAAAUCAUGGAAUUAAACGUAGUUCGGGGAAGUUAAGUUGCAACUAUAUCUAAUAGUGCAUGGAAGACAAAGUUGCUUGUUUGCUUUAUUCCUUGUAGAAGCAUGCGUGCGUGCGUGCAUGAACGUAGACUAAGUUUACUACUAAAAAGGUUUGCGGACCUUAUCAUGGCUGUUCGAUUCGAAAAUAUGAGAAAAUAAAAACAUAGUGAUUUGUGUGUGUAUGUUAUUAAAGGACCAUUUUGUGUGGACAAAGAUAGGAUUGAGAGAAGUAUAAUUUUAAUACGUCUAAUUGAAGCAGCAUUAAUGGAUUCUCUGUUUAAAUCUUUUCAUGUAGUUUCGCACUGGAGGUAGAAAUAACAGUUUCCCAUUGCAAAUAUUAUUUUGCACUUCCUACUUAUGUCGGAAGCUGUAAUUUCUCUUUUUAUGCCAAAUAAAUGACUUUUGUAUUUUGAACAGCAAAUUUCUUUAAAGAACUAUGCCAUAGACUCAGAGGCAGUUAUGUCAUGCCCUGAAUUACUCGUUUCCCUAGGCACGCCGAUAAAUCCGCUGUAUACAAAGGAGUUUUUCCUGUAUACGAAGCAAUAACAGUACUUGUACCUGUAAUCACACAAUACUACAACCAGUAUUAUAGAGUUGCUAAAGGAAAAAACAUAUAUAAAUAUCAUCGGUUCAGUAUAUACAUAGUAUCCUGGUACAUAAACACUUGCUCCAGCGAGUAACAACAUAAGUAUGUAAAGAACCAAAAACUACAACUACCUAUAGCUAGUGUACUCUAGCCUAGCAGUAACUCGGAGGGAACCUAACUCGCGACUCCCUUUCCUCGGUCAAAGUCCGCAACAGCAGCAGCCGAAGAAGAAGGCUCUGCAAAAGGUUUCAACAACUGGGUGUGAGAACUACUGCAAAAAAAGUAGUCCUCAGUGGGUACCGCUACCGACCUCAACGGCUCACCCACUAAAUCUACAGAUGUAAACAAUGAUAAUAAGAAAAGCUGGAACAAAUCUACAGCUAUGUGCCACUAUACUAUCGUGAUUCAACACUAUCUAUAGAAAAUGCAACACCUGACCCAAUCUCACUAGGGACUGUGAACACACCCGUCCCGCCUGUCGAAGCUACUCUAACUGCCACCAAACUAGGUCGGUAGUGGAGAGCAAAUCCAACUAGGACAAACCGACAUCAACGCAAAAACACUAAGCCCGACUCCGGAGUGGCACUCGUGGGCGCUACCCAACUGAGUAUGCAAGCAUAUCUCUGCCGAGCUCAAUCAAGCUCUCACAAGCUGUAAUCGAUGCAAAUUGGUCAAACUGGUCUAACAAUCAUAAAUCAUAUGCCCUCGGCACAAUCCAAUGCUAAAACAGCAAAUCCGGUCCACCUUUAACCACAACGGCACCCGACAGUCAGGACCAGUCUGUACACUACUGUAAAAAUAAGUUCGGCAUCUCAGCACGAGCGUAAAUGCAUUCUACACUAUUCUAGGUAUCCACCGCCUACAAACUGCGGUGAUACAAACAAAUUAUGGCCCCUAGAGCUAAAUCUGGUAGUUUCAGAAUAUGACGGUGUAGAAUCCACAAUGUAUAAUUUAGCUAAUUUUUCAAGCUCCAAUUCAGAUUUGAAAACAUGCAAAAUCCAAGAAUCGAGCUACUAAACAUGUUAAACGAAGCUAAAACACAUGCUGACAAUAUAUGGGCUUAGGAGGUACUCUGAAAAUUCCGGUAAGCAUAUCAUUAACCCACCUCAAAAGCACAUCCAACAACGGCGAGAAGUCGAAAGAAGCGGAACCACACGCUCGCCCGGCCUCCCAACGCAGCAACUACAACGUCCACGCGCUCGAACUGCUCCCCUGCACGACGUCGGCGCUAAUCCGAGCACUAAUCGCGACCUCCACCUUGCUACGGUCAAGGACUAGAGGGAGAGAGGGAAGAGCAUGCAAAAAUCUCUCUCUCAGCCUCUCUACACGUAUAAGAAGGGAAAAGGAUAAGGGUGACACAAUCGAGGCAGCAAAAGACCAAACAGUCCCUCACCUACCCUGAAGUACCGGUACCAGGCCGAUGCCAUACCGGUACCCCGCAACAAAAAAUGGCAACCCGAAAGUAGUAGUUCAGAAAUUUACACUCGUACCGGUACUCCCCUAUAUGGCACUGGUACUAAAUGUUGAAAAUCUGCUAAUUGCAGAUUUUAGUGCUAACUUCCUACUCUCGCGUCGCAUUGAGUCCGGUUUAUGUUUAUUUCGCAUCAACCUGACUCAGAUUUGUCCCGACACUCACCAGACAUGUCGACAAGCCUCAGAUGCAGAACUCCAGGGAUACUGCAAGUCAAUAUGCAUCGGUGCAUUUUUUUGAUUUUUUUCACUUAAUGAGUGUUAGUAGAUAGAAUAGUAUAUAUUACAGUUUUGACAAAUGUCUAUUUUGUUAAUAAUCUAUUGAAAAUCAGAAAUUCAAGAGGACAAAUUGUUUGUGUAUCCAACUAUAAAAAAAAUACUCCAAUUCUUGUUGUAGAUUUUUUAAUUUAUAUAAUUUCUUUUUCUUCCUUUUAUUUAUUGCAGGAAAUGAAUUGCUGUUGAAAUAAGAGCUGAAGCUUUUUAUUUUAUCAUUUUUAAGUGUUUUCUAUUUUUAAAUUUAGCGAGUCAAGAAUGAUAUUGAACUGUAUAUCGAAUAUUAUUACUCUAUUGCUUUUAAAUUGAUGUUGCUAUUAUUUUGUUUUUAAGCUGUUGUGGAUCAUAAGUCAAUUAGCCUUGUAAAUUAUUGUUAAAAAAAUAAUUUUGUUUACUUAAAUAUUUUUCUUGUCAUUUUGUAUAUAUUGUGUUUGUAAAAUAUAAGCUGUGUAUUUUUAUAUUUUAUUUUAUUACUUUUUUAUUAUUGAUGGCUAUUUUAUUCGCACAGUUGGUGGUGACAAAAAGUUGCCUCUUUAUCUACAACUAAACUGGCGGCUGUGGUGGUUGCCACUUAAGCUAUAUAUUUGGUGGCGAAAUGUAUAGCUAUCUUAUCUUUAUAAUAGGUGGCGAUUAAUAAGGGCCACUAAAAAGUCAUAUUUGAUGGCGACAAAAUGUCGUCACGCUAUCUUUAAUAAGGUGGCAACUAAUAGUUGCCACUAAAAGUCAUAUUUGGUGGCGACAAAAUAUCGCCACGCUAUCUUUAAUAAGAUGGCGACUAACAAUGGCCACUAAAAGUGAUAUUUCGUGGCGACGAAAUAUCACCACACUAUUUUUAAAAAGGUAGCGAUUUUUUAUGCUUCGUCACAAUUUCAUUUAGCGGCAAAACUUUCAGUGGCAACUUGUGGCGACUUUAAAAGUCGCCACAUUUUAGAAAGGUUGCAACUUUUUAUACAUAUGGUGGUUAUAUUACUCGCGAGCAAUAUAUAAUAUUCUUGUAGUGUAUAUAUGAAAAUAAUAUAAUAUUAUAAUAGCACUUUGAAGCACGUACAAUCAAAUUACUUAUUUAUAUAUAGUUGCAGUAUUGCUUAUUACAUUCAACCAAACAAGAUAUAUGUGAUCAUAGCUAUUGUAUUUUUAUUAAUAUGGAUCUCAAACUACACUACAUUUAUAAUUAUACUUAACCAAACGACCUUGUAAAAAAUAAUUGAAAUUUCCUUCAGAAUCUUCUGCUUUAUUAUCAUAUUAAAACACUCAUUAAUCUAUGUGAUAAGAAAAAUACUAUAUACAAAUUCAAAAGUGGGUGUAUGUCAUAUUCCACAUCCAUCCAAUGGUAAGGAAUUGUGUAACGACCCGACUGUCUGCCGCGAACGAAUCGACCCUGCCGUAGGUAUUUCUAAGGCGAGUGGUCAUUCAUAGUACAGAUUAAAUUUGUUUAAAUUUUAUUUUAAAUCCGGAUUACAGGUUUAUAACUUCCAACAGACUCAAGAGUCUGCUGUUUAUUAAUAUAAUUUACCGUGUACAUGGCUUUAGCAGGGACAUUCCCCCGCGAUACAUAGAUUUUAUAAAAUUAAAUACUCAGUUUAUAAACUUGAUGGUCGAUUGGAAUCAGAUUGCUCAGUUUAAUAACAUGGCGGUCAUUUGAAAUAAGUUGAUGUUGAGUUUAAUUUUAAUUUGCUCAGUUUAACGACAUGGCGGUCAAAAGGAGUUUAAUUUUUAUUUGCUCAGUUUAACGACAUGGCGGUCAUAUCUGAACUUGAUUUACUCAGUUUAGCGACUUGGCGGUCGAUUGAAGUUGAGAGGCUCAGUUUAGUGACAUAACGGUCAGUUUGAAUUAUGGUGCUCAGUUUAAUGACAUGACAGUCAUUUGUUCAGUUUAACGACUUGUUAUAUCUUAACAUGAUUUGCUCAGUUUAGCGACUUGGCGGUCGAUUGAAGUUGAGAUGCUUAGUUUAGCGACAUGUCGGUUGAUUUUAGAUUGAGUUGCUCAGUUUAAUGACAUGACGGUCGAUUUUAGAUUGAGUUGCUCAGUUUAAUGACAUGGCGGUCGGUUUGAGUUUGGUGUUCAGCUUAAUGACGUGGCGGUCGGUUUGAGUUUUAUUGCUCAGUUUACCGACAUACCGGUCAGAUGUUCAGUUUAACGACUUGAUGGUCAAAUAUUCAGUUUAACGACUUGAUGGUCAUAUCUGAAUUUGAUUUGCUCAGUUUACUGACUUGGCGGUCGAUUGAAGUUGAGGUGCUCAGUUUAGCGACAUGGCAGUCGAUUUUAGAUUGACUUGCUCAGUUUAAUGACAUGACAGUCGGCUUGAGUUUUGAUGCUCAGUUUAAUGACAUGGCGAUCGGUUUGAGUUUUGGUGCUUAGUUAAUGAGAGCCGGUCGGCUUGAGUUUUGGUGUUUAGCUUAAUGACGUGGCGGUCGGUUUGAGUUUUGGUGCUAAGUUUAUCAACAUAGCGGAUAGAUGUUUAGUUUAACGACUUGAUGGUCAAAUGUUCAGUUUAACGACUUGAUGGCCAUAUCUGAAUUUGAUUUACUCAGUUUAGCGACUUGGCGGUCGACUGAAAUUAAGAUACUCAGUUUAGCGACAUGGCGGUCGAAAGGGUUUGAUUUGAUUGCUCAGUUUAACGACUUGGCGACCAAAUAUUCAGCUUAAUGAUUUAGUAGUUAUUUAUUCAGUGUAACAACUUGAUGGUCAUAUCUAAAUUUGAUUUGCUCAGUUUAGCGACUUGGCGGCCGAUUAAAGUUGAGAUGCUCAUGAAACGGAUUCAUAAAAUUAAUUCAUGCUAGAAGCUCGUUUGUAAAGUCUAUUAAAUUAAUUGAUGAAAUUAAUUUACGAUAGGGGGCCAUUUGGAGAGUCCAUAAAAUGGGUUCAUGAAAGUAGUUUAUAAUGGAGAUCCAUUUAGAAAGUCUAUUGAAUUGGGUUCAUGACAAAGGCCCAUUUGGAGAGCCCAUGAAAUGAGUUUAUAAAAUUAGUUUGUUAUGAGCCAUUUGGAAGGCUCAUUAGUUCAUAAAAUUAAUUUAUGAAAACGAUGGCCCAUUUGGCAAACCCAUGAAAUUAAUUCAUAGAAUUAAUUUGUAAUAGGGCCGGGGCCCAUUUGGAAAGCCCAUAAAAUUAAUUCAUGAUAAGGGGGCCCAUUUGGCAAACUCAUGAAAUUAAUUCGUAAUAGGGGGCCCAUUUGAAAAAUCCAUGAAAUUAAUUUAUAGAAUUAAUUCAUGAUAAGGGGCCCAUUUGGAAAGUCUAAAAAAUUAAUUCGUAGAAUUAAUUCAUAAUAAGGGGUCAUUUGGAAAGCCCAUGAAUUCGGUUUGGGUUGGAGGUAUUUGGAUGACAUAGAUUUGGUAGAUUUGGUUUGGUUUUAUUUAUGGACUUUGACUUUUGGAUUUUAUUUGUGAACUUUGGGUAUUGGAUCGUAUUUGUGGAUUUUGAAUUUUGGAACACAUUUGUGGACUUUGGGUUUUGGGUUAAGAAAUUCAUUUAUAUAGAUUUUUAUUGGUUUUGGACCCAAAUCUACAUGUGGGUUGAGAUAGACUGCGGGCUUUGCAUGUUUUGGGCCGAAUUUGCCUGUGGGCUAGAUAGAGUAAUUUAUUCAUGUGGAUUUUAUUUGUUUUGGAUCCAAAUGUGCAUGUGGGCUGAGACGGGUUUCGAGCUUUACAUGUUUCGUUCCUUGGACCCGAAUCUGCAAGUGGACUGAGAUAGAUUUUGGACUUUAUAUGUUCUGGGCCCGAGUCUACAUGUGGAUUGUGAUGAGUUUUGGACUUAAAUGUUCUGCGCCUAAAUCUGCAUGUGGGCUUGAUGCUUUAUAUUUUUUUGGACUGCUUAUGGAAUUUGUUCAUUGGGCCCAUAAGUAAAUGAUGGGUUGAACUAUUUUCAAAUUAAAAAGCUCGAAUCCAUUUUCUCAAAUUUUUGUUUUUCCUUUUUUUUGUUCUUUUUUUUUUUUGACUGAGAGAGAGGGAACAACUCUUUUUUUUUCUUUUGUAUUUGUUGUUUUUCUUUUCUUUUCUUUUUUUGUUUGUUUUAUUUGUUUAUUCAUUUUUUUUGUCCAAAUAUACCAAAUUUCGUCUUUUUUUUCAAAUAUAUGAAAUUGACCACAUCGAGCCUAUCAUGAAGAUGGCGAUGCNAAGCUCGAAUCCAUUUUCUCAAAUUUUUGUUUUUUUUUUUUCUUCUUCUUUUUUCUUUUGUUGAGAGAGAGAGAGAGAGAGGUGCCCUCCUUUCCUUUCUUUUCUUUUUUUUUUACUCUUUUUUUUGUUUGUUUGUUUUAUUUGUUUAUUCAUUUUUUUUGUCGAAAUAUACGAAAUUUCGUCUUUUUUUUCAAAUAUAUGAAAUUGACCACAUCGAGCCUAUCAUGAAGAUGGCGAUGCUUAUCACAAAGAUAACAAUACGAUCGAAUCGAACGAAGAUGGCGAAUCAAAACAGUACCCGUCCAUUUUUUUUGUUAUCAUUUUUAUUAUUUUUUUUAUCACAUUUUGUUCAAGUACGUAGAAUUUAAUCGUGUCGAGCCUACCACGAAGAUGGCCGCUUGAUCAACCUUUUUGACCAUGUCGAGCCUAUCGCGAAAUGACCGCACAGUUUACAUAAUAAAAUAUCUGGUGUUCGAUCAACUAUUUCGACCAUGUCGAGCCUAUCGCGAAGAUGGCGGCACGGUUUAGAGAUUAGCGAUGCAUACGCACAGCGAAAGUGAUGAUUUGAUGUCAAAUUUGAUCGGUUUGAAACCUAUCACGAAGAUGGUCGGAUUGAUCAAAUCGAUAAAAAAAUUACACUUACGCUAUUCGUAUGCAUACAUAUCUCUUACUGUCGUAGAAGUCAUCGUAAUUGUCGUUGCCGAAGUCGGAGUCAAAUGCAAGAGCCAAAGUCUUCUUCUUUUUCUUUUUUUUUUUUUGCUGUGGUACGAACAAAGGAGGGGGAUGCACAUGGCAUGCCCUCUGCCAAACCCCUGUAAGAAUUAAUCCGGCACAAAAAAAAUCACAGCGAAAAUUAAUAUCGUAUUUUUCGAAAAUAAAAAUCCAUAUCACAUAUGAACCAAAAUAAAAGCAAAUCAAUCCAGUGCCGGUGGAUCAUUCUCAUGUUACAAUGUAAAAUAAUAAUCUAACCUAAAAAGAUUUGAAGUUCAUGCUACAUGACCAUGAACCAGUUAAGGUUUCUUGAUCUAUGUACGGUUAAAACUGAGAUUCUGAUUAGCCACGCACGUGCCCGGCCUCUAUGCGUAUCCAUACGGAAUUGAUGCAGAUCCAACAUCCUCCGUCGCAUAGAACAGAUGAGUCGUAGAUUACAAAAACGGUGCUAGCAGUCUUCUGAUAUCUACGUUCCCUUUUGUAAGAUUUACUGAUUUUCACGAAGGAUAACAGAGAGAGAUGGAUGAUCUAAUACUUCUCAAAAGGCAAUCAUUAAAUCCCUCUCGUAAAGAUAUUAUAUAUCUUCACGUGGCCACUUCAUUAACUACUAAUGAAGCCGCGCCUUAUGUACACCUCCUCUUAGUAGAGCCAUACAAAUCGGCAGCCCCGCAAUCUGUUACAACUGAUUGGAUCAUAUCCAAUUAGUUGCCACAUAGGAUAAGUAAAAAGUAAAUAUAUGCUUAUCCAUAUGGAUAUUUUAUCUUUACCUCUCUCUUUAAUAAAUUUAAUUUAAUUGGAUCUUAUCCAUUAAAUUAUAAUUAAAUAUUCAUAUUUAAAUCUAAUCUAAUUAGAAUAUUAUCUCAUAAUAAUAUAUGAAUAUUUAAUUGUUCUCUAAUCUAAUUAGAGAUUAAAUCUUUCGUAACAUUCAAAUUCAAAUUAUAAUUCUCACUAUUUCCACUAGACUGUUUAGUGUAUUAAUUAGACUCAUUUUGUCAAGUUGGAUGCACACAGUUCCUAUUGUGUGUGACCGCAUAGAUACCGGUUCAUUAUCAUUUGGCAGUGGAGUUGAAUAUCAAACUCUUUAAUAUUGAAUUAGAACUCUUCUAAUCUAUAAAAUAAUUUAUUUUAAAUUAUUUUUACUUCUCUCAUUGUCCACGAGUUACACCUAACAGUAUAUCACGGCAAUCUAGAAUGAUGAUGAAAAACGAACCUUUUCGCUAACAGUUGCCGUGUGAUUAAUUCAUUCCAACACACAACGCCCCAAUCGAACUAAAAUUAUGGUUACUCGCCGUAUCUUAUUAUUCAAUCAUAUGACUAGAAUAUCUAAAACCUACUCAAUAUGGUAACACAGCUGGAAACUUUUUCCACACACCACGUACCCUGACUAGGGAUUUUUCGAGUCGAGUCUGAUAGUCUAUAUAGGACGUUCUCUCUCAAUAUUGAGAGUAUUGAAUUCCUUAUUGCGCAUUCACACGCCUCCCCAUAUAAAGUACUACAGCCAAUCAGUACCAGAUGUAGACUAAUGAUUAGAGUCUAAGUAUCAGUACAGUCAAACGGUAGCAAUCUAUAUGUGAAGCAACCAUGAUACCUCAGGUCGGAGGAGUACUUCACACAACUGUAGCAAAGAACUAGUAAUUGGCAAAUUUGGAACCAUGUGACUGUUCAACUAAAUGGUCACGCUCAGUGUGCUUGUUCGCUAACAAGCACCUGCAUGCUUCCUUUAGUGUCCCUACACUAAUGACUCGAGAUUCGUCACCUCAACGUAGAAGUGUAGCAUGCACCGGCUUAUCCGGAAAUAUCAUCGUCCUUAUGAUAUUCCUAUGGCUAGGAGCGUUUAAGAAUCUUGUACAAAGAAUUAUAUAUCUCAAAUUCCUAAUUUUUAGGAAUAUAUUUUCUCAACAAAGAUUCAACGGACGAUUCAUAUAAAUGUAUUGUACUGCUAACAAUAAAUAUGAAUAAAACUUGACCUUUAUUAAUUAAGAAAAAUACUUAAUAUGUUCACAAGCCUAUGUCACCAAUUAGCUUUAGGUUAUAUCACUAACAGUCUCCCACUUGCACUAAUGCCAAUCGCUCAUGUAUCUCAUACCCAUUCUUUCUAAAUGCACAUCCAGCUUUUGAAGUGUGAGCGGCUUAGUAAGGGGAUCCGCUAUAUUGUCUACGGAUGCUACUUUCUGCACAACAAUCUGACGCUCAUCUAUAAAUUGUCGGAUGAUGUAGUAGCGCCGAUCUAUAUGCUUGGACUUCCGAUGAGAUCUCGGUUCUUUAGCUUGCGGUAUAGCUCCAUUAUUGUCACAGUAAAGUGGCAUUGGCUUCUCAAUAGAAGGCACCAUUCCUAAUUUCGUGACGAAUUUUUGAAGCCAAACUGCCUCCUUUGAUGCCUCAGAUGCUGCAAUAUACUCUGCCUCAGUGGUGGAAUCUGCUGUUGUAUUCUGUUUGGAACUCUUCCAAAUGAUAGCCCCACCAUUCAAAGUAAAGACAUGUCCUGAUGUUGAUUUUCUAUCAUCAACAUCUGACAUGAAGCCUGAAUCUGUGAAGCCUUCUAACGUUAGCUCAUUUCUACCAUGCACUAAACACAAAUCCUUAGUUUUUCUCAAGUACUUAAGGAUAUUUUUCACAGCAGUCCAGUGUUCUUCACCUGGAUUGGACUAGUACCUGCUCAUAACACUUACAGCAUGUGCAAUAUCCGGUCUUGUACAUAGCAUAGUAUACAUGAGACUUUCUAUUGUAGAAGCAUAUGGAAUUCUGCUCAUGCGCUCUCUUUCCUCUGGUGUUCUCCGACACAUCUUCUUGGAAAGAUUAAUUUCAUGCCUAAGAGGAAGAAGACCCCUUUUUGGAAUUUUUCAUGUUGAACAUUUUCAACACAUCUUCUAUGUACAUUUGCUGUGACAAACCGAUUAACCUCUUAGAUCUAUCUCUAUAGACUUUAAUUCCGAGGAUAUAGGCUGCCUCUCCUAGAUCUUUCAUUAAGAAAUUCUAGGACAACCAAACCUUGACAGAGGCUAUUGUCUGCGACCACGAAUGACAUACCUCGCACGGUUAAUCUUAUUUUUAAUUUUCCGUGGGGUAGUAUUCAUGAUUCAGAUUAAUAUUUGAAUAUGUAUGGUUAUCAAGUAUUAUGGAUCCAUGGCUUCCAAUAAUUGCAAGCAUUUACUGUUAAUUACCCCUAUAAAAUAUUAGGGUACCUUCGAUUAAGAGACCUCUGAAAUGCUGAAGGAGAAAUAAACUGGAAUUGAACAAAAAGAUUUUAUAAUAUAGUUUAUCAUUCAAUUACAUAGCUUUAACCAAGGGCAUACCCUCAGUGUACAUAAACAGAGCAUAAAAAAAAAAAAGAGCUUAAUGAUGGUCAACUGAACUUAAUUUUGAUUGCACCUUGGUUAUAUAUUCCAAGAUGCCCAAAGUAUAUGAUCAAAUUAAUUUGGUUGGGCCCUAUAUGUUUUGGAGCUCAACAUUGUUCGUCCUAAGAUGAAGGAUUGAUUAAAUUCCAUGUAUGUAUUGGGAUUUAAUCGGAUUUGAUUCAAAUUAAACUCUAAUUAAAUGUAUUAGAGUUUGAUUUGGUUAAUUGAACUUUAAUUGUAUGUGAUAAAGUCCAAUAGAAUUUGAUUUGAUACUCAAUUUAAGCCUUCAUCCUAAAUGUAUGUGUUAGGAUUAGCCCAAAUAUUUUGAAUUGGACUCUAAUUUUAUAUCUUAGAGUCUAGUGUAAUUAGGCUCUAAGCUUAUGUGUUAGAGCUUAAUCAUAUUUACUCUGGGUUCACCAUAACGUGAAAUGUUAACUAAAUCCUAAUUAUAUAUAUUAGGAUUAGUCCAAUAAAUUUAAUUUGAUUAGGUGAAACCUAAUCUAUUAUUUUUUACCUUAGUCACAUAUACUAAGAUAAAUAGAUGGUUUGAUUGAUUCUAAACAAAUGUUUUAGAAUUUGAUUUAGUUUGGGGAUCCAUAUAGUUUGGAUGUGAGUUUGAACUUUGGUUCUUAAGUCUCAUGAAGAUCUAAAUUGGCCUUGAUCUAGUUUGGGCACACUCUUUUUUUUUGGGUUAGGUUUGUAUUCAAACUUGAGCCUGGGCUCAGAGCGGGUUCAUGUAAUUCAAGUUAUGGUUCAAUUCUGCUGUGGGUUCAAGCAUGGUCUAAAUUCGGGCCCGUAUAAUUGCAUUCAGACAUGGACUAAUUUUGGGCUUAUGGAUUCGGGCAUGGGCUAUAUUCAGGCCCGUAUAGUAUGGAUUCAGGUUGAGGCCUGAAUUAUAUCUAAAUUCUGGAUGUGGGCUCAGGCUCCAUUCAGGCCCAUAUGGCUUAGGUCCAUGUUUUCUUUAGGCAAGCCAUAAAAUUGGGCUCAGAUUCAGGUUUGGGUUGGUCACAAACAAGAUUUUUUAAUUUUGAGGUGGUUCGUUUGAGAAAAUGUUAACCCCAAAAAUUUAAAUAUCAGAUUCAGAAUCAAAUUUAAGAACUUCGCAUGCAUUUUUUAUUUUCAAAUUCUUAGUCAUGAAUAAUGAAAAUUCAACUCACAUUAGUAAUGAAAAGUCAAAAGGCUAAAUCAACUUAAACAUCAUGACUUAGCAUAAAGCAUCCAAUGGAAGUAAAUCUCAAUUUGGUCUAAUUUGAUCAAAUUGAGAGGUCGAUUCUGAAUAGAAUCAAGGUUAUCGAUUAUUUUUCGAACAUCCUGUUGUUCUUCCAAUAAAAAGAUGAUCAAUGAGUAACAAUCGGUAACCCGAUUGAUUCUUUUGUCUUCCAAUAUAAGAGAAUCAAGAGAACACAUUUUUUCUCUUUAUCUCCUUUGAAGGUAUAGGACAACAAAGAUGGAUAAUCCAUCUUUGCCUCUCUUAUAUUCAUGGGACAAUCAAGGUAGGAAAGAUUCCUUCCUUGCCUUCCUUUUGGUAACAAAGCUCCCUCUUUCUUAAUUAGAGAAGUAAUCUCUUUCUCUCUUUUGAUGAUAUUUUUUUUACAAAGAGAAGAGCACCGCUCUCUCCCUCUUUUGAUGAUAUAUAUAUUUUUUUUCUUACAAAGAGAAGAGCACCGCUCUCUCUCUUUAUGUACAGAUUAGGUUCGCCGUAAAAAAAACAUCUUAGGCAUUUCAUCAAACAAUUGGUGGGCGUGAUGCAUUGCGCAACUCCGAUUGCUUUGGAUUCACAGCAAAGAGUUGAAAGUCGCGGCUAUGAUAUAGUCGAUGUAGUGGCAAGGUCGAAGGUGAAGAAAUCGACGAAGUUGUCGGGCGUCAACUCGGGAUGGACGCCGACGUUCCGCAGCAUCCGCAGCAGGUGCUCUAACAGCACCACUUCGCGCACGAUGAUCACCGCCGACGACAUCCCCUCUCCUCCGUCCGAGCGCUCGAUGAGGACGCGGAUCUGCGGGUGGUCGAUAAGGUCGGAGCUGACCAGGUACCGACGCCGGGACUUGUCGACAUAGAUUGGGUGCAGCCCGCGCGGCACGACGUCCAAAUGCUCGUCGACGGCUCUGUCGGCGUCGAAUUUUGGCUCCUCCAACCGCUGCUGCCACAUGUUGUCAUCUUCGUUGUGGGGAAUCAAGAGUCCGCAGGCGAUGAGCGAGAUGCAACGGCUGCUGCCGGAGGGGGAGUAGACUUAUAGAAGCCUCUUUUUAAAGAAGCGCUGCUCAUUGCGGACGUAGAUCGAACACCUGGUGAGCGGUGACGAGGCCGGCCAUGACGGAGACGAGGCCGGUGUCGGGGCGGUUGGCAGCAUAGUCGAGGGAGAUGAGCGCGGCAUCAGUGGAGUAGGCGAAGAAGGUGUAGGCGUUGACCAUGAGGUAGGAGCCGGUGUGGCGGAGGAGGUCGAGCAUCGGGCGCAUUACGCGCUCCGCGAGGUCGUUGGGGAACGUGCCCGCGAAGGGCGGGUACGAGGAGCGGAGCACGGUGAGGGCGAUGGGGGAGGAGACCUUCACGGAGCCGUCGAGGCCGAGGCGCGCGAGCGUGGCGUGGACGUUGGUCAUGGCCGGGACGGGGAGCGUGAUGAGGUUGCUGCGCGGGCUCGCGAACACCUCAUUGCCCACGGCCACGGCCGCGAUCCCCCCGCUCAUAAACAAUUCACCUCCCAGCGCUACCGCUCCUGCGAAGUCCAAGAAAGCCUUAACGCAAUCGCCGUCGUACUCCGUCCUCGUCGGCCAGAUGCUCACCACCAUAUUAUAAGCNGGCCGCGAUCUGGAUCGCCGGGUAGUACGCCGCCACGUUGCGCUGCACCCACCCGAGCGUGUAGCCCGGGUGCGACGUGGCCGCGGCGAGGAGCUCGUUGGGGAGCGCCACCACCACCCGGAUACCGGGCUUGUACAAGAACGUGGAGAGGGAGAGAGCUUUUUUCUUCUUCUCUUUUCUUUUUUUUUUUUUUUUUUUUUAGAGAGAGAACUAUUUUCGGGUGAAAAAAAUAGCAUUUGAAAAUAAAGAGGAGAACAAAGUUGAUGGGUUUUUUUUUUUUUUGUUAGAGAUAGGUUUGAGAGUUGAAAAAAAGUCUUUUCUUACAAUUGGGGUCCAAAUAGAUAUUUAUGGACUUAGGUUAUAACUACUUGGAAUUUUUUUCUCCUUUUCCUUUUUUUUCUUUUCUUUUAGAACGUGCAGAUGAUGGGGUAGUAGGAUGUGGGUAGUUAAGAUAUUUUGGUCAUGGGAUCAUGGGUAUGGUAUUGCAUAUUAGCCCUUCUCACUUGUUUAUAUUAUACUUUAGUUAAAAAAUUAUAUGCUUGAAGUGGAGCAUCUUGCAAAUAUAUGGAAGGGAAAGGACUAAUUUGCUAUAUGUAAUACGCAUACGAGAGCAUUCUCUCUUCCUUCUUUUUGUAGUCUAUGCACCUGGUGCAUGGAUUAAUCUAUGCACCACGUUCAGAAUUUAAACUCAAAUUUUCUCCAUGCACCUAGUGCAUAGAUCGUCUCAUACACCAUUAUUCAAAUUUUCUCUAUUUCCACCUUUUUCUUUCUUUCUUUUUUUUUUUUUCUCUUCUUCUUCCAUUCUUUUUUUUUAUACUUCAACAGCUAUCAAACCAGUAUCAUUUCCAAUCAAAAGAAUACUGUCCACGUACAAUACGAGAAAGACAAGUUGGCUCCCACUAGUCUUCUUGUAAACACAAGGUUCAUCUUGAUUUCUCACAAAGCCAAACAUUUUGACUGCAUCAGUGAACCGUACGUUCCAACUCCUCGAAGCCUGUUUCAAUCUAUAAAUGGACCUCUGAAGCUUGCAUACUUUAUGUUUCUCGCUAUUGGACACAAAUCCCUCAGGCUGCUGCAUAUAUAUGUCCUCCUAUAUGAAUCCAUUGAGGAGAGCAGUUUUUACAUCCAUUUGCCAGAUCUCAUAGUCAUAGUAUACGGCUAUGGCAAGUAACGUUCGAAUGGAUUUAAGCAUAACCACAGGAGAGAACGUUUCUUUAUAGUCGAGACCUUCUCGUUGACUAUAGCCUUUUGCUACAAGUCUCGCCUUGUAUGUCUCUACUUUUCCAUCCACACCAAUCUUUUUCUUGAAAAUCUAUUUACAACCAACAGGUACUAUACUGUCACGCUCCGGGGCCGAUUUAAAAGCCAUUACCAUUUUUAAAACUCAGAGUCGCGGAAGAUGUACCAAAUUUUUUUUUUUUUUUUUUGAAAAACCUGGCCCACGUGACGUACAGACCCGCCACAAAUACAAAGUUCCUCUGUUCACUCGGGCAGAGUCUACUUUGUAUCUGCACGGCGUACCAACGAAUACAACAGGAUCACAACCACAACCUACAUUUACCAAUCAGCAACCAAUUCAUGAUAUGCAUUUCCAUACAGCUAACAAUCCUUAGAAUGAUGCAUGCCUCUAAGCACUCCUUAGGCGCUGGAUGAUGCAAUGCACAAUACAACAACCAUCCUAUUUAAAAGUGCUCNACGAGCCUGAAGCCAACUUCACACCGUGGCUUCUCCGGAAAAUCGAGUUACUAUUCACUUUAAGUGAAACUUGGAAAUCGCGUAGAAUCUCCGUUUUAACUCAUUUUCGCCCGAAACUUGACGAGUACUUUUGUAAUUAAAUUACACACAAAAACAUCGUCAACUGAGAGUUUAGCUACACUGCAAAAAUCUCAGUCCUUACAUAUACCUUCUGGUGGAUCAACAAGAGUUCAUACAUGAUUGGUAUACAUUGAGUCCAUUUCAGACUUCAUAGCUUCUUGCCAUUUUAUUGAGUCGAUGUCUGACAUCGCCUCUUCGUAACUGGUAGGAUCAUCCCUACGAUCACUAUCGCCAAUGAGGAACAUUUCCUUUGUGCAUUCCAUAAUGAAAUCUCGAUAUUUCUCUAGAGAUUGGGAUAUUCUACCAAAUCUUCGAGGUAAUUGUGUAAUAGUGGGUUUAGUUUGAAUAACUUGUUCAAAUUGUUCUAGAGAAAUUGUUUGCUCAUUUGAGACCAUCUCUUUGAGCACUAUCUCCUUUCCUGCACCACCUUCUUGGAUAAACUCUUUUUCCAAAAAUAUUGCAUGUCGGCUAACAAUCACGUUUUGUUCAUUUUGAAGAUAAAAAUAGUACCCUGUAGACUCCUUAGGAUAACCAAUAAAUCUUCCUUUAUCCGACCUAGCCUCCAAUUUAUAUGUUUUAAGUUUUUUAACAAAAGCUGGGCAUCCCCAAAUCCUUAAAUGAUUGAGACACGAUUUUUUGUCAAACCCCAUUUCAUGUGGCGUAUAAGGAAUAUAUUUUGAAGGCAUCCUGUUUAGAUUAUAGGCUGCGGUUAAUAGAGCAUAUCCCCAAAGAAAUAAAGGUAAGUCUGUGAAGCUCAUCAUCGAUCGUACCAUAUCUAAUAAAGUACGAUUCCUUCUUUCUGAAACUCCAUUCAAUUUCAGAGUUCCAGGAGGUGUCCAUUGCGAGAGAAUACCAUUUUCUUUGAGAUAAUUUAGAAAUUCAGCACUAAGGUAUUCGUCUCCUCGAUCUGAUCGAAGAGCAUUAAUACUUUUUUCUGUCUGCUUCUCUACUUCAUAUUUGAACUCUUUGAACUUUUCAAAGGUUCUAGACUUGUGUUUCAUAAGAAACACAGACCCAUACCGUGAAUAAUCAUCGGUAAAAGUCACAAAGUAAAGAUACCCAUCCCGAGCCAUUUCACUAAACGGUCCACACACAUCUGAGUGCACAAGGGCUAGUAACUCUGUGGUUCGCUCUCUUUGUCCAACAAAGGGUGACUUGGCCAUUUUGCCUUGAAGACAAGACUCACAAACUGGAUAGGAUUUUAAAGCACAAGUUCCCAAGUGUCCAUCCUUGGCCAGUCGGUUUAUCCUAUCUUCUGGAAUGUGACCUAGUCGAAGGUGUCAUUGAUACUUUGGGUUCAGACUAUUAUCUCUAGGCCUCUUGAUUUGAGAAUUAUUCUCUUUAUGUUCAAUAUUAGCAACAUUUUCAUCCAGAUUUAGAAAGUAGAGAUUGUUAACUAAACUACCAGUAGCUAUCAAUUUAUUUUGGAAAUAAAUAAAACAACCAUUAGUUUCAAAAAUAAAACGAUAACCAGUUCGAACUAAAGUUGUAACAGAAAUCAAAUUCCUAACAACUAAAGAAGAAUAAUAACAAUUCUCUAAUUCUAAAAUAUGUCCAGAUGGAAGUCUCAAAGAACAGCUCCCUACGGCUAACACAGCAACACUUGCUCCAUUACCCACACGUAGGGUUACCUCGCUGUCCUUCAGUGUUCUACUUCCCUUUAGAUUCUGCAAUGAAUUACAAAGAUGUAAGGUACAUGUAGAAUCUAAUACGUAAGAAGAAGUAGAGCCAAUCAUAUUGGCCUCAACGAUGAGCAUUUGGUUCGUACCUUCAGAAGGCCCUUCUUUCAAUUUUUCUUUUAGGGUGGAAAGAUAUUCUUUACAAUUUCUCUUCCAAUGCCCUUCUUUUCCGCAAUGAAAACAUUUUCCUUUAGCCUUGCCUUUGUCGGGUUUCUUAAAAUUGACUUUCUUCACUCCUCCCGAUGACUUGAGCUUGGAAAACUUUUUCUUUCCUUUGAACUUUCUUUUGAAGUUCUCUUAACAGCCAUCGCCAUCCAGUUUGUUUUCAACGUGCUUUCCGCUGUGACUAGCAUAUUCAUAAAGUGGCAUGAAUCUUAUUCAUGUUGAAGUUUAUAACAAAAUGAGAGAACAAUUCAGGCAAAGACUGUAGAACUAGAUCGAUCUGCAAGUCUAUGUCUAAGUUCAAGCUGAGGUUUAUUAGCUGCUCCAUAUCGUCAAUCAUUUUAAGACAAUGUUCACUAACUGACAUGCCUGGAGUCAUCUGAGCCUUAAACAAUCGCUUUGAUAUCUCAUAUCUUGCGAUUCGGCUUUGUGCACCAUACAACUCUUGUAAGUGCGCAAGCAUCUCAUAUGCUCGAGCAUAGUUCUCAUGCUGCCGUUGCAGCUCAUUCGACAUAGAGGCCAGCAUGUAAUAUUUGACACGCUGGUCAUUAUCAACCCACUUGCCUCAACUUCUUUAGGAGUGGCUUGAGCGGUAAACUCGAGAAUUGGAGCUUGAAGAACAUAAUCAAGCUUUUAAAUACCUAAAACAAUUUUUAGGUUAUGAAGCCAGUCUUACAAAUUAGGGUCGGUUAAUCGGUUAGAUUCCAUUAUGCGAGAAAGAGGGUUAGAGACAUUCAUUUUGUCUGCAGAAAGUAGAGAUUUUAGUUAGAUGAGUAUUUUUUUUUUUAACCUAUUAAACUAGGGUCUUUUAGUUUAAAAAGGUUUCUUCCACUAAUUUUAUCGAAUUUCUACACUCCCUAAGUAGAAAGACGGAAAUUCUCAUCCGUUAGAUUUCUUAGUGGUGAUUGGGUUUCAUAAAUUACGAUUUACCUCACUGGACAGUUUCUUGGAAAAUCGUAAUUUAAUGAAUGGGUAACAUCUUACCUCGACACAUCUCAUGUGCAAUCCAAUCGUCCUUUGGCGUCUAAGAUUUUUACGCCUCACCGAACGGUUUCUUGGUGCGACAACCUCAGUUAAGUCAAAUCCUCCUCUCAUACAAAUAUGAAAUUAUCAAAAGACCCUCACCAGAUGGUUUCUUGGAUCCAUUGAUAAUGCCAUAUUAUAGCAUCCUUGUAGUAUCCCUAAAAUACAGCAUCUGAAGCUUGUCGACACGUCGGGAGAGUGUCGGGACAAGUCAGAGUCGUGUUGGCGCGAAAUAGACGCAAAACGGACUCUGUGCGACGCGACAGCAGGAAAUUAGCAUUAGAAUCUGCAAAUUGCAGAUUUUCUGCUUGUUGUACCGGUCCAAUAUAGGGGCGUACCAGUACUCAGUAUAUUUUCUUACACAGACUGCUCUCGGUUGGCCAUCUCUGCUACGUGUACCGAUAUAACAUUGAUGUUGUACCGGUACACUAGGCUAGGUGAGAGGGCAUUUUGGUCUUUCCAUGCCUCGUUUGUGUCACCUUCUCUCCAACAGCCUUUAUACGUAUAGAGGAGCUGAGGAGGGGUUCUUGCAUGCUGUAUAUAUAUAUAUAUAUAGUCGACAGGUACUCGUGGGUAGUUUCGCAUAUUGUAGUUGCUCGAUUUACUGAUUUGGCAUGUUUAGAAAUCUGAAUUGGAGCCUAGAACCUUUACCGUAUAUGUUUGUACUUGUUGGACUUUGAUUGGACUUAGGAGAAAAUCAGCGAUUUUAACCUGUCAUAUGCUUAACUACCAGAUUUAGCUCUAGAAGCCGAGGUUCGAUCGUAUUAUUGCAGUUCCAGAGCGGUAGAUACCUCAGGUAGUUUAAAGUGCUGUUACGCUCGUGCUGGGGUGUCGAGCCUAUUUUUAUAGCAGUGUUCAUACUAUUCCAGACUGUUGGGUGCUGUUGGGGUUGACGGUGGACCCGGAUUGUUGAUGUAGCAUCAGAUUGUGCCGAGGGCACGUGUGUUUUGGUUGUUAGACUGGUUCGAUCCUGUUUACUUGACUUUAGCCUGUGAGAGCCAGAUUGUGCCAGUUGUUUCUUUUCCUUUUGCAGAGCCAUCGUUUUCGGCCGUGCUACUGCUGCUGAUGAUCCUGAUCGUGGCAAGGGCGUCGCGAGUUAGAACCCUACCAGACGAGCCAGAGUAGUGGAGGACCAGCUACAGGUAGUUGUAGUUUUUGAGUUCAUAUACAUACUUAUGUUGUAUCUCGCUGGAACGAGGGUUUUGUGUAUCUGGAUGUUUGUAUGUAUAGUGAACUUCAGUUUUAUAUAUCUCUUUUCUAUUAGCAGCUCUAUACUACUGGUUAUAGUAUUGUAUGAUUACAGUUUCAACUUCGCUUCGUAUACAAGAGAAAUUUUCGUGUAUACGGCGGGUCUGUUGGCGUGCCCGGGAAAACGUGUAAUUCAGGGCGUGACAGCAGGUCCUGUACUAGUAUAUUAUAAUUUAUUAUUCAAAUAAUGUAAUAUUUGCAUAAAUAAUCCGGGGCGUGACAAUCCUAUGUCAAGAUGUUUGCAUAGUUCAAACACAAGUAGCCCCAUGGGACUAUGCGUGACUACUCAAUGCUGAAACAAUGCUACAUCUUGUGAUCGGUGGAAGGCCACGAUAGAGCAUCAAAUGCCUUUUCGUUUCAACUUUAUAUUUUAUAGGGAGUUUCAAACAUUAAAAUUAUAUCGGUCUCAUCAUCACAUGUUAUAUCUUAUAUAAAAUAAAUCACAGGUAAAACAUACACAAAAAUUAAUUGCAUAGUUUAGGGAUGAUCAUGGACUUUUCUGAUUCGACUCGAACCGAUGAGUCAAAUCGGUCUAUAGAGUAAUACACAUGUAUUCUCAAUUCUUGAGAUUAUUUCACUUGUAAAUAUUUAGCCAUCUUCUUUUGUUGGAUCUGAUACAUCCUUUGAUGCCAUCACAAUUUGCCACGCCAAUCCAUCAACGCUUGAUAUGCAUUCUUCUCUAAAUAAUCCUAAUUUUAUCUAAUAAAAAAUACAAAGAUUCGUAGAUCCCAAUAAAAUGGCACGCAGGCCCUUCGUGAUCAAAGUAAUAAAAUUACAUCUGUGAGAUCCCAGGUGUUCUGUUGAGGAGGCUUAUCGGCAGCUCUGGAGAGUGUCGGGACAAGUCUGAGUCGCGUUGGCGUCAAAUAGACACAAAACGGACUCCGUGCGAUGCGAGGGCAGCUAAUAGCGAAGAAAUCUGCAAACUGCAGAUUUCUCUGCUUGCUGUACCGGUACAACUAGCAAGCUAUACCGGUACAAUCAGCGCGCACUGGCUUAGCUUCUCUUGGGUUGGCUCUUGUACCGGUACAGGAACCCGUGUACCGGUACAAGGGGGUAGGUAGAGGGCUUUUUAGUAAUUCCAAACCUCGUUUGUAUCACCCCACCCCUUCCUUCUCUUUAUACAUGCGUAGAGAGCUGAGAGAGGAGAGGUUACCUGUUCUUCUUCCUCUCCCUCUCUAGCAUCGGCCGAGUAAGGAGGAGGGACUGUUGGAGCUCGGAUUUGUCACCGACGUAGUGUCGCGGAGUCGUUCGAGCGCACGUUUGUCACCAUGGUGCUGUGAGGAGCUCGGGCGAGCCUGGAUUUGCAUCGUCUUCGACGUGGCGUCAACUCUUGAAGGUUGUCAAGGUGAGUGUUCUGAUUGGAACCACCUCAAUUACUUCGGGUAUCAUCAAUUCAAGCUUAAGUGCUGAUUCGCAGGAUCUUGUCGUCGACUAUUAGUAUUUCAGCUCGUUCUCGACGUAGGAGCAUCGGAUUGCGACGAGACUUGGUUCGUUGGUUUCGGGACUUCGAGAGGAAUCCGCGAAGUCCUUACUUGCUGGAUUUGGUGAAGGUUAGCUUGGUCGAAUCCCUUUUCUACUCUGUUGCUGCGAAAUUGGGGCUGAAUUGGUGGAUUUUGAUCGUAGAGCUUGGAGUUAGCUCGAGUGCUAGACUUGGAGGGUUCCCGUUGAUCCAGCAGGGGUCACUUUGGUUCGAGGCCUUGUUCGCUGCCAGGAGCUAGCUUCUUGAGGUGGGUUACAUCGGUUUUGACUCUUAAGUUCUAUCGUCAACAUGUAUGAACUUCAAUUUUGGUAUAGUUUAUUCUAGCUCGAAUUCAUAGAUUAUUUUGUAGAUUGACAAUCUGAAUUUGGAGCAUGUGGUAAUAAAUUGAGUAGUUUAUACAUGUUGGACUUGGAAAUUGAAUUAGGAGAAAACCUGCUAUUUGGACCUGUCACCUGUUUAAACUACCUGAUUUAGCCUUAAGAGCCGUUGUAUGAUUUUAUACUGUUGCAGUAUCAUCAUAGCAAGUAUCCCAGGUAGUUUAGAUUUCAGUUACACUCGCGCUGGGAUGCCGAGUGAAUUUUUACAGUAGCGGUUAGGCUGUUCCGGACUGUUGGGUGCCGUCGGGAUUGACGGUAGACCCGUAUCGCCGUUUUGGCAUCAGAUUGUGCCGAGGGCAUGUGACCUGUUGGUUGUUAGACUAGUGAGAGUCGUUUACUUGACCUUAGCCAAUGAGAGCCGUGUGACUUACAGAGUUACUUGUAAACUCGUUGGGUCGCGCACACAAAUGCCAUUCCGGAAUGAGGUUUCAGUGCGAUGUGUGUCGCAGUUUCUGUUGGACAGUUCUUAAGCCGGCUACCCACGGGGUGGUAUACGGCGCAGCUUGAUACAGGCAGGGUGGGUCCGUUUUGGGCAGCCCGGGUGAGAUAGUGAGGUCGUGACGUGAGUGGGGUCUUAGCCAUUCUGUUGGAUCUUUUUCGGGACCGGCUACUCUUGUGAUACGGUGUAGUAUAAUUAGGCGAGACGGGUGUAUUCACAGUCUCUAGAGAGUUUUCUCCGCCGGUUACUCUUGAGAUACGGUGUAAUCUAGUGGAUGAGACGGGUGUAUUCACAGUCUCUAGAGAGUUUUCUCCGCCGGUUACUCUUGAGAUACGGUGUAAUCUAGUGGAUGAGACGGGUGUAUUCACAGUCUCUAGAGAGUUUUCUCCGCCGGUUACUCUUGAGAUACGGUGUAAUCUAGUGGAUGAGACGGGUGUAUUCACAGUCUCUAGAGAGUUUUCUCCACCGGUUACUCUUGAGCAACGGUGUUACCUAAUUAGACGGGAUUGGUGUAUUCACAAUCCCUAGAGAGUUGUCUCCACCAGCUAUUCCUGGAGUAGGACUCGGGUUCGAUCCGACAAGCGGGACGGGUGUGUUCACAGUUCCUAGUGAGACUGAGCCAGUUUUGACUUUUCCUAUAGUUGGUUAGCAUAGAGCAGGAUAGUGUAGUGACUAGUAGCUGUAGAGUCUAUUCCAGCAUUUACUACUACCUUUCCUCCCUUCUGUAGACUUAGUGGGUGGACCGAUAUUGUUUUGGGCGGCACCCACUGAGGACUACUUGUUUUACAGUAGUUCUCACGCCCAGUUGUUACCCCUGUUUUGCAGAGCCACAAGUUUCGGCUGCUGCGCCUUCCGCAGAUCAGGAUCGAGGCCAGGGCAUCGCGAGUUAGAGCCCUACCCGACGAGCAGAGCUAGAGGCACCCUACUGCAGGUAGUUUUAUUUUGAGUUUAUGUACAUAGUAUACUUAACUCGCCAGUGCGAGUAACUCAGUAUUUUGGAUUUGGACUAUGUAUAUGAAACUCAGUUUGUUUAGCUUCUGUUUUCUCUAGCAGCUCUCUACUACUGUUCAUAGUAGUGUUUGACUUACAGGUACAGCUGUCGCUUAGUAUACAGGGGAAAUUUCUUUGUAUACGGCGGAUUUGUCGGCGUGCCCGGGGAACGAGACAUCCGGGGCGUGACAACAACAUCAUAUAUACAUCCAUAAUCAAAUCACAAAUACAUUCAUAAUCACAUCACAGAUGUCUUAGGUCCAUGAUCAUCACCCAUCUAAAAACUAAGCAGAAAAUAAUAACAAAAUCGAUCUAAACAUCAAUUAAAAAUUGGAACGCAAUAAUAUGGUUUUUUCAAGUCUCCACGUAUUCAUUUUAUGGUGUGAAACCAAUAAAUCGCAGUACGUGCAACUUAAGAAAAACAAUAUCGAUCUAAUCGUAAAAGGUUCCAAAAUUUCAAUCAAACAAUACAAAUCGUUAAUAUUUUACAUAGAACAUGAGAAUCGGCUCUGAUACCACAGUAAGAAUUAAUCCGGCACAAAAAAAAAAAUCACAGCGAAAAUUAAUAUCAUAUUUUUCGAAAACAAAAAUCCAUAUCACAUAUGAACCAAAACAAAAACAAAUCAAUCCAAUGCUGGUGGAUCAUUCUCAUGUUACAAUAUAAAAUAAUAAUCUAACCUAAAUAGAUUUGAAGUUCAGGCUACAUCACCUCAGACCAGCUAAGGUCUCUUGAUCUACUGUAAGGUUGAAACUGAGAUUCUGAUUAGCCGCGCACGUGCCAGGCCUCUACGCGUAUCCACACGGAAUUGAUGCAGAUCCAACAUCUUCCGUCGCAUAGAACAAAUGAGUCGUAGAUUACAAAGACGGUGCUAGCAGUCUUCUGAUAUCUACGUGCCCUUUUGUACGAUUUACUGAUUUUCACGAAGGAUAAUAGAGAGAGAUGGAUGAUCUAAUACUUCUCAAGAGGCAAUCAUUAAAUCCCUCUCGUAAAAAUAUUAUAUAUCUUCACGUGGCCACUUCAUUAACUACUAAUGAAGCCGCGCCUUAUGUACACCUCCUCUUAGGGCAUGUUUGUUUUGGUGUAAGUGGAGUGAUGGAACUCAAGUUCCAUCACUUCCGUAAUUUGUUUUGGUGUAAGUGAAAAAUAUAAUGUAACUCAAGUUACGUAAGACCUCCACUUCACCUACUCUCGACUUCCUCCUCUAAAGUGCCGAACUCGACUUCCAUCACACUCAACCUCCUCUAAAAUACUUAUUAAACAGUAAAACCUAAACUCUACUUCCCUUAUAAUAGAUUAGAAUUACCUUAUUUAUAAUAAAUUAGGAUUAUCUUUAAAUAAUAAUAAAAAAAUCAAUUAUAUAAUAAGUUAAAUUUUAUAGCGGUAAAUUUACUAUUAUAUUUAGGAGAUAAUGGAAUCCACUUACUUACAUCAAAACAAACAACGGAACUCACAAAACUAAUUUCACCAGCACCAAGUUACAUCAAAACAAACAGAAGAAGUAAUUGAAUCUAAUUUUCAGGCUAUACGAGUUACGUCAAAACAAACAACCAAAAUAUAAUCACACUUCAGGAAAACUCAAACACCACUGCACUUGACUUACGUUGGAUCUACAGAUUCGUCAAUCCAAAUGGACCCUUAGUAGAGCCAUACAAAUCGGCACCCCUGCAAUCUGUUACAACUGAUUGGAUCAUAUCCAAUUAGUUGCCACAUAGGAUAAGUAAAAAGUAAAUAUAUGCUUAGCCAAUGGAUAUUUUAUCUUUAUCUCUCUCUUUAAUAAAUUUAAUUUAAUUGGAUCUUAUCCAUUAAAUUAUAAUUAAAUAUUCAUAUUUAAAUCUAAUUUAAUUAGAAUAUUAUCUCAUAAUAAUAUAUGAUUAUUUAAUUGUUCUCUAAUCUAAUUAGAGAUUAAAUCUUUCGUAACAUUCAAAUUCAAAUUUUAAUUCUCACUAUUUUCACUAGAUUGUUUAGUGUAUUAAUUAGACUCAUCUUGUCAAGUUGGAUGCACACAAUUCCUAUUGUGUAUGACCGCAUAGGUUCAUUAUCAUUCGGCAGUGGAGUUUAAUAUCAAAAUCUUUAAUAUUGAAUUAGAACUCUUCUAAUCUAUAAAAUAAUUUAUUUUAAAUUACUUUUACUUCUCUCACUGUCCGCGAGUGACACCUAGCAAUAUAUCACGGCAAUCCAAUAAUGAAAAAUGAACCUUUCCGCUAACAGUUGUCGUGUGAUUAAUUUCUUCCAACACACAACGCCCCGAUCGAACUAAAAUUAUGAUUACUCACCGAAUCUUAUUAUUCGAUCAUAUGACUAGAAUAUCUAAAACCGACUCAAUAUGGUAACACAGCUGGAAACUCUUUCCACACAUCACAUACCGUGGCCAGGGAUUUUUCGAGUCGAGUCUGAUAGUCUAAUCGGACGUUCUCUCUCAAUAUCGAGAGUGUUGAAUCCCUUUUUGCGCAUUCACACGCCUCCCCAUAUAAACUACUACAGUCAAUCAGUAUCAGACGUAGACUAAUGAUUAGAGUCUAAAUAUCAGUACAGUCAAAUGGUAACAAUCUAUAUAUGAAGCAACUGUAAUACCCUUCAUUUUGAGUUGGUCUAGGGGCAUUGUGGUCAUGUUUUUUUUGGAUAAGAAUGCCACCGCCCUUUUCAUGUUUAUCCCUUCAAAUUAACAGAGAGUGUGCACUUUUUGUUCUCUCUAGUUAAUUACGUGCAUGGUGGAGAGCACGGGUAGAGGUAGCCGAGGAGCUCGGAUUCGACGCCGACGACGCGCCGCGAAGCCGUUCGAGGGUACAGUUGGGAUCGUAGCGCUGCGAGGAAGCUAGGCGAGGGUGUGUUUUCGCCGUUCUCGACGCCACGUCGAUGUCCGAUUAGCCAUUAAGGUGAGUGUUCCGUUGCAUUGCUUCAAGUAUUAUCAUUUCGAGCUUGGUGCUGAUUUGCAGAAUUUCAGCGUCAACCUUUGGUGUUUCAGCUCGUUCUCUGUGUAGGAGUGUCGAAACGCGACGAAAUUUGGCGUGCUAGAUUCGCGACUUCGAGACGAAGAUUCUGAGCCCAAGAUCGCGAUUUUUGGAGCAGGUUUGCCCUGUCGAACCCUAGUUUUACUAGGCUGCUGUUUGCCGAGCAGAUUUCAGAGAUGCUGUUCCGCAGGUUCCAGCGUCGACCAUUGGUGUUUCGGCUCGUUCUCCGCGUAGGAGCGUCGGAUCGCGACGAGACUUGGUUCAUUGGAUUCGGGACUUCGAGAGGAAUCCACAGAGCCCUCACUUACAAUUUUUGGUCAAGGUUAGCUUGGUCGAAAUCAUGCUCUUCUCAGCUGCUGUGAAUGGGGACUGAAUUGUGGACUUUUGUCGUUUUAGCUUGGCGUUGGCUUGGCGACCGGACUUGGAGAUCCCCGAUUGAUCCAGCAGAGUUCCUUUUAGGCCGAGGCUUCGUUUGCUGCCAGGAGAUAGCACUUUAGGUGGGUUACAUCGGUUUCGACUCCUAAGUUCAUAAUCGUCGACAUGUAUAGAUCUGAAUUUUUGGUAAUCUAGUUUAGCUCAAAUUCAUGGAUUAUGUGCUUGAAUGUGAGAACUGAAUUUUGAGCAUGCUUUAUAAUUAAUUAGAUUAUGCAUGUUGGACUUGGAAAUUGAAUUAGGAGAAAACCUGCGAUUUGGACCUGUCACCAGUUUUAGCUACCUGAUUUAGCUCUAGNNNNNNNNNNNNNNNNNAUCAAAAGCACCAAGCUAUUGGUGCUAUUGAUUUUUUAGCCCUUAGAUUGAGAAAUAGAUGGUUAGGAUGAUGUGGGCCCCCUAGGGUUGAGUGAGUGGUUGGUUGAAUAGUAUAAUCUAACAGGUAAAAAUCAUCAGAGGGUUAAAUCUAAGGGGAAAAACUCGAUAGUAUCCCAGCCGGACUAUAUAUAUAUAUAUAUAUAUAUAUAUAUAUAUAUAUAUAUAGCAAGACUACUGUGCUAUUAGCAGCACUGCAGUCCUUAUACUCCGAAGUUUUUAACCAUUCAUUAAUUUUGAUGGAUGGCUAAGGUGAUAGAGAGAAGAAAAAUUGGAAAAAAAUUAGGGCUCUCAAUAUCUCUUCUUUUUUAAUAUCUCCUUAAUCUCUCUUCUCUCUCUCUCACCCUACCCACCCAUCAAAAUUGAUAAAUGGCUAGAAACUUAGGAGCACAAGGAUUGAUGUGCUCUUACUAGCACAGUAGUCCUACUAUAUAUAUAUAUAUAUAUAUAUAUAUAUAUAUAUAUAUAUAUAUUUUGAAAGUCAAAGGUUAUUGGCUUGUAUCAUUUGUGACGCGUGAUUAAGAGGAUGUGUGUUAGGAUGAUGUGAGGACUUUAAAGUUGAGUAGAAGUUAGUUGAAUAGUAUAUUAUCUAACGGAUAGAAAUAAUCAAGGUGUAAAUCAUAAUGCUAAAAAUUUAUAAGCUAAGUGCUUGGUCUUUACAGGCACCGAUAGCGACUAUCAUAUAAUAUAUAAUAUACUAUAUAGAGAAAGAAGAAGAUAGAGAGAGAGAGACGAGAUGUUAGUUGGAAUGCUCUCAGUAGCAGAUAUGCUUCAUUACCCCCAUUUGUUCGUUGAUGAGCCUCCAUAUUGUUACCAGUAAAUAAUUGAAUAUGAUACUAGACAUUAAGUAAGUUUAAAACUAAAUUUUCAAAUUUUUUCGAUACAUUGCUAAUAGAUUAAAAGGUUUCAAAUUUUCUAUUUUAAUAAUCGAGUAUGAAGACUUUUCUCUUUACACAAUAAUAGAAUAUCCAAAUCGAAUAAUAUUUUAGUAAAACUUACAUUAAUACCAUUGUAAAUAAGAUCUAUAUCUUUAUUUGAUUUUAAAACAUCUCUGUAUUCUAUAUUUUAAAGAUUAUUUAGUUUUCCAGUGUUAUUUUUGUAUGCUAUUUGAUAGGCAUAAGAGACAUAACAGAAAAAGGUUAGAAUACUUGAUUAUAGAUACUUUCUGGUCUUAGAUCAUUGUUCAAUAGUCCGUCGUCAUUUGGAGCUCCAUCAUCGAAAAUAAUAUGUGGGGUCACGAAGCCCGAUUUGAUACUCGAUAGUAUUUCCUAGCUCAACUAAAUAUAUAUAUAUCGAAACAAUCUCUAUGAUACGAUGGCUUCCAUAUCUAUAAGUAUAUGUACUAUCUGCCUAUAUAUAAUAUAUCGAGUAGAGAGAGACGAGAGAAUGAGAGAAGAUGAGAGAGAGAGAGAGUGAGAGAGAGAGGAGAGAGGAGAGUUUCUCUGUGGUGUUUUGAAAAGCAUCAAGCACCUGGUGCUCGUAAGUUUUUUCGGUCGUUAGAUCUCGCCAUUUGAUAAUUUUUAAUUCGUUAUAAUCAUAGCUAUUAAUCAACCACUUAACUUAACCUUUUGAAAAAAGUGGACCCACUAAUCAUUGCUAAUUGACACAUCUUUUAAUCUAAGGCCAAAAAAUCUAUUAAGUAUCAAUGAUUGAUAUUUUUAAAGUAUAGUAACUUAAUACACACACACAAACUAAAUCCACUUCUAUAUGUUUACAUUCUAAAUAAUAAAAGGAUAAAUUCCAAAUUUCUCCACUGUGGUCAUUGAGCAUCUUUCAUCUCUUUUCCAACUUAUCAAUUUAAUUUUUAAUUUGACUAAAAAAAUUCUUUCUACCUCAAAUAAGAUUUGACAAAGAGAACAUUUUUGAAAGCUAGAGAGCGGGCAAGUUAAUUAAUAUCGAUCUAUAAAUACACAGGGAUUAUGUGGGUAACAGUUUCCUUUAUUAGAAAUAUAAGAGGAUCAAAAUGAUAGUUUUUGAGAGAUUAGUGCAAAAAUGAAAACACCCGAGUUAUUAAUUAAAGGGAAGUGCUACUAGUAGAAAUAAGCAUUUUAAAAGGCAUCAUUGAACGUUCAAAAGCGGUCCCCAAACUUUUGUUUUGUUUAUAUUAUCAUUAACUAAGUCUUUCCUCGUAUCCUCUAUUUGUGCUAUGAUAAACCAUCUUAGCCUCUACAGUCGAGAAAAAUCAAAACUUUAAGGCUGACGAUCGACUAACGGGAACCAAGGCGGCGUUUGGUUCACGUAUAAGUAUUAUUAAGGAAUAUUUCACAACCAAUAAUGCGGUAUAUGAGAUUCCUGCUUGGUUACAUUGUGAUUUAAUCAAGUAUAUAUAAUACUACUAGAUUACAAAUACUUUUAUCUGAUAUUAUUAGUUGUUCGGUUUUUCUUUAUUUUUCUAUAAAGAUUUAAUAAUCUACAAAAAUAUUAAGUUUAUUCUAACAUUGUCCCUUAUUUGUUAUUAUUUGGCAAAUGUAAAAUUAUCAAAAUACAAAAGUUAAAUUUUAAAAUUACAAAAAUUUAUAAUUAAUGAAUAUAAAUUAAGAAUCUAAAUUUUUAGAUUUUUAAAUUCAUAAUAUAAUAUAUUAUAAAUUAUAAUAUUCUAAUAUUUAAUAUUUUAAAAUUUGUGAAAUUUGUAUUUAAAAUUUAAUAAUUAAAAUAUAUAUUUUAAAUUUUUAAAAUUGAAUUGAUGAUUUACAAUUUGGCAUAUUCAAAAAAUUUAAGAUAAAAUUUUAGAAAUGCAUAUAAAUAAGAGUUUGGAGGAGGGGCGGGGGUUUGGAGGGAUAAACUUAUCAUUUUAUAUCUAUGGACGAGGAUUAUUGAUCAUCAGUAAUAUAAGAUCCUCUUCCUAUUCAAUAAUAUAUUACUGACAUUCCAGAAUUAAUAUACUGAUUGAAACUAAAGUACAAUAAUUUAGCAUGGAUUGUCUAUGAUCCUGUCAGGAUAGUGUUGAACCGCAAACUCAUCUCUAAGCAAAUUUGACAUAUCUGAGGAUGCCAACUUUUAAUGUUUGUUAACUGAGAGUCAUACUUUAGGAUUAAUUUAUUAAGCAAUCGCAGAAUUUAACGAUUCAAUUACUAUUAGGAAUGAUCUGUCGCAUUAACUGUCUAUUUGGAAACAUCAGUUUAAAUGGUUGAAAAUGUCGAUUCAAGUGGCCAAUUCACGCAUCUUCUUAUACGACUUAAAUAAAUCUAAGGCUCCUAGCCUUCUUUUGCUAUAACUAUCCGUCUUUUCCCAAUCCUAAUUCGGGCAAUGUCAGUUAGAACGACAUGCUUCUGUAAACAACUUCUUGUCAUUCUUGCAAGAUGUUUCUUUCGGUACCAACGGCAUCAAGCUAUUUGCCCACUAAGGUCGGUUUUCUAUGUGAAUGCAGAAUAAUUUCGUUAAGAUCAGGCCGACCUUAAGUCAACAGCAAUAUAAUCUGGCGAGGCAUUCAAAGUACACAUUCCGAGCAUAGACUUAUAGUGUCAUGGCCUAGCUCCUAUUGGGAAAAAAUAUUUCCAAUCUAAUCUUUCUUUCAAAAAUUUUCUAAUCUAGGCUUUCCUUUGAUAGAUAGAGAAACAAAAGAUGAGCUUAAUAGCACUUAUAUAUAUGUUGUAUUAGGAGAUGGAUAAAGUUUUUUUCUUCUCUCGUUCUCCUUCGGCAAAUUAAAUCAUUAUUAAUAUUAUUACUUUAAUGUUUUAAGAUAUAUUUAAAUAUUAUUAUUCGGAUGAUAAUUAUUAGUAUCUAUUAUUAUUAUUAUUACUAUUACUAGUAUUUUAAUUUGACUAUACAAGCCAUUAUGACAAAUUUGCACUUGGUUAUAGUCAAGAUUAAAUUAAUACUUGUAAUAGUAGUAUAGUAAUCAAAAAUAAAAAUUAAUAUUCACGGAUAAUAAUAAUCAUUUAUUUAUUAUUAAAUAUACAAAUUUUUAAAUAUUAUUAUUUAUAUAAAAUUAUUAUUUUAAAUAUUAGAAGGAGUUGGGAGGAAAUAGAGAAAAAAAUAAUAUUUUGUACUCCUAAUUAACUAUAUAGUAUAUGUUAUUAAGUUCAUAUUCUUGUUUUCUAAUUCUUAGAAAGAAGAGGCUAUCUUAGAAAUAUUUUUUAAAAAAAGACUAGAUGGGAGAAAAAAGAAAAAAUAAAUUCAAGUGAGAGCUAAGCAUGACGCAUUAGCUCUCGAGCAUAUGGAUGAAAUUAUUUGGGAGAUGCCCUUUAACUAAAAUAAAUGAGUUUUAAGCAUCCCUACGUAUUAUGCGUCACAUUCUAUUUACUUAUGUGUGUAGUAGCAUUACCUCUCUACAUAUUUUGAAAGUAACAGUUAUCUAAGUAAUGAGUGUUUUUGUUUUUCCCAGAUGGCAUCAUCUCUAAGCUCUUUUGUGAGGAAAAAUGCGACCAAUGGGCAGAGUGUGGGGGGGGGUCGACAGAACGCUAGGUAUCAAGUAUCAACUCAUGGUCCCCUUUUUUUUUAUAUGAAAUUAUAGCAACUGAUCAAAUAAAUAAACUGUCUAAAAUAGCCGAUAUUUCAUAACGCCAACUCGACUACUAUCCAAACGGACCCGAUAAAAAAUAGUAUAGUAUACGAGUAAAAAAAUUAUCUAUUAAAAUUUCGGGUAAUGGUCGGAAAUUCUUUAUAUUCCAUACUCGACUGGAAGGAUCCGAACGACGCUUUACAGUCGGUAGGCGUCGCGGAAAGUUUCCAGAUACGAACGGCCGGGCUUGAAAUGAACAUGAUGAAAUACUCUAUUGUAACAUAAAAAAAUUUGAAGUUGAAGGAUCAAAUUUAAGCAGGACUUAUAAAUGAAGGUUCUUUAUACUUUUUCAUUCGCAGUGAAAACAUCUCGGUCUGCUUCUAUUUAUUCACUUUUUUUAACUUUUAUUUUACUUUAUCAUUGUUUUUAAAUCUAGCUGUUUAUUACUUGAAAUUUUUUUUUAAGCCAAAUUAUUGGAUGGAUGCCAAUAAUUAGAACGGCUGAGUUUUUCUAUAGUCGGAAGUUAAGAUUUGUUCCAUAAAUAUCUUUAAUAAUGUUAAAAUAUGUACAUUUCGGGUAUCCAUAGACCUAAUAUAAGAUUUGAUGUCCGUAUCGCGAUCCAUACGGCGUAUUAUGCGGUUGUAGUAUACGGAUAGUCCACUUGCCGUCAGACCGUUGAAUAACCCACAAUGGUAUAUUGNNNNNNNNNNNNNNNNNNNNNNNNNCACACAGAAAGAUUGAUACAAUGGUUUGACUCCAACUCAUAUCUCCGACAUAAGGGAUAUAAUUUUUGGAAGGCUAGUUAGGCUCAAAUCAUUCGAUAUGGCUUAAGUAGAACUGAUUUAGCAUUUGCUUAAAUUAAUUAAUUAUACACUGUGAUUGGAAAUUGAAUAGGAGAACGCCGGGUUUUGGACCCUUCAGCUCGUUACACCCUGAUUAGCUCUAGAGUCCGUAAAAAUGUAACUGGAUUCUUCGGAAGAUAACAAGUGAAAUGUAGUUAGCUUUGCCGUCGCCGAUGAAUUGAAGGGUUCGAUAUGUGUGGACUGGUCCGUCAGAGUUGACGGUGGAUUCCAUAUCGCCUUUUUGGCGUAAUUUGCGAGGCACUUACAUUGUUGCUAGACCUCAGUUGAGUUGAUUACUGACUAUGGUUAUUGACUUGAAUGAGUCCGACAGAGAUACCGAUCUGGGUACCAAGUGCCACUCCCGAGCAGGCUUUUGCUUUGCGUUGGUGUGCAUGCCCGUGACUUGCUCUCCAUCGAUCCAGUUUAGGUGGAUAAGAGCCCGGAUAGUUAACGGGGAGGGACGGUUGUAUACAUCCGGCGUACGGUAUCAUUACUAGUCUCAUUGGGAUUGGGCAUAGGUGACCAUUUCUAAUGGUUAAGCUGAGAGCCAUGAUAGAGUAGUUUGAUCGAUAAACGUAAGUAUUCCUGAUUUCGACUACUUUGCUCCGUCUGUAGAUCUUAGGGUGGACGAUUUUUUUUGGUCGGUAUCCACAUGAGACUAUUUUUUACAUAUUCUCACCCAUGUUACCUAUUUCUGCAGAGCCGGCCGCAGUUCCUCGCUGAGCUGCAGUUUAAUGUUUAUGUAUAGUUGUCAGCCCCGGAAGAUCGAGGCAAUUGGUGGCCCGAGCCGUCGCGAUAGAGCCUAUCCCGACUUGCGAGCUAGAGGUGCUCCUACUGAUGUAGUGUUUAUUCGAGUUUUAUACAUAUGGCUUAACCGGCCAGUCGCGAGUUUGAGUCUUGUAUUUUGAUUGGACUAGUAACUAAACUCCAUGUUGUUAGCUUCUGUUUUUCUACAGCUCUAAUACUACGUUAUUAUGUUGAUUACAGACUAGCUAACCUCGAUACAGGGGAAAUUUCUUUGUUAACACGGAUUUCUGCGUGCCCGUCGGAACGUGUAUGCCGGGCGUGACAGAUUAAUUGUAUCAGAGCUUGCUUAGGUCGGGGACCUAGAAACUAAUUUGGCAAACCUAGGGAAGCAAAGUAGAGAUUUAAGUUAUUGGCAAGUCAAAUGAUAAUUUGUUUAACUCUCUUGGAUAGAUAAGUGAACUGAAGGAUUCUGUUCGGCAUAUGAAGAAAAUAUAAUGUUGCUUCAACAUACAUAAAUUGAGAGAUAAACAGGGCCGCCUAUGAAUGUUCGUUGAUUGGUGAGAGGUUUGGUGUAUCUGACAGCCCUAUUAUCUUGCAGCAUGACGUAUUCCGAUGCCGUGAUACGUCGAUGCGAUUGAGUGCCAGUUGGCGCAGAUCUGCAAUUCCACCGAAGCUUAGCAGGGAGCGGUCACCCCAGUUGUAAAGCACAGGCCCCGACCAGUAGAUCUAGCAUCCCAGAUUGAGUGCACAGUUUGCUUACCCUGAUGAGUGACGACAGCAUGGGAGCUAUUCAUAUGUGUGUAGAGAUAGCUCAGACAUCCGAAGUUCUGUACCGAGGGACUAGGUCGCAGUUCCACCCCCACACUCAUGACGAGCACCAGCUGCAGGAGUCCUUCCACGCAGCAGUUACUUACGCCAUUGCGCCUCUAGUGGGCCAUAGUAUGUUGACUUGAGAGCUUCGAGCAGGAACGUGGAUCUGAGAGGUUACUCGUCUCGCCGAUAUUAUCCACCAGAAACUUAUUUUCUUCGAUGCAAGCACUGGAGGCUGAUUGAGGUAUGGUCAUGCGAUGGAUAAUUAUCGACGUGGACUGUUCGUUCUCAGAGGACAUAGGCCUGGAUACAUUCUGUUACAAGUGAUUGCCAUUAUUGCUGAGUGACGAGCGGGACUCAGGGCUAUCGGCGCAGCUUCCGAGUUGGGUACGAUUAUGUGAAUGCUAGUUGGAUUUCUUCCCAACAGAGUUAAGGAAGAUCGAGAGAUUGAGGAAGACUCAGCUCAUGAGAUCGCCCAGUGCAGAGUAUGUCGUAGUUUACUUCUAUCUCCUGAACUGUGUAUCCAUUUUGGCCAGAGAGGCGCAAGAAUUACAAUGUCAGCAGGGCCUAGACCGACAAUCUUAGGUUAGUGCGGAAGGUCGAGGACCUGGAUGCUCCCAUAACAGGCCCUAAGUGGUGAGAGCGAGUGUCGCUGCAUUGGACAAUGAACAGCCUGUGGGCAAGGGUCAACAGAAGCGCCCGACCUUUCCAGAUACGAGGGCAGUCGAGCACAACGACCGCGGCGAGACUCCACUAUCACGCUCUCAGGUCGUGGGCUUCGGAGCUCAGCGUUCCAGGAUCUCCGCUCAGCAGGAGCAGACUCAUGUAGACGCGCACAGUGUGAGGGGACACACGGCCUCACAGUGCAGCAUAGAGAGGUAGCUCCAGUGGGUCUAUGAGGUGGUAGCCGGUACACAAUGAGGGACUUGUCCCAGAGCACAUCUCCAGCACCGCGAGCCAUCGCACCACCGCCCUACCCUGGCAUCCACAGCAGCUUACGAGCAUGCACCGAGCUACCUGCCAUGAGAUAGAUGUCUUUGCCACGUCGCUGAGCGUGACAGUCAGGCUCCGAGUGCAAGUAUAUCACCAGGGAGGACCUUCAGUCACCGAUUCCGAGUGGGCAGUAUCCUGAUUCUGCAUAGAUCCACCGUUUUUGAUAACCGCUGCAUCACAUUCCUCUUGUUAGCCGAAGCAUUCAUUGUUGCAUGUCAUUAGAAGCGUGCCAGCAAACGAGAGUGCAUGAUAUCCCCUGACCAUGUCUCAGGUUACGGAUGUUGUUGUCUUUGUCGGAUGCAGUAGACUCGUGAGUAUCCCGCAAAACCUUUGUUUAGGGCACUGCAGACUUCGAACGUAAGCGCGUAAUGGAUUGGUGCGCGAUACUAUACUAACAUCGACUGUGACAGGACGUAACUCGCAGUCAGCCAGGAAGAGUUUACAUUCAAGGCUGCAGGACACGCUGUUUGCCACUCGUGGAUACUGCGCGAGCUCGACAAUGCUUGAGCAGUGUGUACGGGUUUCUCGUCUAUGGACAGUGAGUACUUACGGCGCGAGACUCGAGGACAUCCAAGUAGUCCGCGAGUUUUCAGGAUUGUUUUCCCCCGAUUGACUGAUUCAUUGCCCGCCGAAGGGAGAUUGAUUUUAUGAUUGGGGAUAGUUCCUGAAGCCACCAAUCACAAAGGUACUUUCAGAUGCAACCCCCCGGAGGUAUGAGAGAUCAAGCGCGCAUUCAGACUAUGAUUAGGUUUUGUUGAGACUCAGGUGUCGCUUUGGGGAGCGCCGGGUUAUUUGUAAAGAAAAGAGUUCGCUCAUUAUUAUUUAAUUCACGCGGGGAGCUGAAUAAAUUGACAUACAGAACCAAUUCCCUGGCCGCUCAUUAUUAUGAUCUAUUCGAUCAGCUGGCAAGGAUCUUAUGUCUUCUCGAAGAAUGAUCUCCAGUCAGUUACCACCAGCUGAGGGUGAGCCGAGGAAGUUUCCCAACCUUUCGGACACGUACGGCAUUGAUAUUCGAGCCUUUUGAUUGACGAAUCCCUACCGGCAUUCAUGAUUUGAUGAACAGAGUGUCAAAUGCCGUUUCUUGGAAGAUUUGUGGUAGUCUCCAUCGAUAGAUCCUGAUUACUCCUUGGGGAGUGAUGAUGAGCAUCGAGGACACUUGAGAUUUGUCAUCAUGCUUCCUCCGAGAAGAAUGUUCAAUUAAAGAAUGCGAGUUCUGGCUACGGGAGGUGUUCUUGGUCCAACUGAUCAGCACGAGGGCGUAGCAGUGGGGACCCAAGAUUCGAGAUGAGGCAUUCGGGAUGCGAACGGAGACGUGACUGAAGGUACGGAGUUUCUAGGCUGGAGGAUAUAACGGCCGUUGUGGAGAAUUUUGCGAAGCUUCAACCCUCACACGCUUGACAACGAGGAUUCGUUUUGUAUGGACGAUUGAUUACAAGAGCUGAUAGUGAAUUGAGGUUGAUUCGGGCCUAUCUCUUCCCUCCUGUUAUGGGCGAAGAUUGUGAAUCUUAAGUGAUGCAUCGCACAGUGGUAACUUGGUUCGUUGCUGAUGCAGUCAUGUAGCGUAAAUUUGCUUAUGCUCAUACGCAGUUAGGAGUAUGAGAAAAUUACACAACCCACCUCAUGACUUGGACCUUGCCGCGUGUUUUGCUUUUGAAGCUUGCCAUACUGUAGACGCAGCACUGCGAACUUUUACUGACAUAAAUCUCAAUUAUCGCCCCAAAGAGUUAAUUGAGACAGCGCCGUGGUUGAGUUGCUGAGAUAUGACAUCAAUCCAGUAUCCAUCCCGUCAAGCGAAUGUGGGCAGAUGCGUUACAGGUAAGGCAUGCAAGCUUUCGAUAUGUUGAUUACUGAGCAUAGACCCCUACUCGAGGAGCAUAUACAGCGGCUUGGGACUCGAGAUAUACUCCCUGUUCCUAUGUCGGCUGAUGUCUCUACUAUUACUGACUGCCGGUCGUGUACUUGUGAAGAUCCAGAGAACAGAGUGGAGAUCCGCACUUGUUGAGAGAUAUGAGAGACAGUCUAAGAACAUGGGGAACUGAAGGAUUGUUGUGACAGUUCGGAGUACUGCGGUAGAUGGGAUCGACUGUGUGGUACGCUACUGGAUUCAGAGAUUGAGAGACAUCUUAAGAGGCCACUUGGUCACGUCUUAUACCGGUUCACCCCGUGGAGUACCUAAAAUACUAUAAGAUUUAAAAGCCAGUUGGUAGAAUGGAAAAGGACAUUGGAGAUUUUGCUAUGUCCUGACUUGCAACAGGUAAAGGACACAGUUACGUCUGCGAAGCCUUCAAUGAGUCUAGCACAGUCCGAGAUGAAAUGGGUAGACAGAUAGCACGAUGGACGCUUUGUCGUCGUGAUUGCGAGACGCACGAAGUGUUGAUCGAUUGGGUGAUAGUGACGUGUCAGACUGACCAAUCUGCUCACUUCUUACCGAUCAGUGACCACUGGUCCAAGAGAGACUCGCCAGUGUAUUGCUAAUAAGGAGGUUACAUGCGUGCCACACUUUCGAAUAAAUCCGACCGGACCCGAGUCGACCACAUUCUGGAGGAUCUUCAGACGCCAUUCGGCACUCAGUUGCAGUGUCAGCACAGCAUCUCACACCGCAGACAGAGCAGCUUCAACGGACCCAUCACUUUACCGAGGACAUCUAGGGCAUGUGUCCUUGGACUUUGAAAGAUGGUAUCGCAUCUGAGACUGGUUUCAUUUGCGUACCAACAACAGACUAUCACGAGCAUUUUCCGGUGGCUUCCUUUGAGCGUCAUGUCCGGACCGCAUAUCCAAUCCUUUGUUUGAGUGAUUGGGUAGAAGAAACGCUGGGCCUGAGAUCUGAUGAAGGCUUAGAAAAGGUAAAAAGCACACGUAACAUAUACCCCAAGUCGACAGAGGCACUAUGCUGACACCUUCGAGACGAACAUUGGAGGUUUCAGAUGGAGAUCAUCUUCUUAAAGCUCUGACGUCCAGAGGGAUCGCCGAUUUAGUUACGUGGAACUCAUUCCACGUUUUGACCCUUCGACGUUGGAGCGUACGACCGGUUACUACAGGAUUGCCUACCACACGACUAGUCCCGGCAUCUCAUGAUUGUUCCACGUCUCGGCUUGAGAAAAUAUGUGUUCGCCCUCCCACGUGAUCGACUUCACUCGCUUGAGAUGGCGAGACCUGAGCUACAGGAUCCGAUCCUGGUACGAUUCUGGCUCUUGAUACGAGGAAUUGCUGCACCUGUGUCCAAUACCUUGUAAAGUAGUGGAUAACACGAGGAACGGAGUCGACAUUGGGACCGGAGGCAUAAUAAGGAGUCUAUCCUACUGUUCAAGGAAGCAGGUUUGAGGUAUGUUUUAAUUUCGAGGAGAAAACUUUAUAGUGGGGGAGGAUAUAUAUACCUUCAAUUUUGAGUUGGUCUAAUGGGCAUUGUGUCAAUGUUUUUUUGAUAAGAACACCGCUCCUUUUCAUUUUAUCCCUUCAAAAUUAACAGAGAGUAUGACUUUUUGGUCUCUCAGUUAAUUACCUGCAUGGUGAGAGCACUGGGUAGAUAGCCGAGGAGCUCGGGAUUCGACGCCUCGACUACCGUGCCCGCGAAUUCGAAGCCUUCGAGGUACGUUGGAUCGUUCAGCGCCGCGAGAAGCAGCGAGUGUGUGUUUCGUCCGUUCUCUCGACUGUCCACGUGAAUGUCCGAAUUACCAUUAAGGUGAGUGUUACCCGUGCAUUGCUCCAACGUAUUACAUUAUCGAACAUUGGUGUGAUUUUGCACGAAUUCAAGCGCAAACCCAUAUGGUGUUCAGCUCGUUCUCUCUUGUAGAUUGAAAGCGCGACAAAUUUGGCGUGCUAGAUUCGCGACAUCGAGACUAAAUUCUGAGCCCAAAUCGUGAUUUGGAGAGGUUGCCCUGUUCACCCUAGUUUACUAGCUGCUGUUUUGGCCGAGCAGAUUAAAGAGAAUCUGUUCGCAGGUUCCACGUCGAACAUUGAUUAGUGUUCGGCUCGUUCUUCACGCAGUAGGAGCGUCGCUUCGGCGACGAGCCUUGGUCAUUGGAUUCGGUAUUCGAGAGGAAUCCUACUAAGCCUCUCACUUACAUUUUUGGCACGGUAGCUGGUCGAAAUCAUACUUUCUCAGACUGCUGGAAUGGGACUGAAUUAGUGGACUUUUGUCGUUUAGCUUGGCGUUGGCUGGCGACCGAUUGGAGAUCCCCGAAUGAUCAGCAGAGUUAACUUUUAGCCGAGCCAUCGUUUGCGGCCCGCCGCCCGCCCCCUUUGUUUUUCCCCUAGGAGAUUAGCACUUUAGUGGGUUACAUCGGUUCACUGCCUAAGUCAAUAAUCGUCGACAUGUAUAGAUCUUGAAUUUUGGAAAAAUUCCUAGUUUUAAGCCAAAUUCCUGGAAUAUUCUUGAAUGGAAACUGAAUUUGAGCAUGCCUUUAUAACUUAAUUAGAUUAACAUGUUGGACUUCGAAUUGAAUUGAGAAAACCCGCGUUUUGGGACCUGUCAUCUUUACUACCGUUGAUUAGCUCUAGGAUCCGUUAGAAAAUUGUACUGUCCUGCAGUUUCUUCGAGAAAUACUCACCAGGUAGUUAGAAUGCAUUUAAUUCUUGUGCUGAUUCGGCACUAGUGGAUUUUACAGGUGAUCCGUUCAGUCCGUUCGACUGUUGAGGUGCCGUCAGAUUUUUACGUGGACACAUAUGCCUUUCGGCGAUCAGAUGUGCCUGAGUGCACGUACCUAUGUUUAGAUUCAUUGAAGUUGAAUUACUUACUAUGCCUAAGUCGACUGAUUGGAGCUCCGACAAAUUACGCCGCCAUACCGUGCGUACGGCCACAUGAUGCACUCCAGUCAGGCUUAUGCUUUUUCGUUGGUUCGCUCAUAUUUCCAUUGGUACUUGCUCUCCGGGACACAGUUAGUGGGAUAAUCCCGAUUAUCGCAAGGGCAGGACGGGUUGUAUUCACAGUCCCGGGGACGGGUAUGCUUAACAGUCCGAUUAGGAUGGGUGCAGAGUGACAUAUCUACCGUUGGUUUAGUUGUAGAGCAUGAAGAUAGUGACGAUAGCAGUAUAGUUUAUUUCUCUGCUUUUCUGACUACUGUGCUCCUUCUUAUACUUAGUGGGUGACGUGCUCCCUUCUGUAGACUUAGUGGGUGGACCGAUGUUGUUUUGGGCGGUACCCACUGAGGACUACUUGUUUUUACAGUAGUUCUCGCGCCCAGUUGUUACCUAUGUUUUUGCAGAGCCACAGGUUCCGGCUGCUGCACCGUCCGCGGAUCAGGAUCGAGGCAAGGGCGUCGCGAGUUAAAGCCCUACCCGACUUGCUGAGCUAGAGGUGCCCCUACUGCAGGUAGAUGUUUUGUUUCGAGUUUAUGUACAUAGUGGACUUAACUCGCCAGUGCGAGUAGCUUUGUAUUUUUGGAUUUGGACUAUGUAUAUGAAACUCAGUUUGUUUAGCUUCUGUUUUCUCUAGCAGCUCUAUACUACUGUUCGUAGUAGUGUUUGAUUUACAGGUACAGCUAACGCUUCGUAUACAGGGGAAAUUUCUUUGUAUACGGCGGAUUUGUCGGCGUGCCCGGGGAACGUGUAAUCCGGGGCGUGACAGCAACCAUGAUGCCUCAGGUCCGAGGAGUACUUCACACAACUGUAGCAAAGAACUAGUCACUGGCGAAUUUGGAACCAUGUGACUGUUCAACUAAAUGGUCACACUCAGUAUACUUAUUAGCUAACAAGCACCUGCAUGCUUACUUUAGUGUCCCUACAGUUAAGGACUUGAGAUUCGUUACCUCACAUAGAAGUGUAGCAUGCACCAGCCUAUCCGGAAAUAUCAUCGUUCUUAUGAUAUUCCUAUGGCUAGGAGCGUUUAAAAAUCUUGCACAAAGAAAUAUAUAUCUCAAAUUCCUAACUCUUAGGAAUAUAUUUUCUAAACGAAGAUUCAACGGAUGAUUCAUAUAAAUGUAUUAUAUUGCUAAUAAUAAAUAUGAAUAAAACUCGCCCCUUAUUAAUUAAGAAAAAUACUUACUAUGUUCACAAGCCUAUGUCACCGAUUGGCUCUAGAGUAUAUCACUAGAAAUCUCCUCCUCGUGCAUGCAUCCGAGAGAAAGAGAGAGGAGAGUGUUAAAAAAAACUUUUCUUUUUUUCAUCUUUUUUUUUCUUUUCUUUCUUCUUCUUCUUUAUGUUCUUUUCUUCUUUUUUUUUUCUCUUUUGGUUCUCUCUCCUUUUUCUUCUCUUUGGAUUCUCUUUCUUCCCUUUUUUUUUUCCUUUUAUUUUGGAAAUUAUUCAAAAAAAAAUUCAAAAGGGAAAGGUAUGGGUUAAUCUUUUCUUUCUUUUCUUUUCUUUUUUUUUGGAAAGAGAAGGUGGGAUAUUUUUUUUUUUCAAAUCUUUACAUCUUUCCCUUUUUUUUUAUUUCUUCCCCUUUUUAUUUUUAUUUUAUUUUAUUUUAUUUUUUUUAAUCAAACAUCAACCCGUUAAUAAUAAUAAUUCGUUAAGUCAAAACUAUUAGCCCAAAAUGCUUCAUCUACUUAUCUUUGUUAUUCUGAUCCUGAUUUAGCCUGUCAUUCAUCGAACAUGGCUCAACUAAAACUCAUCUCAUACUUCCGACUAGUGAGCUAGCUGUGGUACCAAAUGUAACGACUCAACCCACUAAUAAUAAUAACUCAUUAAGCAAAAAUCACCGACCCAAUAUGUUUAAGUAUAGUUAUUAUUACUAGAAUAGAGUACUCUUAUAUAGCUAAUGAUAAUUUCAUUUUUAUUCAAUGUGGGACUAUUAAAAUAUUACAAAUUACCCACUAAUCACUUGCUUUUACUAAUAGAGAAAACUCUGCCUUCAAAUGGGGCGAUACAUGCAUAAUAUACACCAACUUUUUUAUGCCCAUACGAUAAAGCUGCAAAAAAUAUAAUAUUUAAAUUAUUUAAUACAAAAGUUCUCUCUCACAUAAUUUAUAUUCUAUUUCAAAGUUCUAUUCAAAAAGGCAUAAAACCUUAUUCUCAAUACAAUAAAUAAUUCUCCUGAAGGGGCAUUCUGUGUUUUUAAGUAUCGGCUACGGUGCCCCCCCGGUCGCACGUACGCCUUAGGGUGCUGCUUCUUUUUUUUUUCUUUUUUUCUUUUUUUUUUUUUCUUUUUUUUUUUUUUGUGAGAGAAAGGUAGCAUGCUACUUGCUUCAUUCAUUGAAGAAGUGAACUAAGCUACAUGGGUGAGGCAUCACGGGCCUGGGGAAGGGCGCGAAAAGUAAAAUAAAAUAAAAAUAUAAAAUAACAUAAAAUAAAAUAAGAAAAAAGAAAAAAUGAGUUCUAGAUAUCUAUAUAUAUAUAUAUAUAUAUAACUAUAUAUAUAAGGCUACCUGGUAAAAUUAAGUCUAACUGUUGGUAGGAGUUGCUCCCACAAGUUCGUCAGUUGUUUAAUCUUGUAAAUUCCUACAAAAGGGUCUGGUUUGAUUGAUCUGAAGAUUGCGCCGUUCCGGACAUCCCAAGUAACCCACCAGCAGGCUAUUAAACUGAUUAGUCUAGGACGUGACGAUGAUGAACCUUUUCUAUUUUUCCAUUUGUCCCAGACCAGAAACACAUCCUCACCCAAAUCACUUUGCUGGACAUUGUCCAAUGUCUUCACCAUUAGAAAUCUGGAGAACACGCACCAAGUAAAUAAGUGAUCAACCGUUUCCUCUUCCAUUCCGCAUAAAACGCAGCAUGUGUUACCAACCCAUCAUCUCUUAAGUAGAUUCUCUGCAGUAAGUGUUCUUUUCCGGAGGACGAGCCAGCAAAAUACUUUCACUUUUAGAGGGAUACGAAGCUUCCAAAUCUUACUUGUGCGAGCAUCUCUAGUACCCCCAUCGCACAACACAGAAUAGGUUGAUUUGACCGUAAAAUGUCCGUCAGUAGUCCAUCGCCAGAGCACACUGUCGGGGCCUUCUUCAGUUCUGAAAUUGGACACCCCAGCCUUAAGUUCGGAUAUCGUAGAAUUUAAUCGGUGAUCAAUAUUGCUGUCACAACCCAGUAUCUUGUGCCAAUUCCAUUCAUUGUUCCGCCAGCACUCACUAAUUUUUAGCUUUUUGUGAUUCGAUAACUGGAACACCUCCGGGAAAGACGAUUGCAAAGAAGUGUCCCCACACCAACGGUCAGUCCAAAAAUCGAUAUUUCUACCAUUGCCCAACUUACAGAAUGCUCCUAAUUUAUAAAUUUCUUUUUGACAAAGAANUUUUUAAUUUUUUAUUUAUCGAUAUAAGAGUAAGUUUUUAAUUGACAUUCAGAAACACCUAUUUUUCUUCGCAAAUUAUUUUAUCAAAAAAAUAAAAAAAAUAUGAAUAUAAUUGUAGUCCUAUUCUGAUUGUUCUAGUAAUUAUAUACUUUCUAAUCAAAUCAAUAAUUUUUUUUUUGAAAAUUUUAUUAUUAUAUUUUACUUUCUAUUCUACAUCAGGUAUAGCUAUACUUUAUAUACAAAAAGUUUAGAUAUAUAUUAAUUAAUAAGUGUAGUAAGCUAUACAUAAUAAAUAUUUAUAAUUAUUUAUGUAAAUUUUUCAAAAUAACAUUAUAAGAGUUUAUUAGAAUAAAAAAAAUUUAAAUAAAUCCGUGCCAAAAUAUGCCAGUAGAGGGUCAUGCGUAUCCAUCGGCACGCAUGCGUACCACGCAUCGAUACGAAAGUAUGUCCGUACCGUAUUAUACUGUGUCAGAAAAAGAACAGCACUUUAUGCCACGGCACUUUAAAUCUUAGGACAACACUUGCAGUAUAUAAUGAUAAACACGACACAAAGCCCAACGCAGUCACUCAUUCCCCAUAUCAGUCUCACUGACACUCGCUUGCCGGCCAGUCGCACUCUCUUGCAGCAGUCGCAGCAGCAACCGGGCCUUUGCCUCUUCCUUGUUUCUUGGUAAGUUACAAGCUAGAUUCUUAAUUUGCUACAGCAGUUUGUCCCCGAACUAAAUCGAAUUUUCUUUUGACCAAUAAACUCUUUAAGUUUGACAUUAAGGACCAUUUAAGAUACUUCAAUUUUCGUAAUUGUCUUACUUUAGUACUUUCCAUAGAAUAAGAAUUAUUUAAUUCAUUUGGCUUAUAUAUAUAUAUAUAUAUAUAUAUAUAUAUAUAUAUAGAGUCCGGCUACUAUGCUUUUAUAGAAAAUUUUUUUCACUAUUUAGAGUAAGAUCAGUAUAUCUGAUCUUGAAUUUAAAUCUUUUAUCAUCAUUUUUCAUGAAAUUUUUAUUUUCAGCCGUUCAAUUUUAGACUACUUGUUUGAUAGGCAAAUGAUAUUGAAAAAUUAUGAAAUUUAGUUUCUAAAUACUUUCAAUAGUGUAGAUCAAGUCUAACGGAGCCGAUCGUCGAUUUGAAAGCCGCAUCAUCGAAAACAACUUGGAUAGCACGUACGCUACCGUGCUAGCCGAUAGUAUAGUAGACCUAGUCUAUAAUAGUAGUAUAUAUAUAUUAAUGUAUAUAGAUAGCGAACUAUCUGUGCUAUCAGCAGCAUCUGCAUGUCCUUAUACUCCGAAGUUUUAUACAUACUGUAUUUUGAUGAUGGCUGAAGGUGAUAGAGAGAAGAAAAUUGGAAAAAAUAAGGGCUCUCAAUUAUCUCAUUUUUUUAAUAUCUCUAUAAUCUCUUCUCUCUCUCUUCACCCUAUCCGCACGCCAUUCAAAAUUGAUAAAUGCUAGAAACUGUAGGACACAAGGAUUGAUGUGCUCUUACUGCACGUACCUACUAUAUAUAUAAUAUAUAUAUUAUAAAUAUAAUAUAAUAGUUUUGAAAGUCAAAGUUAUUGGGCUUGUGAUAUUUGUGACGUGUGAUUAAAAGGAUGUGUGUUAGGAUGAUGUGAGACUUUCAAAGUUGAGUAGAGGUUAGUUGAAUAUAUAUUAUCUAAAACGGAUGAAAUAAUCAAAGGUGUAAAUCAUAAUGGCUAAAAAUUUAUAAGCGUAAGUGCUUGGUCUUUUACAGGGCAGAUAGCGACUAUCAUAUAAUAUAUAAUAUAUAUAUAGAAAAAGAAGAAGAUGAGAGAGAGAGAGUAAGAGAGUUAUUGGAAUGCUCUCAGUAGCAGAUAGCUUGCAUUACCACCCAUAUUGUUCGUCUGAUGAGCCUCCAUAUUGUUACAGUAAAUAAUUGAAUAAUGAUACUAGACAUUAAAAGUUUAAAACAAAUUUUCAAAUUUUUUCGAUACAUUGCCUUAAUAGAUUAAAAGGUUUCAAAUUUUCUAUUUUAAUAAUCGAUAUGAGACUAUUCUCUUUAACAAUAAAGAAUCCAAAUCGAAUAAUAUUUUGUAGAAACUUCAUUAAACCUAUUUAAAUAAAUUAUACUCUUUGAAUUUGAUUUUAAAACAUCCUGAUUAUUUAUAUUUUAAAAGAUAUAGUUUUUCAGUGUUAUUUUGUAUGCUAUUGAUAUGGAUAAGAGAACAAUAAAGAAAAAGUUAAAUUUGAUUAAGAUACUUCAAUGGUCUAGAUCAUGUUCAAGAGUGCCUGUCGUCAAUUUGGAGGACUCCAUCAUCGAAAAAAUGUGGUUCAACGAAGCCCUUUGAUACCGAUAGUAUUCAGCUCAACUAUAAUAUAUAUAUAGUUCGUGAAAACAACUUUAAGAUACAUGCUCAAUAUACUUCAUAAUAGUAUACGAAGCCNNNNNNNNNNNNNNNNNNNNNNNNNNNNNNNNNNNNNNNNNNNNNNNNNNNNNNNNNNNNNNNNNNNNNNNNNNNNNNNNNNNNNNNNNNNNNNNNNNNNNNNNNNNNNNNNNNNNNNNNNNNNNNNNNNNNNNNNNNNNNNNNNNNNNNNNNNNNNNNNNNNNNNNNNNNNNNNNNNNNNNNNNNNNNNNNNNNNNNNNNNNNNNNNNNNNNNNNNNNNNNNNNNNNNNNNNNNNNNNNNNNNNNNNNNNNNNNNNNNNNNNNNNNNNNNNNNNNNNNNNNNNNNNNNNNNNNNNNNNNNNNNNNNNNNNNNNNNNNNNNNNNNNNNNNNNNNNNNNNNNNNNNNNNNNNNNNNNNNNNNNNNNNNNNNNNNNNNNNNNNNNNNNNNNNNNNNNNNNNNNNNNNNNNNNNNNNNNNNNNNNNNNNNNNNNNNNNNNNNNNNNNNNNNNNNNNNNNNNNNNNNNNNNNNNNNNNNNNNNNNNNNNNNNNNNNNNNNNNNNNNNNNNNNNNNNNNNNNNNNNNNNNNNNNNNNNNNNNNNNNNNNNNNNNNNNNNNNNNNNNNNNNNNNNNNNNNNNNNNNNNNNNNNNNNNNNNNNNNNNNNNNNNNNNNNNNNNNNNNNNNNNNNNNNNNNNNNNNNNNNNNNNNNNNNNNNNNNNNNNNNNNNNNNNNNNNNNNNNNNNNNNNNNNNNNNNNNNNNNNNNNNNNNNNNNNNNNNNNNNNNNNNNNNNNNNNNNNNNNNNNNNNNNNNNNNNNNNNNNNNNNNNNNNNNNNNNNNNNNNNNNNNNNNNNNNNNNNNNNNNNNNNNNNNNNNNNNNNNNNNNNNNNNNNNNNNNNNNNNNNNNNNNNNNNNNNNNNNNNNNNNNNNNNNNNNNNNNNNNNNNNNNNNNNNNNNNNNNNNNNNNNNNNNNNNNNNNNNNNNNNNNNNNNNNNNNNNNNNNNNNNNNNNNNNNNNNNNNNNNNNNNNNNNNNNNNNNNNNNNNNNNNNNNNNNNNNNNNNNNNNNNNNNNNNNNNNNNNNNNNNNNNNNNNNNNNNNNNNNNNNNNNNNNNNNNNNNNNNNNNNNNNNNNNNNNNNNNNNNNNNNNNNNNNNNNNNNNNNNNNNNNNNNNNNNNNNNNNNNNNNNNNNNNNNNNNNNNNNNNNNNNNNNNNNNNNNNNNNNNNNNNNNNNNNNNNNNNNNNNNNNNNNNNNNNNNNNNNNNNNNNNNNNNNNNNNNNNNNNNNNNNNNNNNNNNNNAGAGAGAGAGAGAGAGAGAGAGAGAGAGAGAGUUGAGUUGGAAUGCUCUCAGUAGCAGAUAUGCUUCAUUACCACCCAUUUGUUUCGAUGAUAGAGCCUCCAUAUUGUUGACCAGUAUCAUUGAAUAUGAUCUAGACCACUUAAAGUAUUUAAAACUAAAUUUUCAAAUUUUUUCGAUAUCAUUGGCCUAAUGAUUAAAAGGUUUCAAAUUUUCUAAUUUUAAUAAUCGAUAUGAGACAUUUUCUCGUUUAACAAUAUAAGAUAUCCAAAUCGAAUGAAUUUUUGUUAGAAAAUUCAUUAAACCAUUUAAAAUAAGAUCUAUACUCUUAAUUUUGAUUAUAAAACUCCUAUUAUUAUUUUUUAAAAGAUAUUUAUUUUCAGCUGUUUAUUUUUGUAUCUAUUUGAUGGAUAAGAGAACAAUAACGAAAAAGUAUGAAAUUUGAUUUAUAGAUACUUUAACUGGUCUAGAUCAUGUUCAAUAGUGCCGAUCGUCAAUUUGGAGGCUCCAUCAUCGAAAAUAAAUGUGUGGCAACGAAGCCCGUUUGAUACCGAUAGUAUUCCAGCUCAACUAUAUAUAUAUAUAUCGAAAACAACUUAUGAGUACGAUGGCUCCAAUACUCAUAAUAGUAUAGUAGCCAUUGCCUAUAUAUAUAUAUAGAGAGAGAGAGAGAGAGAGAGAGAGAGAGAGUUGAGUUGGAAUGCUCUCAGUAGCAGAUAUGCUUCAUUACCACCCAUUUGUUUCGAUGAUAGAGCCUCCAUAUUGUUGACCAGUAUCAUUGAAUAUGAUCUAGACCACUUAAAGUAUUUAAAACUAAAUUUUCAAAUUUUUUCGAUAUCAUUGGCCUAAUGAUUAAAAGGUUUCAAAUUUUCUAAUUUUAAUAAUCGAUAUGAGACAUUUUCUCGUUUAACAAUAUAAGAUAUCCAAAUCGAAUGAAUUUUUGUUAGAAAAUUCAUUAAACCAUUUAAAAUAAGAUCUAUACUCUUAAUUUUGAUUAUAAAACUCCUAUUAUUAUUUUUUAAAAGAUAUUUAUUUUCAGCUGUUUAUUUUUGUAUCUAUUUGAUGGAUAAGAGAACAAUAACGAAAAAGUAUGAAAUUUGAUUUAUAGAUACUUUAACUGGUCUAGAUCAUGUUCAAUAGUGCCGAUCGUCAAUUUGGAGGCUCCAUCAUCGAAAAUAAAUGUGUGGCAACGAAGCCCGUUUGAUACCGAUAGUAUUCCAGCUCAACUAUAUAUAUAUAUAUCGAAAACAACUUAUGAGUACGAUGGCUCCAAUACUCAUAAUAGUAUAGUAGCCAUUGCCUAUAUAUAUAUAUAGAGAGAGAGAGAGAGAGAGAGAGAGAGAGAGAGAGAGAGAGAGAGAGAGAGAGAGUUCUGCUGUGGUGUUUUUGAAAGCAUCAAGCACCUGGUGCUCGUAAGUUUUUCGUCGUUAGAUCUACCCAUUUUAUAAUUUUUAUUCGUUAUAUCAUACUAUUCAAUCAACCACUUACUUAACUUUGAGUGGACCACUAUCAUUCUAAUCACACAUCUUUUAAUCUAAGGCCAAAAAUCUAUAAGUAUCAAUGACUUGAUAUUUUUAAAAGUAUAGAAGCUUAAUACACACACACAAACUAUCCACUUCUCAUAUGUUUACAUGUCUAAAUAAAUAAAAGGAUAAAUUCCAAAUUUCUCCACUGUGGUAUUGAGCAUUUUCACUUUUCCAACUUACAAUUUAAUUUUUAUUUGACUAAAAAAUUCUACCUCAAAUAAGAUGACAAAGUAAAAUUUUUGAAAAGCUAGAGAGCGGCAAAGUUAAUAAUACUCGAUCUAUAAAACACAGGGUAGUGUGGGUAACAGUUUCCUUUUUAAUUAGAAAUAUAGAGAGGAAUCAAAAUGAUAGUUUGAGAGAUUAGUGGCAAAAAUGAAAACACCCGAGUUAUUAAUUAAGGAAGUGCUAGCUAGCUAGAAUAAGCAUUUAAAAGCCAUGCAUGAACCUUCAACAAGCGGUCCCCAAAUUUUGUUUGUUUUAUAUUAUCAUUAAUAAGUCUUUCCUCGUAUCUCUAUUUGUGCUAUGAUAACACCAUCUUAGACCUCUACAGUGAUGAAAAUCAAAACUUUAAGGCUGACGUCGAUAACGAACAAGGCGCGUUUGGUUCACGUUAUAUAGUAUUAUUACAGAAUAUUUCAACACAAUUAACUGGGUAUAUGAGAUUCCUGCAUUGUUACAUUUGAUUUAAUACAGUAAUAUAAUACUAGAUUACAAUAUAUAUGAAAUUAUUAUGUUCGGUUUAUUUUAUAAAAUUUAAUAAUCCUGACAAUAAAAUAUAAUUUAUUCUACAAUUGCCCUUAUGUUAUAUUUCGCAAAAUGUAAAAUUCAAAAUACAAAAGUAAAAUUUUAAAAUUAAAAAUUUAUAAUAUGAAAUAUAAAUUUAAAAUCUAAAUUUUAGAUUUUAAAUUCAUAAUAUAAAUUUUAAAUUUUAAAUUUAAUAUUUAAAUUUUAAAAUUUUGAAAUUUGAUUAAAAUUUUAAAAUUUAAAAUAUAUAUUUUAAAUUUUAAAAAUUGAAAUUGAUAUUUACAAUUUGGCAAUUCAAAAAUUUAAAUAAAAUUUUAGAAAUGACAUAUACAAAGAGUUUGGAGGAGGGGGACGAGGGGUUGGAGGGAUAAACUUAUAAUUUUAUAUAAUAUGCAGGAUUACUUGACAUCAGUAAUAUAAGAUACUCUUCCCUAUUCAAUAAUUAUAUUACUGACCAGAUUAAAUACUGAAUGAACUAAAUACAAUAAUCUUAGCAGGAUUGUCUGUAAUCCUGUCAGGAUAGUUUGAACCAAACGCAUCCUAAAGCAAAUUUGAAAUCGAGGCCAACUUUUAAUGUUAACUGAGAGUCACACUUUAGGAUUAAUUUAUUAACAAUCCAAACUUUAACCGAUCAAACUUUAGGGAAUGAAUUCGCCAUUAACUCUAUUGGAAAACCAUCAGUUUAAAUGGUUGAAAAUGUCGAUUCAAGUGCCAAUUCACCAUCUUCUUAUACGACUUAAAUAAAUCUAGAGGCUCCUAGCCUUCUUUUGCUAUAACUAUCCGUCUUUCCCUCGCUAAUUAGGGCAAGUCAGUUAUGAACGACAGUGCUUCUGUAAACAACAUUCUUGUCACUUGCAAGAUGUUUCUUUUCGGGUACCAACCAUCAAGCUAUUUGCCACUACGGUCGGUUUUUCUAUGUGAAUGCCAGAUAAUUUCGUUAAGAUAGGCCGACCUUACAAGUUCAACACAAUAAAUCUGCGACAAUUCAAAGUACACAUUCGAGCAUAGAACUUAUAGUGUCAUGCCUAGCUCUAUUGGGAAAAAAAAAAUAUUUCCAAUCUAAUCUUUCUUUCAAAAAAUUUUCUAAUCUAGCUUUCCUUUGAUAGAUUAGAAAACAAAAGAUGACUUAAUAGCAUUUAUAUAUAUGUUGAUUAGGAGAUGGAAAUUUUUUUCUCUCUCUCCCCUUCCAAAAUUAAUAUUAAUAAUAUNAGAUGGAAAUUUUUUUCUCUCUCUCCCCUUCCAAAUUAUCAUUCAGUAAUAAUAAUAUUUAUUAUUAUUAAAUAUAAAAUUUUAAAUAUUAUUAUUAUAAAAAUUAAUUAUUUUUAAAUAUUAGAAGAUUGGGAGGAAAUAGAGAAAAAAAAUAUUUUCUGUCUCCUAAUUAACAUAUAAAUGUUAUUAAGUCAUAUUUUGUUUUCUAAUCUUAGAAAGAGAGGCUAUAUUAGAAAUAUUUUUUAAAAAAAGACUAGAUUGGAGAAAAAAAAAAAAAAUUCAAUGAGACUAAGCAUAGCAUUAGCUCUCGAGCAUAUGGAUGAAAUAUUUGGAGAUCGCCUUAACUAAACUAUGAGUUUUAACAUCCCACGUAAAUGCGCACAUUCUAUUUACCUUAUGGUUGUAGUACAUUACAUCUCUACAUAUUUGAAAGUAACGUUCUUCUAAGUUAAGAGUGUUUGUUUCAGAUGGGCAUCAUCUCUAGCCUUUUGAGGAAAAAUGUCGACCCUAAUGGGCAGAGUGUCGGACAGAACCAGGUAUCAAGUAUCAACUCAUGUCCCCUUUUUUUUUAUAUAGAAAUUAUAGCAAGACUGUAUCAAAUAAAUAAAACUGUCUAAAAUAGCCGAUAUUUCAUACCCAACUCGGACUCUAUCCAAACCGGACCCGAUAAAAAAUGUAUAGUAUACGAGUAAAAAAAUUAUCUAUUAAAAUUUCGGGUAUGGUCCGAAUUCUUUAUAUCCAUACUCGACUUGGACAGGAUCCGAACCCGACCUUUCAGUCGGUAGGGUCCGGAAGAGUUUCCAAAUACGAACCCGGGCCUGAACAUGAACCUGAUGAAAUACUCUAUUGUAAAUAAAAAAAUUUGAAGUUGAAGGAUCAAUUUAAGCAGGACUUAUAAAUGAAGGGUCUCUUUAUAUUUUUCAUUCCAGUGAAAACUCCGGUCGCUCUAUUUACUCACUUUUUUUAACUUUUUAUUUUACUCAUUGUUUUUAAUUCUAGCUGUUUAUUACUUGAAUUUUUUUUUUAAGCAAAUUUUAUUGGAUGGAUGCAACUAAUUAGAACGCGAGUUUUCUAUAGUCGGAAGUUAAUGAUUUGUCCAUAAAUUCUUUAAUAAAAUGUGUAAAAAAUAUGUACAUUCGGGUAUCCAUACCUAAUAUAGAUUUGAUCCGUAUCCGAUCCAUACCCGUCUUAAGCGGGUAGUAUACGGAUAGUCACUGCCCAGACCCGUUGAAAUAACCCCAAUGGGUAUAUUAUUAACUUAAGUGCUCAGAUCCAAACUCGAUCCGAAGUUAAAUGGAUAGAAUAUAUUUUUUUUCUAUUUAUUUUUUUUAGAGUAUGAAUAUAGUAUAUCAACUAUCCAGAUCCGACCUGACUUUCGGACAUCUUUACAGACAAAACCAUUACUAUUCUAGUAAGAAAGGCACAAUAAAACUACCCCCACCACACACACACAUAGAGGUGGCAAUCCAGCUCGUUGUUCGCGAGCUGGCUCGUGUUGAGCUCGAAAUCAGUUCGAGAUAAAGUCGCUUGUUUAGUAAACGAGUCAAAUACGAGCUGAAUUGUUUAGCUUGUUUAAUAAACAAGCCGAACACGAGAUGGGGUUAGCUUGCUUGUGUUCGGCUCAAUAAUAGCUCAAAUACAUAUAUUUUAUAUUUAUAUAAUUUAUAUUUAUAUAAAUAAAUAAAUAAUUAUAUAUAUAAUAUAAAUUUUUAUUAUUUAAUUUUUAGUCUAACCUAAAUAUAAAAACUAACUCAAUUAUAAAAAUGUCCGGUGUAUAUGUAAACAAGUUUCAACNAAGUCUAAUGAAUAAGAUUUUAUAAAUUUAUUUUUUAUACAUAUUCAAUCUAAUCCGUUUUAACUUAUUGUUCGUCGGCCAGCUCAUAAGCCAGCUCGUGUUCGGGCCGAACACGAGCUGAAUUUUUCGGCUCAAUACUUUAUCAAGCUAGCUCGUGUUCGGCUCGUUUAUUAAACAAGCCGAACAAGAGCCGGACCUAACUCGCUCGUGUUCAGCUUGUUUACACCCCUACACACACAUCCAAAUAGGUGCCCACAUAGUAAUAAAGUAACCCAACACUGCAACCAAUAAAGUAGAGCACAAAAGCAAUUUCAAAAUUGAAGCGUUGAAGAAGAAUGAGAUAUUGAGAGCAAAAAUCUUAAUUAACAAUGCGAGUUAAUAAAUAUUAAUUGAAGCAAUCAACCUAAGCCAGCUUUCUAGGUGUUAGCAAUGUGGAGAAAAUCUUUGGAUGUUGGAUUUAAAAUAUGGAACAAACAUCAUAUCACAGUACAGCAAAAAAAAAAAAAAAAAAAGAAAAAGAAAAAAAAGAACAAGAAGAUAUGCUAGAGGCAUCUGUUUAUCACCAAAUAGUUUAGAUAAAAAUCUAACUACAAACGAAAUCUAACCCGUAUUGCAACCUAAGGCACCGUUUGGUUAGGAGAUAAGAAUAGGAAUAGGCCCUUAUCCCCCCUUUAUAUUCAAACACUAAUUUUUUUUUCGAAAAUAGUAAUUCUCGGUUAUCCCCACCAACACCUCUAUUUUUUAUAUAAAACUAUCUAAAAUUGUUCUUAUCUCCGGGAACAACCCAAUUUUCAUCUAAACGCUAUUUUUUUUAUCCCCAUACUUGUAUCUAUUCCUGUAAUAGCUAGUUUUUGCUUAUACUCGAACCAAACGGUAUCUUAAGAAAGAAGAUGGAAGGAGUUGACUAUCUAUAACAAAUUACUUAACAGCUCCUUGAAUUCUGCGUCAUUCCUCAGCAAUUAAUGCUAGCUGCUGGUCUUUUUAGAAUAGAUUGAAAUUAUAAUUUGUGCAUGGUUUCAUUAAUAGCUUUAACUUCUCUGACUUCACUUCUCCGUGAACAAAUCGAUCUGUAAGAUUGAUAUCGAACUAUCUUCUCCGGCGGUUAAUUCAACGACGACGGCUGAAGCUGAACCCAAUAACUCUGAGUCUUCCAGAAACGGGCGAUCUGAGAUCACAAAUGAGGAAACUAACAUAUGCAGGAUUUUCAAAGUUCAGGAUCUAAUUAGCGACGAGAACAUUGUCCAAUCCUUCAAGCCGAAAAUUCUAUCCAUCGGUCCUUAUCACCACGGAUCUUCUUCUUCACAUUUAGAAGUCACGGAGUCGGUGAAGUUGCGUUGUCAACGUAACAUCCUCGGUUCGAUUAGCGAGGACAGCUACGACGGAUGCAGAAUCACGACACGAGCAAAAGACUUUUACAGCGAGAAGUACAUCACAAUGGGAGAAGAGAAUUUUGCGAGGAUGCUCUUGCGCGACGGAUGCUUCAUUCUUGCUGCUCUCGGACUGAUGCGAGGUGAUCUUACCCAGCUCGAAUUCGAAGCGUUGCCUUGGCAUGAUGUAGUGCAUGACCUACUUCUGGUAGAGAAUCAAAUUCCUUUUCUCGUCCUCGAGGAAAUACGUAUGCUAGCUGCACCUAUACCAGGAGAAACAACAGAAUCACUUAAAGAAAAGAUUGCGGCAUCUGUGAAAGUCGAGCUACAACACUACACAAAUGCGAUCGAUAUCCGUGAGAUCCAUUCGAAAGAUUUUCACCAUCUGCUGCACUUGUGCCAUAUGUUCUUUCGACCUAGUCAAAUUGCAGUGGAGCACCAUCGCGCUCGAGCAGUGACGAACCUGCAGUGGCACCGAGCAGUGCAGUACCAUGAAGCGGGAGUCGAAUUCAGAGCGAAGGACCCUUCGACUCCCCAUUCUCUUUUGGACGUAACAUUCAGCAACGGAGUAAUGGAAAUUCCACGACUGUCUAUCGACGGGCAGACAGAAUCUCUCUUCAAAAACCUUAUCAUGUUUGAGCUGGGAUGCCCUCAGGUAGGGAAAUAUAUGAAUGCGUACAUCAUAUUCAUGUCGCAGCUGCUCAGCAAACCCGAUGAUGUUGAAUUACUUGCUCAGAGAGGAAUCAUUGAGAUACUCGGUCGUGCGGACGAGGUUUUACGUAUCUUCGGCAGGCUUAACGAAUUGGCUAUUUUGCCCUGUUGGGACGACUAUUAUUUAAAAUCUACGCUUCGGUCGGUGGGAGCGCACUACAAUCGCCGUUCGAACUGGUGGUUCGCGUGGUUGAAGCACAAGCACUGCAAAAAUCCAUUCUUGGCCUUAGCAGCAUUAGGAGCUUUUAUAGUUCUUCUGUGUACUGUAAUUCAAGCAUUGUUUUCUGUUUUGCAAUAUUUCACACCGACAAAGUAAUCAUCUUCGUGGAUAUGCAGCUUCAUAGAGUACAUUUGUUUCUUCAAUCCGGUCUACGUACCCGGCCCGCCUUAAUUUGUUUUGAAUAUAUGAUCUAUUUUCUACUUGCAUUCAUCAAUGUUAACAUUUGUUUCUUCAAUCCGGUUUACGUACGUACUCGGCCCGCCUUAAUUUGUUUUGAAUAUAUGAUCUAUUUUCUACUUGCAUUCAUCAAUGUCAUAUAUGCAUGCAUGUGUUAGCUACUAAGUACUAAUGUCUAACAAUCGAUCGUUUCAUUAGAAACUUACAUUCAUGGAAGAUCAUAUUUGAUUUUUGUGGAAUUAUAUUGUAUUAGCUCUUUACAUUAAUUCUUGGAAGAUCAUAUUUACUUAUAGAUUUUAGUGCUCAAUAAAUAGGUUUAAUUUAUAUAUGCGAGCUGUUUCUUGUAACCCAGUCAUUCAUACUGAGUGUGCUGGCCAACAUAAUCGUAAUAGUACGAUAUAUUUUAGUGAUAGUGGAACCGACGCAAAUUAAUUUCUUGCCUUCAGGUUUUGAACUGAAUUAGCGCAUUCCUGUCAUCUGAUUCACGGGAUAAAACUUUAUUGAGAAGCUCUCCAACGAGGCUUUGUAGGAAAUCCGCCAUCUGUUAUGUAUUAGCUUUGUCUCCAUCCAAUCACUUUCUUUUUUAAUAUAUAUUAAAAUCCCCAAAACAAAAAAUUUAAACUCUAGAGGGAAGGGUUAUAAUGCUUGGAUAGAGAUAAAAUGACACCUAGCACCGGAUUAGAAAAUUUCUAUCUAUGUAAUUAUCCAUUUUGCACUUUUUCUUCAUGACUUUCAAAAAUCUAUAAUUUGCCUUUUAAAAUUUCAAAAAUAUUUUCAAGGGGGUACGACGUUAACAUAGAGAGCAAAAUGACCAAACUAAUCUUACUUCUUCUAUAAAAAAAGAAUAAUUUUUUAAUAUUAAUUUUUUAUCAUUUUGAAGGACAUUUUCAAUAUAAAUUAUAAGAAAUUAACGGAAUAGUAAUGGAACCUUGAUGGAGGAGGACUAAAUGUAACAACCUAAAAUACUGAGGGAGUAAAAUGUACGUAGGUUUUUAAAAGUUAGAGAGAAAGUUAAAAAGUGAGUAUUUAUAGGAGAAUUUUUUAUAAUUUAGCCUUUAAAUAAUUAUCAUCCUAACUAAAGUUAAAAAUAGUCUUAAUUAAGAGGGCAUAAUUUUGACCAUAUAAAAAAACAAUCAAUUUACUCCUAUUUUCUUAUCUCUAAUUUGAGCACAUUGUCCGACUUUUUCAUAAAAUAAUUAACCCUGUAAAAAUUUGAAAUUUACAAAAUGAUCCUUUCAAAAUUUUAUUUGAAAAACUAACCCUCAUUUCGUCACGUCGGCACCAUGUCAGAAUUUUUUUUAAAGACGGUGAAUAGUUCUACGCUUUCUCUCAAUUCUUUUAAAGGCAGUGAAUCAUUCCCCGCUUUCUCCCGUUUCUUUUAAAGGCGGUAAAUCGUUCACCGCAUUCAUUGAAAUUGUGCGUGGAUUAUAUAAAAAAUAAAAAAAAAGUGAGGUUGUUAGGAUUAUAUGUGGAUCAUUAGAAUUUUUAUUUGAUUAUUAGAAUUGUAUGGAUAGAUUAUUAGAAUUUUUAGGCUGUUAAGAUUAUAUAAAAUUAUAUGGAUAAAUUAUUAAGAUUUAAAGGUUGUUAAGAUUAUAUGUGAUUUGUUAAAAUUUUUAUUUAGUUGUUAGGAUUAUAUAUAGAAUACAGAAAGAAACAGUAAAUAAGUAUGUCAAUGAUUCACCAUUUUUAAAAGAAAUGAAAAAAAAGGACAAAUAAUUUACCACCUUUAAAAGAAAUAGGAGAAAGUAAGAAACGAUUCACCGCUUUUAAAAUAAAUUCUGACGUGGCGUUGAUGUGGCGAAAGAAUGAUUAAUUUUUAAAAUAAAAUUUUGAAAGGAUUAUUUAUAAAAAAGCCCACACUGUCAGCUCUCUUUUGGAAGUUCAAACAAAAAAUGAGAUAAAUUUUUUAGCCUGUUCCAAAUAUAAUAUGUAUAAUUGGCAACACGGAAAUAAAAUCAUAACCAAACAUUAUCACCUUAGUCUUGGCUACUUUUGUAUGUAUGCCCCUACAGAAUAGAACAAGUUCUUCGAUAAUUACAAUGGCACAAAUAAUCAUCACUUGAUACUUCAAAAUCAGUAAACCAAUAUAUAUUUUCGCACUGAUAUAUCACGUCCAGAUUGUCAAAGAUAAGAUCAAAUUAUUAGUUAAAUAUAUUUUUUGUUAUGUAAAAGGUAUAAAGGAUUGACUUCUAGAUUGUUAAUAAGUUUGAAAUUUGAUUUUUUUUUUCUUUAUUUUUUUUUCUAAUUUGGCAUUGCUGCAAAGCUCAAAAUACGCUUCUUUCUCCAGUACUGUUGGAUAUGCAAGAUACCAUUUAUUUAACCAAGUUGAAACAAAAGGAACACAUCUCUUGGAUUCUUCAACAACACAUACGAUCGAUAAAACACGCACACGAAACACUACGGUAUCCAUAGAUGCAUGCCCUCUCUCGCGCUCAGACAUGCACGCAUGCAUGCAUGCAGGGGCUUACGGAGAAGCUGCAGUGGUGUUAAGUCCGGAAAGCCGCGGAAGUGGCGGAAGACGCGGAAGUGGUGGAAGACGAAGUCUAGGCAACCCGAGUGGUCCCUUUUCAUCCUCAACGUAGGUGAUAUUGCCACCUUUCCCUGAUCAUAGUGAAGGAAAAUGAAUCUACAUGAGAUAUAGAGUGAAGUAUAUAUAUAUAGGGCUAGAAAGUAGCAAACGGACUCCGUUACCAUCUAUUUGUUUUCGAUGAUGAAGCCUCUGAAUUGACGAUCUGUACCGUUGAACGUGAUCUAUACCACUUGAAGCAUCUAGAAAUCAAAUUUGAUACUUUUUCGAUAUUGUUUUCUUGUCCAUUAAGUGGACACAAAAAUGAACGGUUGCAAAUAAAUAUUCUUUAAAAAAUAAUAAUAGGAGUCUUGUAAUCAAGAUUAAGAGUAUAUAUCUUGUUCUAAAUAGUUUAAAGAAUUUUUUAACAAAAAAUUCAAUUGAUUUGGAUAUCUUUACGCAGUUAAACGAGAAAACGUCUCAUAUCGACCAUUAAAAUUAUAAAUUUUGAAAUUCUUUGAUCAUUAGGUAAAUGAUAUCGAAAAGAUUUGAAAUUUGAUUUCUAAAUACUUUAACUAAUAUAGAUCAUGUUCAACGAUGCCGAUCGUCGAUUUGGAGGCUCUAUCUUCAAAAACAAAUGAAUGACAAUAGAGCCUGUUUGCUAUCGAUACGUAUUUCUAGCUCAACUCUAUAUAUAUAUAUAUAUAUAUAUAUAUAUAUAUAGGAGAGAGGAGAGAGAGAAGGAGAGAGAGAGAGAGAAGAGACGAGAGAGAGAGACGAAGAGUAGAGAGAGAGAUCUAGUUUGUCGCGAGUAUAUAAUAUAUGAUUCCAGCAUUGAUUGACGAUAUAGUUCGAUAUCAUCAAUCUAUACAUAAAUAAAAGGCGAAACCCUCACUAGGCCACACUGUUGCUUUCUCACGACCCUCCCCCCCCCCUUCUCAAGCUUGCUGAGGGGGGGCGGCUUCUCUCACACACACAAGCCAACAGCACCUUCUUGGCUUCUCGAUCCCGAAGUCUCUCUCCUCUCUCUCGCUGGUGCGCCUGGAGAGGGGACUGGCGCACAUGCCUCCCCCCCCCGGCUCUCUCUCUCUCUCUGCUGCCCCGUCCCUCUCUUGUCUCGUCUUCUCUCGUCGCUCUCUCUCUCUCUCAUCUCUUCUCUGACCGUGCCCCCAGGCGAGAGGGACCCGCGCACCAUGGCAGGGCCCCCCGCGUUGUCUCUCCUCUCUCUCUGAGCUCUCGCUCCCUCCUCCCGCUGCCUCCUCCCACUCGUACUAUGGCCACGUGGCCCGUCCCCGUCCGACUCUCUCGGCUCUGCUCUCCGCAGUCCUCUCGACCCUUAACACAUCUUCCGCGUGGACGUGGGCACCGACGACAGAAUCUCCCUCAUAUCAUCUCUCGCUCUCGUCUCCUCGCCUCUCUCUGCGGCGCGCCAGGAACGCUUCACGCGUGGAGGAGGCGCGCGCCGGGUCUGCGGUGUCGCCCCAUGUCAGACCAUGGCAAGGCGUCCCCACAGCCCCUACCGGUUCUGUCUCUCUCUUCUACGUGUCAUCCCCGCUUUAACGAACCAACCACCCGAAAACCCCCCUCGAAUCCUUCCCACACGCGCCCCCCUACCCCGGAUCUCUCGCUCCCCCCCGCGUCCCCGCGCCGGCCUGGCCGGCGACCCCCCCCGCGCGUUACCCCGCGCACCCUGUACCUGGCCCUGUCUGUUUCGCCUCGGUCCUCCUCACCCCCCCAGCCCCGGCUCUCUCGUCUUCCACCAUUUUCCUGCUCCCCCUCACGAGGGGCAGGGCGAGGCGCGAGGGGGGGCGGCGCGAGCGGGCGGCGGCGCGCAGGCGGGAUCAACGUGGUCUGGCGCGCGGCACCGGCGCGGGCGGCAGGGGGCAGGCACGGAGCGCGGGGCUCGGCGCGGGCGGGCCGAAGACGGCUGCGGCAGCAGGGCAGAGCGAGCGUCGCGGGGAAUAGGCGCGUGGGCGUGUGCGGGGGCGUGCGGGGGCCGUGCGGGCGAGCGGUGGCAUGCGGGGGGCCCAGUGCGGGACCCAGCAGGGGAGAGGGAGAAAGAAUUUUUUUCCCCUCUGCUCUUCAUUUCUUUUUCUUUUUUUUUUUCUCGUCUGCCCUUUUUCCUUCAAAUUUUUUAUUUUAACUGCCGGGCCCGGCCAAACCCUGCGACCAAGGGCCGGAGCCCUAACCGCUUGGCGCUCUGCGCACAUUCAGCAGUCUCAUCGUUGACGGCUCGCGUGAGCGUCUGGCGCCGGAACAUCACGGGGCUCCUGCAUGCGGUCCACGCACGCGGGCGGCCCUCAUGUGGACGCGCUGAGGGAGACGGGGUACGUUGGACGCCCUCUCUCCCUCUUUGUUGCUCAAUUUAUAUAUAUAUAAUAAUAUAUGAUCAUAAAUAUAUAAGGUCGCAUCUGCCUGCCCCGCCCGCUGGAGGGUUCCGCGGCCACCCAGAGCUCCGUUCGUGGUUAUAAUAUAUAUAUAUUAUAUAUAUAUAUAUAUACAUACCCAAUUUUGAAUUUUUUCACGAUAAUUUUAAAUUUUAAAUUUAAUUUUAAAAUUUAAAAGUUGAAAUUUAGAAUUUAACAUCAAAUUUAAAUUUGAAAAUUUAAAAAUAUCAAAUUUAAAAUUUAAAACUAUAAUUUUAGUUUUGAAAUAAUAAAUUAUAAAUAUUUUAGUUUUAAAUAUUCAAAUUGUAAAAUUUAAAUUUAAAUUUUAAAAUUUAUUAUAAAAGGGGGGAGAGAGAGGAAAAAGAUGGAUAUAACAUUGUUCCACAUAGGGAUGGGAACUAGGAAUAGCUAUUCUCACUCUUAAAAAUUAGUGUUUGGGCAUGUUUGGGGGCUUCAAUAUUAAUGUUCUUCGCGGGCCCAGCUGUGGAUUCUUUUGUAAAAGGAGAAAACGGUGUUCACAUGAAUGAACCUGUUUUCGUUUUCGACCUUAGAAUCUAAUUAGUUACUUUCAUAAUCAUAUAUUUAUAUAUAUGUAUACGCGCGCCCGCGCACACACACACACACAUAUAAACAGUACACAUAUUUCAAAAUUUUAAGUGACGAUAUACAUGUUCAGAAAUUUAAUGAUAAAAGCCAGAAAGUAAACACAGUAAAUUAGAAGUAACGAUAUACAUGCUUGAAAAUUUAAGGCAAAAAAAACUUGGUCAAAUGCUCACUCAGAUAGUCAAAACAUCUUCAUUCUUUUCAUAGCAUAGCCAAAACGUUUUUUCCCCCUUUUAGUAAGAUUUUAUCUAUUUUUUCCAACUUUGUCAAAGAAAUGUUGUAUUUUAUAAACUAAUUAAGGAAUAAUCAUAACAAACAAUAGUAUGAAUUAUAUUAUAACUGCGUAUGGGAAAAGAGGAGGAGGCAGUUGAGGACAGGCAAAACUACCCAUAAGCAUAGAGCAGUAGUAGGAACAGCAGGAAACCGCAAGGGGAGAAAGUGUGCAGGGGAAAAAACGCAGCAAUGACAGAACAUAGUUUGGCGAAUAGUAGAUUACCAUUAAUUAAUCUAUUUGCUUUCUUUUAAAUUACAAUCUUGAUUAUUUAUGUUAUGCAGGCGCGGUCACGCCCGAGCGGGAGCAGGCGCAAGCGAGCAGGAGCGGGAGCGGGAGCGGGCGCGGGUGCGGGGCAGGUGCGGACGCUGCGCCCGCGCAUGAGCGUAGGGAAAGGAGUUUGGUGGAGAUAUUUUUUUUCCCCUUCUCUCUCUUUACAUAUAGAGAAGAGGAUUUUAGGGUUUUUUUUAAUUUUAAUUUAAUUUUGACUUUAAUUUAAGGUAUUUAAAUUUAGAUAUUUAAUUUGUAAUUAUAGAUUUUGAAUUAGAAAUUGNUAUAUGAUUUUAGUUUCUGAAUUGUAGAUUUUAAAUUUUAUAUUCAAAUUAUAAAGUUUAAAAUUUUAAAAAUUAUAUAUAUUAAUUUACUAAAUAUAUCAUGGAAUGUCAAAUUACCUAACUGAAUUCCUGAAAAUUCAAAAUUACAGCGAGUUAUUCGAUGCAUAUAAAAGUUUAGAAUUAGAAAGAUUAGGAAUAAACAAAACUCUAACUAAAAUCAUAUAUUCAAAAUAUACAAAUUGAAUUAAGAUAAAAUGUAUUUUUUAAAAUUUAAAUGUUCAAAAUGUUAAUUUCAAAUUUUAGAAUUUAAACAAAUGGGUGCUAAAAAUUUUUAAUUUUAAAUAAAUUGUAUAAAUUUCCCGCCGCGAAGCGCGGGCCUACACUAGUAAUAAUAAUGAUUCAAUGGUGAAAAUGCGGAUAGUAUAUAUAUUAAUAGUAUUACAGCUAAAGAGAGAGAGAGAGAGAGAUUUUUUAGAAACAUUUAUUAUAAACAAUUGAGUCGUCUUUUGUUUUUAAAGAGGAAUAUUUAAUCAAAGAAAAAUCAUUAUUGUGUACUCAAAAAAGGGUGUAGAUCUUACACAUCAUCUAAAUAUAGAUAAAAAUUCGAAUGAGUUUUAGUAUAAAAAAAAAAUUGAUGUGGUAAAUAAAAAAUUAAUGGUUCUUGAAUGGUAUAAGUGUAAGAUAUAUAUACACCCCACGUUGCAGUGUACCAAUAACAUUACUUUUUGGUUAGACAUCUUUGUUAUAACUGAAACUAAUGGAUUAUACUUUUUAUAUUUAACAGUUUAAUUGUCGCUGAAAUAACUAGAUUUUAAUUUUAUAAUGUAAGCACUAUUUUCGAAGGAGAUUGUAGUGAUCAUUAUUAUAAUUCAAGUUUUUAAUGGUGAUCAAAGACUGUUUUUAUAAUGUUCUUUAAUGGGUUUUGUUUAAAAUUUGGUGGCAAUAGUAAUUGUGUGAAAGCACUUUAUAGUUAAAUUAAAUAUACCGAGCUAGACUCCUAUACUUUCGAAAGUAUAUAGACCUCCGUACUUGUAAGUUGUUUUCGAUGAUAGGACGUCCGAUUUGGCGAUCGAUUUUAUUAGAUAUGAUCUAUGCCAUUGGAACUAUCUAGAAACCAAAUUUCAUAACUUUUUGACUUAGUUUGCCUAGUGAACGAGUAGCCUCAAAAUGAAUGGCUGAAAAUGAAAAUCUCAUAAAAAAUAGUGAUAAAGAAUUCAAAUUUUAAAUCAGAAAUAUUGUUCUUGCUCCCGAUGUUACGUAGAAUUUUCUAUUAAAGUUUCAUGUAAUUUGAAUACUUCUACACCGUUGAACUUAAAAACGUGCCACAUCAACCAUUAAAAUAGUUAUUUUCGAGACCAUAUGAUCAUUUGGUAAAUGAUGUCGAAAAAUUAUAAAAUUUGGUUUCUAAAGUUCCAAUAGCAUAGAUUCCAUUAGACAUGAUCUACACUAUUAUAACUAUCUAGAAAUCAAAUUUCAUAACUUUUUGACUUAGUUUGCCUAAUGAACGAGUAACUUCAAAAUGAACGACUGAAAAUAAAAAUCUCACAAAAAACAGUAAUAAAGAACUCAAAUUUUAAAUCAGAAAUAUUGUUCUUUUUUCUGAUGUUAUGUAGAAUUUUCGAUUAAAGUUUUAUGUAAUUUGGAUACUUCUACACCGUUGAACUUAAAAACGUGCCACAUCGACCAUUAUCAUUUUUGAGACCCUGUGAUCAUUUGGUAAAUGAUGUCGAAAAAUUAUAAAAUUUAGUUUCUAGAUAGUUCCAAUAGCAUAGAUUAUACCUAAUAGGACCGAUUGUCGAAUCGAAUAUUCUAUCAUCAAAAACAACUUACAAGUACGGAAGCCUCCAUACUUUCGAAAGCACGGAAGAUGUACUCAUAUAUACCUUAUAAUGACACUUGUAAUUAUUGGUAUAGUAUUUAUAUUUUAGGGGCAUUUAUUUUUAUCUUUACCGGCUAUCCGAAUAAAAGCCACUAAAAUCUUUUCCGACCCUGCCUAGAGCGGCAAUUAUAUCCAUUGUUAGUAAACGAAUUGGUGGCGAAUACAAAUGCUGGAAUACAAAUGCUGCUAAUUUAUAAAGUAAUCGCCACUAAAAGUUAAUUUUGUUAUAGUUAAAGCUAAAAACAAGGGAUGUAUUGGAUCAAGAGAAAAUGCCAUUGUGAUGCAUGAAUUAAUUGCAAAUAGCUAUACUUUAAAACUAGGAGUGGAAAUAUAAAUUUUUAAAAUUGAGAUAUCUGUUUUGCAAAUAGCCCAGCAUUUAGAUAACUAUUUAGAUAACCUUCAAAUUAAGGAAAUAAAUGUUAAAUAAGUGAUUACUCUUAAAAUUAACUUAUUAGAUAUUGGUGCUUUGGUCAUUUAUAUUUAACACUUCAUCUUAUGUCUAGGUUCAAAAAAUUUGAUUGGUCUAGAACAUAGGCGUAAAUUAAAUAGAAUGAGGUGAUUUGAACUCAAAAUCUCAUACUUUAAUGUUUUUUCGUUCAAUUUCAUUUUAAAGAAAACAAUCUUUUAUGGAAAAAAACUAGUGUUUUUUUUUUCCUAAUAAUACAGAAAUAUAAAAAUGCUAGUUUUCCGUGAAUAUAAAUUAAAGAUUUUCAAAAAUAUAAUACUUGUUUUUUCUACAAAUCAAAUACUCGAAAAAUUAGAAAAUGAGUUUUCGAUGAAAAAUUUUAUUCUUCGAAAACGUUUUUCAACAUUUUUCCGAGAAACCAAAUAGCCCCUAAGAUCAUAAUGAUAUUUUGUGUACGCUAAAUUACAGAAACUUCCUUACAAAUACUCACUUUGUUACUUUUUCUUUUUAACUUUUAAAAAUCUAUAUUUUACCCCUUAAUAUUUCAAAUUGGUUCCAUCACUAUUCCAGCAAUUUUUUAUAAUUUAUACCGAAAAAACUCUUCAAAAAUUAUUUUGCCUUGUCCAUUAACGCCGUACCCAACUAAAAAUAUUUUUGAAAUUUUAAGUGAGAGAAAUGUAAGUUUUCGAAAGUCAGAAAAAAAUAUAUAUAUAUUUAUAUAAGAGUUUUCUGUAAUUCAGCAUUUGUUUAUUUGUAUCACAAAACAAGGGCACGAAGAGAGUCACCGACCGGUAGUUGUGGUUGUCACAUUUGAUUUUUCCUCGGGGGCCGCCGGAGAGGCGAAGGGGACUUGCCGUGCCGCGGCCCCGGCGGCAAACACGCCGGCGACGAGCAGCAGGACGGCGAAGGUGAGGAAGGCAGCAGCUUUGGAAGCCAUCGUUGUUAACCCCAGUUCGUAACUUCCUUCCCCCUUCGGCUCAAGUUAAGUGUUUAUUUUUUAGCAUGAAAUUAUGCCUGCCGUGGUGCACAAUUUAUAGGGGGCAAUCAGCUUGGUGAAGCAAAAGCCUACACGUAGCCAGUGGAGCGUUUGGUACGUAAAUUAAUCCAAAUAUGUAUGUUAAAGAGAUUGAGACUAGAGCUACUAUAUUCUUAUGAAUAUAAAUUUUUUUCUAUUAAUAAAUUUUCGGUCGUUAGAUAGAAAAAUGUGCGAUUAGAAUAAUAGUGGCCUCAGAUUAGGAUGGUAGUGGUCCUAUAUUAGGAUUGAGUUGGUUGUCGGUUGAAUAAUAUGAUCUAACGGAUGGAAAUAAUCAAAGCAGUAAAUCUAACGGCCGAAAACUUAGGAGUACGAAGAGGUCUUUACUCAUAAGAGUACAGUAGCCAGACUCAAGAAAUCGAAACAAUUAAUAAAGGAGUGCUUUUGUUUCAUUCAUUAACUAAGUACUUAAUUUGUACCUAUUGGCUCUUAUAUAUAUAUUUGGGUUAAUUACAUACAGAUUCCUACAAACAUAGUAAAAUACAAAUAUACAUUCCUACAAAGUUCAAUUUUCAUAUGUUAUUUCUGUAAAAGUUCUAAUAUUUCAAAUAUGUCCCCGCCGUUAGGAUCCGUUAGAAAAAUUUUGUUAACUAUAGAUAUAAUACUUAACCCUGGUUAGUCAAUGACACAAAUUGAUAUUUUUACCCCUCUUAUUUUAUAUUUUCUUCUCUCAAUUAAAAUCAUAGCAAUAGAAACUCUUCUUCCUCCUCCUGCUCUUCCUCUUUCUCUCUCCUUCAUGCUAGUUUCGAAUAUGUAAUUUGAAUUUCUCUAUCCCCAUUCAUCCACAUCAAAUGCGUGUUGCUCCUCUCAGUUUUUUCUAUGAUUUUUUCUUAUUUUUCUUAAAAAAAAAUUUAGGAGAAAAAGAGAGAGAAGAUAUUGCAACAAUGGUGGAUUGAUGUUAGGUUUUAAAAAGGAAGAAGAUGAGGAAAAGAUAACUAUUGAAAAUUUUUUGGGGAGAUAUUUUUGCACGAUUAUAAUAGUUGAGGCUUUUGAAGGGACAUAUUUGUCAUGAUAAAAUUGGCAUUUUACUUAUAUGCUGUUAAAAAAUAAAAAAAAUUUUAACGGUAACUAAUUAGAAUGACAUAUUUAAAAUUAUUAGGACUUUUAUGGUAACAACAUAUAAAAGUUGAACUUUAUAUAAAUAUAUUUUUUAAUUCACUAUAUUUACAAGGAUCUGUAUACAAUUUACCUUAUAUAUUUUGUGCAAUCUAUAAUUGUUACACGGAGGAACUUACGCGAUUGAUCUCGCCUUAGGGUACCGUAGAAGAUGGACUGGAAGAUUCGGCUGAAAUAAAGCUAACUGAGGAUCCUUUUUGAUGCAAUUUGUACAAAAGUUAAAAAACAAUCACAAAUUUAUACUCGGAUGUCUGUUUUGAACAUGUUAGAUAUGUCUCGAAUUUUGAAACCGUAAAAUUUUUUAACUUUAUUCUAUUUUGAUUAUCAUCCAUUAAGUUAAGUUUUUGCAGGUUUAAUAGUAUUAGAAUUUAGCUAUAUUAUAAAUAUAUACUUUAUUUCAUUAAUUUGGUGUGGUAAAUGAUAAAGAGUAUAGGUGUAAUUUUUCAAAACUAUUGUUCUGUGGGAGGGACAUAUACAUAUUUUAUACUUCAAUUUGUUCAUAAUAAACUCUUCACUUAGUUUUUAUUUCAUCUUCGCUCGUGAAUGUAGGCCGAUGAUCGAACCACAUAAACAUCUGAAUGCUUUACUUUUGUUCCUUCCUUUGCGAUUCUAUUUUGAUAUUUUUGCGCCUAACAAAAUAAAUCUUUUCCACUUUUGUCAUUAAUAAAUUGAUAUUAAAGAAAAUCUGGUAUAAAUAAAAGUUGCUGAUUUCUAUCAAAACAUGCAACUCCAGUUGCAAAAUAUUUUUCUAGUAUAUAGUUUUUGGGCACAAAUUCUAUUGUCUCAGUCUCCAAUACAUCAGUUUAAUUUACUUUUUUUUUAGUUUUUGGGUACCAACCACCAAUCCCCUGUCCACUUGCUCUAGAGACGGUCGGUAAAAAAAAAAUUGGUUCAUUAUUUUUGAAUUUUUAAAAUAGCAACUCUUACUUAAAAUUAAAUAAAAUUCUUAUCCAACAGGAUACACAUGAACUAACAAAUUAGCUGUUUCGCAAAAAAGUCAAUGAGAUAGGAUGCAAUUGGAUGUACACUUCCCACUUUAUUUGAUACAGUAAUAAAUAGGAAGUGACUAGAUGCAAUAUAGUCAUGUACAUCUAGUUUGUUGCACCUGUUUAAUUUGUUUAAUGUGGAGUAAAUGGAGUUUGGUUUAAUAACAAACACCCACCAACAUUUAUUAUCACUAUAUAUCUUCAUAACCAACCGUCCCUAGAGCAAGUGGCAAAGGGUUUGGUGGUUGGUAUCCGAGACCCAAGUUCGAAUCCUAGUUGAUUCACAUUUCUAGCUAAGUUUAUUUCUGAAUGAAAUAAACGAAGCGGGUAGCAUGCUACCUAUCUCUCAAAAAAAAUAAUUAAGAUAAUUCAUUUAAAGUUACUUACUAGAUCAAUUUUUUGGGUAACUUUAUGAGAAAAUUUUCUCCACAAACUUCAAGAACACUACAACAAAAACGGUCUAUAGCGACACUUUUAAAUGUAGGUACAUGUCAAAAAAGUGCUGCUAGCUAAAAUUACCGACACUUUUAAAAAAUGUUGCUAUAUGCGGGGUCGCUAGUUAUAUAGUGACAGUUAAAAAGUGUCGCUAUGACCUAAAAAAGUGCUGCUAAUUUACCAACACUUAUUUAAGCAUUUAGCAACCGCCGAAACUCCAUCUCGUUGGCUGCGGUGGCGGAGGAGGACGACAGGAAAGGCUCUUCGUCUAAAAUUUCAGUGGAUUGAGUGAAGAGAGAAGAAAAGAUGGUAAUUGAUUUUUCUUUUUUUUUUCUUUUCUGUUUGUAAUCGGGCCAAAUGGACUGGGUGUGGUGGGUUGAGUAGAGUAAUCUUUUAUUUUUGAUUGAUUAGGCUUUAUAUUUAGGCAUUAGUAAAUAUUUUUUUAAGUUUUAGUAUAAAUGGAACACUUACUCAAAAGUGUCCCAAACAUAUGUCCCUAUAACUUAAUUCUGUUGUAGUGGAAGAAGCAAGAAGAAGCAAAGCUCUCUACUGGAACUACAGGUCUGUUCAUUAUUGAGGGUUAUCUAAUGUUUGUUAGGCAAAGAAAAUUUAAUUGGGACAUAUUAAGCAUAUACAAAUAUGCUUCUCUACGUAUAAUAGGAUCAAAAAAAUUAUUUCGUAACUACUUUACAAUUUUUUUUAGGCAGAAACAAAAUAUUUUUCUAUUACACUUUCUCACUAUAUAUACCACAUUCUAACUAUAAUAUGAAAGAGACCUAAAUUUGGUUGGCUCUAAAAUAUACUGAAAAUUAGUUUUCAAUUUGAGAAAAAUAUGGGGUGUUUUUGUUUUCUGGCGAUCGACAAAAAAUGAAAAUUAAAGCUACAUAAUUUAUUUUUUUUUCUACCGAACCAAAUAAAUGUGAAUUUUUUUUCUUGUUAUCGAACAAAAUAUUGAUGGAAAACUACUCUCUUCGCCGAACCCAGACUAAAGUCCCGGUAAAAACUUGCCGUGAAGCACAUGAAAUUGUUUCGGGUUGGGCUCCGGCUUCGGGUUGGGCUUGGAAUAGCUCGAUCCGAACCCGAUUGCUAUCCUAAGAAUUGCUAAUAGCUCUUUAAGGUUGAAGAAUUAGGUUGGAAAAUCUUUGUUUGUUAGAUGACUUUCGCAAUUGCAGCAUCUUUCCCGAAGCAUGUUUUGAAGCUCAGCUACAACUAGGGGUGCCAAAACCGGCUAGGAGCGGGCUUGGCCCGCCCUUAUUUCCAAUUCUGGCCGAGCCAUGCCGGGCCCAAGCUAUCUAGCCUCCAUCCCAACACGGCCCUUUGGCCUGGAAGGCACAGGACAUGCCAGGCUAGGCCGUGCUCCGAUCUGGCCCCUUAAAAUAUUUAUUUUUUUAAUUUUUAAAAAAUUUUAUAUAAAAUCUAAAAUAUAAAUAAUUAUAUUUAAAUUUAUAUUUUGAUUAAAUAUUUAAAAUUUAUAGAAAUUAUUAUAAAAUAACAAACAUUUUAAAAAAUUAAAAAAAUAAAAUUGUAUUAUUUUUUUGUAAAAAAAUUGAAAGGCGUUUUUGGUCCCAUGCAUGGACCAAACAGCUGUUUGGUCCAUUAGACUAACACCACUCCUCCCAAUUAGCCGACCUUGGGAAUGAGAGCUCCAUUGGCUCUCCUCCCCAGGAGCUCAGACCUUUGGGGCUCCGGGCCGUACUGGCCUGGCUAGCACGACCCAAGCGGGUCGUACCGUGCCGUGCCGUGCCGGGCCGGGCUGUCAGCAUCUCCUCGGCUUGGCACGGCAGAGGCUUGCUUUGGUCCGUGCCGUGCCGGGCAGCAAAAUAUAGGCCCAACACAGUCCGGACGUUCGGGCUGGGCCGGGCUGGCACGGGUGCUACAACACCCGUGCCCUGCUGUAGUCCGGCCCAUGGCCGUGCGUAGGCCACCCGGCCAUUUUACACCCCUAGCUACACCAAAUUGUCCAAAUUUUUAGACAAACAAUUUUUUUUGUUUUGUUUUUUUUUUUUUGCAAAAAUAGAGAAACUUACCCUAUGAAUACCCACCCUUUUUUUUUUAACUUUUUCUUUCUGACUUUCAAAAACCAAUAUUAAUUUUGUCACUUUAAAUUUCCAAAAAUAACCAACAUUAAUUUUGUCACUUUAAAUUUCCAAAAAUAUUUUUAGAGGUUUAUGGCGUUGAUGGAGAGCAAAAAAAUGAUCAAAAUCUUCGUACUUAUUCUAUAGAAAAAAUAAUGUUGAACCUAUAUAUUUGAUUACUAGAUAAAUAAUAUCGAAAAAUUACGAAAUCUAUUUUCUAGUUAUUUCAAAUACUAUAAAUCAAAUUUAAUGGAGCCGAUCGUUGAUUCAAAAUUUUCAACAUUGAAAACGACUUAUUAGCAUCGAGGCCAUAAUACUUCUAAAAGCACACAAGUCUAGCUCACUCUCUCUCUCUCUCUCUCUCUCUAUAUAUAUUUAUUAUAUACACACAAGUCUCUCACUCUAUUAAUUGUACACACAAUGGGGCCCAAGGAGGACUCUUCAUCCACAUCUAAGGAAAGGGUGGGAGGUAGAAGAAGGUAGGCAUAUUAUUAAAUGAACAGGCCAAAAUACUCCUUUCUUCCAAAUAAGAUAUUUUUUGGGGGGCUAAUGGCAUACAGCUCCUUGUUAAGAUAUCGAAUAACAUAUAUGUUCCUACAAAAUUCAACUUCUGGAAACAUCCUAACGUUUUCAAUUACACCCCAGCUAUAUAUUAGGAUCCAUUAGAAAAAAUAUAGUUAACUCUAGGUAAAAUAAAUUAACCCUUGUUAUAUAAUGAAUGAGGUAAAUUGACUUUUUUAUCUUUCUUAUAUCAUUUGUGAUGAUCAAAAACAAAGAAGAUGACCAUUGAAAAUUUUUUAGUAGGAUAUUUUUGCAUAAUUCAGAUAUUUGGAGCUUUUAGAGGGAUAUAUUUGUGAUGGCAGAUAUGUCAACAAACAGAGGGACAAAUAUGAAUAUCACUGAACUUUUAUAAGAAUAAAUAUAAAAAGUUAAAUUUUAUCGAAAUAUAUAUUUACUAUUCGAUAUAUUUACAGUAAAUUGUAUUGACAUUAACCCUUUUUUUGUUUGUAGUAAAGCAUACCAAUACAUCGUGGUACGGGUAUUAGCUAGAUACUUAACUGAUGUGGUACAAGCGUGCAGGUGUUGGUGCUAGUUUUAUAUAUUGAAUAUUGGAAAAUAAAAAAAAAUAUUAUCACAUCUGGUUGAUAUGAAAAAUCUAUCAGGCAGGUUCAGAUUUGCGAUACGUACGUGGUGCAAAUUUAUCCUUUUUUUUAUAUAUAUUCUCACAAUGACACAACCAUCUAAAGGAUUUUUUUACCAAACAGAUCUUAUAAUAGUUUUCUCUGUAUCUGAGUAUGUAUCAUAUAUAGUUUUCUCGUAUCUAAGUAUGUAACAGAUGAACCGACUGUCCCUAACGCAAGUGGCAAAGGGUUUGGUAGUUGAUAUCCGAGACCCAAGUUCGAAUUCUAGUUGAUUCACAUUUAUAGCUAAGUUUAUUUUUAAAUGAAAUAAACGAAAUUGGUAGCGUGCUACCUAUCUCUCUCUCAAAAAAAAAAAAAAAAAGAGUAUGUAACUGAUGAGAUCGAUAUUGGCUUGAAGGCUAUGUAUGUACCUCUAUAUCUACGAUUCUACGGUGAUAGCUAGCUUACCCACUGUAUUGAUUUUUUGAACUUUAAAAAUAGACUCAAAUUCCCUUGGGGCCUCUUUGGCUCAACGUAUAUAAAACUGUAAAAAAUAAUUUUUCGUGAAAAAUAUUUUUGAUGAAAAUUUCUUUUUUAGUUUUGUAGUAUUUGAUUUGUAAGAAAAAAAAAAUUUCAAAAUUUUUCAUCAACAAAUAUUUGGUUGAAAGAAAAAAAGUUCACAUUUAUUUGGUUUGGUGGAAAACAAAAGAAAUAAAAAAUAUUUUACGCAAUUUGAAUUUUUCGUUUUCAGCUAAAAAACAGCGAAAAACGAAAACCUUAAAUCUUUUUUUUCAAAUAUAAAAAAAAUACUUUUACAGAAAAAUAUUUUUACAUCAAAUUAAAUAAACGAAUUUCAAAUAUAAAAAAAAUACUUUUACAGAAAAAUAUUUUUACAUCAAAUUAAAUAAACGAAAAAAUAUUUUUCGCACUGAAAAUAAUUUUUCGAAUCGUUUUACAACGAACCAAAAACAUCCUUAACCUAAAGCCAAAGCUCUCCAUGCUUAACUAGCUAAAACAUGUUUAUUUGCAUUUUACAUGGAAUUUCAUACUUGAUUUUAUUUUUUUAAUGAUCAUACAAACUGUGAGACGAGGCCAGGAGUUUCAUUAUGGUAGCUAGUGAGUUUUUAAGCUACAAUAAAAUGAAGAAAUAAAAUGAGUUCACAUCGAAAUUAAUUAGACUAAAAUGAAGAAAUAAAAAUGGUAAUAAAGUUCCUCUUGGAAUUAAUACUUUUCUCACCAUUACAAGAGGGCAAAAUGAUCAUUAAUUUCUAGCUAGUGACAACAAUGGAAGAGCCCUCCCCCUAAAAAAAAAGAAAAAAAAAAAAAGAAAAAACUAGCUAGCUAGUAGUAUAUAUAUGUAGAUGAGUACAUGUACAAAAAGAGUGGCUUGGAACCACAAAAAACCCACCUUGGUAUUAGUAGGGGAGCCCAAAAAAAGAUUAAAGAAGGAAAAAAAAGCAAAGUAAAAUAAAAUGCCUCUAUAUAUUUAUGUGUUGUGGGUGCAUGAGAUCAAUCAUGCCAACUUAGUAGCAAAACAAUGCAGCGUCGGAUGAUGUAAAGCUUGGCUCUUUGCUCCUUCAGGGUCCUGCUGAACCCCCCCUUCUCCUUCCUUUGGCUCCCAAGUAGCUUCAUUUUUAUGAUGAGAGAGGAAGAGAGAGAGAAAAAGAGAGAGAGAGAGAUCUAGAGAGAGAGAGAGAGAGAUAUUAAGUUGUAGUGAUGAUCAAAUUGGUUGGAUGGGUGGAGGAGGAUAGAAGGGGGGUGGGGUUUAAAUAGGAGGAAUGUGGGAGGGGGGAGGGGAUGAGGGGGGAGUAGUAUAAAAAUUUGGUUCUCCCAAAAUGUUGUCUGUAUGAGCUGUUGAUAUGUUAGUAUACGUAAGUAAAGAAUUAGCGUACGUAGUAAUCCGUCCGAUGCAAUAAAUAGAUAAUUGAAAAAAAAAUAAAAAACACCGAUAAAAAAAAAGAAAACGGCGAUAAAAGAAGCGAUGAUAAAAGAUGAGAUUCAUCUUGUCGAUUAACGAAGAUAACAGCCAAAGAAAGAAGAAAAAAGAGUACUUGAGCUGAUUCGGUAAAUAAUGAAGAAAAAGUUGUCAUGUGGCAACUUUAAGAGAAAUAAUGUAUAGGUAUAGAUGUUAUAACUUGUCGUAUAGAUUUUAUGUUACUUGAAUGAUCAAGUUAAUAAGAAAUGAUUUAAAAGUACUGACCAUACAUCGUGUAAUUGACUAAAGGAUUUAAUGGUUGGUAUUUUAUGUAUCUAGUGUAAUUGGUUAAAGAUUUAACUGUUUGUAAUUUAUGUCCCAUGUUCGAAGCCUGGCUAGCUAUGUAUUUCACAUUUAUUGGUCUUUUACUUUUUAAAAAAUAAAAUAAAUGAAGUGUACAGCAGACUACCUUCCACCCAAAAACAAAAUUUAAAAAUAGUCUUAAUUACACUUCUGCUUAUACGCAUGCAGGUGGAAAUCAAAAGUAAUGCACUAACAAAAGUAAAAAAUAAAUAGUAAUUCCCUAAUAAAAGUUUAGUUUUAAAAAAUAAAUAAACAAAGUGAAUAACAGGCUAUCUUUUUCUCAAAAAUGAGAAGUCAAAACAAGUACUAAAGAUAUUGAUUAGAGAGAUAACAAAAGGAACAUAAUUAUAAAUUUAUGUCACUAAAUGUAUAAAAUAUAUUUUAUUAUUUUCUAUCAAAUAUUUGAUCUUUUCGAUAACAAAAUGAGUAGAAUAUGGCGAUGUUAAAUAUAUAUUGAGAUCGUCUUCUAUCAGAUUGAUCAUUUGAAUAACAUAAUUUUUAAAAAAUUACUGAAAAAAAAUUUAUGACUUAGGGUGUGUUCAUUUGACCGUAAAAUAUAUUGAAACUUAUAAAUUACUUUCCAGCUAGAAGAAUUAUUUUCCGUAUAUUUAUUUAGGCGUAAAAAUUUUUUCAGAAAAAUAUUUUUACAGAUUUAAGAAAAAUAAAGUAUUUUGCUUUUACUGAUUUUUAGCAAAAAAACGAAAACUCAAGCCACAAUUUUUAUUUUUUACUGUUUUUUUAGCAAAAACGAAAACUCAAGCCACUUAAAUUUUUUAUAUUUAUUUUUUUAAUCAAACUAAACAAAUAUAAUUUUUUUUUUCUUUCAGCCAAAUAAACACAAACGAAAAAUUAUUUUUUUUUUACAAAUCAAAUGCUAUAGAAAGCAAAAAAAAAAAAAAAAAAAUUCNNNNNAAAGCAAAAAAAAAAAAAAAAAGUUUUCAUCAAAAUUUUUUAAUAAAAAAUAUCUUUUAAAAUUUUACAUAGAAACAAACACUCUGGCUCAAAUAAUAUAUUACUAAGAGAGAUCAAUCUAACUAAAAACAAAACAUAUUAAGAAGGACACUCUCAUGAGUCCAAUGGUGGGGGAGGGGAGGGGUAUAUGAUUGAGGGGGAAAUUAGCUCUUACUAUGAGUCCAUCCCCCACGUACGCGCGCCUAACUCACGUGGGAGUGAUGGGCACGCAGGAGACACGGCUCUGAACCUUUGGGCCUCAUUUAUUCCUCCUGUCCCCUUGACUAUACCUUCCCCCUCUCCUGGGUUUGGUAACAGCAGGUUGUUUCUAGCUUAUAAUUAACUUGCUUUUGCUUAAAGUUUGAACUAAAUAUUUUCAUACUGAUCCCUACAAAUAUAAUAAAUAAUAAAUAUAUUUUUAUAAAGUUUAAUAUUCAUAUAUUGCUUCUAUAAAAAUUCUGAUGGUUUCAAAUAUAUUCUUGUCGUUAGAAAAAUAUAGUUAACCAUAGAUUAAAUACUUAAUUCUGGUUAAUUUUUGACGUUUUUACUCCUCUUAUAUUAUACUUUUAUGACUUUUGGAGGGACAUAUUUGUGAUUGCAAAAUUGAAAAUAUAAACAGUUCUCUAAUGGUUGUCUAAUAGUAACAAACCAAAGUACAUAUUUGAAAACAUCGAUUAGAACUUUUGCAAUAACAACAUAUCAAGGUUUAACUUUGUAGAAAUAUAUUUGUCAUUUACUAUAAUGCAGGGACCUGUAUGAAAUUAACUCAUAUAUAUAUAUGUAUAUAUAUAUAUAUAUAUGUAUAUAUAUAUAUAUAUAUGUAUAUAUAUAUAUAUAUAGAGAGAGAGAGAGAGAGAGAGAGAGAGAGAGAGAGAGAGUUAAGCUGGAAUACUAUUGAUAGCAAACGGCUCCCGUUGCUAUCCAUUUGUUUUCGAUGAUAGGACCUCCAAAUCGACAAUCGGCACCGUUGAAUAUGAUCUAUACCACUUGAAGCGUAAAACUAAAUUUCAUACUUUUUCGAUAUUAUUUUGUUGUCCAUCAUGUGGACACAAAAAUAAACAGUUGAAAAUGAAUAUUCUUUAAAAGUGAUGAUAGGAGUCUUGUAAUCAAGAUCGAGAGUUUAGAUUUUGUUCUAAAUAGUUUAAAGAAUUUUCUAAUCAAAAUGAAAUUGAUUUGGAUAUCUUUACACCGUCAAAUGAGAAAACGCCUCAUAUCAACCGUUAAAAUUACAAAUUUUGAAACGCUUUGAUCAUUAAGCCAAUGAUAUUGAAUGUAGUGUCCCUGGUAUUUUGAUUUGCCUGUGAGGUUUCAGUAUCUGGGGCUUGUCGACACAUCUGGAGAGUGUUGGGACAAGUCGGAGUCGUUUUGGCGCGAAAUGGAUGCAAAACGGACUCAACGCUAGAUGAGAGUGGAGUUCUAACGCUGAAAUCCGUAAAAUGUAGGAUUUCAGUGUUGAGUACCGGUACCAUACAGGGGAGUACCGGUACCCCAGUGUAAUUCCAGAAUAACAUGCUCUCGGGUUGCGCCAAUUUGAUGCUGAGUACCGGUACCGCAUCGGGCUAGUACUGGUACCCGGUGUGCGAGCUUACGGGCUGAGAGGCCGAGUACCGGUAAGCAAAUCGGAUACCGGUAUUCCAGCUGGAUUUUUGAGUUGGUGAGGGGUAUUGUGGUCAUUUUGCUGCUGGAUAAGAUCGCCACUUACCCUCCCUCAUAUUUAUCAACCCGACCAGCUGAGAAGGUAUACUUCUCCUUUUCCUUUCUCUCUCUAGUUUUGAGCGUGUGCAUGGUGGAGGUCGCGACUCGAGCUGGGGAGAUUUUCGACGUCGAUUUGGAGGGUCGUUCGAGCGUGCAUGCGUCGCGGUUGCGUCGUUGGAGACCGGCGAGUGUGUGAUUUUCUCUCCUUUCGACUUCUCGCCAUGGUUGGAUGAGCUUUUCGAGGUAGGUUAAUGUUAACCGAAAUUAUUGGAAUACCUCCUAAGUUUUAGCAUCAUCGACAUGAAUCAUUGGUUUAUUUUCUUGCUAUUACUCGAAUUCAUAGAUUAGAGGUAAAAUCUGAAUUUGGAGUUAAGCUAAUAGUAUAAUUUUACAUGUUGGCCUUGAAAUUGACUUAGAAAAAAACAUAUAGAUCCUACACUGUCAUUUUCUGAAAAUUACCAGAUUUAGCUUUAUGAGCUGUGGUUCUUUUGUAUCAUCGAUGUUAGUAUGCGAUGGAUACCCAGAUUAGUGUAGGAUGAGUUUACACUCCUGCUGGGAUGCCGAGCUUAUUUUACAGUAGUGUGUAGACUGUUUCGGACUAUCGGGUGCCGUCGCGGUUGACGGUGGACUCAGAUUACUGUUUGUGCAUCAGAUUAUGCCAAGGGCACGUGAGUUUUGGUUGUAGGACCAGUUAGACCCAUUUGCUUUGAUUAUAGCCUGUGAGAGCCUGAUUGAGCUCGACAGAGACUCGCUUGCAUACUCGGUUGGAUAGCGCCAACAAGUGCCACUCCGGAGUCGGACUUUGUGCGUUUGCGUUGAUGUCGUAGUAUCCGAGUUGGACUUGCUCUCCACCGACAACCCAGCGUGGUGGUGGUCGGUGUAGCUUCGACAGGGGGGACGAGUGCGUUCACAGUCCCUAGUGAGAUUGGGUCAGAGAGUGUAUUUCUAUAUCUACAGAGAGUGGUUAACGAUAGUAUAGUAACAUAUAGCUGUAGAGUUUUAUCAGCAUCCUUUACUAUCCUUGUACAUACUUUCUGUAAACUUAGUGAGUGAGUCAUUGAGGUCGGUAGCGGUACCCACUAAGCACUACUUCUUUUUGCAGUAGUUCUCACACCCAAUUGUUGACCCCUUUUUGCAGUCUUUUUCUGCGGCUGCUGCUGUCGCUGAUUCUGAUCGUCGAAAGGGAGUCGCAAGUUAGAUCCCUUCCAGCUUUAUUGCAGUACUAGAGAAGUACCUUCCACAGGUAAUUUUGGGGCUUUUUGUACAUAUGGUCUUAUUAUCUGGGUACUCGCUGAAGCGAGUGAUGUAAUAAACAUUUUGUAUGUACUGGAACCCCUCGAGGUUAUAUAUAUAUAUAUAUAUAUAUAUAUAUAUAUGCUACUAUACUAUCAAUAAUACUAAGCCCUUGGUAUUAUUGAGUUUUCGGCCGUUGGAUGAAAAGAUGUGCGGUUCGGAUGAUAGUGGUCCCCGGUUAAAUUGAUAGUGGUCCCCUAGGGUUGACUAGGUGGUUGGUUUAAUAGUAUAAUCUAACGGUGGAAAUGAUCAAAGAGUAGAUCUAACGGUAAAAAACUCAAUAGUACCAAGGGCUUGGUACUAUCGAUAGUAUAGUAGCCGGACUAUAUAUAUAUAUAUAUAUAUAUAUAUAUAUAUAUUAUUUUCAGUUUGGGGCAAUUGCUUAUAUACCCUUGAAAAGUUUCCGACUUUCCGAUUUAUCCCUCUUAGAAGGCUAAUAUUGAAAACACCUUUUCUACGUUCCAACCUAUUUCUAACAUACCCGUAGAGUUAAAAUCUGUUAAUUAACUAUAUUAUCUCUAUAAAAUUACUAUUUUGCCCUUUCAAAUAUACCCUUCCACCAUUACUGACUUUCUUAUUUGCCCUUAAAGUCAAGGGCACAAAAAGUAUUUUGACUUUUAGUCUUUUCCAAUAUACCCCUCUACCGUUACCAAUAUUUAUUAUUUGCCCUUAAGUUAAGGGCAAAAUUGGUAUUUUAAUUUUUUUUAACUGUAAUAGAUAUUUAACUCACGUUUAACUCAAGUUAAUUUAACAGGAGAUAACUGCGGGGGUAUUUUGCCAUAACGAUGGAACAUAUGAGAGGUAUUUUAGAAAAAAAAAAAAAAGUAAGGAUAAAUCGGAUAUUUUCAAACAUAUAAGGGGUAUAUAGGUAAUUAUUCCUUUCAGUUUAACAGCUCUUUACCUUGUAGUUGUAGCUUGAUUUUGCUUACAGAUACAGCUAUCGCUUCGUAUACAGAAAAAAUUUCUAUAUAUACGGCGGGUCUGUUGGUGUGCCCGGAGAAACGUGUAAUCCGGGACGUGACAUUGAAAUGAUUUGAAAUUUAGUUUCUAGAUACUUCAAGUAGUAUAGAUCAUAUUUAACAGUACCGAUCGUCGAUUUGAAAACUCCAUCAUCGAAAACAAAUGGAUGGCAACAGAGUUCGUUUGCUACCGACCGCAUUCGAGCUCAACUCUCUCUCUCUCUCUCUCUCUCUCUCUCUCUCUCUCUCUAUAUAUAUAUAUAUAUAUAGAGUUGGACUGGGCACUAUUAUAGCAAAAUCCCAUUAUUGCUACCAGUUUUUUACCUUUGGAUCAACUCUUUUCCUCAUUUCUAACCAUUUAGAUUAAAUGCUAUAACCAAUGGAGACCACUCAACCCUAGGGGACCAACUCAACUCUAACUGACUAAUAAUCAUCCUAACCCUACAAUUUUUCAUCCAAGGGCUAAAAACUUGAUAGCAAAAGAGGAUUUUACUAUUAUAUAGUAUUCCAAUCUAAUUUAAUAAAUAUUAUACAUAUAUAUAGAAUUAGGUUAGAAUACUAUUAAUAGUAAAACGCUCUUUUUGCUAUCAAGUUUUUAACCCUUGGAUGAAAAAUUAUAGGGUUAGGAUGAUAUUAGUCGGUUAGAGUUGAGUGGUCCCCCAAGGGUUGAGUGGUCCCCACUGGGUUAUAGUAUUUAAUCCAAUGGUUAGAAAUAAUGAAAAUAAUUGAUCCAAAGGCUAAAAAAUUGGUAGCAACAAUAGAAUUUUGCUACUAAUAGUAGCCCAGUCCAACUCUAUAUAUAUAUAUAUAUAUAUAUAUAUAACAAAGCUUCAAUUACAUGUAUCCUAGAGCAACAAAUUCUCUAAACAUUUAUUGGUCCGCCAUGCAUAUAUCACAUUCGGAAUCGAAUUGAAUAGGAUAAAAUAAAAUAAGAUAAUAAUAACAAGAGUAGAACUACUGUCCUAGCUAUUAGAAGCACAACAAUCGUUAUAUUCCUAACUUAAUUUCUAACCAUUCAUCAAUUUUGAUGCGUGAUUAGAAUGAGAGAGAGAAGAGAAAUUGAAGAGUAAUUCAAAGAGAAGAGAAAGUGAGAAACCUAGUUUCUCUCCAAUUUUUUUCUCUCUCACAUCCUAACCAUCCAUCAAAAUAGAUGAAUGGUUAGAAAGUUAGAAGUAGAAAAACUAUUGUGCUUCUAAUAGCACAGUAGCCCUACUCAUAAUAACAAUAUUGAGAGAAAGAUAUAGCAAAUUUGAGGUAUUAGGAGCCUGUUUCGUUCAGAAAUAAUGAAGAUUGAAAUGGAAUAAUUUGCUAUUGUGAAAUAAUUAUGAAUAAAAGUAAAAUUAUAUUUAAUUUGUAAUAUUGCUAUCCUCAUAAAUAAUUUAAAUUGUGUUUGGUUAAUUUUUUGAAAUAGUGGAUAAUAGUGAAAAAAACUGAUUGUUAAAUUUCAUAUAAAAUAUGAUUUAACAAAACUAUUUUCUUAUAAAAUAUGAUUUAGAAAAAUAAUCUGUUAUAAAAAUAAUUUAUUUUUUCUAAAUUCUAUUGCAACUUAAAUUUAAUAAAAAUAAUUUAUUAUAAUUUUCAAGUAUAAUAUAUUACAAUAUUAUAAUAAUAAUAAUAUUAAGGGAAGGAUAUAGAAAAUGUAAGGCAUUAGGAGCCCAUCUGGCUCGGGAAUAACGAACAUAUUAGGAUUAAUUUUUUUAGUUUUUGAAAUAAUUUACUAUUCUAGAAUAGUCAUAAAUAAAUGUAAAAUUUUGUUUGAUUUAUAAUGUUGCUAUUUUCAAGAAUAACUUAAAUUGUAUUUAGUUAAUUUUAUUGAACAAUAGAUGAUAGUGCAAAAAAAUGAUGGUGGAAUUUGAUAUAAAAUAUGAUUUAAUAAAAAUAAUUUCUUACAAAAAUAAUUCAUUACAAUAUUUAAUAAAAAUAAUUUAUUAUAACAUAUUAUUUAGUAAAAAUAAUCUGUUAUAAAAAUAAUUAUUUUUUUCAAAUUCCACUUCAACUUAAAUUUAAUAAAAUAAUUUAUUAUAAUAUUUAAUAAUAAAUAAUAUAUAUUAACAUAGUACAAUUAAUAAUUUUAUAUUAUAUAUAAUUUAUAAUAUAUUAUGUUUAUAUAAUUUACUCUAAUUCAAUUUAUAAUAUUAAUAAAACAUAGAAUAAGACCUUAAAAUAGAUAUUCCGAGCUAUUUUAUUCCAAGCUAUUCCGAGAUAAUCGGAAAUAGCUAGAUUUGACAGGAAUAUUUUAUCCUAGCCAAAAAUUAUUUCUGUUUUUUUUUAGGGAAAACACGUCGUGAGGCGAUUUUAUUUAAUUAAUCAGUAGAUACAGACUGAGAAAAUUCAUCAAUAGAAGACCAAAAAAAAAGUUUUUUGCGUGCGAGUCCCCAAGUAGCCAAAAAUUAUUUCAUUUGAUGAAUAGCAUAGAUAACUUUUGUUAUUCUCGCAUUAUUUCCAAAUCAAUUAAACUUGGUCUAGAAGUUUUGAUAAAGAAAAAAAAUUAAUUAAACUCUCCUUAAUUCAAUCCUCAAUUACCACUCAAUCCAUAAAACUUAGAAGCAAACCCUAUUUCCUCUUAAUAUUUUUCUUUAUCUUCUUUUAUCUAACCCAAUAUUUUAUAUUAAAUUUGCAUACUAAGAAAUGGCGGUGAUAACAAUGUUCCAAGCAAGAUGUGAGUGCUCACGGUAUUGAUAGCGACACAUCGCAGUUGCACCUAAAAGAUUGUCACACUAGACCAAAUUGCUCCUCCAAUGUUUCGUGCAAUAAAGAACCAUACAUUAUUUCUAUUCGUAUUAAUUGUUAAUAUAUAUAUAUAAACUUCUUAUGAUAAAAAAAUAUAUAUAUGUUCGUAGUUAAUGGCUUAAAAAAGAUGAAUUUAUUUAUAAAUUAAUCAACAUUAAUAAUAGUAAGGAAUUACGCACCUUAAAUUGAAUGCACAGGUACAUUAUCAUGUUUUAUUAAAAUAUUGUUAUCAAUCAAUCAACUGGAUAAAGAAUUUUGUAGUGUCCAGCAGAGAGUCUUUUUUGCGAGUCCCACGCCACCUAAGAUUGCUCCAAAAGCAACCUAACUUAACUGUACACAUAGGUUUUAUGAUUAUUUUUCAGGAUGUUAUUUUUAUGAAUUGUUUAUAUUUAUAUAAAUAGAGUAUGUUUUCUGUAAUUUCGAAAGCACGAGGUUAUAUAAACAUAUAAUUCGACGAUCUUAUCCAUUGGACGUAAUCUAUGCUAUUAAAAUAUAUAUAGUAAAUUCAAACUUAAAUAUGAUUAAUUGGACUAUAUUUAUAAAAUUUCUAACAUCAAAAGCAUGCAAUAUAGGUUUUUCGACAUCAUUUAACUUACGAUUAAAAGAUAUCUGUGACACCCCAACUUCCCAGGGGUCACACAUCCGAGGACUACUCUCGUCCUAGCACGUUUAACUCUCUUAACCUCUUAAUUAGGUGUAGCCACUAUCCAAAAUGCUUAAGUCGGGUUAAGAGUGAUAGCCCUACUAUAUCUUAUAUAUAGGACUAUAUGGGAUCUCAAAUUCCUCCCCAUUUAAGGCAUGACGUUCUCAUCAGGCUCAGACUCAUAAGUAUCAGGCGAUGUGAGACUCGUUUUACUAGCUUUGUUAUUCCGACCUUGGCACAACCGAGACUCAUCUCACACUUCCGGCUGGUAAUUGGCUCUGAUACCAACUGUGACGCCCCGACUUCCCAGGCGGUCACCCAUCCUAGGACUACUCUCGUCCUAGCACGCUUAACUCUCUUAAUCUCUUGGGUCUAGCUACCACCCAAAAUGUUUAAGUCGGGUUAAGAGUGAUAGUCCUAUUAUAUCUUAUAUAUAGGACUAUUUAGGGUCUCACAAUAUCAAAAUUGAUAAAUUUAAACGACUGGUACGUAUGAGAUACUUGCUAAUUUAACGGUGUAAAAAAAUUGAAAUCGGUUGAAUUUAUGAUAGAAAAUUCUAUCCACUAUUUAGAUAAAGAUUAAUUACUCCGAUUUUAAAUUGAAACAUCCGAUUCUCUAUUUUAAGUGGUCAUUCGAUUUUGACCAUUCAUUUUAUGCCUACUUGAUGGAUUUUAUUAUUAUUUUAAAAAAUUACAAAAUUAGUUUUCUCGAAAUUAUAAAUGCUUUAGAUUAUGUUUAACAGUACGGAUUAUCGACCCGGAAGCUCUAUCAUCGAAAACGACUUAUGCAUGAGUAUGAAGGCCUCCGUACUUAUAAGAGUAUAGUAGCGCUACUCUAUAUAUGUAUAUGUAGGUUAAUCAAUAUUUCAUAUAGAUUUAUUAAUAUAUUAACAGCAGCACAUAAAUCCUAAGAGAUUAGAGAUGGUCUAGGAACCCUUUAAAGAUGAUUAAUUCUUAAGAGAAGAUUGACAGCUAGAAGCAAAUUGGAGACUCAGAUGGACGGCACAAAGUGUUUCCUACUAAAAUUAGGGUUUUAGGAUAAUGUAAACUCUUAUAAUUAAUCUUUUAGAGAUAAAAGUUUCAUUGUAGACCACCUAAUUGAAAAUAUAUAUAUAUAUAUAUGAAGAGUUGCUAAGAGAGAGUUUUAUGUUAACUCAAUUUUACUUUUUAUACAUUUUUGCAUCGCGGAUUAAAUGAAGAACGCAUUGAGGUGGUCUUAUCUAUGGACACGUAAACUCUGUCUUAUUAUUUUCUUUUGCUUGCUUUAUUGUUUUGUUAUCUUCAAACCUUUUUUUUUUUUUUUUAAAUCGUUCUCGUCUUUAUAUUUUUUAACAAAAAAUCUUAUUUUUACUGUACAUGUGUGCUGUGUGACUUUGAGAUGUAUUCGGUAACCCUUUCGAUCGGUCCCUUCAUCUUUGUAUUAGUACACACUAGGGCCAAAAUAAUCAACCAAAUGGUAUGUGAGCAUGGGUACAUAUACAUAUGUGCGUUGCACAGAGCACUAGUACACAAAAGUCUCUUUCACUUUUGAAGCACAGGCGUGGGUUCAUCAUUAUUGGGCGUGAGAAAUAUGAUGUGAUGAUGAUAGUUCAUCGAAUUGGAAGGAAUAUGUGCCCUUUACUAAAAAGCUGACAUGUGAACGGCUNAUAUAUAUAUAUACACACACACACACACACAAAUAUACACUAUAUUUGUAAAAUUUUUCUCUUAAAAUUUAAAUUAUGUAUUUUUUUAUACAACGAUAUUUUACGUGAUUUAUGUCACGCUCCGGAUUUCUCAUAUCCCCGGGCUCGCUAACAGACCCGCCGUAUACAUAGGUAUUUCCUCUGUAUACAAAACGAAAAAGUAGUACAUGUAAUCAUACAAUACUACAAACAGUAGUAUAGAGCAGCUAGGAAAAUAAACCAUAUAUAAAAACUGUGGUUCAAUACAUACAUGUGAUUCAGGUAUACAAAUACUCGCUCUGACGAGAUAACAACAACUGUAUGUAAAGACCCAAAAACUACAACUAUCUGUAGCUAGUGCUCCUCUAGCUCUGCGACUCGACUGGNUUUGAAGUACCUAAAAAAUAAAUUUUGCGAUUUUUCGAUAUCAUUUGCCUAGUGAUCGAAGGGGCUCAAAAUCAAUAAUUUUAACGGCCGUGGUGUGCCGGUUGCAAGUUUAACGAUAUAGAAAUAUCCAAAUCACAUAAAAGUUUGAUAGAAAAUUUUUUAUAUCAUAUAAAACAAGAUCAAUAACUUUGAUCUAAAAUUUUAAUGCCAUAUCAUCAUAUUUUGUAAGAUUUUUAUUUUCAGCCGUUGAUUUUGAGCCACUUCGAUCACUAGGCAAAUAAUAUCGAAAAAUCGCAAAAUUUAUUUUCUAGAUACUUCAAAUACUCUAGAUCAAGUCUAACAGAGCCGAUCGUCGAUUCAAAAGUCCGAACAUCGAAAACAAAGUGGAAGCACGGAGCCCUCCAUGCUUCCGUAAGCAUCCUAGCCGCACUCAUAUAUACCAGUGAAAUACCCGCGAUGCUGCGGAUAUAAAAAUAUUUUUACAAUAAAUUUUAUUUUUUUAAUAUUUUUAUAUAAUUUUAUAAAUUUAAUUAUUAAUUAAAUAAAAAUUAUAUAAAAAUAAUUUAAUAGUUAAAUCUACUUAAAUAAAAGUCAUUAAAAUUGGUAUAUGCGCAAGUAAAUUGUGAGAUCCCUGGUGUUCAGUUGUGGAGGCUUGUCGGCAGCUCUGGAGAGUGUCGGGACAAGUCCUAGUCGCGUUGGCGUCAAAUUGAUGCAAAACGGACUCUGUGCGACGCGAGGGCGGCUUUCAGCGAAGAAAUCUGCAAAAUAGCAGAUUUUCCUGCUUGUUGUACCGGUACAGCCAUCAUGGCGUACCGGUACACUAUACUGAUGCCGCGCAAUCUGCUCUCGGGUUGCUUCCUGUACCGGUACGCAAUCCCGUGUACCGGUACACCAGGGUAGGUGAGAGGGUGUUUUGGUCUUUUCUCUCCCUCGUUUGUAUCACCAGCCCUCUCUCUCUCUAUUUAGCCUUGUGAGGACAGAGAGAGGGAGUUCCUCUGUUGCUACUUCCUCUCUCUCACUCUCCAACAGAUCUUAGGCUAGGGAGGAUCUCGGUUGGAGCUUUCGUUGCCGACGUCGCGCCGCGGAGCCGUCCGGGGAUACGGUUGCUGCCGUUACAACGCGAGGAGGCCGGGCGAGCGGAGGUUUUCAUCGUUUUUGCUGUCGCAGCAGUGCCCGGUGUUGUCGAGGUGAGUGUCUGUUGGAGGAAAAAUUCUAAAAUGCAACGAGUAUAUUAGUGACGUGGCGUAACAAACCAAUCAAAUUAAUCCUUUUAAGAAUAUAUGUCCCAUCAUGAUUGUAAAAAAGUAUUUUUAUUGUACUUUUGUUUAAAAAAAGGAAUGUGAUUGGCUUGUUAUUGAUGAUGUGGUGCAAGUGUGACAGUGUAGAAUUCCUCCUGUUGGAGUGGCUUCGAUUAAUCCGGGUAUCACCGAAUUAGAGCUUAAGUGCUGUUUUCGCAGAAUUUCACCGUCGACUGUUUGUAUUUUUGGCUCGUUCUCGACGUAGGAGCAUCGGAUUGCGACGAGACUUGGUUCGUUGGAUUCAGGACUGCGAGAGGAAUCCACGAAGCCCUUACUUGCUGGAUUUGGUGAAGGUUAGCUUGGUCGAAUCCCUGUUGUACCUCACUGCUGAAAUUCGGGACUGAAACGGUGAUUUAUUGUCGUGUAGAGCUCGAGCGUGGACGAUUUCUGGACUCGGAGCUGUGCGUGUGAUCCAGCAAGUUGCUCGACACCAGUGGGAGUCCUUCGCUGCCANCAUACAAUACUACAAACAGUAGUAUAGAGCAGCUAGGAAAAUAAACCAUAUAUAAAAACUGUGGUUCAAUACAUACAUGUGAUUCAGGUAUACAAAUACUCGCUCUGACGAGAUAACAACAACUGUAUGUAAAGACCCAAAAACUACAACUAUCUGUAGCUAGUGCUCCUCUAGCUCUGCGACUCGACUGGAAGGGCUCUAACUUGCGACGCCCUUGCCACGAUCAAGAUCAGCAACAGCAGCAGCCGAAGGCGACGGCUCUACAAAACAGUGAUAACAACUGGGCGUGAGAACUACGAAAGAAGUAGUCCUCAAUGGGUACCGCCCUCAAACUCAUCGGUCCACUCACUAAGUCUACAGGGAUAAGCAGGAAUAGUAAAGAAAGGUGGAACAAAUCUACAGCUAAAUACCGCUAUACUAUCAUGCUCUAGCUCUAACUCUCUGUAGAACAAUGUUAACUCAUGACUCAAUCUCAAAUAAGAACUAUAAUCAUACCCGUCCCUGGGACUGUGAACACACCCGUCCCGCCUGGUUGCGACUAUACAGCUACCUCCACACUAACCAGUCUGUGGAGAGCAAGUCCAAUCUGUACGAACGACACCAACGCAAAAGUACAGCGCCCGUCUCCGGAGUGGCACUCGUGGGAGCUAUCCAACCGAGUAUGCAGCGUAUCUCUAUUGAGCUCAAUCAGGCUCUAACAAGCAAAAGUCAAGUAGCUAGGGUCAAAACAAGUCAAGAAACCAAACCCACGUGCCCUCAGCACAAUCUAAGACCAAAAACAGGAAUCUAGGUCCACCGUCCACCCUGACGGCACCCGACAAUCCGAAACAGCCUAGACUCUACUGUAAAAAUAAACUUGGCAUCCCAUCACGAGCGUAAAUGCAUUCUAAACUAUCUCGGGUAUCCACCGCGCUGAAACAGCGAUGAUACAAUUAAAUCACGGCUCUUAGAGCUAAAUCAGGUAGUAGAAUCAUAUGACAGGUCGAAUCGCUAGUUUUCUCCUAAGACAAGUUCCAAGUCCAACAUGUAUAUUUAUCUAAUUAAUAAUCAUGCUUCCAAUUCAGAUUUCAUACAUGCUACAAUCAAUGAAUCUGAGCGACCACAUGAAAUACAAGAAUCGAAAUCAUACAUGUCGACUACAUAAGCACUUAGGAGCGAAACCGAUGAAACGCCUACCUCUAUAGCAAAUCCCUGGCAGCAAGGAGGUCACGAACCACCAAGAAGCUGAGCCGCACCUGCUCUCAGCCAGCAAUGGUCCGCAUCUAAGAGCUAAACAUUAAUUCCACUAAAAUUUAUCAAAACCUUCAAUUUCAGCACUUAAGCUAACUUUAAUCCCAAUUGAAAUGUCAAAACUCACCUAAUCACAUCCAAAUCUGGUGAGAAAGGUCUAAAAUUCAGUGGAAUAUAUUGAGAUAUCAAGCUAAGGGCCAAAAUCCCACUGCCUCCAAAGAUAGCAUCAAAGAAAACUCAUAAACUUGAAAAUCUGCCGAAAGCAACAGCAGUAGAGAAGAACUUGAGUUCGACCAAGCUAGCCCUCACCAAAAUCUACAAUAUUAGACUUCGACCAAGCUAGCCCUCACCAAAAUCUGCAAUAUUAGACUUCGUGGAUUCCUCUUGAAGUCUAGAAUCAAACAAACUAAGUUUCACCGCAAUCCGACCUUCCUACGUCACACACGAGCUAAAACACCGAAGGUCGUCGCUGGAAAACUACAGAAUCAGCACUCCUCAAGCUGAAUUUGUGGACUUUUGAUACAAUUUGAGUGAUUUGGAGGGGUUGAAAUGCAUUUGUAAGCUUCCUUGUGAGAAAGAGAGGAAAAGAGCUUACCAGGGGCAUCUCCCACCUAUUUAUAGGAUGAUCAAACGGUCAAAUAAGCCUCAGGAAUAUUGGAUACAAACCUACACUGCUGCAGAAAAACCAAGUUGUAAGCGCCCUAAACCAAGUUCUGGGUGCCGAGAACUUCCAGCCUGCACAAACAGCCCUCUUCUGUUCCUCCGCCUGCGGUGUGUUGCACCCUUAUCCUGGUCCGGCGGACCUCACAUACCACAAACACGUGUCAACGCCAACGAUAUUUCCAAAGUAACUUCUAGACCCACUUCUGGGCGCCCGGAACAUAGGAUCCGAAUUGGCUUUCAGUUUUGCUCAAACCAGCACUCAAGAUCUGAGCGCCCUAAACCAAGUUCUGGGCACUCUAAACUGGAAAAACUCCAGUUUUGCUUAUUUGAGUGCGCCGAGUCCAUUUCUGCAUCCAUUUCGUGCCGAAACGAUUCCGACUCAGUCCGACACUCUCCAGACGUGUCGUCCAGUCACUAAUAUUAUAGCCAAUCCUAUCCAAACCUCUGGAACGCUACAAUUUAAAUUGCAUCUAUCAAGUUAGAUUUUAUUAUGCUAUUUAUUACGCGUAUUAUUAAUAAAAUUAAUUAAUUAAUUUUAAAGAGUUUAGAGAUUUAAAUUGAAGUUAAAAAAUUGGAAAUAAAUAUUAUAAACUUUAAAUUUUAAAAUUUAAAAUUUUAAAAUUUGAAAUUUAAAAGUUUGAAAUUUAAAAUUUAAAAUUUAAAAUUUUGAAAGUAUCAAUAAUUUAAAUUUGGUAUCAAAAUUUAAAUUUAUAUAAAAAUAUAAUUAUAUUUAUAUAUAGAAGUGUGUCUGGAUAUGCUUCUGGAAGCACGAGCGCUACCGUGCUUUCCAAGUUGUUCUUCCGAUGUUCGGACUUUCGAAUCGACGAUCGGCUCCGUAGAGCUUGAUCUAGAGAAAUUUGAAGUAUCUAAAAAAUAAGAUUUUGCGAUUUUCGAUAUCAUUUGCCUAGUAAUUCGAAGUGGCUCAAAAACAACGGCUGAGGAAAUAAAAAUCAUACAAAAUAUGAUGAUACGAUAUUAAAAUUUUAGAUCAAAGUAUAUUGAUCUUGUUUUAUAUGGUAUAAAGAAUUCUAUCAAAAUUUCAAAUGUGAUUUGGAUAUGUUUACAACGCGUUAAAACUUGCACCGGCUCACACACGGCAUUAAAUUAUUGAUUUUUGAGCCCCUUCGAUUACUAGCAAAAUGAUAUUGAAAAAUCACACAAUAUUUUAUUUUCUACGGUACUUUCAAUGACUCUAGGACAACUCUAACGGGCACCGUCGUCGAUUCGAAAGUCCGAACAUCGAAACACAACUUGGAAGGAAGAGAGGGCUCCGGCCUUCCAUAACAUCAACCAGCCCACUCUAUAUACUAGCUAUAUAGUAUAAUAUAAUAUAUCAGAUAUAUAUAUUAUAUAUAUAUAUAUAUUAUACUAUAGAAUUAGCAUACUAUACUUAUCACUAGUACCAACCUGUACUAUGUGGACCGUUUGGCGUUGGAUGAAAGAUAGGUGGCGGUUAAAGAAGAUCAGUGGUCCUAGGGUUGAGUGGGUGGAUUGGUUUAAAAUAAUUAUCUAACAGCGUGAAAAUGAAUCAACCAGGGUAAGAUCAUAUACGGUAGAAAAACUUAAUAGUAUCGAAGGGCUUGGUACAUCAUAGAGUAGUACCCGACUCUUAUAGGUAUAUAUAUAUAAUAUUAUAUAGUAUACGAGAGAAGAGCAGAGAGAGAGAGUUGAACUAAAUACUAAUCGCUAGUCUAACCACGAGCCGUUUACUACGAUUGUGUUUUCGAAUGAUAAAACUUCCAAAUUGACGAUCGCUCCGUUAAAUAUAAUCUAAACAUUUAAACACAUAGAAAAUCAAAUUUCACGGCACGUUGAAAUAUGUUCUUUUAAUCCAUCAAGUCAAAGAAAAGAAUGGGCUGAAAAUGAAUACUCUUCUAAAGAAAUGAUGAUAGGAGUCUUGUAAUCAGAGAUCAAGAGGAUGAGAUUUCUAUUUAAAUAGUUUUAAAAAAAUUUUCUACAAAAUUCAAUUGAUUUGGAGAUCGUUACGGCCGUUAAAUCAAGAAAACGCCUCUUAUACGACCAUUAAAUUAAAAUUUUCUGAAACGGCCUUGUAUCAUUAGCAAAUGAAUGUCGAAAAGAUUUGGAAUAUUUGAUUUCUAACACUUCAGUGUAUAAAUCAUGUGUCAACGGAGCCGAUCGUCCAAUUUGAAGUUCUAUCAUCGAAAACAAAUCGUAGUUAAAAACAGGCUCGUUUACCUACCUGAUACGUAUCUACAAAACUCUCUAAUACUAAUAUAUAUACUCAGCUAUAAUACAUAUACCUAGAGAGAGAGAGAGAGAGAGAGAGAGAGAGAGAGAGAGAGAGAGUAGGGCUGUUGUGCUUUCAGGAGUAUGGAGGCCUCUAUGCUCCUGAGCCGUUUUCGAUGAUGGAAUUUUCGAAUUGACGAUCGGCUCCAUUAGACUUGAUCUAGGGUAUUUGAAGUUUCUAAAAAAUAAUUUUUGUUAUUUUUUUAUAUCAUUUACCUAGUUAUCGAAAGGAUUCAAAAUCAAUAAUUUUUAAUGGUUGAUAUAUGCCGUUUUCAAGUUUAACGGUGUAGAAGUAUUCAAAUCAGAUGAAAUUUUGAUACAAAAUUCUUUAUACUAUCUACAACAAGAUCAAUAUUUCUGAUCGAAAAUUAUAGUGCUAUAUCACCACUUUUUAUAGGAUUUUUAUUUUCAGCCGUUAAAAAUUAUUGACUUUGAAUCCUUUCGAUUGCUAGGUAAUGAUAUCAAAAAAUGGCAAAAAUUAUUUUCUAGAAACUUCAAAUACGCUAGAUCAAGUCUAACGGAGCCGAUCGUUGAUUCGGAAAUUCCAUCAUCGAAAAUGGCUCAGGAGCACGGAGGCCUCCUUGCUCCUGAGAGCACAGCAGCACUUAUAAAAGCACCAAGCACUUAUUGCUUGUAAAUUUUUUACCUUUAGAUCUACACCUUUGAUCAUUUUUACCCGUUAGUUUGUACUAUUGAACCAACCACCUACUCAACCCUAGGGGGCCCACAUAUAGAGUCCAGCUAUGGUGCUAGUAAAAGCACCAAGCACUUAUUGCUUGUAAAUUUUUUACCUUUAGAUCUACACCUUUGAUCAUUUUUACCCGUUAGUUUAUACUAUUGAACCAACCACCCCCUCAACCCUAGGGGGCCCACAUCAUCCUAACCACACAUCUCUUAAUCUAAGGGCCGAAAACUUACAUGUACCAAUGACUUGGUACUUUUAAAAGCAUAGGAGCUCAAUUCUAUAUAUAUAGAAUUAGGCUACUAUACUAUCUCUAGUACCGGAGCUCCGGUACUAUAGUCUUAUUUUCGAUCUUAGGGUGUUCAAAUUAACGAUCCACACCGUUAAUACCCUAGAUCAGUUUUAACGGUGUGGAUCGUUGAUUUGAACACCCUAAGUUUGAAAACGAAACUAUAGUACCGGAGCCCCGGUACUAUAGAUAAUAUAGGAGACUAGUUCUCUCUCUCUCUAUAUAUAUAUAUAUAUAUAGGCUAAGACUAUUAUAUUCUUAAGAGUAUAAAUUUUUUUACACUCAUAAAUUUUUGAUCGUUGGAUGACGAGAUAAGGUGGUUAGGAUGAUAAUGGUCUUCUAGGAUUGAGUGGAUGGUUGGUUGACUUGUAUGAUCUGAUUGAGUGGGUGGUUUUCUUGACUAGUAUGAUCUAAUUGAUGGAAAUAGUCNAUAUAUAUAUAUAUAUAUAUAUAUAUAUAUAUAGAGAGAGAGAGAGAGAGAGAGAGAGAGUUGAGUUGCAAUGCUAUCAGUAGCAAAAGAGCUUCGUUGUCACUAAUUUAUUUUCGAUGAUGGAGCCUCUAAAUCGACGAUUGGCAUCGUUGAACAUAAUCUAUACCGCGUUAAGUAUCUAGAAAUCAAUUUUCAAAUAUUUUCGACAUCAUUGGCCUAAUGAUCAAAUGUUUUCAAAAUUUGUAAUUUUUACGGUCGAUAUAAAAUAUUUUCUCGUUUAACGAUGUAAAGAUAUACCGAACGUCCCUAGAGCAAGUGGCAAAAGGCUUUGUGGUUAUUACCCGAGACCCAGGUUAGAAUCCUAGUUGAUUCAUAUUUCCAGCUAAGUUUAUUUCUAAAUGAAAUAAAUAAAGCGGGUAGCGUGCCACCUAUCUCUCAAAAAAAAAAUUUGAUGUAAAGAUAUUCAAAUUAAUUGAAUUUUGACUAGAAAAUUUUUUAAACUAUUUAGAAAACGAUCUAGUUGAAUUUUUAUACUUAAUUAAGCUUGACUUUUUAUUAAAUUGAAUGGCUUUAUUAAUUGUAAAUUGUUAAUUGUUUUAGUUUUUACUUGGUAAAUUUUGUUACAAUUAUCAAUAAAUCUAAUAAAAAUUUAAAAAACUUUAAAAGUACUUGAGAAAGCUUGGAAAAAAGAAAAAGAAAAAUAGUUGGGGACAUGAAUUUUUACCUCCUCAUCAAUAUGUGACCUACCCUAUGCUACCCUAACCCAUAGCUCAUAAAAAUGAUGUGACGUUUUGACCAGUACCACAUGUGCACUCAUGGAGAUCUGAAAAUUAAACCACCUAGGGAUCUGGUAUUUGUAAUAAAACAAAAAUUUACAAAGAACCAUACAUCUAUGCACCACUUAUACAAUUUUAAAGAAAUUAUUUUAUAGAUCUUUGUGCUUGGCAUUAUUUUUGAAUUAUUUUUUACUCGAUAAAUCUAGGUACUGAGUUCAAUUUUUGCUUUACGAUUUAAAGUUAUAAACUCCGACCUCUUCACCACUCAUGUUCUUUUUUAUUCAUAAUAACUAUUAUCGAAGAAAAAUUCAAAAUCUAAAUGAUAAUAAAAGAUAUAUAAAUGUUACAACGAGCACACAAACAAAAAUGAAAACAGCUAUUGUAAAAUAAACAAACCAUAAAGUAGUAAGGAAAGAUAGAACAUAAAAAUUUACGCGAAAAAAAAAUUUCAAAGAAAAAUCACGAGCGAAAGAGAGAACUUCACUAUAUGAAAAAAAAAAAGAAGGUAUAAUCUUGUGGAGAAAUAUAAUAUGCGAUAUAUUGUCUAGGGCAAAGAAAAAGAAAACUGAAAUGUAAUGGAAAGACCUCCACAUCUGACCCGUUUGUUUCUUAAUGGGUUCUUUCAAAAUUUGAUCAGAUUUUUCUUUUUCACCACAUAUAAUUUUUUUUUUUUAAUUUAUCACACCGCAAAGCUUUCGGCAAAUAGGGGCACAAAAUCAAACUCGAUAACUAAACUUUGAUACAAAUCUAAUAAUAAUUUAGCAUGUUACCCUUUUAUUUACCCUAGAAAGGCCUAGAUUCCAUUAUACAAAAAGAAUCACAAUUUGUCUCCCAGGAAAGCGUGCUCACAAAAACCUAGCAAUGCAUGGCUGGCAAACACUUAGUUUGUCUUACUAAUCACUUAUUUAAUCAUGCAUUAAAUCUAAAGUUAAUCUUAUUCCUUUCCUUAAACCGAGGAGUCAAUUUGUCCUUGUGUAUAAAUUUAUAUGUUUCAAUUGCUUCCAUUUGGAUUAAACAAAGAUAUAUAUAACAUCUAAAACCAAGGGCUAGGAAGGUACUUCUUAAUUACUUUCCCCUUGUUUGAGGAAAUUAACCACCAUGAGAGGGACCUUUUUUGGCACAUUGUAGUUACUUUUUUUUCAAAUGUGAUUAAGUGAUCAAUUGCCCCAGGGAUUCUUAAAUUUUUUGCGCGGUUUCAAUUUAGUCCUCAACCUUAUACAUUGCAAUCUUGUUCUUUUUAUUAGAUUUGUCCAAUAAAUUUGGCAGAAAUAAACGCGUAUGUGCUAAGUUACGUUUACAUAAGAGACGGUUGAACUUCUCAUUAGCNAGAGAGAGAGAGAGAGAGAGAGAGAGAGAGAGAGAGAGUUGAGUUGCAAUGCUAUCAGUAGCAAAAGAGCUUCGUUGUCACUAAUUUGUUUUCGAUGAUGGAGUCUCUAAAUCGACGAUUGGCACCGUUGAACAUAAUCUAUACCACGUUAAGUAUCUAGAAAUCAAAUUUCAAAUAUUUUCGACAUCAUUGGCCUAAUGAUCAAAUGUUUUCAAAAUUUGUAAUUUUUACGGUCGAUAUAAAAUAUUUUCUCGUUUAACGAUGUAAAGAUAUACUGAACGUCCCUAGAGCAAGUGGCAAAAGGCUUGGUGGUUAGUACCCGAGACCCAGGUUAGAAUCCUAGUUGAUUCACAUUUCCAGCUAAGUUUAUUUUUAAAUGAAAUAAAUAAAGCGGGUACAGUGCCACCUAUCUCUCAAAAAAAAAAUGAUGUAAAGAUAUUCAAAUCAAUUGAAUUUUGACUAGAAAAUUUUUUAAACUAUUCAGAAAAAGAUCUAGUUGAAUUUUUAUACUUAAUUAAGCUUGACUUUUUAUUAAAUUGAAUGGCUUUAUUAAUUGUAAAUUGUUAAUUGUUUUAGUUUUUACUUGGUAAAUUUUGUUACAAUUAUCAAUAAAUCUAAUAAAAAUUUAAAAAACUUUAAAAGUACUUGAGAAAGCUUGGAAAAAAGAAAAAGAAAAAUUGUUGGGGACAUGAAUUUUUACCUCCUCAUCAAUAUGUGACUACCCUAUGCUACCCUAACCCAUAGCUCAUGAGGAUGAUGUGACGUUUUGACCAGUACCACAUGUGCACUCAUGGAGAUCUGAAAAUUAAACCACCUAGGGAUCUGGUAUUUGUAAUAAAACAAAAAUUUACAAAGAACUAUACAUCUAUGCACCACUUAUACAAUUUUAAAGAAAUUAUUUUAUAGAUCUUUGUGCUUGGCAUUAUUUUUGAAUUAUUUUUUACUCGAUAAAUCUAGGUACUGAGUUCAAUUUUUGCUUUACGAUUUAAUGUUAUAAACUCCUACCUCUUCACCACUCAUGGUCUUUUUCAUUCAUAAUAAGUAUUAUUGAAAAAAAUUCAAAAUCUAAAUGCUAAUAAAAGAUAUACAGCUGAGAUAAAUGUUACGACGAGCGCACAAACAAAAAUGAAAACAACGAUUAUAAAAUAAACAAACCACAAAGUAGUAAGGAAAGAUAGAACAUAAAGAUUUACGUGAAAAAUUUUUUGCGAAGAAAAACCUCGAGCGAAGAGAGAAUUUCACUAUAUGAAAAGAAAGGUAUAAUCUUGUGGAGAAAUACAAUAUGUGAUAUAUUGUCUAGGGCAAAGAAAAAGAAAAUUGAAAUAUAAUGGAAAGACUUCCACAUCUGACCCAUUUGUUUCUUAAUGGAUUUUUUCAAAAUCUGAUCAGAUUUUGAAUUUCCACCAUAUAUAAUCUUUUUUAAAAAAUUUGUGACACCGCAAAACUUUCGACAAAUAGAGACACAAAAUCGAACUAAAAAACUAAACUUUGAGACAAAUCUAAUAAUAAUUUAGCAUGUUACCCUUUUAUUUACCCUAGAAAGGCCUAGAUUCCAUUAUACAAAAAGAAUCACAAUUUGUCUCCCAGGAAAGCGUGCUCACAAAAACCUAGCAAUGCAUGGCUGGCAAACACUUAGUUUGUCUUACUAAUCACUUAUUUAAUCAUGCAUUAAAUCUAAAGUUAAUGUUAUUCCUUUCCUUAAACCGAGGAGUCAAUUUGUCCUUGUGUAUAAAUUUAUAUGUUUCAAUUGCUUCCAUUUGGAUUAAACAAAGAUAUAUAUAACAUCUAAAACCAAGGGCUAGGAAGGUACUUCUUAAUUACUUUCCCCUUGUUUGAGGAAAUUAACCACCAUGAGAGGGACCUUUUUUGGCACAUUGUAGUUACUUUUUUUUCAAAUGUGAUUAAGUGAUCAAUUGCCCCCGGGAUUCUUAAAUUUUUUGCACGGUUUCAAUUUAGUCCUCAACCUUAUACAUUGCAAUCUUGUUCUUUUUAUUAGAUUUGUCCAAUAAAUUUGGCAGAAAUAAACGCGUAUGUGCUAAGUUACUUUUACAUAAGAGACGGUUGAACUUCUCAUUAGCGUGAUUUGUGAAUGGUUUUGUUUAGAUGCAUGUGCGGAAUUGUCACUUGAUAGUUAUGUCAUAUGUGGCACAAAUAGUGAUAUUUCCUUGCAACUUAAUAGCAACUUUAAGAUUAUUGAACAAUAUUUUAAUUAGAGACUCAAAUGAGAGAACACCUUUGCAAAUUACUUAAUCCAUUUAUCAUGUAUUUGUGAUAAUUAAGAGAAAUGUAAUUUUAGUGAGAGUAAAAACUAUAUGUGCACACUUGUGUGGAGGUGAUAUUUCAAUUGCAAAGGAGACAAACCUUUAACUCUUCAAGUAGUUUAUUGACUUUUCUUCUUGCCCUUUGACCAUGAUGAAUAGUUCCUUUAUUUGUUUCUUGUUUAAACACUAUUUUGAGAACCUUUUGUUCCAACACUUUCACGCACAUCCACGAAAACAGUAUCAUGUGUCUCCGUAUACUUUAAAAUGCAUGAGAAAUACAAAUAUAUAUGUUAUACUCAAAGAGAGAGAGAAAUAUGAGGUGCUAAUUCCUCACUACUUUAAGAGCAGCCAUUUUGAAAAGUUUCAAUUCGUAAUCAUCUUGAUAACCAAGAGCUAGCAUGUUGUUAGGCAUGUGGAAAAGAUCUAGUUCGUGGACGUGAAAAUAUCAAAAAGAAUUGAGAAAGAUAAAAGAAAAAUAAAACACACAAAUAUUUACUUGGUUCGAUUACUAGUCAACAUUCGCAGGAGAAGACAGAGUGAAGAUUUUUAUUUUAAUCAAACUGAAGUACACAUUAUAUAUCUCUCACAAAAUUCUAAUCCUAAAAAUACAACCAUACUUUUCAUCUACCAAACUGAAUCAAUUCAUAAUCAUAUUGACAUGUACAUUGUAUGAUUAGUAAUCAUCUCGAAAUAUCAUCUUGUUAAUUAACCAAGAGCAUGCAUGUACAUGUAACUUGUGUACUACAAUUUGCGCUCGACAUUUGUAUGAUUAGUAGCCAAAACAAGAACGUGAAUAUAUGGAUUUUUUUAUGGCGUUCGCCGCAUCACACACAAAAUCAAAUGGCUAUUCAUAUCAAAGAAAGAAGACCACAUGCAUCAAUAUCCCUGAACAACAAGAAUUUGCUAGUAAAUUUUCUAUUUCUUGUUGUAAUUUGUACAUGUUUUAAAUUCAUUAUUUCUUGUCUCAUGCUCCUCGCAGCGUGCGCACAUAUAUAUAUUGCCCUAAAGUACUCUUGUUUAAUUAUACAUAUAUAUAUAUAUUAAUUCCUAAUACAACUUCUCAACAGAGACCAUGCACGAAGUAUCUGAUCCAGUUGACAAUUAACUAUUUUGCUCACAACACUUGUCCAGCAAUUUUAACUUGUAUAUGUUAAUUAGCUAAAUUCAAAACAAAUGUUACACAGAUUCCUUAUGCACAUUAAUUUUUCCUCCAAGCAUUGCUCAUAGUUACUCUUGUUUAUUUGUUUGUUAACUUUAAAAUGAAUUUUCACAUAUUCCUUAUAUUAUAUGGUGUAUUAAACUCUUGGUCCAAAAACUAAAGUUAUUGUCCACCAAUUAAUUUCAGCUUGUAUAUAUAUUUAUUAAACUCCAACAUAGUUUGCCUCCAACAUAUUAUAUAAGUUCUGUUCACAACUUUUCCUAUGGAUUGAUUAAUUUGAGGACUAAAACGUUUAACAAGAUCAAAGUUAAUUAAAUUUAAUUUAAGUGGUCCAAGUGAUUUGAUUCUUUCUGCUUUAAUUUUUUUUAAUCUCUUUAGAAGAAUUGUCGGGUUUUUCAUAUGCAUCAAUUACUACCUUAGGGGUGUUUGUUAGACAACUUGUCCUCUAGUAAUCACUAUUUGAGACAAAUUGUCUCUACCUUCAGAAAAUAAAACGUAAAAAAAAAAAAGAAAUUACCCGCAAAUUAAUAUAGGUUGCUCAAACAAGUUGUCCCUUGGUUUUUUAUUGAUAGCAGUUUGUGUGAAUUACUUAAGUAAGAAUUAGGUAUUAAAUUAAUUAUAUACAUUAUUGAACUUUUGCACUAUAAAUUGUUGUUCUUGCCUCUGAAUUUUAUGAGUUUNUAUAUAUAUAUAUGAGUUUGGUUACUAUACUAUCGAUAAUAUCAAGCCUUGGUACUAUUGAGUUUUCUACCGUUAGAUCUACACUUUGAUUAUUUUCACCCGUUAGAUUAUACUAUUAAACCAACCACCCACUCAACCCUAGGGGACCACUAUUAUCCUAACCACACAUCCUUUCAUCCAACAGCCGAAAACUCAAUAGUACCAAAAGCUUGAUACUAUCAAUAGUAUAGUAGCAUAAUUCUAUAUAUAUAUAUCUAUAUAAUACGAACGUUGCAAAUACAACUUAUGUACUGAUUAACCACUGCAUCUUCUAUAUAAAUAUCUUCCGUGCUUAUUUUAUAUAUAUAUAUAUAUAUAUAUAUAUAGAAUUAGGCUGGAAUUCUAUUAAUAGUAAAACGCUCUUUUUGCUAUCAAGUUUUUAACCCUUGGAUGAAAAAUUGUAGGAUCGGGAUGAUAUUAGUCGUUUAGAGUUGAGUGGUCCCCUUAGGGUUGAGUGGUCCCUACUGGGUUAUAGUAUUUAAUCUAAUGGUUAGAAAUAAUGAAAAGAGUUGAUCCAAAGGCUAAAAAACUGGUAACAACGAUGGGAUUUUGCUACUAAUAUUAAGUUGUUUCUGUAUAACUAUAUAUAAUAAUACAUGCUAUAUUUAUUUACUUACCGAGAUAUAUAUAUAUAUAUUGUGUCUUCUUGUAAAGACGCCAUAUCAGACACCAGAUAUACAACCGCAACACAAUCUAAUGUGACAACAUGCCAUGGGGACUCACUACAACAGAAUUAGGUUAUAGGGACACAUGUUUGGGACAUUUUUGAGUAAGUGUCCCAUUUAUGCUAAAACUUAAAAAAAUAUCUGCUAAUGCCUAAAUAUAAAGCCCAAUCCAACCAAAAAUAAAAGAUUACUCUACUCAACCCACCACACCCAGUUCAUUUGGCCCGAUUACAAACAGAAAAGAAAAAAAAAAAGAAAAAUCAAUUACCAUCUUUUCUUCUCUCUUCACUCAAUCCACUGAAAUUCUAGACGAAGAGCCUUUCCUGUCGUCCUCCUCCGCCACCGCAGCCAACGAGAUAAAAUUUCGGCGGUUGCUAAAUGCUUAAAUAAGUGUUCGUAAAUUAGCAGCACUCUUUUAGGUUAUAGCGACACUCUUUAACUGUCAAUAUAUACCUAGCGACCCCACAUAUAGUAACACUUUUUAAAAGUGUCGGUAAUUUUAGCUAGCAGCACUUUUUUGACAUGUACCUAUAUUUAAAAGUAUCGCUAUAGACCGUUUUUGUUGUAGUGACUUUUGAGAGAAGUCCCAACUCAACACGGCAUUAGCUAGUCUUACCUAUAAAUGCAAAAAACUAACAUGAUAGAUAUAUGGCGCAGUAAAGAAAAAGGUUAAAAUAUUUUGAACAUAAGUAUACCAAGUUGGAGACACUUAGACACAAACCUGUUAAUUAAUUGAGAAAAAUAACAUGACUGUCGAAGAUGAAUGCUGCAAAUAUGUUUGUUUUUGCACCAAGUAAUCACUCAAUUGAUCUGCCAAUGAUUAGAAAUUAUGAACUCACAAAUGACUUCUUAUAAGAGCUCCUUUAUUCAUGUGAAAACUUUUGAAUACUACAAGGUAUAUAAUCAAACACUAAUCUUACAAUUAAUGACAAGAAAUGUUCAACAAACAAUUAAUUAAAUUCAAUGAAUAUAUCAUUGCUUUUACAAGUUAUAAAUCAUUUCCUGUUAUUACUAUCUUAAGUUGUCAUAUCUAAUUAAUGGAUCUACUGCUUCUGAGUUUGAUGAAGUUGUAAUUUAUGUCUGAUGGUUAAAACCGCAUCUGCACGUGAGUUAAACAGCGGGAAUUAAAAAAAAAAUUUAGCGGUUUGCUUUUAGCAUCUUUAGCUAUUGUUAUUAUUGUUUGUAUUCGAGUAAAAGCAACAAUUUGCGCGCUUUAUCUUCAUGAUCUAUGUUCAAGUGCACUAAACAAGUACAAAAUAUUCUAUCAGCGACAAGCUAUUAUUUAGUUACUCCAAAAAAAAAAGCUCAAAACCACUAAUAUAAUACUAAUUAAGCCUGGUAACACCAACCGUCCCUAGUGCAAGUGGCAAAAAGCUUGGUUGUUGGUACCCGAGGUCCCAAGUUCGAAUUCUAGUUGAUUCACAUUUCUAGUUAAGCUUAUUUCUAAUGAAAUAAACGAAGCGGAUAACAUGUUACCUAUCUCUUAAAAAAAAAAAAAAUUAAGCCUGCUAACACUUAGCUUGAGAAUCAAUUUCUCAGACCAAAUGUUAAUCAAAUCUCCACUUGCUUUUAGCGCUUCGAGCUACAAAAAGGCAAAAAGUUCAAAAGAGAAUAUUCAUGUUUUAAUCAAUUGACUAAUUAUAACAAAACAGAUCCUUUACUAUUGAUGAUAUGUGCUAUAUAUAGCCAUAUCUUGCAUGAUGCAUCAAUCAUUCAAAACAUAUAGUUUAUGUUAAACAACUGUUGUAUUCUAACAACUUAAGCUUUUAGAGUAUGUCAGUUAUUUAACAAAAUAUCAGAACAAGAGAUCCUAAGUCCGAAUCACGCCAGACUCCUAAAUUACUAAUUUUUCCCAUUUAAUUCAAAUCCACGUCAUGAACCUUGUAAAAAGUCUCGAGCCCAUACAUGAGGAGGAGAGUGUUAAAUAUAAAAAUAUAUAAAUACUGUUCUCUAACGGCUUUAGCUUUUAGAGUACGGUGGUUGCUUGACAGUUUAUGAGCUUUAUCUGAAAAGAAGUUGUAGAUUGCUUUAUAAUGAUAGUCUAUGCAAGAAGUAUUGAUUGCCUUCAUUCUAAUUGAGGAUUAGCUAGGGCAAAGUGAUGAAACAUGAAACAGGUCAUUAGGUUGCGUUAUUUGGAAAAGAUCAUAUACUAGAAAAACGUCGCCUUUCGAUACAUUCUUGUUACCAUUUAGAAAGUAGGAAACUUAAUUACAGUACAGCAACAAUUCGCUUCCUCUUUAUACUUUUGUAUCUUGUGGAGUUGCAUUACCAUUUAGAGACUGUUUGAAUUUAAAGUUUGUUUGGUUAGUGAUCAUGUAAUUUGAUUUAUUCAAAUUUUUCAGAAACAAAGUAUGCAGAUGCAUACGUUGCUAAAUUUGUUUGAUUUGAUCAAAAGCAGUCGAUUGAUCUUACUUAUUCAUUUCAUUUAUGCACAAUAGAUCCAAAGAGAAAAUUUGAAAUUAUAACAGAAACUGAAAAAUGCAAGUAAAGAAGAAUGUUUCAUCUAAAAUUUUGUAGUACUAAUCCCUCUCGGAGUUUCUUUCUCACCAUACGAAUGGUACUGAUAUCGCAUCCUUAGAGUAAGAAAAGGAGAAAAACUAUGACUAGUAUGUGUACAAAUAGAGUGGUUCAACUACAAACACCACCAUGUUGGCAGGGAAAAAAAAAAAAGAAAAGAACAAGAACAAGAACAAGAAAAAGAAAAUGGUGCUUGAUUAUGGUCAAUCGUGCCAACAAAGAAGCAUCACGACGCAGCGUCGUAUAAUGUAUAGUUUGGCUCUUUGCUCCCUUAGAGCUCUGCUGAGCCCUCCUUUUUGCUUCUCCUGGCUAUGUAGCUUCAUUGUCAUGGCGUAAUUAGCUUGAAUAGUUGUAAAGUGGAGAGGAGAAAAUAGUGUGUUGAGAAACAAUAAGUGAGAGAGAGAGAAGUAGAGGGUACUCUUUGCUAGCAAUUGUAGUUGGAUUGAAUAGUUUGAGGGGAUUCACAUAUGGAUUUUAUAGAGAGAUCAGAGAAAAUGGGGGGAAAUUAAGGGAGUGGUCCAACACCUAGAGGGCUUGUUAAUUAAGAGGUGCUUUCACACAAGUGUAGUAUCUUGAUUGUUACUUAGGAGACAAGGCUCUGAAUUCAUGUAUAUUGUUUUAUCUUUCUUGCUUCUUUUGCCUAUAAUUGUUUUGUUUUCUUUAAGCUAUAGAAAUUGUGGCCUUAAGCAAGCAUCAAAUUCAGGUAUAUUUGUCUCUCCUGCCUCUUUCACUGUACUGAGAAGUACUUCCUCGCCGAUCGAUUGCUUGAAGAAAACAAUGUUGAUAAAAUAUUACUUGUCGGAUCGUUAGCGCUAAUCAUUAAUCCCAAAAGCUCGAGCUGUAGAAAUACGUAACCAAUUCACUUAAAACGUACAGAUACAGCGCCCACAGGUCUCGAUUAUGACUGGGUCCAACCAGCCUCAUGCCACUUCGAACAUGACUCAACUCACCCUCACGCUAUUUCGAACAUAACUCAGCCCAACAUAGCCUUUCGCCAUAAAGCAAAAUGCUAACUCAUUUAAGCCAGCAAUCCCCUCUCUAGCAUCUGCACACAUUUGCAGUAUUGGGGAAUCGAACUCGCGAUUUCUGGCUCUGAUACCACUUGUCGAAUCGUUAGCGCUAACCAUUAAUUCCAAAAGCACGUGCCGUUAGAAAUAUAAAACCAAUUCACUUAAAACAUACAGAUACAGCGCUCACGAGUCUCGAUUGUGACUCGACCUAACAGGCCUCACGUCACUUCGAACAUGACUCGGCCCAACAUGACCUUCCGCCACAGGACAAGAUGCUGACUUAUUUAAGCCAACAUUAGGUACGUACGCACGCAUUUUCUUUUUUCUCUCAGUUGGCACAUGCAACCUAUCCUAUCAUGGCGCUCGCAACGAGAGCUUUACUAGAGCAAGUGACAGGUUUUGUUUGCCUAUCGAGGCAGUCGCACUCAUCGUCACAUAAAAAAGAAAAUCGACUGGCCUCUUGUGUGAAUGAAAAGCUAAAUUCGACUAUAUUAUGUCGAGAUCCGAGCGUGCACUAGAAUAUUUUUGCGAGCUAACUGUUCUUGAUCACUGAUCAGUCUCUUGUAUCUGUCCUUCGACUGCACGGAAAAUGCUUUUUUUUGUUCCCCUCCUAAUAUUCAAUAACAAGUUGCAUGGAGCAUGUCUCCUGAUCAGAGUAUAUAUACUUGUUUAUUAAUUCCUAGAAUGGCUUUUCAUAUAUAUACUGUUGUAGUACAUGGCUUGACAAUUCUUUACUCACAAAUCCAUGCCAUUUGUAGCAUUAAUUUUUUAAUUAAAUCCCUACUUUCUUUGCCUCCUUUCACAUUCAAUUCUCUUCACCACCUUCCUGUGGACACAAAGUUUCUAUGCCUAGGAUGCUUAAAACAAUCAUGAUUUUCAUUUGUACCUAAUUUUGUUAGUUUCUUUACUUGCCCUCUCCUUCAUGGUCUCUGUUUGUUCAGUUCUUGUCAUGUUGAAAUAACAAUGACAUGCAAAUACCAAAAUAAAGGAAUAUUUUAUGUAAUUUUAAGCAAAUGCUGUCGCUGUUCGACACAAAUUUUUGCUGCAUUUGAAACAGUUGGCAAGCUAUAUAGUGUUCAAUGCUGCAGCAUUUUUUUUUCUCAUUUCUUGCUUAAAAAUAUCCUAAUAAAAGAACAUUAGAUAGAUAUAAAAUAUUGAAGUACAUCUCCUAAGUUUUUGAAAUUACGGAAGCCUCCGUACUUAUAAGUUAUUUUUUAUGAUGGGAUAUCUAAUUCGAUGAUCAACUCUAUUGUGAAUGAUCUAUACUAUUAGAACUAUUUAGAAAUUAAAUUUCAUAAUUUUUCGACAUCAUUUAGCAAGUAAUCAAUAAGUCUAAAAAAUGACUAUUUUAAUGGCCGAUGUGGCACGUUUGUAAGUUCAACGAUAUAGAACAAUUCAAAUUACAUAAAACUUUGGCUAAAUUACAUAAAAACCCAGUCAAAACCUGAUUUUUCACUUUUCCCCCCUGUCAUUUAAAAACCUACACUUUGUCCCCUUAUAAAAUGAAAAAUGUUCACGGGGUUGUACGAUGUGAACAGUGAUGACAAAAUGACCAUUUUGCCCCUCACCAUUUUCGUCUCCUCCCUCAUCUUGCUCAUCCGCCGCCUCGAUCGGCCGCAGUUCGCGCCUCAAUCGACCGCAGUGCCUUUCCAUUUUCUUCUUCACCUACUUCCCUUCUCCUCCUACACCUUCGUCGCCCCUCCAUUUCAGCGACAGUAGGGAGGAAAUCGAGGUGGGCGUGGAGGGAGAGGUGGGCAAGGGCAACGAGGGCGAAGGCGAGGCGGUGGAGGAGAGCGAGGGGGUGUUUGUGGGUGCGGACGGAGAUGUAGGCGAGGGCGAGACAGUGGAGGAGGGCGAGGCGGCAAGGCGGAGGAGGGUUAAGCAUCAGUAGAGAGGGUGGAGGGUAUUUUUGACAUAAAAAAAUAUUUUAUAACGGAACCCUAACGGAUCACUAACGGUAGGGGAUAAAGUGAAUUUUUUUCAUUUUACAGGGGGGCAAAGUGUAGGUUUUUAAAUGACAGGAGAAAAAACUGAAAAAUUAAAUUUUUACAGGGGGGUUUUCUGUAAUUUAGCCUAAAACUUUAAUAGAAAAUUUUACUUAAUAUUAAGAGUAAAAUCAAUAAUUCCGGUUUGAAAUUUAAAUUUUUUAUUACUAUUUUUUGUAAGAUUUUUAUUUUCAGCCGUUUAUUUUGAGACUACAAGCUUACUAUGCAAACAAAGCUAAAAAAUUGUGAAAUUUGGAUUCUAAAUAGUUCUAAUAAUAUGGAUUAUGCCUAAUAGAGCCAAUCGUUGAAUCAGAUGUCCUAUUAUCAAAAACAACUUAUAAGUAUGGAGACCUCCGUACUUUCGAAAGUACAGGAGUCUAGCUCUAAACUAUUGUUACUCUUAUCAAUCUGGGACUCCUCUAUAUACUAUUCCCGUUAUGCUUCUAAUUUCAAUCAUAUAAAUAUAUAUAAAAAGUUAGGCUGGUAUAUUAUCGAUAACACAGAGGCCUUUAUACUACCAAAUUAUUUUCAAUGAUGUAGCUUCCAACUCGAUGAUCGACUCCAUUAGACUUGAUCUAUAUUAUUGAAAGUAUUUGGAAACAAAAUUUCAUAAUUUUCGAUAUCAUUUACCUAUCAAACGAGUAGUCUAAAAAUGAAAAGCUGAAAAUAAAAAUCUCAUAAAAAAUGAUGAUAAAAGACUUGAAUUUAAGAUCAGGGGUACUGAUCUUACUCUAAAUAGUGAAAGAAUUUUCUAUAAAAAUUUUAUCAGAUUUGAAUUAUUUUACACCGUUAAAUUCACAAACGCAUCACAUAUACCAUUAAAAUUGUCAAUUUUGAGACCUUUUGAUCACUAGUCAAAUGAUGUCGAAAAAUUAUGAAAUUUAAUUUUCAAAUACUUUUAAUAGUGUAAAUACAAGUCUAAGGGAGUCGAUCGUCGAUUUGGAAGCCGCAUCAUUAAAAACAACUUAGCAGUACGGAGGCCUCCGUGCUACCAAUAGUAUACCAGCCUAGCUCUAUAUAUAUAUUUAUAUAUAUAUAUAUAUAUAGAGAGAGAGAGAGAGAGAGAGAUCUAGAGAGAGAGAGAGAGGGAAAGAGAGAGGAUUGCUAUGCUCUUAGGAGCAUGGAGGUCUCAGUGCUUCUGAGCUGUUUUCGAUGAUAGAAUCUUGGAAUCGACAAACGGCUCCGUUAGACUUGAUCUAGCAUAUUUCGGAGUAAGGAUAUCUGAAAUUCCACAGUAUGAGAUACUUACUUUGCCCAUUAUACGAUGGCAAAAGAAUCUUUUUUUUCUUUUUCUUCAACGUAUACUUUAUAGAACAAGCAUCCGUGUGAAGGGUGAUUUUCGCCCUAAGUUAGAACCCAGUGUUAUGACUCUCGCUCAUCAUACAUAAUUAAUAGAAUCUUUCAAUAAUUAGCAGUACUCUGGGUUACUCUGGGUUUGGGAUUUAAGUUUAAAUCUUUGGUGACUAAAAUCAACAUUUGUUGAAUUAAAGAUCCCAAUUAAAGUGGUUAUGGAAAGUUUUCAACUUUUAUAGUAUUUAUGAGAAUGUUUUAGUCAUUAUAGUACGAAUGGAUAGAUUUAUAUAUGUAAGAAAGUUUAAAUGGGAAUAAACAUUUGAGGCAAUUUGUAACAUUAACAAAGUAACCUAAUUUUUAAUUUAAUGGCUGAGAUGGGAACUGGGAAUUUUCCACAACUUCCUAUAUCACUCUUUUAUAUAUAAGUUGGGGGAGUUUUGAUAUCCGACAAAACUUCUUCUAGUUGUUAGUUAUCUACUUUAUAACCUCUUUUUUUUUCUUUCUUUUAUAUAAGACUUAAAUAAUUACACUGAUCUUUGAUUUUUCGUAACACCCCUAGAUUCUUUUCGAUUCUUCUAAAAGCCUCCGGUUUUCAUAUUCGAAACGAAGUCGAAGAAGUAGAAACCGCAGACGACGUUGUUUUUAGAUAUAAUCUUCUACAACUACUUCGUUGACUAUGGACUAUUCGUAGAGAUAGGUUUUUCAUGAAAGAGUGUCUGUUCGGUUAGUUCUUAUUAAUAUAUAAAUUAUUACUUUCUAAAUACUUACGGACUACGUACCAUCCUACUAAUUAAGGGAGGUUAAUUGUUACUUAAUAAUAGUAACAUUUUAGUAAAGAAUUAAAUCCUUUCUUUAUAACAUCGAUUUUUCAACCACCACAGUGCAACGUACCGUAACAUGGUAUCUAAGAGGUGACGGAUUUUGCACUGUUUGAUAUACGUACGAAAAAAAAAAAAAGAUUAAUUUCAUUAAGUAAUUACACAGUAGUGUGUACGCGGAUUAAUAUUGGAGUUUUAUUAGGAGAGAAACUGUUAGUAAAAAAAAAUUAAUCAAUAUAGGUAAACGUAAUUAGUCGACAAACUAAUAGAUGUAACAUUCGAUAUUAUAUCCAUGUUAACAUGUGUUCGAGCUUUUUCAGAUAAAUUAAUGGAUAUCACAUCCUGAAUCUAUGUUAUUAACCUAAAUAUAUCUAUUUCCGAACUAACAACGUAAAGCAGGAUAUAGCUUUAAUCUACAUUUAGUAUUAAAUCGUCGACCUCUCUCAUUGAGAUGAGCUAUUUAUUAAUUAAUGAAUAGAAAGCGGAGUAGUCCUUUUCUUUUCUCUUUUCAAACGAAGAAACUCCAAUUAGAGUGGUAGAGCAUAAAUUUUAUCUUUCUACAUGCUUAUAACGAAAGUUAACGUUCAUUGGUUUUGAAUUUUAGGCAUCAGCGUUGUAAGAGUUAAUUUAUCAUGGCACGCUCAAUUUACGUUUACAAUAUUGAUGUAGGCUGGUUUGUUUUGUGGUCAAAAUAAAUUCUCGAAAAAACCUACGAACUUGUACGCCAAAUCAUAGUACACCGAAUUGGCUGGCAGGGAUCUCGUUCACCGUUUUCCAAACCACCAACCAUGGGCUCUGGAUUCAAGCUUAGGAUCAACUAAGUGUAAAGGUCGAUUUAAAUAAAGAUUUACUUUAUUUGCUUCGCCCAUCGCAUGCACGAUGAAUAGAGAGAGAGUUUUUUUUUCAUAGUACACCGAAUCAAAUGAGUUCCUAGUACGUUGUUAACUGUCUACUUAUCAUAUGAAUCUAUAUACAACGAAGAUUUAAUAAUAAGACUUUUUUCUUUUUGAUUAGUAUUCACGGAAAUCUCUGAAACUAGGUUCAAGAUCAUAAGUUUGUAAGUUUAUCAAAGAUUUUCUUUGACUAGAUAUUUCACACCUCUCACUAACCAGAAUAUGGUUUCUUAAGAAUUUAAUUUUCACAAUGCUGCUCACGUGUUUGUUUUUGCUUUCUGCCGUUUGCACUUUAUUUGUUUCAUGUUCGUCUUUUAUUUUAUUUGUGUUUCUAAAUGCACUUUUUAAGAAAAGUCCUUUUUUUAAUACCUACUUUCUCCUCUCUUAAAAUGAUACUUUUUUUUUCAUAUUACAAUACUUCUAAUGUUAUGCGAUGUAGUCUGGUUCCAGAGGCGAUGGGUGGUGUCUGUAGAUAAAAAGAAGGUGUUAAGUAAAGGGUUUUUAAGAUAGCGUGAUGCUUUAACAGUUAUUUAGUACCCGGGUUUUAGUUUCAACUAUUAGUUUAAAGCUCCGUGGAGAUUAAACGUUGGUGAAUGAGUUAAUCACUCCGACCAUACUAAGGCCUUCGUGUUUUGGGAGGUAUGAAGAUUCACGUACCAAAAGCUACAACUCUAAAAGCUUAGUUGUUAAACGAGACAAUCUGAACUAGUUCACAUAAACUUAAUGGACUUUUUAUUUAAAACACUAAAAAGCUAUAGUAAACGGAUUACUAGCUUCCCCGAGUUUUAAUUAUUAAAAUUACCGGCACCACUCGGCAAACGUUCAAAUUGCCACAUUUUUAUAAGUUUAGUACAUUUUAAAACUAUCUUUUAAAAAAUAUGAUAUAUUUUGUUCUAGUUAUAGAAACUAGAUUUUAAAAUUAUAAUAUAGUAGUGUAAAACAUUCUAAAAAUAAAAAUCGGCAACUAAAACUGGGGGAAGCUAGUAAUCCGUUUACUAUAACUUUUAGUUUUUUUAAUAAAAGAUAGUUUUAUUAGAUCUAAUUCAAAUUGUCUCGGUGGCUAGCAGCUAAACUUUCAGGGUUAUAGCUUUUACUGAACCUUCGUGCCUCCCGAGGCACGAAGGUCUUCGUAUGGUUGGCAUUAGAGAGAGAGAGAGAGAGAGAGAGAGAGAGAGAGAGAGAGAGAGAGAUAUAUAUAUAUAUAUAUAUAUAUAUAUAUAUAUCUCUCUCUCUCUCUCUCUCUCCCCCCUUUCUCUCUCGCGUUCCGACGACACGAGAAUCUUCGUGUCUUCUGAGGCGGGAAGCACGAGGACUCGGUAAAAGUUACUACUUUAAAAGCUUAAUUGCUAGCCGAGGCAAUUUAAACUAGAUCGCAUAAACUUCAAACCCUAUUAACGGAUAUAUGGGCAGUAUACAAACUUUUAUAGGUUAAAUGGGGAUAAAAAAAAAAGAAAGAUUUUAUGGGGAAUAUACAAGGUGGCAAUCACGUUUUAUGAGGGCGUCAAUAGAGGACAAUUCAAUUGAACCCAAUUUGCACUCAAUUUGUAGAUGGCGUCAAUUUUUUUUAAUUUUACGGUUAAAACGGGAAUUGAAUUCCCGUUUAUUCUUUACAACCACUGUCAUCUCCCCAUAUAUAACCUUUUCUGGUUUUCAAUUUCAUUAAAAACAUGGGGACCGAAAUUCCCGAUUAUUCUUUCAGUCACUACCACCUUCCCAUAUAAACUUUCCCGUUUUAUCAUUAAAAUGUCUCAAUUAUCUCAAUUAAUUGUUUAAAAUUAUAUAAUCUUUAUCCAACCUUGCAUUUCUCCCAUAAAAGUUAUAAUCGUAAGAUUCUCCCCAUUUAACCUUUCAGCCUUUGAAAAGUGCCCAUAUAUUCGUUAACGGGGAAUUUCAAAGAUCUUUUAUUAAAAACACUAAAAAGCUAUAAUAAAUGGAUCACUAGUUUUCCCAAGUUUUAGUUAUCAAAAAUUAUUAACUACAGACGGCAAAGUUCAAAUUGCCCCAUCUUCAUAAAUUUAGUCUAUUUUAAAACUAUGUUUUAAGAAAUAUAAUAGAUGUUGUCGUAGUUAUUGAAACUAGCUUUUAAAAUUACAAUAUAGUGUUGAAAAAUAUCUUAAAAAUAAAAAUCGGCAACUACAAUUUAGGAAGACUAACGAUUCAUUUAUUAUAGUUUUUUGACAUUUUUAAUAAAAGAUCUUUGAAGNGCUAGUUUAACGGUGUAAAAGAAUCGAAAUUUGUUGAAUUUUUGAUAGAAAAUUCUAUUCACUACAUAGAUAAAGAUCAAUAACUCCGAUCUUGAAUUGAAGAAUCCGAUUAUCCUUUUUUAGGACGUCGUUCGAUUUUGACCAUUCAUUUUAUGCCCACUUGAUGGAUUUAAUUAUGAUUUCGAAAAUUUACGAAAUUUAUUUUCUAGAAGUUUCAAAUACUCUAGAUCAUAUUUAACGGAGUGGAUUGUCGAUUCGGAAGCUCCAUCAUUAAAAAUAACUUAUGAGUACGAUGGCUCCAAUACUCAUAAUAGUAUAGUAGCCAUGGCCUAUAUAUAUAUAUAUAUCACACACACACACACACACACACACACACACACACACACACACACACACACACACGAAGGUUGCAAAUACAACUUAUAUAUAUCACACACACACACACGAAGGUUGCAAAUACAACUUAUCUAAUGUGACAACAUGCCAUGGGGACUUUUGAGAGAAGUCCCAACUCAACACGGCAUGAGCUAUAGUCUUACCUAUAAAUGCAAAAAACUAACAUGAUAGAUAUAUGGCGCAGUAAAGAAAAAAGUUAAAAUAUUUUGAACAUAAGUAUACCAAGUUGGAGACUCUCAGACACAAACCUGUUAAUUAAUUGAGAAAAAUAACAUGACUGUCGAAGAUGAAUGCUGCAAAUAUGUUUGUUUUUGCACCAAGUAAUCACUCAAUUGAUCUGCCAAGGAUUAGAAAUUAUGAACCCACAAAUGACUUCUUAUAAGAGCUUCUUUAUUCAUGUGAAAACUUUUGACUACUGCAAGGUAUAAUCAAACACCAAUCUUACAAUUAUUGACAAGAAAUGUUCAACAAACAAUUAAUUAAAUUCUAUGAAUAUAUCAUUGCUUUUACAAGUUAUAAAUCAUUUCCUGUUAUUACUAUCUUAAGUUGUCAUAUCUAAUUAAUGGAUCUACUGCUUCUGAGUUUGAUGAAGUUGUAAUUUAUGUCUGAUGAUUAAAAUUGCAUCUGCGCGCACGUGAGAUGAAAAAAAAUUUAUCGGUUUGCUUAAUUUUAGCAUCAUUAGUUAUUGUUAUUAUUGUUUGUAUUUUAAAAAAAGCAACAAUUUGCUUUAUCUUCAUGAUCUAUGUUCACGUGCACUAAACAAGUUCAAAAUAUUUGAUCAGCGAUAACCUAUUAUUUAAUUACUCUAAAAAAAGCUCAAAACCACUAAUAUAAUACUAAUUAUGCCUGCUAACACUUAAGUCGACAGUCAAUUUAUUAGACCAAAUGUUAAUCAACUCUCCACUCGCUUUUAGCGCUUCGAGCUACAAAAAGGCGAUAAGUUCAAAUGAGAAUAUUCAUGUUUUAAUCGAUUGACUAAUUAUAACAAAAUAGAUCCUUCACUAUUGAUGAUAUGUGCUAUUAAUAAUAUUCCAGCCUAGUUAUAUAUAUAUAUAGAGCAGGGCUGCUGUGCUCUCAGGAGCACGGAGGAGCACGUCCGUGCUCCUGAGCCGUUUUCGAUGAUGGAGUUUUCGAAUCGACGAUCGGCUCCGUUAAACUUGAUCUAGUAUAUUUGAAGUUUCUAGAAAUAAUUUUUGCGAUUUUUCGUUAUCAUUUACCUAGCAAUCGAAAUGAUUCAAAAUCAAUAAUUUUUAACAGCUUAAAAUAAAAAUUCUAUAAAAAGUGGUGAUAUAGCACUAAAAUUUUCGAUCAAAAUUAUUGAUCUUGUUAUAAAUAGUAUAAAGAAUUUUGUAUCAAAAUUUCAUCUGAUUUGAAUACUUCUACACCGUUAAACUUGAAAACGGCAGAUAUCAACCAUUAAAAAUUAUGGAUUUUGAAUCCUUUCGAUCACUAGGUAAAUGAUAUCGAAAAAUCGCAAAAAUUAUUUUCUAGAAACUUCAAAUGCGCUAGAUCAAGUCUAACGGAGCCGAUCGUCGAUUCGAAAAUUCCAUCAUCGAAAACAACUCAGGAGCACGGAGGCCUCCGUGCUCCUGAGAGCACAGCAGCUCUGCACUAUAUAUAUAUAUAUAUAUAUAUAUAUAUAUAGAGAGAGAGAGAGAGAGAGAGAGAGAGAGAGAGAGAGAGAGAGUUGGGCUAGAAUACUAUUAAUAGCAAAACGUCAUUUUUGCUAUCAAGUUUUCAGCCAUUGGAUCAACUCCUUUCAUCAUUUCUAAUCAUUGGAUUAAAUACUAUAAACCAGUGGGGACCACUCAACCCUAGGGGACCACUCAACUCUAACUGACUAAUAUCAUCCUAACCCUACAAUUUCUCAUCCAAUGGUUAAAAACUUGAUAACAAAAAGAGCGUUUUGCUAUCAAUAUAUUCCAGCCUAAUUUUAUAUAUAUAUAUAUAGUUGAGCUAGAAUACUAUCGGUAGUAAACGAGCCGUUUUACUACCGAUUUGUUUUCGAUGAUAGAAUUUCCAAAUUGACGAUCGGCUCCGUUGAACAUGAUCUAUACCACUUAAAGUGUUUAGAAAUCAAAUUUUAAAUCUUUUCGACAUCAUUUGCCUAAUGAUCAAAGGGUUUCAAAAUUUGUAAUUUUAAUGGUCGAUAAGAAGCGUUUUCUCGUUUAACGGCGUAAAGAUAUCCAAAUCAAUUGAAUUUUUGUUAGAAAUUUUUAAACUAUUUAAAACAAGAUCUAUACUUUGAUCUUGAUUACAAGACUCCUAUCAUCAUUUUCUAAAGAGUAUUCAUUUUCAGCCAUUCAUUUUUCUGUUCACUUGAUGGAUAAAAGAACAAAGAACAAUAUCGAAAGUGCGUGAAAUUUGAUUUCUAGGUAGUUUAAAUGGUUUAGAUCAUAUUUAACGCGAGACCGCAUCGGAUCAAUUUGGGAAGCUCUAUCAUCGAAAACGAAAUCGCGUAGUAAAAAGUGGCUCCGAUUUACUACCGAGUAGUAUUCUAACUAACUCUAUAUAUAGUAUAUAUACUAUAUAUUUAUAUAUAUAUAUAUAUAUAUCAAUCAUUCAAAACAUAUAGUUUAUGGGCUUUAUCUGAAAAGAAAUUGUAGAUUGCUUUAUAAUGAUAGAGUCUAUGCGAGAAGUAUUGAUUGCCUUCAUUCUAAUUGAGGAUUAGCUAGGGCAAAGUGAGGAAACAUGAAAAAGGUCAUUAGGUUGCGUUAUUUGGAAAAGAUCAUAUACUAGAAGAAUGUCGCCUUUUGAUACAUUCUUGUUACCAUUUAGAAAGUAGGAAACUUAAUUACAGUACAGCAUCAAUUCGUUUCCUCUUUAUACUUUUGUAUCUUGUGGAGUUGCAUUACCAUUUAGGGACUGUUUGAAUUUAAAGUUUGUUUGGUUAGUGAUCAUGUAAUUUGAUUUAUUCAAAUUUUUCAGAAACAAAGUAUGCAGAUGCAUACGUUGCUAAAUUUGUUUGAUUUGAUCAUAAGCAGUCGAUUGAUCUUACUUGUUCAUUUCAUUUAUCCGCAAUAGAUCCAAAGAGAAAAAUUGAAAUUGUAACAAAAACUGAAAAAUGCAAGUAAUGAAGAAUGUUUCAUCUAAAAUUUUGCAGUACUAAUCCCUCUCGGAGUUUCUUUCUCACCAUACGAAUGGUACUGAUAUCGCAUCCUUAGAGUAAGAAAAGGAGAAAAACUAUGACUAGUAUGUGUACAAAUAGAGUGGUUCAACUACAAACACCACCAUGUUGGCAGGGAAAAAAAAAAAAGAACAAGAACAAGAACAAGAAAAAGAAAAUGGUGCUUGAUUAUGGUCAAUCGUGCCAACAAAGAAGCAUCACGACGCAACGUCGUAUAAUGUAUAGUUUGGCUCUUUGCUCCCUUAGAGCUCUGCUGAGCCCUCCUCUUUGCUUCUCCUGGCUAUGUAGCUUCAUUGUCAUGGCUUAAUUAGCUUGAACAGUUGUAAAGUGGAGAGGAGAAAAUAGUGUGUUGAGAAACAAUAAGUGAGAGAGAGAGAAGUAGAGGGUACUCUUUGCUAUCAAUUGUAGUUGGAUUGAAUAGUUUGAGGGGAUUCACAUAUGGAUUUUAUAGAGAGAUCAGGGAAAAUGGGGGGAAAUUAAGGGAGUGGUCCAACACCUAGAGGGCUUGUUAAUUAAGAGGUGCUUUCACACAAGUGUAGUAUCUUGAUUGUUACUUAGGAGACAAGGCUCUGAAUUCAUGUAUAUUGUUUUAUCUUUCUUGCUUCUUUUGCCUAUAAUUGUUUUGUUUUCUUUAAGCUAUAGAAAUUGUGGCCUUAAGCAAGCAUCAGAUAUUGAGGUAUAUUUGUCUCUCCUGCGCGCCUCUUUGACUGUACUGAGAAGUACUUCCUCGCCGAUCGAUUGCUUGAAGAAAACAAUGUUGAUAAAAUAUUACUUGUCGGAUCGUUAGCGCUAACCAUUAAUCCCAAAAGCUCGAGCUGUAGAAAUACGUAACCAAUUCACUUAAAGCGUACAGAUACAGCGCCCACAGGUCUCGGUUAUGACUCGGUCCAACCAGCCUCAUGUCACUUCGAACAUGACUCGGUCCAACCAGCCUCAUGUCACUUCGAACAUGACUCAACUCAGCCCAACAUAGCCUCUCGCCAUAGAACAGAAUGCUAACUCAUUUAAGCCAACAAUCCCCUCUCUAGCAUCUGCACACAUUUGCAGUAUUGGGGAAUCGAACUCGCGAUCUCUGGCUCUGAUACCACUUGUCGAAUCGUUGGCGGUAACCAUUCAUUCCAAAAGCACGUGCUGUUAGAAACAUACAACCAAUUCACUUAAAACAUACAGAUACAGUGCCCACGAGUCUCGAUUGUGACUCGGCCCAACAAGCCUCACGCCACUUCGAACAUGACUCGACCCAACGUGACCUUCUGCCACAGGACAAGUGCUGGCUUAUUUAAGCCAACAUUACAUUCGUACGCACGCAUUUUCUUUUUUCUCUCAGUUGGCACAUGCAACCUAACCUAUCAUGGCGCUCGCAACGAGAGUUUUACUAGAGCAAGUGACAGGCUUUGUUGGCCUAUCGAGGCAGUCGCACUCAUCGUCGCAUAAAAAGGAAAAUCGAGUGGCCUCUCGUGUUAAUGAAACCCUAAACCCUAAUGAAAAGCUAAAUUCGACUACAUUAUGUCGAGAUCCGAGCGUGCACUAGAAUAUUUUUGCGAGCUAACUGUUCUUGAUCAGUGAUCAGUCUCUUGUAUCUGUCCUUCGACUGCACGGAAAAUGCUUUUUUUUGUUCCCCUCCUAAUAUUCAAUAACAAGUUGCAUGGAGCAUGUCUCCUGAUCAGAGUAUAUAUACUUGUUUAUUAAUUCCUAGAAUGGCUUUUCAUAUAUAUACUGUUGUAGUACAUGGCUUGACAAUUCUUUACUCACAAAUCCAUGCCAAUUGUAGCAUUAUUUUUUUAAUUAAAUCCCUAGCUACUUUCUUUGCCUCCUUUCACAUUAAAUUCUCUUCACCUUCUUGUGGACACCAAGUUUCUAUGCCUAGGAUGCUUAAAACAAUCAUGAUUUUCAUUUGUACGUAAUUUUGUUAGUUUCUUUACUUGCCCUCUCCUUCAUGGUCUCUGUUUGUUCAGUUCUUGUCAUGUUGAAAUAACAAUGACAUGCAAAUACCAAAAUAAAGGAAUAUUUUAGGUAAUUUUUAAGCAAAUGCUGUCGCUGCUCGACACAAAUUUUUGCUGCAUUUGAAAUAGUUGGCAAGCUAUAUAGUGUUCAAUGCUGCAGCAUUUUUUUUUCUCAUUUCUUGCUUUAAAAUAUCCUAAAAGAACAUUAGAUAGAUAUAAAAUAUUGAAGUACAUCUCCUAAGUUUUUGAAAUUACGGAAGCCUCCGUACUUGUAAGUUAUUUUUUAUGAUGGGAUAUCUAAUUUGAUGAUCAGCUCUAUUGUGAAUGAUCUAUACUAUUAGAACUAUUUAGAAACUAAAUUUCAUAAUUUUUCGAUAUCAUUUAGCAAGUAAUCAAUGGGUCUAAAAAAUGACUAUUUUAAUGGCCGAUGUGGCACGUUUGUAAGUUCAACGAUAUAUAACAAUUCAAAUUACAUAAAACUUUGGCUAAAUUACAUAAAAACCCAGUCAAAACCUGAUUUUUCACUUUUCCCCCCUCUCAUUUAAAAACCUACAGUUUGUCCCCUUAUAAAAUGAAAAAUGUUCACCGGGUGGUACGGUGUGAACAGUGAUAACAAAAUGACCAUUUUGCCCCUCACCAUUUUCGUCUCCUCCCUCAUCUUGCUCAUCCGCCGCCUUGAUCGGCUGCGGUUCGCGCCUCAAUCGACCGCAGUUCCUCUCCAUUUUCUUCUUCACCUACUUCCCUUCUCCUCCUAUACCCUCGUCGCCCCUCCAUUUCAGCGACAGUAGGGAGGAAAUCGAGGUGGGCGUGGAGGGAGAGGUGGGCAAGGGCAACGAGGGCGAAGGCGAGGCGGUGGAGGAGAGCGAAGGGGUGUUUGUGGGUGCGGACGGAGAUGUGGGCGAGGGCGAGACAGUGGAGGAGGGCGACGCGGCGAGGCGGAGGAGGGUAAAGCAUCAGUAGAGAGGGCGGAGGGUAUUUUUGACAUAAAAAAAUAUUUUAUAACGAAAUCCUAACGGAUCACUAACGGUAGAGGAUAAAGUGAAUUUUUUUCAUUUUACAGGGGGGCAAAGUAUAGGUUUUUAAAUGACAGGAGAAAAAAAGUGAAAAAUCAAAUUUUUACAGAGGGGGUUUUCUGUAAUUUAGCCUAAACUUUAAUAGAAAAUUUUACUUAAUAUUAAGAGUAAAAUCAAUAAUUCCGAUUUGAAAUUUAAAUUUUUUAUUACUAUUUUUUGUAAGAUUUUUAUUUUCAGCCGUUUAUUUUGAGACUACUCGUUUACUAUGCAAACAAAGCUAAAAAAAUUGUGAAAUUUGGAUUCUAAAUAGUUCUAAUAACAUGGAUUAUGCCUAAUAGAGCCAAUCGUUGAAUCAGAUGUCCCAUCUUCAAAAACAACUUAUAAGUAUGGAGACCUCCGUACUUUCGAAAGUACAGGAGUCUAGCUCUAAACUAUUGUUACUCUUAUCAAACUGGGACUCCUCUAUAUACUAUUACCGUUAUGCUUCUAAUUUCAAUCAUAUAAAUAUAUAUAGAAAGCUAGGCUGGUAUACUAUCGGUAGCACAGAGGCCUUUAUACUACCAAAUUAUUUUCAAUGAUGUAGUUUCCAAAUCGACGAUCGACUCCAUUAGACUUGAUCUAUAUUAUUGAAAGUAUUUGGAAACAAAAUUUCAUAAUUUUUCGAUAUCAUUUACCUAUCAAACGAGUAGUCUAAAAAUAAAAAGCUGAAAAUAAAAAUCUCAAAAAAAUGAUGAUAAAAGACUUGAAUUUAAGAUCAGAGAUACUGAUCUUACUCUAAAUAGUGAAAGAAUUUUCUAUAAAAAUUUUAUCAGAUUUGAAUUAUUUUACACCGUUAAAUUCACAAACGCAUCACAUAUACCAUUAAAAUUGUCAAUUUUGAGACAUUUUGAUCACUAGUCAAAUGAUGUCGAAAAAUUAUGAAAUUUAAUUUUCAAAUACUUUUAAUAGUGUAAAUACAAGUCUAAGGGAGUCGAUUGUCGAUUUGGAAGCCGCAUCAUUGAAAACAACUUAGCAGUACGGAGGCCUCUGUGUUACCAAUAGUAUACCAGCCUAGCUCUAUAUAUAAUUUAUAUAUAUAGAGAGAAAGAGAGAGAAAGAGAUCUAGAGAGAGAGAGGGGGGGAAAGAGAGAGGAUUGCUAUGCUCUUAGGAGCAUGGAGGUCUCAGUGCUUCUGAGCUGUUUUCGAUGAUAGAAUCUUCGAAUCGACAAACGGCUCCAUUAGACUUGAUCUAGCAUAUUUGAAGUUUCUAGAAAAUAAUUUUUACAGUUUUUUGAUAUUAUUUACUUAGCAAUCGGAAGGAUUUAACAUCAACGGCUGAAAAUAAAAAUUCUACAAAAAGUUGUGAUAUAGCAUUAAAAUUUUCGAUCAAAGUUAUUGAUCCUGUUGUAGAUAAUAUAAAGAAUUUUGUAUCAAAAUUUUAUCUGAUUUAAAUACUUCUACCCCGUUAAACUUGAAACGGCAAACAUCAAUCAUUAAAAACUAUUGAUUUUGAACCCUUUUGAUCACUAGGUAAAUAAUAUCGAAAAAUCACAAAAAUUAUUUUCUAGAAACUUCAAGGGGCAAUUGCUUAUAUACCCGUGAAAAGUUUCCGACUUUCCUAUUUACCCCUCUUAGAAUGCUAAUAUUGAAAAUACCCUCUUUACGUUCCAACCUAUUUCUAAUAUACCCCUAGAGUUAAAAUCUAUUAAUUAACUCUGUUAACUCUGUAAAAUUACUAUUUUGCCCUUUCAAAUAUACCCUUCCACCAUCACUGACUUUCUUAUUUGCCCUUAAAGCCAGGGGCACAAAAAUUAUUUUAACUUUUGGUCUUUUCCAAUAUAUACCCCUCUACUGUCACCAACAUUUCUUAUUUGCCCUUAAGUUAAGGGCAAAAUUGGCAUUUUAAUUUUUUUUAACUGCGGUAGAUGUUUAACUCACGUUUAACUCAAGUUAACUUAACAUGAGAUAACUGCGGGAGUAUUUUGCAAUAACGGUGGAACAUAUAAGGGGUAUUUUAGAAAGAAAAAAAUAUGGGUAAAUUGGAUAUUUUCAAACAUAUGAGGGGUAUAUAGGCAAUUAUCCCAAACUUCAAAUACGCUAGAUCAAAUUUAACGGAGCCGAUCGUUAAUUCGAAAAUUUCAUCAUUGAAAACGGCUCAGGAGCACAAAGGGCGGAGGCUUCUGUGCUUCUAAGAGCACAGCAGCCUUGCGCUCUCUCUCUCUCUCUCUCUCUCUCUCUCUCUAUAUGAGAGAUUACGGUUGGUAUGCUUCUGGAAGCACGGAGCCCUUCGUGCUUCCCAAUUAUUUUCGAUGUUGGGACUUUCAAAUCGACGAUCGGCUCCGUUAAACUUGAUCUAGAUUAUUUGGAUAGAAAAUAAAUUUUUUGAUUUUUCAAUAUCAUUUGCCUAGUGAUCGAAGGGGCUCAAAAUCAACGGCUAAAAAUAAAAAUCUUACAAAAUGUGAUGAUAUGAUAUUAAAAUUUUAGAUCAAAGAUAUUGAUCUUGUUUUAUAUAGUAUAAAAAAAUUUUCUAUCAAAAUUUUACAUGAUUUGAACAUUUUUACACCGUUAAACUUGCAAACGGCUCACCACGGCCAUUAAAAUUAUUAAUUUUGAGCCCCUUCGAUCAUUAGGCAAAUGAUAUCGAAAAAUCACAAAAUUUAUUUUUCAGGUAAUUCAAAUACUCUUGAUCAAGUCUAACAGAGCCAAUUGUCGAUUCGAAAAUCUCAACAUCGAAAACCAUGCACUUAGAAGUAUGGAGGGUUUCGUGCUUCCGGAAUCAUACCAGCCUCACUAAUUGAGUAAGUGGUUGCAAAUUAGAGGUGCCUCGAAAUUUGAUUAUCAACUUUGAUUUUGGGUCCAUGAUUUAUUGACAAUUUCGUAGUGCGAUAGAAUUUUUGGGAAAUGAAUUGUGGAAGAAAAAUGGAUGUUUGUGGUGGGUAGCGGAGACCUUGAUCUGAUGUAGCGUAUUGUAAUCUUCAUAACAUUGUACUUUCUUUUUCAUAGUAAAAUUCUCUCCUCUUUCAUCCAUGAUUUUUUUUCCUUAAAAGAAUUUUUCGCGUAAAUCUUUGUGUUCAUUUUAUUUUCUGCUUGUACUUUGUUUAUUUCACGUUUGCCGUCUUUCGUUUUUGUUUGUGUACUCGUCGUAACACUUUUAAUUUAAGAAUUCUUUGGUAUAAGGCCAAUCACUCUCCACACUUUAUAGAUCAGUUUCUUUUAGAAACUAUUUGAAUGUUUGAAUACUAGAACUUGGAUCAAAGUCUCUAAAGGCACUUAUGAUUAGUUUUUCUUUUUUCAGAAUAAUAAUUUAGAAGCAACAUAUAUCUAAGUAUACUAUCAUUACAACAAAAACGGUAUAUAGCGACACUUUUAAAUGUUGGUACAGGUCAAAAAAAGUGUUGCUGGCUAAAUUACCAACACUUUUAAAAGUGUUGUUAUAUGUGGAGUCGCUAGGUAUAUAGUAAUAGUUAAAGAGUGUCUCCAUAAUCUAAAAAGAGUCAUGCUAAUUUACCAACACUUAUUUAAGUAUUUAGCAACCGUCGGAAUUCUAGCUCGUUGGCUACGGUGGCGGAGGAGAAGGAGAGGGAAGGGCUUUUCGUCUAGGAUUUCAGUGGAUUGAGUAAAGGAAGAAUGGUAGAUGGUAAUCAAUUUUUCUUUUUCUUUUUUUUUUCUAUUUGUAAUCGGGCCGAAUGGCUUAGUGGGGUGAGUUGAGUGGAGUAAACUUUUAUUUUUGGUUGGAUUGGGCUUUAUAUUUAGCCAUUAGUAGAUUUUUUUUAAAGUUUUGGCAUAAAUGAGACACUUACACAAAAGUGUUCCAAACAUGUGUCCCUAUAACCUAAUUCUGUUGUAGUGUAUUCAUCUGUCAAUUGUUGCAUGAUCCUUGAGUAAACUAAGCCACAUGAUACUUUUUUUGAGAGAGAGAUAGGUAGCACGCUACCCGCUUCGUUUAUUUCAUUUAGAAAUAAAUUUAGCUGGAAAUGUGAAUCAAUUAGUAUUCGAACUUAGGUCUCGGGUACCAACCACCAACCCUUUUGCCACUUGCUGUAGGGACGGUCGGUUAAGCCACAUGAUACUAAACCGCAUGUUCAAGCAUCCAAAAAAGCUCUUAAAUAAAACUGGUGUUUUGUUUGGUCGGAUAUAUGUAGUUAUAACAUUUGCAUUUAACACGCAUGGUACUAUUUAGUUGAGAAUGUUGCGACUACGGAUUUUAAGUUUUGGUUACUUGCAAUUGAAAGCAAUAUUCGUGCAUCUUUCUAUUUUAAAUGCGAGAUGGUGAGAUUAACCUCAAAGAAGCAAUCUUUUCUCUUUUCUUUUCCUGAUGAGGCAAAAGAUAAGUAAUUAAUUAUUUAUCGAGUAGAGUUACUUUCUCCAGCUGCUAAAUUAUGAUUUACAUCUAAUUUCGAUAUAGGACGAAAUGCAACAAUCAAGCCUUUAUCUGUAUAAAUCCAAUUAUUGUAUCUAAGUCCUACACUAUAGGUAAUUAAAUAGAAUUUUUGGAGCUUGCGUACAAUUGUACCUAUAUUAUAGCUUACAAUGUAGAUAAUCAAACAGCUGAUUAAUGCAAAGGGAUAUAACUAAUAAAAAAAAUGAUUGUUAAAGAGAGGAUUAUUUUGAGGUUAUAAUUAGGCGCAUGUGUGAUGACACAUUAAUGAAUAACUUUAAUUAGAAAAAAAAAAAAAAGAAGCAUGCAUAUAGUUUGUCACGUUUUAGGCAGUGGAGAAUCUAUGGUACAAUGCCAUGCAAUGUGACACCACCAACUUUUUAGCUACAAUAUUUCUUUCCUAAAUUAAGAAAUGAUUUUACAAUGAUAAUAAUUCAUUGUUCAUUGGAGGGAAUUAACCAUCCUACCAUGCAUUAGGCAUUCAUAAAUCUUUCAUUAUUAAAUAUAUAAUUAUUGUUGAUUGGCUUGUCUGUGAGAAAGUACUUUUUGGGUAGAGUUGCUUAUCAGGUAUCAACUGCUUCAUCAACAUCUUCUAAUAUAGCUUUUUGUUGCAGCAGAAGCCAGAGAUGAUGAAGCUGAAGCAAAGCUUAUACUUUUGGCCUCCGAAAAUCUUCUUAGCUUUUCUUAGAUCCCCACAAUGCUUUUUAGUUUCUAGUCACAUUAAUAAAUUCAGAAUAUAUUUUCUUUCUUUUUUUUUCUCCAAUAUUUCAUCUAUUGAUUGUUUAUCUUCUUCAAAAUAGCCUAUAGUUUUGAGGGGGUUGAAUAUAUAUUUUCUCACCAUAUCCUUCAACACCUUUUAAGGGUCACGGGUAGAGUCGGUAAUUUAAUUUUUAAUUCAAUGAAACAAUUACAAUGUUUAACGGAGUUUACAAAUAAGGUUAAAUUUGAAAGAAUGUAUAUAUUUAGAUAGGUAAGCAUGAUAUUACUGAUUUUGUAAGAGUAUUUAUGAUAUUUUCAACUUUUGAAAGGUAUUGGUGAAAUUAACCCUAGAAAUUAAGUUGUUUACAACUAAAAUGAGUGGUUUCUAAAUUUGAAUUUAGUGUUGGGUCUCAUUCGGUCUCAUGACGAUUAAUAACUUUCUAAGACAAUUGAUAUAUAUACAUACUGCUUGUGCUCUCAGUAUUGUGACCCAAGAUUGAAUCCCGCUUUUAGUGGGAAGUGUGCCUACGAGCAAGAGAUUUCAUAUACAACUUCUUUUUCUUUUUUUUCUAAGAAAACGGUAGCAUAUUACCCAUUUCAUUCAUAAAGUAUGACACCUUAGGUAUCGUUUGGUUUAGGGAUAAGCAAAAAAUGGCUAUUCCAAGCGAGGAUUAGAUCAAUUUUGCGUUUGGAUGAAAAUUGGGUUAUUCCUGAGAAUAAAAAAAAUAGCGUUUGGUUAGGUAAGAUGGAAUAAGAAAGAUAGUGAGUUUUUACAAAUAAAAAAUAAUCAUAUUAUCCUCUUAUUAUAUUUGAAUUUAAAUUUUUAAAAUUUUAAAUUUAUAUUUUUAAAUUUAAAAUUUUAACUUUGAAAUUUUAAAUUUUAAAAUUUAAAAUCUCAAAUUUUAAAUUCAAAAUUUUAAAUUUUAAAUUUCAAACUUUAAAUUUAAGAUCAAAUUUAAAUUUGAAAAAUAUAAAAUAUCAAAUUUUAAAUUUCAAAAUUAAAAUAUCAAAAUUUAAAUUUAAAUUUUAAAAUUUAUAAUUUAAAAUUAUAAACUUUAAUUUUGAGAUUAUAAAUUAUAAAUUUUAAAAUUUUAAAUUUUAAAUUUUUAAAAUUUUAAAAUAAGUAUUGGAGUGGAACAAUUAAUAAAAAUAAUUUAUUAUAAUAAAUUUAUAAAUUUUUUUUUAAAAAUUCUACUUAAACUUAAAUUUAAUAAAACGAAUUUAUUAUAAUAUUAAAUAUAAUUUAUUAUAAUUCUUUUAUAAAUAUUUAAUAUGAAUAAUAUGUAUUAAUAUAUUACAGUUAUAAAUUUAUGAUAAAUUUAUUACGGCUCUAAUGUGUAGGGUUUCUUUUUUUUCUUUUUUUUUUACUUUUUUGUGCAUGUGUUGAGGCCUAGUUGCCUCAUUCCUAUAGACUUUAAUUAAAGUCUUCUAAAAUUCUUAAUGACAUGCAAUAGCUGUCCUGUGAAAUAUUUCUUCUUUUUUUUUUUUUUGCAACCACAAAACCCACUAGCUGGCACUACUAGAAACAAGCUCCCCUUUUGAAGGUUCUCAACUCAUAAUACACAUCUCCCGUAGAUAUCAACUGUUGAGCACAUUUAGAUCUCCCACUUGUUUGGCAUCAGGGGCGCCUCCAUCAUACAUUUGCUGAUCACGCAACCUACAAAAGAGUGAUCAGCAAUCUAUAGUUCGUUUUGACACAUCAUACAUUCCAGCUUUUCCUACCAUUCCUUUUUAGACAGAUUUUUUUUUUUUAUCAGUACUUUCUUCCUCACGAUCAACCAGAUGAAAAUCUAAACUUUCGACGGGCAUCGAAGCGUCCAAACAAUGGCUGCUGAUCUUACCAAGAUCUAGACUUGCACCUUAGAAUCAAAACACAAUUGGCAAAUUAUGCAGUAUAAAGCACUGGGUUAAAGAGUGGUACAAUACUCAGGAUGUGACAAAUCUGAGCUUGGAGGUAUUUGGUACCACAGAACAAAAGUUGAACUUCCUACAAGAUCCUCCAGAUGUUGGUUUUUGUUUCUAAAAUAUGUUUCUUCCACAUGAAUGAACUUACAUGCUUACAAUUGUCAAUUACGUUGCUAUGAGAUUGUAGUUUCACAAAUUAUCAGGAAUAAACUAAACUGUUGUUCAAUUUUAGAGUCGAUUGCAUUAUGUUCAAUGUUUUUACAUAUCAAACUGAUAUUGUAAAAUCACUUUAAGACUCUUCAAAUUAUUUGUCGAAUUUCUUAUAUUAAGCUGCAAUAAUAAAUACCGUUUACAGAUAGGAUAGGAAAUCAUGUAAAAAUGAAAUAUUAUACAUCAUAUUAUCUCAAACUAUAGCACAUUUUCACGUUGUCAUCUUGUGAUCUAAAAAAUUGUAGAAACCUAUCCAUGACUUUAUUUUUGUUCUAAGCAAAGUUUUUCGAAAACCACAAGAUCAUAGAAAUGCUCACAAUAAAACAAAAGUAACAAGUUAGCAAAGUAAAAACGCGCUAAACCCUACAAUAGUUAAGUACAACUUUUUAAACAUUGAGUGACAAAGUAAAAAAUAUACUAGACCACAGCGAGAUAAAUUGAUGUUCACCCUUAAAAACAAAAAGAUUACAAAAUACAUGGCAAAACAGACAAUCUAGUUGUAACAGAGUGAUUGAUUCCAAAUUUCUGAUAUUUUCUCCUAUUAUCUGCAGAUUUUGCAUGUACAUUCUUCCUCGAAAAAACAGUAAAAGGAAACCUUACAAGUUUUAGUCUCACUUAAAUACAUCUACAAAAAUUGUGAAAGAUAGAAUGUACUGUAACCAAAGACAGUUAACCGGUUAUCGACCAAGAACUGCAUAUAGAUCAUAUCGGCAAUGUCCUCAGCAAAUGAAGCGCGCGAGUCCACUGUGGACCCUCAGAGAGAAUGAUCCUCUUUAGCACUGGUACCGCCCCUGCAGAAAUUAUUGCCGGGUGGUUCUCUGCAUCCAUGCUUAGAUUGUAUAAAAUAGCCAAACUAGAUUCAAUAACAUCACCCUUUCCCUCUUCAAUAAGCUUCACUAAAUGAAAUAUCCCACCGGCAUUUGCAACCGCCUUUGCAAAUUCCAUUGAUCCUCCGGAAAUUAUCCUCUUCAAUUCCAAUACCGCAGCUCUUUUCGAUUCGUAGGAAAAUGAAGUUCUAAUCUGCUCAAUGAGUCUCGGAAUUGUUUCGUAGAUGAUUACUUCCUUGUCGACAGUAAAAUUUACAUUAUUUAAGGCGGAACCAAACUUAGAUUCGAGCUUCACAAGGCAUGCUGCCACCCAGUCCUUCGUGCGGAGCGGAAUAUCAGAUUUUAGGAUUUUCCGAAGUUGAAUUACGUAUUUUGCAGGGUCUAUCGUACGAUUGAAUUGGUCAAAAUUUAACAACUUUGUGAGUAGUCUAGCGGCAGCAGAAGUUGCGAGGCCAAUUUCUUCUAUUUCAACGAUAGUUGGCUCAGGCUGGUUCUCAGUAUCAUCCUCCUCCACUGCACAAAAGUCAAGUAAAUCAAAUGUGUUAAAUUAGUAUUGUAUUGACCAAAUUAUGGAAUAGUAAGAGAAGUUCAGUAUUAGAUUAACCAGAUUUAUGUGAAAAAAUAAUCAAAAACAAAAAGCAAAAUACUGUUGGCAGUUUAGUUAAUCCUUCUCUUUUUAACAUUUUUUUCAGUUCACUCUUCUCAUUUCCCCCCGUCAGUUCUUCCACACGAACGAGAAAGAAAUCUGGGAAGAAAAUAUGGAUGGUUGGUGGUGGAUCUGGGGUGUCUCAGCAUUAGCCUUUCCUUUGGUUGGAAAGAUCCAGGGCAUCUAGACUUAGCUCUUCCUUUGGCCUCCAACCAAGGAGGCAAUCGGAUAUGACAGAUGGUGAGGCUUAACAAGUUGUAUUAGUAACGAUGCUCAAAAGGCAUCCAUGAGUGAUUCUGACAGCUGUAGACGGACAAAAUGGGAAAGACAGCCAAGAAGAAAAAGGAAAAAAAUAAAAUAAAAUAAAAAAUAAAAAGUACAGAUUUUAUUAGAACCGACGGUGCCCGAAAUUUUUGGAUAGCAAAGUUUCCAAAACUAAAGAAAGGUUAGUUUACUAAAAUCAAAAUUUUAAAGUUUAGGUACUCAUUUCAAGAUAGACUGUAGGUAGAGGUGUAAAGCGGGCCACCUUGGCCCAACCGGGCACCGCACGAGUACUUCACCCGUGCUGUGCUGGCCUAGCCCGAAUGUGUGGGCCAUGCUAGGCCGACUCCCCAAGGCCUGUCGGCCCGGCAUAGCACAACCCACAAUAGGCUGGGCUGUGUCGUGCCAGGGGAUUGGCCCGUAGCCCGACACGAAAUUUCCUGUAAGGAUUGUAUUUGCCAGGCCAGCACGGCUUUGACCUAGCCUUAGAGACCUAGUCUCCCUAGCUCCCUCAAGAGAAAGGCCUAGCCAUUAUGGCUAAGCCCUUCUACCAAGGCCUUAGGCCCAAGACUAAAGACUAAACAUUUGCCUUUUUAAGCCCUCAAGACCAAAUAGGGACCAAGCGCUACCCCUUCUCCUAAGGGUAAGACCUUAUUUUGGUUCAUUUAAAUAUAUCAAAAUCUAUUUAAGUGGAUCAAAAUAUCCUUCCCGACAGUCAAAAAUCAUACUAGUGGGAAGGGUAUUUCGGUCUAUAUAUUUUUUAAAAAAAAAUCAAUUUUUUAAAUUUUUUAUCUCUAUAAAUACUUUUUAAUUUUAUAGUUUUAUUUUAGAUUUAAUAAAAUUUUAAAAAGACAAAUAAAUAAAAUAAAUAAAAGGGCCAGAAUAGAGCGUGGCCCAACGUGGCACUGCCCAUGCCGUUUAGGCUAGGUGGACGUAUUGGACAGACGAUCCAAGAAAUUCAGCUCGGCGCGACACAAACCGGAUAAAUGUGGAUCGUGCUAGCCCAGCACUGCCGACAUUACACCCUAAACUACAAAUCAAAUAAGUAUGUUUUCAACUUCAUCUUUUAUCUUUUCCCUCCCUAUGACUCUUAUAUGCAAAUUACUAUAUAAGUCCGGUUUGGUUGUUUAAUAAGGUUUUCCUUUUCAAUAUAUUGCAUUUUACUUUUCUUGUAUGAAAUGUUAAAUAAAUCACAUAUUGUAACAAAGCUCUCCAAGUGACCAAAGUGAUCCGAGCAGAAUACUUGAUACAGGUUGUUACACUGUAGCUUAGUUACAGAACAAUAUAAAUAUUCAAGAAAAAGUGCAUUCUUUGUAUUCCAUUAGAUUUCGACAUAAUGGAUCCUUCCUCUACCAAAAUAGUGAUUUCUAGAUUAGCUUACACAAUUCUCCCCCCAAAUUAUUAUCAAACAAAACAACCCCCGAUAGAUCGAUGAAGAAGCAUAAUCUGUGCAUUAUAAGAAAUCUAGGCCUCUAAAGAGAGAGAACGUGUACCAUUCAGAACUCCCUUUUGAAAAACAGCAUCGAGUCCCGACUCAAUUCCAGCAGCAGUCAUUGAGGUAGUAUGUGGUUCAAAAUUUGCUAAAUACUCGAGGAAAGAAGCAACUUUUGUUUGCACACUUGGUGAUGCUUUCCUCAGAAGAUCAAUUAAGCGUGAUAUAAUACCAAAGCCAAUAAUCUCCAUCCUAUGAGCAUUUAAGAGCAAACUGUUAGUGUAGCAUUACAUAGAAAAGUUAGGGACGAAAGGAAGGUUCCUUCAAAAUAGAUGUUCAUUGCAAAGAUAUAAAAAUAAUGACAAAAGAAAUAUGUAAAUUGGGGUAUAAAAAGCAUUUGCAGGGGUUAGUACUUUUAAGAAGGUUUGGACAGUGGGAUUUAUAUAAUAAUGAAAUGCUCUAAGAUAUGCAUUUGGUAGCAUUUGAACAAGUUAUGAACGAUAGAGCAAUAAUAUCCAAUCUUUAGCGAGCAGAAGAAAGUCAUCACACUUCAUCAAUUCUUCUAAGGGUCAUUUACUAACUACAAAUUUGAAAGCUCAACCGCUAGAUAAAACAGCAAGAAAUGCUUGUUAACAUAAUAUUUCAAGUUAGACUGUUCUUGCUAAUUUAUCUUCCACCCCUUUCCGCAUAAGUCUAGGCAUAACCCUUCUUCAAACAUAUGAUAAAGCAAAAAACUGAUGACGAAAGGUUCACUAUCAGUUUAUCACUAUAUCACAAACUCUAUGUCCCAUGACAUGGCCCAAGAGUCAACUAUUUUGUUCUUGCAACAAAUCGCUAGUCCUUAAGUUUGUACACUACUUAUGAAAGGAAAGAAAUCCUUCAAAAGCAAGGUGCCAUGAGAUAGGUUAAUCGCCACAGUUUUAUGGUUGCAAUAAUCCUCAACACUUACUGUUAAAGAAAAAAUCGUCUAGGUACAUGCACCUUCCAUCAAUGUAGGGUUUACCAUUAGAGUUCAAUCAUUCCCUACCAGACGUCUCACCAUUUAAAGGGAAUGAGAUGCCUCAGAUCUUUCCUUCAGAGGGGACUUUUUACUAUAAUAUUUAGUAAUACACUUAAUUUCAUUGUUCAACUUUAACAUCAUUAUUCAUUAUUCAGCGCUUAACAUCACUAAAAAAAAGAAAGAAAACAGAUUUAUUUAUAGCCCAUCAUACCAAGUAAUAUCCAACAUCUCGAUGUUUGUUAUAUAAUACGGUUAAUUUCAUACGUGUCCCUGUAAAGAUACCAAAUAGCAAAUAUAUCUCUACAAAGUUUUAAGUUAUCAGAUUUGUCCCUCUAAAGUUUAAUCUUGUUGCAUAUAUAUCCCUAUUAUUAGUCCCUAUAAAAAAAAUUUGAUUAACCAUGGUAAAAAUAUUAAUCAUAGUCAAGAAGUAAAAUGACCUUUUCACUCUUGUUAUAUAUAAUUCUCAUUAACUAAUGGGUCCUAGGUUACAUGUGAAGUCAAAGGGUGUGACAAAGAGGAAGCUGCUAGGGGACGAACGUUCCUAUCGUUCCACGAAGCCCUCCGAUGUAGUCCUCGUGCAAAAUUAACUUUAUUAAGAAGAGGAGAUAAGUGAAGGAGAAGUGAUAGGUGCAGGAGGGGUGGGAGUUGGGUGAAGAAGAGGAGCAAGAGAAGAGAUGCCAACAACGAGGGGUUGGAUGGAUUUUAAUAGAGGAAGAAGAUGACUGUUGGGACUUUUCGGGAGUGCAUAUUUGCACACUCCUAACUGUUAGGACUUUUUAGAGGAGCAAAUUUGCAAUUGCAAAACUGUCAUUUUACUUACCAACUGUUAAUAAACAAACAAUAGACUAACGGCAACAAACUAGAGAGACAAAUGUAAACAUGUUAGAACUUCAAGAGGGGCAAAUCUGAUAACUUAAAAUUUUAUAGGGAGAUAUUUGCUAUUCAAUAUCUUUACAGGGACAUGACUGAAAUUAACCCUAUAUAAUUAUACCAUAUUAUUAAAGGAAUAAUAACCUUUCCCUUUAUUCUCUUUAGUAAUCGUUCCCAGCGCAAGUGGCAAAGGACUUGAUGGUUGAUACCCGUGGUCCCAAGUUUGAAACCUAGUUGCUUUACAUUUCCAGCUAAAUUCAUUUCUUAAAAAUGAACGAAGCAGGUAGCAUGCUACCUUUCUCCCAAAAAAAAAAGAAAAAAAAAAUUCUCUUUAUCCUGUCAAUAACCAGUAAUAAAAACUUAAAAGUGGAACCUAGCCCUUCCAGCAAAAGAGAUACAGUUGAAGCCAAAUUGGCAACUUCUAUAUAGCAGCAUUGGCAUCUUCAAAUAGCAUUUAUUUCCAUGGAUCUUUCUGGUAGCUAGAUAAUAAAUAAAAUAAAAAAAAAAUCUAUAUAAUCAAAUAGUAGUGCUUCACUGAACACGUAAUAACACUACCCAGAUGAAAAACUUCUGCAGCAUUACCAUCUUAUAAAUUUAUGCAAAUUCAGUCAAGAAAAGUCACAAACACCAACAAUAAAUACCAAAUAGUUACACUUCCUUUCCCCAUGAGAAGUGACAACUGCAGCUAUUUGAAGUCAAACUGCUUUCCAGAUUGGGCUUUUUCUCAACUUAGUACAGCAAUGUAUAAAAAGGGUUUACCAGUGAAGAUUCAGUUAAGUAGUUCUUGAACAAGAGAAAUUAAUUAGUACAGAAAAAUGGUUGGCUCAAUCAAGGGCAAAAUAAAUCUGGUAAAUAAUGGACCUUCAAGCGAAUGCAAUGCAAAACACCAUAUCAGGGAAACAACAAUAACCAACCUCGUCAUAGGUUCUUGCUUCAAUAAGGUUUGAAGAAACCCGCCAGCAUCAUCAGAACUAUUUGCCGAAUUCACCUUUCCCUCAGUUCCAUUGACAACUUUGUCAUCAAACUGUCAAAUUCAUCACAGACGUCUUACUAUUAAAAGGAUAACAAUCAAAAGUUUUCAUGAUAGUUACCAUCUCACUUACCAUUCUUUUCAAGCCAUUGCCUGUAUCAAAAAUUCGAGAAAGUAUAUCAAUAGUCUGCAAUAAAGAUUUUCUGUGAGCAUUUGGACCAGAUAAGCUAAACUUAUCAGGGUUUAUAAAGGAUAAGUUAGCUCAGGUACUGAAUAACCUUUUCGAGUAGGGCGACUGGUGUACUUGGGUCCUUCAAAAUAUUAAUUAGAGGCUCCAGAGCACCUUCUGCUUCAAUUGUCCUGCAAACUAUAUUGCUGCAGAAAAAAAACAAAGAAUAAGCUAAGAGGGUAAUAUUAUCAGAGUAUAUUUAAUUUUAAAGUUUCAGAACUGCCAAGUGAAUCGUUAUCAGGGUCAGUUUUCAAUGGAAUGUCAUGGUUCAACACUUUAACAAGGCAAGAGAAUUCAGUGCACAUUAAGAUCAAGACCAACAUGCUUACAAUGAUAGGCUUUGAGGCUCUGUAGAACUAGUCAAAAGGAAGCCGAAGUAUGUGAUUUGAAAAUCAAAUCUAAGAAUUCAUCAGGUUGAACUAGCUGCGUAGAACCAUACAUUGUUAAUUUGUUAAAUACCAAUGCCAUCACAUAGACAAAUAGGAUAUAAAGAAAGGUUAUUUCAAAAAUCCAAAACACGAAAAAAUAGAGAGAAUAAGCAGACAAAGCAUUAAAAAAAAUAAUAAUAAAGCUAAUGAAGAUGUUCGUCAUACUACAAUUUCUGCAACCCUCACUCAAACAAGCCAUAAGGUAAUCUGUGAUCACAUAGUAUUUUCAUCGUCUUAACACUACUUCAAAGGACGGAGAAAAUAGCACAGCUCAGUCUUUGAGGAACCAAAGCAUAAUUUUCCAUGACUAAUAAGCAGCAUGCACCAAGGUGUUGUCAAUCAAUUUGGUAGAGCUUGCUAAAGCAUGAAUUUCAGAGGUUUCUGACAAAAAUUUAUUUUCGGGUUAAAUAAACAAGUGGUUGACGAGUCGGCAAAGGUGAGAUCAACAAAUUAUCCACCAGUUUGUGUUCUGUGCUGAAAUUUUUCUGAUCUUCAACUGGAACAUCAUAGAAACUCUGGUCAAUUCAGGGGGUCAAUUGGCAUCUGUUGAUGAUACAAACACAUCCAAAAAGGGCAGAGUAUUCAUGAAGAGAGAAGAAGCAUUAGAGAAAAUGAGGACCUCACAAUGAGGAAGAAGAAAAGGCGAUGAAGAUGGAAGGUGUACACAGCUUCGAUGACCCAAAACACCUCAAAUCACUUAAUAAUCAAGUAUUAACUCAAUACCCACAAAUUUGUAAGCCCUAAAAGUAGUAAUAUACAAGUCACUACACUGAGUUCCUGGAGGAAUCCCAUAUCGUCUUCCAAGUAAUUCAACAAGCCUAUUAAAUGAGUCAAGCAUAACCAAUUGAAGCAAAUAGUUGUAUCUGCUAAGUUCUCUAGAGAUGAAUGUAAACAACAUUUCUUUUGCUGAUUUUAGGUCAUGUUCAUUUUGGCCAUGGUUCCAAGGUUCUUAAUAGUGAAGUUCAAAAUUUUGUUCAAGAAAACUUACGUCUAGUGCAUGCAAGGUGUUGCAGUCUAUUUGAAUAAAACAACGAAAAGGAAAAGGCAGGGUAUAACCACCUGAUACUUAGCUUGUCCAAUGCAUGAGCAACAGCUUCUCUGACAGUCAAUCUAUCAUGGUGCAGUAGCUGAACUAAUUGUCUAACAGCUCCAGCUUCCUUGAAAGAAUUACGCAUGUGCUCAUUUACAGAUGCAUCAGCAACUGAAUAAGCUGCCCGUAUAAUAGCAGAAGUAUCUUCAAGCCCAAGAAUCAAAACCAAUCUUGCAACACCAUCUAUCCAGGGCAAAAGAGUAUACUGUUCUUUCUGUGGAGAUUCAUUUUGAAUUUUUUCUCCAUCCUCCAUCUCAAUUGCACCGAUUCGUACAAGAAAUUGCUGUUGAGAACGCCCGACUAUUGCAUUCAUCUUAGCCUCUUCAAGUUUCAAGUUCUUCUCUUCAAUAUUCAAUCCAACAAGUAACUCAGACGCACCAUAUCUUGAAGGGCGCGAAUUUCGCUGAAUUUCAGUUCCAUCAGGUAAAGAGGGCCACGAAUGAGUUGAGGGUUUGAAAGCUUUAUAUGCUGCAGAACCCACAACAGGAACCCUAACUAAACCCUCUUCAAUUAUGAGAAUUCUGUAGUAUUCAUCCUUGCAAAGCUCAAGUAAUGCGGUUUUAGCUUCCUUUCUGAUGACUUUAUAGCCUUCCUGUUUGCCUUUUAGAAGAUCAGCCUGCAAACGAUUAUUCAUGUUUAGAAUGCAAAAAACAAGAGAAACAGGAUAGUUGUUGAUACAGAUGAGAGAAUGAACAGUACAUAUAAGCAAUCAGAUUAAUCUAACGGUUUUCUCAAGAUAGCAUAAUAUUCACUGAAUUUUGUUUGUACACAAUUCAUAUACAUUACUUUUACAUUGGACUUACUGUAAAAACAAAAAUUUAUUCUCAAUCAGUAGCUCUGAACCUAGAUUACAAACUAAUGUAAGACUGAAGCUAACUUACAGGCACUCUUUCAAGAUGUUGGAAUAGCAACUAACCGGCACUUCACUUUGGGCGGGCAUCUCCCACAAGCAAUAGUAACGUAUACAGAAAAUUUGGACAUGUUGAUAACUUGGAAGGAAAAAAAGGUGAAAAGCAAUGUCCGGAGUUUACAAUUAUGACAACAAUGAACUUGAGCACUAUAAGCACCAUUUCUUCCGACUGAUAUGCUAAUCAUUCUAAUAAUUUGAUGAUACUUAGUUAAGAUAAAAUGCUACCUGUUAACUCCAUAUAGGGGUGUACAUCUUAUACCCUUGCAUUUAGACCCCUUUUUAAUAUUUAGAGAGAGGGGGAGGGACGGGGUUGGGGGGGGGGNGCGCAGGCAGUGUGUGUGAAGUUUGAUAAGACAAGCGAGUAGAUCCUAGCCUUUCAGAGGCUAGGGUCUAAAAACCUAAGGUGUACAGGUAGCAUUGCUUGUUAGUUGAGAUUUUUGCAAUUACAAUUCAUUUGUUUGGAUGCAGUUCAAAGCUGCACUUGCAAAUCUUGUCAUUUUAGAUAUGGGAUAGUGGAAUUACCUCAAUGGCAAAAAAGUUUCCCUUUCUUGUUAAUGAGGUCUCCUAUCAUAGAGUAACUCUUUCGAACCGUUUUAAUUCUACUUACAUUCAAUUUGAGUGCAGGACAAGAUUUAGCAGUUGGGCCUUCAUUAGUAGGUCUAACUACAUCUACGUCAAGGGUUGUCAUGCCACUAACACAGGACUUGUCGUGGCAUGACAAGACACACUGGCACACCUCAGCACAAACCCUCUUUUCUAUCACGGCACAGGCAGCAUGAACAGCACACAUCAAUCAUGCCCACCUGUGCCAGCUGGCAAUAAUUGAAAAAACGUUAAACAAGAAAGUACCCAAUGGUAAAAGAAAACCUUGAUCUUAGUACAACAACAACAAACCAAGCAGAAUUUCAGGGCAUGUUAGCAGCUGCACCUACAAUGUAGUUUUUAGAUGCAGACAACCAAACAGCCCCUAGAAGAAGAUUUGAAACAUGGGUUGGCUUUGGUAAGUCACUAAGGACAUAUAUUGCACAAAUAGUAUCAUUUGUUCGAUGAAGUUUUCUCAAGACUAAUACUCAUCAAAGGCUGUAAUAACAAAUGCUAAGACAUUGCAAGCCUCCUUGUAUCAGUUUGAACUAUGAGCUUACUUGAAUUGAAUAGACAAGCAUUAAAUGUUUAAACAGUCUAAAGAGAGACUUACCAAUUUUGAAUAGACAAGCAUUAAAUGUUUAAACAGUCUAAAGAGAGACUUACCAAUUUUGGUAUUACCCCCACUUCGACCAUAAUGCCAUGAUUGGCAUGACUUAAAGCCAAAUUUGCAAGGAUCCCACCAGCUGCCUCUUUAACUUUUAUCUCUUCAUCAUCAAGAAACCUAACAAGCUUCGGUAGAAGAUCACUUUCUACGAUCUUCGGUCUAAGCUUCUCGUCCACAGAUAAAUUCCACAAAGCAAAUAAACCUUGCUCCUUAACCUGCAGAUACAUGCCGGCAACAGAUCAGCUCUAUCAGCGACAAAUUUUGAAGAGAUGCUUAAAUAUAUCUCUUUAUAUACUCAGCAAGAUCAUUUAUAUACAUCUAUAGCUGCAAAAUCUGGAUGUUCAUAUAUGCCCACCCUUGUACUUGGAAAAAGCUCCCCUCUUUAGAAACUUUAUUCUAAUAUAAAACCAACUUCUUCCCACGAAUUUAAUAACAUCCAAACUCCAGAAUAGUUUCGUAAGAACAUGCACUGUCAAAGGGUACAUAUGGAAAUUCAGAAUUUACAAGUAAGGAUUUAAGUGCCAUAGCACGGGAUCGUGCCGGAAACUUGCCGGCACGGUACGGCACGGUGAGUGCCGAGCCGUGCCGAUGCGUGCCAAUCAAAAAAAUUCUUGUGUGCCGACACAUAAUAGUAUGAAAUAUUUAUUUUCUUUAGCAAUAAAAUAUUCUAACCAUUUAUUAUGUCUUUUUAUCACAUCUUUUGAACAUUAUUGAGAAAAUUACUUACUAAUUUAAAGAAUAGAGGGUUUUGAGCUGUGCCAUCGGCACGGGGUCUGUAUCGUGCCGCUAUCUUGUUGGCACGGUACAGCACAAUGGAUACGGCCCGUGCCGACAGGCACUUAAAACCUUAUUUACAAGGGUAUACAAGUUUCUAGGUGAUUUCGCAAGGUUACAUACAUAAAAACCCAAUUUUAAGUACCUCUGGGGCAAUUGAAGAUUGGCAAAGAAGACUAGAAAUUUCCUCUAUUGCUCCACUUUCGGCAACAGCAUCCCUGUAUAACUUUACAGAAGUUACAUUUCGUAGAAGACCUGCGGCAGCUUCACAUGUAGAACAAGACUCGGAUUUGAGAAGGCUGGUGACAAGAUUAAUACAGCCAGGAAACUGCAUGAUAUCAUCAAUACACUUCCGUCCUCCUUGUGAGUAUUGCCAGAGUGUAAUAAUGGCAUGCUCCCGGUCUAACGGGUCAUUGUCUAGGCCAAGCAUUCGAACAAAAAGACCUAUGUAGGCUUCCCCAGAAGUCACAGUUCUGCUCAAUUGUUCAAUAUCCUGAUCAAAAAUAUUCAAGGACACAUUAAUUUAAAGGGAAUCAUUUGCUUAAUGAUAUACUGACUAGAAAAGCAUAAGAAAGAAUGAAAAGCAUUGUAACGUUGAAAGUUAACAAAAUCUGCAGUACAAAACAACUCAAUCCAGCAUUCAAAUAAAAGUAUCAUCUCGACAUGAAACUCUAUGAAUUGAUACUUCUUCAAGAACAAGAUUCGCUCUUAUUAUAGAUACUAGGUGGAAAUACAGCACCUAAAACAAGUAACUGAGGGAAUAGCUAAAACACCCUAAACAAGUAACCGAGGCAAUAAAAUCUCUAUGUUUCCAUUUACUCAUCUAAUAUCAUUGUCGAACAACGUUCACUUGCCACACCAGUGCUCCAAGAAACAGGUGAUGAACAAAUUGAUGGUCCAAGAAUCAAAUCAUUGCCAUACCACAUGAGUUCAAUAGUUAGGAUGGAGUUCUCCAUGUAAAUUUCACAGGAACCCCAGAGCUUAUUUUGCAUAUAUAUAUAUAUAUAGGUCCGAAUUGUUUUCAUCCUCCCUACAUCCAAUGUUGAGGUUGCUACAAGAAACGGGAGAAACAUUGGCUUAAAGCUGCUUCGACAAAAAAAAUUUCCGUAAUAUCCCAUAUUUCAUGAGGUCCCUCCUAAGACACAUCCAAAAUUCCAUCAUUUACAACUCAAAAUUAUGUCAUUUUACAACUCAAAGGAAUGUCACUUUACAACUCAAAGUAAGGUCACUCGGGACUAAAUAAAAGCAUAAUAGUUUCAAAAUAAGUGCCAGUUCGUCCCACUUCUACUUCUGUUUUUAGUUGCAGUCACCUUCCAAAGUGUUCAGCAAUAAGCCCAUAACUUCGAUUGCGGUGAGAAACAGAAAUGCAAUUUUGAGUAGGGAUGUCAACGGGUCGGAUGCCGGGUAGAUUUUCAAAAAUCCGAACCCGAACCCGACUCCAAACCCGAACCCAAACCCGAACCCGACGGAUUUUAAAAAUCCAUACCCAAACCCCCAAACCCAAACCCGAAAAUCCGAACCCGAAAAAAUUAUUUCACUUUUCAAUAUUUCAAAUAUAUUACAUUAAAUCUAAAUUUUUAAAAUACAAAUUUUAUAUACAUAUUAUAUACAAUGUAAAAUAAAUUCGGGUUCGGGUCGGGUACAAUCAAAAUCCAUAUCCGAAUCCAUAUCCGUCAGGCAUUUGGUUUUUAUAUCAAUAUCCAAAGCCAUAUCCGCUUAGCAUCGGGUAAAUCCGCUCCUUUCGGGUUCGGAUUCGAAUAAAAUUUCGGGUAUCUGUACCCAUUGACAACCCUAAUUUUGAGGCACAAAAGCAGAAAAGACCAACCAAUUCAGAGAUUUCAAUUCUGCUGCACAGAGAAUCUAUUUGUAAAUUUGCAAUAUAGUAAUUCUCCAAACAACACUACUCAAAAAACACUUCACCAAACUCUCAAACCUCAAUCGAUUCAGUAGCUAAACCAAUUCAAAGAUUUCAAUUCUGCUGCACAGAGAAUCUAUUUGAAAAUUUGCAAUAUAGUAAUUCUCCAAACAACACUACUCAAAAAACACUUCACCAAGCUCUCAAACCUCAAUCGAUUCAGUAGCUAAACCCUCCUGGCUAUUAUAUUGCAUAACUUCCAAAACAAACGCCUCUCACAUGUUCGACGAUAUUCCCCACAGAAUCCUACGACCAAUCGAAUACACAACAAAUAACACCACUUUCACAUUCAAAUCAUAUCCACGAAAACAAUAAAACAACCAACAUCAAUUUCCUCCUGGCCACCAUAUUAGGUAACCUUCAAAAACAUGAUUCCUCUCACAUGUCGACGAUACUCCCGACAGAAUCCUGCGAGUAAUCAAAGCAACAACAACUAACACCACUUUCACAUUCUAAUCAUAUACACGAAAACAAUAAAACAACCAACAUCAAUUUCCUCCUGACUACCAUAUUAGGUAACUUUCAAAAGCAUGAUGCCUCUCACAUGUUCGACGAUACUCCCCACAGAAUCCUACGACUAAUCGAAGCAACAACGACUAACACCAAUGCCUCUCACAUGUUCGACACUACUCCCCACAGAAUCCUACGACUAAUCAAAGCAACAACAACUAACACCACUUUCACAUUCGAAUCAUAUCCACAAAAACAAUAAAACAACCAACAUCAAUUUCCUCCUGACUACCAUAUUAGGUAACCUUCAAAAACAAGAUGCCCCUCACAUGUUCGACGAUAUUCCCCACAGAAUCCUACAACUAAUCAAAGCCACAACAACUAACACCACUUUCACAUUCGAAUCAUAUCCACGACAACAACGAAUAACCAAACACCAGUUUCUCUCACCUGGGGAGAGGACCCGGCACCGCCGCCGUCGUCGGCGGUGGCACCCGCCAGUAGGCGGCGGCGGCGGCGGAGGAGGGGAACAUCCGGGGGGCGGCGGAGGCGGAGGUGAGGAGAGUGUGGAGGGGUGAGGAAGAAGGGUUUGGAGGGGGGAAGAGGAGGAAGAGGAAGAGGAAGAGGGAGGAUUAAGGAAGAGAGAGCGAGCAUCGUAAUCGUCGUAAUAGUAGCAGCAGUAGUAGUAGUUAGAAGAGAAGUACAAGAAGAAACACGCACGCUCUUCGUUUCUCCCCCUCUUGUGAGGACUGAGGAGAGGAGAAAUGGGGAUUACCCAACGACCGCCAACAGAUAAAUCUAGACGCUUCUAACCCAAUGGAUGCAAAUGGAUCCGGGUUUGUAAAGCUUCCGCCCUGUGAGAACAAAAAAAAUAUAAAAAAAAAUAUAAUCUAUUCUGAAUCCAUUCCGUGCCACCAAGUAAAUAAAACGAAAGACAGGAGAUUCUUUUCUUCCUUCAAUCCGUCCCGAUCUGUUAAAAAUCCGGCAAAAAUUCACUCCCGUCCCAAAUAGGGCGGUAAGUGAGAGCAAAAAAUAAAAUAAAAAAUAAUCCGUCUCGAAUCCGCCCCGCCCGGGCAAGAAAUGGAGCGAGAGGUGGAGAACCCUCCUCCAAUCCACCGUGUUUGUAUCCCUACUUUCCACUUCGGUCUCUAGCUUUGUCUCUAAUUAGUUUUCUUUUUUUGGGACGGGGAUAAGGCUAAAUUACUCUGUAAAUAAUUAUUUUUUAUUUUUUUAUUUUUUUAUUUUUAAAAAUCUAUAUUUGUCUCCUAAAAAUUUUAAAAAUAUUUUUCAGAGGGGUACGGCGUUAAUGUAGAGGGCAAAAUAACCAAAUUAUGAAAGAAAAAUUAUUUUUUAAUACAUUUUCGUCAUUUUAAAAGAAAUUUUUAGUAUAAAUUAUAAAAAAUGAUCGGAAAAGUGAUGGAACACUGAAGGAGGGGAGCUAAAUGCAAUAACUUAAAAUGUUGAGAGGGUAAAAUAUAGAUUUUUGAAAGUUAGAAAGAGAAAAUUUAAAAAAAAAGUAUUUAUAAGGAGUUUUCCAUAAUUUAGUCUUUCGAUAUGGAGUUGAGUUGCUAUGCUUUUAAAAGGCGAUUUUUAGUGCAAUAACCCUCCCCUAAAAUUUUAUUUUAAAAAUAGACCCGUUAAAUUUUAAUUUGUAAAUAUGGUCCUAUAAAAGCGGUGAAUCAUUCACCGCUUUCUUUCUCUUUCUCACUUUUUUCUAUAUUUCUACGAUGGUAAAAGCGGUGAAUGGUUCACCGCUUUUAUUCUUUUUCUACUUCUAGAGAAGAGUUAUGAAUGCGGUGAAUCAUUCAUCGCAUUUAGAGGUCUAUUUUAUAAUUAUUUUUUAAAAAAAAUUAUUUUUACAAUUAUAAAAAUCAAUAGGAUUAUUUAUAAAAAAAAUUCUUUUAAAAGCACAAAAACAUCCAUGCUUAUAAUUUUUUAACCGUUGAAUCGUCUCAGGAUUCGUACAGUACUAGUAAAAAAAAAAAAUCUUAAUAGGAUACACAAUUAAUAGUACUAUAAAAAUUUUGAGUCAAUUCGACGAUUAAAAUCACAAGCACAGAUAUUUUUAGUUUAAAAGUACACUAGUGUAGUUACCCGCACGAUGCGACGAGUAGAUAUUAUCAAAAUAAUUAUUUUUUUUAGUCAUUGUUGAUCGUCGAUAAUAUUUUGGAGAAAUAAGUCUAAAAUAUACAGUUCAUCAAAUACAUAGAAAAUAAUACUCUAAAUAUGAAAUGAAGAACAUUAGUUUAAAUAGUUCGCAAGAAUUGGUAAAAAACUACUAAAAAUAAUUUUUUAUAUGUAUUCACUCAACAAUCUAUACAAUUAAACUCAAAGUGAAGAAAGUGAUUAAACUAUAAAAAAAAGAUAAAUACACGUCUACAAGAUAUAAAAUCUUUAGAAUUAAACAGUAUACAGGAAACAUAAAUAACGUAAACAAUCGUACAUACAAAUAAAUCACAGAAUAUGUCCAAAAUUUAUGGGUUCUCCCUUGUAUAGAGGAGCAAUAAGGGUACCAAAAUUCUAAGAUCCUCCUUGUCGAUGAUGUUGAACCUCUGGCGAAAAUACUUGUGAAGAACCUCCCAAACGACAUUGGACACCUUGUUCCCCACCUCAAGGAUCUGAUCUAUAGAGUCGAAAAUUAGAUCGAUCAAAGACAAAAUCAAUAGAAAAUAAUGCAAAACCCUACCAAUUCGAGGCGAUUUUGAACCGUGGGCAAGAUUUGCCAAAACUUCUUGAGCAUACGUAGAGAGAGAGAUUAGUGACGGAUAAAUAUUACUAAUAAUUCAAUAGAGAUGAGACAAUUAUAUUAACUCAAUAGAGAUGAGACAAUUAUAUUAACAAAAUCUCUAAAACACAAAAAAAAAAGAAUAUUAGUAAUUUAGCAAAGUUUUUAUCAAGAGUCUUGAUGAACUGGUUCAAAGUGGGGAGCACCUUCAACCUCUGCUUGAGAAUUCUACUCUGUCACUAGAUGCGCACCACCUUCAGCACUUCACGAAGCAAAUGAAGUCCCUCUUCAGCUAGAGAGCUCUGCCGAUCCCGAAGAGGAUCAUUCCAUGACACCACUUUGAGUAUAGCUUUGGAGGGUACAGAAGAGGCAGAAAUCCUAAAAGGAGUGUGAGAGAUAAAGAAGAGAGGGUUUAUAAAAAACGUGUGGAAAAAGUACCAACAAAUCUCGUAUGGUCUCGACCAUUGAAUAUAUUGAUGAGGAAAUGAUCGGUUUAUGUCGAUCGUUCGAUUGAAGAUUGUAAGGGUUUGGAUUAAAUUGAUGUGUGGUGUCUCUUUUGCAAAGACUCGUAGUGGUUAGGGAAGAAUGGGGAGUUACAGAAAAGGGGGAAGACGGAGGGACGCAGGAAGAAGAAAGGAAAAGGGAUGACACAUGAGUUAUAUAGAUGGUUGUGGAGAAGAAUGAGGAGUUAUACAGAGGAGGAAAAUGAAGUGACACAGGGAGGGAAAGAGAAGACGGAGUCACGGGAGUUACAUAGAGAGAGAGGGUAAGCGAGCCAUCUAAAUGAGAAAAAAAAAACUCUUAAAACAAGGAUGUUGCGCCACGUCAGCAAAAUUAUUGGGAAAUAAUAUAUGUUUAUAGAUUUAUAGAUUAUUGGGAAAUAAUAUAUGUUUAUAGAUGUUGCGCCAUGUCAGCAAAAUUAUUGAGAAAUAAUAUAUGUUUAAAGAUGAGCACAAUUCAUAUCUAAUAUUGCCCUUCAAAACUUUCAAAAUAUCUAACAUAUAUCUAUUAAUCAAAAUACCUUUAUUAAUUUUCAAAAGUUUCUUCAAAAAUCCAAACAUCUGAGAUUUAGUAAUGGAAAUUGGGAUUUAGAAGGGUACUUAGAUAAUUUUAGGUUAAAUUUGAAAAUUUUGAAUAGUAGCCAAGAGUAAAUAAGCAAAAUCCUUCUUUUUUGGUAUAAAAUUACAGAACUUAUUUAUACUAUGGAUCAUUUUGAUUCGACAAUUCAAUCUGUGAAAAUUUUAACUUUACUACCCAACUUUUCGAUUUAUUUGAUUUCAGUUGUCAACGACACUUUGACCUUAAAAUUUAAACGCAUUUUGUAGAUUUAGUUAGUAUAAUUCAUGUAACUUGCGCUACUAUACAUUUAUUAAAAUAAAUAAUAGCUUAGAUUUUUAAGAGAAUUAUACGAAUUAUUCUGUGUCGUUAGAUAUAUUUAGUUAGUACAAUCCAAUCUUUUUCUUUUUUUUUUUUCUUUUCUUUCACUAUACGCAUUCUUUUCUGCUACUGCACCCCUCCCUUGCCCUUUGCCACAACUGCCGCCCCUAUCCAGACGUGCUCUCUCUCUCUCACCGUCGUCCUCAAAUACCGCAACACCCUCAUCACCGUCACUAUCACUGUCGUUGCCACCGCUCAUGGCUACGCCCUCCACCAAAGUCUCACCUCAACAAUCUAUACUGCAUUAACUCCGGCGUCGGCGGAGGUGUGGGCAAAAUAGGAGAGAGAAGCACGGCAUUAACAUGGAGGUGGUGGAGGAGGGAAGGGAAGUGGGAGGAGAAAGAGAAAAAGGAACAGCGAAGAGGCAAGAGAAAAACGAAUUACAGAGAAAGGCAAGAAAAAGAGGAAUAAAUAUAUUUUGGUUAGUUUACUAAAAUUCAAUUCUAAUUUGCAAAACUUAAAAAAAUGAUAUAUUUUUGCAGAAAUGCAAGACCAAAAAAAUGAUAUAUUUUUGCAGAAACGCAAGACCAGUGACUUCUUUAUGCAAAUUGGCCAGUUAUUACUAAAUUAUUUAUCUNGAAAUGUGAAUCAACUAUGAUUCGAACUUGGGACCUCAGUACCAACCAUCAAGCCUUUCGCCACUUGCUCUAGGGAUGGUCGGUGAGAAGAGUUAUGAAUGCGGUGAAUCAUUCACCGCAUUUAGAGGUCUAUUUUUAUAAUUAUUUUUUAAAAAAAUUUAUUUUUACAAUUAUAAAAAUUGAUAGGAUUAUUUAUAAAAAAAUUCUUUUAAAAGCACAAAAACAUCUAUGCUUAUAAUUUUUUAAUCGUUGAAUCGUCUCAAGAUUCGUACAGUACUAGUAAAAAAAAAAAUCUUAAUAGGAUACACAAUUAAUAGUACUAUAAAAAUUUUGAGUCAAUUCGACGGUUAAAAUCACAAGCACAGAUAUUUUUAGUUUAAAAGUACACUAGUGUAGUUACCCGCACGAUGUGACGGGUAGAUAUUAUCAAAAUAAUUAUUUUUUUUAGUCAUUGUUGAUCAUCGAUAAUAUUUCAGAGAAGUAAGCCUAAAAUAUACAGUUCAUCAAAUAUAUAGAAAAUAAUACUCUAAAUAUGAAAUGAAGAACGUUAGUUUAAAUAGUUCGCAAGAAUUGGUAAAAAACUACUAAAAAUAAUUUUUUAUAUGUAUUCACUCAACAAUCUAUACAAUUAAACUCAAAGUGAAGAAAGUGAUUAAACUAUAAAAAAAAGAUAAAUACACGUCUGCAAGAUAUAAAAUCUUUAGAAUUAAACAGUAUACAGGAAACAUGAAUAACGUAAACAAUCGUACAUACAAAUAAAUCACAAAAUAUGUCCAAAAUUUAUGGGUUCUCCCUUGUGUAGAGGAGCAAUAAGGGUACCAAAAUUUUGAGAUCCUCCUUGUCGAUGAUGUUGAACCUUUGGCGAAAAUACUUGUAAAGAACCUCCCAAACGACAUUUGACACCUUGUUCCCCACCUCAAGGAUCCGAUCUAUAGAGUCGAAAAUUAGAUCGAUCAAAGACAAAAUCAAUAGAAAAUAAUGCGAAACCUUACCAAUUCGAGGCGAUUUUGAACCGUGGGCAAGAUUUGCCAAAAUUUCUUGAGCAUACGUAGAGAGAGAGAUUAGUGACGGAUAAAUAUUACUAAUAAUUCAAUAGAGAUGAGACAAUUAUAUUAACAAAAUCUCUAAAACAAAAAAAAAAAAAGAAUAUUAGUAAUUUAGCAAGGUUUUUAUCAAGAGUCUUGAUGAACUGGUUCAAAGUGGGGAGCACUUUCAACCUCUGCUUGAGAAUUCUACUUUGUCACUGGAUCCGCACCACCUUCGGCCACUUCACGAAGCAAAUGAAGUCCCUCUUCAGCUAGAGAGCUCUGUCGAUCCCGAAGAGGAUCAUUCCAUAACACCACUUUGAGUAUAGCUUUGGAGGGUACAGAAGAGGCAAAAAUCCUAAAAGGAGUGUGAGAGAUAAAGAAGAUAGGGUUUAUAAAAAACGUGUGGAAAAAGUACCAACAAAUCUCGUAUGGUCUCGACCAUUGAAUAUAUUGAUGAGGAAAUGAUCGGUUUAUAUCGAUCGUUCAAUUGAAAAUUGUAAGGGUUUGGAUUAAAACUGAUGUGUGGUGUCUCUUUUGCAAAGACUCGUAGUGGUUAGGGAAGAUGGGGAGUUACAGAAAAGGGGGAAGACGAAGGGACACAGGAAGAAGAAAGGAAAGGGGAUGACACAUGAGUUAUAUAGAUGGUUGUGGAGAAGAAUGAGGAGUUAUAGAGAAGAGGAAAAUGAAGUGACACAGGGAGGGAAAGAGAAGACGGAGUCACGGGAGUUACAUAGAGAGAGAGGGUAAGCAAGCCAUCUAAAUGAGAAAAAAAAAACUCUUAAAGCAAGGAUGUUGCGCCACAUCAGCAAAAUUAUUGGAAAAUAAUAUAUGUUUAUAUAUAAUUAGGAAAUAAUAUAUGUUUAUAGAUGUUGCGCCAUGUCAGCAAAAUUAUUGGAAAAUAAUAUAUGUUUAUAGAUGAGCACAAUUCAUAUCUAAUAUUGCCCUUCAAAACUUUCAAAAUAUCUAACAUAUAUCUUAUUAAUCAAAAUACCUUUAUUAAUUUUCAAAAGUUUCUUCAAAAAUCCAAACAUCUGAGAUUUAGUAAUGGAAAUUGGGAUUUAGAAGGGUACUUAGAUAAUUUAGGUUAAAUUUGAAAAUUUUGAAUAGUAGCCAAGAGUAAAUAAGCAAAAUCUGUUUAAUCCUUUUAGGAGCCAUUUGGUUAAAUGUAAUUACAAAUGCAGUGUAAUUGAAGAUGCAUGCAGUUGAAAAUGGAGCAGUUACAACUACAUGCAUCAUGUUUGGUUGGAUGUAGUGGAAAGCGCUGUAACUAUAAAUAAUUUGUUUGAUUGCAUGCAGUCGAGAAAUAAUUUUUAAAAUUUUAUCAUUAUAUAUCUAUAUGAUGGUAAGAUUACCUCCAAUGUAAAAAAAUUUUAUUUUUUGUUUAAAAAAUAUUUAAAGAGGUAAAGUUACCUUUUGUUUAAAGUUGCACUCUCUAACUGCUGCAGUUGAAACUGCGGCCGAUUUGGGCGUAGUUCCAACUGCUGCAGUUGGACCUCCUCCUGCAGUUCCUACUGCAGCAAUUGGAUUUAAAUACAUCAAACCAAACACCGAAUUUGCAUUUGCAUACAGUUACAACUGCCGUACAGGCAACUACAUGCAACCAAACAGCCCUUUAGAUUCUAACAUCUUCGUCAGUCCAAUCACACACACAGUCCAAGAUCACCAGACGAUGUGAGGCUUACCUCACACUUUCGGUGAGUACACACACAGUCCAAAAUCACGAGACGAUGUGAGGCCUACCUCACAGUUUCGGCCAGUAAACCAGAAUCGGCUCUGAUAUCAAAUAUAACGAUCAGACUCACUAGUAAUAACAACUCUACAUGAAUUGACAGAAAAACUAGUUUAAUUAGCAGUUUAUAACAUGCGAAAACUAAUUAGAAAAAUUACAGGAUCAAUUUUGCACCAAGACACUGGAUACCUGCAAACACAGUAGCUAGUAACAGAUCUCAAGAGAGUCGAAGUACAACAACCCAAAGAUGAAUUUAUCAUAGUCGAAAAUCGUAAGAUCAGAAAAGAGAACAUGUAAAAGCAGGAAUUAGCUGAUCUGCAGAUCAUAAAAACCUCAUAUUUAACAACUACAGAACAUAGAGAACCACAGUGACGGGCUCGAAUCAGAUCUUAUAGAGAAAGGAAGAGAUGGACAUGGUUUUUCAUUGUCAGUUGAUAGUUUGAAGCAACAUCGCAACGAACAGAAAAAGUUGAUAAAAAAAGAAGCAAACAGCCGACAUUAAGGUAUUAUUUACUCCAGAAAAGUUUACAAAUGCACAAGCAACCAAAAAGGCGAGUAUCCACAACAGCAAGACCAAAUAGCAAAAAAAAAAAAAAAAUAUUACAUCCUUACACUCGAGAACUCGAAAUCGUGGAGGCUUUGCUAUUUACAAUAACAAUAAACAUUCACCUUCCCUUGCUUAUUGAGCCGACAGAUACAAAAACAAUCAAUAGCCCUCAAACUGAACCUUUACAACUGCUGAAUUGCACAAAUGAUCCUGGAACAUUACGAGUACCCGACCUUCAAAUUUACGCGCUCAACAUCUUGAGCAGAUUGAAUUUCUCAUUGUAACCGUUCUAAUCAAUCACCUUUAGUGGAAUUAACCGAAAGGCCAACUACGCCGCUAUUUAUGAAACACUUACAAGCAACUUCACUGCAACUUGUCAUGAUACUGAGAGUAUCUACCAAAAUUUGAAAGGGAAUGUUUGAAGCAAGAAAAUUGUGUACGAGGUCGAAUUUUUUGAUUUGGAUGUGGCUUUCGAGUGUAUCAUACACGGAAAGACUACGAUUAAAUAUAAAAGUUCAGAGGCAAAAUGCUUACAUUCGAAGGUCAAGUACUAAAACUGAAACUUAGGACCUAUUUGGUAUUGAUGCCGUUAUUUUUUUUUUUUUUUUAAAAUUCUAUGUGAUUCGAUACGCCUGCGGAUGGACUUUUCUUCUAUGGUCAUCAUUGGCUAGCUCGCAAUGUGACCUGAUUGGACGCUAAGAGUAGUGUCUUCCUCAAACAAGCAAAGAACUUGAAAAAAAGGUUACUUCCAAGUAUUUGCCUUUUGUUGCCAAACAGACACAGUAUAGAUGUACAGACUGCACGCAGUCCACCAUCCGCACGCGCAUUCUAUCGCGCAGAAUUAACAAAUGCAAGAACAAAAAGAAUGACGGCAACAAUACCAAAUAAGACCUUAGCAAUUAGUUUAGGGACCAUUAGUGCAAUUCACCCAAGAUAGUUUUGAGGAAGCUAAAAAAAAAAAAUCAAGGGCAACUGGAGAGAAGGCUAUUACUGUCAUUGGUGGAUUUUUGGGGAGAGCACCGGGUGGGCAACCGGCACGACAUAGGGCACAUGUCCAGGAGGAGGGAGCAUAACCGGAGUUCCAAUUGCAGAUAUCAUAUGGCCGGGCACAGGAUGCCCUAACGGCGGCCCGUACAUUCCGACUGCCGGGAUCGGAGGCUGAGAAGGGAGAGGUUGGUGAGCCAUAGGCGGACGUAUGGUCGCAGGGUGGGUGCCAUUGCCCUGGCCGGUGAUCGGGCCUUGUGGUGAAGAAGAGACCUCGCCGGAGUUCACGCUCGUGAUGUCGUGGAUGCUCGAUCUCCGGCGGUCUCUGUUUAUCGAGUUGAGGCGGAUGAAGUACUUCUGGGCGUGGCUCGCUACUUGGGUCGGAGUUCUUGAGAUGACGAAGUUUCUCGAUAUGCUCCUCCAGUCUCCCUUGCCAAAUUUGUCGAGGCCAAGCAAGAACAACCUGCACAAUAUCGGGAACAUCAUAAGUCCACAUCUCAAGAACAUCAGUAGCUUCAAUUUCACUUGCGGUGUAGAUUCAAAUUUAGACUUUUCUCAAGCAAUAUCGGCUUACCGAGAUUCACCACGCGAAUUCACCAAGCCAAAUUCGGGUAACGGAAAUUAAAGAAAGCCUAUCUAAGUGGAAGAAGAAGUAUUCUAAACCAUUUGCAACAACUAAAAGAGUUUUUAUGUAAAAUUCUCGCAGAAACAAUUAUGAAAGAAAAAUAGAAACAAUAAUUUUAACUGAGACCUACACCUCAAAGAGGAAAAUUAGAAUUUAAAUCUCUCUUUUAAAUUUCUCUUCACAAUUUCAAUAUGCUAGCUUGUUGCACAAAUACCAUCAUGCUUGAAUCAUACAGUUAUUUAAUCAUAUGGUAUUAAGCAUUCCAAAUUCUAUGCAUAACAAAUGAAUUUAGGUAAAAAUGUACACAAUUUACCAGAACUAUGGACCAUUUUGAGUCAGCCACCCACCUCUUCAAUUUGUUUGAUUUUGAGCCAGUCAAUGGUGAUUUGACUUCAAAAAUUUAGCUAAUUACUUAAUUUGAUUUAUAGUUGCGAGAAUUUUAUAAAAUAUACAGUCGAAACCUGUAAAGAUAAAUGAUACAUUCAAAUUUUGAAGUCUAAGUGUCUUUAUCUGGCUCAAAUCAAACAAAUUAAAAGUUUGAAUAGUAAAAUCAAAAUUUUGAAAAGUUCGAUAGCUAACUCAAAAUGGUCUAUAGUUUCCGUAAGUUCGGUACGUUUUUACCGUGAAUUUAUUACCUCACUAUGUAAACAUACCAUUUCAUCUCGAUUGAAUAAAUUACAGAUUUUUACUAAAUUUUACAUCCAUUUUUCAAACAUAUCAUCCGUAUUACAAUUUGAUCCCAAUUUCCUCAUUUUAAGCUCAAAAUCUUCAAUUUACUUCCAUAUUUAAUCACAAUUUCAUCCAAAAAAUCUCCAAAUUUUUCCCUUCAAAAAGUUACAAAGAGAUUAGAUAAUUGGGACGAACCUGUGUUCUUCUUCGGUCCACGGGAUCCCCUUCUUCCUCUCCUGCUCCGAUUUGGAGCAACCCUUCCCCACCUCAAACCCUAAUCCCUUCUUCUCCCCAACCCCUUGCCCCUGCCCGUGCCCGUGCCCGUGCCCGUGCCCCUCCUUCCCCGCCGCCGGAGGAUGCGGCGGCGCCGCCUCCUCGCCGGAGUAGCGCGGGAUCGGGACCCUCCCGGCCUCGAUCGCCCUCACGUCCUCCACCAAAAUCUCGUAGUGCCGCCGCACCUCCGCCGCCGUUUUCCCCGGAACCCUAGCCGCGAUCAUGUCCCACCAUUUCCCGUCCCCUCCGCCGCCCUCCUCGCUUCCCCCUCCUCCUCCUCCGCCCCGCUCCGCCCCCGCCACCUCCGGCGGCGCCACCGCCGCCACCGCGUUCUCGAACGCCUUGUUGUCGUCCCGACUCCACCCCGCCACCUCCUCUUCCUCCUCCGCCGCCGCUGCCGCCGCCGCCGCCGCAGUUCCGGCCAUGGCGGUGGUGCGCACGAUAAGGGGGGUCCCGGCGCAGGAUAAGGUAACCUAACCCUAACCGCUCGUUUCCAUAACGAAUCGAUCUAAUUAUAUAUAUAUACUAAAUAUUGGGCGGUGAGAGUUACUAUACAUUCAUGGGGAGGUGACGGGACCCGAAGGUAGGAGUCGGCAACGGAGAUAUCGGAAUACGGUCACCGGCGCCGACUUUGGAUAUUAUUGAGGUUGUGGACUCGGGGAGAGUGAGGAGGGAGAUAUUAUUGUAUAUGUAUGUGUAUUUAUUUAUAUAGGGGUCAAUUGCAUACAGUUCACUGCAAACAUAGUGAAUUAUAAAUAUAUUUCUGUAAAAUUUAACUUUCAUAAAUUAUUUCUGCAAAAGUUAUAAUGUUUUCAAAUACAUCUCUGCCGUUUAGAAAAGUUUAGUUAACUAUAGGUUAAAUGCUUCACCCGGAUUAAUUUUUGACAUUUUUAUAUCUCUUAUAUUAUACUGUUAUAACUUUUUGAAGGGACAUAUUUGUGUGGCAAAAUUGGAAAUAUAAACAGCUUUCUAACGGUUCUCUAACGAUUACAAACCAGAGGGACAUAUCUAAAAAUAUUAGAAUUUAUGCAGAAAUAAUUUAUAAAAGUUGAACUUUACAGGAAUAUAUUUGCAAUUCACUAUGUUUACGGGGACAUAUAUCCAAUUAACCCAUAUAUGGCAAAAUUGUACUAUGACGGCUUAAACUACGGAAUAUUUGGAAAUAGGCCCCUAAAUUAUAAAUAGUGGGCAUGUAUGAGGGGAUUUAUUUGAAAAACAAAAAAAAAAGUAAGGGGUGUGUAAAAUAUUUCAAAAGUUUAAAGGGUAAAUAGGCAAUUAUACCUAGUUACCUAAUAGGACGUAAAAUGUAACGUGUAAUAUAUUGAGGAGGUUAUCUGUAAUUUAGCUUAAAAAAAAAAAAAAAAAAAAAAAAAAAAAAAAAAAAAGGUCCAAAUGGUAGUGUAUUGUAUGUAUAUAAAUAGUCGGCAUGUGAGAUGGUGAUGAGUGGUGGAGAGAGGGGGAAUGAGUUGGUGGGAAACGUGGGCGAUUCUCCAUUUCUCAUUCCGAGGGGGGAUUUUGCCAAACAUAAUCCACAGCCUAGUUGGCUCAUUGGUCCCUCCCACUUCCCCAACCCUCUUGUGUCCCUUUCCCCAAUGUUGAAUAAGACCUUUCUUUUCCUUUUCUUUUUUUUUUUUAAUAAAUUUUUAGGGCGUGUUUGUUUCGUUUUUUUUGGUAUUCUGGAAUCGGAAUCGGAAUGGGCGAAUUUAUUUAUGGGUGUUUGGUACGCAGGAGUCCAAUUCCGAUUCCGAUUCCCUAGUGGGAUGGGAAUCUCCCAAUCACCUCUUUUUCCAAUCCGGCCUAACAGGCCGGAUUGGAAGUUGAAUCCGGACGGAAUGAAUAUUUAUUUGACUUAAAUUUAUUUUUUCAACUUUUUUAGUUAAAAUAUGAGUUUAAGGGCGUGUUUGAUUCGCUUUUUUUUUGGUACCCUGGAAUCGAAAUCGGAAUGGGUGAAUUCAUUUGUCGGUGUUUGGUACAUGGGAGUCCAACUCCGAUUCCGAUUCCCCAGUGGGAUGGGAAUCCUCCAAUCAUCUCUUUUUUCAAUCCGGCCUAGCAAGUCGGAUUGGAAGUUGAAUCCGGACGGAAUAGAUAUUUAUUUGACUUAAAUUUAUUUUUUCAACUUUGUUAAUUAAAAUAUAAGUUUAAGGGCAUGUUUGGCUCGCUAUUUUGCACCCUGGAAUCGAAAUCGGAAUGGGCGAAUCCGUUUGUGGGUGUUUGGUACGCAUGAGUCCAAUUUCGAUUCCGAUUCCCGAGUGGAAUGGGAAUCCCCAAUCACCUCUUUUUCCAAUCCAGCCUAGGAGGCUGGAUUGGAAGUUGAAUCCGGGCGGAAUAGAUAUUUAUUCGAAUUAAAUUUAUUUUUUCAACUUUUUUAAUUUUUUAAUUAAAAUAUGAGUUUAAAUUUAGAAAUUAAAUAUAUAUAAUUUUAAAUUUUAAUUUGAACUUGAAUUAAAAAUUAAAAUUUAAUUAAGUAUUUCGAAUCUAAUUUAUGAAUUUGAAUUUAAAUUAAUAUAUUAUAAAGAUAAAGUUAGUAUAUUAAUUUGAUUACGUUUUUUAUAUCUACUUGAGAUCCUGAACCAAACACCGACAAUGGGAAUGAUUUAUUCCCAGCCCGAUUCAGGUUAUGAAUCAAACAAACAGAAUUAGGUAUUCCGAUUCUGAUUCCAACUUAUUUCGAUUCCGAUUCUGAUUCUGAUUCCGAUUCCGACUUCGAGCCAAGCCCUAAAUAUCACCUCUGUGGUUUCUCACUUUCUCUUUCUCAUUUUAGUGCCAUGUGAUUUAAAGUGUAUCAAGUUAGUGUCCUGUGGUUUUAUUUGUAUCUUUUCCUCAACUUUUUCUGUUAAUAUUUCGUUAAAUUAUAUACAAAAAACUUUAGAUACCCCACCUAGGUUUAUCGAAUAUUCACUUUAGUACCAUUUAGUUUUAACUUUGUCACUAAUUUAACUAAAAAAAUUAGUGGAAUCGAUAAUAAAAAUUAGUGGAAUCGAUAAUAACCCCGAAAUCGGAAUCGGAAUGAUCCAUUCCGAUUCUAGAUGUUUGGUAUGCCGUAAUCUCAUUCCGAUUCCGUUUCCAUUCCGGAAUAGGAAUCGGCUAAUCCGAGUAGAAACGGGCCUCGUACCCCAGAUUAAAAAUUGAAUCCGGACUUAAUUAUUUUAUUAUUAAAAUAACCUUCAUCCAUUAGACUUAAAAAAAAGAAAAAAAAAAAAAAACCGCUCGCCUCUCCGCGGCCGCUCAACUCUCCCCUCCCAAGCUUCAUCCCGUAAGUAAUUCCUCCUCCCCUCCCCGCCAACUUUUCUCUCGAAUCUCUCUCUUAUUUUUUUUCUUUAUUCUCAAAAGUUACAUGAACUUUGGACUUUCUCAAAAAAAAAAUAAAAAAAAAAAGAAAAAAAUUAAGAAGAACAAAAGGUCAUAUGAACACUAGUAAUUAUGAGGUCAUGCCUUUUCUUUUGUCCUUCUAAAAAAAAAACUUCUAAGCAUGCUUUUUUUUUUCUUUUAUAUUUUAAAUAGAUUAUUCAAACUAGUUACAAGUAAUUAAAAUAUAUUAAAAGGGUAAAAUUCGUAUAUUAAUUUAAUUCCGUUUCUGAUAACUAUCUGAACCAAACAUCAACAAUGGGAAUGAUUCAUUUCGAUUCCGAUUCAGGUGGCGAACCAAACAGAAUGAGGUAAUGAGUCAUUCCGAUUCCGAUUCCAGCUUAUUUCUAUUCCAUUUCUGAUUUCGAUUCCGACUUCGAACCAAACAUACCCUAAAUUGAUACACUUUAAACCACAGGCUACUAAAGUGAGAAAGUGUGAAACCACAAGGGUGGUAUUUGAAGUUUUUUUCUUUUUUUUUUUUUGUUGGGGGUGUCGGAGGAAAUAGCAAUGCUUCAUGCAUCAAGAAGAUCGAGAUUUUUGAAUGACUAGGCUUAUUUAUUCUCGACUACUAUUCAAAAUUUUUAAAUUUAUUCUGAAAUUAUGAAAACAUCCUUUUAAACUCCGGUGCUUCAUGUACUCCAGAAGAUCGAAAUGCUUCAUGCACCCCACAACCAUUACCAAAAUAGCAAUCUUUGGUAUACCUCAAAAGACUGAGAUUUUUGGAUGACUAGGCUUAUAAUUUUUUAAAAAAUUUUAAGAAGGGGCUUUCGCUUAUUUAUCUCUAGCUAUUAUUCAAAAGUUUUAAAUUUAUUCUGAAACUACCAAUAUACUCUUCUAAACUCCAAUUCCCCUUAGUAAACUCUACUAAGGCCCCAUUUGGUCCGGAGAUAACGAGCAUUGGGAUAAAUUUUUUUAUUCCUAGGAUAACUUACUAUUCCAAAAUAGUCAUAAAUAAAAAUAAAAUUGUGUUUGGUUUGUAAUGUUGCUGUUACUAAAAAUAGCUAAGAUUGUGUUUAGUUAAUUUUAUGGAAGAGUAGAGGAUAGUGAAAAAAAAGUGAUGGUUGAAUUUGAUAUAAAAUAUAAUUUAAUAAAAGUAAUUUAGUGUAAAAUAAUUUAUAAAAAUAAUUCAUUAUAUUAUUUAAUAAAACUAAUAUAUAUAUAUAUAUUAAAAUUAUAAUUAAAUUUAAAUUUAAUAAAAAUAAUUUAUUAUAAUAUAUAACAUAUUAUAUCCAUAUAAUUUAGUUUUAAUUCAAUAUAUAGUCUUAAUAAAGCUUGAAAUUAAAUUUUGGAAUAGCACUAUUUCGCCGAAAGGAUGGAAAAGUUAAUCCCAAGCUAUUCUAGGAUAAUCGAGGAUAUCAAGGUUUGAUCUGGAUAAAAUAUCUCUGCCAAAAAAACCCCACUGGGCAGAAUAGUAGGGAUAACUUUCAUUAUCCCCGCUUUAUCCCAGAACCAAAAAGUGUUUAGCCAUAUUUAAAAGAAUUUUUAAUAAUUAAAGAGGAUAUUUUGGUCAAUCAAGGGUAUAUUGGAUAUUAUAUCUUUUUUAAAGAAUGGGGAUCUGACAUUUUUAUUUCUAAAAUAGGUCUAAGCGGUGAAUGAUUUCUCAUAUUUUACAAAACUUAUAUACUUUCUAUAUCCGAAUUUUGAAAAAUGUAUAGUAUUAGACUGUAAAAAUAAUUAUAAUGCUUUGAAGAAAGCAAUGAAUGAACUUGUUAGACCAAUAAUGGGUGGCCACGUGGCAUGUCGGUGCACCAUUAAACCCAAAUUGUUAGGGUCAAGGAUUAAAAGAGAUUUUGGUGUGCACCGGGAGCAUUGGCAAAAUAAUUAAGUAACUGCUAGGUGUAACCGCAAGCGGUUAUAUGCAGUUUUGAUCGGCUUGAAGUGACCCUUAAAGAUAGGGUAGUGGCCGAUCAUGGAUGGAGCAAUAACUGAUCAACAGAGGUGGGCUAUAAAUAGCCAAAUAAAGCCCAAGAGAGAGGUCUUUUUCCCGAAAAUAGAAGACCACAUUUAUUUCCUCUGCAUUUUUCUCGCAUUUUUUAGGAGUAGUCUACUUGUAACCUUUUACUUUCCCGUACUUACUGUUUUUCCUAGAAGUAGUUCAGGUCAGAUCAACCGAGUUUGUAUGCCUUCAAGCAUACUCGUCCUUUGUACUAGUUUCACCUAUUAAUUCCAAUAUAUAAAGGCAUUCGGCUCCUCAGCCGACCCAAAAUACUAUGUAUCUCGUACAGUCGGCUCAUCCACCGGAACCAAAUCUGUAGUAAAAAUUCUCGAACUCGGCUGAUCCGAUCCCUCAUCAGCCAAAUCGCUUGAUCCAAUUGAAGGGCGCAAACUUCGAGGGUCACUAGUCACAGUCAUUCCGCAUCCCUAUAUUCUUCCCAAGAGAGAUCUUUGACCAGGUCAAGGAUCAGGAAAUUCAGUUCCUAACAAAACUAUUAAUUAAAAAAAAAUUAGAAGAUCUCCUGAAAUGCAGUUGAUGAAUUCGUAAGACUUUUUCUUACAUGUUUCUUACUACUACAAAAAAGUUUCAAAUUUACUACUCAAUACUCAAAAUACUUUUCUAAAAUCCAAUUCCAUUGGUAAACCCUAUAAGGAAAUCGGAUAUUUGAAAAAAAAAAAAUUCUGAAAUCAGCAGGGGUACUUUGGUCAUCCAGAAAUAAAUAAAAAAAUUUUGAAGUUUCGAAGAGCAUAUUAGAUAUUAACCCAAUUUCCUUCGCACAAUAGUGAGUUUAGGACUAGCCUAAACUUCUGGUUAUCUAAAAACACAUACCAACUAUCAGAAAAUUUGGGUUUCGUUUUCUAAGAUGCAAAAUUAUUUGAUCUUUGUCAAUGCGUUUGUUUGUCUAUGUUUGCUCUUCCAUCCAUCAUUAGCAGUAGAGAUUGAACUACUUGCAUCAAGAAAUGGUUUGGAUUCGCUCACAAACAAUUCUAUGUAUGCUGAGAAUCGUAUAUGGCACCUUAGAACAAGUAACGAUUCUGAACCAAUUAAAAAAAUCUCUUCAUAUCAUAUAUGUUAAUAUAUAAUAACCUAUAAUGAUAACAUUUUUGGCUAUCUGUAGCAGUACUGCACUAAGCACUAUGCUUUAGCAGUGUGAACAAUAGUGCCGCUAUAAGUGCCCCAUAAUGUUGCCUUGUGUAAUGUUGAUAUGUUGGCAAAUCAAUGUGAUAUCUCAAAGUACGUAUAUAAUUCAAUCACAGUCCUUUUUAUUAUGGUGUCAACACAUCGACAAUAUAAUAAAGAACAGGUAUGAAAAAUUCAAAGCAUUUCUCGCAAAUAAAGUAAGUCAAUAUCCAAUGUGUACUACUUAAGACUGUCUUUAGAACCUAAUUAUGUGUUGCGAUAAAAAUAAAAAAAAAACAAAAAAAAAAACUAUGAGUCUGUAUGGUUUUUUAGAAUGUUGGCUUCUAUGUUGCCAAUGUUUUGGCUUUAAUAACAUAAAAAGUUUCAAUUAGUUUAUAUAUAGAAAGAGAAAGAUAGUAAGUGAGAGAGAAAGAUAGUAAGUUACCUGCUUCAUACAAUUAUUAGAAAUAAAGUCAGCUAGAAAUGUUAAGUAACUUGGCUUCAAACUUGGGAUCUUGAGAAUCAAUCAUCAAUCACUUAGUCAACUAUACUAGGUACAAUUGGUGAAGAUUCGAAGAGUAAGAUUAGUUAAUACAUGCAUUUCGUAAUUUACAUAGUAUCGCAUGCAUUUACAAACAUAUUAACAAACCCUAAAGACAAUAUUUUAAGUUACCCAAAGCACUUUCCGUGUUCUAUUAUUUUAUAACAAAUAAUAAAUGUAUGAACAAUAGAGUUUGGGUAAAUUGCAUUGAUGGCCCCAAACUUCUACAAAAAUGUCAAUUUGUUCCCUAAUUUUUUUAAAGAAAAAGAACUUAAUACCCCUAAAACUUCUAUAAAUAUACCAAAUGAAGUUCAUCCAGUAAUUUGGUGUUAAUUUUACAAAUAAGAAAUAACUUGAAUGUUAAAUAAGCAAAUAAUUUUUUUUUUUCAAUCCAUGUAUUCACCAAAGGUGUGACUUAAAGCUUAUCAGAACAAAACGCACUUUAGACCGUAUGUAAUUAUAAAUACAGUGUAGUUGGAGAUACAUUAGUUAGAAAUGCAGCAAUUAUAGUUAUAUUGAUCUUGUUUAGUUGGAUGCAGUAGAAAGUAUUACAGUUAUAAAUACUUUGUUUGGUUGUAUGCGGCUGAGAAGUAUACUAACGAAUUUUUACCAUUUUAUAUAUAGAGUUGUGAUGUUAUCCCCUAUGUAGGAGUGAAAAGUGAAACUUUUUAAAAGGUUAUUAGAAAGGUAAGCUUACGUGUACUUUUUUCAAGUGCUGCAGUUUCAAUUUGGGCGUAGUUCCGACUGUUACAGUUGAGACUUCUUAUGUACAGUUACAACUGCAGUGCAGUUACUCUUACGUACAACCAAACAGCCCUUAAAGUAAAUACCGUCGUUACAAGGUAAAAUGAAACCUCUGGCGCUAAGUUCCUUUAUUCUUGUCAAAAAGAAGCUCACCUAACAUAGGAAUUUGUCAAUUAUAUUUUUCAAUAUCUAUAAAAGAGGAUGUGGAAACAUAUGGAAACUUUUGAAUGGAAUUUGAGAAAAAAGAAAUGUAGCUUUCCCACAUCAUCUUUAUGUCACUUAGCUUAACAUCACGUGAUAAAAUAGGCUAGUUUGACACAUUUAUUAAAAUUUAAAGAACAUAAAGAUCAUGCUAGCAGCAAAUCAAAAGAGAACUCAAUAGAUUUCACAUGAGAAGAAUUCAGUUGAAUUCAAUUAGAAAUAAAUGUUUUCUUUUUACUUAGAUUAGAUCAAAGUUCAAUAGAAUUGUAUUCUAAUUUAUUGUUUGUUAAAAGAUGAGAAAUUUUUUUAAUGCGAUUACUUUUUCCAUUCAAUUUUCACUUUAUAUAGUUUAGGUAAAUUGCGCAUUUGGUUCUCAAACUAUAAAGUGUGUGACAUUUUGGUACUCAAAAAUUAAUUUAUUCUAGUAAUUGCUUGCCCAAACUUUUUAAAUUGUUGCAAUCUCACAACUCAAUUUUGUUGCCUAAAUAUUAACAAAUUAUUGAUAUAGAAACAAUAUAAAAGUAAUGUAAUUGAUGAUGCAACAAUAAUUAAAAUACAGCAUCACUUCUACUUGGAUAAUUUGUCAAUAUUUAGUCGACUAAAUUGGAUUGUGGGAUUUGAUUAUAGCAAUUCUAAAAGUUCAAGCUGGAAAUUACAAUAAAUUAAAAUUUGAGGAUUAAGUGUCACCGAACUCAUAGUUUGAGGACCAAACGUGUAAUUUAUCCAAGAUAUUAUAGCUAACAUGAGGAAUACUUUAGAGUUAUUAAUAAAGUAUAACUAAUCGCAAAUAAAUUCUCACCAUUAUCCAUCCCCCAAUUAUGCAAAUUGGAUAAGAAUCAUUUUGUUAUAUGAGAAAUCCCAUCAAAUUUAUCUGGAUGAAUUGAAUUUCCAUCUACUUAAUGCUACCAAUCUGUUUCUUUAGAAUUUUACGGUUUUGGGUUGCGAAAUAGAAUGUAAUAGGCAAUAAUAACUCGUUGGAUCAAAACCAUCUAUCCAAAAUAUUUAAGCUCAGUUAUUAUUACUAGGGUGGAGUCUUUUCAUUUCAUAGUGAAAAUAAAAAUGAAUGAAUCUAAUUCGAAUUUUAUAAUCUAAAAUUGAUGAAUCAAACUAAUAACCAUAUUAUGUAUCUUGUCCACCACUUUUGCGCUAAUAACGAUAUUUGAUCAAUCAACUUUUUUGUUCUCUUUUUCGACAUAUAGCUGGAAGGCUUUCCAAAUCCUAACAACUCCUAAAAAAAAAUAGAAAAAAAAAAUCAAAUUUUAGUACAAACUGGAUUCGGUCGUACCCGACCGAGAGUUGUGGCUUAAAAUGCAAAUGAAGGGCAAAAAAUAUCACAGCAAAGCACCCUAGUCCUUUAGUCCUUUUUAUUGGCCAGUAGACCAACAUCCUGCUGACAUGGAGGACGACGGAGCAGACAAAGCCAUAAUUAAAACCUGUGGGCGCAAUGUCUGCAUCCUUCUUAGGUGGCGGAGGACGAAGCAGACAGAGUCAUAGUUAAAAUCCGUGGGCACAAUAUCUGUAUGUUUUAAAGAACUAUUUAAUUGUUGAUUGUAUAUAGUUAUAACUGUACUACAAUUGUAACUACAUAUAAAUUCAAAUUGUCGUUUGGUUUCAUGCAUUUGAAUUUAACUGUUGCAGUUGGAACGGCACGAGUAGGCUCAAAUGUAGCAAUUGAAAUUCCACCCAAAUCGGCGACAGUUUUAACUGCAACAAUUGAAAAGAGUAACCGAUCGUCCCAAAUCAAAUGGUAAAAGGCUUGGUGAUUAGCACCCGAGGUCCCAAGUUCGAAUUCUAGUUGAUUCACAUUUUUAGCUAAAUUUAUUUCUAAAAAAAAUAAACGAAGCGAAAGCAAAAAACAAUUGAAAAGAGUAAUAUUAAAUAAAGGUAAACUUACUUCUCUAACAAUCUUCCAAAUAGAAAAUACCUUUUUUCUUUAUAGAGAGCGUAAUCUCAUCAUUUUAAAAAUACGCUUGUCAACUGUACAUAACCAAACAAUAUUUAUAAUUAUUAUAAUUUAUACUCAUAUCCAACAAAACAAAAUAUAUGUAAUUAUAAUUACCACAUUUACAAUUACUUUCAUCUCGAACUGUAUUAUAUUAACAAUUACAUCCAACCAAACGAACCCCAAGUGAAUUAACUGUCCCUUUUAUAUAAGCUCGAGCUUUUAAAAUUUAUGAUUAGCACCGUCGAUCCGACAUUAACACCAGAGCAGGUCGCAAGUUCAAUUCCCACAUGCAUCCUACUAUGUGAUUUUGUUUGUACAUUUUAAGGAAAUUGAUUGCUCCCUUUUUAUCAACACUACCAUUUACAAUUAUGGUUAGCACCAAUGAUCCAACACUUAACACUUUACACACAUCAAAUAUCACCUGCAACUACAAAAUAUAACACGAAGAUGGUACAAGAUGAAGGACAAUUGGAUUUAGACCUUAAGAGCUGCUUGUAGGAAGUACAAAAAUGAAAUGUUACAUGCCGCACACAUUUCAUAGGUAGAUUAACCCAAAAGAGUUUGAAAAUAUACAAGAAAUUACGAGAUCACUUACGAGGUCACUACAUUUUUUCAUACAAUUUGAAGAGCCGGUAUUAAGUUGUAUUCCUAUAAAUACGGCUUGUGUGAGACAACCAGCAUCUUGCUUUAAUAAUUCGUAGACCGCGAGAAACGUAAACCGGCAUCUUGCUUCCUUUCUGUAUUCUUCUUAAGACUAAUGACAUGAAUCACUUUUUUUGUGUGCGCGCGUUUUUUUUAAGAUCAACGACAUAAAACCACCACCAAGAUUUUAUAGGAAGUUCCUCUGCACGGAGCCCGACGAGAAGCGAGAGGUCAAUCCCUGCACCAUGCUCUCUUGGUCGAAAUUGACCCUUUGUCGUCCCGCCACCAGAUCCUUCUCGCGAUCCCACGGUUUCCAGGGGUGGUUACCCUCCCACUCCUCUUUCUCUGAUUCCUGCUGCUGCUUUUGCUGCUUCCGCUUCUGCUUCUGAUUCUUCUGCUUGCUGCUGCUCUCCUCUCGGUGCUUCUGCACAAGAGGUACAGAUCGUUUGGAAGAGUUAUACUUGUCAACCAAUGCGGCAUCUGAGGAGGUUUUUUUAUUUUCGUCAUCCGCUUCGGCAAGCGCUUUGGCUUUGUUGUAAGCCUCUAUAUAGCUGCACCACAUAUACAUUAAUUGUAAGUUUUAUUCAAGAAUUGGAAAUGAGUGUUAACUUGGCGUAACAACUGAAACUACAAAUGCAACAAUAAAUUGCAGCCCUACAGCCUGUUUGGCCCAUUUUCUAGAGUAGCUUCCAACUCCAAGAAGCAAGGGUCAAGCAUUGGUUAAAUGAAAAUUCUGCAGCUUUUGUUCAAGCAGGAAGCUCAUUUCAAGGUUGAGGGCAGAAACUCGAAAUGCAGCUUCUGCUUCUGCUGCAGCAGGAAGCUGCAUCUGUGGAUGUUAAUGGAAAAACUGUUACUGCUUCUCCAAACAGUUUCACUCGGACAACAAUAGAAUGCUCAAGCGACUGUACAGUUUAAAUGAGAAGAAGCAAUGUAGCAUUGCUUCCUCCUUGUAGCGCACUACUCUUUAAAUUAUACAAAACAACCGUUUUUCUCCAAAAGUUUAAGCCAACAAAAAGGAUAUUUUUAAUAUUUAUAUUCAACACUGCCCCUCACGUCUGGACUUGAGAUAUUUUGAUAAGCCCAAGACGAGGACUCAAUUAAAUGACAGGAAAUUAAAUAACACUGGGGGCAAACUUGAACUCGGGACCUCCUGUUUUGAUACCAUAUUAAAUUAUACGAAACAACCGUUUUUCUCCAAAAGCUCUACCACAGAACAGUGACAAUAGUCAGAUAAGCCAAUAAUAGUGCCCAGCCAAGGUGUCAGGUUGAGAUAAUUGCACGGUCCCAACUGAGGGCUGGUCCAAAAUGGCUGGACUAGUAGGGUCAGGUUGGGUUGGGUCAGGAGGGGUCGGGCCGGGCAAUCAACUAAUAAAUUAUAAGGCAGGGCCAGGUCACUAAAAGAAACCAAAGACACGAGCCCAGUAUGAGAGAAUUUUUUAAGGUGUCUAUUUGAGAACCAGAUCAAAACUGACCAGCGAAAAAACAGGGCGAAUCAUCCAAGUCAGGGGGUACAGGUCUUUUUAGAUCAAGUAUAACUACAAUCAAUCUAUAGGAUUGUUAACGUUACUGGAAAAUUUUAAAUUGACAUUCUGAAUUAGAAGUUAAAUCAUGAUAAAUGAGUGGUUAAGCUUAAAACAAGUAGAUAAAUCAUUAAAUACGAAUGGAUUAACACGGCCAUACUUCUGUUUUGCUUUCUGUGCUUUGUCGAGAGGAUUAUCGGUCCACAUGCUAGUAUCACCUCGUCCUUCUUUACCUGUCCUACUAAAUGACGUCGAAUGCAUGGUCAUUCCCGGCUGAGAUGAGAUUAGGGGAAAAUAGUUAAAAUGGGUGUUGAGUGAGAUUAAAGUAAAAUAAUAAAUUGGAGUGGAAAGAAGGCAAAUACUUUUCUUUCAGGGGGUAAUGUUGUCAUCCACUCAUCUCUCGAGGGUUUGGGUGCCUCUUUUCCGACCGCAAGAAGCUCUUCAUCACCUUCAAUUGAUAUACCUGUAAUGUAAUAACAAAUGAUAAAGCUUAUGAGUUAACUCAAAAUAGAUCAAGAAGAUAUUAAAUAUGUCAAAUAACAAUAAAAGGUAUUACAUUUUAAGAGAAGAAAAGCUGAAAAACAUGGAGGCAGCGCUCAAAGGAAAUAGGUAGCACAACGCCACAACCAUGAGUAAAGACAUGCGGUUAUUUUUCAUGCUAUUUCAGAAUAUCACUGCUAAACGGGUUGAGGAAAUGAUUAUCAUAUAUAUUAUAGUAGGACAAGAAUGAAAUAAAAUAAAAGGACAGGAAUGAAAUAAAAAAGACAAAAUACUACGCUUAAGUGAAUAACAUGAAGUCCUAUAUCCUUUGUGCGGCAAUUCAUUGAUAGCUAUUGCCUAAAUUAAGUGAAAAUAUAAAACACGUAGUGACCUAAAUCUCUCAUUUUACCAGACAAAGUACUUCGACUACCUCACUCUUUAGGCCUCACCGUAUGUAUGAAAGGGAAGGAAAUUCUACAAUAGUUCAUUUAAAAUCCCCAAACGAAGGGUAUUCAAUCUACACAUCAAAAAGUUCGCUGUUAACUGCUUGCACCACUUGUCAACUUUACUAAUCUGACCUAAUUUGCAUGGCUUCUCGCUGUCCUAAUAUAUCAUGGGUGCAGUUAAAAAUUUCUCAUCCAGGCUAGCAGUCAAGCUGUUAAUAAGGAACUAGUCAAGGGUCUAACAUUUGAUGGUGAAAAAGCUAAAUUAAUAAUAUUGAAUGAAACCCGAUAUGAUUAUAUCAUAAGAACUAUGGAUAUAUGGCACCAAUGUACUACAAAAAACAGAAUCUUUAUGCCAUUUCUUUCCGCUGAUCAUUCCAAAUAGUUACCUUGCAGCCGCCUCCAUUGUGCAGCUUCCUGGAGAGCUUUCAGUUCCACCUACAUCACAGUAAUUUAGAAAGAAAAAGAAUGAUCAACGAAAAUGACACAUGCAACAUCAAAAAAAAAAAAAACAUCACAAUCUAAUACUGAAUUUCGAUAUAGUAUUUAGUCAUUAAGUCAUGACCAUCGACUAAUGGUAACUAAGACAUUUAAGUAUCAACAGAGGAACAGGUAGUCUCGAUACAACCAAGCAUUAAUGUCAAGAAACCAUACCUUAAACUUUUCCUGCUCUUCUUUUUCUUCAAUUUUCUGAUCUAUAGCUUUUCUCUGCAAACAAGCAUGGCCGCAUUAAAAGCUCAUCAACUUAAAACACCAGAAAUAAUUAAAUACAAUAACAGUGUGAUAGCCAUGACAGAACAGUGAAGUUCUCUGGCAUGUUUAUGUAUUACUCGAAAACCCAGUUAGUCUUACUAAGUAAAAAACAAUGCAUAAGUGAAGAUCAAUAAGUUUCAUGCCAUUGUGAGUGUUACGCUUAUUUGGAAUGUGAGUUCAUAUAUUUUCCUAAAAGAUCAAGAUGUUUUAUGCAAGGGCAUGUGGUACAUAUAUACAAUGAACAUUCAUUUAUUUUCCGACACGUAUUCUGCUUAUGCUAAGUUCUCUCCUGGUAGGCUUGGUUGAAUCAAAUUAGUAUGGGAGGAGGUUGCAGGAUUUUGGUAGAGUAAGAGACAAAAAUGAUGAGGCUAAGACCAUGAUUUGAACCACUAUAUCGUUCCUAUUGCUCUUGACUAGCGGAUUGCGAAGAUACGGUCAUUCAUAAAAAGAAAAAUUCUGACAAAGAAACUGAAAUGGUUGUCAGGUAAAGGAACAUCCGAAAUUGACAGAAAACAAUAAACAUUUAAUAGCUUGAUGCUUUAUAGCAUAGUAUUUUAUAAGAUGCGAGGACAUGCAUGGAGCAUGCAUGCUACUAGUUGAUAAACAUAAUAAAGCAAAUUUUCUAGUCUCAUACAUUAUGUUCAUAGUUCUCAGAAGUUGCGAACAUUAGGUUAUUAUACUUUGCUAGCAAUCCUACAAGAAUGAACCAUGUAUGUAAUUAAAAAAGAGCUAAAAGCAACAUGUCCUUUUGUUUUCUUUGCCAAAAGAACAGUAUGCAAUAGUAAAAGAGCAUAAAGCAACAUGUCCUUGAUUGUUUCUUUGCCAAAAAACCUAAGGGGUAUUUGGUUUCCUAAAAAACAGUUUUCUAGCUGGAAAUGUAUUUUCGGCCCAUUUGAUCCUAGGAAAAAUAGUUUUCCUGGGAUUCAUGGAGUAGUGUUUUUUGUUUUCUGAAUUUUGAAUCGACAAAAUAAAAAAUAUGGAAAAGGGUGUUUUCCAUGGAAAACCUUUUCCCAGAAAAUAGUUUUCCACGCUCUUCCAAGGAACCAAACAUAGGGUAAGCUGGAAAAAACACUUUUAAGAAAAUUCCAAACCAAAAAUUGCUUCCUAUUCAUACCUUAUCAGGAUCUUGUAAAUCUUUGAAAGCCUUGUUCAAUAUAACAAAUGCUUGGUGUGCCUGUGGAUGCGAACAUUUAUCUGGAUGUACCAUAAGAGAUAAUUUCCAAUACCUGUACCGACAAAUGCAUUAGAAAACAAGGAAAAUAACAGAAUUAUCUUCACAACCAUUUUCAGUUAAUAAACAAUUCCAAAGUAGUUACAAGAAAACAAAAUCACAGACUACACAAAAUAAAGUGAUUGAUUGCCAAAACACAAUAUACACACAGAAAAUAAUGACAGUAACAUACAGUGUUCCAGAUUAUGCAGCAUUUCCUGAAUUGUUAAGAUUUUCAAGGAACUGGCUUUAAUUUGGUACACCAUAAGAUUAUCACAAUCGGGAUGGCAUAAGACUAUCACAACAACUAGGCUGGCAGCUGGUAACCAAGAAAAUUUACUUGGAUCCUGUAGAAUCCAAAUCCAAAUCUCAGCCCUGAGAUCUCUGCCCAAUUCUGGCUUAACCUGCACUACAUACCAAUAUACCAUACAAUACAACUAACUCCUUUGCCAGCCAAUUGGCGAUAAAAUGUUACCCUUAACAAUAAAAAUAAUACUACCUGAUUCUAACUAAAAAUGGACUGAUGAGGCAAGGCAGCUCAAACCUUUGCCCCUUUGCUAUUUAUUGGAUGGCAUUCCUAAACUAAGCAAUUCCAUUAUCCCAAAUAUUAAGGGUCACAGGACUUGUGUCAAAAAAAUAUCAGAUAAUAUCUUUUCCAUAAUCUUCUACAAACCCGCUGUCUGAAGCCUCAAGGCCAAGAAGUCUGCAGCUAAAUUCCCUACACAACCGACCUUGGUGUUCUGGUCUAGAUUGAUUGAAGAAGUUUAUUAGGGGUAAUAUUAGUUGGAAGAAUUCCAUUUGUUUUCUGUUUUAUUUUACCAUUUUAACUUAACUCCUGAAGAGAUUUAUAAUAGACCAUUUGUGCUGAUUUGGCCUAACUCAUUAUUACUUUUUCCAUUAAAUAACUAUAAAUGUUGCUAAAUAUAAAUCAAAAUUGCUUUGCACUUUGAAGGUUAUUCUACUUGCUGAUUUUAAAUUAAAUUUUAGUUUUGAUAAUUCUCCCUUCAAAUCUCUUGGUUCACGUCGUCCAUAACUGGAUAGAAACAAAUGCAUACUCGAUACUUUGCAUACCAUAAAUAGAAUAAGCACAUAUUUAUAGUUGCCUUAUCUGCUUAGUUUAAAUAAUCAUGUAAUUUGCUAAAGAUGUUUUUUUUAAAGUUAAAUUUUAAGAUAUCAAUUAAUUCAAAUCAUUAACCCUGUUGAAUUUGAGUAAUUUCAGAUCUCUCCAUAUCAUGCAAGAGAUUGUAUGAGAAACCAAUACCUUUAACGAUAAAAGAAGACAUAAGAUCUAACAAAUAUAAUGACCCAUAACAAGGGAAAAGAUACAUAGUAAAAGAAAAUUUGUAUGAGAAACUAAUAAGUUUAAUGAAAAUUAUGGCCAAAGAUCUAAAUGCAUGGAAGAGAAGUAAUCAACCAAAAUGGUAGCAGGCAAGAAUUAAGAUAGUACUCAUAAGAGGUACCGUUACUCAGGCUAUGAAAUGAAUCCACAAUAAGAUACAGCACAAGCUACACACCAAUUAGAUAUGUGGACAAGUAACAACUAGACACUGCACAGAUUAAAACUAAGGAUACAACAAAAAGGGAGUAUGGCUACACGACAACAAGUAGAAAAAGGAUAAAAGAUUCAUCACCUUUUCUUGAUGUUAUCAGAUGACAUCUUCCAAUUUAUUCCAAGCACAUCAUAUGGUGAAUCAGUAUCAGCCCCAGCAAUUCGAGCUACCUUAUAAAAACAAGGGAAGAAAUUGAUAAGUAAACAAAGGCCCUAACGAGUGAUAUGUCGUCUCAGAUUUGAAAAAGAAAAUGGAAUCAAUUUAUCAAUUCUUGUAAAUUGUCAAAUAAAAAGCUUACACAUUGCACAUAAAUGAUCAGCAUUAAUCACUGUUGAAACUUUAAAAAUACAACAUCUAACACCAUGAGAAAAUAGUUUAUUCGAUCAGGAUAAAUAAGAAAACGCUUGCAAAUUGAUGCACUUAGCUUCAUUUACACACAGCUUGGACUAGUACAGAUCCAGUUAGGACUUGACCAGCCUUUACGACUCCAUUUAUAACUACUAUUUUUUAAUUCUAACACAAUGAAUUAUAGAGGUAAGAAAUUUCAUGGCUUUUCUGCCCCCAUGCCUACUUAGCUAGACUUUAACCUUAAUAACUCCCCAACAGUCGACAACCACCGCUACUAUCAACACCACAAUGAAGAUGAAGGGUCUCUACAGUAUAACUACUUUUAAUAUAAGAAAACAGAAGAGCUACAAUGCACUCUGUAAGGAACUCUUCAAAAACUUGACAAUAAUAACUAGGAACCCUAACUAGAUUUGGCGCCACAUAGGGGACUUACUUUUUGAUUAAAUGCGGAGAUACAUUUGGUUGAAGAAGCUACUUUCAAAAUAGCAGAAAGAAAAGGAUGAAAGCUGUAGGCUGCAUUUGAGGGUAUUUUACAAGUCACGAACUACUUAUUGGUGGCACACUGACACUUCCAGGUUUAGCCACGUAGGUGUGACUAAGUACCGAGACGUAAUGCUCAAGAAAUUUUGUCGUCAACAAUCUGAGGCAUAGGUUUUUUUUUUCCUACAGGUGAAGUGUUCCUUUCACAGGCACAAAUGGGUAGAUAACUAUAAGUCUUCAUAGGAUGCAACAUGUAAACCAGAUAGAGCAUGAAGUGAUAAAAUCAGAGAAGUUCCACCAUCUGACAACGUAACUUCCUAAGACUGAGGUAGCGCCAGCAAAAAAAGGACGGAAAACAGUAUUUGAUAAUAGACAAUCUAAUUAAGAUUUAAAUGCAAAUGCAACCAAUAUUCCCUUGCAAACUUUUAUAACAGGUUAAGAAUUCAGGAAACUCCUAGCAUGGCUUCAGUUGUCGUUGAGAAAAAGAUCACAAGAAAUCUCUAUGGUAAGAAGAAUACAGAGCAGAGAGUAGAAUUACUUGAGGGGGAAAAAAAGGAAUGUACUAAUCACACAUCGAGUUCCAUAAAAAACACAAGUGUGAUGGCCCUAUGAGUAGAACUACUCUCCAAGAGCACUUCAAAAGAAAAUCAACUACGAAUUCCAAUGUUUUCACCAAUUGGCUCAAAGUACAUCAUUAAAAUACCAAAGCAAAAAACACAAAAACAGAAGAGCUUCAUGUUAGGAGUAAAAAUGGACCAAUAAAAGCAUGAGAAAAGGCAGACUGUAAAAUCGUACAAAAUUCAAGAAAAGAGAUGCACAAAUUAUAUAAAUCAACUGCCUUUUCUGGUCACCGGAACAGGAUGAAAUAUCUCAGGUCAAAAUUCUAAAGGGCAGACUAUUUAAGCAGUUCCGCUACAUUGAGUCAAGAUUAUUGUGUUUUAAGACAAAAAAAAAAAUCAAAGUAAUAGCUCAUAUUCCUAGAAAUAAAGGAUGCAAAGAAGCAUUACAAGGAGUGCAAUUUGCUCACAUUAUAAUUAUCAGUUUUGAAAAGGAAAUAAUACCUCCUCAAAGCGCUCAGCUUCAUUUGCAGAUUCAACCUCAGCAACCAUGGCAGGUGGAGGGGGACCUAUUAGCAAAUCAUUGUCAACUUCCAAGUCAGCAUCCCUGGAAAUCAUAAACAAUAUUACCUCAAAACUGAAAGUAUGCACUAUCGUGGCUGUAUUCAUAGUAUAUGCUACCAGCUUUAAAAUAAUAAACAUACAAGAAACCAUUACUGCAAACUAAUAAUAUACAAAAGGCAAUGUCGUAAAGAUCUACAAAAUAAUAUGAUACACGAAAAAGAUUUUAAUGCUAUAAACUAAAACUAAAGCAAAUUUGCAGAAGUACCUUAGCAAAUUCUCAGCCUCAGUCAACUCAGCUGCUGCAGCCAGUAACUCGCGAGAGGGCAUUUCAGGACCAAUAACCCUGCAGGAACAUACAAUAUAAGAGAAGUAGAGUACUAACGACAAUCUAAAUUCAAUUCAGAAAGAAGUAGAGGACGUACUACAAGUAGGUUUCUUAGUGGGUUAUUAGGGAACUACAGCAAUUUAGGCGAAAAUGGAAAUGGGAAGCACUGGAGUAGAUAAUCAUCAAGUUUUGAAAGACACAAUGCCUAGGGGAUACAAAUUCUUUCUCAAGCAGAGAGAUUGAGGAUAUGAAAUCAAGCAUGGUCGUCCUAGAAUAAACUCUAUGGAAGGUUAGACAAAUUAAUCAGUCAACAUGAGUGGUUUCAAGAAGCACGAAAAACUAAAGGUACAGUGAUAAGUUUCUUUGAAAGAUUGGGGAAGAAUUAUUACAAUGGUGAAAGAACAAAAUGUUCUUUAAGAGGUACAGCGAUAAGUUAAUCAGUCAGCAUGAGUGGUUUCAAGAAGCAAAAUGUUUUCAAGCAUGAGUGAUGUUUUCAAGCAUGGUCCUCCUAGAAUAAACUCUAUGGAAGGUUAGACAAAUUAAUCAGUCAGCAUGAGUGGUUUCAAGAAGCACGAAAAACUAAAGGUACAGCGAUAAGUUUCUUUGAAAGAUUGGGGAAGAAUUAUUACAAUGGUGAAAGAACAAAAUGUUCUUUAAGAGGUACAGCGAUAAGUUAAUCAGUCAGCAUGAGUGGUUUCAAGAAGCAAAAUGUUUUCAAGCAUGAGUGAUGUUUUCAAGCAUGGUCCUCCUAGAAUAAACUCUAUGGAAGGUUAGACAAAUUAAUCAGUCAGCAUGAGUGGUUUCAAGAAGCACGAAAAACUAAAGGUACAGCGAUAAGUUUCUUUGAAAGAUUGGGGAAGAAUUAUUACAAUGGUGAAAGAACAAAAUGUUCUUUAAGAGGUACAGCGAUAAGUUAAUCAGUCAGCAUGAGUGGUUUCAAGAAGCAAAAUGUUUUCAAGCAUGAGUGAUGUUUUCAAGCAUGGUCCUCCUAGAAUAAACUCUAUGGAAGGUUAGACAAAUUAAUCAGUCAACAUGAGUGGUUUCAAGAAGCACGAAAAACUAAAGGUACAGCGAUAAGUUUCUUUGAAAGAUUGGGGAAGAAUUAUUACAAUGGUGAAAGAACAAAAUGUUCUUUAAGAGGUACAGCGAUAAGUUAAUCAGUCAGCAUGAGUGGUUUCAAGAAGCAAAAUGUUUUCAAGCAUGAGUGAUGUUUUCAAGCAUGGUCCUCCUAGAAUAAACUCUAUGGAAGGUUAGACAAAUUAAUCAGUCAGCAUGAGUGGUUUCAAGAAGCACGAAAAACUAAAGGUACAGCGAUAAGUUUCUUUGAAAGAUUGGGGAAGAAUUAUUACAAUGGUGAAAGAACAAAAUGUUCUUUAAGAGUGAUGUAUAACGCCGAUAUAUCUUGGUUGGUUUUAAUAUGUGUGGAUAUGUCGAGUCUUUGUUAAGAUGAAAACAUGUUUUUCCAUGUUAUCAUGAAUGCAAGUUACUUGAGACUUCAUGAGAAAUCCAUUUCCCACAUGAUAUGAUAUUAUAGAAUGUUUGUAUUGAUGUAUGACAUUUCAACGUUAGUUUCAGCAUGGAGCACUAUUACUCUCCUUUACUAAAGAAUCAUUUUUUGUGUACGAUUAAAUUAUCUUAUGCCGAUAAUUUGAACAUUGAAAUACCAGUAUUACUUUUAUUUGCGCAUUUUCGUUAAAAAGAAUUACUGCAUUUGUUAUAAUUCAUUGGCUGGUGUUAGCUUGUGGGAACUCAAAUUAUGCAUGCAAAAUCAAUAAAGAGUAGUCUGGGUCAAAAUAGAUUCAUUCUAGCCAACUUAACCAUUAGGGCACAUUUGGUUCGCGCUAUGCAACAUUCUUGAUUAUUUCAACAUAACCAAGAAUAUGAUUCCUAUGAAUCAAAUUACUACUAAUGUUGUGUUACUGUGGACGGUUCAAUGCACUAAUUGUAUGUUAGAUCAUUGCAAUCAAUGUUUUAAAAAAGUGCGAGGCACAAAAAAGUGCAGUCCUCCCAGAGCCUAGGCUUAAGGCGCACCAUGAGGCGCGCGCCUCAAAAAGGUGAGGCGCAUAUUUAAUUUUAAAAAAUUCUUAACUAGCCUAGUUUAAUUGAUUGCUACAUAAAAAAGAUUCCAAAACAACUAUACGAAAGUAAAAUAACCAUGAAAAGCAAAUCACAUGCAUAAAUGUUCUCAAAGAGUCCAAAAAGAAAAUUAAGAGAAGAAUCACACAAAGAACGCAAAAAAGGUAUCACACAUGUACAUCUGAUAGAAAGAAAGAGAAGAAUUUUUUCCCACCAAUUCAAAGAAAUAUGAAGAAGUAAAAAAGAAAAAGCCUCACCAAAACAUCAUAUCCUAUCAAAAGAACUUAAAAAAAAAAAGGUUCAAGAUAGAAUUAUUUAGAGAAUUGGAGUAUAGAGACCACACCAAAACUAUUGUUGCUUGCUAUUGCCGCUGCCGCCUACUGUUGCUGCUUUGUUGCCAACUUGCCAUUAGAGAGAGAUGGGAGGUAGGGAGAACGAGAGAGAGAGAGAGAGAACGACAAAGAAAAAGAAGAAAAGGGUUCUCAUUAGGAUUUUCUAAAUUCCUUUACGAAUUAGAAUAUACUGAUGAGUCCGAGACCCAAGAACCCAAACGCUAGGCCUUUUUAACUUACAUAUCACGAGGCGCGCGCCUCAACUGCACCUCAUGCCUGGCCUGAGGUGUGUGCCUCAAAAUCUAGGCGGGCACCUCAAAGAGGGCGUUGCACCUCAAAUUCUCGAAGGCGCUAAGGCCCUCGCCUCGCGCCAAGGCGCCUUCUCAAACACUGAAGGCAAUGUUAGAAUAUUGCAAUGUUUAGAUUAUUGCACAUGCAAGAUUACUGUGUUUGGCCCCCGCGGCCAAGUCCUGGCCGACUCCGAAGGGGGAUAGUCCGAUAGAGAAAAAGGGGUAGAUAAAGGGAGAGGAGAUGGGGAUAGAGAAGAAAUAGGAAAAUAAAGGGAGAGAGAUGGAGAGAGAGUACUAUAAAUCCCUAGAGAAUGGAGAGGUGGAGAGUAGGAUCGGGAGAUAGAGAGAUACACAAAUUCAAACUAAGAUGAAGAUAAAGAGCCAAGAAGAGGUUUUUUGGGUUGGGGGGAGGGGUAAUUUUGAAAUUUUUUAGAAGUUGCAGGAUAACCCGCAACCAAUAAUACCUACCAACCUCCCCCGUAAUAUUUUUGGGUUAAUCCUGUAUUGUUACUUUAUUAGGAAUCCUAUAUUACGUACGAGAUUACAUGCGGGAUGAACCAAAUACAAUUAUCUAAAAAGAUUCUUGCAAGAUUUUCCAUAAUAUUGGCAAGAUAGCAUGAACCAAACACGCCUCUAAGAUAAUCUGAGUGCAUUCGUAGUUUAAUUGCGUGACAAGCGACGCCAUGGAUUGAUAGCACGGCCCUUAUCAGCUAAGUCAUAUGUAUACUUGAAAAAGCUUCACAAUUAUUUUCAAAGGUCAAAACCAUCAGCUAACAAGAAGAUAUUACAUUUUAAGUAAUUUGGCUUAAUCCUAUGAUAUAUAUGAAAGGAGAAAGUCAUAGAUUUUCUCAAUUUUUUGAAAUUUUUUUCUCAAUAUCAUAUAAUAUUAUGUUAAAGUAUUAAGAUACAGUCAUGUAUACAUUACUUCCGUUCCCUGCAUCGACAUAAUAUUUGUGAAAUGCACUCUUACAUAUAGGACCCUGUAAAUAAGUUAAUUAUGGAAAUUACACUAAUAUGAAUUACUUGAUUUUUAACCUCAAAGAUUUCUAGUAUAAAAAAAUGUCUAUAAUUAAUUGUCCGUAAACUGUCCAAAUUGGUGUUCAACUGUAUUCCACCCAUUGCAUAGUGUGGGCUACACUAGUUUUGUGAUAACAAAACAAGGAAGAAAGCAAUGUCACUGGUGGAGAUGAGAAAAAUCAGUAUGUAUAAAGGAGAAAGCACAAGAAUUUUAGCUAGGCACAUUAAGGUAAAUAUAUGUGCAACGAAACUAUUCAUAAGUUACCCACAUAAUCACAUUUUUGAGUUUCUAAAAAGGAAACAUGAGAAAAGAACAGAUGAUCUUACCUUCUUUUAGUAGGACGUGGAGAUUCUUCUUUCUCACUAGGUCCUCUCAAAUCUACAGUGGCAUGGUCAUUUCUAUUUUCCGUGAAUUCUGCAUUAGAUGGCAGAGAUUGUUCUUCAUGUAGAAGCCCAGAGUUUGAAAGUUGAUUGCCUGAAGGUUCAAGAUGUGGAGAUGGUGAUCCAGUAAGAUCAAGGGUAGGAAGACCCAUCUGGCGCGGCAAGUAAAUCCCACUUUCAUUUUGUUUUAGCUUCAUUGACCGGAAAAGUUUCUUUAAGAGUGCAACCAAUGACUUGUCAGAAAUUCCAGUUAUAUCAACACCUUGGCCAUUUUCAAUCAUUUGAAGAAGCUGCAAGAGUAAGUAUAUCAUUUGUCAAAAUGCGACUGAUAGUAAGGCUUCGUUUGGGAUUGCAGGGAGAUUGCGUUACGUGCGGUGAGAAAGUACGUUGGAAAAAUACUAUGUUUGUUUCAAUACGUAAUAUUGCGUUCCGCAUAUCGCGAUGAGUCGGUUACGAUAUAUUUUCUGCGGUUCCACCGGAGAACGCAGAAGCAUAUUCCUAUAUGCUUUUUCCUCAACUCCAUUUUAUCUAAUAGCGUUAGAUAUACCUCGAUACCAAACUAAGCCUAAGUAGCAAAGGCAAUAGUUUCUGCAAUAAACAACAUUUUACCAAUCCAACAAGUUAGAACAACUACACAUACCUCUAUAGCGAUCAGCAAAAUUUGUCGUAUCAUAUAAUAUAAUGGCAACUUUUUCUUCAAUAAUUCAAUUAAUGGCAACUUUUCCUUCAAUAAUUCAAUAUCUUUCUUUUAAUAAUUUUGUUACAUAUUCCAGAAUAAUUCCUUUUCUUCUGACCACCAUCAAUUUUCCUAUAAUUUCCCAUUUUCGCCUUCAUCAAAACAUUCUUAACCCCAUACAGUCUAAUUUUUCUAAUCCAACCUACAUCGAAUCAUUCUAAACCAGAAUUUUCUCCCAGAAUAUAUAUCAAAUUACAUGCUUGGAAAUCAAUAUAUCUCUUUAUAGAUUCUAGUUAGUAUACUAUUAUGGGUACGAUCGUGUUUGAACUCAUAAAUCGUUUUAGAUGAAAUAGCUUACAAACUGACGAUCCAUACCAGUAGACAAACUUUAGAGUAUUUAAACAUUCCGAAAACCGAAUUUCGUGAUCUUUUGACAUCAUAUUACUUACGAUCAAAAGGCCUUAAAAGUUAUAAUUCAACCUAUAUCGAAUCAUUCUAAGCAGAAUUUUCUCCCAGAAUAUAUAUCCAAUUACAUGCUUGGAAAUCAAUGACCUAAGUAACAAAGAUCAAAUUUUGCUAACAAUAUACCAAACUAACACUUCAAUAACUGCUAAUUAUUUGGCCAAUUCAUCAACAGCUCAUCAAAAUCUGCUCCAUACCUGUUGAAGCUCCCCGGCCACGCUCGGGAACUUGCGGAGGAUGGACCGAACGAUCUCCUGCGGCUCCGAUACAUCACAAUCCGAAGAAGAAGAAGAAGAAGAAGAAGAAGAAGAAGAAGCCCUAGACGACCUCUUGCUUCGCCGCCGCCGCCGCCGCCGACGCCGAUCGUCGUCGUCGUCGCGAGAGCUCCUCUUCUUCUCGGAUCUGCGGGUACCGCUGCUCCUCUUCUCGUGACGAUGCUUGCGGCUGCUGCUUCGGGCGCUCGACCUCUCGCGCUUCCGACUACGAUGGCGAGCGCUAGGGUUUUCGAUCUCGGAGGAAGAGGAAGAGGAGGGGGAAGAGGAGUGGGAUCGCCUGGUGCUGCGGCGGUGCUUGGGUUCGAAAUCCCUCGCCAUUUUUUUGUUUCUUGUUGUUUAGAGAGAGAGAGAGAGAGAGAGAGAGGAGGGGGUAUUGGCGUUUCGAGGGGAAUGGGUCGGCGUAGUCACGUGGAACGCACGUGAGUCAGAUUGGAUAAUUUCUAGGCUAAAUUACUGAAAAACCCUCGGUCAAAAUCUGUAGUUUUUAUUUUCUUUCUCUGUAAUUUAAAAAACUACCCUUUAUUUUUCUACACACCGUUUGGUUCGAAAAUAAAAAAGGUGUUAGCGGGUUAACCCCUUUUAUCCCCAAACGGAAACAAAUGGGAGUGAGGUUUGGUCACAAAUUGGGAAAAUUCGCGCCUACUCUGACUUUCGCGAGACAUGCAAGAAACGAUAAUAAAUCUCGCCGUUAAUUAAGUUAAUUAGAAUUUGAAAUUUUGAAUAGAAAAAUUGGGAAGAAAAAAUAGAUGUGAAUCAAACAAAGGCGGGGGAUAGCCUUAUUUAUGACAAAUUUCAAAAAGGUAGGGAAUAACCCUAUGAUAAAGAACUCAAGUUCAAGUAAAGAAGUAAAAGUUUUAGCUCAACAUAUAUGUAUGUCUAUUUUAAAAGCACGAAGAGUAAUUGAUCAGAUUCGCGGGCGUUCCUAUGAGGAAACACUUAUGAUACUGGAACUCAUGCCUUAUCGAGCAUCUUAUCCCAUUCUAAAAUUGGUUUAUUCCGCAGCAGCAAAUGCUAAUCAUAAUAUGGGUUUGAACGAAGCUGAUUUAUUCAUUAGUAAAGCCGAAGCCAAUAGGAGUACUAUUGUGAAAAAGUUAAGACCCCGGGCUCGAGGACGUAGUUAUCUGAUAAAAAGACCGACAUGUCAUAUAACAAUUGUAUUAAAAGAUAAAUCGAAAUCAUUUUUAGAUCAAUCUAAGAUUUAGAUUCAUAUAAAAAAAAAAAAAUAUAUAUAUAUAAUAGAAAAAUAUGGGACAAAAAAUGAAUCCACUUGGUUUCAGACUUGGUACAACUCAAAGUCAUCAUUCCUUUUGGUUCACACAACCAAAAAAUUAUUCCGCGGGUCUACAGGAAGAUGAAAAAAUACGGAAUUGUAUCAAGAACUAUGUACAAAAAAAUAGGAAAAUAUCCUCAGGUUUCGAAGGAAUUGCACGUAUAACAAUUCAAAAAAAAAUCGAUUUGAUCCAAGUCAUAAUCUAUAUUGGAUUCCCAAAUUUAUUAAUAGAGGGGCAAACACGAGGANAUUAUUAUAUUUAAAUUUUAAAUUUGGUAUUUUAUAUGUGAAAUUUUAUAUUUGUUAGAUUUGAUUUAAAAUUUAUAACUUUAAAUUUUUAAAUUUGAGAUUUAAAAAUAUAGAUUUUAAUUUUGAAUUUUUUAAUUUUAAAAGUUAUCUUAUAAAUUUGAAAUUUUAAAUAUAAAAUAAAAAAUUUAAAUUCAAAUAUAAUAAUUGGGGCAAUAUCAUUAUUUUCUAUUUAUAACUACCCAAUAUCCUUCUUAUUCCACUUAUUCCUACCAAACACUAUUUUGUUUAUACCUGGACUAAACCCAAUUCUCAACCAAACACAAAAUUACUCUACCCCACCUUAACCCUGAACUUAACCCUAUCCGCAGUCUCUUCUCCUCCAUCCUUCAUGCCUCCCUCAACCCCAAUUUCAACUCAACUCCGCUGGCUCCACCUGCUAUACGGGUUAUUCUCUCAUAGAAAAGAACACAAAAAAAAAUAGAGAAAAAUAUUUAUAAAUUCGUGAGUAAUUUGUGAGCUCUCUUGUGAGAAAGAGAAGCCACAUCCUCUAUUAACUUAUUGUUAUAGAGGGUCUUGAAUGAUGGAUUAAAAAUCGUAAUCGUUCGUAGUUUAAUCUACCACAGGUUUGGAGCUUUAAAAGACCUGCAUGGACGAUCCGAGGACACGUAAAUCAAUAUCUACAAUCUAGGCUCAUUGCAUUUUAGUGUGAGUCGUUUCCGCAAAAGAUACGACUGAAUACUUCUGUUGCAUUCUACAAUAACUUUAAAAGAGAAGCAUCCAAUAAAAAUACGAUAUUAAUAAAUUUUAAUAGUGCCUACCCGCUGCGAAGCGCGGGUCCUUAACUAGUAUAUACUAAUGACACUAUGCUCCAACUCUCUACAUAUAUAUGCUAGUGAAGGAGUUUGUGUUUAGAAGCAGUUAGACAUAAAAACAAACAUAAAAUUUUAUAUUCAAACAUAAAAUCAUAAUAUUUUUUCUAAUAUAGAUAUAACAAGCAUAACAAAUACCAUCCCCAUCUCCUCAAAACCCUAAAAAGAGCUCCUUUUUUUCUCCCAAAAAAUACCCCACGCCUAAUCAACAAAUCCCUAGCUUGCUUAUACCCUGCGGCCCAUCCCAAACCUACAAAUCCACGCAUAAUUUAAACAAUUAAAUUGGGAAGUUAGGGAAAAGAUCUAAGGCGAGGGCUUUUACAACCUGGUAAGCGCGGAAACUGGAAAAUGUGUGAAAUUUUCGAAAAAAAAAUUGAAUUUUACUAUGUUUGAGAGAGAAAAAACCCCACCUGAGCAUCCCAAAUUGAGUGGAUUGAAACAUCCGCUUCUAUGAGAGGGGGGCGAAGAAGAAGACGACGAGGAUGACGAACGAGAAGGAGCUCAAAGAGGCUAACAAUGACGGCAGAGAUUGAAGGGAGAGAGAGUGAGAGAAAGAGAGAUCUCAAUGAGUUGUAUGCGUUUGAGCCUAUCUACAAGACACACCUAGAAAAUUUUAUAAUUAUUAACUAGUGAAAUUUAUUUAGACUACUCAUUUUACCUAUCAAAUAAGUAGUCUAAAAAUGAACGACUGAAAAUAAAAAUCUCAUAAAAAAUGAUGAUAAAAGACUUGAAUUUAAGAUUAGAGGUAUUGAUCUUACUCUAAAUAGUGAAAAGAAUUUUUUAUAAAAAUUUCAUCAGAUUUAGAGUGUUUUACACUGUUAAAUUCACAAACGCAUCACAUUCAUCAUUAAAAUUGUCAAUUUUGAGACCUUUUAAUCACUAGCCAAAUAAUACCGAAAAAUUAUGAAAUUUAGUUUCAAAUACUGUUAAUAAUAUAGAUUAAGUCUAAUGGAGCCGAUCGUCAAUUUGGAACCCGCAUCAUUGAAAACAACUUGGUAUUACGGAGGCCUCCGUGCUACCGAUAGUAUACCAGCCUAGCUCGUUAGUAGCGGAAGACAAAUGAUGAAAACGUAUAAUAACUUUGAGAACUCUUCGAAAAUGUUGACUAAUAGUUUUCUCCGCCACGAUGAAAACGUUUUUUAAUUGUUCGAUUACUUGCAAUUUUCAAUAAUAUAUAUAAAAAUAUAGCCACUUGCUCUUUAACUGUUUUCUGUAUCACAUAGUAGAUUUUUCUCUCUGAAGAGUUACACAAGUGAUUGGAAAACAUCAAUUUAUACGAGUAGAUGCAUGAAGCUAAGAUAAUAGUUUGGAUUCUCUAAAACAUCUCUUUCAUUAGUUGUUGAUACACUAGUAAAUUCAUGGCGCUAUGAUGUUCUAUUUGGGAUUACAAACAGUAUGAACUACAUAUAGUAGAAAAGUGCAUUAGGCAAGUAUCUCAAUUUUUUCCGUAAGGAUAAGCAUGCUGUGUCGAUUCUAUUGCUUUUGAUAAAGGUAUGAUUUUUGCAAUCUUACUGAAAACGAAGAAUUAAUCUCUACAUGUUUUCAUUCCAACUCAUUUUCUUUUAAUAACAUUAUAUAUCUCUCAAUACCAAAUUGUCCUUAGAGAGCAUGCAUGAACUCAUUAAAAUUUGAAUUUUAAUAGAGUUAGCAAAUAUUAUAAUUAUAAAAAUGGCAUUUUAAAAAAUUUAUUUGCAAAAUUAAGCUUACGCCAUGAAUGACUCACUUCUUUUUAAAUGCAGCAAAUUAUUCACUACUUUUUUUAAAGAAUUAAUAUUAUUUUUAGUAUUUAAUAUUAUACAUCUUUUAGAGUUUUGAUGUAAAAAAUAUAUAAGUUAGGAAAAAGCGGUGAAUGAUUUAUCGUUUUUAGAAAGUGGUGAAUUAUUCGUUGUGUAUGUAUAAUUUUAUAAAUAAAAAUUUAGAUGUCUAUUCUUACAAUUAAAAAGUUCCGUAGGCUUAUAACCCAAAAACCCUUCAAAAUUAUCUAUUGAUUUCCAUAGAAUCUUGAGUUCCAUACUUCUUAUUGACAUCUGGAAAGUCUAUUAUCUUUCUUUUUACUUAAAAACAAUCCAAUGAAUGCUGCGAAUCAAAUACUCCCUUGGCGAAAUGGAAGGGUGAGAUAGAAUUUUAGAGUCGUUAUUAAUUUAUUAACCAUAUGCUAAGGCUUUCUACAUCUUUCUACAUUAUGGUGUGCAUAAUUUGAUAAUGGAGAAGAUUGAAAAGCUUCCAAACUCCACUGAACACAAUGAUCAAGGACACGUAGCUUGGGAAGGUGAUAUAUACUCUCAAGUAAUUGGGGAGGAGAGACAUGGACAGGUGCGUGGAUUAGGACUUGGUCCGACGCCAACUAGCUUAUGGUCUCCCGGUUCCGUAUAUCAAUCAUCUUCAAAGGAUUUUGAGAAAAUAAAAGAACUGGAGAGAGAAAUUAAACUGAUGGAGCAAUAGCGUGUGAAGGAGAUGAAAACUAUGAAAGAAAAUCAAGAUCGUUUAGAGGCUGAAGUUGCAAUGAUGAGGUCGAUCAUAAGUAGACGAUUUCCCGAAGAUUCGGUAUCUUGUUGUUCUCGAUCCCAAGGAAAGGUAAAAGAGUUUUACUAUUUGAAAUUUUUUUGUUCCUUCUUCUUUUUAAUAUUUUUAUAUAUACUUUUAGGUCAUUUUUGAACUAGUAAAUUACUUAUUUGGUAUAGUGUGGUUGGUAAUAUUUGAAGCAAAUUACUUUAAAUCAUUAAUAUUUUCUUGUUAUCAUAACUAAUUUUUUAUUCUCAUAAUGUUCAUGAAAUAGGUUUCUGAUGCUUCUAGUUCUUAUCACGAUAUGGAUGUACAAAUUACUCGUUAAGGUAAUUAUCUUGGAGACUGUCGCUCCUCUUUCACUUCUGUCUUACCGUUAUCUUUUAGUUUGCAUAAGAAAAGAUGAAACUAUUGCACAACUAGAUGGAUUGUUAUCGUCUCUUAGUUGUGGUUUCUGUUAUCGUCUCUUAGCUGCGGUUCCGGUUUGAAAUGUUUAACAUGAACGAGUACAACUUUUCAUUUAACUAAAGCUUUAGAAUGAUUUCUUGUAAUAAAGACAUAUCAAUCUCAUAUUAUCUAAAUAGAUGAGGGUAGGUUUUUUGGGAGUUUUUGUUCUAGGCUAGUUAUACAAGCUUCUUUUUUAAUAUUUUGUCUAUCUGAUGUGCAAACUGAAAGUAAUUUGAGCUUUGAGCUUUCGCUCUAGUAAUAGAACAAGAAAUGUUAAAGAGGGAACUUUGCGGUUUCGAAUUAUUGGAGCUUCUGGUACUAAAGUGAAGUUUGACCCAGUUUAGAGCGAAUAGGGGGGUUCUUUAUGGCUUUUAUUUUUCAUUUUUUGUCUCAUUUGUGGCCUAACUUAGAGAACGCCGUACAAUAAUAAUCGCCGCUAAAUUGUAAUUUUGUUGAUAGACACACCAUUCCUCAGCCACUCCUCUGCCGCUAAUUUAAAAAAUUUAAGCAUGACAAUUUAAGCAUUACGGAGACUGGAUGACAGAAAUAUUACCCGGACAGUAAUAUGGACAGGCUUUGUAAUUAUACGGACAUGUUUGCUGCUCUGAAUAAUUGUUUUAUAUUUGUACAUUACUUUGAGAAGUUCAUUUCGUGACUGGCUUUCCUGAAACUUUUGCAACACAGGCGUUUUCUUUGUUGAUUUGAAGUCUUGAAAGUUUUUAUGGCCUCGUAGACAGCAAAAAGCUAUAUAUUUUCUCCAAAUGAAAAUAUUGUUUAUAUUCACUAGAACUUAGUUUCAACUUGCAACUUAUCUCCUGAUGAAAUGAUUUGUUUGCAUGUGACAAUAUUGAAGAUGCUAAAUUAGAAAUUAUGGUCUUUGUAUUAUCAGAUGAUGUCACUACAACAAAAACGGUCUAUAGCGACACUUUUAAAUGUAGGUAUAUGUCAAAAAAAUGCUGCUAGCUAAAAUUACCGACACUUUUAAAAAGUGUUACUAUAUGUGGGGUCGCUAGGUAUAUAGUGACAGUUAAAUAGUGUCGCUAUAACCUAAAAAAGUGCUGCUAAUUUACCAACAACUUAUUUAAGCAUUUAGCAACCGCCGAAACUCUAUCUCGUUGGCUGCGGUGGCGGAGAAGAACGACAGGAAUGGCUCUUCGUCUAGAAUUUUAGUGGAUUGAGUAAAGAGAGAAGAAAAUAUGGUAAUUGAUUUUUCUUUUUUUUUUUCUUUUCCGUUUGUAAUCGGGUCAAAUGGACUGGGUGUGGUGGGUUAAGUAGAGUAAUCUUUUAUUUUUGGUUGGAUUGGGCUUUAUAUUUAGACAGUAGUAGAUGUUUUUUUAAGUUUUAGUAUAAAUUGAACACUUACUCAAAAGUGUCCCAAACAUGUGUCCCUAUAACCUAAUUCUGUUGUAGUGUGUUUAUGAAGCAAAGGGGUUCAGCAAUUUUGUUGUCAGUUUCUGUUUAGUUUUCUUAAUAUAAACUGAACACACCUGUAGGCCAUGGCUGAUUUGCUAGGCUUAGUUCAAGAGCCCCUGUAGGAAGUUGAGCACUUUUGAACCACCUUGUUCUCUCGACAUUGAAUUUUUUGUGCUCUUGGGUAAUUCUAUAUACAGGGAUUUCAUAUUUGAUCGACAGUUUAUUUGUAGAGAACGACCAGGCCACAUUCAAAAGGAUUUGGGUUCCAAUACUUCAGAAAAGCGAUGCUGGAGGAUCUAGAUUGACUAUCCAUACCAUUGGAGAUGAUCCAGAGUGUAUGAAAUUAUUAGAAACCAAAUUUAAUUGGUUUGGAUGUUCUUACUAAUGCAUUAGUGGAGACAAAAUGAACGGUGCAAAUUAAAUAGCCUUCUUAAGCUUUGUUUAGGUGUUCCCAAUCGAAAAUGUUAAGUGAUUAUUUUUGGUCUUGGCAUCUGAAAAUAAACUCCAUUGUGCUCUUUAACAAUUAAAGGAGCAAGCAUGCUCUAUUAAUCGUCAAGUGUCAAUUGGGAGACCACUUGAUGCAUAGGUGAAACUCAGUGACAAAUUAUUAGUUUUACUCACUAAUACUCAAAAUUGCAAGCAAUGAGAUUGAUAGUCAAUUUAAAUCCUCUAGGAUCGAUUCUAGCGGCAAUUACAAUUUAAGCAUCUAGCGGCAAUUAUAAUUUAAGCAUUCCUAAGGAGACUAGAUGAUGUUUCUGUCAUCUAGUCUCCAUAAUGCUUCUUCACACAUUUUAAGCAUUCACAUUCUAGAGGAAUGGUGUGUCUAUCAGCAUUUCUUUUGAUUUGUUGCUCCUCUUACUGUUAGAAAUCUAGACUUGUUUGGAUCAACUGGCACCACGGGUAUUCUGGAAAUGGUAUUAUCAAUUUACCACUAAACGUUUAUUUUUGCCUGGCAUUUUCGGAUUCAACAUAUUGGAAGAUUUUACUAUCAUCAAAAGCCUGGCUUUUUGCGAGAUAUACCUUCAUUGAUAUAUCCAGGUUGUAUUUUAAAGUUUCCAGCUAUCUGAGGAAGGGUUUGAUCAACACUUGUUAUAAGCUUUGAGAUAUGUCGGUAAACACACAGUAGUCCUGUUGCUCUUGUAGGAUUUUCGUUCUGUCUUUCUUUGUUUUUGUAAAGCUGUUGGAAGAGAUUUGAGCACGGAACUUAUUGCUGCUCUAGUCUAAAUUUGCUGCUUACAGUGAAUUUGUAAAGCUGUUGGAAUAGAUUGAUAUGUUGAACCACUAAAUUUAUUACUUGAGAAAUGUGCUCCGUAGUGAAGAGGAAAGUGGUUUCUUGCUAGUCUUCGUGGUUAGUUAGCUUUGUCUAACUGAGCUUUGAAAAAUUACAUGGCUUAAGUCCUGGUCCUUAAGAUUUUUGGUGUUGGUAUUAUAGGAUGGAGUUCAAAAGCAUGGAUUUAGUUAUGGUCUGAAUCUUUCUACUUACAUUGCCCUGUUUGAGAGAGUAUUUUACUCUAGCCAAAUGACAUUUGAUAUUCUGAAGAUUGGUUUAGAAAUAUUACGAAUGCUUAUAUGCUACCUUUCUCCAUGGAUCUCGUGCUUAUGUUGUUAAUUUAUCAGAUGAGGAAUCAACUUAUUUGCCAUGCUGAUUUUCAAAAGACUCAAGGCAGAGUUGAUUUAUUAGAUGCUCUAUAUUUUUUUUAUAUUAAUGCUCAAUCCAAGUGGUCUUGCAAAUAUGUUGUGAAAUAAUUGAAAUCUGCCAACCAAUUUGUCUUGAUAUAAUAUGGAUUUAUUGUGGGCAGAUAAAAUAGUGUGCGGCCUAUGAUUGGAAUAAUCAACUUUUAGCUAUGAGGAAGUAUUGAGUCCUGUGGGUUUCAAAGCUCUCUCUAGCUUAACUUUUAAAAUCGUUUCCCCUUUAUCCCAUUAUAAAAAUUGGUUAGCGAUUAGUGUUAACCUGAAAGGAUGUCAUUUUGAGUUCUAGGCUAAGAUGAUGAUCUUUUCUCUGGAUUUUGUUAUUGUUUGGCGACAUUUUAUCAACUAUCAAAAUUAGCUCUUGCGUGAUUAAACUCAUUAUCUUCGCCAAUGUAGUAUGAAAUUUCUUUCUUUUCCCCACUAAGAUCAGUUCUGAUCAAGGGCUAUUAGACUUGUUUCUUUUCCCCUAUGUUCUUUACCUUAAGAAUUUAAUGUUAGCAUUUACAUAUUGUGGACAGCAGAUUACUGAUCAGCAAGAAGGACCGCCUUACAAUACAACUGUCGCCGAGCAAGUAUAUUUCUGCCCUUAAUGGAGUGUUUGGUAGAUAUGCAACAAGGUUCAAUAUUAAUACUUUGACACGCCAACUUCAACUAGCUAAUUGGAGUCAAAGGUAUCUAAUGGCAUAGCAAUUCCUUGUUCUUGUCUUAUGUGUAGCUAUGAGGAAGUAUUGAGUCCUGUGGGUUUCAAGUAUCUCUUUAUUGAAGAUAAUGAGUUCUAUGAUGUAAUUGUUUGUCUAGUCUUACCAAUUGCUUUAUAUCUCAUCUAAAAAGUUUAAUUAGCAAAUUAUACUUCAGAAAUAUAUCAACUAUUGGUAGAAUUUUCUAUCACUAGAAUUGUAGAAAUAUGAACUGUCUUGCUAGCUUGCAUAGCCCACAGCUACAAGCUUUUGUGCGGGGGUUUACCUCAAAGCUUCAAUCCCUUGAUCUUGUCAAAUAUUACUAAAAUACGUCGAGUGAUGUGAAAGUCAGAAUGUUCACAUUGAAAGAGCUGCUCUAUUCUGUUCUGCCUUUCAGCACCGUCCACAAAAUUGACUUUGUAAUCAGUUAUUACUAUCCCCCAUAGCGGAACAAUCUUUAUUCCUCAACCAAGCACAAAUAGGAUUAACCAUCAAUCAGAACUUGGUCUUUUACAUUAUUAAUUAUUGUGCGGAUAUGCUUUAUGGUAUUUAUAUAUUAUUAACUAUUGUCUUCUUAUUUGUUGAUGAACAGUACAACCUAACUUCUAUAUUUUUCAGAAAUUUGAUAUGAUGAUUUUAUUUGGUAAUUUCAGAUACUAAUUUUAUGACUUCUUUUUGGUUGAUCCAGAUCAGCUGGAGCUGCGGAAAUUGAAGUGGGGAGCAAGACAUGCGGUGUUUGUUAUUUUUUUGCUACAUUUUGGACAAGUAUUUUUUGUUAGAACUUAUGUUUGAAAUUUAAUUUGAAUUCUGAGAUUGUACUUUGAGAGUUGAGACUAUUUGUUAUACAAAUUAUUAAUGCUUUUUGGUUACUAAUAUUUUUUAAUAUUUCAAUUCAUUGUAGUAUUUAGUUGUUAAUCAAGUAUUUUAAUAUUAAUUUAAUUGCCGCUAUAAGCUUUAUUAAUCAAUCAUUUAGUAUGAUAUUUUUUGCUGCAAUUAUAAUUAAUAUAGCGGUAUUUAUAAUAGUUGUUAUUGUAUAUUAUUUAGCAUUUAUAAUAGUUGUUAUUGCAUACACUAUUAGCGGCAUUUAUAAUAGUCGUUAUUGUAUAAUAUUUAGCGGCAUUUAUUUGGAUUUUUUACCAACCGUCGGAAUAAAUGCCGCUAAAACUUUUACGACCCUGCCAUAGCGGCAAUUGUUAAAAUUGCCACAAAAUAUUUUAGCGGCAAUUGUAAUUGCCGUAAUUUAAAAAUAAUCGCCGCUAAAAAGUAAUUUUGUUGUAGUGAUCCGCGCAUCGCGAGUAUCUACACUAGUAAUAUAUAUAUAUAUAUAUAUAUAUAUAUAUAUAUAUUGUUUGAGCAAUGGGGAUGUAAAUGUUACAUAUUCUUAUCCAAGGCCCAAUGAUGGGUUUUUGUCUCAUCAAUUUUUUUAAAUAUUAAAAUUCAAGAAUUUCUGAAUUCUAAAAUUUAUAUAUUUUUUAGAAAUACAAAAAGCUUCUAAUACUUUUGAUGGACUUUUACAAAUAACCCUCUAAAAUUUUGAUGGACUUUCGUGGAUUUCAAAACCUUCAUUUAAAUAUUAUGAGCAAUGUGCCAUUGAUAUAGAGCGUCCAAUAAAGAUGCCUUAUCAUAAAAGAUUCGACGAACUCAAGUCCUGUCAAUGAUAUGUAGACCGGUGUUGGUCCGUCUAACAUCGAAUUCAGUCAAAUCCACAACAUACUGAUUUAUCCAAUUGUUAUCUGCUUAAAAGUGAGAGAGAAAACCAACAUCAGUAGGAGCGCGAGGUCGGCACUCAUUGACGACGAAGUCAGUGGGAGAGAGAGAGAGAAAAAGUAAUGUGGGCUCUAUAAUGAGGCAACGGGGUUGGCAGGGGUGGCGGUGGGGGCGACAGCGACCGGUAAGCCGCAGGGGCGACGAUUGCAGGGGUGGCUGUGACCGGCGAGUGCUCCAGGAGAGGGAGAGGCAAAAAGAGAGAGAGAUUAAAGAGAGAGGAAGAGUAGUCGGGACUGGGUUGUCGGGUAUACCUAGUGAAAACAGUAAACAGUUCACCGCUUUCUCAAGGCACAUUCUCCCUUUUUUUCUCAGGACUUAUAACAGGACAAUAUAUAUUUUGUCUUUUGGGAGUUCAUGCAUUGCAAGCCUAGUCAAAAGAUAUUAUUAGAAUCCAUCAUGACCUACGGACCAUUAAGUUUUAAAUUUUGAAAUAAUAAUACUUACUAAUUGCAAGGUCGCUCGCCCGCACCUUUGGAAUCACACCGCCAGUAGCAUAACAAAUUUUAUAAUUUGUAGAGUGACAAUAAAUAGAAUAAAAACAUAGCAUUCAAGAUAUAAAUAUAACUAUACUACAUUUACAUAGCAUUUAUAUUAGGGGUAUUCAUCUCUACCAAAGAAUGAGAGUUGGACCACACCAAUGAAAACAAGACAAAAAAAAAAAAAAAUCAGUUAAACGAACAUAGAUAACUAUCAAGCCUUAUUUUUUUGUUUAGGAACAAGGAGAGAAAUGAGACCAUUAAUCUUCUUAUUUCCUUCCUUUAUUUUGGAACCAAAUAACGCCUAAAAUAAUCACAAGCCAAUUUAAAUGCAACAAUUAAAUAUUAAUUCUUACUCAUCCUGGAGCACUGAGUCAUGACUGCAGAGUUUAACAUUACAUCUAGAUAAACUAAAUUAAAUUUUAAAUGAUUAAAUGUUUAAAUGUUUAACAUUACAUCUAGAUAUUAAAAAAUUAACUGUUUAAAUCGAACUAAAUUAAAGCUUGAUAAACAGAAUUAUCUUUGACAGAAAAAUUUCAUAUAAAAGGGCUUUUUUUGCAAAUAGCCCUCUGACAAAAUUUUAUUUUAAAAUUAGCCCUAUCAAAUUUUGUUUAGACACGGUGAACAAUUCACCGUGUCCAAUGUAUUAUACACACUAGUUGGGGCGCGUAUAAUACAUUGGACACGGUGAACCAUUCACCGUGUUUGAACACGGUGAAUGGUUCACCGUAUUCAACUUACAUACCUGGCCCCAGCCCUGCCCGCGUGGCGAUCGCAUGGCAGGGGCAGGGCCAUUUUUGCAAUUUCAAAUUUGAUAGGGCUAAUUUUAAAAUAAAAUUUCUCAGGGGGCUAUUUGCAAAAAAAAACCCCAUAUAAAACUUACUCCAACUUAACUCUCCAAUAUCACUGUAUAUUAAUACUAUAUAUCUCAUCUUGCAUUCAUGUGCAAGUCUUAUUCGGAGCCUGAUUUUGUUUCUUAUUUCUUUUCCAAAAUUAUUCAUAAGCCUCUCGCCUCUUGACAUUUUGAAUCCAUAUUUUUCGAAGCACUACAAGUGGUAAAAAGCUACAUGCAAGGUAUUUUCCGAAGCACUACAUGUGGUAAAAAACUACAUGAAAGGGUGCUGGCCCCUUCAGAAUUAGAUUUAUUAGUAUUUAAUUAACUGAUAGAUAUAAUCUAAUACAUUUUCUUUCUUAAAAAUUUACAAAAAAAUUUAAUAUUAUAUAGGAGAAUUUGUGAGGUGUUGGACUACUAAAUGCAUUAGUAAAUAUACAUAACAAACACAAAAGCCUAACUGAUUAUAAAACUUAGUUGUUGAGCUACUAAAUAAAUUAGUAAAUAUAUAUACCAAAUUAACACAAAAGUCUAACUGGCUAUAACAUACGAAUCAGAGAAAGCAUUAAAGAUCAUCAAUCCAAAUUUCUCUAACCUUAUUGAGAAUAGAUUUAAUAACUAAUUUUGAAGCAAAAGUAUAUCACAUAAGAUCAUACAACAUGACAAUUUAAAUGAAAUAGUAAAUCAGCGCAUGAAUUUCUCUCAAAGCUAAUAUUCCCAUUGAUACGGAAACUUCUUUAUACAUCGAUAUCAUAAAAGAAAAUUAAAAACUAAAACAUACAGAAAGAAAAAUAAAACUCCUAAGAACUGUCAGCAACAUAAUAAUAUUCUCUAGACAUUAGUUUCAGUGGUACAAUGAGUCAAUGACUGAUUUAUCACUGUGAGCGAAUGCGAUUAUCUUGAAUAACCCAGUUGCCAUUGUAGUUCGAAGGAGUUCUUUCGUUCCAAACAAUUCUUUCAUCCGAAAAAGCAGAGUUGUAAAUAUAAAUUUCUGCCCCAAGUGGAUAAUUACCACUUAGGCUCAAAAUCUCAACAAUACGGCUAUAUAUAUCCAUCAUAUACAUGCCGUCUACAGUUACCACAAACAUCUUAUCAUAUGUUCGAAAAAUUGUAGUACUGUAAAACAUAUCACUUCCCAAUAAGAAAUUAAGAUGCACUCUAGCAACAAAUAUCCAAGCUGAGUUGCGUGUUGGUAGGUUCCAAAUAUCCAUUACGUGGAGACAAGUAUGGAGACAAGUAUGUAGUAAAUCAAGACCUCCAUCACGACUCGCUAACUCAUUCUUGUAAGGAUAAGUAGUACAAUAACGAGCUCAAUUUGACAGCACUUUGAAAUAUGAAUUAAAUGUGUGCAAGUUAAACACAAAGAUCUUAGAAUGAUUCACCAUACAAUAUAAGUGCCCAUCAAAUGAAAUUGGUCCCUCCAAUCCUAAAGAAUGAGUGGCAUUUAGGCAAGUUUUACCACUCCACCUCCAUUUCCAUAGCGUUGAAUCAAAUAGCUCACUAACCAAAAUCGAUCUAGGGAUAUUUCACCAACAUAAUCGUAGAAUUUGAUAGUGGUGAGGUGAUGACCCAUGAACAAUUAGAGCAAAACGUUUAGAGUGGUAUCUAGUUCUAGGAUUCGGUAAUUUAACCCAUUCUUUGCUAGUGGGGCGACAUAUAUAGAAUCUUGGAUGUUGAAGAUUUUUAUUUGAACAUAGUAGAGAGCCGUUUAACGAUGAUGAAAGAACAUGAACUGCCUCUGGAAUAUAUUCUAAAUUCAAAUCUUCCAUAACCAAGGUGUUAUGUGCCGGGACAAACUGAGCAGAAAAAUUUAUGUCAAAUUGUUGCAUAAAUAGUCCGAAAGUUCCAAAUAAUCUUUUACAUCGACCCAAUAUAAAUUCAUAAGUGUACGUCACUCUGUUGAAGAAAAAAGAGAUAUCUCGGCAAGCAUAAAGAGUCGACAAAGAAACUCUAGUAAAAAUCUCCAUCAAAAUAUCAGUUGGCAAGCGUACAUCUUCCUCCUCCUCAACCCAAUGUUGAAAAUAACUAUACACUAAGGACAUCCUCUAAAUGAAAUAGAAAAAUUUAUAAAAUCAGAAGUCAUAGAAGAAAACCAAUUCAAUUUCAGAAAUGCAUGAGUAUAUUAUUCAAAUAUAAAAAAAAUUUAUUGCAUAAUAAUUAUAAUAUAAAAAAGAAAUCUUUGAUCUUUUUUUUCUCUAAUUGCUGCCAACUGAGUGGUCACUUCAAUAGUUUUUUGAAUAUUCGCAGGAUUGGGCACAUUAUAAAAUAAAAAAUGUGUAGCAUUUUAUUUCCUUUUUUUAAAACCUUAAGGAAAAAUUAUAUAGAAUUUUAAAAAUUGGUAGUACAUUUGGAAGUUAUUCUUUGAAAUGCCUAAUUGUCAGAUUUAAGUUAAGAUUUACUUUAGAUAAAAGCCGCGGAGAAAGAAUUAGCAGCCAUCUUGUUGUGCUUCUCUCUAUAGCUAUAUAAGCAACCAUGGUCAUAAAAAUGAUACUAUGCGAUGAUAUUGUCAUGCAUGUGCUUCAUAGGUAGAGAAAAUACUAACCAUCCUUCAAAGUUAGCUCUCAAUUUUAAACGCACCUAAUCUUAGUUGACAUGAUUCAGUUUGGUGAUUUGUAUAGUGAAAAUUUGUAACAUAUAAGUUUUGAAGUAUGUUUAAUUUUUCCAAUUUUUAUUAAAAAGACUUUAGAAAAAAAAAUAGGCAGAUAUUAGUUUAUUAUUUUAUUAUUUAUAAUAUAAUGAACUCAAAUAGAAAUUCAAAUUUACUGCACUACAUGUAAUAAAAAAUUAAUAUCAACAAAAUCAACAAAGGUAUGCAACAAAUUAAUUUUUAACUUUUAAAAAAUGAUAAAAUAAUUAAUAAUUAAAAGAAAAAAAUAAAAAUAAAAGAAUCAAGGAGAUGACAAAAAUAAUUACAGAUUCGAAUAAACUUAUUGUUCAGUAUUUAUACGAAGAGAUCAAUCCAAAACGAAAAUACCCACAGCAAAAUUUUUCUGCCUCCAAUUGCCAAAGUACUCUUAGUAUCUCCUCCUCCUUUGUUUUUUAUGUUAAAAUUUAAGGGGUAAAUGAUGCCAUUGGCCAUGGCAACAAAGGCUUCUUAUAUAGGAGAAAAAAUAAGAUUAAAUCAGUGAAUUAAAUGACACAGGAAAAAAAAAAUAUUUAAUGACAAGUAUUUACCUGGAAUAAUUACCCAAGAAUAACUGUAUAUAAACUCUAAUAAUUUUGCAGUUAUUAUCUAAAAAUGGAACCCUUUAAUUAGUGAAUUAAAUAACCCAUAUCAUAAAAAAAUUUAAUGAAAAUUAUUUACCUGAAAUAAUGAUCCAAGAACUGAAAAAUAAAUGUGUAUAAACUCUAAUAAUUUUGCAAUUAUUCUCUAAAAAACGAACUCUUUAUUGUGUAAGCGUGGAUUCCGCUCCGUCGCUUCCGCUCCGAACCACCGUUUCUCGACUCCUCGUGCCACGCCCUCCGGCCUUUGCGGUUAGGGUUAGGGUUAGGGUUCCGAGGGGUCAGGGGAUUUAGAGAGGUUCUAGGUGGAGGGGAAAGGAUGGGCUUUUCGGUCGCUGUGGUGGGUGGGGUUUUCAUAUGAACCUAUGGGAGUAGUAGGGUUAUGAUCUUAUCAUAGGAUUUAUUAUUAUUAUUUUUUUGUCUUUAGAGAGAGAGAGAGAAAAAAAAAAAAGGAAAAAAACAAGGAAAGAGCCCUCACGAAGGGUUUAGGAGUAUACAACUUCUCUGACACAAAUAAAUUCAGAAAAGCUUUUAUUGGACUCGGUGUACAUGGUGUAUAGGUCACAGUACACUAAUUCUAUAUAUUUUAUAAUAUAGAAUUGGAAAAAAAUAUAACAAGUACAAUUAAAAUAAAGUAUUUGUAAUUCUUUUUAGAAAUUUUUCAUAAAGUUAAAUGUUAAUUUAAACUAUUAACUAUCAAAUUUCAACACAUAAUGAUACACCUGGUGCAUGUUGGCUUUUAUUACUUAUUAUUUUGUGAGGAAGUGUAUUGUGUGGACAAAAAAAAUUUAUAAUUGAGGGUAGAAUUUUAAAUUUAAAUUUAAUUUUUAUAUCUAGAAUUUAAUUUUUAUAAUUUAAAUUUAUAUAGUAGAAUUUUUAUAACUGCUAUAUAUUUAGAAGUUAAAAGUAUUCAAAUUGAAUGUCUUUUAGAAAUUUUUUAUACCACAAAAAUUUACACUUGAUUGUAUAAUUAAUACUUUAGUUCAAGUUUUAAGUUCAAAUUCAAAUCAAAUUAGAAAUUAAACAACUAAUUGUAUUUUCAAAAUUUAAUCUCAAAUUCAAUAACUUAUUACUUUGUCAGGAAGUGUAUUGUGCGGACAGUUCAAAUUUUAAGUUCAAAUUCGAAUCAAAUUUCUGCACUAGGGGCCCAUUUGUAGUUUACCCAAAAAUGUAUAAUUGAGGGUAGAAUUUUAAAUUUAAAUUUAAAUUUUAUUAAAUUGCUAUAUCUAGAAGUUAAAUUUAUAAUCAGUAUUCAAAUUUAAUGUCUUUUAGAAUUUUUUCAUACCACAAAAAUUUACACUUAAUUUUAUAAUUAAUACUUUAGUUCAAGUUUUAAGUUCAAAUUCAAAUCAAAUUAGAAAUUAAAUAACUAAUUGUAUUUUCAGAAUUUACUUUCAAAUUCAAUAACUUCUAUAAUAAAUAAAAGAAAGGGUAAAAUUGUAAUUACACAUACUUACCGAUAAAGAGGUGGGGUGAGACGAAACCACCAAAUAUAUUUGCUUAUAAGAAUAAAAAUGGAUUUCGAAGAGUGUAGGGUUGCAUUAGGCUGUGAACUAUUCACCGUUUUCAUUACUUAUAUUAUAAAGACGGUGAAUCUUUCACCGCCUCUUCAGAGGAAAUCUCCACCCUCACGUUUAUGUGACGAAUAGAGGGUUAGUUUUCUAAAUAUAUUUUGGACAGGAUUAUUUCAUAAAUUAUAAAAUUUUAAAGGGUUAUUUUGUAAAAAAAGUCCACUUCUGAAAGUAUUAAUUUUUUAAGGGCCCGUUUGUUCUAGAUUCUGAAAAAGUAAUUUUUACAAGAUUGAUUUUGGCUUGAAAAAUUAAGGCUUCGUUUAGGAUUGCAUGGAGAUUGCGUUACGUGCGGUGAGAAAGUACGUUGGAAAAAUACCUGUUUGUUUCCGUACGUAAUAUUACAUUCUGCAUUUCGCAAUCAGUUGGUUACGAGUGCGGUCCCACCGGAGAACGCAGAAGCAUAUUCCUAUAUGCUUUUUCCUUAACUCCAUUUUAUCUAAUAACGUCGGAUAGACCUCAAUAUCAAACUAAGCCUAAUUUUGAUUAAAAGUUCAUUGAACAGCGAUUUUUCUAAAGUGAUUUUGUAAAAUUAUUUAGCAAAAUUUUUAAUAUUUACGUAUAAUAAUUUUUUAUUAAAUUUAAAAUUAAAUAUUUUAAUUUAAAAUUUAAAAUUUAAAUUUGAAACGAGCACUAAGCGAGCAUAUAAUAAUUCAGACAAUGUAAUAAAAGGACAUUAUUUUGGGGCACCCUCUCGCCCUGUCAGUGGAAGAUUCAGUGGAUUCAGUGCUCUCGACCCAAUCUCGGAUAGCAAUUAAAGCCGUCCACUUUCACCCGCAAACAAAAUUCAGAAACGUUUCAAAUUUUUUUUUCAAAUUUUUUUUUUUUAUAAAAUUAAAAGCAAUUAAAUUCACUACUAUCCCCCUCCCCCUCCUCUUCGUCGUCGUUUUCCUUUCCAAAACCCACCCCCCACCCCUCCCAUGCCCCAAAACGAAACGAGAACAACGCACUCGCCCCCCUCCCACUAUAUAUAUGUAUGUACGCACGAGUCUCUCGCUCUCGCUCGCGCUCUCGCUAUACAGAUAUCGCGCGGAAGAGGAGAGGGGAGUAGAGAGAGAAGAGGGGGAGGAGGAGGAGGAGAGGAGGAGGAGGGGGAGCAAUGGCGGAGAGGCAACUCAUCGUGGUGGUGGAGGGGACUGCGGCGCUCGGGCCCUACUGGAGCACCAUCCUCUCCGAUUACCUCGAGAAGAUCAUCAGGUGAAAACCCUAAUUUUUUUUUAUCCUUUUUUUUUUUUAAUCUUGUUUUGCCGUCCCCUUUCGUUUGAUUGAUGCGGAGGUCGCGUGAUCUUGGUAAUUUGGAUUUGCAUGGGCGUUUGGAUCGUAUGAUUUUGAAUCUUUGAUGAUUUCAAGGGUUUUUUUUUUGGGGGUUAAGGAUAAUUGAAUGGUUUACUUGAUUAAAGAAGAAACUUUUGUUGGUGGUGAGGGAGAGUUUGUUCUUUCGAAUCGAGAAGCAAAAAAGUUCUUUUUUUUACGUUUUCUUUUUUCCUGAUAAAAAUGUAUGAAACUUAUCUUACUUCCUGAUCUUUAAAAAUUGGUUGAUUUAGUGGUAAUGUAGUUAGAGGAAUCACGUAAAAUACUCCGAUUAAGCCCGUUAAAGUAAAUGGCACAUCCAAGUUCUUCAAUGGAAGAGCAUGAAUUGGUAUGUUAGGUAGCAAAAUUAAAAGUUUGAAAGUUUAAGUUGUCGACUCAAAAUGGGUCAACUUUAGUUUCGGGAUACAGUAAUCCUUUGUUGGAUAAAAAUGGAUAAAAAUUAGUUUUGGGAUGCAGUUUGGGAUAUGCAGUAAUCAAGUUGAAGUGUGGUUUAUGCUAUCCCAAAAUUUCACCAAUAUUAGUUUUUAGAGAAAUUAUGGCAAGGUGGCAAUGCUACCAUUUUCCUCUUUUUGGAAUUGUUUUCUGAUUAUCUUUGUAGGGCUUGUUAGGAUAUUGGAACAAGUUAUCCUAUGAUUCGGCAUAUGUCUUUUGUGAUUGCAGUGUAGAAGUUUGAUUUUAGUCCAUUGCAAGGUAUUCAAAUCAGGAUUUUUCAAGAUAAUGCAUUUUACUCCCAAUGUGAUUUAUCAUAUUAUGGAGAAAAUGACUUAGAUGCUGUAUAGGCUAUGUGAUUAUAGACAUCUCAAUUACUGCAUGCCGGGGGAUUAAACACAGAGUAAUAUGCUGAACAAGAUGUUCAGGCAUCCAAAGAGGCUCUAAGUUGAACAAGAUGUUCAUGCAUCCAAAGAGGCUCUAAGUCGAUAAGAUAUUAAAAGGUAAUGUAUUUAGAGACGAAACAGCUUAUUAGUUUCCUCUAAGAACUUCUGGUGAUAUACUGAUUCUACAGAAUUAGUGGAGAAAUUCAGGUGGAUCUCAUGAUCUAUGAUGAUUUCUUUUGAUUAAGAAGUUGGCCAGUAGUUGUCAACUUGCCAUUAGUAUUGCUGGAGACGAGCACAACUUAUGCCAACUGAUACCUACCACUGUUCUUAUCCAUUGUAUGUAUGCUUCAUUUUCUUUUGCGUCUAGCUCAGUAUGCUCCUUACGCCAUGCUUGACCCUGUUUUUGCCUUAACUUUCUUGUUAAUGAAAUUCUUUUUCAAUUUGACAUUACUGUAUAUUGCUUAAAUUAGUUUGCUUAAAUGAGUCCUAAACAAAACUUUUAUUAACGAAAUGUAUGAAACUUGUGUAGGUCCUUUUCUGCAAAUGAGCUAAAUGGACAGGUAUUCUCACCAACUAUUAUUUGUGUUCUCUUUCUUUUAAAGCAUGCUUAUUUUUGAUAACUGAUGGCCUGAGACCCUUUUCUAGAGAAUUUAGUUUUCUCUUUUGAGUUUUGAUAAUAGCAGGUGGUUAUUCUUUCAGCAUGAAGAAUAUAUUCACUCUCAAGAAGCAUUUAAAUUUCUUUACCCUAUGGCAUAAGUUUUUUUUUUUUUUUUUUUUUUAACAUUAACAAAGAAAAUAGCAUGAAGAAUAUAUUCACUCUCAAGAAGCAUUUAAAUUUCUUUACCCUAUGGCAUAAGUUUUUUUUUUUUUUUUUUUUUUUAAAGUUAGCCUAAUAUAUACAAGUGAUAUUAGUAUCUCUGAGCUAGUGGUUAAGCAAAAAGUUAAUAAUCUACUCCUCUUCAUCAUGCUAUUUUCUUUGUUAAUGUUAAUUAAUUUGGAUUGUAGUGCGUGGCACUAUUUGUAAUGAGAUAGAAAAUGAAGUACAUAUUAAUGAUUUGGUAGUAACAAUGUUUCUUAGGGAAGUGUUGUAAAUGUUAAUUAGUUUGGAUUGUAUUGCCAAACACUUUGUAAUAAGAUAGGACAUUAAUUGCAUAUUAAAUAUUUAGUCGCAAGAAACUUUCCGAAGUGAGAAAGUGUGGAACCAACCAUACGGCAACUAACAUCACACUGACUUUAUUAGCUUUGAUUAUUUCAUGUACAUUAUUCCAUAUUAGGUUCACCAUUCAUCUUCAAUUAUAUCCAAAUAAAUUGACAAAGAAUAUUGUCAAGACUUGUUUAAUGCUAUCUGAAAUAGGCAUGCUGACUUAUAGCUAUUCCAUGUUCCUUGGGAUGAAUAUAACUCCCAAUGAAGGAUCUUGCUACUUACUAUGACUAUCGUUUUAUGGGCAUGUAAAGGCCGGUCGGCAUUGAGGCAUAAUGUUACAAGUAAAACCAUUCGCUCAUUGAGAUGCACUCUUUUAGGAAAGUUUUGAUAUUUAUGUCGGGCUAUAUGACAGGCCAUUGAAACCUAGUCAUUAAAUGUAGCAACCCUUCGCUGCUGUGGGCUUCAAGUUGUAAAGAAAAAGUCCAAUUAUAAGCUAUCUACGUUGCAAUUAUUGAUGUCUUGUCACAAGAUUUAAUAAUGGCCAGAAAUUGCCAUGACUUGCUUCAAUCCACAAAGAAGACCAAUUAUAAGAUUGAAAUGCUGACGGACACUUAUAGAGUUUAAUUGACAUUACACAAUCUGAUGCAAAAUUGUCAUCAGUACUAUAGACUAAUUGUUAUAGCCGGAGAAGGAUUAAACUAUACGUAUUUAUCCUAUAUCUAUUCAAACAAAUUUAACUGGGACCUAAUUUGUAACUAUGCAAUUUUGACCUUUCAAAUAAGAUGCUCAAUUAAAAUUUGAUGUUUUACAAUGUUGAGACAAUUUCCCCUUCUUUAGUUUGAUCUUCAUUUUUUAUUGCAUUACAUUUGAUAACCUUUUUCCCUUGAUUUGCAGAAGAUAUCUGGUGCAGGUCCUGAGUUUGCUAUGGUUAUCUUUAAUACUCAUGGAGCUCUCAGUGGUAUGCCAAAUUGUUCCUCUUUUUUCCCCCUUAAACUAAAUUAUUAUGUACUUUGGCCCCCGUUAUCUUGGAUUUUGGAAAGCUCUUUCUAACCUCAUCACAACUAUUGCUUUUUGGUUUGUUGACCAGUGCUCGCUACCGACCAAAGCGAUCUGUACUUAUUGGUAGUGUUCAUUCUACGAUAAUGGCGCAUACCCUGACAACAUCUUAUACAUUGUAGAUAUAGAUAUAGCAUAGUGAACCAACAUGGAACUAUCUGACCGUCUUUGCUUCAUCUAUCAAAAUACUAUUCUUCUGAAGAAUGCAUAAUUUCACUUUUGAUUUUUGUGUUUUCAGAGUUGGUACUAAUGUUAGUUAAAGUUACAAAUUUUUUUGCAGACAAAUAGGUUUUCUUUUCUCACAAACUAAAGCCACCCAGCAUCAGAAGCGCAGUAUUAUUUUUUGUGCCAAGAGUAUUUUGAUAUUCUAUGGCAUAUAUGAUGUUGAUUUCACAAGAGGACAGUUUUUAGAUUAUUGUUAUUUAAUUAAGGAGGAAACAAGUUAGGAAAUUUGCAGACAUAUGUCCUAGAUAUAUGCAGUACAGGAGUACUAGCUUGGGAGCUUAUUAUGUAGCUUUCUUACUAUAUAAUAGACAUUUCCUACCAGAACUGAAACUUGAAUAAGUUCUUUAAUGCAGCUUUCACUGUGCAACGGAGUGGCUGGACCAAAGAUCCAGAUGUUUUCCUUCGGUGGCUGUCAGGAAUACCAUUUAUUGGUGGCGGUUUCAAUGACACUGCCACUGCUGAAGGCCUUGCUGACGCAUUAGUGGUAUGAAAUAUGAUUAUGGUUACUAAAGUAGCCCUAUUGAUUUUCAUCCGAAAACAAUGACUAUUUUAAUUUGAAUUGUGUCUAUUUUCUGCAUAUCUAAUAUGUUCAUUGAUUCCAUUUGGGUUCUGUCCAUAACAAUGUGACCAUAAAGUGGAACCAGUGUAGUGAAGGGUGAACCUCUGUUUUUGUACAUUGUUAGUGAUCACAAGAUGCCCAUCAAGUUGUCUAGUGUAAACUUUUUUCUGAUUCUAAUGUGCUUUUGCAUUUUCCAGUGCACUAUACGAGCUGACUUACUAGUUAAUAUGUUUCUUAAAGAAAUUUAAAAUGCUUAAAGUUCUUAAAUUUGUUUGUUGGACAUUUUCUGGUUAUCGCUUCUUUGUUAGUCUCAUGAUUGUGGAGCUCAUGCGUAUUUCCCCCUACUUGUAUUGAUGUAGUAGAAACUAAUGUUGCUAUUCUUUUACUAAUGACUACUAAUAGAUUAUGGAACUGCUAUUUCCUGUUAGCAGUUCAAUCUUGUGUUUAUGAUAAUUCUUGUUGGUAGUGGCUUGGUCACAACUAUUUAAGUGCCGUGGAACGGGAUUUUGUCGAGCACUGCUUGGCAUGGUACGACAGUGUGAGCCAUGUCGUACAGAUGUGUGCUUUUGACAAAAUUUUUUGUGUGCCGAUACACUAUGGCAUGAAGUAUUUAUUUUCUUUGGCAUCAAUAUAUUCUAAUUGCUUAUUGUAAAUUCUUUAUCAUAAUGGGCAUAGCUCGUGCUGAUGUGCACUUAAUCCUAGCUUGAUCAUGUGUAGUAGAUUUUGAGGAAUUUGAGAAAAGUCUUCUUAAAGCAAUGUGAAACAACCAUUAUUCUCAAGAAGCUUAAGAUUCAAGAGAAUGGUGUUUAUAUAUUUUUAUAUUCAAGUCCCCCUCAUAUCUAGGCUUGAGUCUUUGAUCGGCCCAACAUGUGGACUUGAAUUAAAUGAGAGGAAAUUAAAUGACGUUAGGAGACUGGCGGGAUUCGAACUCAGGAUCUCCUGCUUUGAUACCAUGUUAAAGUAAUGUGAAACGACCAUUAUUUUCCAAAAGCUUAAGCUUCCAGAGAACGGUGUUUAUAUAUUUUUAUUUUCAACUAGUCUCUUACCAUUUUUCCCAGAAUAAAUGCAAGAAAGAAUAUAUAUUUUUUAUUUCAGAAGUCUAAGAACAACCAAUAUAGUAUAAGUUCUUUAUAUCUAUGAUGUUAUUUGCUUUUGCUGACAUGGCUUGUGUUUAUUACUAGAUUAGAUAGUACUUGAGGUCACAUCACUUGAUAUUUUCACUGUUUUGUACACAUUUGGUUUUCUUUCUUGAUGUAUCUGGAUCAUUUGGCUAUGAAUGAACAGAUGAAGUUAUAUAAUUGAGUUUAGGUUAUUUUAUUUGAUUAUUUCCAUGCUUGAUUGUUCAUUAUGAUAUUGGACAGUUGUUGGCUUUUUAUAUAAGUUUAUUCAUAUCAACCAUUGUUUUCUUGUUCUCACUAUGCAUGUUACUGUGGAUAUUUUAUUUCCUAGCGUGUAGGAAUUCCUUUUUAGGUUAAGCAUUGUAAUUAUAUUAUUUUGUUAAAUUUGUUAACAGAUGUUCCCUCUGCCUCCUAAUCCAAGCCAGCAAAAUCAUGAAAUGCAAAAACAUUGCAUUCUUGUUGCUGCCAGUAAUCCCUACCCUUUGCCUACACCAGUAUAUCGACCUCCUCCUCCGCACAGUGAGAAUGCUGAAGCGCCGACAGAAUCAUGGCUUGCUGAUGCUGAAACAACAGCAAAAUCAUUCGGCCAGGUCCUAUGUGAAUUCUAUCAUAUUUGUGUUUAUGGUGUUUUAGAUGUAAUUAUGCUCUGGAAUUCUUCUGUUCAUACUAACCUUUUUCCUUUGAAUGCAGUGGUCUAUAUCAUUGUCAGUCAUAGCUCCCAAACAGCUUCCGAAACUUAAAGCAAUAUAUAAUGCGGUAAGAUUUGUAGUGAACUUUGUGCCUAUAUAUUUCGGCCUCACAUGCAUAUUUUUCUCAAUGACCAUAUAGUGUGAAUAUAGUGCAAGUUCUUGGGAUGUUUUUACAGACUACUGUUGGAUUUUUUUUUCCCUAUAAUUUCAAGUUCAUCAAUUUGAAAUAUAUCACCAUUUACUUUUCUAUCUGGUGCUUAUGUUUAUUGAUUUGAUAUUUAGUAUUUACUGGAUUUCUAUGUUCUAAAAUAUUUUUGUCAAGAUGUCAUAAAUAGAUAAUUGUUUCAUAGUGUAAAGUUAACAUCAUUAAAUAUUUUUUUAGGGAAAACUUCAAAUACCACCCCUGUGGUUUUACACUUUCUCACUUUAGUACCAUGUGGUUUAAACUUUAAAGUGUAUCAAUUUAGUGUCUUGUGGUUUCAUUUUUAUCUUUUUAUUAUCGAUUCCACUAAUUUUUUUUUCUUUAAAUCAGUGACAAAAGUUAAAACUAAAGGGUACUAAAGUGAAUAUUCGAUAAAUCUAUGUGGGGUAUCUGAAGUUUUUUGUAUAUAAUUUAACUAGAUAUUAACGGAUAAGCUGACGAAAAGAUAAAAAUGAAACCACAGGACACUAACUUGAUACACUUUAAACCACAGGGUACUAAGUGAGAAAGUGCGAAACCACAGGGGUGGUAUUUGAAGUUUACCCCUUUUUUUAAACUUCUUUCAUAUCCUAUUUAUAUUACCUUUCCACUAUUUUUAGAUAAUGUGAUUCUGGCAAGUUCCCUUUUUUAUAAUCUUGCUUCAAAAAACUCCAUAUUGACCAUUUAAUGUGUAAAAAAUUUGACGUGUAACUCUUUCACAAACGUCUAACCAUUUUGACAAAUUUUAUGUAGUUUGUCCAAGUAUCCUGAGAAUUAUAUUUUAGAUUAUCUCUAUUUUAGUGGAUUAGAUGAUCUUGAAGUUGGACCUCCAGGUAUUUAUGUUCAUUUUGUCUCUAAUUAUAUAUGUUAGAAACCAGUUAUUAACAAAUUGUAUAUGUUUUAUGCUAAAAUUUUAUUCCCUAUAUUUUAAUGUCUAUUGCUAUUAUAGUUUGAUCCAGGGGUCAAAUUUUCAUUGAAGUUUUCAAUUGCUUACAUGGUGGUUGCAUAGCAAUUGUGGAACUUCGUCAUUGAAUGGAGUAAUUCAACUAAAAGGUUACAAUUGCAACUGAGUUCAGAGUUUAGGGACCUAAUUGCAAAGCGUUAACAAAUUAAGGACUAAACUGAAACUUUGUUGAAAGUUGAAUACUUCUGAUACACUUAGCUAGUCCUGUUGCAAUUUCCACCACAUUUUUGUUCAAUAACAGAAUGAUUGUCUUUUCCUUCCUGUUGUCAUCUUUACGGUCUAUAUGCACUUUUACUAAACUGCUUACAAAGAUGAGUUGAUUUGAUAGGAGGUGAGUGCUCACACAGCUUUGUACUGUUAUAGGGAAAGAGAAAUCCGCGAGCUGCUGAACCAGCUGUGGAUCAUGCAAAAAACCCUCAUUUCCUUGUUUUACUGUCUGAGAAUUUCAUGGAGGCACGUGUUGCUCUAACUCGUCCUCCAAAUGUAAGCAAUGUGAAGGUGGAUGGUGCUUCCGCUGCUCCUGCUGCAUCAGUCGCGCCAACAAGUUCCAAUAUCUCAGGUCAUAAUCAAAACAAAGAUGUUUACAGUGCUCGGGUUAUGUAGAAUUUUAGUAUUGAUGCUUUACUUUGUCGUUGGUUUUUAUCAUAAAAUUAUGCUUUACUCUGUCGUUGGUUUCUAUCCUAAAAUUAUGCAAAACUCAAUCGUUGGUUUCUACCAUGAACUUAUGCUAUAAACUUUUUUUCCAUUAGGUAAUGCAUUAAAUUUGACAUUUUUCUAGAUUCAUACUUUUCCUUCGGUAUGGUUGAAGGGAUGGUGGUGAGAGGAGAAAAAAGAUUAUAUGCCCUUGUUGAAUGAACUUUAUGGACUUCUUUUUAGGUCCAGGAAAGGGAAAGGUGAAGAAUUAAACUAAGUACCUGUUUGGCCCAGCUUCUGUUGGGCCGAGUAGUGCGGUGGUCUAAACUAUACUGUUUGGCAUCUUAAGAAGUCUAAAAUGGGCCGCAUAAGCUUUUCCCAGCCCAACAACAGAAGUUCAAAGAACAGAACUUCUGCGGCUAGGAAGGUGCAGAGUGUAGUUGUCUAACUUAAAAAGAUUUUCUAAAUGACGGUAAUGUCCUUAUAUAAAUGAUAAAAUUCAAGUCGGUGCAAAAUUGUUCUCUUUCCCCUUUGCAAAGGGGGAAGGUUCCUCCUCUACAAGAAGAGGAGGCUCGCCGGAGGAGCCCGAGGGUGAUAUGCAUCACUCUCUAGUCUCUAUCUUCUCCUCAGGUUCAUUGGGGAGGGGCACCUCCUCGUCUAGCUCGAGGAGGGAAAGGGGCACCUCCUUCGACCAUGGUCUGGGAGGUCACCUCCUUGUCCAUUGGCCCUGCAACUAUAGGCCAUUUUGAAAUUACCCAACAAACUUUACCCUUUUUCAAUUAACUUCUGAUUUUACUGAAGUUAAAUUAUUUGUACUAUUUAAGUUAACAAUUGCAUCAAGUUUUAUAACUUUAUUAACAAUCAACCAAUUAUUUUUAAUUUUAUUCACUAAAUCAUAACAAAAAAUAUUAAAUUUGAUAGAGUUAUUGGACCUCUUAAUUUAUUUAACUAAAAUCAGUUAAUUUUUUAAAAAUAAAAAUUAAAUAAAUUAAAAAUUUUAAUUAUCAAAUUAUUAUAUUUUCUUCAUAGUUAAUAAUUUUAAUUAAUUUUUUAGCAAAUCGAAAUAGAACAAUUAAUAGGUAAUAAGUAAGAUAAAUAUUAUUUUCUAGCAGAAUUUUCUUAAUCAAAAUAUUAUUUUUUUAGCAAAUCUGAAUUUUCUUAAUAGGUAAUAAAUAAGAUAAAUAAUUAAUAAUUAAGUAGAAUUUUUUUAAUUAAGUUAUUUUAAAUAUGUGUUCUCUACUAGAUAUUCUAAAUAUAGUUUAUUAAAAAAAAAAUAUUUUGGUAGUAUUUUGUCAAUUUAUAAUCUUUUACACCACUUUUGAGACGAAUAUUUGCCAAAUAGGGUUCAAUUGCAAACAACAGUUAUACGACUGAAUUAUCAAAUACUCAAACUUUUUCAAACAGGACAACACUAUAUCCUACACCACUUCUAUAACCGCACUUAUUUCUACAACUUGGCCAAACGGGCCUAAAAUGUUGAAAGCCUUGUGGAAAUUAUUGCAAUAUUGCAACAAUGUACAACCUUACUUAGUACUAAAGGCUAAGAAAAAUUUCUAGAGCUGUUGGUGCAAAUGGCUCUCGUUUGUUCUAUGCAGCGGUCAAUAUUAAUGUGAGAUUUUAUGGAUCAAAAAGUCAAUAUUUUUAUACAGAUUUUAUGCUGUAUUAUCUGUACGUCUGUUGCUAUGUUGCUAGUUGUCGUUUUGUUGAGAAUUUCUUGCAGUAUGACUAUUAAUUCGUAGCAUUUGAUCCGCAUAAUGCAUGGCUAAUCUAAAUUUCUUACUAUGUUGUUGAUGAUCGCAAGUUCAGCUCAACAGUGUAAACCUCUAAAGACAUUCAACUUCUAGCUGUCGUCUUCUCAUAGGAUGAAGUAGUCUUUUAUUGAUAAAUGUACCAUUGAACUUCCGUUUGCUUUUGAUAAGGAACAUAAGAUAUGCUAAUGGUAAACCUUCAGAGCUGACGAAAUUAGAAAUAUUAUCUAUGUAUUGAGCAACAAUAUGAUAGAGAAUACCUCAGGUAGGCAACGAUAUUGCUCCUAUUAAUGGUCUUGAUGAAGUGACGGCAAGUGAAUUAGUGGAAUUUGAAGAGGGUACAACAGGUGUAGCUCUGAAAUUGGAAUAGAUAACUUUUCCCAUACUCCGUAUGUUGUAAAUUGAGACAUAUAGUACAUAUACCUAUUAUGCCUUCUCCUAUUUUAUUGACCAAUGUGCAACUGCACAAAGAACAAAUUCUGCCUGUACAGCACUCAAAAAUCUCAUAAUAAUAAUUGGAAUAACUUUCCUGAUUUGUUUAAGUAUGUACAGCAGUUGUGUUUCAUUUGUUGCUUGCACGCUUCUUUUCUCAGUGGUAUAAUGUAAAUAAAGGAAGAAUGUAGCUUUAUAGAGAGAUCUACAUUAUGAUAACCAUUUCUUGCUAGAAUUUUAUAACUGAUUGCAUGAGUUUGUCAAUUUCGCUCUUACGUCUUGUUGAGGUUCUUAUCUAUCCUUUGCACUUACCUAAAUCUAGAAAACUAAAUUUAGUCACCGGUGUUUUACAAUAUUUUUUCUUUAUUGGCGGACUGUCCCGAUUUGUCGAGUACGUACUUCAGUUAUGCCUAUUUGUUGCUCAUACGCAUUGUUUUGGUAAUAAAGCUAACCACGUAAACGGUGUAGUUUUCUAGAGACCUAUUUAAGGAUAACCAUUUCUUGCUAGAAGAUGGUCACCGAUCGCAUGAGGUAGUCAAAUUUUACUGUUACGUCUUGAUCUUGUUGAGUUUCUUAUUUAUCCUCUGCAUGUAUUUGAAUCUUGAAGAGUAAAAUGUAGUUGGAGUUUUUUAUGUUAUUCUUUCUUCUAGAUUGGCAACUGAAGGUGCCACGGUAAUAGGUACGAUGUAGGAAAUCCUGCAAGCAUCUAUUGGGAGAAUUAAUUAAUGUUUGUAACUUUGUAUUCUAUGAUGCAAGGGCUUAUCAAUUGCUGACUGGCGUGUAUUGCGCCGCACACCCUGUGGGCAGCUUGUAUUGGUGCAAAUAUGUUUAUUUUUUGAAUAGUAGCUGAUAUGGAAAUACUUCUUUUCAUGAAAAAAGAAAUAGAAAAAUUAAAGUGGGCUUUGAAGAGCUCUCAGAUCUAGGAAAACAAAAGUAUAAAAGGGGUGGAAUUGUGUACUGCAGCACAGGAGCUCUCCAGUUCCUCGUUUUAAGGGGUUUGUUGUAUUUUGCCAAUUAAGAUGCAGCGGUAACUUUAAUCGAGAAAGAUAUGGGUUGUAGUGUUACGGAGGAUUUGUAGGUAGGUCUUAAUGAAGGUGGAGCAACAACGUCAAUCUAGUAGUAACAUUUAUCAACCAUAAUGUAUUAAUAUAUGAUUGGCAUAAUACAUGCCGCCUCCUGCCGACUGGCAGGGGUGGCAUUGGCUACAUUUGGUAAUAACUGGUCUAUAUAUGGAAUUGUCCUUUGCACCGUAAAAGAUGAUCAGUUAUCUUGUGAGCAAAUGUAAAGUUAUUAAUGUGAAGUUUCUUUUUCCCUGAUAGAAGUUAUAUUUAAGUUGUAAAGAUUAUCUAAGCUGCUAUCAUAGCUCAAAGAAGAAAGAGCACACUCAAUCCCUCAAUGUUUGAUGGUUUGGAUUUUUACCUUCUAACUUCAAAUAACAUGUUGCUAAACAUAACUAUGAGAGCAUUCAAACAAUAAAUGUAUAUUUGAUCCUAACGAAUUUGUUGUUUACAUUGCAUAGCUCUCAAAAGUUAUUCUUGAUUAAAAAGGGACCUCGACGAAGAGAUCAAAACACGGGUUCUGACACUAGGAGUAAUUUUACUUGUUUUAAUAUGUGUGGAUUUAAUAUAUUUUUUUUGAUAUCUAAAGACUGAAUUUGAUUUGUUUUCCAUGGAUGUGAAUAAUAAUGUGAAAUUAUACUAGGAUAAUAAAUGUAAUAACGAAGCUAAGAUUAUAGAUACAAUAUCUAAGUUGUUUUUGCAUUUCGCAAACAAUCAAUGUUGUGCAGCCAAUUUCGUUUAUUUGAGAUUGUCGUUUUUGUCGUUUUCUAAAUUUGGUUGUUCUAUCUAAGGUGCAUGUAGAUUGUAAUCUUGCAUCUUACCCAAUUUUAACAGUUGUUUUGUUUUUCCUGCAGUUAAUGGAUCUAUUAUGAGUCGUCAAGCAUUAGCCGGUGGAAAUAUGCCCACUGCAACUGUUAAAGUGGUGGGGAUCGCUUAUUCAAUUUGUGAAUCAUAUAUGAUGUUCAUCGACUAUUUUGCAUACUCUAAAACAUUGUUAACUCACUUUUGUUUCUUCUCAGGAGCCAACUACAAUACCUUCUUUGGUACCUGGACCAACCUUCUCACACCUUCCGGCUAUAAGCAAUGUUACCUCUCAAGGAAUACCGACGUUGCAGAGUUCUUCGCCAUCUCCUAUUUCACAAGAAAUGAAUGCAAUUAAUGAUAAUGUGCAGGAACAUAAGCCAUUAGUAAACCCUGUAUCCCAACAAUUACGCCCGGUGGGCCCUGCCGCAGCAAAUGUGAACAUAUUGAACAAUCUUUCUCAGCACCGGCAAAUGAUGAACUCGACCUCUUUAGCAGGAGCCAGUUCUAUUGGACUGCCAAUGCAUAUGUCGAGCAUGAUAUCGAGUGGGAUGACGUCAGCUGCGAUGUCAGGAAUAUCAUCUUUACCUGGUGUUACACAAAACACAAAUCUUGGUUCAUUCACAUCGGCUACUUCCAAUAUGUCUAGCAACUCAAAUAUUGGUAUUGCACCUUCGUUGGCUAAUCUGCAAGGAAAUAUUAGUAUGGGCCAGUCACUAUCCAAUGUUGCACAAGCGAGUUUAGCAUCAGGAGGGCAAAUAGGGCAAAGUGGAAUUGGCAUGAACCAGAACAUAAUGAGUGGUCUUGGGACCACAGGUAUUUCCUCUGGAACAGGUCCUGGGACGAUGAUUCCGACUCCAGGAAUGUCUCAACAGGCAGGUGUACAUUCUCUAGGCAUGACCGGUAAUUCCUCCAUUAAUAUGCCUAUGACACAACACCCCAAUGUUCAACAGUCUCAGUCCAAGUAUGUUAAAAUUUGGGAGGUACAUUACCGCCGCCAUCCUUAAGGAAAUUAUGGAUUUUACGUUUAUCAUGUUGAUAGUUGAUCUAGUAUAAUUUUAAUUAUUUACAGUAGAAGAAAGGUUGUAGUAUAUGAUGGCACAUGCAAGUCUUAAGCUUUUGAAUUCCUGUCCUAGCUAGUAGUCGUGGAAUUGAUAUCUCUCCUUUCUAUUUAUAUUAGUUUUUCGUAGUAUGAAAUUGCGUCUUUACUGUGAUUCCAUAAUUAAGCUGUUGCAUAUAAAUGCUGUAAGCAUUGCAUCGUAAUAAAUGUUUGUGAAAAAGCAUUGGUUAUUGGUUUAUCUUUAUCAUUUGGGUCGUGAUUUUGUGUUGUCCUGCUGUUUGAACAAAAGGGAAAAUAAGUCAAUAAAUUAACUUUAUUGUUUUGCUUAUUCGAUCUCAUGUAAUUCUUCACUUUCUAUUGAAGCAUUGUAAGGGGUACACUUAGUCAUUAAAUCUCUUCUCUUUAUAUCAAAUUAUUGCUUGGCUUGGUAGAUCUUAUUUGGGAAUGUUUUUUAAACGUUUCCGUUAGUGAUCGUUCCCUUUGCCAACUUCUGCAGGGAACAUUGUCUGGACAAAGGCAGGGCCAACCUGUUUUCAUUUGUAAACUCGAAGUAAGUCUACUUAUUUAUUAAAUUUCAUUCCCUAAAAGUAAUUUUCCGUGAAAUGUUGUUGCCAUUUUUGUAGAAAUUUAUGUAAUUUCUUAGGGAAAUUAAUUACUGGUUCCUUGUAUGAUAGUGAAACCUACAAUGUUUAGUCUCUCACUGCAAUCGAUGUCUCUUUGUUGUUAAAUAGAUCACUUGCUUCUACAGUUUGGGACAUCUUGUUGUGACCACAUGCUUUGAUUGGGCAGUUCUUUUCACUGUCCACGACUCCAUUAUUUUUUGAUAAAUCACUUGUUCAAUGUUCCUAUUUGAAGUGCUAUGGAACGAGCUUUAUCAUUACCUCUUAGUUGGGUUAUAUACUGGUGAUGAUGAAAGCUUGGAUUGUGAGUGUUUCUAUUUCUUUGGCUAUUAGAUUGAACUCGGAUGUGGCUUGGUAGCUUAAUUGGGCCAUCUAAUAUCCCAAGAUUUUUGUGGAGAGUUAUCUGUGUUAAAUGAUCCUAGUCUGUAACCAAGAUUUAUCAGCAAUCACCUAUAUACUUUGAUUUUGCCUGAGCCGGGAAUGCCACAUCAAUUUUUCUAGCUGGUUGAUGUUGGUUGAGAAGCAGCGAAACUUAUUUUAAGUCCUUUGGAGUGUUUUUAUUUUUGAGUUCCGAUCCUCGUUGCCUAGAAUUUCUGUGCUUUGCAUUGAGGAUUGCCAUGCCACUGGCAUGACUUAUGCCGCGGUGCCAGCGGUAUGGGCCGUGCCAAUGUUAUUAGCACAGAUUUUUUAAUUAAAUUAUCAUGAAAAUUAGUUUUUAUAGAGUGGUUUAGUGUCUUUAAUGAUUAGAAAAUAGUUUAUAUAUUAUUUCUCACACUAUUUAGUGGAAAUCGAGUCAUAGACACCAUAAGAACUAAAGAAAAUUAUUUUAUAUUAUAUUAUGAGAGUACAUGCAUGAAACCAAACUUAAAAUCAAAAUUAGAUAAAAAUUUGUAGGAAAACACUACCAUGAAUCCUUGGAUGUAAAAUGAUAAAACAAAUUAGAGGAAAUCUUCUUAUUUGAAUUUUUUAACUUAAGGUUGGUUUUAUUUGCGAAAGAGCUUAUUAAUUGCUCCAAAUGUAAGUAGACUUAAAAUGAUCUACAUAUUUUAAGUAUGAAAAACCUUCUCAAAAACUUUUUCACCUCAAAAAAUUCAAAAGAUUUUAAAAAUGCAAAAAAAACUAUUUUGUCAGUACGAUGUCGGUACGACCCCGUUCCACGUGCCGGCACGGCCUCGGCGCGGCGCGGCACCGCACCGGCAGCAUGGCCAAUCCUUGCUUUGCAUCUAGUGAAAGAAUUAGUAUAGAUUUUAGGCAAAAACGAUUUAGAAAGUGUUCAAGAUAUGUGAAAACAUGCCUUAAAAGGAAAAAGAUCGAGUGUCUAAAAAGGAUGUCUGAAAACAGAUGACUACCCUAUCUGAAUGGGUGAUGCGUUGGUCGAUAUUUAUGCUUUGCAUGUUUCUUUUAUAUACUUUUGAAGAAAGAAUCGUGUUCUGCAACUUGCUGAAUUAACAAUCAACUUCAGGAGGCUUUUCUGUAGCGAAACAGUUGUGCAAGGUUUGGCAUUAAAACCCCAAAUCUGAAUGCCAUUUGCACUUUGGCAUGGCCUUAUUUUCUGUUCUAUUUAUAACGAUCCUUUCUAGAAAUUCGUAAAUCAUUGUUACAUGCCUCUUUUGGAAUAACAGGCAUUGGAAGCAAGUAGGGAACAAACUACCAAUAAAUUAGUAAUUUUUCUUUGUGUAAGUGCAAAAGGGCAAUUUAUAAUGGGUGAGCUUGGAAGUCUUCCGUUCUAGCUGUAAACUUUAAAGUUUUACUUUGCAAGUCCCCUUUGAAAUGCUAAUUAUUGGGUUUUCUUUAACAAAUGAGCUUGGAAAUGAUGCCAAUGUUACUCUUCACUGGGAUCUCUAGAAUUUUUGCUUGGACUAACAAUGCACCUCUCCUGUUUAAUGAUAAAUGUCCAAAUGCUGUUUUCCAUUUGUUGAAGUUAAAUCUCUAGAUUUUCUUUUUUCUUACACAUGCAUAUGUUGAAUACUGUGGCAAAGGGCUUGGUGGUUGGUACCCGAGACCCAAGUUCGAAUCCUAGUUGAUUCACAUUUCUAGCUAAGUUUAUUUCUAAAUGAAAUAAACGAAGUAGGUAGCGUGCUACCUAUCUCUCAAAAAAAAAAAGAAUACUGUGGUUUGAGGUAGGAGAAAUAUAAGAGCAUUAAUAUAGUGUUAGCGUGCAAGAAUGUAUAGAAUAGGCAGUAUAUUGAACUUCGUUGUCUAUAUAUCGAACUUUGUUGUCUCCUUUUACAUGAAGUACUUCUGAUCAUUUUAUGUCAAUAUUUUACAAUUUAAUUGAUUGUUUUGAUCAUGAAUUUAUAUGUUCAUAUUGCAGGGCUACAGAAGUGCAUCUGCUGCUGAUACGUAAGUGGGACAAUACAUUCUGUUCUUCUUGCAAAUAUAGACUAUUGUUCUUUUUUUGUUUUUCACUAUAGUUUUAAUUUUUUACAAUGUAGAUUGUCCUCAUAUUUCCAUGAACUUAAAUAUGAUCACAUUUAUAAGUAUUUGAACAAAUUUGUGAGGUCUCAUGAAGAAAUCUCUACAAAUUACUGCAAGAUGAAAAAUAAUUGUAGUCUUAAAAGGUCGGUACCGUAAAUGUUGAUGUUACAUGAAUGAUAGAAGUUCAGCAAGAUCAUUAUUAACUUUCAGUGCUAAAUCAGAUAUAUUUUUCAGAUUUGUCAUUAUCCACAUGCUAUUUUUACAGAAAUUUCAUUAGAAUUGUUGAAAGUUGAAAUAGGUCAACCAAAUUGUUGUUGCGUUUUUCUCCUUUCUUUUGUUUCCCCCUUCUCUAUUUACUUUUUGAUUUUCCUUUUCUGUUAGGGAUUGUUUGGUUCCACGUAAAAUUGCUGAAAGUAGUUUUUGGUGAAAUAGUUUUUUGUGUGGGAGGAGUUUUAGUUCUUUGACACUUGCUUUUUGGAAAAAUAAAAUCAGUUUCCAAACUAGUUUAAGUUUGUAGGAACUGGAAAUAUUAAACCAUUUACAUUUUUCGAUCAGUAGUUUGAUUUUUUGACAAACUGAAAUAUAAAUGAUAUAAAGUAAUGUACAUAUAGUAUAAAUAUACAAUGUUAUAUUAUAUUUUAACAUAUUAUAUAAGAUAAAUUGCACGUUUUGGUCCUCAAACUAUAAGGUGGGUGAUACUUUGGUUUUUAAACUUUAAUUUGUUGCAAUUUCUGUCACGAACUUUCAGAACUGUUGCAAUCUAGUUCUAUAAUCCAAUUUAGUUAAUUAAAUAUUGAUGUGUCAUUAAUGUAAAAGUGAUGUAGUAGAGUUGUGAUUGAUAAUACGCUAAUAAUUAAGAUGUCGCAUCACUUACGAUGUGUCAACAUUUAGUCAACUAAACUGGGUUGUGAGAUUGGAUUGCAAUAAUUCUAAAAUUUCGACCUAGACAUUUCAACAAAUGCAAGUUUUUAAGGACUAAAAUGUCAUCGCCUCAUAGUUUGAGGACCGAACGUGCAAUUUACCCAAAAAUAUAAUGUGUUGCAGAGUAUAAUAUGUUAAGUAUGUGUACAUAUUAUGAUGGUACAUAACCUAUAUAGAUAUAUAAGUAUAUGAAUAUAGUAGUAAUGUAAUAGUAUAAUGUGAUUAUCAAUUUCUUCAUUUAUAUACCAACCAAACUUAUGUCAUUAAAACACGAUAAUGGUUACAGCUGUGUGAUUCUAAUUGGACCUUAUCAAGAAUUAGUUAAAAAAGAAGUGUUGCUGUGUUGCUAAAUUCAAUUGUCGCCUUUGAUUCCUUGAUUCUUUUCCAUACAUGCAGCAGUUCAGAGUUCAGACCAUACAUAGACUUCAGAAGCCAUGCACCAGCCCAAAUAAAUGAUAUCUCAUGCAUGUGUCACCCAUUGAUGUGCACCAUGUUACUUUUUCGGCCUGUUUCUUUUCAUUUUCUGGUAGAGGAAAACGGAAAACGAAACCUCUUUUUUCUAGAUACACUGAAACUACUCCGCGCUAUUUAUGUUGAGAGAAAAUGAGUAGAAAAUCUGUUUUCAUAUCGAAAAGCAGUUUUCAGCGGUCAAGCUUGACCCCUUUAGUCAAACCAAAAAGAGCAUAUAGUUGCCGUGAAUGUGUUUAUUUUACCCUUAUGCUUGACGAGAAGUGCUAAUGCGCACUACUUAAUUCCUUUUCCCUAAGCUCAAGGAUUUCAGCGGCACGGGCUGUAUCCAACAUGCCGUACGUGCCGACAAUAUAUCGGCACAAUCCAACCCCCAAUAUCGUUGGCAUGACCCACAACCCUUUUUUAUUUGAAAUUAGCAAGUAGUUACCUCGAUAAAGUUCAAAAGCUUUAAUAAAUAUAUAUAAAAAAUAAUUAGAAUAUAUUUGUGUCAAAUAAAAUAAAUAUAUUAUGCCAUUUCGUGUCGGCACACGUAUUUUUUCAGACCAGCACGUCUCAUCACUGCAUGGGCACGCACGUUCUAGCAGGCUUUCGGCACGAUCCCUUGCCCCGGCACUUAAGUCCUUGCCUUAGCUGCAUCUGAGAUCGGUCGAAUUUAUGAUACUAUUGCAUGCUAUGUUUUCCUUUACAUGUUUGUGUUGAAUAAAGCUUGCAUUAUAUUUAUCUGGUGUUUCGAUGAUUAAAUCUAUAGUGUAUAGUACGUUUAUAAGCUAUAUAUAUUAUGUGAACUAUCACGGGGCUGAUAUUUUGUUUUGGCAAAUUUCAGGCUCGCCUCAGAUUGGCCAUCGACGAUGCAAAUUGUUCGGCUCAUAGCUCAAGAGCAUAUGAACAACAAGUAAAUCUCAACGAUAUGCCGUUUCUUCUUUGGAUAUUUUGCUUACUUCGCUACACAUAUUAUCUGCACUUCUAAAAUACAAACUUUCAUACAUAGCCCUUGGAAGUUCUGUUUCUUUCCAAACUACCCUUAAGUUGGAGAAUCGGCCGAUUUAUUGGCAGAUGUUGGUUUCGUAAUAUAAUAGAUUUCCUUAAAGGGAUGUUUUUUAAGUACCAGGAUAUACGUGUAAUAAACUAAGUUUUGAAGGGAAUAUAUGUAAUUACAAAAUUCUUCCAGGAUAAAUAGGGGCAAUCUCUCUUUUCUUUGUUAAACCAGUAUGUAGAUUUAUUUCCUUGUGAAAUCCCUCUGAAGCAGAUAUUUAUCCUGUUAUUAUUAUUAUUAUUUAUUUUCUUACACAGGCAAUAUGUUGGUAAAGCGGACUUCCUGGUAUUUCGGACCUUAAAUCAGCACGGCUUUCUUGGACAACUGCAAGAAAAGAAACUGGUUUGUAUUAUAUUUCGACACUUUUUUUUGGGUAUUGUUUCUUCAUUUUAUUGUAACACACUUUAAAGUCACUUUACAUGCUGAAACUUUUACUUUCGUAACCUUUCAUUGUUUGUUCCUUUCUCAUUAGCUUUAGCGAAUUGCAGCAUUCAUAGUAAAGUGGAGCAUUCAUAGUUUUCUUUUUCUUUUGAAGAAAAGAUUUUCUUUUUGGUAAAAAUGUAUAUAAUUUAUCAGACUUAUGAACCAUUUUGAUUUGGCUACCCAAUCUUGUAAAAUUUGAUCUUACUACCUAACCUUUCAUUUUGCUUGAUUUGAAUCAGUCAAUGGCACUUUGACUUCAAACUUUAAACUAAAUAUUUUAAUGAAUUUGUAGUUGCGAAAAUUGCAUAAAAUAUACUAACCUGUAAAGAUAAACGAUGUAUUUAAAUUUUGAAAUCAAAGUGCUAUUGACCGACUUAAAUCAAACAAAUUGAGAAAAUCAAAUUUUUGAAAGAUUGGGUAGCCAAAUCAAAAUAGUCCGUAGUUUAGGUAAGUUCUGUAUAUUUUUGCCUUUCCUUUUUUCCUUGUAGUUAUAUCAGGCAUUACCUAUGUUAAAUCUGUAUAUAAUACUCACAAUCUAUCUUCUAACCAACCAAAGUGUCCAUUCAAGAAAUGGCUUAUUUCAUAAUAUUCUGCCAAAAUGUUCUAACCUAUUGUUUCCAAAUAAAAUAUAAUCAAAGUACAUCAUACCGAAUAACUUAAACAAUGACUAGAAAGUUCGAAGGUAACAUCAGUGCUUAAGAAAAUGCAAUGAUUCUUGUUGAAUUCGAGAUUAAUAUUACAUUCUUUCUAUUUUUCGACUUCCUGAUUCGUGCUCCUGUGAGAAACUGCAACAUGAGUGCAUAGACUUAGAAUAUGCAAAUCUUUACUAUGAAAUAUAAUUUCUUGAUUUGGGGCAUCUUAAAGUUGUUUUGUGACAAUCGAUAGCAUGAUUUGGAUUUAUAUUUUAUAUAUAUAUAUUUUUCUUUUUCAGUGUGCUGUUAUCCAGCUACCUACCCAGACGCUACUACUGUCCGUCUCAGACAAAGCAGGCCGCCUGAUUGGAAUGCUCUUUCCCGGGGUAUGUUGUUAGUAACUUUAUUUUUGGUUUUUCUUUCCUCUUGCAUGUGAUUCUUCUCCCACAAGGUUCUGGUUAUUUCCAUACAAAGCUAUGAGAACAGUCUUUUCUUUAAUUUUAAGUUUUGAUGAGCACAACUUUGAUUUCCUAUUAAACAGUUCUCCCGAUUCUUCCAAAUAACUAGAUCUUUCGUUUCUUUUUGUCUACGGAAACAAAAAGUAGUUUACUGUUCGAGAAACAAAUACUUAUUUGAGAAACUAGUUUACCUUUUUUCAGUAAGAAGGAAAACUAGUUUAAUUUCAUCUCGGAUGAAUGAAGAUCGCUUUUCUGUAGAAUCAUUUUUUUUCCUACUGUCUUCCUUACAAUAAAACUUCCUCUAAGCUAAUUCUUUCGUCGUCCAGGAUAUGGUUGUAUUCAAGCCGCAGGUGUCUAGUCAGCAGCAACAGCAACCCCAGCUGCAGCAGCAGCAGCACCUUCAGUCGCAGCCUCAAUCACACCCCCAUCUUCAACAGCAGCAGCCGCAGCAGCAGCAGCUUCCGCAGCAGCAGAUGGGCCAGCCACAACAGCUGCAGCAGCAGAUGGGCCAGCCACAACAGAUGCAGCAGCAGCAGCAACUUCAGCAGCAGCAGCAGCAGCAGCAGCAGCAGCAACUUCAGCAGCAGCCACAGUUACUUCCGCAGCAGCAGCAGCAGCAGCAGCAGCCGCCGCAGCAGCAGCAAAUGGUUGGCCCCGGAAUGGGCCAGAGCUUCAUGCAAGGGCAUGGCAGGUCUCAGAUGAUGCCACAAGGCAAAGUGCCCUCGCAAGGGCCGCCGACUAACAUGCCAGGCGGAGGUUUCCUUCCUUAAAAUACUAUAAUCCAUUUUCAAUCAAACUUAUCUAGUCUCAAAAGAGUGCAUGUAUAUAAAUAAAGAUACUUGGUAUGGUGUGACAAACAGUGUCCUAAGUUAUUUAAGUUUGUUGGUCGUCAUCGUAAUUCGGUCUUUCAGACUCUUUGUAUGUUUUGUUAGCUUAAUCUAUUUUGAAACUUUUGUCUACCAUAAUCUUAAGCAUAAUCUUUCUGAGGAGAAAAGGGAUGGAGCUCUACAUAGUUUUUGAGUUUUCAAAUCUAAUGUUGUCAUUUUAUCAACCAAUGAUCGGCUACUAAUUAGUUGACAUUGAUUACAUGGUUAACUGGAACCCUAAAUCUGGGCAACAAGGGUUCAAGGUAUGCUAACAAACUGCAAACUUGACUUCCGAAUUUUCGUCUUUCAUCAAAAUAGACAUACACCAGAAAGUCAUUUCAGGAAGACCUGAGAUUCUCUGAAUCCACCGGCACAUAAACAAACAUCCCUGCUACUGUAUCAUGCAUUUUCAGCUACCAGAUAUACCAUUUUAGAAAAUUAAACUAGCUAACUAUUCACAUAUUUCUAUUACUAGGCCUAAUCUGGAAUUGUAUUUUCAAAUGCAUCUGCUUUUAUACUUUUUAGUGGUCAGAACGAUCUAAAAAUGCUACCAAUUUUUUUUACUCCAGUGCUAUAUAAAAAUUGGAAUGGCAAUUGCCCACAAGGGAAAAUUGAAAGUGCUUUUGAAAUUGAAAGUGCUUUUGAAAUUUUUGGCUUUCCAAAACGUAAAAACAGGUGCUUUUAACUAAGUUUCUCAUGAAAAAUUUCUCGUCAAUUUUUCGCCAGUUUGGUUCAGACAAAAAAAAGCUAGUAUUUCUGAAAACUUCUUUGUUUUAGAUUUCAUGAAAAACUAGUUUUUUUUACAUUUUCCAGAUUUUAGUUAUUUUUUUAAGAACCAAACGGAUGAAAAGUGAAGACCACGACUUCCCAUGGAAUUUUUUUUUUCCGCAAAAGAAUUUUCCUCAGCCCCUAAACAAUAAAAAAACUCGACUGACGUGCACUCAAAACACAAUCAAGUAUUGAUUCGGCUCUAUAAUAAACAAUGUUUGGAAAGAACACUACCAACUUCGUAUACAAAGGUGUUUGAUAGUUUCGGUACAAGUUUACAAAAGACUACAUCUGAUGUAUUCAAGGGAUACAAGAAAAAAGAUCAAUCCCCUGUUACGGUCGCAGACAUCACCACUAUUGAAAGGGGAUGCUUACAGCGCGCACAUUUGANCAGCAGCAGCAGCAGCAGCAGCAGCAGCAGCAACUUCAGCAGCAGCCACAGUUACUUCCGCAGCAGCAGCAGCAGCAGCAGCAGCCGCCGCAGCAGCAGCAAAUGGUUGGCCCCGGAAUGGGCCAGAGCUUCAUGCAAGGGCAUAGCAGGUCUCAGAUGAUGCCCCAAGGCAAAGUGCCCUCGCAAGGGCCGCCGACUAACAUGCCCGGCGGAGGUUUCCUUCCUUAAAAUACUAUAAUCCAUUUUCAAUCAAACUUAUCUAGUCUUAAAAGAGUGCAUGUAUAUAAAUAAAGAUACUUGGUAUGGUGUGACAAACAGUGUCCUAAGUUAUUUAAGUUUGUUGGUCGUCAUCGUAAUUCGGUCUUUCAGACUCUUUGUAUGUUUUGUUAGCUUAAUCUAUUUUGAAACUUUUGUCUACCAUAAUCUUAAGCAUAAUCUUUCGAAGGAGAAAAGGGAUGGAGCUCUACAUAGUUUUUGAGUUUUGAAAUCUUAUGUUGUCAUUUUAUCAACCAAUGAUCGGCUACUAAUUAGUCGACAUUGAUUACAUGGUUCACUGGAACCCUACAUCUGGGCAACAAGGGUUCAAGGGAUGCUAACAAACUGCAAACUUGACCUCCGAAUUUCCGUCUUUCAUCAAAAUAGACAUACACCAGAAAGUCAUUUUCAGGAAGACCUGAGAUUCUCUUGAAUCGACUGAAACAAACAUCCCAACUACUGUAUCAUGCAUUUUCAGCCACCAGAUCUACCAUUUUAGAAAAUUAAAUUGGCUAACUAUUCACAUAUUACUAUUACUAGGCCUAAUCUGGAAUUGUAUUUUUGAACGCAUCUGUUUUUAUACUUUUUAGUGAUCAGAACAAUUUAAAAAUGCUACCGAUCUUUUUUCCGCGAGUGCUAUAAAAAUUGGAUUGGCAAUUGCCCACAAGGGAAAAUUGAAAGUGCUUUUGAAAUUUUUGGCUUUCCAAAACGUAAAAAUAGAUGCUUUUAACAAGUUUCUCAUGGAAAAUUUCUCGUCAAAUUUUUCGCCAGUUUGGUUCAUAAAAAAAAAGCUAGUAUUUCUGAAAACUUCUUUGUUUUAUAUUUCAUGAAAAACUAGUUUUUUCGUUUUCCAGAUUUGAGUUUUUUUUAAGAACCAAACGGAAGAAAAGUGAAGACGACGACUUCUCAUGGAAUUUUUUUUUUCCGCAAAAAAAAUUUCCUCAGCCCCUAAACAAUAAAACACUCGACUGACGUACACUCAAAACACAAUCAAGUAUUGAUUCGGCUCUAUAAUAAACAAUGUUUGAAAAGAACACUAACAACUUCGUAUACAAAGGUGUUUGAUAGUUUCGGUACAAGUUUACAAAAGACUACAUCUGAUGACUGAUAUAUUCAAGGGAUACAAGAAAAAAGAUCAAUCCCCUGUUACGGUCGCAGACAUCACCACUAUUGAAAGGGGAUGCUUACAGCGCGCACAUUUGACGACCCAGAUCUUUUACAACAGCUCGGUACAUCCUAUACCGAUAAAAGUUGCACGAGUCUAUUCACAUAAAGAAGCUACAUCAUGAAGUACAGUAAAGAGUAUUUGUGUCAAUUUUCAUGAAUCAGGCGUAAUUUCGUCGUUUCUUUGUAAAUCCCCUCCUAAAGUGCCAUUCUUACCUUCCAAUGCACCGUUGUCGUCAUCGUCGCAGAUUUUUGGCUGGGCUUUGUUUAAUUUCCGAAGCCUCACGGUAGCUGGAUUCAUUCGUUGCUGUUGCGGAUGUUCGAUAAGAUUUAGCCGACUCAUCACGUAAGCCAAAAGCUCCUCCCUGUGCGAGAAAGUGAAGUCCAAAUGAGCAUACUCGAACUCGUUGUAGGACACCGCCACUCCGGCCCUUUUCAUCAACUUGAAGUGCUUUUUCACCAUCGAAGGCCGAAUCACUCUAUCCUUAAUCCCCGCAACCAAAUCAACGGGGAUAUCAAUUAGGUUGUACCGCUCCCCCAAAUCCAACGGUUCCGGUGAACCGUACGCUUCCAUAUUCGCAGAAGCACUUCCGUAAUCAUACAUUAUGAACUUUCUCGCUCGCUUAAUUUGCGCGAGGUGAAGAGCGACAUAAAAUGACACCCCCGGCAUGUCGUACAUAUUAUAGUGUGGCAAUCCAAGAACUCCGACCCAAUUCGAGCUGUCGCCCCCAACAACGUAGCCCAUUAGGGUUUGGACCAGGCCGCCCAAAGCCGGAUAGUUGUGAAAAUCUCGAGCCAACUUGUUUAGAAGCAUCCGGAAGAAUCUAGUUGGUAUAUAGAGACCGGGUACUACAGGGGCGAGUAUUGGACCGAUUAGCAGUACUAGUUUCUCUACGAUAGUGAAUAAUAUGGUAGAAUCCUCAUGGAAGCCGGCAGGAGAUAAGAGGAUUAACCUUGAUAGGCGGUGAGGCUUGCUGUCCAUUCUACGUGUUAUUACGUACAUUAGCAUCGCCGCUCCUCCUAGACUGUGGCAAACUGCACAGAGUUUGUAGGGUUGGUUGUUGGCGGCGUCGUCUUCAGUAACGGGUUGGUGGUUUUUGCUUAACUCUGAAGUUUUGAUUUCGUGUAUUUUCUCAAUUAUUGCGGGUACGUCUUUUGUUCCGUGCUCGUUCAACGAGUAUUUCCAGUACCUGUUAUUGUCAAAAAAAAUUGGAGUUACAUGUCUGGGCACACCCUGAUAUAUGUACAGAUCAGAAAGCGAAUACCACUUUGCAACCUACAAGUGAGACUGAUUCUCGGGAAGUCUUACGAGCACCAAUAAAGAAAAAAGGAACCCCACCCACUCCCUCCCCCAAAACGCUUCAUUAGUUUGUUCUAAACGGAGAUAAGCAGCCAAACGCAACCGACAAAAAUGUUUUGCUUGGAAAAGAUACUCUUUGAUAUGUCUUGAAAGCAAAGCUGGAAACAUAAACGGUCGAUCGUUGGCUAACGCAAGCAACGAAAUUCAUUGUUAGUGGAAAUUGCUCAUUUAGGUAGCAAACAACUAGGUCAAAACCGAGGUAGGUAGUAUUUAGUUCUUUAUCAACAUAGGCAUGUGUUCCCUUGAAGGCGGUAUCAUGCCUUUCAUAUGAAUAUUUCCUGUUCUUUCUACUCGUUGACAAAAUUCCAAUUAUACAUAAAUAUCAGUUUUUUUUUUUUCUUUUUUUUUUUGGGUUUUUGAGUUGAAAAUUGAAAAUAAAAUCUUCUGGAAAUUUGAGAAAUGAAAAAGAAAAUUAAUACGCAUCUUGUAAAGGCCUUUUCACAGUGGCAGCAGAAACUGCAAGAUUACAACUCAAGCUACUUUUUGAGCUAAGAAAAUAGCUAGACAAACAACUAGAUCACUCGAAGGAUUCGAAAGGGCAAAACUAAUAUUUUGAUAAAUGAACCAAGACAUCUAGUCUCGCAUAGGCUCCUCGAAUGAAGUUCAGACAGCAAGCAUAUAGUGUCAGCUCUAAAACAACGAAAAACAGCAAUAACUGCAAAUGAGUAACUUACUUGCGUGAAGAAAUAUUCUUGUCAACAUGCUCCCUGGAAACCAAACCACGUAAAUUCCCAAGAAAAACAUCAUAACCUGAAAAUAAGGGGGAAAAAAAAAUAGUGAAUUGACUGGACUGACUCGAUCCUUACUGAAGUGAGGUGUUUUACGCAUAUAUAGAAUUUUAGUCUCUGCUAUGCAUUUCGAAACAACUGCACCAACCUUGAUCAUAGGCAGCAAAUGCCGGAGAACCAACAACACCAUUAGACACCCAACUGCAAUAGCAGUAACGAUAACAAUACAUAAGUAUUAUAGAUGAAGAUUAUAGUAAACGGUAGAGACAUGAAGACAUGCGUACAAGCACAAAGACACACAAUACUAAUAAAUCGUUUGGCUAAUGCUUUGUAGUCAAGCCAAUGCGAAGGGAUGUUUAAAAAGUUCCAUUCCCUUAUAUAUAUAGAUCAUUAGUUAUGCCUGCAAUCUAGAAAUCACAAAUUUUUAUUCAUCUUCACAAGUGUCAAGUGGAGGAAAAGAAAAAAGUAACAGCGUAAAAUUAGAAGCAAGCUGUAUAGCAUAAUGAGAGAUAUAUUUCAACAUUAUAACUAACUGUUGGAAACCAUAUUCUAAACAGAUCAAGAGAAGUAAAAGAAGGUAGUCAUCCAGUAUGAACUGAAUAUACAGAAGUACACUUAAGAUUAUGAUAGAAAAUAUAUGAACAGGACUAAUUUAAAGCGUAAGAUAUAAACUAGAAUUUGAAGUGCUGAUUUGUGCUGCGAGUAGCAUGGAUGCUGCUAUGGUCCAGAAAACACAGCCCAGAAGAAUGAAAGGCAACUGCUGGCUGCAUCUUAUUUCAUGUCAUUUCAUGCACUGUCAAAGAUGGCAGAUGGCAAAUGAAAAAGGAAACAAGGUUUGCAAGGCAAGGCGUCGUAAAGUAUGCACUAGAUAUCAUGUCACCUUAGGGAAGUAGAAACCAAAGCACAAUAUUUAAAUCUCAUAACAGCACAUGCUUUUGCUAACUUGUAGGACAAUGUACGCGCAAGGAAGUGAGUGUUUCUUGACCAGUUCAAUCAUUAUAAUUUGCUAGCUUCGAGAAGAUCAUGAUUAAGGAAUAUAUUGGGUUUUCAUGAAUGACCAAAUUAUUUAAUAAUUUGACUAUUGCUUCUGGAGAAAUAGAUUUUACGAAUAUAGUUAGCAUUGACUUCACGAAAGAAUCAUUACAAGAUACACUCAUUAAUCAAAGAUAGUGUUGUGCAAAACACUAAAAGGUAGCACUUUAUAAAACUCUAUCAGCAAAUAUACUCUAUUACUAAGGAACUGGCUACUAUUUUUUCAUUGGAACCUCCUACUUAAUAUUGGUAGAAUAAUUCAAAUUUAAGGUAUAAGAUUGGAAAAUUUUUCUUAAAUAAAGACUAAUUUCAUGUUUGUCUCAACAACUCUCAACCAAUCAAGUUUCUACACUAACUUUGGUGAACUUCUCACUGGCAGCAGGUGACAACAAACUGGAACAAAAAAGGCAGAUGUAAUUAUAAAAAUCACUUCCCCCUCUGUUUUUCGAAAGGGCUGUGUUAAGUCCAAAAUGAGUUCGAAUUAUCAUUUAUUAUGUGGAGACAGCUCAACUUUGACAGAUCGUGCUAAUAUAUAGACGUAAUUGCAGUUUGGCUGUAAGUCAGUUUAUUAAUAGUACAAACAUCAACAUGCCAUCUACCACGGCGCUUACAAGAAGAUCCGCCGCCUUGUCGUGGUCUACAUUUUGGAUCUUUCCAUGGAAGAUGACUUUUGGACCUUCCCAAGGUGAAAUAGUUUUCAAGGGAUCUCCACCUCAUUGUGGCCGAUGGCAAAUUAAUGUUUUCACUCUUACUAAACUUGAUUUAUAGCUGAAUCGCAAUUACGUCAAUUCAAAGGUCCCCUAAAGCUCUAGGAAAGCACAUUAUAUAGGAGAAAGCGAAAUUGUUUUCAAGAAAUUGAAACCCCAAGGCUGGGGAUCUCCUCAGCCUCAUUGAGGUCGGUAGUAAAAUUAUGUUUUCACUCUUUCUAAACUUGAUUUACAGCUGAAACCCUCCAAAGCUCUAGGAAAGUUCACAAUAUAUUAAAGAAGGAUUGGCUAAAUGAACUGCAACAGCUUGUUGAUUUUUUUUUUUUUUUUUGUUGUUGUUGUUGUUGUUUACGAAAAAGAGGUACCAAGUAGCACAAACUCAGCACAGCAUAGGAAAUUCACUAGCUGAAUCAUAAAAUGGAAAUCAUCGAAUUCCCCAAGACACUGCAAAAGAAAAUAACUUCUUCACAUUGGGUAGUUUAGUACAAAAUUUAGGAAAACUGGACAAACAGUUAUUGAAUUUUGACCAUUUGCAAAUAGGCCCCUAAACCCCUACCACUUCAUUUUUCAUCACAUGACUGGUAUAUGGGUUUGAUCCAAAGUAUGUAUUAUAAUUCGGUAAAGUCCAUCUCUUCUGUUAACCGCCAAAAGAAAGAAAGCAAAGCAUCAAACACGAUUAAAAAAUCCAACUAAAAUUGAGCACAAAUUUUUGUUGUAUUAUUUUAUGCUAACUCAAGAAACAAGAAGGAAGAUCGAACUGCUACUAGCUGCUUUGUAAUAGAGGUGCAAUCUACAAACACCUUGCUACAUUUCAUCUUUUAUAAGUUCAACAAUUACCAUUAAUGGGAUUUUAGCUCUGAAGCACAUUGUUCAAAAAAAAAUCCAGCUUGCAAGACUCGUUUUGUUCGUCAUAUUGCUCUGAUGCUAGACACAACACAGAGAUAUUAAAAAACUAACAUUACCUGGUUGUAAAACAAAAUACAUCUCUACGUUAAGUUCAGGGAUCAGAUUUAAAAAAUUAGGAAUUUAGGCAGCUGUUUGCAGAUAGGCCAAAUGGUGUUUAUUCAUUUUUCAAGUAUGGCAGUUGCAUGGCAACCAUUCUAUUUGUAGUCAAAUAGCAAACUUUAACUUGCAGAAUAUAUCUGUCAUUUGUCAACUCACCCCAUCGAUGAAUCCAAUAUCCCAUGUUGUAGAUACACAACCUUCUGAGAAUCACGCCUGCGACAUAAAUGUAUCACGAGUCACACAUUAAAAACAUUUAACAGAAUACUUUUGAGAGGCUCACGAGAAAGUGAACCUAAAGAAAACAUCUAUCUUACCUAGGAAUUCUCUCCAGAAGAAGCACAUAUCCAUCAUCUGUAACCACACGUAUAGCCUCGUAAGGAUAGCUGAGAUAUGGAAAGAGUAAAAGAUUUAGUUAAACUCAUCUGAACUUUGGUUCUUGCCAAUUCCAAAUUCUAAUAACAGGUAGAUUACACCACCAGUCAUAGUGCUUAUUGCUAAAGUUAUACUUGGUCACCGAGCUUCAAUUUGUCACAAUUGUGCACUGAACUUAGAUACUGUUUCCAAUGGCCCUUUAAUUUUCCUUUUUGAGGAGCAACAUGGCAGCUCAUUUAGCUGCACGAUAUGUAGCAGCCAUGCCAUCACAAGAGUGACCUAAUUAAACAGAAAUUGGACCCCAUACAUCAACUGCAACAAAUUUAAGUUUGGCGACCCAAGUGAGACACCCCAAUAAGUUCAAUGAUCAAUAGUGGAGUUUACCUCUAUAACAACUCGGUGACAAAGACAAAUUAAACGAGUGUAAAACUAAUUUGCCAGUAGAUAAUCAAGAGAAUCUUGAUACAAUCAAAUCUCAUUCAUGUAAUUGGAUCACUAAUACCUUCUCUAUAAGAGUACAAGCAAAGAAGUAAUAGCAAAAAGAUAGUCCUUACCCAAGCUCACUUAUGACAUCUUCACAUGUCCGCGAGUCUGUGUUUAAAGAAUGGUGAAAUGUAGUCCGUCUUUCAGCUGGAGUUGGAUCAACACUGCCAACGGUAGCAGUUGGAACAACAGCUUCAUCGGAAUCACUAUCAUAGGUAACUUUCCCACUGCUUCCACGAAGCGAAACCAAAGAAUAUAAUUUCUGCCAAACCUCAGAAGGAGAAAGAACAAGGUGUGCUGCAUUGUGAACCGUCUCGAAAACUGAUUCAAUGAAUAUCUCAAUUGCCAGCUGGAGAUCCUGGGAGAGGCAUAAUCACAGAUGUAGAAACUUUAAGUAACUUAGUCUUCUGAAAAAAAAUCAGCCAAGAAACACAAAUAUAUUUUGCAAAAUAAUAGAAAAGCACAACGUGGGAAAGAGUUUCCAUUAAAUAAACAGUUAGAACAAAUAUACAUUGGGCCUUAGACAAUAUCCCUUCAAAAUUAUAUAUUAACAUUUAUAACCCCUACAAACCUGGAUUUUCAGACAUACUGUCUAAUGUAUAGUUUCUUACUAAAUACCCUUAUCUUAAGUUGGGGAUUCAAUUAGACAUAAGAGAUGUUUAUACAUAUUAUAAAUACUAAAUAUAGGAGGACUUAUCUAACCAGUUCCCAUGUUAAGAAACAUUUUCAAGAGGACAAUACUAAUUUACGGGAUAAUAUAUAUGUUUCUGUAUUGCCAUGCGGAAUACAAAAGAUUGUUUAGAAUUGUUAGAGCGUUAAGUUGAUCAAAAUUUUCCCACACGAAUCUAAAAUAUUUAUUAUUUUUCUACUUGUAAACCGAUAUGAAUUCCUGAUCAGUGUACCUAACCACUUAUCAAAUGUUUCUUAACAUGUGCCUAAGCAAACUCUUUAGCUAAACCUGAUGAAUGAUUUUUCAAGGCUACAUAUUCAGAAAACGUUAUUGUAUUCAAUUUGGACAUAACAAGUACCUCAAAAACUCCACGCCGUCUGUCAGUAGUACGCUGAACAACAUGGUCUUUUAUGUGAAAUGACCUUCUAGCAAUGCGACGACCUAACAGCUGGUGAGUUUCUGGGUUGCCAGGAGAAACUGAUUCACGUCUCCUAGAUCUGGCAGAUUGGAAUAAGAUAAAUGGCAACCAAAGAACAACUGUGGCAGGCCACAGAAUCCAGGAAAGUAUGCGUCGUAUAGAGCGUAUUAAGCGUCUAUCAUAUCUGGUGAUACUGCUUGAAUGAGACAAACGUGAAGACUGAGACAAAGGAGAGGCAGGGUAAAUAUUAUCAUCGUUAUCAUCUUCACUAGAUAUGGAACCAGUGGUCGAUGAAGUGUCAGAAUCCACAGAAAGCUCAUGAAUGAACUCAUUGAAUGAUGAAACGCCACUGUCAUCACAACAAAACAAAGUUAAAGGCAGGAACUUCUUAUGCAUGAUGGAAGAAAUGAAAACAAGUUCCCUACAUAAAGAAAAUCAAUUGAAACAACAAAAUGAAGGACUUGCCACUCAAUCAUUGGCAAUCCUUGUACCAAUUAGCUUUACAUGACUGAUUUUGUCAAAUACGAAAAGUAAUGCAGAUAAUAGAGCCAUAGCCAUACUGUCUAAUAAUCAAUACUACACACUAAGAGUAAACAGUACAUGACACCACCACAUAUCCCUACAAAAUAAAGAUUUUAACACCAUUACAUGACACACUGCACGAAAUGCCUUUUCCAUAUUGAUGCAGCACAAGGAUUUUAGGAAGAGUCAUCCUUCUACCACAUCAAAUAUUCAGUUAUUACAAAAAGUAAGAGAAUAGUGGCAAUAGUUUCUAAGCCUAGUAAUCAGGUUAGGAUAUUACAUCCCUACCAUAGAGUUUACUGGACUCUGUGGAGGAUGCAGAAUAUAACUCGUCAAAGGCCCUUCUCCUCCAAGGACUGUAUGGUUGACUGGAAGUUUAUGACAGGCAAUAUAGUUUCUAGAACUCGUCAAAAUCAAAAUAGCAUUUAACUAGACUUUCGCACUACUUCAACAAAACUAAUAUCAAACACACGGAUCAAGUCACUUCACUCAGAAAAGAACUUUAUGACAUCUAGUUAACUCGAAUCAAACAUGUCCGGAGUGGAGAAAACCAGAGGAAUCUUUUCAACUGAAAGAAAAGUGUUGCUCCAAAGGAGACAAUGAGAACCAAACAAAUAGCAUCAUCAAAGCCAGGCUAAAGAUUUCAAAGUGUUGAAAUAAGUAGCAAUGAAGUUGGCUGCUGUCCAUUGGUCAACUGCAUGCAACAGCUAAUGGACUUCAGUGACCUGGUGUUCAAAGUGUAGCACCUUGAACCACAACAUAGCAGAGCACAAUCAAUCCAUACUCUUAUAACUUCAGGGUGAUUUUUGAGGCUUUCCCUUAAUCUUGUAUUCAUCAAAAAGUAACACAAUGUAGAAAUGAUAUGCUAAACACAUUUUACAUUCUUUCUUAUCCAAUCAAAAAUGUGCUUUUAGUUUUUACUAUCUUUAUGCAAAGAGCACAAGAAUGUGACGAUAAAUGUUGUAGCUAAAGCAGCAUCUAUUAUACUACGUAUUGACUGCCACAGAAGAAAGUAACUAUGAUAUGCCUCCCAUUACUUGGAAAAUCAAUCACCAUAGCUCCUUUUGGAAAAUCAAUCACCAUAGCUCCUUUGGAUACUUUUGUCCUCUUCAUCAAAGGAAAAGUUUAAAAGUAUUAGUUAACGUUCUCAUGUACCUAUACAUACUAAGAGAAAUACAAAGGAGAGUAGAAAGAGAUUUCCUGAGCUUUAGGUGCGACUUUUAAUAUGACCACAAGUAAAGCUGAUCCCUAGUGAAAUACCCACUUGAAAUCAUCACACCUAGAAGGGGCAUCUUCCAAAAAUACCAUGCCAUUCUUUUUAGUGCUGCUAAUUGAAUAAAUAACCAUGCAAAGCAUAAAUAGAGACUACAAAUUAGAUAUCAGAAUGAUGCGGACUCCAUAAUACUCAAUAAAAAUGAUUUAGAUGUACAAGGGGACUACAGUAAUAACUGGAUAUAAUAUAAAUCGUUGUAACAACAACGAACAGAUUUUAAAAUUUCUUGCCCAUCCAGAUAGCAAGGCAAGGACUCCAGAAUAUUGGUAAAAGUAAUUUAUAAUUUUGCGAAAAACAGCGAAAAUUUCAGUCUCCACAUAACGGUAAUUCUAGUUUCAUCAAUAGGAUGAUAACAGUGAUAUGAAUAUUUGCAUCUUCACGGAAACAAAACUGAAUAAAGAAGGAUAACUGUAUACAUAGCUCAACAGAAUACAGAAAAGACAUCAAACUUACUUUUCCAUCCACCGAGGAAGGCGAGGUCCUCGGAAUGUAGGUCUGAGCUCCCAGCCAUGGAUUCCCUCUAACAAGUUAGCCUUCCCUGGCAAUAUUGUCAACAAGAGUGCCGAAACCCCAUUUAUCAACCUUGCAAUACUAUUCAGGGAUUCAUAAGUGAAUGUCUUCACAGAUCUGCAGGACAAAGGGAGCGCAUAUAACAUUAUAAAAAUCAUUAUAAUAAAAUAGAGCUUAAUCGAGUACUUAUUUAUGUAUAUAUAUUGUCCCUGUACUAUCCCAAUUCAAACAUUUUGGUUCUAUGGUCAUGCCAAAACCCAACUUUGUUGUUUUCACUCUCUUGUAUUUCCCAUCAUACGUGAACUAUCAAGCAUCAUGUGAGAACUCAGGAAAAAUAGCUUACUUCUCCAAUAUAAAUUUUCCCUUUUCUUCCUCGUUCUUUCACUUCAUUCCGCCACAUUUCUCUCACUAACUACUAGUAGGAGAUAAACUUAAUAUGAUCACAGAAUAUUUUCGCAAAAAGACUGAAUGCAUAAAAACCCCCAAACAUCUUCGCGAUUGGCAUUUUGCGCCUCUAACAUUAAAAAAAGUACACAUCUUACCAUUUCAAUGGUCAAAAUGAUUCUAUUACUUUCCUAUUGUCUCCAAAUACGAUCUCAUUUUUACCGAAGAGCGACCAAGCUCCUCAAUAGGAUUACACUGUGAUACGAAGUAACUGUCUAUUACACACCCAGGCUAUAGAAACACUAAUGCAUCAUAUUAUCACAGAAAAGUGCUAAGGAAAGGGCAAAGUGAUGAAUCACAUAAACAUUGAGAGUUAAAUAUGAACAAUAUCAGGGGCUUUUCUAAAUCCUAGGACUAUUCAUCUAGGCUCAGAUAUUAUAUUUAGGGUUUGAAAAAUAUAUACAAAUAAAAAUCGAAACUUAGGGCUAUUUCCCUAAAAUUCAUCAUUUGAAAACCUGGUGCAAAGCACUACCUACUAAUUUUAAUGAUCCAAACUCAAUACAACCUAAUUGAUUCCGUUCAUAUCCAGAAAAAAAAUGCAAAAUCCAAGUUAAUUUGUUCUCGAUGAGGAAUAUUUCGGUCAUUAUUAUCAAUCAUUAGCACCGUACCCACCAAAAAACAACAUUAAUCAACAAAUUUCCAUCAGUUUACGCAAUUUCCUAUUCCAAUACUAAAUUCAUGAGAUAAAUCAACACCAGAAAAGUAAAGAAAAGGUAAUUAAGUAAGCAAUUUCUACAUUUACCCUCAAAAUAACUCGGAAAAAAUGCUUUUUUUUUUAAAAAAAAAUGUUCUCGAUGAGGAAUAUUCCGGUUGUCAUCAUUCACUAACUAGCAAAACAAAAUCCAUCAAAAUCGACAUUAAUCAACAAAUUUCCAAUCGACUAUCCCACAAAAAUAACCUUAAUUUAGAGUCCAAAACCUAAUUCAUGAGAAAUUAGCAUAAAAAACACCAAAAAAUACGCAAUUAACCGAAAAUUUUCGAGAUAAAUAGGCAAAUAAUUCGGGAAAAAAUGGUAAAAAUUAAGGAAAAAUUGGGGAAAAGGAGGGAUGGGGAUUACUCUUUUGUUACGGCGAGGACGUGAUCGACGAAUCGCUGCAACAUAAUAAAAACAAAAUUAAAAAUAACAAUAAUUCCCAACAAAUUCCCACGAUUUUCUACGCGAGGAAUCGAAAUGGUUUUAGAGAGAGAGAGAGAGAGAGAGAGAGGGGUUGGGCACUUGGUCUUUGGGGAACCGCAUAAUGGUUAAAAUGCAUGGAGACCCCUCAACUAUAGGAAUUUCGAAAUCAGCUCGUUAACUUUUUUCGUUUCACUCCUUAUUGAUACAUGAACAUGCACCUUUUAAUUUCUAAUUUUUUUUAUUUGAAAUUUAUUAGAAAUAUUUGUAUGUUGAAAAUUUGGCUAAAGUAUUUAUAUAAAUAUUGGGCAAAACUCAAAUGAAUUAUAACUCAUUUCGAUGUGAGUAUCUAUUAUUUAAAAGUUUUGAAUUUGCAACUGAAUCUUUAAAUUAUUUGCAUUGAAUUUUUUGGCGAUUUUUGAAAUUCAAAAUUUGGAUAUAUGUGUACUUUUUUUAUAAUAAAAAAUUAUCAAAUUAAUUUAAAUCAAAGAAACUAAAAUAUUAAGUAUCAAAAUCACAAAUUAUUAUUCAAAUUUAGAUAGUUAGAUUAAGAUUAUAGUAAGAUAAGUUUCAUAUAUUCUUUUUAUCUAAAUUUAAUUAUUUACUUAAAAUAAUUAAUUAAUAAUUUUUUGGGUCUAGUGGGUUAAAACUUUAAUGGGGUGUUUGGGUCCUCAAAAAAUUAUGAAAAAUUAUUUUCAAAAAAAUAUUUCGAAAAAAAAUAUUUUUUAUUGUUGGAUAAAAACUAGAAUUUCAUUUUUAAUUUUUCCUACUUUUUUCACAAAAUUUGAAAAUUUAUUUUUAAUAUAUAAAACACUUGAAAAAUCAUUUUUACAGUCUAAAAAUUAUUUUCUAAAAUAUUUUCCAGAAAACCAAAACACCUCCUAAAAUAACCCAGUUUUAAAAGAAUAAAAAAAGGAGCACUCAUUUCAGAACAUCCUGUAAUAAAGGGGUUUUCGUGUAUUUUCACCUAAAACUAUCCAAUUAACCGCAUAGGACCAAUAUAUGCGGAACACUUCCACGGACGCGUCGUGAUUCGCGUCGAGGGUGGAUCGUUUCGUACGCAUAUAAAUUUAUUAUGCGUGUUUCCGUACGAUUGUGGAGAUGCUUUUCUUUGCUUCUAAUCCGACCCUCCCACCGCCCAACGUACGGAUUUAGUCGGUUGUCGCCUCGCCACGUCGACGACGCGAUGAUGCUCAAAUUGAUGAUAUUCUCACCCCCCACCAUUACUAUGUCCAGGGGUAAUUUGGUAAAUUCACACAAAUUCGAGCCAUCACCAUGAUAGGGGGGGGGGGUUUCUUAUCUAAAAUACUAGUUCUCGAAUCUUUGAAAUAAAUUGGUAUAAUUAUUUCCACUAACAUCUACAUUUUUUAUAUAUAAUUAUUCACUAUUUUUUUUAUUUCAUAUUAUCUAUCCAAACGCUAUUUUUUUUAUCACUGGAAACAACCUAAUUUUUAUCCAAACGCUAUUUUGCUUAUCCUCAUACUUGUACCUAUCAUUGUAAGAGCCAGUUCUUGCUUAUAUCCGAACCAAACGGUAUAAGACUAUAAAGUCCUUCGUACUUAUAAGUUGUUUUCACUGAUGGAGCUUUCGAAUCGGAGAUUAUAUAAUAUAUAUAUAUAUAUAUAUUAUUAUAUAUAUAUAUAAUAUAAAAUUGAAACUUUCUAAAAAAUAAAUUUGUAAUUUCGAAAUACGAAUAAUAAUCUCAUCAAGCGUAUAAAAUGGAACGGUCAAAAUCGAAUGACGUCCUAUAAAAUGGAUAAAAAAAAAAAUUCGGAUAUCUUCAAUUUUAAAAUCGAAGUACUGAUUUUAUCAGAUAGUGAAUAGAAUUUUCUAUCAAAAAUCAAUGCUAUUCGCGAUUCUUUUACGCCGUUAAACUACAAUAUCAUACCGGCCGUUAAAAUUGUUAAGUUUGUUGAGCUUUUGAUCGUCAAGUAAAUGAUAUUAAAUUAAAUUAUGAAAUUUGAUUUCUAGAAAGUUUUAAAAUGCUCUAGAUAAUGUUUAACGUGGUGUGAUUUGUCGAUUCGAAAGCCUACAUAAAAAAAAUAACUUAUGUACGAGGGCGGAUCGAUACUCUAUAAAGAGUAAUAGACCGGACUCUAAUGUGUGUUAAAAAUCAAAUAAUUAGUAGUAAAAUUGGAUCGUUGAAAAUAAAUGAAUUUAAGUCGUAGAAAUAUUAUUCUCGUCAGACAUUGAACCUAACAAAUUAAGAAAAAAGGUUCAUACGAAUUUUGUCCCGCAUUUUCGCCGAACUAAAAUAGAUCUAUUAGGCUUUAAUCCAUCCCAUGUUUUCACACUAUCACAAAUGGAUCAACAGUAGAUAUUUUUUUUUCUUUUUUGCUCUUCUCCUAAUUUUAUAAACCAUCAGCUAUUAUUAGAAUAGUAGAAUUCUAGCGCGCUCGUAACAUAUUCUUAUAGGAUUUCUGGUAGAAUUGGGAAUAUUAAGUAAAAAAUCGAUACACCACCUUCUCCUUGAAAAUUAGCAAAGGAUGCUCCUAAUGGAAUCAUGUGGGAAUAUAAGACCUAUUGUUUGUUUUGUUACCCUUUCUUUCGAUAAGCAAAAAAUACAAAAAAAAGAUAUACCAUCAAAUACGAUAUAACUAUCUAUUGGAUACCUAUAUUUUCCUAUUUGAUCUAAGCCUACUGUCUUUCUUUCUGCUGAGAAUGGGGAGACAAUCACUACCAUUUAUUACAUACAUUUUUUUGUAAUCUUCCCUACACGUACCAAAGAAAUCUUUUUUUUCUUUACUUUGACUUUUAUACUCUGUUAUUUAUAUAUAUAAAUACAUAAUAUAUAUAUAUAAUAUUAUAUAUAUAUAUAUAUAUAUACUCAUGCAUUAAAUAGCCGUGCAAUGCACGAUUUUUAAUUUAUCUUUUAAUUACAUCUUUUUAUAUAAUAAUAAUAUAUUAAUUUUUACAAUCAAUUAUUUUUUAAUAUCUUUUUAAUGACAACUUUUAUAUAUAAUAUUAAUUUUUCAUAUUAACUUUAUUAGAAAUUAUUAUUGAAUCAAUAUUAUAAUUAAUAUACUACAUGAUAUACUAAUAAAUGUAAUUAAAUAAUUUAAACAUAAAAAGAUUUUAAAAUGAAGAAGUAAAAUAGGUUCAAAUCCAAUUAGAAUUUAACAUAAUUAUUAUUUAUAUAUUUUUUAAUACUCACAUAUGAAAUGAUGAAGAAAGAUUCAAUCUUAUUCAAAUUCUAUUUUAUAUAUUAUAUUUUUCUAAUAAUCUUUUAUGCACAACUUUUAUAUCAAUAUAUAUUAAUAUUUUUAGCAUAUUAAGCUUUAUUAUUUAGAAAAUAUUAUCUGAAUUCAAAUUAAAUAUAUACUAUCAUGAUAUAACUAAUAGAAUGAAGUAAAUAUUUAAAAAUUAAAAGUUAAAAUGAAGAAGUCAAAAAGGUUCAAAAUGCCAUUAGAUAUUUAACUAUAAUUUUAUUUAUAUAUAAUUAAUCUCAUUUCAAUUCUUUAUGACUAAUUUUGUAAACUUAAUUUUUUAAGAAUUUUAAGUGACUAAAUUUGGAAAGUAAUUUUCUAGCCAACCACUUGAGCAUUGACAUAUUAUGAUUCUUUAAACUAAAAAGUCUUUGUUAUUGUGAAUAAUUAGUCAUGUAUGUUUAUCAAUUAUUUUCAACAAAUCAAUCAAAAAUUUAAAUAUAAAUAUCAAACAUACCUCUCAAAAGUAAUUAUUGAAUAUUUCUUGGGAUAAGGGCAAAUACUUAUGCGCUCUGAAAAUUUCAAUACUAUGACGAAGUCCAAAGCUAGUGGUAUGUAUCCUGAAAAAAAGAAGAAGAUAAUAUAUACAUUACAAACCGACCAAAUCAUUACACGUAAUUAUUUUCAAAUUUUGAAAUAAACUUGCCUUUUGUAGAAAGGUGGUGCAUAAAGGUGGAAAAUAAGUCUGCCUCCAUCUAUCAUACAUAUGGAUGAUAACAUUAAUAAAACAAUGGCAUUCACUUGUAAUACAUACAUAUGGAUGAUAAAAUUUGUAACAUUUUAGAUAUUAACUGUGAAAGAUGAAUAUGCCUCACAAUCAAAGAAAAAAGGGAAAAAAAAAUAAUUGCUGUGCGGUUAAGAAAAAAAAAAAACUGUUGUGUGGUUUAGGGAAAAAAUAAAUGUUGUGCGGUUAAGAAAAAAAAAAAACUAUUGUGCAGUUUAGAAAAAAAAAAAAACUGUCGUACGGUUAAGGAAAAAAAAAAUUGCUGUGCAGUUAUUUUUUGGUACGUGUAGUUAUGCUCUCUUAUAAUUACUUAAUGAUAAUGAUAAUAUAUAAAAUAUAUAUAAUGAUAAUAUAUAUAUAUAUAGAGUCUGGCUACUAUGCUAUCGGUAGCACGGAGCGCUCCGUGCUACCAAGUUGUUUUCGAUGAUGCAGCUUCCAAAUCGACGAUCGGCUCCGUUAGACUUGAUCUACACUAUUGAAAGUAUUUGGAAACUAAAUUUCANNNNNNNNNNNNNNNNNNNNNNNNNNNNNNNNNNNNNNNNNNNNNNNNNNNNNNNNNNNNNNNNNNNNNNNNNNNNNNNNNNNNNNNNNNNNNNNNNNNNNNNNNNNNNNNNNNNNNNNNNNNNNNNNNNNNNNNNNNNNNNNNNNNNNNNNNNNNNNNNNNNNNNNNNNNNNNNNNNNNNNNNNNNNNNNNNNNNNNNNNNNNNNNNNNNNNNNNNNNNNNNNNNNNNNNNNNNNNNNNNNNNNNNNNNNNNNNNNNNNNNNNNNNNNNNNNNNNNNNNNNNNNNNNNNNNNNNNNNNNNNNNNNNNNNNNNNNNNNNNNNNNNNNNNNNNNNNNNNNNNNNNNNNNNNNNNNNNNNNNNNNNNNNNNNNNNNNNNNNNNNNNNNNNNNNNNNNNNNNNNNNNNNNNNNNNNNNNNNNNNNNNNNNNNNNNNNNNNNNNNNNNNNNNNNNNNNNNNNNNNNNNNNNNNNNNNNNNNNNNNNNNNNNNNNNNNNNNNNNNNNNNNNNNNNNNNNNNNNNNNNNNNNNNNNNNNNNNNNNNNNNNNNNNNNNNNNNNNNNNNNNNNNNNNNNNNNNNNNNNNNNNNNNNNNNNNNNNNNNNNNNNNNNNNNNNNNNNNNNNNNNNNNNNNNNNNNNNNNNNNNNNNNNNNNNNNNNNNNNNNNNNNNNNNNNNNNNNNNNNNNNNNNNNNNNNNNNNNNNNNNNNNNNNNNNNNNNNNNNNNNNNNNNNNNNNNNNNNNNNNNNNNNNNNNNNNNNNNNNNNNNNNNNNNNNNNNNNNNNNNNNNNNNNNNNNNNNNNNNNNNNNNNNNNNNNNNNNNNNNNNNNNNNNNNNNNNNNNNNNNNNNNNNNNNNNNNNNNNNNNNNNNNNNNNNNNNNNNNNNNNNNNNNNNNNNNNNNNNNNNNNNNNNNNNNNNNNNNNNNNNNNNNNNNNNNNNNNNNNNNNNNNNNNNNNNNNNNNNNNNNNNNNNNNNNNNNNNNNNNNNNNNNNNNNNNNNNNNNNNNNNNNNNNNNNNNNNNNNNNNNNNNNNNNNNNNNNNNNNNNNNNNNNNNNNNNNNNNNNNNNNNNNNNNNNNNNNNNNNNNNNNNNNNNNNNNNNNNNNNNNNNNNNNNNNNNNNNNNNNNNNNNNNNNNNNNNNNNNNNNNNNNNNNNNNNNNNNNNNNNNNNNNNNNNNNNNNNNNNNNNNNNNNNNNNNNNNNNNNNNNNNNNNNNNNNNNNNNNNNNNNNNNNNNNNNNNNNNNNNNNNNNNNNNNNNNNNNNNNNNNNNNNNNNNNNNNNNNNNNNNNNNNNNNNNNNNNNNNNNNNNNNNNNNNNNNNNNNNNNNNNNNNNNNNNNNNNNNNNNNNNNNNNNNNNNNNNNNNNNNNNNNNNNNNNNNNNNNNNNNNNNNNNNNNNNNNNNNNNNNNNNNNNNNNNNNNNNNNNNNNNNNNNNNNNNNNNNNNNNNNNNNNNNNNNNNNNNNNNNNNNNNNNNNNNNNNNNNNNNNNNNNNNNNNNNNNNNNNNNNNNNNNNNNNNNNNNNNNNNNCUUCCAUAAGCAUUCUAGCCGCACUCUCUCUCUCUCUCUCUCUCUCUCUCUCUCUCUCUAUAUAUAUAUAUAUAUAUAUAUAUAUAUAUAGUUGAGCUGGAAUGCUAGUUUCAAUAGCAAACGAGCAUCUUCGCCACCUAUUUGUUUUUAAUGAUGGAGCCUCCAAAUCGACGAUUGACACCGUUGAAUAUGAUAUAUAUCACUUGAAGCAUUUAGAAACCAAAUUUCAAAUCUUUUCGACAUUAUUGACCUAUCGAUCAAAGGGUUUUAAAAUUUAUAAUUUUAAUGGUCAAUAUGAAGUGUUUUCUCGUUUAACGGCGUAAAAAUAUCCAAAUUAAUUGAAUUUUGGUUAGAAAAUUCUUUCAACUAUUUCAAACCAGAUCUAUACUCUAUCUUGAUCUUGAUUACAUGACUCUUAUCAUCACUUUUUAAAUAAUAUUUUUUUUCAGCCGUUCAUUUUUUGUGUCCACUUGAUGGACAAAAGAACGAUAUCGAAAAAACAUAAAUUUUGGUUUCUAAAUGCUUCAAGUGGUAUAGAUCAUAUUCAAGCCCAUCGUCGAUUUGGAGGUUUCAUCAUCGAAAAUAUAUGGGUGACAAUUGAACUGUUUGCUACCAAUAGCAUUCUAACUAGCUCAACUAUAUAUAUAUAUAGAGAGAGAGAGAGAGAGGUUUUAAAAUUUUGUGAUAAAGGCCAAAAAAUAAUUGGACCACACACACGCACACGUUGAUCACACGUUUUUUCUUUUUUAUUGCAAAGAAAAAGCAUUUGAUCAACGUGGCAUCGCAUGCAAGCUAGUGUGGCGAGCAUUGCGUCCACGGCAUGUCAAAGAGAUCCGAAAAUAAGUUUCAUGAGUUGCACGCCAAGUCACUAUUAAUUGGUUUCAUAGUAAAAUAUGGGUUUUUUUUUUCCCAUUUGUUCCCCUCAACAAAUUUUUUUCACAAAUAAUUCUACUAAUUUUAUAAUUGCAAUUUAAGAUUCUAUUCCCGCCACAUAAGCGACACAUCAGCACCACGCGAGCACGGGUGGAGGAUAUGGAAUAAGUUGAAUACGGUAAUCCAUUCAUUGUAUCUAGACAAGAUGAAUCAUUCACCGUGUCUAGACACGUUGAACAAUCAUUCACUGUGUUCAACUUAUUCCACAUCCACGACCCCUGCUCGCAUGGUACUGACGUGAUGCUUGCGUGGCGGGAAUAAGGUCUUAAAUUGCAAUUAUAAAAUCAAUGAGACUAUUUGUAAAAAUAAUUUUUUUGAGGGAAUUAAAUGCAAAAAAAGCCCUAAAAUAUAUAGAAUUGAGCUUUUAUGUUCUUAGAAGCACUAAAUUAUUGGUGCUCAUAGAUUUUCAGCAUUUGGAUAAAGAUUUGCAUGAUUAGAAUAAUAGUAGUUCCCUAACGUUGAGUUGGUGGUUAGUGGAAUAACAUAAUUUAAGAAAUGGAAUUGCUGACAGAGAUAAAUCUAACGGUGGAAAACUUACCGGCACCAACUGGUUUGUGCUUUUAAAAAGCAUCCGGACUCUAUGUAUAUAUAGAUUUGUUUAUUUGUCCGUAAAUAAUUUUUAGAUUAAAAAUAACUUCUAGUUAAAUUAAAAUUAAGAUAAAAAGUAAAGCUUUCAGAAGUAUUAUUUUUUAAAAAAUAGUUAUUUAGUAAAAAAAAAAACAGCAUUUAUUGGCCAAAAUGCUUCUUCAAACUGAACUGCAGUACUCCUAUAUAGCUUUGUUUGUAUGAUAAAUUGUCUUGGAAAAAUUCUUGUAGAUUCUACUCUAUAUUUGAAGUUUCAAGUUAGAUAAAUUGCUUAUAUGUACAAAUACAAGUUAAAUUAAAAUGGGUAAACUUCAAAUAUAUAUCCCCCCUGUCGUUUCACACUUUCUCACUUUAGUACCUUGUGGUUUAAAGUGUAUCAAGUUACCUCUUGUGGUGUUCGCACUUUUUCACUUUAGUACUCUGUGGUUUAAAGUGUAUCAAGUUAUUACUCUGUGGUUUUAUUUUUCUCUUUUUAUUACUCAUUUCACUAAUUUGUUUCGUUAAAUCAGUGAUAAAGUUAAAAUUAAAGGGUACUGAAAUAAAUAUUCGAUAAACCUAGAGAGAGUAUUUGAAGUUUUUUGUAUAUAAUUUAACGAAAUAUUAACAGAGGAAAAAAAAUAAGUGCAGAGUUAAAACUAAAGGAUAAUAAAGUAAAUUUUCGAUAAAUCUAGGUAGGGUAUCUGAAGUUUUUUGUAUGUAAUUUAACGAAAUAUUAACAGAGGAGCCGACGAAAAGAGAAAAAUAAAACCACAGGAUACUAAAUUGAUGUACUUUAAAUCACAGGGUACUAAAGUGAGAAAGUGCGAAACCACAGGGUACUAAAUUGAUACACUUUAAACCACAGGGUACAUAAGUAAAAAAGUGCGAAACCACAUGGAUGGUAUUUGAAGUUUUCCCAAUUAUAAAUGAAAGAUCCAAGAAUCAGUUUUAGGCAUGUUCCUUUACUACUAAUGUUCGCGUAACAAAAAAACAAAAGAUUAUCCUUUCCAAUUGAAACGAAGUUCACAUAGUCUUGAGUAAGGUUUUAAAAUUUAGAAAGCCACCUCUGUUGGCUUAAAGAGGCCACCAUUCUGUCCGACGGCGGAAGGUAAGGUGGAAUCGAGUUAUUCUCGAAAUGGCGGAAGACUGAAUUGGGUCAAGUCACAAUCGAGAUUCAUGAGCGCAGUAUUUGUACGCUUUAAGUUAAAUUAAUUACAUUUUUUUACCAACUCAAGCUUUUAAAAUUAUUAAUGAUUAGUGCCAACGAUCCUACAGUCCGUAAAUACUAAGUUUAGAUAGGUCUUGUAAAAUGAAUUAUCCUAUUUGUUGCAUGAUGACAUACAUAUAGUACAACAAUUUGAGAAUUUUGGGAAGAAGAUCGAGCAUACACAUGUAUUUUUCGAGUUGUUCAUCAAACAUACACAUGUAUGUAUAAAAUUUGCUAUCGAGAUGGAGACAAUCCUUGCAAAGUAGAGCAUGUAGAGAGCAAGUAAUACGAACAUACAGUUACAGCAGGCCCUUACAACGAAACUGUGUAUUUAUUAGAGCAAUAGUCGGUCGAGAGCCUGCAGUUGCGUACUAUUAUUACGGAGCUUUCGUUGUUCUCUGACAAGCAGGCUGGAAGGCAGGGCGGAUGGAAGUAAGGCCGAGAGGCUGUUCAAAGAUUACUUUUUCGCCUUCGCUACUUGGAUUACUACAUUUCUCUGAUGAGAACAAAUAUUGCUGGAUCAAACAGUGCUGGAAAUUUUUUUUUUUCAAUAAUAAAUAUUGUUGCAAUUGAUAUUUUAGGGUAAGCAAAAAUCAUUGUGAAUUGUUGCUUUAAAUUUAUAGUAAUUAUAAUGUUUAAAUAAUAUAAUUUGUAUUAUCACAGCUGCACAAACUGUUGUAAUGAAAUAUAUUUUGCGAUAAUUCAAUUUCUGAUGUGAUUAGAUUGAUGUAAUAUGGAAGAAAAAAAAAAAAAGAAAAGGCUAAAUUACAGAAAACCUCCUGUCAAAACCCGAUUUUUUAUUUUAAAUUCCACUCCUGUCAUUUAAAAACCUACACUCUGCCCUCUUGUAAAAUAAAAAAUAUUAAUAAGGGGUACAGUGUGAACUGUAAUGAUAAAAUGAUUAUUUUACCCCUCACUAUUUUGCCCCUCACUAUGUUCACAGGAAAGAAGGCUGAGGGCAUUUUUGGCAUAAAAAUUAUAUAAUAAUAUUUUAUAAACGGAAACCUAACGGAUUACUAACGGCUGUGGGCGAAGUGAAUAUUUUUUAUUUUAUAAGGGGGCAAAGUGUAGGUUUUUAAAUAACAGGAAGGAAAGUGAAAAAUCGGGUUUUGAUAGGAAGGUUUUAUGUAAUUUAGCCAAAAGAAAAUAUGUAUACUUUGUUCGGAUAAAAAAAAAAUGAUAAGACUAGUGUGGAUUAUCUCCAUUCUAAUUAAUUAAUGAAAUAUUAGAUAUGAAUUCAUGAUAUAACGUAUAGCCAAUUUCCAACAUGCAUUAUUUUCUUAUUCUAUUAAAGUAAAAAAAGUAUAGAAUUUAUCUGCACUAUAGAUUAUUUUGAUUCGACUGCUCUACCAUUCAAAAUUUUAAUCCCACUACUCACCCCUUUGAUUUAAUUGAUUUAAAUCAUUUAGCAGCUUCUUCGAUACAAAAUUUAAACUAAUUGCUUAUUUUAAUAAAUUUAUAGUUGCAUGAAUUGCUAAUUAAAUCUAUAAAUAUAAAUUACAUUUUUAAAUUUUGAAGCUAAGGAGUCAUUAACUCUCUCGAAUUAAAUAAUUAAAAUAUUAGAUUGUAAAAUAAAAUUUUUUAAAGGUGAGAUAGUCAAAUAAAAAUGAGUGAAUCAUUGAGGCAAGCUAUAUAUAUUUUGAGCUAGGCUUGUGUGUUUUUAGAAAUAUGGUGGUUUUUAUUCUAUCAAUUCGUUUUCAAUGUUGAGAUUUCCGAAUUGAUGAUCGGCUUUGUUAGGCCUGAUUUAGAGCAUUUGAGGUACUUAAAAAAUAAAUUUCGUAAUUUUUUGAUAUCAUUUACCUAGUGAAUAAAAGCGCCUAAAAUCAAUAUUUAAUGGUUGUUACGAGCUGUUUGCAAAUUUAUUAGUGUAGAAAUAUCAAAUCAUGUGAAAUUUUAAUAGAAAAUUUUUUAUGCUAUAUAAAACAAGAUCAAAUUUCUUGAUCUAAAAUUUUAGUGUCAUACCAUCACUUUUUAUGAGAUUUUCUAUUUUUAAUGGUUGAUUUUGAAUUCUUUCAAUCAUUAGGUAAAUGAUUGUCGAUUCGGAAGUCCUAACAUCGAAAAUAACUUGAUAGCAUGGAGGCACCUAUCCUUCUAAAAGUAUGAAAGCUAGACUCAUACAUUUUUGCCUUCAAUUAAUAAAUCUAUACAGAAAAUCAUCGUAUAUCUUGCAGUAAAAAAGAUGAAACAAAACAAAAGAAUAAUAUCUAAUAUGCCAUUCGAAACUUCAUAAGUAUCUCAUUCACUUCUAGAGGACCAAAAUACCUUUACUAAAUUUAAAAAAUUCCAAAAUAUUCUUAUUUUUCCUAAGGUUUACUAAUAGAAUUGGAUUUUAGUAGGGUAUUUUAGUAAUUUUAGAAUAAUUUUAAAAAUUUUGAAUAGUAGUAAAGGGUAAAUAAGCAAAAGCCUCAAAACAGAAAGACCUACUGAUUGUGCUAGGGAUAGUUGGCGAAGGCGGAAAUCGCGCCACAGCUGUAGGGAUGAGGGCAUUGGUGACAAUGAGGAAGAUGGUGGUGAAGGUGAAUAAGAACUUUAGAGCCAUUGUUGCUCUCUCUUAAUUUCUUUGUUGGAUGUUCAUCCAAUUCAUCCUAACAUGCACUAUUUAUAGGCUUCAUGUAGAUUUUGAGUUGUUAAGCAUAUGAUUGUAGCAAACAUCCCUGAGAAGAAUCAAUAUCUUGUAGCCUUUACCGUACAAUUUUGGUCAAGUGAAAAAUCAAGUUUUCGUUCGGAAUAUAUAUCUCAUUUAAAUUUUUUGUUCUUGAGUGAUAUAAUAAGAUUGGUGGCACGGGUCUAUUAGGACUCUGUUUGGAAAGAUAAAUUUUUUGGUUUUUUCGGAGGUUCGACCAAAAUUAUCGCAACUUAAUUGCCGGAUUGGAUUCAAGUUUAUUGAAAGAGUUGGACUAGAGAUUCGAAUUGUAGAGGUUAUAAAUAUUGUGAACACCGACCGUCCCUAGAGUAAGUACCAUAAGGGUUUGAUAAUUGGUAUCCGAGGUCCCAAGUUCGAAUCCUAAUUGAUUCACAUUUCCAGCUAAGUUUAUUUCUAAAUGAAAUAAACGAAGUGGGUAGCAUGCUACCUAUCUCUCAAAAAAAAAAAAAAAAAAUUAUUGUGAAAUAGAUGGACCUUAUGGCUCAGAACAGCCUAGCCAUGAUCUAAACCCUCUCUGUUCAGGUUGUGACCGCCGUAACUUUACUCUUCAAUGCCGUUUUUAGGCCCCUUCAAUUUUGUGUCUAAAAUGUAAGUUUCAGUUAUCUUUUUAAGGAUAAGAAGGUGACACUUGUUUAUAUUAAACUUUAAGAGCUUGUUUGGUUCAUCCAUUUUAAAUUCUGGAAUCGAAAAAAGAUUCAUUGAUUUCGAUAAAUGUUGUUUGUGUUACAAGAAUCAGAUUCUGAUUUCUAUUAUGCUCUAGAAUGAGAAUGCUUGAUUCAUUUAUAGCGCAACCAGCUUGUUUGGUUCAUCCAUUUUAAAUUCUGGAAUCGGAAAAAGAUUCAUUAAUUUCGAUAAAUGUUGUUUGUGUUAUAAGAAUCAGAUUCUGAUUUCUAUUAUGCUCUAGAAUGAGAAUGCUUGAUUCAUUUAUAGCGCAACCUAGUUUUGGAUUCUAUAAUGGCCUAUUACAAAGUAAAUCACUCAAAACCCUCUCACAACCAUCUCUCCUUCUCUCCUCUCAUCACUCUCCUAUCUUUUAACUAAAACUCCUCUCUCAAAGUCCCGGGAAUCCCAAUUAUUCAUUCCGAUUUCCAUUCCAAUAAUAAACCUGUUGGAAAAUCUUUAUGAUAUUUUAUUACAAUAUUCUUUAGAAACCAAUUCGAAAAUUUAAUUUCAGGUUUAGGUAGUAUCCUUGUUUUAUUUAUUAAUUAAUUAAUUUACUUAUUGAUUUUUUAAAUCGGUUGGUGCUAAUUGAGGUGGCUUGGAUGCCACGUCCACCCGUGCAUGCUAAUUAAGGUGGCUUGGAUGCCACGUGCACCCAUGCAUGCUUAUCAACAAAAUCAGGUGGGCAUUGCCUAAUUUUUUUACUUCUCUCUUUGUUCGACCGAAGCAAAGAGCUCGGUGGAGGUAGCCGCGAGCACGAGUUCGACGCCGACGACGCGCCGCGAAGCCGUUCAAGGGUACGGUUGGGAUCGUAGCGCUGCGAGGAAGCUAGGCGAGGGUGCGUUUUUGCCGUUCUCGACGCCGUGUCGCUGACCGAUUAGCCGUUGAGGUGAGCGUUCCGUUGCGUUGCUUCAAGUAUUAUCAUUUCGAGCUUGGUGCUGAUUUGCAGAAUUUUCAGCGUCGACCGUCGGUAUUUCAGUUCGCACUCGGCGUAGGAGCGUCGGUUUUCGACGGGACUUGGUUCGUUGGAUUCGGGACUUCAAGAGGAAUCCAUGAAGCCCUUACUUGCUGGAUUUGGUGGAGGUUAACUUGGUCGAAUCUUUGUUGUACCUUGCUGCUGUGAUUCCUGGACUGAAACGGUGAAUUUUGUUGCGUAGAGCUCGAGCUUAGACGAUUCCUGAACUCGGAGGAGUGUGAUUGACCCAACAGGUGGUGUCGCAGCUGGGAGAGUGUUCCGCUGCCAGGGAUUAGCGUGCGAGGUGGGUUAAUCAUCGGCUUACUCCUAAGUGCUUAUAUAGUCGACAUGUAUUAGAGGAAUUAUUUUUGCGUAUCGCAAUUGCUCGGUUCAUUGUUCUAGUCUUGUUAAUAAUCUGAAUUGGAGCCUUGGUUAUUAUCUUGGGAUAUAUAUAUAUAUAUAUAUAUACAUGUUGGAUUUGGAUGAGACUUAGGAGAAAACUUGCGAUUAUGAUCGUUAUAUGUUUAAACUACCUGAUUUAGCCCUAGGGGCCGUUGGAUAUUUUUGUAUCGUCGCAGUAUUGGUGCGAUGGAUACCUCAGGUAGUUUAGAUUUCAGUUACGCUCGUGCUGGGAUGCGGAGUCUAUUUUUACAGUAGUGUUUAGACUGUUCCGGACUAUUGGGUGUCGUCGGGGUUGACGGUGGACCCGGUUUGCCAUUGUGGCAUCAGAUUGUGCCGAGGACACGUGACUUGGUGGUUGUUAGACCAGUUAGACCCAGUUACUUUGACUUUAGCCUGCGGGAGCCUGAUUGAGCUCGACAGAGACACGCUUGCAUACUCGGUUGCGUAGCGCCCACGAGUACCACUCCGGAGUCUGGUUUUGUGCGUUCGCGUUGGUGUCGUUGCGUCCUUUCUGGACUUGCUCUCCACGGACUAAUUAGUGGUGGAGGUAGCUUAGCUUGGGCAGGCGGGACGGGUGUGUUCAUAGUCCCUAGUGAGAUUGGGUCUGGUUUUUACAGUUGGCUAGUAUAGGGCAGGAUAGUGUAGUGAGUGUAGCUGUAGAUUCUUUUCCAGCUUUUCCUACUAUCUUGCUUACCCCUGUAGACUUAGUGGGUGGACCGAUAAUUGUUGAGGGCGGCACCCACUGAGGACUACUUGUGUUUUACAGUAGUUCUCACGCCCAGUUGUUACAUAUGUUUUGUAGAGCCAUCAUCUUCGGCUGCUGCGGUUGCUGAGCAGGAUCGAGACAAGGGCGUCGCGAGUUAGAGCCCUACCCGACGAGCCGAGCUAGAGGUGCCCUACAGCAGGUAGUUAUUUUUGUUGGAGUUUAUGUACAUUGAGUGGUUUAACUCGCCAAUGCGAGUAGUCUUGUAUUUUGAAUUUGGCUUAUGUAUAUGGAACUCAGUUGUUUUAGUUACUGUUACUUUUAGCAGCUCUAUACUACUGUUUGUAGUAUUGUAUAUUUAUCUACAGGUACAGCUGUCGUUUCGUACACAGAAAAAAUUUCUUUGUAUACGGCGGAUUUGUCGGCGUGCCCGGGGAACGUGCAAUCCGGGGCGUGACAGAAAAAUUUCGAAACGAAAUUAAAUAACAAACACUGUAAAGAAAAGGUUUAGAUAAGGCAUGUGGAUCGAGGCGUGCAGAACACUGUCCUAGAAUCGAAAUUGUCCCUCCACGUGCGAGGCUUCCCGGCAAUUACUUCUAGCGAUACAACGACCAUGUUCCACUCUAUCGGCACGUUUCAAGGUGGCGCAACACAAAUCCAACAAGCUUCAGAUCCAGCAAAGAAAAACUUGGCGAAAAUGAUUAAUUGCGAGAAAGCAGGAAAAGACGAGAGGGUUUAGGUAUGCUCAGGAUUAGGAUAAAGAUAAAGAUAAAAAUUAAAAUAAAGAUAAAACCUAAAAAAUAAAAUAAAAUAAACCGGGUGUAUAGACCGCACACGUCGCCACCCGGCUCGGCACGUACUCAUGCCGUGCGUGUUUAAACGAGAGCAUAACUCUCAUUUUCUUUCAAGCAACUAGCUUGAGAAUAAAGGAAUAUAUAAACUCCAUCAACACCCUUUUAGUUUCCAAUGUGGGACUAAACCUCACACAUGAAAAUUUUAGUUGGGCUACUAAGCAAGGCCCAGUAAUAAUUAUUGGGCUUCUAAGAGGCCUUAACAAGUUUUAAAUCACAAAAACUCAAUAAAACCCAAUAAAAUCCACUAAAACCUGUUGGCACAUAAAAUUAUGGUGCGAGCCGGUAACUUUGUUAGCUAAUUCGUGAAUUAUUUGCGAAUUAUUGAAAAUCUGAAUUAAACGGUCCGUUUACGAAUUUUUUCUAAAGAAAAUAAAUUAUUUGCGAAUUUUUGGGCCAGCUGAAUAAUUUGCGAAUUACUUCCGGAUUAUUAAAAAUCUGAAUAAAAAAUUUAUAAUUUUUAUAUUUAAAUAUAGAUUAUCUUAUAUUUUAUAUUUUAUACCGAAUCCUUUUUUAAGUCAAUUUUUUUAACGAAUUUAAAAAUUAGGAAACAAAUUUUAUAGGUAUUAUAUCCCUACCGAAUUUUUACGGAAUCCGAAUUAACUAUGGCCGGUAAUCUAUUUGAUUCACGUGGUCAAAUAAGAAAGUGACAUAUAAUAGUCCUAGCACCUAGAAAAGUGAGUCCAAACCCAAGUAAGGCUUCGUUUGGGAAUACGGGGAGAUUGCGUUACGUCCAGUGAGAAAGUACGUUGAAAAAAUACUAUGUUUGUUUCCGUACGUAAUAUUGCGUUCCGCAUAUCGCAAUGAGUCGGAUACGAUAUAUUUUUUGCGGUCCCACCGGAGAACGUAGAAGCAUACCCCUAUAUGCUUUUUCCUCAACUCUAUUUUAUCUAAUAGGGUUAGAUAGAUCUCAAUACCAAACUAAGCCUAAGUUUUGGGCGAGAACGGUUGGAAGCAUGGGAGGCAGUUGCACAAUCAAAGAGCAAGCCAAAGUACGUACUUUUGGUAUAGCAACCACCGUUUAAUAACUGUAAGGCAACUAUGAUAGAUCUUUAUAGGUAAGUAAAAUAAGAAGAAAAUUAAAUAAAUAUUAAAAUCGAGAAACAAAAUAAAAUAACGUGACUCACAAAGCGCCAUAGAUAAGAAAAUCUUGAUCAAUCUGCGGAAGCAAGAAGUUUGGCUAAUUUAGUUUUUUCUUCUAUCUCAGGCACUCUUCUGUAUGGUAUGGAACCGAUGGUAAUUCUUCACUAGAAUGUAUAUGAGAAAGUGGCAGGACCAAUACCUCUUUAUAUAGAGUCCAAAUCGACUUUCCAUCAAGCCUGAUUAGGAUUUUAUUUAAUUUAAAUAGAUGUGAUAUGAAUAAAAUAUAGCAUAUCAAGUAGUUCUAUAUUUAUUAGGAUUGAUCUUUAUCUAUAGUAAAUCUAAAUUUAAAUAUGAUUAAUUGGGCCACAUUUUAUGAAAAACCUAACAAACUGAACAUAAGAAUAGUGCUAUAAAUAGAAGAAGGUUGUUUGCAAUACAGAUCUUUUCUCGAAAACAAGACCACUAUUUUUUAAUUUUAUUUUAAUUUUCUGUAUUUUAGAGUCUUUCUAGGAAUAGUUGUUUUUUCUAGUUUUAACCUAGCACCUGUAAACACAAUGCUUUUUGUUGAAGAAACUAAUGAAGUCAGUUUAGUUCGGCUCCUAGUUUCAGCUGACUUUUCAUGAAGUUCUUAUUUUCCACUCAACCCAAAAACUUUUAUUUCUGAGUAGGAACCCAAUUGUGAGUGGAUCCCAUCUCAACUGAUUGCUUGACUUAGGUUUCGUUUGGGAUUGCAGGGGGAUUGCGUUACGUGCGGUGAGAAACGACGAUGGAAAAAUAUUCUGUUUGUUUCCGUACGUAAUAUUGCAUUCCGCAUAUUACGGUUAGUCAGUUAUAAUAUAUUUUCUGCGGUCCCAUCAGAGAACGCAGAAGCAUAGCUCUCUAUACUUUUUCUUAACUCCAUUUUAUCUAACAGCGUUAGAUUGACCUCAAUACCAAACUAAGCCUUAAAGAAAGCCAUCAACCGAAGGUCAUAUUCACAGCCGAAUUACAACUAGGGAUGGUAAUCUAGCUCACGGUUCACGAGCUAGCUCGUGUUCGGCUUGAAAUGAGCUCAAGAUCGAAUCGCUCGUUUAGUAAAUGAGCCGAAUACGAGCUGAAUUUUUCAGCUCGUUUAAUAAACGAGCCAAACACGAGCUGGGUCAGCUCGCUAGUAUUCGGCUCGAUAACAGCUGGAAUACAUAUAUUUUAUAUUUAUAUAAUUUAUUUAAUUUAUAUUUAUAUAUAUAAAUAAAUAAUUAUAAAUAUAAUAUAUAUUUUUAUUAUUUGAUUUUUAGUAAAAUAAAAAUAUAAAGGCGAGCUCAAUUAUAAAAAGACUCAUUUAUAUGUAAAGUUUCAACCAUUAGAUUAAAGUCUAAUGGAUAAGAUUUUAUAAAUUUAUUUUUUAUACAUAUCCAAUAUAAUUCUUUUAACUUAUUAUUCAUUGGCUAGCUCGUGAGCCAUCUCGUGUUCGGCUCGUUUAUUAAUGAGUUGAACAUGAGCUGAAUUUUUCGACUCGAUACUUUAACAAGUUAGCUCGUGUUCAACUCGUUUAUUAUUAAACAAGCUGAAUACGAGCCGGCCCUAGCUCGCUUGUGUUCGGCUCGUUGACACCCCUAGUGUAAUAUCCUAGGUUGAAAUGGAGUUGGUAAAAAGGGCCUAUAUUUUUUUUUACCAAACCUUAUCAGCUCCACCGCCUAUACUUUUACCCAUCCUUAUAUUGUUCACCACGUUAUAUAGAGGUGGCAUGCAGGAGCUUUGUUGUAGCCUAAUUAAUUAACUCUCUCUCUAGGUUGAAGUGGAAAGCGUGGUGGAGCUUCCAGGUGGAGUCGAAUCGACGCCGACGUCGCGCCGGGAAGCCGUGGAGCCGUUCGAGCGCGCGUUUGUUGCCGUAGCAUCGCGAGGAGGCCGGGCGAGGGUGUGAUUCCGCCGUUCUCGACGUCGCGCAGGAUUGGAUUUAGCGGUCGAGGUGGGUUUACAUCGGUUUAUUUCUAAGUACCGUAAUCGUCGACAUGUAUGAUUUUUCAGUUUCGGUUAUCACGUUGUAGCUUGAUAUUCGUGAUGCUAUCCUGGAUAAAAUCAGUAUUGAGAACAUGACUAGUAAAUCUUAAAUGUACAUGUUGGACUGGGAUUUGACUUAGGAGAAAACACGAUUGGAAUCGUCAUAUGCUUAAACUGUCUGAUUUAGCUCUAGGAGCCGUUAUUAAAUUGUACUGUUGCAGUAUCCUCGAGACGAGUACUCCAGGUGGUUUAGUAUACAUUUACGCUCGUGCUGGUAUGCCGAGUGGAUUUUUACAGUGUUGUUCAGGUUGUUCCGGAGGGGCUGUGGUGUGCCGCAGCGUGACGGUGGCCCUAUGUCUUUUUGCCGUCAGAUUGUGCUGAGGGCACGUUACUUGUUUGGUAUUAGACCAGUUAGAGUCGAUUUAUUGACUUUGGCUUUUCAGAGCCUGUUUGAGCGUCGACAGAGAUACGCCUGCAUACUCGGUUGGUAGCGCCCACGAGUGCCACUCCGGAGUCAGGCUUUGUUGCUUUCGCGUUGGUGUCGCUCAUGCCGGUUGGACUUGCUCUUCACGGACCAGUUGUGUGGAUAGAGCCUGAUAGUCGCAACGGGGCAGGGACGGGUGUGUUCACAGUCCCAGGGACGGGUAUGCUUACAGUCCCGAUUGGAUUGGGUCAGAUUUAACAUUUCCUACAGCUGGUUAGUGUAGAGCAUGAUAGUGUAGUGAACGAUAGCGGUAGAGUUUACUUCCUGCUUUCCUGACUAUUCUUGCUCCCUCAUGUAGACUUAGUGGGUGGACCGAUGUUGUUUUGGGCGGUACCCACUGAGAACUACUUGUUUUUACAGUAGUUCUCACGCCCAGUUGUUACUCCUGUUUUGCAGAGCCACAGGUUUCAGCUGCUGCGCCUUCCGCGGAUCAGGAUCGAGGCAAGGGCGUCGCGAGCUAGAGCCCUACCCGACUGACAGAGCUAGAGGCACCCUACUGCAGGUAGUUGUUUUACUUCGAGCUUAUGUACAUAGUACUUAACUCGCCAGUGCGAGUAACGCUGUAUUUUGGAUUCUGAACUAUGUAUAUGAAGCUCAGUUGGUUUAGCUUUUGUUUAUUGAGCAGCUCUAUGCUACUGUUUGUAGCAUUGCAUAUCUACAGGGUACCUUUGACACUUCGUAUACAGGGAAAAUUCCUUUGUAUACGGCGGAUUUGUCGGCGUGCCCGGAGGAACGAGACAUCCGGGGCAUGACAGAUUAAGUUGGUAUCAGAGCGUUGCUAUAGGUCGUUGGGACCUAGGAAACCUAAGUUUGGCAAACCUUAGGAAAGCAUGACGCGGGAGGCGUAAUUUAUUGCGAAAGUCAAUGAUUAUUUGUUCUAACUCCUCCUAGAGUGGGGUGAGUGAUCGAAGGAGUUCCUGUUUUGGCCUGAGAAAUUAUGUUGGCUGCAGACGAUAUAAUUUUGGAGGAAAACAGGGACCGCCUUCUAGACUUUCGUUGAUUGGGUCGAGAGUGUUUUGUUGUAUCUGACCCCGAUUUGUCCCUUUCAGCUAUGUAUCGUCGCCGAGGUCGACCGUCGUUGCGAGAGCGUGCCCAGUUGGCACGGGAUCGUGCGGGAUCCCCUGAGAGACCUGAGCAGAUGGAGCAGAGUACUCGACAGGAGCAGGGUGACAGACCGGAGGCGAGUGCACCCCCUGUGGUGGAGCCGAGUGCGCGACCUGAGGCUAGCGCACCCCCGGAUCUGAGUGCACAGUUGGCUGCCCUGACUGAGGUGACGAGGCAGCAGGGGGAGUUAUUGCAGAGGUUGUGUGAGAGGAUAGCUCAGCCACCGAGUUCAGCACCGAGAGUACCAGAGUCGCCAGUGCCACCCCGACUACUCCAGUGACCGCACCAGCUGCAGCAGUUCCUCCGUCGGCAGCAGUUCCAGUAGCUCCAGUUGCGCCUGCUAGGGGGCCAGUACCGUUGACUGAGGCCGAGCAGGAGCGGUGGACGGAGAGGUUAGCUCGUUUUCGGCGAUUUGACCCACCGAUCUUUGAUGGCAGCGGCACUGAGGCCUGGAUUGUUGAGGGAUGGGUCAGUGCGAUGGAGAGGUUAUUUGAGGAUCUGUUCGUUCUAGAGGGGGAGCAGGUACCACUAGGAGUACACUGUUUGUCAGGUGAUGCACGUGAUUGGUGGCGGAGAGCGAGGCGAGACCAGGGACUGGUGGCGGCGCAGCUGAGGUGGGAUGAGUUCUGUGGAAUGCUGUAUGGGAUGUAUUUUCCCAACAGCAUGAAACAGAAAAUUGAGGAGGACUUGAAGAGGAUCCAGCAGGGCGAGCGGACAGUUCAGGAGUAUGUUCGGGAGUUUACUAGACUCCUGAACUGUGUUCCGUUUGUAGCCAGAGAUGAGGCACAUAGGGUCUAUUUGUUCGAGCAGGGUUUGAGACCCGAUCUAUUCAGGUUCGUCAGGGCGCAGAGGUCGAGGACUUUGGAUGCGUCCAUUGAGCAGGCAUUAUGGGAGGAGAGAGGAGAGGUGUCGCUGCGGGAGAGGGCUCAGGGGCCGGGACAGAGUCAGGACAGGAAGCGCCCAGCUCCAGACGACGGAGGUCAGUCGAGUAGCAGGCGUCCGCCGAGGCCUCCACGAUCGCGUUCACAGGGUCGUGGGUUCUCGGGGCGUCAGCGAUCCAGGGACUCUCGUCAGAGGGGACAGCCUGAGAGGACGCCGCAGUGUGUGAUCUGCGGAGGACCACACUGGCCCAGACAGUGUGAGCAGAGGGAGGGCCGGUGCUACGGGUGUGGUCAGCCGGGACACAUGAGGGCAGCUUGUCCCCGAGCAGCAUCGCCAGCACCAUCAUCAGCUUCAGCUCCACCAGCACCUCAGCAGACUUACAGAGCAGCACCGAGUUACCGCCAGGAGGAUAGGUCGUCCAUGCCGCGACAGGGUGAGCGGCGACAGCAGGCUCCGAGUGGCAGAGUCUAUGCAGCUCAGGUGGAGGACUCUACAGCAGCCGACCGAGUAGUGGCAGGUAUCACUUUGAUUUCUGGCAUUAGAGUUCGCACUCUUUUUGAUACUGGUGCAUCGCAUUCCUUUGUUAGCCGAGCAUUUGCAUUGUUGCAUGGUCUAGAGUUAGGGGCAUUGUCACAGGCACGAGAGGUGCAGAUCCCGGACCAUGUUUUACAGGUUGCAGAGUGUUGUUGGUCGUGUCCGGUGCAGUUGGAUUCGUGGGUCAUGCCCGCAGACCUGUUGGUGCUAGGGCAGCUGCAGGACUUCGACGUUGUGCUCGGUAUGGAUUGGCUGGCGCGGUACUAUGCUACUAUUGAUUGUGGAGCGAGGACUGUGACGUUCCGCGAGCCAGGCCAGGAGGAGUUUACUUUUAGAGGCUGCAGGAGCACGCUGUUUGCCACCUGGAUAUCUUCGGCGAGGGCUCGACAGAUGCUGAGUAGCGGGUGUAUCGCUUUCCUAGCGACUGUUGUGGAGGUACCUACGGCGGCGCCGGGACUUGAGGACAUCCCAGUAGUCCGCGAGUUUCCGGAUGUAUUUCCCCCUGAGUUGACUACGUUGCCGCCGGAGAGGGAGAUUGAGUUUGUGAUUGAUGUAGUUCCUGGAACUGCACCAAUCUCAAAGGUACCUUAUCGGAUGGCGCCGGCAGAGCUGAGAGAGCUAAAGGCACAGCUUCAGGAUUUGAUGGAUAGAGGGUUUGUGAGACCCAGUGUGUCGCCUUGGGGAGCGCCGGUGUUAUUUGUAAAGAAGAAGGAUGGUUCGCUCAGGUUAUGUGUGGAUUACCGGGAGCUGAAUAAAGUGACCAUCAAGAAUAAGUAUCCCUUGCCGCGCAUUGAUGAUUUGUUUGAUCAGCUGCAGGGAUCUUAUGUCUUCUCGAAGAUUGAUCUCCAGUCAGGUUACCACCAGCUGAGGGUGAGGGCCGAGGAUGUUCCCAAGACGGCUUUUCGGACUCGGUACGGGCAUUAUGAGUUCACGGUGAUGCCUUUUGGAUUGACGAAUGCCCCUGCCGCAUUCAUGGAUUUGAUGAACAGAGUGUUCAAGCCGUUCUUGGAUAGGUUUGUGGUAGUCUUCAUCGACGAUAUCCUGAUUUACUCCCGGAGUGAUGCUGAGCAUGAGGAGCACUUGAGGAUUGUGCUACAGCUUCUGCGCGAGAAGAAGUUGUAUGCCAAGUUAAAGAAGUGCGAGUUCUGGCUACGGGAGGUUGCUUUCUUGGGCCACGUGAUUUCAGCUGAGGGCGUAGCAGUGGACCCGAAGAAGAUUGAGGCGAUUCGAGAUUGGCCUAGACCGACGACGGUUACUGAGGUACGGAGCUUCCUGGGACUGGCAGGAUAUUACCGUCGGUUUGUGGAAGGCUUUGCGAAGCUUUCCACACCCCUCACACGCUUGACGCGGAAGGGGAUUCGUUUUGUCUGGAGCGACGACUGUCAGAGGAGCUUUGACGAGUUGAGAUUGAGGUUGAUGUCGGCUCCUAUCCUUGCCCUUCCUGUUAUGGGCGAAGGAUUUGUGAUCUACAGUGAUGCAUCGCACAGUGGACUUGGUUGCGUGCUGAUGCAGCAUGGUAGGGUGAUUGCUUAUGCUUCACGGCAGUUAAAGGAUUAUGAGAAGAAUUACCCUACGCAUGACUUGGAGCUUGCCGCGGUGGUUUUUGCUUUGAAGCUCUGGCGGCAUUACUUGUACGGCGAGCACUGCGAGGUUUUCACCGAUCAUCAAAGUCUCAAGUAUCUGUUCACACAGAGGGAGCUGAAUCUGAGGCAGCGCCGGUGGUUGGAGUUACUGAAGGACUAUGACAUUAGUAUUCAGUAUCAUCCCGGCAGGGCGAAUGUGGUGGCAGAUGCGUUGAGCAGGAAGUCAGUGCAGAGCCUGAGUUUGAGGAUUACUGAGCAGAGACCCCUACUCGAGGAGCUACAGCGGCUGGGACUCGAGAUAGUACCCCCUGGGUCUACGGCGAGGCUGACGUCUCUAGUUUUACAGCCCACUCUGUUGGAUAGGAUCCGAGAGAAACAGAGUGGAGAUCCGUACUUGUUGAGGAUUAGAGAGCAGCUAGACAGGGGGCAGGCUGAGGGUUUUGCUUUGGACAGUUCGGGAGUACUACGGUACAGGGACCGACUGUGUGUGCCUGUGGAUCCGGAGAUUCGAGCGGAUAUUCUGAGAGAGGCUCAUUGUUCCCCUUAUACGGUUCACCCUGGGGGAACCAAGAUGUAUAAGGAUCUUAAGGCACGGUUCUGGUGGCCUGGAAUGAAGAGGGACAUUGGCAGAUUUGUGGCUCAGUGUUUGACUUGCCAACAGGUGAAGGCCGAGCAUCAGGUGCCUGCUGGCAAGCUUCAGAGUCUGCCAGUUCCCGAGUGGAAGUGGGAGCACAUCACGAUGGACUUCGUCGUUGGAUUGCCUAGAGCGCAGGGUGGCUACGACGCGAUUUGGGUGAUAGUGGACAGACUGACCAAGUCUGCUCACUUCCUACCGGUUCAGACUACUUGGUCCAGGGAGAGACUCGCGCAACUAUACUUGGAUGAGAUCGUUAGGCUGCACGGCGUGCCUGUGUCGAUCAUAUCAGACAGAGACCCGAGGUUUGUAUCCUAGUUUUGGAGGAGUCUUCAGACCGCCUUGGGCACUCAGCUGCAUUUUAGCACGGCGUUCCACCCACAGACAGAUGGUCAGUCAGAGAGGACCAUAUAGACUCUAGAGGACAUGCUGAGGGCAUGCGUCCUGGAUUUUAGAGGAGGGUGGUAUCGACAUGUGAGACUGGUUGAGUUUGCGUACAACAACAGCUAUCAAACGAGCAUUCAGAUGACUGCGUUUGAGGCGUUGUAUGGACGCAGAUGUCGAUCCCCUCUGUUUUGGAGUGACGUGGGUGAGCGGAGGACACUUGGACCAGAGAUUCUACUUGAGGCUGAGGAAAAGGUGAGAGUCGUUCGACGACACCUUUUGACAGCACAGAGCAGGCAGAGGAGCUAUGCCGAUACCAGGAGACGAGACUUGGAGUUCCAGGUUAGAGAUCAUGUUUUUCUCAAAGUCUCGCCGUCCAGAGGGAUACGCCGAUUUGGAGUACGUGGAAAGCUUAGUCCACGGUUUGUUGGCCCUUUCGAGGUAUUGGAGCGUAUCGGACCGGUUGCUUACAGGAUAGCUCUACCUCCACGACUUGCUGGCAUCCACGAUAUUUUCCACGUCUCAGCAUUGAGGAGAUACGUCUUCGAUCCCUCUCACGUGAUUGACUUCACCCCACUUGAGAUUGGCGAGGAUCUGAGAUACGAGGAGCGACCGUUGCGGAUUCUUGCUCGAGAGACGAAAAAAUUGCGCAACCGGGUCAUCCCGUAUGUGAAAGUGCAGUGGAGCCAUAACGAGGAGCGAGAGGCGACUUGGGAGCCUGAGACGGUGAUGAGGGAAGCCUAUCCCUACUUGUUUGAUGCUUGAGUAGAGGUACGUUCAGUUUCGCGGACGAAACUUUUUGUAGUAGGGGAGGAUGUAAUAUCCUAGGUUGAAAUGGAGUUGGUAAAAAGGGCCUAUAUUUUUUUUUUUUACCAAACCUUAUCAGCUCCACCGCCUAUACUUUUACCCAUCCUUAUCUUGUUCACCACGUUAUAUAGAGGUGGCAUGCAGGAGCUUUGUUGUAGCCUAAUUAAUUAACUCUCUCUCUAGGUUGAAGUGGAAAGCGUGGUGGAGCUUCCAGGUGGAGUCGAAUCGACGCCGACGUCGCGCCGGGAAGCCGUGGAGCCGUUCGAGCGCGCGUUUGUUGCCGUAGCAUCGCGAGGAGGCCGGGCGAGGGUGUGAUUCCGCCGUUCUCGACGUCGCGCAGGAUUGGAUUUAGCGGUCGAGGUGGGUUUACAUCGGUUUAUUUCUAAGUACCGUAAUCGUCGACAUGUAUGAUUUUUCAGUUUCGGUUAUCACGUUGUAGCUUGAUAUUCGUGAUGCUAUCCUGGAUAAAAUCAGUAUUGAGAACAUGACUAGUAAAUCUUAAAUGUACAUGUUGGACUGGGAUUUGACUUAGGAGAAAACACGAUUGGAAUCGUCAUAUGCUUAAACUGUCUGAUUUAGCUCUAGGAGCCGUUAUUAAAUUGUACUGUUGCAGUAUCCUCGAGACGAGUACUCCAGGUGGUUUAGUAUACAUUUACGCUCGUGCUGGUAUGCCGAGUGGAUUUUUACAGUGUUGUUCAGGUUGUUCCGGACUGUGGGGUGCCGUCAGAGUGACGGUGGACCCGUAUUGCCUUUUUGGCGUCAGAUUGUGCUGAGGGCACGUUACUUGUUGGUUAUUAGACCAGUUAGAGUCGAUUUAUUGACUUUGGCUUUUCAGAGCCUGUUUGAGCUCGACAGAGAUACGCUGCAUACUCGGUUGGGUAGCGCCCACGAGUGCCACUCCGGAGUCAGGCUUUGUGCUUUCGCGUUGGUGUCGCUCAUGCCAGUUGGACUUGCUCUCCACGGACCAGUUAGUGUGGAUAGAGCCUGAUAGUCGCAACGGGGCAGGGACGGGUGUAUUCACAGUCCCGGGGACGGGUAUGCUUACAGUCCCGAUUGGAUUGGGUCAGAUUUGACAUUUCCUACAGUUGGUUAGUGUAGAGCAUGAUAGUGUAGUGAUUGAUAGCGGUAGAGUUUACUUCCUGCUUUUCCUACUAUUCUUGCUCCCUUCUGUAGACUUAGUGGGUGGACCGAUGUUGUUUUGGGCGGUACCCACUGAGGACCACUUGUUUUUACAAUAGUUCUCACGCCCAGUUGUUACUCCUGUUUUGCAGAGCCACAGGUUUCAGCUGCUGCGCCUUCCGCGGAUCAGGAUCGAGGCAAGGGCGUCGCGAGCUAGAGCCCUACCCGACUGACAGAGCUAGAGGCACCCUACUGCAGGUAGUUGUUUUACUUCGAGCUUAUGUACAUAGUACUUAACUCGCCAGUGCGAGUAACGCUGUAUUUUGGAUUCUGAACUAUGUAUAUGAAGCUCAGUUGGUUUAGCUUUUGUUUAUUGAGCAACUCUAUGCUACUGUUUGUAGCAUUGCAUAUCUACAGAUGCCUUUGACGCUUCGUAUACAGGGAAAAUUCCUUUGUAUACGGCGGAUUUGUCGGCGUGCCCGGAGGAACGAGACAUCCGGGGCGUGACACCUAGUUACAACCAGCGAUAAUUUUGACUUGGUCAAUGUUUGACUUGGUCAACUAGCUUGAGGAAACUAUUUGGCUCGUGAAACAUAACCAAACGUUUUUAGAUGAUUUAUCGUUCUAUUUUCCGUUCCAAUGUAAUUCAAUUUUAUUUUUCAUUCUCAUUCCACUCAUAAAGGAAAUAUGCCCUAAAUUUCAUUUCGACUUAUGCCUAUCUUGAGCAUAAAUCGAAAUACAGCAGUCAGGCCAUCAUCUGCAAGUCAAUCCGAUGGCAAUAUUUAGGUACAACUACAUCGAACUAAACAAAAUUUUUGGGAGCGGUUAUAGUUACACUUGCACUGCAGUUCUGAAAUAUAGAUAAUCAAACAAUCCCUAAUAAUUAUAUAAUGUGAGCAAUACACCAGAAAGCAAACUAUAUGUAGAAGGAGCACCCCAUUUUAUUCAUUCAGUCAUUGCCAAAGCUCUCCACUUACAUAGAGUAUAUUAUUUUUAGGGACUUUUAAUUAUUAUUCAAAUUUCUCAAAUUUAUUAUGAAAUUAUUACAAUACCUUCUAAAACCAAUCCUCUUAGUAAAUGCUAGAGUUUGGUCCUUCAGAGAUAAAUAAAAUAUUUUUAAAAUUCUGAAGGACUUAUUAGAUAGUAUCCCUUAUUUUUUUCAUUGCAAAGUUUUGAACAUUGACAGCCAAGGAGGAAGGCGAGGCGGGAAGAAAAACGGGCGGAUUCUGUAAAACCCCUUCUCUUCGCGGAUUCUUGCAAUGCUACCUUCUUCUCCUGUCAGAUGCAAAUUGGUAACCAUGAGAGGAGGAAAAAAAAUAAUAAAAAAAAAGAAGUGGUAAGAAUAUAAAACUUUUGCUCAUUUAUCUUUGACUAUUAUUCAAAAAUUUUAAAUUUAUUGUGAAUUUAUCAAAAUAUUCCUUCUAAAUCUCUCAUGUUCUAAUAGUAAACCUUACAAUUUUGGAAAUAUUUGAAAAAAUUUUAAAAAUUAAUAAGGGCAUUUUGGUCAACAAGCAAUAUAUUAGAUAUUUUGAAAUUUUGGAGGGUAAAGUAGAUAUUACAAUUCAUUAGAUAAAGAAUUUACUGAACUCCGGAACAUUUUGAAACCGCUAUUCUAAAAAUAUAGAAAAAAUAUAUUUUUUAAAAAUCAUGGUAAAAUGGGUGAAUCCCACAAAAGCUAUUUGAUUGAUUGGAAACACCAUAUCACCCCAUGUUUCUGCUGUAUUUAGACUUUUUCCUAUUUUUGGCCCUUCUACGGAGAACAUAAGUUGAACUAAUUUACCCUUCCAAAGAGUACAAAGUAACCGAUAAUUCCCGCCAUAGCCGGUCAUAACUGGCUUCUCAAAUCAUCCAAACCAUUAAGGGGCUAUUUGAUUGCAUACAGCUAGAAAUACAGCAGUUGUAACUAUACUCAGUUUGUUCUAUAAACCAUUAAGGGGCUAUUUGAUUGCAUACAGCUAGAAAUGCAGCAGUUGUAACUAUACUCAGUUUGUUCUAUUCUGUAUAGAUGCAACUGUUGCAAUUACAUUUUACUUAUUUAAUAACCUGAAGAUGAUAAUUAUAUUUAUAAAUUCUAUCACCUUUCAGAUAGAACGGUAAGAUUACUUUCAAUGCACAUAAAAUAAUCAAUUAAAGAUUUUUUUUUAAUUUUUCAGUAUAUUUAACUUGCAGGUAAAUCAAAAUUUUAGAACAAUUACUACGUACGAUUCUCUCUACUUUUGAAGUUUUUUUUUUUGCAAUUUGAAUAAUUAUAUUUAACGAAAAUUGAAAAUUUAUAGAAAAAACUAUUUUUAUAUUUUAAAUAAAAUUUCAAUUUUUUUUUUUUAUACAUGCAAAACUUGCUUGCAUUGCGUGUGCUCUUUUAUUGGUAUUUAUUUAUAAAUAUACAUUUAUUUAUUUAUAAAUCUAUAUACAGAUGUUUAUUUAUUUAUUUAUUCUUAAUAACUGCUGCAAUUAGAGCUAUAGUCAACUUGUGAAUAUAUAAUAUAGACCGUAUAGUUCCAAAUGCAGCAUUUAGGCGUCCUUGUGUAGUUCAUAGUUUUAAUUGCAUGCAAUCAAACAUCCCCUAAAUAGAGAUUAUCUAGUGGUUGCCGCAAUUAUGAAGUGUUGCAGAAUUACUCUUGUCAAAACUAUAUAAAGAGUUUGUGUAAUAGGGGUGAAAACAAGCAACAUACAGUAAGAUUUUAACAAACAUAUUCACUCCAUAUUUUUUGGCUGCGAAAUUCGAAUGUGGAUAUUUUCAGAUGCUAAUUUAUUACCAAUCCAUUAAAACAAUAAAUACGAUUCAUCAUAUGCAGUCAAUUUGUAUUCAAUAUAAUUCAACAUAAAUAUAUAUAUAAUCUAUAUAUAUAUAUAUAACUAUUAUAUAUUAUAUUAUAUAUAUACAUGAGAGAAGAGAUGAGAGACGGAGAGAUGAGAGAGAGAGAGAGAGAGAGAGUUAGGGCUGGUAUUCUAUCGGGGGUAGCAUUGGACGGUCUGUAGCUCCAAGUUUUCUCAAAAUAUGGCUUCCAAAUCGAUUAUCGGCUCCGUUAGACUUGAUCUAUACUAUUAAAAGUAUUUGGAACUAAAUUUCAUAAUUUUUUGAAAUAAUUUGACCGAUAAUCAAACGUUUCAAAAUUGACAAUUUUAAUGGUAGAUGUGAUGCGUUUGUGAAUUUAACGGUAUAAAACAAUCCAAAUCUAAUGAAAUUUUUAUAGAAAAUUCUUUUCACUAUUUAGAGUAAGAUCAGUACCUCUGAUCUUAAAUUCAAAUAUUUUAUCAUUAUUUUUUAGGAGAUUUUUAUUUUCAACCGUUCAUUUUAGACAACUUGUUUGAUAGGUAAAUUAUGCCAAAAAAUUAUGAAAUUUAGUUUCCAAAUACUUACAAUAGUGUAUAUCAAAAUCUAACGGAGCCGAUCGUCGAUUUGGAAGCCGGAUUAUUGAAAACAACUUGGUAGUACGGCUAACAAACGGGCUCUGUUGCCACCCAUUUGUUUUCGAUGAUAAAGCCUCCAAAUCGACGAUCGGCACUGUUGAACAUGAUCUAUACUACUUGAAGUAUUUAGAAAUCAAAUUUCAAAUCUUUUCGACAUCAUUUGCCUAAUGAUCAAAGGGUUUCAAAAUUUAUAAUUUUAAUGGUCGAUAUAAGAUGUUUUCUCGUUUAACGGCGUAAAGAAAUCCAAAUUAAUUGAAUUUUUGUUAGAAAAUUUUUUAAACUAUUUAAAACAAGAUCUAUACUCUUGAUCUUGAUUACAAGAUUCCUAUUAUCAUUUUUUAAAGAAUAUUCAUUUUUAGCCGUUCAUUUUUGUAUCCACUCGAUGGAUAAGAGAACAAUAUCGAAAAUGUAUGAAAUUUGAUUUCUAAAUACUUCAAGUGGUAUAGAUCAUGUUCAACGGUGCCGAUCAUCGAUUUGGAGGCACCAUCAUUGAAAACAAAUGGGUGGCAACGGAGCCCGUUUGCUAUCGAUAGUAUUCUAGCUCAACUCUCUCUCUCUCUCUCUCUCUCUCUCUAUAUAUAUAUAUAUAUAUAUAUGAACUAAAAUUAAGCGAAUAAAAUACAUAAUGCAUUUAAAGGUUUACGUUUGUGUUCAAACUUCAUAUAUAAAAAGUACCAUGGAAAAUCACUUUAUCUCCCUACAAUAUAUAUUAAUAUCCCUCUUAUCUUUAUGAGGUGAAAAUGGUCCAAUACGGUCAAAUCUUUUAAGAAACAACAUUUGCAUCCAUAUAUAUUUUUUUUCAGAUACGAAUAUGUACAUUGCAUGCUAAAUUUUGAUAUUCAUAUUUGCAUCCUAUCGAGUCCGGUGUUAAAAAUUUUCGCCAAAAUACAUGGUGCAAGUUUGGGAGCGUUACUGACCGGUCAUGGCGGGCGAGGGUCCACCGUGAGGUGGGGAGGCAGAUGGGAGUUCUCGAGCAACGCCGGCGGCAAUAAGCUCAUUGGCUGCGAUGAGAAAGAGGGCGGCGAAGGCAAUAAAUGUCGGCUUUGCGGCCAUCCUUGUUCUGCAAGCCGGCAGGCAGCUCAAGUUUUCUGAAAGUUUAGAGGAGGCUCCUUAGUUUGUGUUUCGUAUAUAUUUCGCUGGAUGGUGUACACUAUGUACAUAUAUAUGUAAAGUUGAUAUGUUUAGCCACAGUAGCUAGAUGGUUCCUAGCUUUACUUUCAGUAAUCUAGACGUCACGGACACUGACACGGAAUAAGGGACGCAACGCGAUUCAAACAUGAGUAUGACAUAGACAUCAUUAAUAAAAUAUAAUAUUAUUAUUAUAAUAAUAUAUAUUUAUUGUAUAUAAAAUAUUAAUUUUGAUAAAAUAUUAUUAUAUUUUUCAUACGAAUGUAAGUUAAUAAAAUUUUAAUUAAUAGUUCAUAUAUUUAGGAAGAAAAAUUUUCCACCAUUUAUAAUUUAUUUAUAUUGUCAAAAAAAAAAUUGUAUGAAUUCAUUAAAAAGUUAAAAUAUAUAUGAUCAUCUUAUGUUAUAUAUGGAUAAAAAAAUAAAAUAAAAUAAAUAAAUAAAUAAAUAACAUAAAUAAAAAAAAAAAACAAUAAUAUAUUUAUAUAUAUAUAUAUAUAUAUAUAUUUGUGUUGUGGAUCGGCAUUGAAUGUGGGUCCAAAGAGUGUCCACAUCGAACACGUGUCCGACACGGGCACGCGAGGCUUAUAGAAGUAUCCGUGAUACAUAACUAGUAAUAGAGUGUAAUCAUAUAAUAAAUUAUUUUUAUUAAGUCACAUUUUAUAUAAAAUAUAUUCAACCAUCAUUUUUUUUCACUAUUAUCUACUAUUUUAUAAAAUUAAUCAAACACAAUUUAAAUUAUUUUUGAGAAUAGCAGUAUUACAAACCAAACACAAAUUUACUUUUAUUCUGACUAUUCCAAUAUAAUAAACUAGUUUAAAAAAUAAAAAAAAUUAUCUCAAUAUUCGUUAUUCCUGAAGUAGAUGCACUUGAUAUUUCAUGCGGUUUCCUGGCUUCUAAAUGCAACUAAAAUCCUAGCGUCAUUAGCCUAAGAGGAAUCAUUAUCUCGUUGUGUUCGCCUGCUGCAAAGGAAUCAAUAUCUCUCCGAUUCAAGAAAGAGUAUUCAUUAAAAUGAGCGCACUGAGACUGUCGAGUAGACCUGACAAAUGAGCGAAUUAGGUAAUUCGUAGAUCGGUCAUUGUACCUAUAGAUUAUGCAGGUGCGUAUAGAAUUUACUCACAAAUUUUUGAAUAACCAUCAUUCUUAUUUAUACCUGUCCGUGGAUGGGCAGGCGGGUAUACCAAUUAACCACAAAGUUUUUUUUUUCUUUUCUAUUCUUAUAAUUUUCAAGCGCAAAUAAUAUAUAUAUUAUUUUUGAAAGAUCAAAUUUCACUCAAUGUUUCACUAUUUUAUCGCAUAUUGCACUGUUCCAUAAUAUGACACGCCAAUUUAUUGCUUGUUUUGUAUAAACAGAACAAAUGUUGCACAAUUUGUUGUGCUCUUAAAUGCUUUCGUCAGUAUCCAAGGACAGUAAUUUUCGGAUCCCUAGAAUAAGUUGAUAAAAUUCGGUAUAAAGCUGGAGCUGCUGUUCCAUUUUUUUUUUUUUUUUCCUGGAGCAAGCUUGUUUUCAAGUGGGAAUAAGAUUAAUUAACAUCUAAAUUUAAUUUUAAUUAUGAUAUUAAAUUAUUAAUUAAUCUAACUAAUAUAUUUAAAUCAUUAUCUAUUGCGUAAAUAAUAAAGUAAUUAAUUAAUUCAUUAUUUAUAAUUAAUUAGGUAAUUAAUUAUUAAUAAUUUAAUAUAUUUAUCUAUAAAAUAAUAUUUGUAUUGAUCAACCAUUAAUAUUUAUAUUAAUCUAAUUAAUUUUUUUACUAGUUAUCUAACUAAAAUAAUUUACUAACUAAUUAAAAAGUUAAGUCAUAUUUAUGUUUAAUUAAUAAUUAAUAUUUUUUAUUAUCUUAUACAAUAUUCAUAGGUAAUAAAUUUACUAAUUUAUUAAUUAUUUUAAUUUAAUAUUUUGAUGUUAAUUAAUUAGAUAAAAUAAUUUUAAUUUAAAAUUAUAACUCUUAUUCCUCUUGUUCCAAUCUAAUCAUCCGAACAUUAUUUAUCUUAUUUUCAGGAACAACUCAAUUUUUAUUCAAAUACAAAAUUUGUCUGAUUUCUAUCUAAAAUAAGUAAUUCUUAUUUAUAUCCGAACCAAAAUUAACCGUACAAGUUUAUUGAAGAUUGGCUCAAAAAGGACUUUUUGCCCAGUAACCCUAUUAGAAUUUCUAAUUUGCCAAAUAAUUCUUUCCAAAUUUUAUUUGGACAACUAACCAGACAAACACGGUGAAUGAUUUGCCGUUGUUAAUUUGUUUUUUUAAUAUGUUGUGAGGAAUUUUUUUAAAUUGUUAAGAUUGUAUGAGGAUUAUUAAAUUUUUAUUUAUGGUUAAAAUUAUAUUGAUAGGUUGUUAAGAUAGAUGUAAGGAUUAUAUGUGAUUUGUUGAAAUCUUUAUGUGGUUGUUAAGAUUAUAUAUGAGAAUAAAAAAAUGAUAAAUCAUUCACUUUUUAUACUUUAUCUCUAAUAGAAAAGAAAAAGACGGUGAAUAAUUUACCGUUUUCUAAAUUUCAUUACAGAUGGUAAAUGAUUGACCGUUUUUUAAUUAUUUUUAUACCCAAUACUAAGUUGGAUAAAAUAAGGUUAUUUCAACAAAUAAAUUUUUUACAAAAUUAUUUAGCCAAUUAUAAAUUUUUAAAGGAUUAAAAUAAAAAAAUAUACAUUCAAGAACUCAACGUUAUGCAGUACGUAUAAUGAUUAUAUAUACAUGCCCUCAACAAAAGGAAAAGACCCAUAGCCACCAUUGCCCAAUGAGAUUGUGAAGCCUGGCCCACCAAAUCAUUAAACGUUACAAACGGGCGGGUUGGAUAACCCGCGGACGGGUCAUUAUACCCGCGAAUUACUUGGGCAUGGGUAAAAUUUAUCCACAAAUUUUUUGGUAAUCAAUAUCUUUACUCAUACCCGCUCGCGGGUGAGCGGGUGGGUAUGCGGGUUACCCGCAAUUUUUUUUUUCUUUUUGUCUCUUAUAUUUUUUAAAUGCAAAUAAAUAUAUAUAAGUUUCAAAAUAUAACAUAACUCAUUAUUUAAAAUAUCAUAACAUACAAUAAACAUAUUUAAAGUCUUAAAGCAAAAAAAUUUCGUAAUAUAAAAGACGCAAUAAGAAAUUAGGAUUAGAAUUUUUAGGAUGGAUAAAUAAAAAUAUAUGUAUUUUAAUUAAGAAAAUAUAUUUUUUAAUUAAAAAAUAUAUUUGCGAGUAUUCGUGGGUAACCACGGGUUACCCAAAAUACCCACAGCUUAAUGGGUAUUCACCCGUUUUAUCCAUAACUUUUUGGGUUCGAAAAGUUGGUACCUAUACCUGCAAAUUUGCGGAUAACCUGCGGGCACUCGCGGGUAUGGGUCGAGAUUGCCGGGUCUAAUAAUCAUGACCAAAAAAAAACGUGAAAAGACUUUAUUGCCCAAUGGCCUUCUUAAGAAGUGGUGCUCGAAUUGACAAAAAUGGGCCACAACAAGCGCUCAUGUAAGAAAUUUUCAUUACCAAAAACCAAGCACUGAUACUCGGUGCAAACAGUAGUACUAAACGAAAAUUAUAUAGUAUUUUUUAUACCUUUUAUUGGAUAUGUAUAUUAUUUUAUAAAGUUUUGCAAGGUUUGAAAGAAAAGUUGCACUAUUUAGCUUAGUUUGCACUAUUUGAGUCUUAAAUCCUUGCCCACCACUUUUAGGCAUCCCUCUCUAGUUAUGGACUUAUGGGUUGCUAGCCAAACUUGGUCUCCAUCUGUCACAAAAGUGUUAUAGAACAACUUCUCCAUAUGCAACACCCACUUUUCAAUGAGCUAGCGAUUAGACUUUUCUCCAUCAAAAGUUCAGAGGCAUUUCCAAAAUUUCCUCAAGAGGGCAAGAAGUCGGCUCAACUACUAAGAAAAUUGUAGGUAAUACGGUCCUUAUUGGCGAAACAUGAACCGGUGGCGUCAGUCUAAUCUCUUCACUGCGCUCGUCGCUCAGAGUAGGGUGUGAUAACUCGGGCAACAUUGUUUGAUUCACUGUUGCCGCUCCUCCCACAUUAUCCUAUUGUAGCAUUAGUGGGGGUGAUGGAUCCAAAUUCGCCCAUGCCAUUAUCACCUAUUGGAUCAAUAACUUCUCCAACUUCUUCCUCUUCUCAUCCUGACGGUGUGAAGCCUCAACUCGCAACUGCACCGCUUAUGUUUGUUUCUCCACCCUGUGACGUGCCGCUUCCCAGGGGGUCGCCCAUCCUAAAACUACUUUAGCUCUAGACCCUUAACUCUCUUAAAUCUUGAGCCUAACUACAAUCCAAAAUGCUAUAAAUGUGUUAAAAGGUUUAGCAAUAUUAUAUCUCAUAUAUAAAACUAUUUCAAAUCCUAAGAGCGUCACAUUCUUUCUCCCUUUAAGUCCUGACGUCCUUGUCAAGCUCAAGCACACUUACAAGUAUCAGGCGAUAUGAGACUCGUCUCGCUAGCUUAGCCAACUUUGUGGGAAGCUACGCUUCACCCAUAUUGGUCAUCAGCCGGGGAGUCGUGCUCUUUCUGCUGUAUAAUUCUUGCUCAGCUAAAACUCAUUUUAUAUUUCCAACUGAUGAUUGGCUUUGAGCUUCCCAGGGGGUUAUCCAUCCUAUAACUAUUCUAACGCUAGCACGCUUAAUUCUCUUAAUAUCUUGGGUCUAACCACCUCCCAAAAUGCCAUGGCUGGGUUAAGAGGUUUUGUUGUGCCCCAAAUUACAGCGGAAGCCCGAGUUACGUCAACAGAUUUGCCGUAUGUACUAUGAUACACCUUAUGAACACGAAGCGUUAGUAAAACUUGUUUAAAGAAGUUUACUAAAAUCUAACAAUAGGUAUCAAAGUAGAAUAUAACUAUGUACUAUAGCAAUACUGUAAAUAUAUACAAUUAUUAUUACACCAAUCUUCAAAAUGGUACAACAUCUCUCGCUACUCCAAAUCGCAAAAUACUAUAUAGGCUGCUAAUACAUUAAUAAGUGGUCCAACUACACACAAGAAGGGUAAGAGAUGCUUGCUAUCCCUGAUCCCCUUAUCUCGAUCAGUCACUGAUGCUGAAAGUUUUGAAAUAAAAUAAUAAUAAUAAAGAGGACAUAAGAACUAUAAAAAGUAGUCUCCAGUGAGUACGGUCGACAAUGCCAACGGUCCAUACCACUAGGUACAUAAGGGGUAGAAAUAGUAAAUAACUGAGCAAUAUGAAAGAACAAGUACUAAUAUGAAUAAUUGCUAAAAAUACUACUAUUAUCAUGCCUCUAUAGUGUAAUUGAAAACUGUAAAUCACGUAUCUCAUGCAUCUACUAGAUACUUAAUAAAAUAAUGCAAUAAUACUCUAUCAUAAUGACUAACAUAUAGUCGCCACCACCCCCAAAGUUGAGGCCUACUACACGUAGGUAAAUAUCGAAUUGUCUAUGUGGCCCAUACCAUAAUAAUACCCUAUAGUCUAACCUCCGAAGUGGCACUCAUAGGGCACUACCCUAACAGAGUAUAGUAUAUCUCUAUCAAGUUCAAUAUAGCAUACAAGCUAUAGUCCCAAAUAUAGUUAUAGUCUCACACUAUUACCACUAUCUAUUGGCGUUUAGGGCAACAUCACAUAAUACUAAUAGUGAAAAAUAUGUAUGUCUCAGUAUACUCUAUAGAUAGGUAUCAAAAUACCACUAUUAGCUCAACUAUGUCAAUAGUCUCAUAGACUAAAUAAUAUAAUAUGAACAUAGGAGUUAACUCGCCAAUUUUGGCGAUACAGAACCCACUUAAAAAUGCUAUCACAAAAGGAAGGAGAAGAAGAAGCAUAGCACCAACCCAGAAACUCCUAUAGAAUCAACUCUGUAAAUAUUACAUGCAAAAAAUGUCACGCGGAUCAAUCCUCGAUCUCCUCCAAAAUCACCCUUUCUUUUUCUCCUUCUCACUCUCUUUAUAGAAAAAGAAAAACAAAAUAAAAUGAAAAAAAGAGAGAAAAAGCACCUCAGCUAGCUAAUAUAAACAUUUUCAGCCAAACAUGCACUUUUCGGUGCAUGAAACCCAAUUCCGGUGUCCGAAAUCCUUGCUGACUCACUUGCUUGUGGCCUCUGUCACAUCACUCACCAACUCACUUUUGGGCUCAUAUUCGGACUCAGAUUCGGGAGCCUGAAACAUGGGCCCGAAUCUUUCGGAUGCAUUCUCAGGCAUCUGAAAAAGGAUCCAAAAGUAUAGUAGCUUUUGGGCUGCCAUAGUAACUUUCAGGCUACUAUAGUAACUUUCGGACACCCAGAACUAGGGCCCAAAACAUCUGAAUCCUCCUAAAACAAAAUUGGGUGUCCCAUUAAGACUUCUACAGUAACCUUUGGGUUGCUACAAUAAUUUUAGGGCACUCAGUUUUGUAUCCAAAAAUCUAGCAGCAGCCUAGAUUGAUCGAAAAUAUGAUUUAUAAGCCUGUUUUCACGUCAAUUUUGCUCCAAACGGAUCCAGGUCACUCCGACAUGUUACUGAGAUGUCAGUCAUCAAUCAUACUGCAACUUUGUAUAUUUGCUAAGGUCCAGUAUAUCACUGGGUUAGUCCUAUUAUAUCUCAUAUAUAGAACUAUUCCAAAUCCUAGAGGUUCUUUUUCUUCUUCUUAUUCUUGGUGUCCUUGGCGGCGCACUCAUUCUCUCAGGUGCUUCGAGGCCUUUUCCUUCCCGACAGGCAUUCUGUCGAAUACUUUUCGAUUGCCCUGCUCUUGGGUCCCGCCUUGAGGGAGAAAGCUUCCAGAAGAUGAAUCUUGCUGCCUAUCGCCAUCGAAUCCUCUAGAGUGGGAGGGAGCCGACAGCUGAGGAGGAGGAGGAAGAGGGAGUCUUUUCUAAAGCAUGUAGCCGCAAUCGUUGGCCACGGCAUCGACAUGGUGCAGAGAGGACGGCGAUGGUGAUGAUUAUGAUGCUUUGAUGAAGAAAAUAGGUUCAGUGGGAACAAGAGUGGGGAGAGGGGGAGGGAGAUGAAGGUUAGGGAGAGAAGAGUGGGGGUAGCCGAGGUCAUCGUCCUUUCGCUUGAGCACGUGUUUGUUCUUCUUCUUUUUGGUCAUGGCGGCAAUGGUGAUGGUAGGAGAUGGAGUUGGGAGGCUUGAACGCCACUUUAUUGGUGAUAGUGGCUGUGUAAGCUUUAGAAUUGUGGAUGAAGGACGGAGAGAAAGCUUUACUGUUUUUGCUAUUUUCAGUUGUCCUGCUAAGGGAGCAGCUGUGGAAUCACAAAAUGACAAAUAAUAAAAUUAGUUAGAUCCUUACAUUUAAAUUAUUAUACUUACAAACUAUUUAAUAAAUAAAUAAAUAAAUAAAUUUUAUACUAUAAUUAUUUUUUUUAAAAAAAAUUAAAGUGUAUGAGUUAGUAAAUUGAAACAAAUAGGCUAACAUGCACCCAUUGCUGAAGAUAGUUUUGAAUUCUGGUUUGUAUUUGGUUUGGUCUUAAAUACAAUGCCUCUGACUAAGAUGGCCAUUCAAAAUUUUACCAGGAGAUCAAACCAAUAUAAGAUUGUAGGUGAUAAAUUUUAUUUGUCUAUUUAGCAAGGAGCUCCUGUAGUCGUGAAUAACUUACAUAGCUAAUUAGCGUGCCGAGGGUGUCACACACCGCAUCGGCCAACAUGGACAACUACUCCUGCCACUUCCAGACCUUAUAGGAUCCGGAGGACGCGGAAGUCUCCAUCGGCCAUCUCGGUAGCUGUGAAGCAUAUUGUUGGUCUCUCACAGGAAGACAUUGCUAUCUGUAACGACAACAUUAGUUCAACAACAACCUAAUUCAAGCACUACUCAACAUCAAAAUAAAGUAAACACCAAUCAUGCAAAAAUAGGUAAAGCAUGCUUUCUCUAUUUCUUGAUGUCACGUUAUCGGUCGCGAACUUGACUAUCCAAGGAAAUGAAAAAUGCAACCACUUUGAUCGAAUUCCAAUCCAUAUCGGAGACAUCAAAAAGACCCAAUCACAUUACUUACGCUAUUAGACAUAAAACCCCCUUCAUUUACGAUCCUAGUCCUUGAGGUCCAAUUCCAGUCUAGGGUUUGCUAGCUCGCCCCUAAGAUUCAAUCUAGGCUUUGAUACCACCCUAAUCUAUCACACCCUAGGCUCAAAAGGAAGCACCCCCGAUAGCGUGCCUAGAUCUGCAGUGUGCAUAAGAUUCCCCAACACACACAAAGCGACAAACAACAACAAAUCAACGCAUAGGAACAAUAAGAGUUUCAUACGGGUUGGAGUAUCAAAGUAUAAAACUACUAUUCUAAUUGCAACAACAAAUCUCAAAUGAACUACUACAAGUUAAUUAGUUCCAUAUUACAACAUUUUCAAAAUAUUAUGGUUCUACAAAAGGUUCCACCCCUAGACACACCAAAAAGAAGAAUGGAGAGCUAACUACUAUGCGACUCCUUUGCCUUGAUCAUCCAUGGAGGAUGAGAGAAGCUCUGAAGAAAAAUAAAAUAACAUGAGAGCGUGAGGAUUAUAUAAAAUAGUUUUUCAGUAGGUACAAUUGCCAUAAAGAGCGUUUUGGUCACUAGGUCUAUUAGAGUCAUAAUAAUAAAACAAGAGAUAAUAGACGUGGAAAAAGAAUAUAUGCUAACAACAAGUAAAGCCUACUAUCAUGCCUCUAUUGUACAAACUAUCAUCUAUAUAUGGAUCAAUUCACAUGAAUAUACACUGACUACUCAACAUCCACCUAACCUGACCAAUAAAGGUCCAUUCAAGCUUGCACUUUGCGUAGUGGGAUGUCAAACAAUCGCAUAAGAACCCAUGUCGGUGCUCAACAGCUAGUGUGAGUCAAACAAUUCACAUGAUUUUACUAUCAAAUUUCAGUAACUAGAGUCUAGACUAUAGAUAUUGAUCUUAAUUCAAACUCAAAUCCAAGGCUAGAGCAUUAUUGUUAAUGAUUGGAAGCUCUAAGCAACUCCUCUUUCAAAUAUCUUGCUUCCCACAUAGCACAAGAUGCUUUUAGUCUCAUGGAGAAGGGAGAAUAAAGAAGAAGAUGAUGAGAAUGGAAGCAAUUGGAGAAAAAAUGAGAAAGAAGAAGAAAUGGUGAUGAACUCACCUUCCUCUCUUCGUGGCGUUCACAGUGAAGAAGAAGGAAAAGAGAGUACUUAUAGUGUUACAAAAUGCUCUAAAGCGCUCAAACCAUUGAAAAUUGCAACUUGUGCAAUUCCAGAUUUUGCAGCAUUGAGUACCAGUACUCGCACAUCAAUAUUGGUUUGCCACCAUUAUGUUCCGCCCUUGUUUGCUUCUUGGUGCGUCCAUCUCUCCAUACUUCUUUCCUGCCUUCUCCUUGGCUCAAGUCUGACCCACAAGGGUGCUCCUAAUCGGAAUUCAUCUAGAGUCUUUUAUUCAAGGCCAGUUCUGAAGAAUAUGAAUCUUAUACGCAUCGCAAACUUCAGUAUUGGUACUUCAUAUUUCAGUAUCGAUAAACCCUAAAGUUCCAUAUCCUCAGUAUUGAUACUCUUGGCCAAAACUGUAGUUUAUAGGUUUCAGUUUUUUGAGUCCAUUUUCAUGUUGUUUUUGCAUUGAAAAUGCAAAAAUACUCAAACUGAAUCAGAAUCAUCUAAAUCAUAUUAAAUACUAUUUUCUCAACGGAACUUUGCUGUUUGCAAAACUUCGGUGCACUAUAAGUAAUAGUUUUUUUCUAUCACAUUUAUUUAUUUCUUGGAAUGUGUCGGGUUUUUUCCUAUGCUGCAUUAAUUAUGCCACCAUAGAUUGCACUCUCCAAAUUUUUAUUGCACAAUUUAAUACGAUAUUGCACAAUUUUUUUUGGAAAAUCAAUUAUUUUAUGUUGCAUCAUCUAUAAACUCUCAUGAAACCUCAUGUUUUUUGUCCACGUGGCGGCAUAUGGCAAUGUUUUUUUCUCAACCCCAUCUCAUUUAAGUUCCCAAUUAAUCGGUUCAAAGUAUCGAUUCAUCUUCCAAACGGUUUGAUUAAUCUCAUUCCAUCUUCAACCCUUCAUCUUCCAAACGGUUCGAUUAAUCCCAUUCCAUCUUCAACUUUUCAUCUUCCAAACGGUUCAAUUAAUGUCAUUCCAUCUUCAACCGCCGCCAAGAUGCCGCUCCGACUCUUCUUCAACCCUUCAUCUUCCAAACCGUUCAAUUAAUCUCAUUCCAUCUUCAACACAAAUAAAUUAUUUGCUGCCCCCUAGAUGCUGCUCCGCCUCUUCAACACAAAUAGAUCGUAAACAGAUCGUAAAAGAAAUGCACGGGGGAUCAACAAAGAAUGCACCAAAAAAUUUACCCACAUUGGUCCCUUUCGCCGAUCCGGCGAUCCGAGGUGCGCCCCUCCCCACAUUGCACUGGUUAGUGAUGUUCCCGAGCGCGACCCUCUUCUUGGCCUGCUCCGCCGCGGGCGCGGCCACCUUGGUGGCGUUCUCCGCCGCUACAGGCCUCUUCGCAAGCGACGACGAGGACGAACCCGGCCCGGGCAACGGAGUCGAUCCCCGGUUCGAGCUCGCCAUCGAGGUGAAACGACCCUAACCCUAACCGUAACCCUCGAGCCGUAGGCCGGCCGGGUUCAUUGUCGAUCCAUUCUUCCCGUUGCGCUGUUUUCUUUAGCGACGCUUCGUUCCUGCUAUUGAUCGCCCUCCGUUCGUAAAAUUGGUUCGGAUUCAUUCUCCAUGCUCCCGUAGAUUCAUUGAAUAUCUGUAUUUGUUGAAUCCGAAGAUUCAUUUUACGUUGAAUGCAAUUAUUGUUGUUGCCUAUAUAAUAUGCCUUCAUCAAAUUUUAAUUUGUAGCAAAAAAAUUUUAUUUUUCUGUCAUUUUUACCUUUUAUUUUUUUUUUUACCUUUCAUUUUCGUUUGAAUAUCAAUUUGGUUGCUUAUUGUUUAUUUUAAAAAAUACUGAAUAAUUUUAUUUUGUCUCAGAAAAUUGACUGUCUGUGUACAGUUGAUCUACGGUCGAUUGCCUCAGAAGUUGUAAAUUCUUUGAAUUAAUUUUUGUGUAUAAACAAUUUUUUUUGCCUUCCAAUUUGUUGAUGUGGAUAAUUUAGUAUUUUUUUCUGUUCCUGAUUGCCUCAGAUUUAAUUUUAUGUAUAUAUGUGCUAUUUAUUUUACCUUCCAAUUUAUUAUUGUGAAUAAUUUAGAAAUUUAUUUUUUAGUAAUUUAUUUUCUCCGUUCCUGAUUGCCUCAGAUUUAAUUUGUAUGUAUAUAUAAACUUUUUUUUUUCCUUCUAAUUUGUUACUGUGAAUAAUUUAGAAAUUUAUUUUUUUCCCGAAACUGAUCGUAAUGCUAUUAUAGAUGACAUAAUCUAAUUUGGUUGGUAAUUUACAAAUAUUUUUGCAAUAAUUAUUCAAGAAUUUUUUGUGAGAUGCUAAUCUUAAUGCUUAUAUAUAUAUAUAUAUAUAGAGUAUGGCUAGAAUACUGUUACAGGAUCACCUAAGUGAUACUUGUGUGAUUUUAGAAUGGAUGGGAGAGAUGGGAAGGUUUGAGAUGAUGGGGUAGUUGGUGGUAGUGGUGGUAGGUGGAAUAGUAUUUGAUCCAAGGGCUCAUUUGUAAUCAAAAAGUAGCAUCAAUGCUAAAAAGUGAUAGCAAUUGGGGAUGAUACUUGAUAAAGUAUCACUAAAUCAACUCUAGUAUAUAUAUAUAUAUAUAUAUAUAUAUAAGCAUUAUAUAUAUAUGAAACAAAAAAAAUUAUAUAUGUUUUUAGUUUGUUUAGAAUACUAAUUCUAAACAUCAAUCCAUUGUUUAAGGUAUUACACAGUAAAAAAAUAAUAAGACGAUUUCUUUUAUUAUGUUUUGGUAAGUUGUAAUUUCAUUAUAAAAGUCUCUAAUAUAUUUUUUUUAUUGUUAUAUCUAAUCAAUAUAGUUAUAUUUUUUGUUUCUUCUUUACGUUUAUAUUUAUUUACUAAAAUAUUUCUACCCGUCGCAUCGCGCGGGUCACUACACUAGUUUAUACAUUGUUGCACUAUUUCUCAAAAUCAUAAAGUGCAACUUUUCCUUCAAUUGGACAAUAUUAAAUAAGGGAUAAUAUAUCUAACAUAACUGUGAGUGUUAAAAAUUUAAAAGCAUUUGCGUUAGACGAGGGGAUUAUAUGUUGAAAAACAGAGAUUAAAGAUUCUAUACUCCUUAGAAAUCAUAAAGAUUUCUAAUUAAUUACGCCUAGACAACCUCCGAUUAAGCUGGUCAAUUAUGAUAAUUAACAAAACAGAAUGCAUUUCUUUUAUUACUCUUGUACAUCGGUGUACAAAAUUAAUACAACUGAAAAUGAGGAAAAGCGACAAUUAUCAUUUCUCUACUUCUCUCCUCUUCAAGGUAUUUCUCUAAAACAAUGUCGGCCAUGCAUCAUGCAUAAGCUUUCUUUGGUAUUUCAUCGAGCAUUUGACACGCACACAAGUAAUGUGCAAAUUGCCUUUGACAUUUCAUCGAAUACUUGGCACGCGUACAUGAACAAUGCAGCAUGCUCAAGUUUUCUUUGACAUUCUGUGAUAUGCACACCAUUUUUGGCAUUUCAUCGAACGUUUAGUACGCGUACAUGAACAACGCGCUAUGCACAAAUUCUUUUUGGCAUUUUGUCUAACACUUGGUGUGUGCACAUAAAUUAUCCAUCAUGCACAACUUGUUUUUGACAAAAGCCAAUUCAAAAUAGCGGCAAUCAAUAAUUUGAUUGGAGCUUUCCAUCGACGGCUAAGCGUCGAACGGAUAGUCGUCGUCGUUGUUGUCGUCUACUGCUGACGGUUAAGCGUCAAGCGGAUGAUCAUCGUCGUCGUUGUCGCUAUUGUCGCCUACCACCGACGGCUGAGCGUCAAACGGAUCGUCGUCGUCGUUGUUGUCGCCUACUGCCGACGGCUAAGCGUCGAUCGGAUCGUCCAUCAUCAUUGUUGUCGCUAUUGUCUCCUACCGCCGACGGCUGAGCGUCGAGCGGAUCGUCGUCGUCGUUGUUGUCGCCUACCGCCGACGGCUGAGCGUCGAGCGGAUCGUCGUCGUCGUUGUUGUCGCCUACCGCCGACGGCUCAGGGUCGAGCGGAUCGUCGUCGUCGUUGUUGUCGCCUGCCGCCGACGGCUAAGCGUUGAGCGGAUCAUCGUCGUCGUUGUUGUCGCCUACCGCCGACGGUUGAGCGUCAAGCAGAUGAUCAUCGUCGUCGUCGUUGUUGUCGCCUACCGCCGGCGGCUAAGCGUCGAGCGGAUCGUCGUCGUCGUUGUUGUCGCCUACUGCCGACGGCUGAGCUUCAAGCCGAUGAUCAUCGUUGUCGUUGUCGUUGCCACCUUUACCGUCGACGGCGAAGCGUCAAGUGGAUCGUCAUCGUCGUUGUUGUCGCCUACCGCUGACGGCUAAGCAUCAAGUGGAUCGUCGUCGUCGUUGUUGUCAGCGCAGCAACAGCAGGCAGAUGGCCACCUCCUUGGUCGAUGAUGACGCCACACUAGCAAAAAGGAACGUGCACCAAUCCGGGAUCAACGAUGACGGGGCAACGGCUGUCAGCAAAGGUGUCGGAAUGGCUACGAGCGACCGUCUUUUCUUGGUUGACGAUGACUCGGCGUAGUAGAGGUUGAUGACGGCACGUAUAGCCCGGUGUGCAUAGAAAGUUCGAUGUAUGGAGUGCCUUGACUAGGAGAGAAGAGAAAAAAAAAAAAAAAGUGAGAGGAUCUAAACCCACCUUUCUAUUUGGCUUUUUUUUUUUAAUCCAAGUUUCUUUCCUCCUUUUUUUUUGUGAGUCGAAUCCUCCCCCUCUUUUUUUUGUUCGCUUUCCUUUAUAUAGAUAGAGGGUGGUGGAGGUUUAUGGUGAAGAGAAGUAAAUGGUAGAGAAAUGGAGGGAGUGAUGGAGAAGUGGAGGAAAUGGAGGGAAAGUGGAAGGAGUAAUGGAGAAGUGGAGGGAAUGGUGAGAAAGUGGAGGGAAUGGUGGAGAAAGUGGUGGGAAUGGUGAGAAAGUGGAGGGAAUGGUGGAGAAAGUGGUAGAAAUGGAGGGUAUGGUAGGAGAGAGUGGAGGAGUGAAUUUAAGGAAGUGAUUAUUAUUAUUAUUUUUUUUUAACAAUAACCUUCAAAACUUUAAAAAUAUCUAAUAUAUCACUGGUUAACCAAAAAGAGUUUGUUCAUUUCCAAAAAUUACUUCAAAUAUCCCCAAAAUCUUAGGGUUUUCUAAUCGGGUUUAGGGUUUAGAAGGACAAUUUGGAAAUAGGAGGUAAAUUUGAAAAUUUUGAAUAGUUGUUAGGGUUAUAUAACCAAAAGCCCCUUUUAUCAAAUUGUUUAUUUUGUUUUCAAAUUGCGCACUAUUUAUAGCUUUUAUGUUCACUAGAAAGGCCGAAAAAGAGGAAAGAAGAAGAAAGAAAUUAAUGGUGCAACACAAAUAUAAAUAUACUAAGGAACGAGUAAGAAGAAUACAAAAAAGAAAGAUAACAAGAAGAAGAAGAAGAAGAAGGAGGAAAAAAAAUGCAACAAAAACAACAAGUAGAAGAAGGAGAGUGAUUACACUAAUUAGCCCUCGUGGUGCACUAUUUAACCAAAAUAUUGCAUCAUGAGAAUAUUUAUUGCGAGUUCGGCUAUGGUGCUUUUAAAAGCACCAAGCAUUUGGUGCCUGCAAGUUUUUCACCAUUAGAUCUAUCCCUUUGACCAAUUUUAAUUCUUAGAUCAUAUUAUUCCACCAACUACCCACUCAACCCAAAGGGCCUAUUUAUUGCACUAUUUAGAAAGAUAAUAUACUAUUUUUGGCUAAAUUAUAGAAAACUCUUUGUUAAAAUCUCUUUUUUUGUUUUCUCCCUUGUCAUUUAAGAACAUACAUUUUGCUUUUUUAAAAAAUAAAAAAUGUUCAUAGAGGGUACGGUAUUAUAACUAUAUUGACAAAAAUGACCAAAAUGUCCUCUCCAUACUUGUCUCCUUCCCAACCCUCCUUCAUCUGUGGUCUCUCCACUUCCGUCCUUUGUGACUCCCACGACCCCAACUCGCUCUCCUCUGCUGCCUCACCCUCGCUCUCCUUCAUUUGGUGACGGUGGGAAGAGGUUGGGGUGGGCGCGGAUAGAGAGUGGGCGAGGGUGAGACGGUGAAGGAUGCGAGUGUAUGGGUGUGGGCGUGAACGAAGGGAUGAGCGAGGUGAGGCGGCACGGCCGACGACGUCGUCGGUGAGGGGAGGGACGCGGCGCUGCUGAGAAGUGGUAGAAGGGUAUAUUGGGUAUAAAAAAAAAUAUAAUAUUAGGAUAUAGACGAAACACUAACGGCGGGAUCCGAAGCGAAUAUUUUUUAUUUUUUAAAAGGGCAAAGUGUAGGUUUUUAAAUGACAGGGAGCAAAAGUAAAAAAAAAAAUUUUGUCGAAGGAAUUUUCUAUAAUUUAGCUUCUCUCUUUUUUUUUUUUUUUUUUUUUUUUUUUUUUUUUUAAUGUUUGUCCAAUUUUUAAGCCGGUCAGUUUUUGAAAUGAUCUCAAACAAGAAACGAUGAGGCACGCUCAUAGAAAUGCGUAGUUCUGUAGGUCCCGUUAAAAAAUGGUACCAUACGCGAGACAUCGGAAUAUACAAAUAGACGGUGCAAUCUUCUCACAUAUAAUUUUAUACAUAUUCUUGGUGUAAGAGGUAUUUUGGUCAAAUUUUUGAAAAUUUAGAUUGAUUCAUGUAUAUAAAAUUGCAAAAUUAGCAAUUUUUUAAUUAAAAAAAUAGUAUAUAAAUAACUGUGGAGAGACGUCUGUGAUAGGGGUGGAAACGAGCCGAACACGAGCUGGCUCGUUAAAGUAUCGAGCCGAAAAAUUCAGCUCGUGUUCGACUCGUUUAUUAACGAGUUGAACAUGAGUUGGCUCACGAGCUGACCAACGAACAAUAAAUUACAAAAGAUUAGAUUAAAUAUAUAUAUAAAAUAAAUUUAUAAAAUUUUAUUCAUUAGACUUUGAUCUAAUAGUUGAAAUUUUACAAAUAAAUGUGUCUUUUUAUAAUUAAGCUUGUAUUUAUAUUUUUAUUUUACUAAAAAUUAAAUAAUAAAAAUAUAUAUUAUAUAUAAUUAUUUAUUUAUAUAUAAAAAUAUAAAUUAAAUAAAUUAUAUAAAUAUAAAAUAUAUGUAUUCGAGCGGUUAUCGAGCCGAGCACGAGCGAGGUGACCCAGCUCGUGUUCAGCUCGUGUUUGACUCCUUUACUAAACGAGUCCCGAACUCAUUUCGAGCUGAACACAAAUCGGCUCGGGAACACCGAGCUGGAUUGCGGCUCCUAGUAUGUGAUAUUUUGUUAAGGUUUUGGGAGGGACGUCUGACGAUGCCCUCGAAGAAAAUAACUAUCGGCUGACGGCACAAUGGCCUGACGGCCGCGCUCCGUGCUCACCUUCAAAGCCGCCAGCGGUCUCCGAAGAUACCAUCUGCCAUUUUAUCGGCGGCCUUGUCCUGCCAAAUUUCGACAUUGCAUCUCCGCUGCCGCAUUUGCUCUGUUCUCCCCCUUCUUUGAGAAGGUACGGCAUUUUUUCUGAUUUUUUGGGGAGAAUUUUGCUCAGAAGCGAAAUUAAUUUGUUCCUGUUCUGUUAGUUAAAUUCAGCGUGCCCAAAUUUGUUCGUAACAGGUUGAGGAAAUUUGAAUCAUGCAGAUGAUUUGCUGAUGCAAACAUCUUUGCUUCCUAUCAGAUUGUUAGCAGCAAGGAUUGAAGUAUCCAUCGGCACAGAGCACGAUGCAGUUUCAGCGCUGAUGACACAGUUUAAAACUUAUUUUUUCUUUAAAUUAGUAAGUAAUAAUUUUCUCAAAAAAGUUCAAAAGGUUUGAUAAAGAUACAUAAUAAGCGAUUAGAAUAUUUUGUUAUUAAAAAAAAUAAAUAUUUUAUGCAAUUAUGCGUGGCACGCAUAUAUUUUUUGUGAGUGACCGGCAUGCAGAGGCACAGCUUGACACGCAUCGUGCCGUACUGUGUCAGUAAAUUUUCGGCACGAUCCCGUGUCACGACACUUAAAUCUUUAGUUUAGCGGAUAUCAAAGAGGAAUUAAUGAAAGUGGGUUUUGUUGCUUGUUAUUCAUUAUAACUUUUCAACUUAGUAUAUGCAAAGAAUAAUAUAUCAUUCACUAUAAUAGCAAUUUAAGAUUUUUUUUUUCUUUUUCAAAUAUAAUUUAAAUUACUGUUAAAAAUCAAUAUUUCUUCAUAUGGAUCCAUCAACCAGUGACUCUUAAGGGCAAUUUGGUUCAUGAUUGAAAUGGGAAUGGAAAAUGGAAUCAGAUUGCACUGGAAUGGGAAAUGGAAUGUUGAAUCAUCCAAAUAUGUUUGGUUCAUUAUUGGAAUGAAAAUUGAAAUGAACAUUUAGGAUUUUGAGAGAGUGUUUUGGUUACAAGACAGGAGAGUGAUGAAGGGAGAGGAGGGGAAGGUGUUUGUUUGAGAAGGUUUUGAGCAGUUUACUUUCGAAUGGUUCAAUCCGCGAUUCAAAACCGGAUUGGGCCAUAAAUGGAUUAGGCCAUUCCUAUUCCAGAGUAGAAUAGGAAUUGGAAUCCAAUUCCUGUAAACCAAACAAUAACUAUCGGAAUCAAUGAAUUCCAUUCCGAUUCCAUAGUCUAAACUGCGUGAACCAAACAAGCCCCAACUGUCUCCCUAGUCAUCUCUGGUAAAGUUAUUUCUUUCUGAAAAUAUAUGGAGUGUGUGGGAGAUACUAGGCUUUCUGUAUAGCUAGUAUCAAUGAUAUUCCUGGAUCAUUGCUUGCAGAGAAACAAUUUUGUCCCUAGGACAAUGCAAUUUGUGUGCCUCCGACUUAGGGUUUAUCGCUACAACUUUUUCUUUCGCUACUUUAUAACUUCAACUUUAUUCUUGGCUGUCAUAUGUUAAUUUUAUACUAAUAAGGAAAUUAACCCUAAUUUCAUUGUAGUCCAUCGAAAAUUCUUUGAAUUUGCCAGUAAAUUUAUAAUCAAACGAUUUAGCAUAGAACUCAAAUUCUAUUUUAGAUGCAGACUAAGCUUGGUGAUAGACAAGACCCGUGAUUUGUCAAUUGAUUGGCUCUCUAUAAAGAACACUAUUUGUUGUUCAAGGUACCUUAUUUGUGCCUUUCUUGAUGUAUGGUAGAUUGAUUCACCUUUAAUAUUCAAUAAAUGCAACUGAGUCAGAAGAGAAUGUUUUCCUAUAGUAUUUCUGAUGCUAAAUAGUAAGUUAAUUCUCUAUUUACUUUCGAUUUUAUUUUUAUUGCCAUUUGUUUAUUCUUAUUCAGAAAUCAUAGGUAAAUGAAAAGUGAAAAUAUUAUAUGAAAACUUAUGUUGUGGAUGAUGUAGCAUUGGACGAUUAGUCCAUUCUGAUAAAAUUUUACCACUGUCUGUAGAGUAAUAGGAAGUUUCAUCUCAAUAAAUUGAGCAUGAUUCUUUAGCCAUCUCAAAUUCCAUAUGGGAGCGGCAAAUAUGAUUUUUGUAGUUUUUCUUGUCGACAGCACUAGUUCUCUCUUAUAUAUUGGACGUUAGUAAUCAACAAGGAUUUUACUGCCGUGUGUCACGCCCCUACGCAGAUAUAACAAGCCGAUGAGAGCAAGUUGCAUCGAUCAAUGAACGAAAAAGGGUAGUAACAACAAGGUAUUAGUAGAAGAAACUGCAUGUGAGCAUGUAAAAGAAACAACAGUCUUGCACUAUAGCAUGAUAGUAGACUAUGUCUGAUGAACUGCAACCAAUGUAUGACUAAGCAUCAACCACAUCUUGACCCAAUCUACGAUGUAAUUUUUCAGUCCUAGGGAGGCCAUAACUUUUCAGUUCCCGACUGCUUAUUCUCUGGCAAAGCCUUAACUUCUCAGUCUCUGACAAGGUCCUAACAUUUUAGUCCCAAGUUACUAUUCCGGAAGAACUCAUCCUAUUACGAGGUUGAUCGGAUCACCGUGGUGGUGACAUGGGAGCAAAGCAUCAUGUCAUUAUGCUCUAUGAUCAACAAUAUCGGUAGCAGUAGGGGAUGUCCAACAUCUUAACUACAACAACAACAGCAACAACGGUAGCCGCUUUGGCUAAUACAUGAAUCACUGUACUAACCCAUAGUGUCAUCAUGAAUGUGUGCAGGUUUAGCUAGCAUGCUUUCAAUGACAAGUAAGGCUACAACAUAGAUAUGCGGGUGAGUAUGCUAUAAGCAAAUAAAUAGGUAUAUCAUGACAGUAAACAGGGAAGUGAAGCAAAAAUACAAUAAACAAGUAUUCAUGUCCUCCUCAACCAAAAUAUAAUGCCAAACUACUACAUGGAUGCCAUGAACCAACAAUAGCGAGAGAAGUGUUGAGAGAAUAGAGCCAAUUCACCAGGGUUUCUCUAAACUUCUGAUUGAGCACUCACCUAGUUUAGUUUGCUUGGCGACUAGGAUGCGUUUCUAGCUCCUUGAUUGUUGCUCGGACCUAAAGAGGAGAUAAACACAUCAUACAACGCACUAGGGUUCCACUUGCAACCAAGAAACCAUGAAGGAACUCAAAUUUGGUAAGGUUCUGGAACUUGAGGUUGAGGUUUCAGAACCAACACUGGGUUCCGGAAUCUAUUGCCAAGUUCCACAGAACACGAGCCUGCUUCCAGCCUUCCACUGUCCUUGUCCAUUGAACUAGUUUAAUUGUUUUAAGUUUCCGUUUUUAUUUUUUUUCAGUGCACGUAAUUUUCCUGUGAAAAUUGCAAUGAGACUAAUUAAUCUUCUUCCUCGACAGAAGCAAGGAUGAUUGAAAGUGAAAGCAGUAGUUCUGAUUCUGCGGACCUGGAGGAACCUGCCAGUUCCAUGACUAGGGAAUUAAACAAUUACCAGUUGCUACGAGUUACCCAUGAGAAAGGAACAAAAUUAUGCUUGAUCAGUAAAGUCCCACAACACAUCUAUGAGUUCAAUUCAAAUGCUUUCAAGCCAAUCGUAAUGGCCAUCGGUCCUUACCACCACGGGACUCGAGAACUUCUAACUAUGGAGAAGGUUAAGUGGAACUGUCUGAGUUAUGUCCUCGGAUUGAAUCGUGAAAGAGAUUUAGAGAACUACGUUACGGCAGUUGAGGAACUCGCGUUACAAGUAAGAAACUGUUACUCUGGGGAAAUUACCAUAGAAAAUAACAAGUUUGUACAAAUGCUCUUGCUCGACGGAUGCUUCAUACUCGUGGCUCUUUGUGCGACUGACGGAAUUGCAGCAUCCUUACCAGAAGUAUAUGAUGGGAAUGCUGAUUGUCAGGAAAUAACAGCCGAAUAUGGAAUAGGACGAGACGGUGAGCCGAGGAGCAUGAAGAACAAGAUUGUAAUGAGUGACUCCACCACGGAGAAAUCAAUGCUUGAGGUGGAACCAAGCCGGGUGGAUAGUCAAUACAGAAUCAGGAACUGUGGAAUUGACAUUGAGUAUGGCCAAAAUUAUAGUUCUGAUCAGAUGGGACUCUGGUACACAAAUUUUCUCGCACACGACCUGCUCCUGCUUGAGAACCAAAUACCUUUUAUUCUUGUAAAGAGAAUUUAUGAGCUAGUUUUAGGUAACAACGUGGUGAUUCCCUCACUUACGGAUAAAAUUGCCGGAUUCAUAGAAGACAUUCUUAUUCACUACCCAAAAUCCAUUCUAGAAUCAGACAGGCCGAAAGAUUUUAACCAUCUGCUCCACUUGUGCCAUAUGUAUUUCAAGCCUUGUCGGGGGACGGAGGGCGACAGUCAUCAACAUCAGGCAAAGCCUCGAUUCUUUCACCGUUUUCUUCAUUUAGAUCACAAAUAUUUUGAAGUCGAUUGCUUACCAGCUGGUCAGCUAAGACGUUGGCGACGGGCAGUGCAUUACCAUGAAGCAGGAGUUGUAUUUACGAGAAAAGAGCUCGACAAAGAGCAUCCCCAUUCGCUUUUGGAUAUAAGAUUCAGUAAUGGUGUGGUGGAAAUUCCGUGUUUGCUUAUUGAUGAGAACACUGAUUCUCUUUUCAGGAAUCUAAUCGCAUUUGAGCAAACAUGUCCUCAAUUUGGGAACAACUUCACUGCAUAUAUUUUUUUCAUGUCUCAGCUCAUCAGCAUGCCAGCUGAUGCCACUCUACUUGUUCAGAGAGGAAUAGUUGUGCACCAAUUGCAUAGGGACGAAGAUGUGUCGACUCUUUUCACAAAGCUCAAUAAAGAUGUUGUGUUCGAUUUCAAUGGUGACUAUUACCUAAAGUUGAUGUCUAGCGCGUUGGAAGCGCACUACCAAAGUCGUCUGAAUCGGUGGGUGGCGUGGUUGCGGAACAACCACUGCAGCAAUCCAUGGUUGGGCUUAGGAGUUCUUGCGGCGACUGUCGUGCUUUUCUGCACUCUAGUGCAGACGCUGAUUGCCGUCUUGUCCUACAUAAACCCGCCAUGAUCACGUCAGCAGAACGCUCGACCAACAGCUCAAAUUCAUAUGCCGGUCUGCCGUAAAAAUGGCCGACUGCUUUGAAGCUGUCCCUAUGUCGGUUUUUGCCCGUUUUCACAGAGGUAUAUUUGGUCCUCCAUGCAUUUCCUUUUAACUGUAUAUUUUUGCCUUUGGAUUGUCUGAUGCAGUAUUAAUUAUGCAUACCUGUCUUUCUUGUAUGACGUUGUAGGUAUUUCAUAAAAAUGCACAGAUCUUAUCCGAAGCGAGGAUUUAAGUGCGCAUUGGCACGGGCCGUAUCCAUUGUGCCAUAUCAUACCAGCAAGAUAUUGGCAGGAUACAGUCUCAGUGCUGAUGAUAUAGCUCAAAAUUCUCUUUUCGGUACGACCCUGUGCCACGACAAUGAAAUCCUUGAUGUGAAACAUACUGCAUAUUGAAAUAAAUAUCUGCACUUUAAAAUUUUUUAUUGUACAAACAAACCUUAAUAGUGUUUUUGAAGUUGGUACCUAUUUUACUACCUAAUCUUAUCGCUAUCUGUAGUAUUCGAUAAAUUAUUCUAUAAGUAACAGGAUAUUGUGUUACCUGACGAAAUAUAUAUUUUUAUAAUGUUUACACAUACUCUAUGGUGAGAUUAGGUAAUAAAGUAAAAAUUCCUCAAAAGUUUAGGUAUCAAUUUCAAAAGCUUUGAAAUUAUUUCGUUUGUCGGGUUUAAGAUUCGUAAAUAUGUAUAUCACAUUUGAUGUCAAUCAGUUGACUGUUGAUGCAAAGAAACAAUCGAGACCGUUGAAAUGUAGAGUAAAUGUUCAUAAUACUAACUCUUUUUUUUUUUUUUUUCCUAGGGCUCAUGGGUCACUGUGUUCAAGUCAUAUCCUGUUUUAUGUCUCAGCAGAAGCAAUUGGGAUCGCCACAAUGUGGAACAAAAUGAUUAUGAUCUAAGUUUCUCUAUAAUCGAUGAGUCGCUGUGUUUGAGUCAUUUACUUUGUGUUAUGUCUAAUGUAUUACAUACGUGGCUAUAAUUCUCGUAUGUCUGUGUCGGACUCAUGUCCGACGUGGAUGCACCAUGAACGCUUAUUCGAGGUGGGUGCGUCCAUGGUGCAUCCCCCCAAAAAAUAUUUUAUUUUAAUUUUUUUUCUAUGCAUAUAUAAUGUGAGAAUAUAAAUAUUUUGGCUUUUGAUGAAUGAAUAUAAUGUCUGUUUGAACGAUUAAAUUAUGCAUGGUGGAGAUAUUUUUUUUUGAACUAUAUGAACUAUUAUGAAUAAUAUAACAGUGUAUAGCAAGAUUAAUAUUUUAUAUGUAAUAAGUAUAUGUUAUUGUAUAAAUAAUAUUAUAUUUUGUUAGUAGUGCUCAUAUCUUGUCUGUAUCCUUUUUUUUUUAUUUAAACUUGUCGAAUAGUAAUGUUCGAGUUGUGUCGUGUAUCGUGUUCGUGUCUGCGACACCUAAAUUAUGCCUGUGUAACCUAGCUUUAGAUUUUUUUUUUUGAUUUAAGUUAUUUCCAUAAAUUAAAUUGAGGGUGAUUUUGUAACUUUUUGGGUCGAUGGAGUUGCAGAUAUUGCUUACUAUUAAUGAGUUUUAGUUAAUUAAGCUGUUAAUUUUAAAUAAUUGAUUAUAUUAUAACAUUUGUAACCGAAUAUUUUGUGAAAUUUCAUAUAGAUUUUUAAUUCUCAUAUUUUAGAGUAUGAUGUGUAAGGUAAAUUAAUUACUAAUUACUUUACAGUUUGGUUUGAAAAAUAGUCUGGCUACUAUAUACUCCUUAUGAGUAUAAAGUUUUUUGUACUCAUAAAUUUUCGAUCGUUAGAUUUAUCUCUUUGACUAUUCUCAUCCCUUUGAUCAUAUUAUUCGACCAACUACCUACUAAAUCUUAGGGGAUCACUAUCAUCCUAAUCGGAGACUACUAUCAUUCUAGCCACAUCUCUUCAUCCAAUGACCGAAAACUUUACAAAGGAUUUUAUACUCAUAAUGCAACAUCAGUAGUAAUCUCAUUUAUAAAUCCAAGUUAGCUGGAUGUAUCAAAAUAACAUACAAUGUUACAUAACGCGACCCAAACGGGCCCUAUGAGUAUAGAACUCUUUGUACUAUAAAAUUUUUGGUUGUUAGAUCUAUCCAUUUGACCAUUUUCAUCCAUUAGAUCAUACUAUUCGACCAACCACCUACUCAACCUUAGGAAAUCACUAUCAUCCUAACCACACAUCUUUUCAUCCAACGAUCAAAAACUUAUGAGUACAAAGAACCCUAUACUCAUAAGAAUUGUGACGCCCUAACUUCCGAGGGGGUUACCCAUCCGAGGACUAUUCCCGUCCUAGCAUGCUUAGCUCUCUUAACCUCUUGGGCCCAGCCAUCACCCAAAAUGCUUAAGCUGGGUUAAGAGUUUAGUCCAAUUAUAUCAUAUAUAUAUAUAUAGGACUAACUGGGGUCUCACAAUCUCCUCAUCUUUAAGCCUUGACGUGUUAGUUAGGCUCAGAUUCAUAAGUACCAAGCGAUGUGAGACUCUUUUUUCUAGCCAUAACCGACUUCGUGGGUGGGCACGCUUCACCCACAAUAGUCAACAGCAUGAGAGCCUCGCUUUUCCCGCUAUAUAAUUCUCGCUCAGCCAAGACUCAUCUCACACUUCAAGCUGGUAAUUAGCUCUUAUACCAACUGUGACGCCUUAACUUCCCAGAGGGUCACCCAUGACCCCCAAGGACUACUCCCAUCCUAAUAUGCUUAACUCUCUUAACCUCUUAGGUUUAGCCACCACCCAAAAUGCUUAAGUCGGAUUAAGAGUUUUAAGCGUGCUAGGAUGGGAGUAGUCCUUGGAUGGGUGACCCUUUGGGAAGUUAGGGCGUCACAGUUGGUAUCAGAGCCAAGUACCAGAGCCGAAAGUGUGAGAUGAGUCUCAGCUGAGCCGGGAUUAUACAGUGGGGAGAGCGAGGCUCUCAUAUUGUUGACUGUUGUGGGUGGAGCGCGGUUACCCUAUAAAGUCGGUUAUGGCUAGCGACACGAGUCUUACAUUGCCUGGUACUUGUGAGUCUGAACUUGACGAGGACGUCAGGACUUAAAGGGGGGGAGAUUGUGAGACCCCAGGUAGGCCACCUUAUUUUUUCUUCCUCUCAAAAGAGUCAUUUCUUAUACACUCCCGCACACACACACACACAUGUGAGACAAAGGAGAGGGUUCUCUAUUUCUCUCUAACUCACAUCUCUCUCUUCUUCUCUUGUAAUCUCUCCACCAAAGGAUAAAUUGGAGGAGAUUAAGCUUGAAAGAAGCUUGAAAGAGAGGAUCAAGCUCAAGGAGCUUGGUGAACUUGGAAGCCAUGGUGAGCUUUGGUGAUUUGAGUUAUGGUUUGGGUUAAAUCCUUUAAAAUUGAUGUAUUCAGAAUCUCUAGAUUAUUCUAAACUAGUUUGAUUAAGGGAUUAUCAAGAUUGAUGAGGUUUUCUUGUAAAAUUUGAAACCCUAGGAUAAGACAAAUGUAGUACCCUUAUACUUAUAUAUAUAUAUAUGUAUAUAUUGUAUGGAUGCCAUGUUGCCUUUGCAUGCAUGGCAUGCUUAUCCAUUUCCUUAAUUAAGAGAUGCACCCGCACCUCCUUAAUUAAUUUUUCCUUCCUCUCUUUUCUCUGGAGCCGUACGCAAGGACGAGGAGAACCCGGUUGAAGCUUGGAGCAACGUCGACGUCGCGUCGCGGAGCCGUUCGAGCGCGCGCGUGUUACCGUAGCAUCGCGAGGAGGCCGGGCGAGGGUGCGAUUCCGUCGUUCUCGACGUCUCGCCGUUGUCGGACGCGCUUUCGAGGUGGGUUUAUCAUCGGAUUUCUACUCCUAUAGCCUUGUUAGUCAACAUGUAUAGUUAGGAUAUCUGCGUUGGUACUGUUUAGCUCAGAUUCAUGUUUAUGCAUUGUUCUAGGCCUAUAUAUUGAAUUGGGAGCAUGUUACUGUUUGUUAUUACUUAUACAUGUUGGACUUGGAUAAAACAUAGGAGAAAACCAGUGUUCGGAACCUGUCAUAUGUUAAACUAUCUGAUUUAGCCUUAGGGGCCGUUGUACUUUUAUACUGUUGCAGUAUCCUCAUAGUGAGUAUUCCAGGUAGUUCAGAUUUCAGUUAUGCUCGUGCUGGGAUGCCGAGCCGAUUUUUACAGUAGUGUUUACAGUGUUCCGGACUAGUGGGUGCCGUAGUGGUUGACGGCGGACCCGGAAUUGAUUGUUUCGGUAUCAGAUUGUGCCGAGAGCAUGUGACCAGUGGUUGGUAGUACUGUUAGACCUGUUUUUUGACUUUAGCCUGUGAGAGCCUGAUUGAGCUCGACAGAGAUACGCUUGCAUACUCGGGUGGGUCGCGCCCACGAGUGCCGCUCCGGAGUCUGGCUCUGUGCUUUUGCGUUGAUGUCGCUGAUUAGUUGCUAUCCACGGACUGUUUAGCGUGGAGGUAGCGCGGCUUAGACAGGCGGGACGGGUGCGUACACAGUCCCUAUUGAGAUUGGGUCAGAAUUGAUAAUAAACACAGUUGAAUAGUGUAGUGGCAUGUAGCUGUAAAUUUCUUUCGAGCUUUACUUACCAGUUUCGUUUCCUACUGUAGUCUUAGUGGGUGAGUCGAUGAUUUUGAGGCCGGUACCCACUGAGGACUACUUAUUUUUAUAGUAGUUCUCACGCCUAGUUGUUACUUUGUGUUUUGCAGAGCCUGCUGUUCCGGCUACUGCAUCUUCCGAGGCUGAUCGAGGCAAGGGCGUCGCGAGUUAGAGCCCUACCCGACGAGUUGCUGAGAUAGAGGAUCCACCUCUGCAGGUAGUUCUGGUUUAUUUUGUUAAGUUCAUGUACAUACAGUUGUUAUAACUCGCUGGAGCGAGUACUUUUGUAUAGCGUUUUGUUGUAUGUAUGUGAAACUUGUUUUAUUCUACCUGUUUGGGUUUCUUUACAGCUCUAUACUACUGGUUGUAGUAUUGUAUAUUUUCAGUUACCGAUACGCUUCGUAUACAGGGAAAAUUCUUUGUAUACGGCGGAUUUGUCGACGUGCCCGGAAAAUUGUGUAAUCCGGGGCGUGACAACAAAUGUAAAUGUAAUAUGGAUAUGACGAAUGUUUGUAAUAGUGUAGUAUUAUGUUUAUGAUGCCCUUCUUAUACAAUAUGUAUAUGAAUUCUAUUCCUAAUUGAAUUAUAUUGAUUGUGACGUCUUGGGCGGACAGAAAAAAUUUUGUUUGUUCCGCGAUCUGUCUGCGUGCCCGAACUAACCAAAGUGGCGAUCUCGGGGCGUGACAGAUAAGGUGAUAUCACUAUCUGGGAUCUUACAAUCUCCCUUCCUUUAAGUCCUGAUGUCCUCGUCAGACUCAGACUAACAAGUACCGGGCGAUGUGAGACUCGUCUAGCUAGCCAUAACUGACUUUGUGUGGUAGCCGCGCUCCACCCAUAAUAGUCAACAGUAUGAGAGUCUCGCUAUCUCCACUGUAUAAUCCUGGCUUAGCUGAGACUUAUCUCAUACUUCCGGCUUGUAAUUGACUUGAUACCAACUGUGAUGCCCUAACUUCCCAGAAGGUCACCCAUUCAAGAACUACUCCCGUCCUACCACGCUUAACUCUCUUAACCUCUUGGGUCUAACCACCACCCAAAAUGUUUAAGCUGGGUUAAAAGUUUAGUCAUAUUAUAUUUUAUAUAUAGAACUAUCUGGGUCUCACAAAAGUAUAGUAGUACUAGCCUUGAAAAAUAAUAGAAAAUUUUAUAAAGUGAUUGGAUUGAAAUAUAAAUCAAGGUUUAGUGAUUUAAUUGAAUUAUAUUAAAGUUCUGUGAUCGGAAUAAAAUUUCACCAAAAGAUAAAGCACAAACAAUGUAAUUACGAGUAUUUUAAAAACUAGGUGGAAAAGCAAACCGAAAAUUUUAUUUGGGCAAGGAUCACUAAUUUUAUUUAGGUCAAAUUAGGUAGAUACAAGUUUUUUUUUUCUUCAAAUUUUAUUUCUCAUAAUAGAAAAAAAAUAGCAAAAACCUAUAAUAAGAUAAAAUAAAUAAUUACAUUAACCUAAAAAAAAAAAAAGAAUCCGACCGGUUGCUCAGAAUCGGACUGAUUUAUCGGUUGACUAAUUGAACUGUUUGGUUUGAAUGGUACAAUCUGGGUUUUAAAACAUUAGUAAUUUUUUUCAUGUAAAAUAGUUUACUUGUGUGAAUAUCAUCUAUUACUAUAUAGUAAAGUGCGUGAAAUAUUCUCCUUUUAUUGGCAUGUGUACCGCUUAUAUGCUCGAUAUAUCCGGUGCAUUAUAUGUCUAUAAAAAAUAUUAGUUUAUAUAUAUANNNAUAAAAUUUACGGAUAUAUAAUUUUUUAUAUUUUAAAUGUUUAUAUAUAUAACCAUAAAAUAAAUUUAAUUAAUUAAAUUUUAUUUCACAAUUUUAUUUUUGAUAUUUCUAUCAUACAAAUUUUUUACACUAUUCAAUAGUGAGGAGCUAUUAUUUAUGGACACGUGUCCAUUCCAUGGGUGCACUUGAUGCACCAUGGAUCCAAUAAGAAAAAUAUAAUUUUAUUUUAGUAAAUAUACAUUAAAUUUAGGAAUAUUCACAUAUAAAUAUUUUAAAUAUUAUUAACUAAAUUGAGUUAACUAAUAUUUAAUUUUGACAUCUCUAUUGUACAAAUUUACUUAUAUACAUGAGAUAUAUAUACACACUAGCUGCAGUCAAUUACUAUAUAUUAAAAGGCGUGGAGCACCCUUCAUUUGUUGACGCGUGCCCCACCCGUAUAUUUGGUGCACCAAGUACAACGUAAUCCUAUAAAAAAUAUUAUUUUAUUUUAAUAUAUAUAGAUCUAAAUUCUAUACUUUAUAAUAUAUAGGCAUUUAAAAUACCAUAAAAUAAAUUUAAUUGAUUAAAUUUUAUUUUCAAAUUUGUAUUGCACAAAUUUAAACCGUGUUUAUGAAAUGUGCACAUACACCAUGUGCAUGCAAUAAUUUUCAAUGGAAAGGAGCCAUUGUUUGUGGACAUGUGUCCAUUCUACCGAUGCAUUUGGUGCACUAUGGACCCAAUAGGAAAAAUAAAAUUUUAUUUUAGUGAAUAUGUCUAAAAUUUAUAAAUUUUAAUAUAUAAAUAUUUUAAAUAUUCUAAAAUAAAUUGAAUUAACUAAAAUUUAGUUUUCACAUCUCCAUUGUAUAAAUUUAUUAGUAUGUAUGAGAUAUAUGUAUAUAAACUAGGUAUGGUCAAUGAGUUCGACUAAAUGUCUCAUUAACCUUUAACUGUUUUGAUUUGAGCUAAUAACAGUUUCAUUGCCUACCAACUAAUAAACCAAUUGGAGUACUCUCCUAUUUUUUGUCAAUUAUCUAUUGUAAGUUCUAAUUUUAGAAAAAUUAUAUCUAAUUUCUUCAACAGUUUUAUACUUUUGAGAAUUUUUUUUUUUUACAGAAUAAGUAAGAGUAAUUUGAUCAUUUCGCCCUCUCCAUUAACGCCGUCGUAAUCCCUUGAAAAUAUUUCUGAAAUGUUGGUGGUAAAUAUAAGUUUUUGGAAGUUCGAGGUGGCAAGUGAAAAAUUCGGUAUUUAUAGGAAGGUUUUCUGCACUUUAGCCAAAAAUUCAUUUAAAAUUUUUUUGCAUGCAUUUUCAAAUAUGGCUAUAGGUGAGGGGUCUCCAUGCACUUUGGUUUGGUUUGGAUUAUACACAUUCUUACCAUUUUUGUAUGCAUGUAUACAUAUUACAUUACUUCUUAUCACAAUACUCAAUUUUUUUUUGUGUUAAUUAAACUUUUUGGGCAUGUAAUAAUAUGCAUAAUAAUAACUCACUUUUGAAUCCAAAAUCAUAAAUUAAGUCAUAAGAAAUCUAAGUUACAAAAAUAAGAAUGUCGAAAUCGAUCGGCCGAAUCGAUCCAACCCGAGUUCUUUCGGUUUAAUUCGGUUCGGUUUGAGAAUAAAUUGGCUCGAUUCAAUUUUGGUUUGAAACUUCUUGCGUACUGAACUAGACGCGGAAUCGAAAACACACGUAGAGCGCGUUUGGUUCGCCCAUUUUUUCACCCUGGAAUGGAAAUCGGACUGGACGAAUACGUUAAUUUGUCCGUGUUUGGUACGCGGCAUUUCCAUUCCAAUUUCGACACUGAUUCGCCUAAAAUCUUUUUCCAACCACUUGAGAUACUAGAGAUGCCCUAAGGCUAGGCAUUGGGAGCAUGGAAUUGGAGAAAUUGAACCCUUGCUACUUAGUUUUCCUGAUUAGAUUCCGGAACCACCUAAGCAUGUUCCGAAACUCGACACUUUAGGAUGAAACUUCCUUUCUUUUCUCUCUUUUCUUUUCUUAUCAAUAUUUUAUAUUCUGCUUUUGAAACUCUGGGAAUUACAUGUGGCAUGGGGUCGUGCCAAAAACUUCCUGGCAAAGUAUGCCAUGGUGCUUGCCGUGACCUACUGUGUCGUAUCGAGCCGUGCUAAACUGUGUCGGUCACAAAAAUACCUAUGUGCUAACACACUGUGGCAUUAUAUAUAUACUAGUGUAGUAACCCGCGCGAUGCGGCGGAUAAAUAAUAAAAGAAAAAAUAAAAAAUAUUGAAGAGGAAGUAGAAAAGAGUUUGGAAAAUAAAAUUUCAAGUGUGUUUUAUUUUUUGGAUAGAAAAAUGUAUGAAUUGAGCUAACCAAUAUGAUCAUUGAAAAUCGAUAAAUGCCUAGAAUCAUUAUUAAAAAAAACUUACAAAAGGUCAUAUGAAGAUAGAGAUGAUAAUGUUGCGAUGAUGACGACAAUGGUGAUAAAAAUCUCAUAAAAAUUUGCAGGAUUUUGCACUCUUUUGGAUAUGGAAUGAUCAGAAGUUGCGGAUCAGAACUACCACAUAAAUUAUAAAAUCAAAACUAACAUCUAAAUUAAUCAAAAUAAUGCACAUAAAUCAAAUCCUUGAUUGAUGCAACCACUAUAUAAAAAAUAAUGUAAAUAAAUUAAUUCUAAAUUGAUACGUAGUAAGAAUUUGCGAUUAAAAUAAAGAAAAGAAAAAUUAGGUUUAGAAUUUUCGUUUCCCAAACCUACCCCUAAAUCCGAAGGCUUGGAGGACUCCCUUGCUCUUCUCCAAUCUCUAUAUUUGAAUAUAGUAACUAUUUAUCUUCUCCUCUUUUAAUUUUGCAUGUUAGAAAUUAUUUGAGGAAGAGUAAAUGGCAAAUAUUGAAGAGAAAAAACUAAACGUAUAUAUUAAAAAGCACAUUAAUUAUAGGUUAUUGAAUAGAGAGGAGGGGAGGGGAAAAGCCAAAUUAAAAAUCAAUUCAAAAAAUAGGAUUAGUGAGGAUGGAGGAAAGCUUGUCAUGUGGCAAAAUUAUUGGGAAUUCAUAUAGGUUAAUAGAUAUAUAUAUAUAUAGAGAGAGAGAGAGAGAGAGAGAGAGAGAGAGAGAGAGAGAGAGAGAGUGUGUGUCCGGCUAGGAUACUAUUGCUAGUACCAAGGAUUUGGUGCUAUCGAGUUUUCCACCGUUAGAUUUAAUCCUUUAAUUAUUUUUACUCGUUAGAUUAUACUAUUCAACCAACCAUUCAUUCAACUCUAGGAGGCCCAUAUCAUCCUAACACCACAUUUCUCAAUCAAGGGCUAAAAAACUAUAGUGCCAAUAGCUUUGGUGCCCUAUUGUAGUAUUCCCUAGUUCUUAUUAGUAUAUAUAAUAUAUAUAUAUGAUUAGAUAUAUAUAUAUAGCAGCAUUAGGCUCGGUUAUUUACGUGCACGGAGGCCUUCGUCUGCUACCAAGGUGUUUUUCAAUGGAUGUGGAUUCCAAUCGAUGAUCGGCUUUGAUUAGAUUUGAUCUACACUGUAAAAGUAUUUGAAACUUAAAAUUUCAUAAAAUAUUUUUCGUAUACAUUGAUAUAUCAAACGAAUAGUCAUAAAAUAAUGAACGGUUGAAAAUACAAAAUUCAUAAAAUGAAUGAUAGAAACUGAAUUUAAGAUUAGAGGUAUGAUUUUUCUCCCCCCCCCCCCCCCUCUAAAUGAGUAAAAAAAUUUCGUCUAUAAAAAUUCUUCUAUUUGAAAUUGUCUUAUACACCGUUAAAUUCACUAAUGCGCGAUCACUAUUCUACCAUUAAAAUGCAAUGGGUAGAUUUUUUGAUCACUACAAUGAGUGUCGAAAAUUAUAUAAAUUGUAAUUUUCAAAUACUUUUUAAAGUGGUAGAAUCAAGUCUAACGCAGCGAUCGUCGCAUUUAGCCCGCAUCAUCCAAAAACAACUUGGUAGCACGGAGGCUUCCGGAGGCACGAUGGCUAUUAUAUGGUCGGAUCGAGAUAUAUAUAUAUAUAUUCUCUCUCUCUCUCUCUCUCUCUAUAUAUAUAUAUAUAUAUAUAUAUAUAUAUAUUCUUUGACACCAAUAUAUACAAAUUACUUAUUACAGAUAUUUGUCAAAUCUUUUGUACUUUGUUGAGAUAACUACUUGCUAAUUUUAUAGAAAAAAAAUUUUGAGCCAUGCCAUUGGCUCGAGAGUCUUAUCAUGUGGAUAUAUGUCUGCACACUACGGCACAGUGGGCACGGCCUGUGUCAAUAAGCACUUAAAAUCCUUGGUAAUCAAGUGUGAAGAGUAUCUGCAUGUGGAUAGAAGAACCUAAGCCUCCAUGUCACAAAAAAUUACUAAAUUAUUUUUUUUUUCUAAUUAAAUCAUUAAGUUUUCUAUCAAUCUAAUUAUAUGUUAUUAAAAUGAAUAUGAUCAUUUGAUGCAUUAAAAGGCCUUUCAUCUAAGUUGUGACUAUUUAAACAAAAUCAAUUACCAUCUUCCUAGUCAUCCCUUAUUAACAAUUUAAGUCACAUUGGUACGUAACGGACACAAAGUUAUCCGGUAAGUUCAGUGCGAUUUAAAGUGGUGCUAGUUUCAGGCUGCGUUUGGUUAGAGAACUAAAUUUUGGAGAAUAACUUUUGUUGUUCCCGAGAAUAAAAAAUAUUCCGGUAUAAGCUAGAACAAGUUGUAAAUUACUACGUUUGGAUGUUGUUUGUUUGUUUAUUCCUAGAGAAUAUUCUUGAUAGUGUUUGGAUAUUUAUGUUGGAAUAAGGUGUUGGAAAGAUAAAAAUUAAAUAAAAUGACUGAUUUGCCGUUGAAUGUAAUAAUCAAAUAUAAUUUAAUAAAUUAAGUAUUAAAAUAAAUUAAUUUACAAAUUAAGUAUAUUUGUAUAUUAUUUUGAAAAUAUUAAUUUAGUAGUAUUCAAUUUAAGUAUUUAUUUAUUUUUUUUUGAAACUAAUUUAAAGUAUAAAUAUUUAAAAUGGAACAGCACUUAUUAAAUUAAAUUAAUUAUUCAAUUGAUUUUCUUUAAUUUACUAAAUUAAAUAUUAAUAAGUCAAAAUAGUGUGGCUCUUAUAAAUAAAAAAAAAUUCAAAAAAAAGUCUAAACACAUCCUGAUGAAGGGUUAAAGGGCAAAAUGGUAAAGAAACAUAUCCCCCCAAGUUGUUCCCCCCAAUUCUCCUAUCUGGGGAGAACAAGCUUAACGGGUUGUUCCCGGAACAACCUGUUAAGCCCGAAACAAGGGCCUUAUUCCAUUUUGCAUUGUGUUUGGGGGGAUAAAGAGGGAUAUCCCGCCUUGUUCUGGAAUAUCCCUCCAACUAAUCGCAGUUUUCAGAGUUUCGUGCUCAACUGUUUUAUUCAGUAUAAGAAUUUCUGUUUCGUAGCCAAAACUGGUUUCAGAGGCAAACUUUUGACGGUUAAAUUAGGAUUUAAGUCUUAAUUCUAAUCCCAUCCCAAUCAAACUUAAUUUGAAAUAUUCUAUUAUCUUAUAAUAAAUCCCAAAUUAACUCGAUCUAUAUUUUAAUAUUUACAAACAAAAUAUAGUCUAAUCACAAUUCUAUACAAUCUUGGACUCUUGUUGUAGAAACCUGUUCGAUCCCUUUUUACGCCUAAGUAUUUUCUUAAAUUAUUAUUUUGACAUUACUCCUUUAAAAUAAAGUUCUAUUUGAGUCAUCUAUGAGUCCAAAUUGACCCAAGCAUAUAUCACUCAUCGUAAUAGUUUGGUGCUAUUAAUAGUACCAAAAGCCCCCUCAUAGUUUCAAAAUCUAAAGAAUUUCUAUUUUUUGAUCUUCUCGUCAUCGUAGAUUAAAGAAAUUCGAGAUAAAUUAUUUGACGGUGCAAAUUAAACAUGCUCUUCGAGUGCUCCUGUUUAGGAGUCAAAUUGUUUGGGGCAUUGAUCUCUUGAUCAGCUCAAUAUCUAAUAGACUAUAUUUGGGAUUGUUAAGUGCUUCAAAUACUAUUCUUAAUAAUAGGUUUUACUUGGGAUUAAUGCCUAUCUAUUUAUGUAUAUAUUCCAUCGUUAUCCAGAGUCAAUCACUUGCGUUAAGAAAAUUCAUAUAAAUAAAAAAGCUCCCUUGCAUUAAUCACUAGUAAGAAUACCAAAUCAGGACCGACCGUCCCUAGAGUAAGUGGCAAAGGGCUUGGUGGUUGGUAUCCGAGACCCAAGUUCGAAUCCUAGUUGAUUCACAUUUCCAGCUAAAUUUAUUUUUAAAUGAAAUAAACGAAGCGGGUAUAUAUUAACUCAAUAUUAUGAAAAUCUUCAUAUUGGGGGAAACCAUGAAGAUCUAAAAAUCGGUAACCUAGAUAGGGAACUAAUGAUUAUCAGAAGCCUAGUUUGUGAUAAGGUGGAUGGUAGUGGAUGGUAGUGGAUGGUAGUAGUAAGGUUGGAAUGUAAAGAGGUAGGUUCUUAAUUUUUGAGUCUUCGUGGUUGGAGAACCACGAAAACUCUCAUAAGAUCGAGUUGAGAUAUAUAUAUAUACUCAACCUGACCCGAUGAUAAUCAUCGUUUUAGAAUAACAACGAUAGUCAAAAAAUCGGAAACCUAGUUGAGAAAAGUAAUAAAGAUUGGUAACCUAAUUUAUGAUAUUGGGUCACCCCUGGUGAGUUGGGAUCCCCCUGGAGAGUUGAGAUUGGCUGAUUAUAGUAGGACUGGGAUGUUAAAAAGUAGGUUAUCAAUUUUUGAACUAUCGUUUUUCUCGCAAAAUGAUAAUUAUCAUAAGGUCAGAAUCUCUCUCUCUCUCUCUCUCUCUCUCUCUCUCUCUCUCUCUCUCUCUCUCUCUCUCUCUCUCAUGACCUACGGCCUCUUCCCCCCUACCGAUCGGGUCUUCUCGCAGCUUAAAGAUAAGGACUUUUAGCUCUCGAUCGCGUAAGCGGGUAGCCUGUGAAACUUGGUCUUCUAUUCUAAACGUUCAACUGCGACGCAUUGUCGUCCUAGAGAGUCGGUUCCAGCCUCUGUCUUCCCCUGGCCCCGAAAGAGUCGGUUCGCACCACUGCUAUCCCGGUAAAGUAGCCGCCCUAAACCGCUCAUAAAGGUUGUUCUAUUUUACGCACUAACGACCCGGAGUACUUAGAAAACACACCAGAGAGGUGAGCCGCUCGACGGAGUCUUUCUAUUUUCUAGUUCGUCGUUUGCUGAGCGUCCGCAAUGUUAAAUCUGCUUGGAAAACUUUUGAGGCGGAAACUUCUAGUGUUUUCAAAGCGUCUCUAACUGCGACGACGACGAUCCGUCGGUCAAUGAGAGUGGGAGAACNCCAAGUUGUUUUCAAUGAUGCGGCCUCCAAAUCGACAAUCGGCUCCGUUAGAUUUGAUUUACACUAUUAAAAGUAUUUGGAAACUAAAUUUCAUAAUUUUUCGACAUAAUUUGGCUAGUGAUCAAAAUGUCUCAAAAUUAACAAUUUUAAUGGUGGAUGUGAUGCGUUUGUGAAUUUAACGGUGUAAAACAAUUCAAAUCGGAUGAAAUUUUAUUAGAAAUUUUUUUUCAUUAUUUAGAGUAAGAUUAACACCUCUGAACUUAAAUUCAAGUCUUUUAUCAUCAUUUUUUAUGAGAUUUUUAUUUUUAACCGUUUAUUUUUAGACUACUUGUUUGAUAGGUAAAUGAUGUCGAAAAAUUAUAAAAUUUAGUUUUCUAAUACUUUCAAUAAUAUAGAUCAAGUUUAACGGAGCCGAUCGUCGAUUUGAAAGCUACAUCAUUAAAAAUAACUUGGUAGCACGGAGGCCUUCGUGUCACCAAUAGUAUACCAGCUUAGCUCUCUCUCUCUCUCUCUCUCUCUAUAUAUAUAUAUAUAUAUAUAUAUAUAUGCUGCAGUUUGAAAAACAACUAAAAAUUGGUGAUGAAUUAAUGGUGCAAUCAACCUUUUAAAAUAAAAAAUAAAAAAUGCACACAACUUACACGAACUACGAAGUCUACGAGUCAUUUUAUAUCGGUUAUGCAAUUUUUUAAAAUUUUAAUUUUACUAUUCGACCUUUAAUUUUUUUUUUAAUUUGAAUUUAGUCAAUGGCAUUUUGAUUUUAAAAUUUAGAUGUUUUUGCUUAUCUUUACAGAUUUAGAUUGUAUAUUUCAUAUAAGGCUAAAAUACAUAAAACCUCUAUGUUAAAACCCGAUUUUUUUUUUUUUUUUUUCACUUUCCCUUCCUGUCAUUUAAUAACCUAUACUUUACCUUCUUAUAAAAUGAAAAAUGUUCACUUCGCCCCCUACCGUUAGUAAUUCGUUAGGGUUCCGUUUAUAAUAUAUUAUUAUAUAUUUUUUAUCCCAAAAAUAUCCUCAGCCUUCUCUCCUGUGAAUAUGGUGAGAGGCAAAAUGGUGAAGGGCAAAAUGGUCAUUUUAUCAUCGCAGUUCACACCGUACCCCCUAUGAACAUUUUUUAUUUUACAAAGGAAAAAAGUGUAGGUUUUUAAAUGACAGGAGAAGAAAGUGAAAAAUCGAAUUUUGACGAGGGUGUUUUUUGUAAUUUAGCCUUCAUAUAAUUCUCGCAACUAUAAGUUUAUUAAAGUGAUUGGCACAAAUUUCGAAGUCGAAUACUAUUUGAUUGAUUUAAAUCAAACAAACUAAAAGGUUAGGACUCCAAGAAGAAGAAAAUAAGAAGAUAAAAAGCGGUGAGAACAACAAUAGAGUCAUUAAUCCACACAAAAGUUUACUUUUACUGCAAAACUCUGCAAAUUAAAGCAUUCCAUUGCCACACCCACCUGCUAGUGUAAAUGAUGUGUGUUAUUUUGGAGAAGAGUUCGCGGUGAUUCGUUUCCCGUAUGUUGUAUUAAAAUAAAAAGGGAAACUUCAAAAACUCCCCAUGUGGUUUCACUUUUUCUCACUUUAGUACCUUGUGAUUUAAAGUGUAUCAAGUUAGUACCAUGUGGUUUUAUUUUUGUAUCAAGUUAGUACUCUGUAAUUUUUAAACCACAGGAUACUAAAGUGAGAAAGUGUGAAACCACAGGGUACUAAAGUAAGAAAGUGCGAAACCACAUGGUACUAAAAUGAGAAAAAGUGAAACCACAUGGUACUAAACUUUGACCAUUCUAAAAUAGACAUCUCAACUCUUUUAUUUUUUAUUGACACCCUCAACUUCUUAUUUAUUUUUUUUUUUAAUUUUGUUUGGGAUUUUUUAUUUAAAGGGGGCUGUUCAUUCUUCAAAAAAAGCGUGGAAAACAUUUUUCAAAAAAAAAAACAGAAAACUCCUUUUUUUAAAAAAAUUUUCUGUCCGUUUGAUUCUGAAAAAAAAAGAGAUUUUUGGAAAUUUUUUAGAUUUUAUGUAAAAGUAAGAAAAAUGAAAACACUAUUUUUUUAUAAAAUUUGGAAAAAAAACCUUUUCAAAAAAGAGAUAUAUAUAUUUUUUACAACCAAACGAGCAUAAAAAAAAAAGAACUUUAAAAAGGUGUUUUUCCAUAAAAUUUUUUUCUCAAAAUACUCUUUUCCAUACUUUUCGAUAGAACCAAACAACUCCUAAUCAUAGUUAGUUAAUCCGGAUUCGGCAAAAAUUCGAUACGGGUAUAAUUCGGAUAAAAUUCGUCUUUUAAUUUUUUAAAUUCGUUAAAAAAUACGGCUAAAAAACAGAUUCAUCAUUAUUCGGAUACGUGAUUUAUUCGGAUAUUAUACGUUUACCAAUUAAAAAUUCGGGAUAAAAAAUUCGGCUAUUAAAUUAAAUUUUUUUCUCUCAAGAUUUAUACUAUUAGCAUAAAUAUUUAUAUCUUUUACAAAUAUAGGAAUAAAUAGCUACAAAAUUAAGAUAAUUAAGUAAAAAUUUGAAAAGAAAUUAUUAUUAUUAUUUUUUUGGUCUUAGGCGAGGUGUUUGGAAAGAUUUUUUUUUUUUUUUUUUUUGUAGUUUACUGUUUUGGGCCAGCCGGCCCAAGAGCGCAUGUGACUGCAGGAGCGCGUGCGGGAGCGCAGGCAGGCGCGGGCAGGCGCGUGCGCGAUCCGUUUUUUUUCGCCGAAUAAUUCGGCGAGCCGAAUAAUACGCGAACACGUAUUUUUACUCAAAAAAUCUCCUUUUUUUCGAAUUUUUGGGAAAAAUUCGAAAAUAGCCAUUUAAUUCGGGUUUUGAAAAAUUGGCGAAUAAUUCGCGAAUAAUUCGCGAAUUAACUAACUAUGCUCCUAAUGAGAAUAAUAUUUUUAUCAAAUUUAAUAAAUUUAUCGCUGAGUAGAAUAGCGUAUAUGUGAGGGGUUGCCUACUUUGUUUAUUUUAUUAGAAAUGAACUUAAUUAGAAACCUAAAUCAAUUAGGCUUCGAAUUAACUUGAAACAUUCGGUCCCAUCAGGCUUACAGUCUAAGUUUUCUCUCAGGUAAAUUAAAGGGAAAACUUUAAAAAUCCUCCCUGUGAUUUUGUAGUUUCUCACUUUGCCCCCCUGUGGUUUAAAAUGUAUCAAUUUGCCCUCCCGUGGUUUCUUUUUUCUCUUUUUCUUAUCGAUUUUAUUAUUAUUUUUUUCUUAAAUCAGUGAUAAAGUUAAAAUUAAAGGGUACUAAAGUGAAUAUUUGAUAAAUCUAAAUGGAUAUCUGAAGUUUUUUUGUAUAUAAUUUAAUAAAAUAUUAACGAAAAAGCUACCAAAAAGAUAAAAACGAAACCACAGGGGGGCAAAUUGAUACACUUUAAACCACAUGGUACUAAAGUAAGAAAUAAUGAAAUCACAGGGGAGUUUUUUGAAGUUUUUCCUAGAUUAAAUUCACGUCUUAACUCUAUCAAAAUAUCUAUACGAAUGCAGAUAUGGUCGAUAAUGUAGACUCAAAAUGGUCUAUUUCCAACUAUAUAUUUGGCUACUUUUGCCAUUUCAUAGCAAUCAAAGUUGUGAUAUUGUGUAGCCUUAUCAACUACGGAAACGCAAUUCAUUGCAAUCACCAAAACUUGCAAGGAAAUAUUAUGGAUAAAACAGUUCAUCUAUUAAUUUGGGCUAAACUAAAAUAAAUAUGUUAUUUAUUGUUAUAGUCAAAGUAUUAUUUACUUAUCAAAGAAUUCAACUUUUAGGGACCGUUUGGUUGCAUGUAGUUGCAACUGCAUUGCAGUUGUAACUACAUAUAAAUACAAAUUUCGUGUUUGGUUUGAUGUAUUUAACCCCAACUACUGCAGUAGAAACUGCAGGAGGAGGCCCAACUGCAGCAGUUCGAACUACACCUAAAUUGGCCGCAGUUCCAAAUAUAGUAGUUGGAGAGAGUAAUUUUAAAUAAAAGGUAUGCUUGUCUUCUUAAUAUUUUUUAAACAAAAAUUAUUUUUCUUUUUUACAUUGAAGGUAAUCUCACCAUCAUAUAAAUAAAAUAAUAAAAUUUUAGAAAUUACUUCUCAACUGCAUGCAACCAAACAAAUUAUUUAUACUUACAGCGCUUUCUACUACAUCCAACCAAAUAUGAUUCAUGUAAUUGUAACUGCUGUAUUUUCAACUGCACGUAUCUCUACCUACACUGUAUUUAUAAUUACAUCUAACCAAACGGCCCCUUAUUGUAGAAGCAAACACGUUGAUGUUAGGUGUCAUUGGAUAUGCAAUAUUCUUGAGAAAAAGUUGGCGUUUGAAAAAAAAUUCACACCGAUAAAAAUAUAUCGGAUAUGAUGAUAAAGGCUUUAUUCAAGAAGAAGCAUGAAAUGUGUAUAAGUAUGGCCAGGAGUUAGAGGUGGCAAUCCAGCUCGCUGGCCAGCUCGUGAGCCAGCUCCUGUUCGGCUCGUGUAAUAAACGAGUCGAACACGAGCUGAAUUUUUAAACGAGCCAAACAUGAGCCGAACCCAGCUCGCUCGUGUUCGGCUCGUUUACACCCCUACCAGGAGUUAGGUGCGAAAGUACGCUUGUUUAGUUAGGCCUAUUUUGAUGGGUUAUUUUGGAGUCAUUUAGAUUCAUGGACUAAAUACUCAAGCCUCCGUUUGGUUCGGGAGUAACGAAUAUUGGGAUAAAUUAUUUUAUCCCUGCGGUAACUUUUUAUUCAAGGAUAGUCAUAGAUAAAAGUAAAAUUGUCUUUAAUUACUUCGCAAUGCUGCUAUUUUUAUGAAUUAUUAAAAUUGCAUUUGGCUAAUAUUAUGAAAUAGUAGAGAAUGGUUAAAAAAAAAAAAGGUGAUCUUUGAAUUUGACAAAAUAUAAUUUUUUUUAAAAAAUUAUAGUAAAAUUAAUUUAUUAUAAUAUUUAAGUAUAAAUAAAUAUAUUAAUAUUAUGUAAUUAAUAGUUUUUAAAAUAAAAGGAAUAUAUCAGAUCUACAUAAUUUAUUUUCAUUCAAUUAAUAAUCCUAAUAAAGAUUAGAAAUAAACCUUGGAAAAAUACUAUUCUAACUUAAUAUUUAGGUGGAAUAGUUUAUUCCAAACUAAAUAACCAAAAAUAGUACGAUUUGAUCGGAAUAAAAGGCGCGCACACACACAAACAUGUUAAAUAUAAAUAUGGAUAUAAUAUUUAAAACAUUGUUAUAUGAUAAUUUAAACUUUUAUAAUUUACGAUUGUUUCACAUAAUUUUAUAUAAUAUCGAAGCAGAAUAUUCUAAGUUUGAGUCAGACUUGCAGCCUUAUUUAGUUUUCUCUUAUUUAAAUUAAGUUCAUGGCUUAACCGUAUCAAAAUAUUUUGAGUCCAAAUAUUUAUAAAAGUAUUGAAUAUAAGAACUAAAAUUAUUGAAUCUUUAAAUCAUUUGGAUCGGGAAUAAGCAGAAAUUGCUUAUUCCGCAUAUCGCGAUGAGUUGGUUACGAUAUAUUUUCCGUGGUCUCACCGGAUAAAGCCGAAGCAUAUCCCUAUAUGCUUUUUUCUCAACUCCAUUUUAUCUAAUAACGUUUGAUAGGCCUCAAUACCAAAAUAAAGCCUAAGAUAGAUAUAAUUUUAGGAAUAAGUAGAAACAAGAUUAGUUUUUCAUUUGCAUGAAAAUUGGGUUGUUUCUCGGAAUAAGUUAAAUAAUGUUUGGAUUGUUAGAUGAGAAUAUUGAGAAUGAAAGUAAUUAUAAUUUUAAAUUAAUAAUAUUUUAUCUAAUUAAUUAACAUCAUAAUAUUAAUUAAAAAUAAUUUAAUAAAAUAAAAAAUUUAUUAGCUAUGAAUAUUGUAUAAGAUAAUAAAAAAAAAUUAAUUAAUUAAUUAAUUAUAAAAUAUAACUUAAUUUUUAAUUAAUUAAUAAUUAUUUAAUUAAUUAGAUGAUUUGUUAAGAAAUUAAUUUAAUUUGCCAAAAUAUUAAUUAGUUGACCAAUAUAAACAUUAGUUAUUAGAUAAACAUAUUAAAUAAUUAGUUCUUGUAACCCAAUUAACCACAAAUAAGAAGAAAAAUAAUUCCAGGAGGAGGAUGGAAUAACUAUUCCACCCUUAUCCUUAAUAAAAAAAACUGUAAAUUUUUAAUCCCUAAAACAAUUUAAACACAAAAAAACAUUACCUCUGAAAGACCACUCCACCCAAAAAUAUAAAACAAGAGCAUCUUCUUUCUUUCUUUCUCUCUCUCUAUUAUUUAAAAAACAAUUAUCUUUGGGUGCUCUAUCUCUCUCUCUUUCUCUCUCUCUCUCUCAUAUAAAAAACAAAUUUUUUUUGGCCUUUGGGUCCUCUAUCUCUCUACUAUUUAACAUAGUUAGUUAAUUCGUAUUCGGCAAAAAUACGGUACAGAUAUAAUUCGGAUAAAAUUCGUUUUUUAAUUUUUAAAUUUAUUGAAAAAUACUGCUAAAAAAUGAAUUCGGUAAUUAUUCGGAUACGUGAUUUAUACGAGAAUUAUACGUUCACCAAUUAAAAAUUCGGGAUAAAAAAUUCGGUUAUAUAAUAAAUAUAUAAUAAUUAAUAUACUAUAUAUAUAUAUAUUAUUAUUAUAAUUUUUAUAUAUAGAUUAAAUAUAUUUAAAAUUGUAAUAAAUAUAUAUUAAUAAUAUAUAAAAGUUGGCUCGGGCUACUAUACUCUUAUGAGUAUAGAACCUCUUGUACUCAUAAAUUUUUAAUCGUUGAUUGAUGAGAUGUGUGGUUAGGAUAAUGGUGGUCCUCAUUUAGAUUGAUAGUGGUCCCCUAGGGUUGAGUGGGUAGUUGGUUGAAUAGUAUGAUCUAACGGGUGGAAAUGAUCAUGGAAUAAAUCUAAAGGCCGAAAAGUAUAGUAGCCGGACUCUAUAAAAGUUAUAUAUAAAAAGGAAUAAACGAAUAUUCCCUACGAACGCUUAUAAUCAGUUUGUUAAAAUAUCUCAAAUAAAAAUAAAUGGUUAUGAUUAAUCUGUUAAAAAAUAACAUUAUUAUUUAUCAAUAUAUCAAAUCUUACAAAUGGUUAUGGUUAAUUUGUUAAAAUAUAUUUCAAAUAAAAAUUAUCGGUGCUAACUUGAUACACUUUAAACCAGAGGGUACUAAUUGGAUACACUUUAAACCAUAUGAUACUAAAGUGAGAAAGUGCGAAACCACAGGGGGGUAUUUGAAGUUUUUCCUUAUAAUAAUGAUAACUGGGUUUAAAUAUUUUGGGCUAAUAAUUUAGCCUUAACGAAUUAUUAUUACUAGUAAAUCAGAUCGUAUAUUUGUUAAGCUAAUUUACCGGCCGGAAGUGUGAAGUAGGUCUCACAUCGCUUGAUAAUCCUGAUAAUCUUAGACUUUAUGUAGUACCCUUGUUUAUUUAUCUAUUUUUUUAAAAUUUUUUUUAGUCGGUUGGUGAUGCAUGGGGGUGGCUUUGGAUGCCACGUGCACCCCCCAUGCAUCCUUAUCUUGUGGCCUACAGAGGGAUAGUGGUGAUUUGUAAUUUCCCUCUCUCUCUAGUUGGAAGUGGAGAGCUCGUGGAGGCUAUAGUUGGAGAUUGGAGCGACGUCAACUUCGCGCCUGCGAGCCGUUGGAGCGUGCGUGCGUCGUGGUAGUGCCGUUGGAGGCCGGGCGAGGGUGCAUUUUCGUCGUUCUCGACGUCGCGCCGGUGCUUGGGUCGCUGUCGAGGUGGGUUACAUCGGUUUUUACUCCUAAGUUCAUAUUCGUCGGCAUGUAUAAUUUUCGACCUUUGGAUACUCUAUUCUAGCUCGAAUUCAUGGAUUAUAUUGUAGAUUGCAAAUCUGAAUUUGGAGCAUGUGGUAAUAAAUUAAGUAGGUUAUACAUGUUGGACUUGGAAAUUGAAUUAGGAGAAAACCUGCGAUUUGGACCUGUCACUUGUUUAAACUGCCUGAUUUAGCUCUAGGAGCCGUUAUUAAAUUGUACUGUCGCAGUAUCUUCGAGACGAGUACUCCAGGUAGUUUAGAAUAUAUCUACACUCGUGCUGGUUCGCCGAGGGGAUUUUACAGGGUCGUUCAGGCUGUUCCGGACUGUAGGGUGCCGUUGAGGUUGACGGUGGACCCGUAUCGCCUUUUUGGCGUCUGAUUGUGCCGAGGGCACGUUACUUGUUGGUUGUUAGACCAGUUAGAGUCGAUUUCUUGACUUUGGCUUUUCAGAGCCUGUUUGAGCUCGACAGAGAUACGCUGCAUACUCGGUUGGGUAGCGCCCACGAGUGCCACUCCGGAGUCAGGCUUUGUGCUUUCGCGUUGGUGUCGCUCAUGCCAGUUGGACUUGCUCUCCACGGACCAGUUAGUGUGGAUAGAGCCUGAUAGUCGCAACGGGGCAGGGACGGGUGUAUUCACAGUCCCGGGGACGGGUAUGCUUACAGUCCCGAUUGGAUUGAGUCAGAUUUGACAUUUACUACAGUUGGUUAGUGUAGAGCAUGAUAGUGUAGUGAUCGAUAGCGGUAGAGUUUACUUCCUGCUUUUCUGACUACUCUUGCUCCCUUCUGUAGACUUAGUGGGUGGACCGAUGUGGUUUUGGGCGGUACCCACUGAGGACUACUUGUUUUUACAGUAGUUCUCACGCCCAGUUGUUACCUCUAUUUUGUAGAGCCACAGGUUCCGGCUGCUGCGCCUUCCGCGGAUCAGGAUCGAGGCAAGGGCGUCACGAGUUAGAGCCCUACCCGUCGUACUGAGCUAGAGGUGCCCCUACUGCAAGUAGAUGUUUUGUUUCGAGUUUCUGUACAUAGUA